rnacentral:lncRNA from 1 species
AACUGACUCCUCCCACAAUAUUAUGAUGUUCCCCAAGUUUUGGACUCAAUCCGAUAUCGAUUGGUCCUUGAAAUCGGACAAUUCAGGUUCGUACGAAGUUCGUUCUGAAAUGGGGUGGUUGGUGUAUUGUAUAGUUCUAGAGAUUGGAUUUCACUCAAAACCCACCAAAUGACUCCUCCCACAAUAUUAUGAUGUUCCCCAAGUUUUGGACUCAAUCCGAUAUCUAUUGGGGCUUGAAAUCGGACAAUUCAGGUUCGUACGAAGUUCGUUCUGAAAUGGAGUGGUUGGUGUAUUGUAUAGUUGUAGGGAUUAUAUUUCACUCAAAACCCACCAAAUGACUCCUCCCACAAUAUUAUGAUGUUCCCAAGUUUUGGACUCAAUCCGAUAUCGAUUGGGACUUGAAAUCGGACAAUUCAGGUUCGUACCAAGUUCGUUCUGAAAUGGAGUGGUUGGUGUAUAGUGUAGUUCUAGGGAUUGUAUUUCACUCAAAACCCACCAAAUGCCUCCUCCCACAAUAUUAUGUCGUUCCCCAAGUUUUGGACUCAAUCCGAUAUCGAUCAGUCUACGAAAUAUAACAAUUUAGGUUCGUACGAAGUUCGUUCUGAAAUGGAGUGGUUGGUGUAUUGUAUAGUUCUAAAGAUUGGAUUUCACUCAAAACCCACCAAAUGACUCCUCCCACAAUAUUAUGAUGUUCCCCAAGUUUUGAACUCAAUCCGAUAUCGAUUGGUCCUUGAAAUCGGACAAUUCAGGUUCGUACGAAGUUCGUUCGGAAAUGGGGUGGUUGGUGUAUUGUAUUGUACCCACCAAAUGACUCCCCCAAUAUUAUGAUGUUCCCGAAGUUUUGGACUCAAUCCGAUGUCGAUUGGUCCUUGAAAUCGGACAAUUAGGGUUUGUACGAAGUUCGUUCUGAAAUGGAGUGGUUGGUGUAUUGUAUUGUACCCACCAAAUAACUCCUCCCACAAUAUUAUGAUGUUCCCCAAGUUUUGGACUCAAUCCGAUAUCGAUUGGUCCUUGAAAUCGGACAAUUCAGGUUCGUACGAAGUUCGUUCCGAAAUGGGGUGGUUGGUGUAUUGUAUAGUUCUAGAGAUUGGAUUUCAUUCAAAACCCACCAAAUGACUCCUCCCACAAUAUUAUGAUGUUCCCCAAGUUUUGGACUCAAUCCGAUAUCGAUUAGUCCUUGAAAUUGGGCAAUUCAAGUUCGUACGAAGUUCGUUCUGAAAUGGAGUGCUUGGUGUAUUGUAUAGUUCUAGGGAUUGAAUUUCGAUCAAAACCCACCAAAUGACUCCUCCCACAAUAUUAUGAUGUUCCCCAAGUUUUGGACUCAAUCCGAUUUCGAUUGGUCCUUCAAAUCGGACAAUGCAGGUUCGUACGAAGUUCGUUCAUAAAUGGGGUGGUUGGUGUUGUGUAUACUUCUAGAGAUUGGAUUUCUCUCAAAACACACCAAAUGACUCCUCCCACAAUAUUAUGAUGUUCCCCAAGUUUUGGACUCAAUCCGAUAUCGAUUGGUCCUUGAAAUCGGACAAUUGAGGUUCGUACAAAGUUCGUUCUGAAAUCUGGUGGUUCGUGUAUUCUAUUCAUCUGGCUGUCUCUGUUUUUCCACGACCCCGUGACGCAGCGUGGCAAUCGGGGGUAAAGUACCCUUAAACACUCGUCGAAAGCCCGCAAAGGAAUCAAAAUACGAAAAUAACAAAGUUUCCCAAAACUGAAUUUCGCCCUAGCAAACGGCGUCGGAUGCCCGAGGCAACGCAAUGAGUUUUACUCGUGACGCCGUUCUCUUCAAAUCGACUGGUCGUGGGCCUAAUUCUGAGGUCGGAGCCCAGAUAUGCGGUUUACCCGAUACGCGCGUCGCUCCAGCUCCUCUUCAACUGCUUCCGACGUCACCCCGAGGAGCCCGUCUCCAAUUAACUAGGUGCCGGAAAAGAGCGGGACCGACGCACUGCCGGAAUUAUCGGGGGGUUUUUUCGCGCUCAAUUGUCGUUAGGUAGGCCAUAUGGCAUGGCUCAAACGUGGCUUAUAUGCCUUUAGGCGUUGUAAGCUAACGGAUGCGAUCAUACCAACUCACAUGCACCGGAUCCCAUCAGAACUCCGAAGUUAAGCGAGUUUGGGCGAGAGUAGUACUAGGAUGGGUGACCUCCUGGGAAGUCCUCGUGUUGCAUCCCCUCUUUUUGUCUUUGUCACGUUUCAAUUGUCGUGGGCGUUUGCUUUCCGUCGUCUUAUUCAUCUGAGGGCUGCUUACAGGUGUUUUGUGCUUGCUUUCAGAUAAGAUUUUGGCUUAACAUGAAGAGCUUGUGGCAUGGGAGCAGGGUCAGCAUGAGUUGAGCACCAAAAGGGAAAAUAAGGCUUCUUAAGGAGAAGUGUGAGUGUUUAAACUGAGGGAAACCAGAUUUGCAUGGUGAUCUUGGCUGGAAGGAGGUAAAAGAUGAACAUCGCUUCUUCCGGCAGCUUGACAGAUUCUGAAAAUAAUCUAUCAAGCAGAGCAGAAUGAAGAAGAAGAGGUGAACAAGGUUACUGGAUUUUGCUAGUAAGAGAGGAAGCUUGCUCUCUCAGCCUGGGUUGGUUUUUGCUGGGUGGAGGGGACCUCCUUUUAUAGCUGCGGGAAACUAUCCUUUCCCAAGAAACCCUAAUGGUUUCUUCCCAAUCUUGGCAAGUCUUUCCAUCCUUUUUCCUUCUAUUCUCUUGACUUUCCUAUCUGGGUGAGAUUUCCCCUUAUCUAUUUGCACAAAAUCAGGAGUUUUGGAGCUCAAGACCCCUUUUCCCGCGGCUGCUUCAGUAGGAAGCUCCACUCUUGGCUACUUUUCUUCUUCUUUCCCUUCUCCUUCCUGGGCCAGCACAGAUAAGGGAAAACAACUGGGUGUAUAUGCUGGUUUGAAAGGGUACUCCUCUUCCUGACAACUUACAUGCUAAUAUCCCUUGGUCUCUCUAGUGUUUUGUUUUGGGACUUGAUCCAUUCCCAUGUGCUGGCACUUUCCACCAGCUCUGUUCAGUGAACCUGCAGACCUCCUCUACGUGGCUUCUACUUUUCUAAAGGGCUGAGGCUUUUGUGGCUUGUUGUGGAAUUUUGUAUGGGCUAAGAUACUUCAUUAAAUAAGUGGGCUAUUUAAACAUUGGGCUUUUGGUUGGGCUAUCCUUUGACUGGGCUAAUUUUGGUUGGGUUAUUUUGAUUGAGUUAUUUUCCCCUCUUUGCUCACCCAUAUAUUUGGGCCUAAGAAAUGGGCUUGGGUCCCGAGGCUCCCAAGCAACCCGGAACCUCCAUUUCUCGUCCCAUCAAUGGGCCUCAUGACGACUUAUUACCAUCCAUACCACAACCCACUCAAGCAAGCCCCGGGCAUUUUGAGUGGCUUGGGCCCACUUAGGCUUGUAGUGUGUUUGGGUGUGAAACAACGAUUUCAUGCUUGGCAUGGCAUGUCGCUUGGCGUGCUUUAAUUUUUUAUUAUCCUUGACGUUUAAUUUUGGCAUGGGCUCGUAGAGCUAGCAUGGUGAAUUAGCAUGGCGCAUGAAUUUCAAUUCGCAUGUGGCAAGUUUUCGAGUACCUCCUUUUUAUGCCUUUUCUUAAUAAAAUGGCGUUUCGGGCUGGUAAUUUAUUUGGGCCCAAUCAUGAAUUUUUUGGGUCUCAACAUUAGCCCCCUUAAUUAUAAGGGCCAUGGGCAGGUGCGGUAAUGGGCCGAAUAAUUAAAACCCAACCCAAAAAAUCAGAUUUGUAUUUUGGAGAACUUCUCUUCUUCCCGCGUGCAAAAUGACGGCGCGUCAUGAUUGGUCCCAUCAGUUACUUGCGGUUUUCCAAUGCCAACCGCCUUCUGCUCUCUCCUUUAUAUUUUUUUCUUUUUUUCUUUUCUUUUCUUUGCCCUUUCUUUCUCUUUUCUCGUACCAGACCCAAAACUCCUCUCCAACUCUUCUCUCUUCAUUCCCUUUCAUCCUCCCACAAACUCAGACCAAGUGAGAGAGUGAAAUCGGGCAAAAAUCACCUGCUUCCAGCCGCUGGGAAAGAGACCCAAGCGAGCCUCAGCCCCAUCGUUCCGCCUCCGUUCAAAGGGAGGUCGUUUGCUGCCGCUGGAAGGGUUCUUCUUCGUGUGGGUUUCUCUUCCAAAACCCCGAUCCUUCUUCUCUCCUUGAUACGUUCAAGAUCAUCGCUUGGAAAAUCCCACGGGGUACACUUCUCUCUUGUUUUCUCUUAAAUUCGUUGGAGAAUUUGUUGGGUCCCUUAUACCCAUGGGUGUUGCUUUCUGUUCUGGCAGCCAAGGACCAAACCCUCUUUCACCCAUUUCGUUACUAUUGCAACGGGAGUGCUUACGGAGUGGGUAUUUGCAAAAAGGGGCUUGUGCUAUUCUCUGAGUUCCUUCUUUCCUCGUUUUGUCUCCUUUUUCGACUGCUGGAAAAAGGGUAUCGACUGGUGGUACGAGUUUCCCCUUCUUCCUCUUUUUCUUGCCCCUAUUUUGUCUUGACUUCUUCUGUGUUUCAUAAAAAAGACUGCUCUUUACAUAAUGUGCCCCUGUUUUCCAUUCUUUAUUCUGUGCAGGUAUUGACUUAUCUGGCAUAACCGAAGAUAGGUGCUGGAAAUUCUGACCUUUCUGCUACCGGAACCUCGAGUGCCUCAACUCUUUAUUCGGGACUCUAAUAUAUCCCUUUGGUAAACAAAUCUGUCAACUUGGGCAUUUUAGGAUAGAUGUAGACUGAUGCUUGGCCUAGGUUUACUCUUGCUUGCAAAGAGAAAUGAUGACAGAACGCAUGCUUUUACAUUGCCUGCGGAUUUCAUACUUCGAGAGGAGACUUGCUUGAAACUUUUGCUUUUGAACUUUUAAAUUGCAUGUUUGCUUGGAUGAGUUCAACUAAACGGGCUUGAUAUAUAUCUUGCAUAUGCUAAUUUUAUCCCGCGUUCUUUCCACCUUCUCGUGUGCAGGUAUUUACCGUCUUCCCAACGGUUGCCAUGUCAUCCGUUGAUCCGUCACCCAUUAUUAGGGAUCACCUUUAUUCCGUGGAGGACAGAUUACAGAGAGGGAGGCCUCCUCCUUUGCUUAAAGGUGCAGAUGAUGACAUAAUUAUUGACGGAGAGCUAGCGCCAGAAGCGACUCCCGUAAUUGAUCCCGCAUCCAUAUCCAGGUGCUGCAUAGAAAAAGGUCUGUUCCCGGCAGUCCCCUUGUUCUUUCAGUAUCCAUGCAGCAUCAGCAAGGGUUGGUCAGAAUGGGUUGACCAUGAGUUGAGAAAUCCGUCCACUUGUGACGUUCUACGUCGGGCAGGGGUGCUGGAUGCCAUCUUCAUUUCUAAAGCUUGCGACAUCCAUAUUGAAGCCAAGAUGCUCCGGCAUGUGGUCAGGUGAUGGAGCGUUGAGACACACACCUUUAUUUGUUCAUGGGGAGAGUUCACUCCCACACUUGAGGAUGUAGCCAAUAUAUUUCAUCUCCCCCUUUGCGGCAGCGUCGAUCCUUUUCAUAUUGCGCUAACUCCUGAAGAAGAACUAAAGCUUGCGGUCUUACGGAAAGGUGCACCGACUUCUCCCAGCACUUCUCUGAGAUUCAGCAACUGGAUUCAGUUUUUUGGGGAUGGGAACCGAAACAAGCCAUGUCAUCUUGCUGCCUUCAUAUCAUUAUGGCUCGGGAGAUUCCUCUUUUGUGAUUUCUCCCAAGACUGCUUACAUGAGAGGGUGUUUCCAUUGGCCUUGGCGAUAGCACGGGGCAGCAUGCUCCCCCUAGCCCCCAUGUUUUUAGGGCAUGUAUACCGCUUGCUGGACCAGAUCCAAUUUCUUGAGAAAGGGGCGGCAGGAACUAUGGCUGUGGAGACCUUUGUGAAUUCCAGCUUUCUGCAGAUCAUCUUGUGGGAGCGCUUCAAAGGGAUAGAGGUAUCCCCACUUCCUUACCCGAAGGCUAAGUCGCUUGUUGGUUCCAGCGAAGGUUCCUAUGUGCCAGAUAGUCUUCCGUUGGUCUGCAGAUGGUCCCGUCGAAUGCAAAGGAAGGGCCAAAAUUUUCUAGAGUUGCUGGAUGACGUUGAGAAAUUCAACUUUCGCCCUUUCUGUGCCUUAUCAGAGGGAUUUAGCAAUGUACCUCUCUACGCCGAUUCUGAUGCUUUGGUAGAGGCCCUGGCAGUACCGGUGCAAGGUUGUCGACUACGCAGAGAGGCGCUGUUAAGUGCUGCAUGCCUCCCUUUGCCCACACUUGGUGACGACCACUUGGAGAUUUCUGUACAUUAUUCCCCUUAUCGGGUCAGACGGCAGCUUGGAUUUGACCAGGGCGCACCUUCCAGCCCCAGCCAUGGAGAUCCUUCGCUACUACAUAGAGUUUUUUGGACCGAGGACAGGGUGCCGGGAGAUGGCAGACCUCUUGCCCUUGCUUUGGCUAACCGGCAGCGUGUCGGUGGUCUCUCAAAGGCCUACCAAAGUUAUUGGAAUCGCUGCUUUGCCUCGUUUAGCCGAUUUCAUGCUGCUCAUUGUGACAGGUUGAUUCCUACCGUCAUUUACCAUGCUCGCCUGGUGUCGGAAGAGAAGGCCAUCUCCCUAAGUGAGAAGCGAAAUCUGCCCUUCAUUUCAAAAAGCGGAGCAAUUGUUGGUGACUUUUCUAGGCUGAGGCAGAAAUUGGAGAGGCUGGUCUCUCAUAGUGCCGGAAGAAGUACCACUCGCGUGAAGCAAAAACGAGAGGAAAGCAGCAGUGUUGAAAGGAAGAAGCGAGCUGUUAGUGAACCUAAAAAGUUCAUUCCCAAAGUAGCAGCAAGUGGCCCCCCUAGCUCAAAAAAGGGUGCCCUCCCGAAGUCUUCACCACGGCAGCAACUUGCAGCUUCUGGCAGCAGCCAACACACAGUGCCAGAAACUGCCUCUCCCAGCCGUAAGUCCUGCUAUUCCUUUGUUCCUUCUUGCUGUAUGUAUUUUAUCAUCAUUCGUUUUUUUUUUUUUUUUUUUUACUUACUUACAGAGACUUCCCAAAACAAAGGCAAAGGUAGAGAAGCUCCCACAAUCUCGAAGCGCCGAAGUAUGCGUAUUCUCCAAUCGAGAUUCGCCAAUACCCACAAGAACAAGGGUGAAGACUCGGGACCCAAGGUAGUGGUAACAGUUGAUGAUAACGAAAGUGAUAUUGUGGAGCUCGAAACUGCCACCUGCGAGCGAAAGAGCGGCAGCUGCGAGCAAGAGAGCAGCAGCCAAGACGAGGACCUUGGUGAAAAUCAGCACCACAACCGUGGCGAAGGUACAUACACAGGCCCCGCCACCUGUUCAGAAGAGUCAGCUGAUCCAGAUAUUCCUACAGGAUUUGCUAACGAUUAUGCGCAGCGUGUUGAUGUUGAAUUAGUACUGAAUCAUUACUUUGCUUGUUUUAUUUGGUGUAGAUAUGUUGUAUGCUUGCCACUGCAUCUCACAAUUCUUGCCUUGCUACGUUCGUGCAGGUUGUGCCCAUUAUUGAAAAUACUGCAGAUCGUCCACCAGAGGCUAUCCUUGAUUUUCCUGCUGCUCCUAUCGACACCACGCAAGCUACCGACGAGGUAUUUGUCGUCGGUUCAUUCUCCUCCAUGUUCUAGUUUUGCUCUUCCUUUCUUGUGCCUUUAAUUAUUCUGUUUAUUUCCCUUCACGCAUAUUUUUUUUUUUUAGAUUGAGAGUGUCCCACCAGGCGCAGGGGCUACACUUCCUACCCACUCCCUUGGGACACCUAGCACUGCUGCCAUCACCACUCUACACCUUCCAGCAGCGCAGCCGUCUGCUCAUUCUUCCUUAAGAACACCCGACACAGCUACCGACACCUCUUCAUGGCUUCCAGCGGCAUUGCCUCUCACUCCUUCUCGCUUGGGCAUACCUGAUGCGGCUGCUGGCACCUCUUCUCAGCUUCCAGCAGCGUUGCCUCUUGGGAAGACCAUUGAUGACAGCCAUAGAGGUGGCAAUGCUUCCAUCAAUGUGGGACAUUUAUCUGAAAAGGACAUGUCUUGGCAAGACUGGGAAAAUUCGUUUAUGGCCUUCAAAGCUUUCUUCGAUGGCGGGGUCACCAUUCUUAGGUCCAUUGACGAGCUCUUUCCGCUCUGCCACAGAUUCAACGGUUAUGCGACAUUCCAAGGUGCCCUUGUGUAUCCAGAGACGGUUGAGGCCUUGAAGAAGUUCAUGGAUAAAUAUGGGAAUUUGAUGGAAGUUACUGGUGUCACCUCCUCCUUCUCAAGGUGUACUGCCUUCCGAGCGCUCGGCUUAGUGCUUCACGGGAUGGACACCAUGCAGCUACUUGAUAUCACUGAUCACAAACUGCUUUGUUGGCGGGACGCGAUAUGCGAGGCCAUAGUUCUAGGCUUUCAUGUGGAUUUCCUUCUUGACCUUGUGAAGAGCUUAGCACGUGCCGUCUUUGGAGCGCGGGCCAUUCAUAGCAUGAAAUCAUCGCGUGGUUCUGAUGAGGUAACAGCUGCUGCCAUUGCCUUGAAUAUUAAACAGCAGGAACUGGAGGACCAGCGUCGGGAAAUGCACGCCCUUCUUCUCGCCAAGGGUAUUUCUGCUGACAACGCUGAGUGCGUGACAGAGGCAGCAGCUAGAUCGUCUUCUAGAGCCUCUUCUGUUCUUUUCAGGCAUUCUCCAUAGCUUUUAAGGUAAAUAUAUAUAUAAAUUUUUUUUUCAAUUUGUUUAUUCAUCGAUCUUCUCCUUCCAGCAUCACUCGGUCUUGACAUGUUCUCUUCCUUUUUGCAGGUUGUCCUUUCUUGGCUUGGUGCUCCAUCAUCUCAGCGCACACUUUCUCGAGACCAUGGGACAUACCCCUUUCCAGCACGUGCAGUUUUAUUUCAUUUUGCCAUAAUUGUGUAUUUUCCUUCGAUUGUUCCAGCAACCAUGACCUUGUGAUGUAAUAUUGAACCGCUAAAGCUUGUAUUAUUUUCUGGAUGCUUUGAGACACAUUGUAACCCGCAUGCUUUAUAUAUAUUGCUUGAUUAGACGUAAAUUGCCUCUGCGAGUUUGCUUGAGAUUUUCUGACAGGUUGGGUAUCUUUUGAAAACAAGGUAUAUGCUGCCAAAAUUUUGACAGGAGCCGACUUUCUAAAGUUUCCUCUGCAUGGUUUAUCUAGCCUCUAAGCUUGAAUAGCAACUUCUUGCCUUUCACGAAAAGAGUCGGGCUAGCAUGUGCAUGAUUUUAUAAAACUCCCAAAUGUUAUGCGUAUCACGUUGUUCCAGCACCUCAAGAUUGCAUGUGUUUUUUUUUUUUGUAAUAGCUUGACUUCGUCUUCCUUGUAUUAUUCUUUUCUGUUUAGGCAUGGUAAUUGUUGACAAUUUAGGACCCCAUUCAAGUGGCUUUGUUUGGCAUGUUCUACUGCUAAGUGCAUGCCCCUCCUUUUUUUCAAAAUAUUCCUUCAUUCUCAUUGCAAAGCCCCUGCUACCAUGAUGGUGCAUCAUACAAAAGCGUCUUUUCAAAAAAUGAAAGUAAGACAGAAGGAAUUCAUCUUUUUUUUAAAAAAUACGAUAGUAAAAGGUGCUGGGAAUGAAGUUAACUUAGCAGUAGUAAAGCUUGAGCCACUUUCCAUUAAUGAGAUCCGUUAGCGUGCCUUCCUUGACAGAGACCAAGCGAUAAUAGCCGCUGCUGUAAACUUCCUUGACUGCAAACGGGCCUUCCCAUUGUGGGGCAAACUUGGAAGGCCCCGAUAUCUGUCUUCUUACAUGCUCCAUAACUUUUAGCACGAGGUCUCCCUCUUUGAAGGCACGAGGCUUGACUGUCCUGUUAUAGGCUCGAGUUACAGUUUCGUGGUAGAGUGAUGUCCUCCUUUCUGCUUCAGCUCUUUUUUCAUCCAAGGCUUCAAGGUCCAGCAGGCGCCAAUCUGAGCAUGCCACUGCAUUCCACUCGAGAUCAUUAACGGCUGAUACUCUAGCGGUGGGAAUGGUAAUUUCGACAGGCGAUAUAGCGUCGGACCCAUAGACAAGUGAAUAGGGUGAAAAGCCUGUGGCGCUUCUUGGAAAGGUGCGGUAAGCCCAUAAGGCAUCCGGCAGGUGAACACUCCAACCUCCUUCGUACUCAUGCACCAUUUUGCUUAGGAUUCUCAACAAAGUUUUAUUCGUGGCUUCCGCUUAACCAUUUCCUUGUGGGUAAUAGGGCGUGGAGCGUCGAUGCUUGACACCAUAUCCACUAAGCGUAGAACUUACUUGCUUAUUGACAAACGGAGUGCCAUUGUCGGUGACAAUUUUAUACGGGAUCCCAAAUCUGCAUACAAUAUAUUCACGGAUAAAAUUUGCAAUGGCAGCUCCCGUGGCCUUUCGAAGAGGGACUGCCUCAACCCACUUUGUGAAAUACUCAGUGGCUAUGAGGAUCCAUAUGUAGCCGUCGGACGGUGGGUGAAUAGUGCCGAUCAAGUCAAGCCCCCAAGUGUGAAAGGGCCAAGGAGUACGCAUGUCCUGCAGCAGCGUGGGAGGCUUGUGACUCAAAUUGGCAUGAACUUGGCAUGUGUGGCAUUUCUUCACAAAAUUGUAUGCGUCGUUCUUCAUUGUAGGCCAAUAAUACCCAAUACUCAACAGCUGCCGGUAAAGCUACUUCAUUCCUUGAUGCUCACCACAUUCUCCAGCAUGAAUUUCUUGCAUAACUUGCUGUGCCUCUGAUUCUCCUAAGCAUUUUAAUGGCUCACCAUUGAAUCCUUUACGGUAGAGGGUCGACCCAUCUAUGAAAUAUCUUCUCAUUGUCUUUUUGAGCUUGCGAGCAUGCUUAGGAUUGGUUGGGAGGGCUCCAUUGAUGAAGGAUGCCAAGUAUGGAGCCCUCCAAUCCUCUGUAAACGAGAUGGUGAAUGAUUCUUCGGUGGAGGGCAUCGUUGCACACUUGGGACAAUUAGCUUGUGUUUCAGCUGCUUGUUUUCUCAUCUCUGGCCAGUAAUAACCCUUGCGUUGCAAACGUCGAUACAAGCUGAUUAUUGGUUCCAAAUUGCAAGUGGCCUCAUGUACUUCUUGGAGCUUCACUCGUGCCUCUGUUGUCCCUAUGCAGCGGGUCAAAAUACCUCCUGGAAGGCGCCUGUACAGCUCCUCAAAGAUGAUCACAUAAUCUUUUAACUCCUUGAUAUCACUUCCCUUACCUAUUUUUUCUUUUACAGACCUUCUCCAGUCAUUCUCCUCUAGCUGCUCCACUUCAACCAUUACUUCUAUCACUGGCAUAUCCUUCUUGAUCACAGUAAUGCUGGGUUGUCCCUCAACAAAUGAGAGCUUUGACCCCAAAGUAGCCAAUGCGUCAGCGUACCUAUUGGUAACCCCCGGAAUAUGUUCCAACACUACUUGUUUGAAAGACUGAACAAGCCUCUCAGCAACUGUACGAUAUGGCGCCAAUGUUGAUUCCUUCACGGCAAAAUUCCCUUGCAAUUGACUCAGCACCAGAUUCGAGUCUCCGAUAACUUUAAUUUUCUCUACACCCAUUUCCCUUGCUGUGGACAUUCCCAUGAUAAAAGCUUCAUACUCCGCCAUAUUAUUUGUGCAGGGAAAAUUCAGCUUGAAUGAGAGGGCUGUAGCUUGCCCUUCAGGAUUAAUGAGCACUACACCUGCUCCUCCACCCUUCAUUGUGGAGGACCCAUCGAAAUAAAGAGUCCAUGGUUCUGCUUUCGUGACGAUAGCAAUCAUUUCCGGCAGUUCCCCCGGAACUUCCUGAGAGAUAGUUGAUCCUUCGACUUCAGGAAAUAAAGCCAGCAUGUCAAUCACGGCUUGUCCUUUGAUUGCCUUAGGAGUGGUGCAUGUGAUAUCGAAUUCGGACAACUGUAACAACCAACGCGCAAGACGUCCCGAUAAUACCGGCCUCGUGAGCAAAUAUCUUACGGGGUCAGGUUUCACUAUGAGCUGUAACUUGUGAGCAAGGAAGUAAUGUCGCAAGCGCUGUACAGCAUAGACAAGAGCGAGGCACAAGAGUUCCGUCUUCGGGUAUCUUGCUUUAGCUCCUCUUAGUUGCCUGCUCACAUAAUAAAUAGGACUUUCCUCUCCACUGUGAUCAUCUUGAGCAAGCAAGGCCCCUACUGCUGUGUUUGUUGCGGCCAAGUAAAGUUUGAGUGCGAGUCCCGGAAUAGGAGCUCUCAUGGUGGGCAGCUUAGUGAUUAUUUGCUGCACUUGCUCAUAGGCCUCUUGACACUUCCUGCUCCAUUCGUAUGGCUUACCCUUUUUGAGCAAGGGAGUAAAAACACUCAUAGUGGCGGCAAGGCCCGGAAUGAAGCGUCGAAUAUACGAUAAUCUUCCCAUGAAGCUUUUUAAUUCUUUUGAAUUUCUAGGUGGCACAAGAGAAUUUAUGGCUCUAGUUUUCUCGGGAUCCACAUCUAUGCCACGCUGGUGUACUUGGAAUCCCAAGAAUUUACCGGAUGACACUCCGAAUGCGCAUUUCUUUGGAUUCACCUUCAAUCCGUACAGCCGGCAUCUUUCCAGCACCCUCCUCAAAACUUCUUGAUGGCCUUCUCUGGUUUUGGACUUCACCACAAGAUCAUCCACAUAAUCUUCGACUUCUUUCCCCAUCAUAUCGUGAAACACUGCUGUCAUGGCUCUUUGAUAGGUAGCGCCAGCAUUUUUUAGACCAAACGGCAUGACGGUGUAAUAAAAAUUCCCAUAUGGCGUUCGAAAGGCUGUUUUCUCCGCAUCUUUGGGUGACAUUUUGAUCUGAUUGUAGCCACUAAACCCAUCCAUGAAUGACAGCAUGCCUUGACCCGAGGUCGAAUCGAUCAAGAUAUCCAUGUUGGGAAGCGGAAAUUCAUCCUUUGGACAAGCUCGGUUGAGAUCUCGGUAGUCCGUGCAUAUUCUAAUUACUCCGGUCUUCUUUUUCACAGGAACAAUAUUUGCUAUCCACGUUGGAUGCUUGAUUGGCUUGAUGAAUCCAGCAGCUAACAGCUUCUCAAUUUCCACCUUAAUUUGCUUUUCAAUCUCAGGAUGAAAGUUUCUCCUCAGCUGCACAACAGGUUUUGUACCAAGCUCAAUAUUCAAAGUAUGACUUACCAAGCUUGGAUUUAAGCCAGGCAUUUCCUCGUAGCUCCAAGCAAACACAUCCCGAAAUUCCUUCAACAAAGAUACCAAAGCCUCCUUCUCUUCGUUUGUCAAAUGGAUGCUGAUGGAGAUGGGCCUCGGGGCAAAGGAAUCAUCACUUAAAUCAAUUGUCUCCAGCUGCUCAGCUACCGCUGUUGAUCCAUCCUAUAUGUUCUUAGGUGCUGUCAUUGGUUCCUGGAAAGUACAAGGCUGGGGCGCCUGGUCUUCUCGAUUUUCCUGGCUGUUUGCUUGCAUUGCUUCUCCUCCGUACUCGGGGCUUUCCCGUAGAAUACGGUUAAGCCCCCAAUCCCGUCAUAAGCGAUACACGGUGCGCCCAUCUGGCAGCGUCACUUUUGUGCAUUGGGGAUGAUGGUGGACAUGAUUAUUAGUUUCCGGAUGCUUCUUUUUUUCUCGGUCAAUGAUAGCGAUAAGCUCUUCAUUGCUUAAAUCACGAAUCUCAGUCCACGAAGGAAGGUAGAUCCCGAAAUUUUUUGAUCGGUUGCUUCCAGUACCUGUGCACUCAGUAUAAAACUCUGCCUCGGAGUAGUGAGCUUCAUCUUUAUUGAAUGGUGCUUGAUUUCCGGGUAUGCGUACUGGUCUCAGCCCAAUUCUCCCCUUCACACAUUGGUGAUAAGUAGAGACUACAAGCUUAUGCUUGUUGAGCCAAGGCCUUCCAAGCAAAGCAUGGUAAGCCACAUCCACGUCCACAACAUAAAAUUUAGUAAGUGCUCGAAUCGGUCCCACCUUCAGAUUUACUUGCAUAUACCCGACUGUGACUUCACUUUUAUUCCCGAAACCGCUGAUGCUUGUUUGAGAUUGCACGAUCUUAGAUAGCGGAAUGCCAGCUGCUGUAAGCACAGAUAGGGGUAAAAUAUUGACAGAGGAACCUGUGUCUACCAAGGCUCUCCUUAUAAACACAUCGUUGAUCUGCCCCUCCAAAUAAAGCGGCCUCCUGUGGUCCGGGUAAGGAACUUCCAUAUCCUCGUCUGUGAAGAUGAUAGCAUUGUCAUUUCCCAAAAAUGAACUUUGUGGUUGAACAGUGAAGCAAUGAGGGUCAGAUGCCGCAGAGAUGCUCAUGAGAGCUACAACAGCUGCUUCUCUUGCUUGAGGCCCAAAGCCAAGUUGGUCAAAGAGUGACUUGAACUUUGGGUUCCUUUGGAGGGCCUGUGAAGCUGUGGGCCCCUGUUUCAGACUUAGGUAACGUCCCAACAUGCUUGCUUCAGCCUCCGUAACAUUGUGAAAUGUUACGGCAGCUACUUCCUGCUGUCCCAAUGAAGCCCCCGAGUAGCAAUCUUCCGGCAUGUCUUGAACAAACAUCUGAUUACUUGAGUCGUCAUCCCAUCCAUCAGCGAGCGGCCAUGGCGUGUUAUAACUUGAAGGCUUCGAAUAUUUGCACCAGUACGCCUUCUCCAUGUUCCCGCAAGGUUCCCACAUAGCUUCCGGCGGCUUCGGGUCAUUCCUCCAUGGGUGGCACAAUUCAUCAUCAUCGAGUAAAUCCUCGGAAUAUGUAAUGACAGCAGCUACCUCUUUGCCCCUUCGUUUCGGCAAGGGGUCCUCAUCAAUUGUUUGCUUCCUAGAAGGGAGCUCAAGAACUCCUUCAUUUAUUUUAGCAUGUAAAAUCCUUCUUAGACUCUGACAGGCAGUAGUUGGAUGCCCCACAAAUUGAUGAUAACGGCAGUACCUAGGAUCAUUCUUCUCCUCCAUAGUAGGAAUUUUGUAGGGUUUAAGAGGUUUGAUCGCGCCGUCAGCAAUCAUUGUAUCAAGGAUGGCAUGAAACUCUUCAUCCUUACAUGGUAGCGGCGGAUAUGUCUCCCUAUCCUUCCGUUUGCGUGAGUUGUAGUCGUUGGAUGGUUUAUCAUCUAUGGCUAAUGUUUGGUGUGCCUCUUUCCUAUCGCUCCUCCAAGUCUUCGCUGGCUUGACAGACAUGCUCGUCCUUCUUACUGCUUCCAGCAGCCGAGAAAAUUGACUAAUGCCAAUAUUCUCCAAAUAGACUCUGUAAUCUGCCACAAUAUUGCUGAUGCAAAUUUCGACAAGUGCCUCCUCAUCCUUUUCAUCAUAGCAAUCCAACGCCAGGUCCCGGAACCUACGCACAAAGUCCACGGGAUCCUCACCAUGUUUUUGGCGAGUGUUAUUGAGUUGAGUGGUGGUAACCCUUUCUUCAUUCUGAGAAUACUUCUUGCAGAACUUGCUUGCCAAAUCCUCCCAAGAGCGAAUGGAGCCUGGUGCCAACGUCGUAUACCAUGUGUAAGCACGAUCGGUAAGACUCUUCGAAAAUUCUCUAAGUCGGAGAUUAUAAUCUCCAGCAUGUGGCCCUAAAGCAUCGAUGAAGCGGCUGACAUGCUCCUUCGGGCUCCCCUUCCUUCCAUCGAAGAGAACAAAGUUCGGUGCCUCAUAGCCCUUAGGAUAGGGCUGCUGGAGUAAGCUUGAUGGGUAUGGUGGCUGAGGAAGAUACUUCCAAUCCUCCUGACUCCGACUCAGCUCCUUUUCCAGCAUGGCAACGACAUCUUCUUGGGUGACAAAGGAUGGUCCCUUUUGUUCAGACCCCUUUCCGGCAGCAGCAGCAGAUUCCUCUUGCGGGUGUCUCUCAUUUUCUUCGCUUGGCUUAGCAGCACUUUUCAGCCCCUUAAUAGUUUCCGCCAUUUCUCUCUGAGUCUCUCCCAAAGCAUGGAUGGCUGUAACAAGGUCUGCGAGAGUGAAAGCUCCCUCACUUGCACGUUCCUCUCCUCUGGAUGAGGCAUCGUCCCUUGAUUCUGAAUCACCAUGGCUAGGCCCAUCUUGGGAAGUCAUGUUGUUGCUUCUGGUCCUCCUCUUUGGAGGCAUUGGUGAAGAUAGUGGCUUAAUCCCCAGCAGAGUCGCCAAUUUAUGUGGGGGUCUUUUUCUUCCAGCAGCUGUAAAUGGGCUGGGCUGCCAGAAAAGGGAAAUUACUGAAAUUGCCCCCUGUGCUUGAGUUCGAAGAUCAAGCCCCAAAAGCACUUCGAAAGGGCAGCAAAACCUUAGGAAGUGUUCUGGUUACCUUCACCAAUGAAAAUGAGGGCUGCUUACAGGUGUUUUGUGCUUGCUUUCAGAUAAGAUUUUGGCUUAACAUGAAGAGCUUGUGGCAUGGGAGCAGGGUCAGCAUGAGUUGAGCACCAAAGGGGAAAAUAAGGCUUCUUAAGGAGAAGUGUGAGUGUUUAAACUGAGGGAAACCAGAUUUGCAUGGUGAUCUUGGCUGGAAGGAGGUAAAAGAUGAACAUCGCUUCUUCCGGCAGCUUGACAGAUUCUGAAAAUAAUCUAUCAAGCAGAGCAGAAUGAAGAAGAAGAGGUGAACAAGGUUACUGGAUUUUGCUAGUAAGAGAGGAAGCUUGCUCUCUCAGCCUGGGUUGGUUUUUGCUGGGUGGAGGGGACCUCCUUUUAUAGCUGCGGGAAACUAUCCUUUCCCAAGAAACCCUAAUGGUUUCUUCCCAAUCUUGGCAAGUCUUUCCAUCCUUUUUCCUUCUCUUCUCUUGACUUUCCUAUCUGGGUGAGAUUUCCCCUUAUCUAUUUGCACAAAAUCAGGAGUUUUGGAGCUCAAGACCCCUUUUCCCGCGGCUGCUUCAGUAGGAAGCUCCACUCUUGGCUACUUUUCUUCUUCUUUCCCUUCUCCUUCCUGGGCCAGCACAGAUAAGGGAAAACAACUGGGUGUAUAUGCUGGUUUGAAAGGGUACUCCUCUUCCUGACAACUUACAUGCUAAUAUCCCUUGGUCUCUCUAGUGUUUUGUUUUGGGACUUGAUCCAUUCCCAUGUGCUGGCACUUUCCACCAGCUCUGUUCAGUGAACCUGUAGACCUCCUCGACGUGGCUUCUACUUUUCUAAAGGGCUGAGGCUUUUGUGGCUUGUUGUGGAAUUUUGUAUGGGCUAAGGUAUUUCAUUAAAUAAGUGGGCUAUUUAAACAUUGGGCUUUUGGUUGGGCUAUCCUUUGACUGGGCUAAUUUUGGUUGGGUUAUUUUGAUUGAGUUAUUUUCCCCUCUUUGCUCACCCAUAUAUUUGGGCCUAAGAAAUGGGCUUGGGUCCCGAGGCUCCCAAGCAACCCGGAACCUCCAUUUCUCGUCCCAUCAAUGGGCCUCAUGACGACUUAUUACCAUCCAUACCACAACCCACUCAAGCAAGCCCCGGGCAUUUUGAGUGGCUUGGGCCCACUUAGGCUUGUAGUGUGUUUGGGUGUGAAACAACGAUUUCAUGCUUGGCAUGGCAUGUCGCUUGGCGUGCUUUAAUUUUUUAUUAUCCUUGACGUUUAAUUUUGGCAUGGGCUCGUAGAGCUAGCAUGGUGAAUUAGCAUGGCGCAUGAAUUUCAAUUCGCAUGUGGCAAGUUUUCGAGUACCUCCUUUUUAUGCCUUUUCUUAAUAAAAUGGCGUUUCGGGCUGGUAAUUUAUUUGGGCCCAAUCAUGAAUUUUUUGGGUCUCAACACUGAGUGACCGAAAUUGGCGAGUCCAUGAUACACCAAUCAAUGGCCGAUUUCUGAAGAAAUAUUACCCUACGGCUUGGGAGAUAAUGGAGAAGUAAUCUACCAGAACAUUUGGGUUUGGUAAGGUUAGGUUUUUACAUGAAUAAGAUAUUUGAAGUAAAGUAAAAAAGAAUAACCAGAGCAACAUCGUAUAUAUAGAUAUGUCAAAUAAGUUCUCUACAAAAUAGGCCAAGUAAUGGCCAAAACAUUCAUCAAAAUAGACAAAAGCUAGCUCCAUCAUAUAUGAUGACAACAAAAGGUAAGUCUAGCUGGAUAUAAAAAAGGCCAACUAAUGGCCUAAUACAUAUCUAAACAUCAGGAAACAGGCUACGAAGAGUAGUCUUGAAGCUCUCACAUGCGCUCUCUCCAGCAGAUAAGGCAGAUAUGAUGGGUAGCUUCCUCGCCUCAAAUGACUUCACUACAACUGAGUCCUGGAGAAGCUGAGCCUCAAGAGGCCCAUAACUCCGAAUAUCCUUGGAGACCUCGAUGAGAAUGGCAGCCUUCCUUUCCUGAAGUUGCCUGAUCUGCUCAUCAAUACUCUAAACCUCGUGCCUCUUCUUACGGUCAAGCUCGACCUUUUGCCUAAUAAUGACACUUGUCGAAGCAAUCUGCUGCUUUAAGGCCUCACCUACCCUUAGCUCCUCUCGAAGGGAAGGAUGGCAGGGAAUCAAUCUCGCCACCUCUCCAAAGAGAUGCAUGAUCAUACGUAUCGUAGUCUGGUCAGGAAAGAAGCUGGAGUUCACCAAUGACUCAAUAGCAGCUUUGACCUUGUCUCUCUCAUCCUGGUCGGCCAAGGAUAUGCAAUCUCGAUCUCUGUAGGACCGAAGCAGGGCCUCAGCUGCAGGAUCUGGAAGUACCACAGCCACAGUUAAAGAAGUGGCAUGACGAGUGGAAGCCUCCGCAGUAGUGGCAGAAGCAUCCCACUGAUCGAGAUAAGCAAAGAUGUCGCCAGGGGCCUGCCAAUUAGAUUAUAUGAAUAUCAGAAUUUCCAAAUUAUGGAAAAAUGAAUCAAAUGGAUUGGCAAGUGUGCUUACAUGGUCCAGAAGCGACUGAAUAAGGUCAUCUUGGUUUGUCGAUGAUGGUUGCUCGCUGCCACUCUCAACCAAAGCUCUAGCUGUAAAUGCCCGAACGGAAGAAAGAUCGGGCAUAAUAGGUUCUCCAACCUAGCAUGGGAUCAGAUGGGUUAGGAUAAUAUUUAAACAUUGAAAAGAAAGAUGUCAAGACAUCCCUCAUGUUGCUGAUCUGUCAGAAUAGGUGUGGACACAUCCGAUGACGGUUGAGGGAUCCGUGAUACAGGCUCAUCGCUCAAUGUGACUGGGAUGGCCGGAAGUACACCAUUGACAUUGGCCGUCUGAUUGGCCGAAGUGGUCUGAUGAUCCACAACAUUCACCAAAGUGAGAAAAUAUAAAUUUUUGAAAAACUUUGAAAAAUGUAAAAAUAAUGAAGUAUGUGAGAUUACCUGAAGAAUUUGAACAUCUGUGGAAUGGUCGGUCGGGUCUGGGGAUCUGAGGACUGAUCUGGUAAAAUUUGAACUUCCUCUCUAACUGUCGUAGGGUUAACCGGGGUGGUCUCGAGACUAAGAGAAACCACCCAAAAUGGUCAAAGUUUUAAUAAUAGGACUGGGGGCAGGUUAUCGUAUAUAAAAAUUGGAUGUAAUUGAGAUUCCAAGAUUACCUGAUGAUCUGGAAUGUGAGACGGGUCAUCAAUGACUCCGCGAUCAACCUCGCGACUUCCUGAUGGCUGGGUGACUUGUUGAGGCUCGGCCAUGACGACGUCUGGGUUGGUGGAAGGGUUGACACCGAUAACCUCCGUCUGAAGUUGCCAAACAAAAUUUAAAUAAAUAUAAAUAUAAAAAAUCUAAGUAUGGAAAUUAGACCGAGAUGGGCCAAAGAAGCUUACCUCAACUUCAGCCUCAGAAGUAGCGGUCUGUCCACCAACUUCAGUCUCAAAUAUGGGAUUUCGAAAUUCCUACAUUUAAACCACAAGUUAUAAAUAAAUAAAUAAAUAAUAAAUAAUAAUAAAUAAAACUAGGAAUAAAGUUGGAAAUGUAAUGAAAAUGAAACUUACCGAAAUGGUCGAAGAAGAAACGGCUGAGUGAGUGGGAUUGGGUUGCUCUACUAUCCUACUCGAGCCUAUAAGGCCAAAGUCUUAUUAUUAUUCCAAAAAAAAAAAUACGAUCAUACCUGGGGACAUUGGGUUCCUAGAGAUCUUUCUCGGUCGAGCAAGGAUGAUGUCAUCGGCUGGUGGAAUCUCAACAACGUAGCCGGAGGAGUUCUAAUCCUCCCCAAAAUCUGGAAGAAAGCAUCAGAAAUGUUAGCUUCUAAAAAAUCCAAGAUUAAAUAGGAAAUGGCCAAAAGUCCAACAAAAGUUGGCUUACCUUGGGUGGAAGGAAGUGGCCUCUCCUCACCUUGACUAUGACUAGAGUCGGCACUCGCCUCUUUUGUGGCUGCAAGAGGUGAAGAUAUUGGUAGACUAAUAAGACUAGCAUAUAAAAUAUAAAGUGAUGACUAAAAGUUUACCUUGCUUAAAAUUGUAAUAAGUAGAAGAGCAAGCGCAACCCCAGAAGAUCCUCUUCAUAUAGACCUCAGAAGGUUGGGAAAACCAAGUGGCUGAUAUUUCCCCCCACCAAGCCUUGAAGGAUUUGGUGAAGCCAAAUUCAGGGUCGCUGGUCUGGAAGUUAAAGCUCAUGAUUAAAGUUCACCACGGAAUUCACCUCGCUUGCUUUAUUAAAAGAUACUCUCUAUGAGGAAAAAUAAUUGUGGGAGUCAACCAUGAGAGAUGGAAUACCCUGAAUAAAACCCGUCUGACGACCAACGGCAACAAGAUAGUAAACCUCACAACCGCAAGGAUAAUGGUUCGCUUUGUUCAAUGCAAGGCCAUAAGGAAGAUCUUGACUGAUUAAGAUACUUGCCCAAAGUUCUCACCGUUCUUCCUUGGUCUCCAGUGUGGGGAUGCUGGCAAGGUCCAAAGCCAAAUAACCUGGGUAACGAUGAUCUAAGCACAUGGAUAAGUCACUAGGUGACCUCUGUGAACAUCCAUAGAAAAAUCUGAAGCAGUCCUCAACAUGGUGUUUAGGCAACGGGAGGCUAGCAAUCGAUUUUCCUAGAAGUGAGUCACCCCGAAAUGUGACGUUGGCUAGACCCAACUCCGGGAAGUAAACUUGGGGCCACAGUUGAAAAAGCCAAAUCGGGCCUAAAGGGUUGCAUGACAUGGGUUUGGGCAAAACAACCAAGGCCACUGCUUGGCCAUCUGCAAGAGCCUCAGCCAAAGGUUGGACUUCUUUGGUGACUUGGCUAGAUUUUGAGCAAGUCAAGAAUUUGCAUAGUCACAUCUGAAGAAAGGCUAUGUGCUUCAUGUAAGACACACCAUUUGUGGAACCUAUCGGAGCCCCAAAAGAUGACCCGAUGUAGCCAAAGUGGGUUUUGAUCCAGUUGGUGAAAUUCUUGUUGGGCUUGUCGUAGUCCGGCUUCAAAAGGGGUUCUGGAAGGUCGGCCGCUGAAUAAACCACACCAUGUGGACGGAGGCCAACAAUAGCAGCCAGAUCAAGUAGAGCAGGGGUCAUCAUCCCACAAUGUAACCUCAUGCAGUUAACGGAGGAUGACCAAAAACAUAGGCCUGCGAUGAUGAGUGAACAAUCACAAGGAAAGUCCCCGGAGGUGCAAAGAGCCAAGACAUCAUAGAUCACACUUUUUUGCCAAGAAGUCUUUAGUCUUGGUUCCAAAGCUUUGUACCAAUCAUACCAAUUUUUCUUAGGAUCAACAUCGGCCACUGGGUUGGGUUUCUUGGCUUUGGACUUCUUCUUAGCCACACAAUCAACCUCAGAAGUUUUGCAUGGCCAACCUUUAAAAGGUCGAAGAGCUUCCCAUGUUGAUUUCCAAUCAAACUCCAUGGUGAAAGGCGGAGGAUCAUCACUUUGCUUGGCCCAAAUCUUCACCACUUCAUCUGGAGGUUGAAGUGGGUACAAAGGGCAAAGGACGUAUCUUGGGACAUCACCUUGUAAUUUGAUGGCGUAGCUUCCUCGGGUUGUUGUUCACUUUCAGCCAUGGCCUUUUUCAACUUGGCCAAGUGAGAGAUGAUGGACUUCAACUCUGGAUCCAUCCUACAAAACAAAUAUUAUUUGAAUCAAGAAAACUAUAGUGGCAAAAAGCGGAAAUUUGCCAAGAACAUGAAGAACAUUCAAACUUUCAAAAGUUUAAAAAAUGAGCUUCCAAUGGCCACCAUUCAUCAAAAUCACAAUAAUAUCAACCGGAAAAGAGUUCAACAUACUUGAAAACUCACAAAAUAAUGGACUUUGUGGUGAUUUGAAUGGCUCUUUGGCCUAUCAAAUGGCGAAUCUUGGAAGCAAAGUUUAGGUUUGGUGGGAGAAAGUUUUCUAAGAACAAUGGCAAUGGAGUUUUGAGUAUGGAGAAAUGUUUGGUGCCAAAUUGGUAUUUAUAAUGCCUAGGUUUUCUAACGGAUAUGAAGUUCAAAGUCUCUCAAGAGUUGAUUAGAGUAUCUUCUUAAACAUCAAUUUAACUCAAGAGUUGCUAUAAUGAAGCAUGAAGUUGAAACAUUUGGAGAAAACUAAAAGUCGUGAGAAUUUUGAUUCACUUAUCCUUUCACCAAUUGAAGGCCAAGGAAUCAAGGGGGCAAUGUUUGGAUGUGGUCACCAAAUUCAAACUAAGUCAAGUGGAAACCUAAAGGCCUAGCCAAAACAAAGAUAUUGUUAUUUAUAAUAGCAAUAGUCAAAUAAUGAAUAAAUUGAAUGGCAAGAUCUACAAUAGCAGCUAGAAUGGUGAAGGAAAAAUUGAUUACCUGAGUUGAGCUUUUAGCAAGAUGAUUUCUGAGUUUCCAGAAAUAAACAGUUGGCUGGAAGGUUGUUGAGUUUCCAGAAAUGAACAGUUAGCUGGAAUUUUAGAAUUAUGGGCGUAGGAAUAGACCAUAAAGAUCUUUUGAAAUGCAAGGCCAAGGUUGGCCCACGUCCUUUGGUUGAAAAGUUGGCUACUGAAUGCCAACUUUAUGCAGAUCAUUGUUGGUCUAUAGCUAUUGUACAAUUCAUAUAUAUAUAUAUAUAUAUAUAUAUUAUAUUGUAUUAUAAACAGUAUAUGGUUUUGAUCCCACACGAUGGCAUGAUAUGGUUUAUGUAUACUGCUGACCCGAAAAGUUAUAUAUAUUAUAUUAUAUAUAUAUAAUAUUAGUAUAAACCAAAAAGAAGGUUUUGAACCCAUCUGAAGGAUUGGUUUUGUUUUAAUGAUGAUUGUGAAGAUGGCCAAGUAGUUCGCUGGCUGGAUCGAAGUCAAGGCCGUGGCUUUUCAUGUCAGUGAGUUGGCUGGAGAAUGGAAGUCUUGGCUGACGAGAUGGUUUGGACAUGAGAGAACCCAUGUGGGUUUACCUUGGUAUUCUCAAACUUGGUUCAAAUUGGCAUGGGUAUUAAAAAGCUGUGAGCAAUAUAUAUGUUGCAUAUCAUACUUUGUAUAUGUAUGUGAUAAUAUAGUAAAUUGAAGGCCUAUGGCUCGAGAGGUUGGGGACAAAAAUGGAAGGCCAACUAAGUGGCCUACAAACUCCCUUUCUCUACCUAAAUAUAUUUAUAUAUGACAAUAUUGGCAUCUUAACAUAUAAUUAUUUUUUCAUAUAUAUAUAUAUAUUAAAAAUUAAGAAGUCAUGUAGACCUUAGCCAAGUUUCUUUGAUGGACUUAUUGGAAUUUCAAGUCAUCCAACAUCAGUGGAUUGUUUCCAACCAAGAUUAAAACUCUGGAACUUGCAACAUCUCAUCAGAGGUCAAGCCCAAGUCCUCGGAAGUCCAAGCCCAACUCACAGAAGCAGAUCCAACACUUUUAAAUGUUUUCAUUCACGUGAUGAGACCCAUCCAAGGAAAGCAAUCAAAGAGAAUAAUGUAAAUCCGGAACAUUCCCAAGAAGGAGAGAAUCAAGUGAUCAGAUUUGCAAUAUAAUGAUCUCAUUCAAAUCAAUUCCGCGAAUUUAGGAAGCCACACAAGGAAAGAUUUUGAACCAAGUUGACCUUCGGCCAUUUAAUGGCCAGCCCGUGGGCUGACGAAUGCCCCUAUAUAAACUACAUCAGACAAAGAGCAAAGGACCCCCGACAUUAGACACAAAAACUACUUUUUGUCUUUCAAUUUUCUAUCCCUAGACUAGGUUUUUGUUUUCCAAGCAAGUAGACUAGAUCAGUUCUUCACUUUCGUUAGUGUAAGUUUAAUUUCUUGUAUUUUCCAUUACGUUGUUUUAAGAUUCAAUUUUAUCGCUUUAUUGUUAAUUGUUAUCGAAUUUGCUUUAAGCUUAAUUUAAUUUCAAAUUGCUUUAUUUUAUUGCCUUUAUCAUUUAUAUCCUUUUUUUUUCUUCGCUUAAUUUAUCUAUCGCUUUGAUUUACUUUGUCGCACUUCAAUUCUCGUCUUUAAGUUUGAUCGCAUAUUUUAAUUUAAUUUGCAUCGUUAUCAUUAAAAGUCUCAAAAAUACUAAAAUAUCUAUACGAAACCUAACCAUCCUUGACCCCGAGGAAGUGAAAGAACCUAGGCCAAGAGGAGGUUCCUUGCUUGGUUGAUCAAUCCUCUAGUUAGAAGUCAGAAGUGCAAACACAACAAUCCAACCUUUUCCAUUCAAGCUAGUCAGUGGCUUGGUGGUGGCACGCCUACGCAAUCUAAAAGAAGAAGGACCAAAAACUUCUUCAAUCGACCUACCCGGCCGAAAAGAGAGAAACACCAUGUCAAUUGCUUUAGUAUAAGAUUAGUGGUUGGUUCUAAAGAAUCUUACAAAGUCUUCUCUUUCACUGUGGAAUUAACCAAGUCAAGUCCUUCAAAGUUGCAUAAAUUCAGCUCCCAAGGUCAUCACCAAUGCGUGUGCUUUGCAAGUUGUAUAUAUGAUUAUACUGCAAUUCCAUUCAUUGUAAAGACAAGUAUUCAUAAAUACAUUAUUAAAUUUCCACCUAAGCUCUUACCAAAUUAUUAGAUUUCCAUCUAAGAGGGGUGGCUGCAAGAGAGCAAAAACUAAGUAUCGAAGGCACCGAUACGGUAUCAACAGAAGACCCUCCAACACUUAAAAGAGUUGUUUUGUAGGUCUCAGCCUCAAUAUUAAUAAAUGUUGUAGCAUGGUAGAUGGACCUGAUAAACGGGUCAUGCUAACAGGUUUCGGGUCAUGUUUGUGUCAACCCGUUAACUUGAAGUGUUAACACGACACGACUCGUUAAGUUAACGGGUGACAAAUACUAGACCCAAAUACGAACCGUUACAAUUCGCGAAUAUCCGACACGACCCGUUAAGAAUAAACCCGGAAAAUAAAAACCAACAACUAUCACCGAGCUUAGCCAUCAACCCCUUCUCUCUGCCGUCUCCCCCAAAUAUUCAUCUCAUAAACACCAUAAACACUCCUCAAAACCCCAACCCACAUUGAUAGACAGUGAAGACUUCUUCACUGGUUCUCAACUUUUACAUUUAAAGAAAAGAAAUUUGGAUUCUAAAAAGACAUAGCGAGAAGAGAGAAUGAAAUAAAUAUAAAUAAAGAAGAUGAAAACUUGGGAAAUAGCAAGAAAAAGAAAACCGUGCCAUGAAAGAAGAAGAAAAGAAGAAGAGGAAAAAGAGAGAGAGAGAGAGAGAGAAUAAUAAAAAAAUAAAGUGAAGACAAGAGAGAUUAGGUGAGAGAAAGAAGAAUAAUAAAAAACAGAGUGAGUUAGGUGGGUGUUUUGUUUUUUUAAUAUGAAUUGUGAUACAAAAUUACAAAACUACCUUUCUUAACGGGUGGAUCCGACACGAUCCGUUAACUUAACGGAUGGUUGAUGGGUUCACUCGUUUUCAACCCAACCCAGUAAGCUCAACCCAAAUGUUGAUAAUUUCGUACAAAUUCGUGUCGUGUUAAUAGAUCAUGUGCAAUAUUAUCAGGUUUAAUGGUAGAGGUGUCAUGUCCCUUUGCACAUGAUACUCACAUGGUUUCAUGUAGGAUUUUCAUUCGUUUUAUUAAUUAUGGAAGUAAGAAUGGGUCCUCGAAUUGCAACCAAUUAGCACACACGCAUAUUUUGACAUUAUGAAGAUGCAAGUGAAACGAUAAUUGCAUCAUCUUAGGUUUUUUUAUUUAUUUUUUAAAUCUUUUUUUUUUUUUUUUAAGGAAAAGAACACAACCAUCGUUUGAAAUCUUGUCGGUAAAGACAAAUAAACAAUGCAAGAAGGUUUGAAGAUGUCAAAAGAUUCUCGAAUAUCACCAAGAAAAGAACAAGAAAAACGGACAGUCGCACUUGCAUGGAUUAAACUUGACUAAUUAUUAAUUAAAUUAAACACAAGCAACACUCAUUUUCAUAGAAGCUGAAACGGAAAGUUGCACUUGCAUGGUUAAAAUAGGACACUAAAUAUUGUCUGAAUUGACGGGACUAAAAUUUUCCGAUUUAAGAUCUAUAUACGAUUAUCAUGUAUUUAAUAAGUGAGAUUUUACUUCAUCAAAAGAAAAAAUAGUGAGAUUUUAAUUAGUGCCAUAAAACAUUAGUUUUCUUCUGGAUCAUGCAUAUUUUGGAUCUGUGAGAUAACAGCCUUCACAAACAAAACAUCGGUAUCGCAUUAAGACAACUAAAUAUUAACAAUACAGAAUUUUAGAGACAUUAUCUUCCCUAGUCCAUGCAACAAACUGUGCAGUACUUGUGUUUCUGUCCACAAAUCACCUAUAAAAGUUCAAUGUAACUCCAUCCCAACUAGAAGGUUUUGUCCGAAAUGAAUUACAUUGUCAGCAGGGCUUAGUAACGGUACUUGGUGGAGUAAUCCUUGGGAGCAAUGACGAGACCGCGUCCCUUCCUUGCCCCACGGUACACUGUCUCAACAAUGUCAAUGAACUCUUGCUUGUCCUUGAGAGCCCAGUUGAUCUUGUUGUUGUUCCCAGUACCAAGGUCAAUCAUAAUAUGUUUGUUUCUGAAAAAGAACAUGACAGUCGAUGGGUCAUAGAGCUCAUACAUUGUGUUGAAAUCAGGAACCUCCGUGAUAUCAACAAGGUAAAUCACAGCAAAGUUUUUGAGUGUCUCAGCAACUGCAGCUAGCACUUCAUCCAUCUAUAUAAACAGGACAAGAUAACAAACCAGAAAUUAACCAGUAGCAUUCAAAAUCAGGGUUAACAAACAAAGUCAAUUUAUAUGGAAACAGUUCCUAAAUGAAAAAUGAAAUAAGGAUAAGAGGCAUAUACAUUAUCAAAAUUUAAGGUGAUUAUAAAUCGUACUAUUCUGCAUGGCCAUGAUGGCCCAUCAAACUUCUAAGCACCACAAUGAACAGGGAUAAAAGAACAGCGCUUCUCUCUCCCUCCAGAGUCUAGGCUUUGCUUCAAACGAAGAAUGUAUUGUUGUGCUCAGAAAUCAGCAUAUAUUAUAUAUUAAAAAUAAACGUUAUUCCCCAUCCAACAGGCCCUAAAAAUAGAGAGAAACGAAAGCAAACAAGUUCAUGCUUGAGUCAGUAUAAUGAUCAAUUUUGAGUUCUACCUCCAAACCUUUCCAAGAUAUAAGAUUUAUGAAAUAACUUAAUACUUAAGCUUGCUUGGGAGUCAGUUUGGAGACUUUCAAAAUUUGAUGUUAGAGUGGAAGUUAAAGACUGCUUCUUGCUUAAUAAAAUUAACCCAAAUUAGUCUAUGCAACUUUUUUCUUUCUUUUAACUAAUCUCCCUUAAAUAAGUUCCAACUUCGAACUUCCUGGUAAAUUAAAAGGUGCAAAACUUCACAUGAACUACCUCAAUUUGCAAGCAUAGAGCAAAGGAAGAUUUAUACAAAGUCUUCAAGUCAUACAAUAUGCAUAUAUGUAUAAAUGAAUGGAAUAAACAAAGUGAGCGACAUAUUUGCUAAAGAAUAAUAACUCGUUUGUUGUAUGUCUCUGUUCAAAGUUAGGACUCUUCUAAAUAAGUCAAUGAAUUAAUCAUAAAAAAGACAAAUGAGCAAUUGGGGGUUUAGGGGGUUAAUGAAAGUUGCAAGGGGGAGUUGGAACCUACCUGCAUACAGGUCUCAUCCCAGUCGUGGCCGAAACGAAUGAUGACAAGACGCUCCUCCUCAGCGAGGAUGGCCUGAUCCACGGCCCAUCCAGAGUGGAGGUGAGGCAGUAGAUACGACAUUGGUUUUUGUUAACCCUCUCUUCUCUCCCAACAGUCCACGAGUCCCAACCUCUCUAGCGUUUAAACUCUAGCACAACGAUCUGCAAUGCAAUUUGAAAAAGUUAAAAUGAUGACAGCCACUCAAAAAUGUUCAAAAUAUGUUCCAUCAAUUUGACGAAAUUAAAGAUGUACGCUUGACUUGGGACAAAUUAUGUAUCCUUAAAUUGUAAAAAAUGUAACUAUAUGGGAAUAUAGAACUUGGCUCAAACUGCAUAGACCCAAACUCGAACUGAGAACUGGCUAUCUUAGCAAAUAGAAACUUUUGCCUUCAUAAAUCCCUACAUGAAGAUUCUUGCCUAAUCUUUUGUUUAAUUAUAUUUGUAGCUGGAAUUCGAAAGCUUACCCACUGGAGGGAGGCUGGAGCUAAACAACACCAGGGUAAUUCAAAAUGCAAAAAGAAUAAUUUCAAUCAAUCAUCAUCAGGCAAUCUUUGUUCAAUGAUUUUUUUUUCCCUUCUUUUUAAUUUUUGUGGUAAUUUAACCGGGAAUAAUCCUCUGUUUGGUUGCUGAGAAACGUGUAUCGAUUGCACAGCUUUAGAGGAAAUUUCCAAUAAUAUUUGCAGGAAUCGGGAAAAUUCAACAUAAAUCAAACAGCAGAUCCAGAAAGAUUGAGAGGAGAAAAAUCGCAUGAUAUGCAAAUUAAAGCAAAAAGAAAAAGAAAAUAGAAGACAAAAUAAAGAAUAAGGGUGUUGAUGCUCAAAACCUGAUGGAUAACGCGUAGGGGAGGAGCUCCUAGAGAAUAGAGUGUGGAGAGAAGACACCUUGAAGAACUUGGCUUAUGGGUUUGCCAAGCCAAUCUUGAUCCCCUUUUGCCUACUUGGUGGAUUGCAACAGGCUAGAGGACGGGGCGGUUUUUUUAUAUUUAGUUUUGGGGCAUUUUCGAUUGAAUUCGAGUAAUUCUGUGGUGUCACGGCUGUACCGGUAUAGCCGAUCACAUGUGUGGCACGUGCGUUUUUUUAAAAACAUGUGAAAUCUUAGCAGCAGAUCAACAGGUUAAACGAUUUCACGUGCGCAUUACUGUCGAUGUCAUCUUCUUCCCUAAACUCUGGUUGAAGUUCAAACUGAUUUCUUCAUGGUCUUCAAAGUCAUCUUCUUCAACUCCUUUUCGUGGUCUUCAAAGUCAUCCUCUUCGUGGUCUUCCUCCUCUUUGCAACAUCUGGUUGAAGUUCAAACUGAUUUCUUCGUGGUCUUCAAAGUCAUCUUCUUCAACUCCUCUUCGUGGUCUUCAGAGUCAUCCUCUUCGUGGUCGUCCUCAUGUCUGCAACAUCUCUAUCUUCUUUGUCAUCAUUGUCAAAAACCUCAUAUUUUAGAGUUUGAAUUUUGAUGAUAAUUUUAGGGUUUAGCAUUUUGGGUUGAUCAUAGGAAUUGGAAUUGAGUUUUUCCAGUCAGUGGUGGGUUGUUGGCGCUCCUCUCAUCUGCAAUCGAGCCCUUGUGAAAGUAUUUGGUAUUUGCUCCUUGUGAAAGUAAGUUAACACUAUAUUUUAUGUUAUUGUUAAUUGAAAUUCUGUGGUGAUAAUUUGGGGCAAGAGGGGAAGUAGGUUUCUAACAUUCAUGCGAUGAAGUGGGUUUCUCAUUCUCAAAGUGUGGUGAGGUGAUUUGGGUAUGUCACAUUCAUGGUUGUAAUGUUGCAAUUGCAUAUGUCUAGAUGCAAUUAUAAUCGCUUGUAUGCAAACCCAAGUCACUGAAUGCAAUUACAUUAUAUAGUUUUGUUUUCAAAAUAUGCAAGUGAGGUGAUUUCGUGGUAGGUAGGUAGGUUUGACUGUGUUUUUGAAUAUUUUGUUAUGGAGAGUAAAGUGUUCCGAAAGUGUAAUGUUAGGAUUGGUUAAGAUUUGUUUUGGGAUUUGAAAUGAUUGAGAACCGACCCAAUAGAGAAAUGCAUGGGUAGGUUGUGUGCAUUAUCUGUGCAAUGUUAUAAUCGAGGGCUGAUGCACUUACAAGUAGUGUCGUGCAAUUGCAUAUCAGUAUAUGCAAUUACUAAGCGACUGUGUGUAAAUCCAGGUGCCUGUAUUUUUUUAAUUAAGCAAUGUGAUAUUGUGGUGUUUACGGGGUUUCGGGGGUUUAGGGUGUAUUAGGCUUUGGAUUAGUAUUCAAAUUCUCGACACAAGAGACAAUUGCAUAUAGUGUUGUGUACUUGGUUUGUGCAGGUUAUGGAAGCUCAAAAAAGGGGAUCAGUAAAAGGAAAGCGCAAGGCCGAGAGUAAUGUGCAACAAUCAAGAGUUGGCCGAGAUGCAUUGUUUAAUUUCAUGUAAGUUACACGUACAUCUAAAAAUUGGAAAUGUGGUUGCUUAAUAUUAUGAUGGUUUUUUGAUUAAAAAUAAAUGAUUUACAGGAAAAAAGAAUGACAUGAAAUGGGAAAAGUGGCCAAUGCAAAGUUGGACAGUAAGGUGAGAGAUGACAAUGGAUUGGGUCAGUUUAUUAAUUAUUUUAUUAAAAAUGCUCUUUUAAUGAGAAUUUAUUUUUUCAGGUACAAGAAGAGAUUGUUAAUAAGUGGAGGAAAUUGAAACCUAAAGAGAAGACAACAUAUGGUUCUGCCUUGGAAGGCUCGAGUGGGCAAGUAAACGACUUAGUGAAUGAGAUGGGUUUUAUCACUAGAUGCAGCCCGGACCGAUUCCAUUGUACGGUGGAAAAUUGUGGAAUGAGAAGCGGUUAGCAAUUAAUGCUAUUGGGUUCAGUAACGUGUCAUCUUUGUCCUGCACUCAUUUACACCGCCAAUUAUGCCAAUUUUUGAUUUAAAGUUGUAACGAAGAAGUUGCGAUCAAAAGAAGUUCAGUGGCAAAAUCGUAAAUUUUUCAAAGUUCAGAAUUUUUAAACCCAGAUUUCUUCUCUCUCUCACUAAUUUGACGAGCAACAGUUUUCAAACUCUGAUUUCUCCUUCAUCUAGCCACCAAUUUCCAAUGCCACAACUUGCAAACUCUUCGUAUCUCUCUCCUCUUUCCAUAUAUAUCCAUAUCCAGCCUUGAUUCCAAGCGAAUCAACCAGAAAAUCGAGCCAAAGUUGAGCCCAAAAAGAGGCAGUUUCGAAACUAGAAUUUUUAGUGUACACCGACGCCAUAUCCGGCCAAUUCCGGCAGCCACAACUCAGGUAAUUACACCCAAACUACUCUCCUACCUUCCCUUUGUGUUAUCCCUUGAAAACCUGAGGUGAAUCCAUACCAAUUUCUUUGAUUUCGAAACUAAAAUUUUCUAGGUUUUUAUGAGACAGGAAGCUUCAUUCGAGGGCUUUAAAGGUAGAAUUGAUCGUCGAGCCAAGGUAUAAAGUUACUCCCCCUUAUGUGCUUAAUCCGUAGGUAUGAUUAUUGGCCGGCAGUUUGGAGUUUUCCAACGCCGAAAAAUUGCUCUAUACACCCGCCGGCGGUGGGGCGCGUCGGCGGGGUUGCAAGGUUGGGUUUUUCUCGUAGAAUGUUCCCCACGUCGUCCCGAGUACGACGGUAUGCUCGGAUUCCAAUUUGGUUACCGUUUGAUCGUCGAUCGGAUAUCGCAUAAUAGGUGGUUUUCGAGUUCGAUGCGUUUGAAACGUUGGAUCGUAAUCAAUUUAAUAUAUGUUGAUCUAGGUAAUUCCAGGAUCGUAUAGGAUUCGACGGAUCGUGAAUCAGAGUCCCAGAUACUCGGAAAUCGCGAACCCUAGAGUUAAAUAACCGUAACCGUCCGAUCGCGUGAUCGUGAUCAAUUCGGCCGUUCGAUUUGGACCAAACUUGCAAGACAUCAUUAAUAAAAUAUGUAGAACCUAUAGAAACUCUUGGAUUGUCAAUUGGAGGUCGUGGACCCCACCGGGUCCCUGGUUGACGAAUAUGGAAGUUUAUCGCUUAGCAAGUCUCGGGUCUUUUCAGACCCUUCUAACCAUCCAAAAUGCUUAAGUAGGCAUAGGAAUGAUCUUAAAUUGGUGCACGCACUUUUAGGAGAUGGGGGUUAGGGUUUUGGGAUUAAAUAUUUAUGUUGAGUAUUUUCAUUGAUUAAAUAUUUAUGAUGACUUAAAUAGGUACUCGGGCACCAGCUGACCCGCAGGAGGGACCUUCAAAAGGUCCAACUAGCUCAGACACUAAGUGAGUUGACUUUUGUUUUCUAAAUGAUUUUAUGUAAAUGAAUUUCAUUAUUUGAUGUUGAAUAAGUUAUUAUAUGUUUAUGGCUUUCCAAGCAUGAUUGGUUGAUUUUGAAUAUUUUUAUUAUAUUCUGCUUAUAUGUAAGUUGAGCAUGGCUUGGAAAGUAGGGAAUGAGGUGAUUACCGGAUUGACUGAUUUGAUGGGAAGUAAACAGGAUUUAAUAAUAGAAUGAGGAAUAGUUUUAUGAUUAUUUUUAUAAUCUUUAAUCUUUUUCGAGAAUAUAUUUAUUUUAAAAACCACCUUAUGUACCCAAGGUUUCCUCGGAAUAAUUGUUGCCUUCAUUAUAGUCAGCAUGCUUUCAAGGAAUUAAUGUUUGGCUAAGAAUAUGAUUGAAUUAUAGAUAUAGAUAUGAAUGCAUUGAUUUCAGUACGAGUAUAAACGAAGAGAAUGAUUUAGUUUUUCAUAACUGUUUUUACAGUGGGGCUAGUAUGUUCAUAUACUAUUUUCUAAACUUUGUUUUUGGUCCACUCACAUUUUAAAUGUUUUGGGCCCCCAGGCAGUAAUCGUGCACAGUGAGCCACCACCAGGCAGAGUCCGCCUUCAGCCACAUCUUUUGCUGAUGUAGGGUCGUGUAUGGUUAAAUUACAGUUGUAACUUAUUCAGUAUAGUUGCUCUGAUAUUGCCUUGAGAUGUAUUUAACUGUUGAAACGUAUUUAUAUGCAUACUGGCAGUUGAUGUAUAUAUUUACAUGCUUUUUGACAGGUGUAAAAUUUGGGAAAUGAACAAAUUACAGGGGAGACUUUGUCAAAUUUUCGGCAAAAGUCAAACUUUCGUUAGAAAGGCAAUUAGGUCAUUUGUGCUUGGCACCCGCCAGGUAUCCGUCACGCACAGGGUUUAGCUCGGAUUCCAAAGCGGAAUUUAGUUCGGGUCUUGUCAUUAUGGGUCUUAAGAACACCGGUGAGGAUGUUGAACUUGACUGUCUGGUAGAAGAUGAAAAGGUGAAACAGAUAGUGAAGAGUUUCGGUGGAAAUGGCAAGAGAGUAUUAGUAAGGGGUUUAGCUAAGCAAUUGGAAAAGUAUGAAAAUGAGGAUGAAGACUUUAAAGUUCGAUUUGUGAUGUUUGCACUUGGCACUGUACUUUGCCCCACAUCUUCACCAUCAGUGACCGGGAACUAUUUAACUUUCUUGACCAUCCCAAGGAAGAUAGAGACCAAGAACUGGGCUGACUAUGAAUUCAACUUCUUACGUGAAGGUGUUAGGUUGUUCAAAGCGAAGAAAGUUGCAUAUGUAAAUGGGUCACUGCUUUUUCUCCAACUAUUCUAUUUCGAUUCAAUUAUCCAUGGUGGAGUAUAUGUUGAUAAAUCUUUGGAUCCCAUUAUGUCUUGGGACAAUAGCUCGGUGUGGAAAUUGAUUAAAUGGGUUAGAAAGCAAGGUGGGUUUGAUAGUCCUACCAUUCGGGUUAUUUCAAAGCACCGUCCAACGAAUGAAGUGUCCGGAGUAAACCUUGAAAGAAUUGUUCAAGAAGUUGCUAUCAGUUUGGCGCCAGUAAUACAGGCCGAGGUAAAGCGCUCAGUUGAAGGACUUGCUAUCACUUUGGGGCCGAUAAUACAGGCCGAGGUCUAGCCCUCAGUGUUGGAACUCACUCACAAGGUAAUGAGUCAAGUGAACUCCUUCAUGAAAGACGCAAGGCAACAUCUUCAUCUGGGACAUGAAGAUGUAAAUCAAACUAAGGAGGACAGGACACUGAAAAUACGAGAUCAAGGUGUUGAGAAUGUUGUGAAGAAGAAGGGUGAAGAAUGUAGCAAAUUAAAGGAGAAAUGUGCAGUUGAUGUAAACAAUCCUUGGACGCCAUUACCAGAUGGACAGAGUUUCAUUGAACUCGAGGUAUGAUGAGCGAUUAGGAGUUUCAAGAUUGAGUUUCUUGUUAUCUUUUACAUUAAUUAAGUAUGCAUUUAUUUACAUAGUUGUAAAAUACUUAAUUUUUUUUUCCUGCAUGUAAUAUUUGAAUUCCCUUUUCCACAGUUGAAAAUUGGCGUGGAAAAGAGGAAGUUCGCAAAAUCGGCUGGUGGUGAUCAAAGUGGAAUUAAAACACGUCGAACGGCCAAAAGACAUCCAGGGCUUCAUUGUAGAGAGCCAUAGGUUGACUCGUCAAAUGCAAAAGAAAAGGCUAUGCAGAAGACGGCGUCUAAGAUUAAAAUUCGGCCUUUCAAAUUAAAACCCAGGGACUUAGAAGACUCCGAUUUUGAGUUAUUUAGUUAUAUUUUUAGGUCUAACAACCUUUCAAGGUAACUACUUACAAAUGUUGAAUUAUGAAAUCAACCAAAUUCCUUAUAUGUUGUCGCAUACGUGAAUUUAAUUAGAACAAUUGAUUUCUUCUUCCAUUGUAGUGAGGAAGUUAUAAUUCAAAUUGAAAACGAACAUCAUGUCACCAGAGGUGAGUUCAUGUGCUUGAGGCCCGAAAUAUGGAUUAAUGAUGCAGUACUGAAAGCACAAGUGUAUUAUCUACAAGAAAAGGGAUUAAGGAAUUGGUACUUCCCCACAUAUAUAUCGGUGCGCAUUCAUAUUUUUCAAAGUAUUAUAGUUUGUGAUUUAGUAAAUGAAUUUACGCUUACACUAUAUGUGAAUGUAGGAUCAAGUUCUUAAUACAAGUGAUGGUAAACUUUUUGAAUUGGGUAUCAAACUUAGAAGGGAAAACUCAAACUGGUUCACCGUAGGCCUUAAGAAGUGUGAUAAGGUAUUAAUUUAAGUUCUUUUUUACAAUCUUUAGCUCGCUUUUGUAUACGCAUGUUUUUCUAAGCAAGUCAUUGUGCUCCUAGAUUUUCAUUCCCGUUUUGGAUCGAAUCGGGAGUCGUUGGUAUUUGCUAGUGGUGCUUAUUGGUGAUAAAAAGGUUGAAAUAUGGGAUAGCCUUCCCGGUCCUAAAUACAAUGCAGCUCGUUAUCGACUAGCGGAAUGAAUUGUGAGCGGGUUUGCGUUGCACUAUCGUUGGUAAAGAACCCAAAAAAAAAAAAACAUUCUUCUAAAGGAAGUCACCGAGUCCGCUCGAAGAGUAGUCGACGAAGAACUUGACAAGUUGGCCGAACAUGGUCCCUUCAUCCCUCAUCAUCCCAUCUCAAGGAAGCCAAUGACAUGCUCCCAGGCAAAGUAGAGAGUUUGACAGUAGGUCAUAAGGGAUUACAGUUUAGAAAUUAUGUGUAAUUACAUGUACAUAUCCCUAUUUGCACACAGUCGGGGUUCUUUUGUAAUAUAGCAAGUGCAACUGCAUGACACGACUGUUGCACGUCAUGUAAUUGAAUUCCAUUCUUUGCUUACAAAUGCUUUUUUGGUUUUCUUCAUGACAUUGAAACAUUUCACCCCCAGAAAGGCCCAAACACUGAAAUGUAAUUACAUUUAGUGUAACUGCAUACACAUAGGGUUGAUGGUUAAGGUAGUCCAAUUGCAUGUACUUAUCCUUUUUUGCGUACAGGGACGUUGUUUUUGCAAGAUGUCAUGUACAAUUGCAUUACAUGACGGCCAAUUGUACGUUAUAUACUUCGUAUAAUACAUUGCGCAUAUGAGUUUUUUUGUUGCCGCAUUGGGAACAUUAUAGCAUAUAUGGGGUCCAGACAUCAUUUACGAAACAGGAGUUCCUAGUUCAUUGAUAAUAAAGGUCUCUUGACCAUAUUUAGGGGUUUUUUUUUAUUACAAAACUAAACCCUCAAACUAUUCUACCAUACCGAUUAUAACAUUUAACAUCCGAUAUUACGUCUGAAAUUAUAACAUCUGAAAUUACAUUCGAAAUUAUGACAAACAAUACAAUGCAAAUCAUAAAAUACUGGUGCUUCACGAAGCUCGCUUCUCCAAAAUAUCAAUUGCUUCGCUCGAUUUUGUCCCACUUAGUUGAACCAGCAUCAACAAGCUGAGCGUAUUUCCUAAACAUCUUAAAGCCGAUCUCAAUCCCUCCAUUGUAAAUGUGGUACCUGGUCAUUGAAUCUCCUUCACGAAAGAUGUUGUUACUAGCCUCGGUGGGAGGCUUCAUGACAUCAUGGGCUUGUUUCACUUGCUGGUGGACAUAUUUGAAGAAUCAAUACCAUCAUCAUCACCCACCCUCUUGUUCUUAGGCAUGGAGGAGCCUCUUGAGCUACCAACCAUUGAAUGUGACAUUGUUUGGGUUUUCUUUUUUCUCUCUUAGAUUGUGUAUGAGUAAUGUUACUAGUAAAAGAGGUGGAAUUCUUUGCGUUGAAAUGUAUUGUCUAUUAUAGGAAGUAACUCCUUAAAUAAUCCUUCGUGUGUAGUUGGUAUCUGGUACUUGUGUAAGAUCCCAUAUCAAACAACGGCAGAGUGGCUCCCAGAAACAAAACCGUGAGGGCCAGAGAGGAGGGCGCACCACACGGCAGAGUGGCUCUGAUACCAAAUUGUCACAUCCCGGGAUCGGCUCCGCCGUAGCACGAUAUUGUCCGCUUUGGGCCCCCCUCUCUGGCCCUCACGGUUUUUGGGUCCACUCACCCUUUUUGUUGUUUUGCGCCCCCAGGCAGUAGACGUGCACAGGAAUCCACCACCGGGCCACUUUCCAUCUUCCACGCCUUUCUUCUGAUGUAGGAUUUUUGUUUGUAAAAGGAUUCACUCCUUUGUAAAUUCUUAGUAGUCGCUCUGAUAUUUUGCCCUAGACUAAGAAUUGAACUGUUGGAAUGUAUAUAUACGUAUGUUGGCAGUUGGUAGUAUAUAUAUACUUGUUUUGACAGGUGUAAAUGUUUUGGUAUUGAGCCAAUUACAAGGGAAACUCUGCCGAUUUUUUGGUAGAAGUCAACCUUGUUAUUUUAUCGUGUUUUGUAUAAAAGGGCAAAUAGGUCAUUUGUGCCCGACAUUUGCCAGGUGUCGGACACGCACAGAGUCUGGCUCGGAUUCCAAAGCGGAAUUUGGAUCGGGUCCUGUCAACUUGGUAUCAGAGCCACUCUGCCGUGUGGUGCGAGUGUGCCGACGAGGACGUCGGGCCCUUAAGGGGGGUGGAUUAUAAGAUCCCACAUCAAACAACGGAGAGGGGGUGAUGUGCCUUAUAUGUGCACACCCGCAUCCAUCUAGCACGAUGCCUUUUGGGAGUUCACUAGCUUCAGAGUCGUAGGAACUCCGAAGUUAAGCGAGUUGGGGGCCAGAGCAAUCCCAGGAUGGGUGACCCACUGAGAAGUUGCUCGUGAGCUCCUAGAAACUAAACCGUGCGGGCAGAGAGGGGGGCCCAAAGUGGACAAUAUCGUGCUACGGUGGAGCCGAUCCAAGGAUGUGACAACUUGGUACUUGGUACUUGGUAGUUCGUACUGGGUUCCUUUUUCGGGGGAAAGUCAAAUUUUUCCAAACGAACGCACCCCAUUGCGUUCGGUUGCACACACCUCGUUUGUUUGAAAAAGUAAGUUGGUUGGGCCUAUCUUUUUGGGGAACAGUCAACUUUGCUGAACAAACGCAACUCUUGCUUUCACUGGAACAAACACCAGGUUUAUUAGAAAAAGUAAGUUGGUUGGAGCUAUUUUUCCGACGAACUGGCAACUUUCCUCAAUGAACGAACCCCUUGCGUUCAUCUGAACAAAACCACGUUUGUUUGAAAAAGUGAGUUUGUUGGGCUUCUUUUUCGGGGGAACGUCGAAUUUUUCUGAACUAAAGCGAAACCCUGCGUUCAGUUGAACAAACACCCUGUUUGUUUGAAAAAGUAAGUUGGUUGGGCCCAUUUUUUCGGGGAACGAGUAAUUUUACUAAAUGAACGCAACCCUUGCGUUCGCUAGAACAAACACCCAAUUUGUUUGAAAAAGUAAGUUGGUUGGGUAUAUUUUUUCGGGGAACAAGAAACUUUCCUCAACAAACGCAUCCGUUGCGUUCGUUAGAACAAGUACCCCGUUUGUUUGAAAAAGUAAGGGGGUUGGUGACAUUUUUUCGCUGAAAAGGUAACUUUUCUCAACGAAAGCACCCCCUGUGUGUGUGAACAAAGAACCCAUUGGUUUGAAAAAGGCAGUUGGUUGGGGCCAUUUUUCAAGGAAAUGGUCAACUUUAUAGAACAAACGCAACCCUUUCGUUUGCUAGAACAAACACCCCGUUUGUUUCAAAAAGUUAGUUAGUUCGGGAAUUUUUUCGGCGAAUGGGCAACUUUCCUCAACCAACGCACCCUUGUGUUCGUUUGAACAAACACACUGUUUGUUUCAAAAAGUAAAGGGGUUGGGGAAUUUUCACCAUGCUUGGAGAGCCUGUUGAUAAUUUAGGUCUUGUAGAUACUCGCACAACAUCUCCUAUUCAUAGAUCUGCGCUUGCCUUUAUACAGUUAGAUAAAAAAUUAUCUUAUUUUAAAACAAGAAUUAAAGUAGUAGCCGUGGAGGAAAAAUAGGACUAUUCAGGGGGGGCUGGAGUGGGUAAAACAGUACUCAUUAUGGAAUUGAUCAACAACAUUGCCAAAGCUUUAUGGGGGUGUAUCCGUAUUUGGCGGAGUAGAUGAGCGUACUCGCGAAGGAAAUGAUCUUUACAGGGAAAUGAAAGAAUCUGGAGUAAUUAAUGAACAAAAUAUUGCAGAAUCAAAAGUGGCUCUAGUCUACGGUCAGAUGAAUGAACCGCCAAGAGCUCGUAUAUGAGUUGGUUUAACUGCCCUAACAAUGGCAGAAUAUUUCUGAGAUGUUAAUGAACAAGACGAACUUCUAUUUAUCGACAAUAUCUUCCGUUUUGUCCAAGCAGGAUCCGAAGUAUCCACUUUAUUGGGUAGAAUGCCCUCUGUUGUGGUUAUCAACCCACCCUUAGUACCAAAAUGGGUACUUUAUAAGAAAGAAUUACUUCUACCAAAGAGGGGUCCAUAACUUCUAUUCAAUUAGUUUAUGUACCUGCAGACGAUUUGACCGAUUCUGCUAUGGUCAGGACAUUUUCACAUUUAGAUGCUACUACCAUACUAUCAAGGGGAUUAGCUGCCAAAGGUAUCUAUCCAGCAGUAGAUCCUUUAGAUUCAACAUCAACUAUGCUCCAACCUCGGAUCUUCGGUGAAGAACACUAUGAAACUGAGCAAAGAGUUAAAGAAACUUUACAAUUUUACAAAGAACUUCAAGACAUUAUAGCUAUUCUUGGGUUGGACGAAUUAUCCGAAGACGAUUGCUUAGCCGUAGCAAGAGCACAAAAAAUUGAGCAUUUCUUAUCACAACUCUUUUUCGUAUCAUAAGUAUUUACCGGUUCCCUAGGAAAAUAUGUUGGUCCAGUAGAAACGAUUAGAGGGUUUAAAUUGAUCUUUUCUAGAGAAUUAGACGGCUUUCCUGAAGAGGCCUUUUAUUCGGUAGGUAACAUCAAUGAAGCUAUUGCGAAAGUUACGACCUUAGGAACUUAGAAAUGGAGAGCAAAUUGAAAAAAUGACCUUAAAUCUUUGUGUACUGACCCCGAAUCGAAUUGUUUGGGAUUCUGAAGUGAAAGAAAUUAUUUUAUCUACUAAUAGUGGACAAAUUGGCGUAUUACCAAAUCACGCACCUGUUGCCACAACUGUAGAUAUCGGUAUUUUGAGAAUACGCCUUAGCGACCAAUGGUUAACUGACAGGACCCGACCCAAAUUACACUUUGGAAUCUGAGCUAGACCCUAUGCGUGUCCGACACCUGGCUGGUGUCGGGCACAAAUGACCUAAUUGCCCUUCUUUUUAAAACUUAACUUCAUUUUAGGUUUGACUCAUACUGAAAAUUUGGCAGAGUCUCCCCUGUAAUUUGUUCUUUCCCGAAAAUUUACACCUGUCAACAAGCACUUAAAUAUAUACACCAACUGCCAGUAAACAUAUAAAUACGUUCCAACAGUUAAAUACGUCCUAGGGCAAUAUCAGAGCAACUAUACAGAUCAAUUUACAAGGAAGGAAACAACUUGUAAAUCAAGAACCCUACAUCAAACUGAGGUAGUGCGGGAAGCGAAAACUGCCCUGUGGUGGCUCACAGACGCACGUCUACUGCCUGGGGGAGCAAAACAUUGAAAAUGUGAGUGGACCAAAAAUAAAGUUUAGAAAAUACAUAAGAGCAUACUAACCCCACGGUAAAAACAGUUAUGCAAAACUAAAUUAUCCUCUUCAUUAUAUUCGUACUGAAAUCAAUGCAUUCAUAUAUUUAUAUACGUAUACGCCAAUCAUACUCAUGGUCAAUAAAACUCUCUUAAAAGCAUUGAAAUCAAUUUAAAACUACCACCUAGGUGUACCCCUUUAUUUCCAUCAAUUCCUUAUAUCCGUCAAUUCCUUAUAUGCCGUCAAUUUCUGAUAUUCGUCAAUUCCUCGUGUCACAAUUUGUGACACGUCCUCGCAGGUCUUGGUAAUACAAGGUCGACCCGAGCCGCAAUCUCGCAGGAUUCAGGAGACUUUUAGUCAACCUGAUCUGCAAUCCUCGCUCCCACGGUUCAAGCGUCCUCGAAACUUGUGAAGGCAGCAAUUUUAUUCCGAAGGCAACAUUUAUUCUGAGGCAACUUUUAUCCUGAAGGCAACAUCUUUAUAUCUGGGUACCUAAGAUGGCUUAAGAAAAUAUAAAAUUUCUAAAAGAUCUGAUGAAUAACUGAAUUUCUAUUAAAUCUAGAACUCUGCUUCCAUUUAUCUGAUAUUUAGCUAGAAUUUCCUUUUCCUAUAUCCUUAAAGGAUAUCCCACUCGGCAGCAUAUAAAUUAAAAUAUUUAAAAGCACAUAUCAAAUUAUGAAAGCACUAAUCUUUGAAUAAAACUUGUCCAAGAUCAAAUAAUGGAAUUGAUUUGCAUAACCAUUUAUAAAACAAAAAGUCAACUCACUCCUGGUCCGAGCGAGAUGGACCUCUUGAAGGUCCCUCCUGAGGGUUUGCCUGGCCCCAGGUGCCUGAUUAAACCAUCAUGAAUAUUUAAUUAAUAAAACUGCUCGGUAUAAGUAUUUAAUUAAAACCCUGAUCCCCGGCUCCUAGAAGUGCAUGCACUAACUUUAAAGUCAUUCAUAUGCUCACAGAAACUUUCCUUAUGGUUAGAACGGUCUAAAAAGACCCGAGACUCGUUAAGCGACAAAUUUUCAUAUUGGUCAAUCCGGGACCUCGUGGGGUCCACGACCUCCAAUUACCAAUUUGAGAGUUCCUAUAAGUUCCUCACAUUUUAAUAACCAUGUCUUGCAAGUCUGGUCCAAAUCGGAUUGUCAGAUUGCUCAUGAUCGUACGAUCGGACGGUUAUUGUUUAACUUAAUCUUUGAAAUAAUUAAAUCGGAGCAUCCGGGACUCCUAUUCUCGAUCUGCAAAUUUCUACACAAUCCUAGUGGUGUCUAGAUUAACAUAUUUAAAAAUGAAGUUGAUCCAAUGAUCCGAACAUAUCAAACCCGGAUAAUGCCUAAUAUGCGAUGUCUGAUCGACGACCAAACGAUAACCAAAUUGAAAUCCGAGCAUACUGUCAUGCUUGGGACGACGUGGAGAACAUUCUAGGAAAAAACCCAACGUUGACACCUCGGUGAUGCACCACCGGCGGUGGCGGUUGUAUUGAGUAAUUUUUCAGCGAUCGAAAAACUCUAAACCGCCGGCCAAUAAUCAUACCUACGGAUUAAGCACAUCAAGGGGACUAACUUCAAUAAAAUUGCCAAUUAAAUGGCAAUUCAUCACCAAAGCAGAUCAACAAAUCUCUAAAGAAGAAUUGGAUUGGGCUCAGCUUCUAAAUCCCUUUUUAUAUAUAUAAAGGAACUCUGCACCAAAGUAGGUGGCCUUUCCAACAGACAAGCAGACUACAAUUUCAAGAGAUAAGUAGGGAGCAAGGGAGCGUUCAAAACAGGAAAAGCAAACUGACCAUCAUGGCAGAUUGAGUGUUUCUCUUUACAAGGAACAACCAGAGAACAAAGAGAGUUGGUUUUCUUUCAAAAAAGCAAGGAAAAGACCUCUAUGAAAGCUGAUUGUUGAUGGUUCUUAUCUGCCAAAACAAUAACUUCCUUCUUUUAUAGCUUUGAAAAGAGAGAAGAUUUUUUGAAAAGAUCUACCACCCAUUAUUCAAAGAUUAAACCCCACUCUAGCAUUUCCUAUAAAAUAAGAAGAGAGGGUGAAAAGAUGAGGACAAUCAAAAAAUCAAUCAAAGACAGAAAGUCAAAAUGAUCACUUGAUCUUAAAACCCCUUCAAAACACUGAAGCAACCAAAAGCUCAUUGAGCCACAGAAAAACAAGUUAGCUAUAAUCCAGAAUCUCUAACUUCAGUUUAGUUUCAGAGAAAUAGUAAUUCAAAGCGAGAUUUCUUUCGUUACAAAAUUGGUUCAACAUAAGCCAAAUCAAGCAAAGUUCGGGUUUUACAAAUAUGAAAACCUCAACAAAUUUAUGGAGAGCCCAGAUCAAGCAAAACAUGUACUACAGUGCAGCCGAGCUCAGUAAAUCAGCAAAUCCAGCCACUUCUGCCCCUUUCAGAUUGAGGAGGCUCCAAUUCUGCCCGUGCCAAAAGCCUUCCAAGGCUUGAAAUAAAUUCAAGCUCUGCCACACUCGAAUAUUGGUAUCGAUUUACAGCUGAGAUUUGACAGUUGAAGAUGUUGAUGGUCCAAUCCAGAACAUACAUACCAAGUCCAGCCCGGAUCAGAAGCAUUCAUCCAAGCAAAAAUUGAAGUCCAAAAGCUCUUUUUGUCUUUCUAGAGUUGGUCUUCCCUGUUUUGAGCUUUGUAAAAGGUAGUUCUGCCUAAAACAGUUAACUUUCUUAUCAUUUAUUCUGGCCAGAACUACCAGUUUUGUACUGUGAAAAAUUGUGAAGUCUUUACUAGUCUAAGGCAAGAAAAGAACUUACUUAGGAGAUAUUCCUCACCCAAAUUCACAAUCGCUAGUUUAGAAAAUAGUAACUUGGUGUGCAAGUUAUUUAUUUUUAAGAAGUCUGCUACGAUUUUCAUUGCUAGCAGUGGCACGCUCGCACACUAAAGAAAGUUGACUUGUUGACCAGUCAAUGUUUUUCAAGACAAUGGGGAACUUUACCCUACCAUCACAGGAACAAAUAUAAAACGAGUGAACAAUAACUAAUAAUAAAUAUUUCAAGACAUUACAAGAAGUCAGUAUAUUAGACAACGGACUAGUAGGAUUUCUAGAUUGCACAACAAUUGUCCUUAGCAAUACUAUUCCUAUAAGAUAAAAUAAUAUCCUUAUUCAACUAGUUAUAAAUUUAGCAGAAAAAUUAGACCAAAUACAAUUAAAAAAAGGUAUAAAUUAUAAUAGUAAAUGGAACUCUUCUAGAGCAAAGGAAAAGAAAUAAUAAGAAUAUAAGCUAUAUACUCUAAUGAUCAAGAAACACUAGAAUAUCUUAGAAAACGAUUUGAAAAAUUCCAACAAAAAAAAAAUACAAAUUAUAUCAAUUAGGAAGAUUUGGAAAUAAAAACUUAAAAAUUGUGAGAGUAAAAAAAAAAAUAUAUGCAUAUCGUCAUAGUAGUAAAGUGAGAUGAGCAUACAAAAAGAGGAGACAGAAAUAACCACAUAGUAUUAAAGAAAAGAGAUUGUCAUACUGAUAACAUGUUAUAAAAUAAACAAAAUAUGAGAGUACCACUAAAUAUUGGAGUGAAAUUGAAUUUACUUUGUGACUCUAUGUCGCUAUUCCCAGAUCUAAAUGUUGGCUAGGUAAGCGUCCUAUAGUAAGAGGAGUAGUUAUGAACCUUGUAGACCAUGGGGGUGAUAAAGGGAGGGCCCCAAUUGGUAGAAAAAAAAAACUGCAACCCCUUGGGGUUAUGUUGCACUUGGAAGAAGAAGUAGAAAUAGGAAUAAAUAUAGUGAUAAUUUGAUUAUUCGUCGCUAUAGUAAAUAGGUGAGAAAAUAUAAUUUUUUUCGUCGUCUUUACAAAAAAUAGGAGUUAUUAAUUGUGACACGUUCACUGAAAAAAAAAAUUUCCUUUUGUAGUGAAUCAUUUAUUAAGAAAAAUAAAUAUACUUAACACAAAAGCAGAAAAAGAAAUAAUAGUAACCUGGUCCCGAGCGUCUACCAUUAUACCUACAAUGAUCGGGCUAUUGCUAUCUAUAAUGGAAAGGAGCAUUUUCCUUUUAUUAGUAUUUAUAUUUAAAAGUAUUUAUAUUUAAAUUACAUAUUUUGUUAAAUUUAUGGGCGAACGACAGGAAUUGAACCCACGCAUGGUGGAUUCACAAUCCACUGCCUUGAUCUACUUGGCUACAUCUGCCCUUUGUACUAUUACAAAUAUUUACACCAUUUAUCAUUACUUGUAAGAUAAAAUAUAGCAUAAAAUAAACUGAAACUUUUAAUAUUUUAAUUAAAUUUUGUUGUAAAUUAACUAAGAAAAAUAUAGAAAAAUAUAGUAAAGUUAAGUAGUAAAUAAAUAAAAAACUAAAUAGUAAAGGAGCAAUACCAAACCUCUUGAUAUAACAAGAAAUUUAUUAUUGCUCCGUUACUUUCAAGAACUCGUAUAUACUAAGACCAAAGUCUUAUCCAUUUUUAUAUGGAACUUCAACAGAAGCUACAUCUAGAUGGAAAUUAUGAGCAUUACGUUCAUGCAUAACGUCCAUACCAAGGUUAGCGUGGUUAAUAAUAUCAGCCCAAGUAUUAAUUACACGACCCUGACUAUCAACUACAGAUUGAUUGAAAUUAAAACCAUUGAGUUUGUUGCGCUUCUUGUGGAUCAAUGUCACUACCCAUCUCUGCAUCAUUUACUAAAACCGUGAUCUCAUUAUUGCCUAUUCUAGCAAAACCACCCAUUAGAGCCAUCGUUAAUGUAAUAACCCGAUCUUUAAUUAAUUUUUAACUAUUAAUUUAUUUUGAGAAAAGACUAUUUUGCCCCUAGAAUAUUUUAUUGGGUCAAAAGUUGACUUUUCGCUCGGGAAGGAAUUAGGGUAUUUUAGUUAUACUGUUGCAUAGAGCACAUAGAGAUGAGUCCAUAGACACAUAGUGGACUCAAAUCGGAGUUGUAACGAAGAAGUUACGAUCAAAAGAAGUUUAGUGGCAAAAUCGUAAAUAUUUCAAAGUUCAGAUUUCUUAAACCCAGAUUUUUCUUCUCCUUCACGAAUAUUACGAACAGCCAUUUUCAAACUCAGUUUUCUCCUCCGUCCAGCCACCAAAUCGAGUGCCACAACUUGCAAACUCUUCAUCUCUCUCUCCUCUAAUCUAGCCAUGAUUCUAAGCGAUUAAACCAGGAAAUCGAUCGAAAACAGAACCAAAACUGAGCCAUUUAGGGCUAUUUCAAAACAGCAACUCCCGAAGCCAAUUCCGGCCAUCUCUGGCCGCCACAACUCACGUAAUUGCACCCAAACUACUCUUCGACCUUCUCUUUGUGUUAUCCCUUGAAAACCUGAGGUGAAUCCAUUACAAUUUCUUUGAUUUCGAAACUUAUUUUGCGUUUUUUUACACCUCUGCCACUUUGUAGAAGAUAUGGGCCUCUUUGGUUUGGGCUACUUUUCUGGAGUCAGGGCUCAUUCUUUUUUGUUUUGUGGGCUUUUUGAUUUUGGACUGGGCGUGCCAAUUUAGGCCCAAAUAGUUAUAGAAUCUGACAUUAAACUACAAGUCUAUCUAUUUUAAUAUGUAAUUUUUCUAUCUACUCAAUUAAGGAUUUUUGAAAGGACUUGCCCCGAAUUACCCCUUAGAAUCCGUGAUGAACCCUUUCCUAAUCCGACACCGGGCAUGUGUCGGCCCAAAUUAUUAAAAUACCCUUCUUGCCCUAAUUCCAAAAUAACCUCAGGGCUUGACUGCUAUUGGAAAAAUUGACAGAGCCUUCCUUGAAACUGGCUCAAAACCCAAAAAUUUACUUGCACAGCAAACACAAUUAUUUCCCAAGCGUUCAGCAACCACAAGGUAUAAAUCACACACCAAUUAGCAAAAUCUUCUUGACAUAACUAAACAUAACAACAAAUCAUAAACUUGCGGCUGCACCUAGGUUAGCCUAGGUUGCCUACAUACCCUUACUGAGGGAUCAAGCCACACAUAGUUCUUUCUACCAUAAAUCACAAUUAAGAUAAUACAUAAAUGUUCAAAGUAAAACCAACAAUAGAAUUCUAGAAUCAUUCUUCACUUAAUUUCAACAAUCUAUAUAAGUGAAUGACAUGCCCUGUAGUUAUGUACCUAACUAUUCAAUUAGUUUCUUAUUGUACAUCCAAACACAUAUGUAACCAACCUUUUUACCUAAAAGCCAUACCUACAACCGUCUGCAUAGUGCAUAUGUCCUGCAAUCAUCCACCAAGGAUACAUGGGAAAUAUCAGUAAAUCCGAAGGCAAUAGAGGAAAUAGAAACUAGCUAACCACCUGUGUAGACAAGUCGGGCAAGUGACUAGGGAUCCUGGUUAACCUUGUGCAGAUAAUAUGAGCAGGGUGACAAAGAAUAUCCUGUUAACUGUACCACACGUUGGUACAACACUAUUCUCCACAUAACUAAACAUAACAACAAACCAUAAACUUGCGGCUGCACCUAGGUUAGCCUAGGUUGCCUACAUACCCUUACUGAGGGAUCAAGCCACACAUAGUUCUUUCUACCAUAAAUCACAAUUAAGAUAAUACAUAAAUGUUCAAAGUAAAACCAACAAUAGAAUUCUAGAAUCAUUCUUCACUUAAUUUCAACAAUCUAUAUAAGUGAAUGACAUGCCCUGUAGUUAUGUACCUAACUAUUCAAUUAGUUUCUUAUUGUACAUCCAAACACAUAUGUAACCAACCUUUUUACCUAAAAGCCAUACCUACAACCGUCUGCAUAGUGCAUAUGUCUUGCAAUCAUCCACCAAGGAUACAUGGGAAAUAUCAGUAAAUCCGAAGGCAAUAUAGGAAAUGGAAACUAGCUAACCACCUGUGUAGACAAGUCGGGCAGGUGACUAGGGAUCCUGGUUAACCUUGUGCAGAUAAUAUGAGCAGGGUGGCAAAGAAUAUCCUGUUAACUGUACCACACGUUGGUACAACACUAUUCUCCACAUAGAUGUACCUCAAACAUAAUCCAUCAAUUCUAAGUGCCACACAUGUGGAACGGCCAACUCCACAUGCGUGUCACAUCCUAGCAGAACUCAAGGACACGUGAUCAACCUGAGAAUGCAAAUAAUCCAUCAAUUCCCCUAGCAGGACUCAAGAAGAUAUACUCAACCUGAGAACGCAAAUAAUCCGUCAAUUCCCUUAGCAGGCCUCAGGGACAAAUGGUCAGCCUGACAACGUAAUCAUCGCAGAACUCAAGGAGAUAUAUCAACCUGAGAAUGCAAAUCCUAGCAGAACUCAAGGAGAUAUACUCAACUUGAGAAAGCAAAUAGUCCGUCAAUUAUCUUAGCAAGACUUGGGAAGAUAUACUCAACCUGCGAAUAUAAAUCCGAGCACUACAAAGUUCAGGGUUCCCCGAUACUCGUGGGGCAAUAUCAUAUAGGCAUAGAAUAAUUCGAAGGCAACUGAGGUGUCCAAAGACAAUCCGAAGGCAAGAUAUUUCGAAGGCAACCAUAUGUCCGAAGACAUUCCCAAGGCAACUAUAUGUCCGAAGACAUUAAUAUUUCCGAAGGCAACAAUAUUUGUGAAGACAACAGGAUGUCCGAAGACAUCAAUAUUUUCAAUUUCAAAGGAUUUAACACAUAUAUAAAAAUAAACAUUUAUCACCAAAUAUUUAAAAUCAACUCAACCCAAAGCCGCACAACAAAACAUAAAUAUAUCAUAUAGAAUAAUAGUUCCAUAAACAACUAAUAAGAUGCCAUUAUAUAAUCAAACAACCAAACCACAAACACCUCCCAACCAAUUGGUCCCGAUCGGGUCAGCGAGGUCCACCAUCUAGGUCAAUUAGGCCGUGGGGCCUAUGGCCUCGGAUUUCUGAUCUAAAAGUUCCUAUAAGAGCAACAAAGUCUACUAAAUAAAUUCCAAAGUUUGGUCUCGAUCGAGUGUUCGAAUUUAAGCCAAUCGCACGAUCGGACGAUGAUUGGUUUGCUUAACCUUAGAAUCAUUGACUUGGAGAAUCCAGGACUCCGAGUUUCAAUCCAUAAGUUCCUACACGAUCCUAGAGGUACAGAGAACAACAUAAUUAAAAUGAGAACUGAUCGAACAGUCCGAACCUAUUAAACCUGGAUAUCACAUAAUAGGUGCAAUAUCCAUUUGAUAGUCAAAUGGUAAGCAACUUCAAAUUUGAGCAUAUAGUCGUGCUUAGGAUGAAGUGGGUAACAUUUAAUAACACAAUGGGCUGCCACAAGGUGACCUAAGCAUGCCACUCACUGCCUGCAGUAAUGGGUGGAUUGAGAGAUUUUUCAAUGACAAAAUCUCCAAACCACCGGCCAAUACCUUACCAAUGCAUUCAGACUAACAAGGGGAGCAACUUUUGGUCUCGGACCCCGGCCAAAAGUGGCUGGAGAUGGGUGAAAAAAGGCCAAAACCGUCAGCCCUAUACUAUUGUUUUCAAUAAUUUCCAAAACUCCAAAAUUGAUCCUAACCACAUAUAUAAAUAAAUAAAGCACGAAGAGUAGAUGAAGUUUCAUACCUCGAUCAACAGAAAUGGUGGAUGGUGUUGCCAAAAAAAACUCCGAAGCCACCGUCACUUCCCAUCAUUCCAGUCGCCAAUCCUUGGGUUUUCAAGCAGGAAAAUGGCAAAGGUUAGGUAGUGGAUGAAGAGACGAUUCAACUCCGAUAUGACCCACCAUGUGUCUACGAACUCGUGAGUUGAAGCACUACACAAAGGAACCAAGAAAAUUUCCAAAAAGAGCCCUGAGCAAAAAGUCAACUCUAAACCACCAAGGAACCCUAAGGUUAAGGUCGUCCUUUCACUUUAGAAUUUUGAAAAUUAAUUUAAAUUUUAGGACGGAAUGUUACAGUUUUUGUCCUAACUAUAUUUUUUGCACUUCUAUUUUUAACUCUUCACCUUGUUAGUGCAACAUGUGGCAUGUUCCUAGCCCAAAACCAUGUUAUGUAAUUUUUAGAAUAGGUCGAGUAAGGUUCAAUUUAUGAUGAUUUGAUUGGAAGUGAUGAAGAAGAACAAAAAUUUUGAAGCACUAAAGAACAAGGUUGUCUCAACUCAUAAUUAGGAAAGGUAAGUUUGACUUAGAGAGCAUACAUGCAUUCAUAGGUGGUUAGAUGUUUUAUUUCUACAUCAGUCAACCUGACGUAAUGAGCAGAGUGCCUCAAAGUGCUUAGAAUUGUAUGAUAUUUUAACGGCAUGUUCAUCAAGAUGUUAGGUUUCUUGUAUUAAUGUUUCACGGUGAAAUUCGCAUUUUUGGAAAAGGCGCGCUCGAGCGAACUUCAACUACCGCUCGAGCGGCAGACACAGAAUUUCAAUUUCCUUUUUCUAUUUGGAGAGUUUUAAAUUAUAUUUUCUUCCUAAUCUUUUUGGGACUCCUUUUCCUAUGGUUAGUAUGAGUUCCCUAGAAGCUCUAAGCAUGUUUUGUUUUAGGAAAUUUGUUCCUAAUCCUAUUGUAUCUUUUUAUGUCUUCCUAAUUUGAUUCUAAAACAAGUUUGAGUCUAUAAAUACUUGAUUUUUCAAAAGUCGUUUCUUGAGUGAGUUGAUUUUUCGUAUGGGGUCAUUUAGUAUGGCGGACUACCACGGACUAGAUUAAAUACUAGGAUUGUCUUGGAUUAGCUCAGAUUGGUCUAAACUGGAUUAAGCAUUGACCUAUGAUUGGUGCUGUGUCGAACUACAAAGCUGGAUUGUAAAAAUAGUGAAGACCUAUGUUUGGUACUGUGUCGGACUAAAAAAUAAUUAUUUUAAUAUUUAAUAAUUAUUUUUAAAUAAUUAAAUGUAAGUUUUUGUGUGUGGUUAUUAUAAGUACCAAAUUGACAUGUACAUUUCCUUUCCUCCAAACCAAAGGCUUUUUGUUUGUUAUUAAGGAUAUAAAUUUCAUUGAGUUUAUGUAUAAUUGAGUCUUUAUUUGAGCGCAAACACAAAGAAUUUGAUUAAUAUAUCAAUAACAACCACCGACCAUCACUCAGUUGUCUUAUGAGUAUUGUUGUUAUUUAAAAUUUUUAACUUUAGUUGUUUGUGCAAAAUUGAGGUUGUUAUGAACAAUAUCAUGUAGUGUCGCCCAUUGCACAUUAAAAACCAUGUAUAAAUUUAAAUAUAUCCAUACAUCAAAUAUAUAUCCAACAUUUCCAUAAAUCACAAAUUUUCCAACCCCACAUAUGAUCCAUACUUGUCUUUAAGCAACAUACUAGCAACAAAAAUACAUUUAAAAUGAAGGGAGAAUGCUUAUUUCAAACAAAAAGCCACUCUAACAUAUGAGUUGCUCAUUCAUCUCGAACUUUGUCCAAUUGCAUUUUGUUGUAGGUGUCCUUCCAUUUCAUAAGUCUCACGUACUGAAAUAAACAUGAAAAUAGCAUAUAAAAUGGAAACAUAAACAAUAGGUUAUGAACAUAAAAUGAAAAAGUGUAAGGUACUAAAUUUGCAUAAGAUAUGACUUCAAAUUGCCCAAUAUACAGAUUUGCAAAAUCAUAUAGGUGAGUAGUUCAUAUUCAAGAUAAAAUUGAGAUUUCAUUGUAUAACUCAACCAACACAAGAAUUUUUUAAAGUCCAUAUAUGAAAAAUCAUAUUCUUGAGCAGUUCAUUAACAAAAAUCAGAUUUCAUAUUAUAACACAACCAUCCAGACACUAAUUGCCCAAUAAUAUUUUCAGUCAUACUCAAAAUCAAUUGUAGAUUAGAGACCAAUAAUUUCGUUUAAUAUUAUAACACAAUUGUUCGCUCUUUGACCUUCUUUCUCUCUCUUUCUCGAUUCCUGUAAAAAAGACUGGAGUAAAUAGACUACACCCGGGGGGGUGUUGGCCAAAUGCCCUCCGAUGCGUAAGUUAGUUCUAUUGAAUCUAGGUGAAACAAUAGCUAAAAAAGGGUGGACAUUUCUCUAGGGUGAGAACCAGGUGGCCGAAGCCGUGUGUGGUGGCUGAAGUCAUGUGGAGAAAAUAUGGAGAUAGGCUUGCCGCUGGCAAGGAGAAAGAGGGGAGAGAGAUCUAGGGCAUUUUUGCAGGGUUUUGGAGCUGGGUUUUGAAAUACCUUGAAGGAUGAAUGAAGCCAUCUAUUUAUAGGAGCCCUGGAGGCUAGGGUUUCGUAGGGAAUAAAACUCUUAUUAGAAAGGAGUUUAUUCUUUCUCCAAAUUGUAGAGAUUGAGUCCAUUAGGGAUUUGAUUGGGAACCAAAUCCCCUAAUUUGAUGAUGAUUAUAUUUCCUUAUUAGGAUAAUAUCUAAAUUAUUAGUAUUAUUUUAUUAAAUAAAGAUAAUAUCCCAUAAUAAAGAUAUUAUCCAUAUUAAUUAAUUGGCCACAUAAAUUGGUUCAAUUAAUUAAUUUAAGGGAUAUUCUUAUUUUCGACGUGGCGUGCUGUGAUUGGAGACGAAAAUAUUUGCUCCCACAAAUGCCCAAGCUUCUGCAUGAUGUUUGUGUGGCAUUAGGAGGUGAACUUAUUUUUGGGGCUCUUUAACUGUGUCUAGGCUUUCUUUUGUGAGUUAGACUCCUUUUGCAGAUUGGAUUCCCAAUUGGAGUGGGCUUCUGACUGUUCUUGGACUUUUGAUUCAUUCUUGACUCGGGUUGUCCAACUUGUAUAAAUACAUGGCUUCUCUUCACUCUUUUUCACAUCGCAAAUUGAACCCAGGUUGAGAGAGAUAACGGAGAAUUUGUACUGCUUGUUGAAGAGAGGAGUGGCCGUGUAACCACCCGGUCCUAAAUUAAUAGUUAAACAAUAAAUUAUUAAAAUAAGAGAAAAUAAAUUGAAAUAAACAAUAAAAUAAAAUGAUUUCAAUUAAUUAAGGUUUUUGAAAAUUAAAGAUAUUAUUUAAUAUAAAAAGGGGCAAACAUGUCAUUUUAAGUUCGGAAAGGAAUUUUAGAGCAUGUCAAGACGAGUCCAUAGACACGUAUUGGGCUCGAAUCGGAAUUGUAACAAAUAAAUGGCAAUCAAGAAUAGGCCAGUGGUAUAACCGUAAAUAUUCCGAAGUUCAUUUUUUUAAAACCCUGAAUUUCUUCACUUGGGCAGCUCAACCAGCCAACUUCAGAUCGUGAUUUCUCCCAACUCCGGCCACCGUUUCAAGGAAGACCAGUCCUAGAAGAACCACCACACUUCCCUCUUCCAGCCCCAGCCCUUCGCCGUGUCGAUCCGCUUUCGAAGUCGUCGGAAUCAGCCACGAAACAGAUGGUUUUGGACAGAUUUUUCUUAAACCUUUGCCGGCCGUUUCUCCCUCCUCCGUCCACCAAACCGGUCCAGUAAGGUAUGCUUUUCCACCCAUUUUUCUAGUCCUAGCUGAUGGUUGGGUAGGAUUUGAUUGAUUUGUAGCUUAGAUAACCCGAAAUACGAAUAGAAAUUUGGCCGAUUUUCAAAUUGAAAUUCCGGCCACUUCCGGCCAUUUUUCGGGCUAGGUCUAAGAACAAAAGUGGUUUCAAAUGGGGUUUUACACCUAGGGUAGGAAUUUGGGCCAGCAAUUUGGCGUUUGUCCGGCAGUCGAAAUUUACUCACGACACCCACGCACUGCCAGCGCGUGUGGCUGCCCAUGGGCCAGGCUUUGGAAUGGCUUGGGUUUUAGAAUGAUCUCCUAGCCCUCAAGAGCAUGUAGGUAUUUUCGGAUUUCAAUUCGGACAACGUUUGAACCCCAAACGGAUCUCGCCUAUUGUGCGAUUUCUGGGUUCGAUACAUUUGAACCGUUGGAUGAAAGUCAAUUUCAUAUAUGUUAAUCCAGAUAAUUUCAGGAUCAUAUAGGACUCGAUAGAUCGUAAAACAGAGUCCGGAUACUCCGAAAAUUUUAACCCUAGGGCUAGGUUUAUAGUAAUUGUCUAAUCAUGCAAUCGUGGGUAAUCCAACUGUUCAAUCGAGACCAAACUAUCGGGACAUGUGUCCUAGGAAUAUUGGCACCUUUAGGGACUCCAAGAUUUGUGAUAGGAGGUCGUGGGCCCUAUGGGGCGCGGUUGAUUAAGUUUAGGCGUUUGACCCCUCAGUUGAUCAUGAGUCUUUCGAGGUAGUUUUAUCAUUCUAGAAAUGUUAGAACGACCGUGUAAACGGGUCCUGAUCGAAGAUUGAGUUAUUAGCAUCAUAUCAUGAUUUUUCAAACCCACCAUAAGGGUACCCCCUAGUUGCUUUGAAACAGUGUCAUUUAUAAAUAAUGCCCCACGUGUUUCAGGGACUCCUGAACUGUGUGGUGCGAGGAAUGCGGCUCAGACUGAUCAAUGGUCCUCUGAGGCCAGCAAGGAUUGCGACUCGAAUAGAAGUGGUAUCUCCGAAGCCUGUAAGGAUUGCGGUUCGGAUAGAAGUGGUACCUCCAAGGCCUGCGAGGAUUGUGGCUUGAGUAGACUUGGUGUCUCCGAGGCCUGCGAGGAUGGAAUUGACGGUAAUAAUGGAAUUGAUGGAUCAGGAAUAGGGGUACGCCUUGGUGGAGAGAAUUUCAGUUUUGAGAUGUUCUUAAACUAAAAUAGAGGGAGUUCAGUGUAUGGCAUAUUGAUAUUCAGUAUAUGAUUGAUACGAGUAUUGGGAAGUUACGAAGUAUUGCUUUGGAGUUGUGAAUACGAUUUGGUAUAACCCACACAUGAGAAUUCAGUUUGAUUUGCAAAACACAUGGCAAUAUGAUGAAUGAAUAAGAUAUUCAAUUACAUUAUUAAAGGGCAACUGUGUGGCACGAUCCCUCAGUAAGGGUACAUAGGCAGCCUAAUGUUACAAGGUGCAGCCACGAGUUGGAGUCUUUCAGAUUGCUAAUGUACUAUUGAUAUUCUAAAAGUUGAGAUGAACUUUAUUGGCAGAAUGAUUUAGUUGAUUGGUUGAGGCUUGAAGCCAUAAUGAUAUGAUGUUUGAUUUCUUGGCUAUAAUUUAAUGCCUGCUAAAUAGUUGGGUUAUAUAUGUAUAUGCUUAUAUCACAAGUGGAAGUUUUGGGUAACUGAUCAAUUUAUAGAGGAGACUCUGCCGAAUUUUUAGCAGAAGUCAAACUUAAGGAAAUUUGGUUUCUAGUUAGAAGGGCAACUUGGUAAUUUAGCCCGGCAUUUGCCAGGUGUUGGACACGCACAGGGUUCGACUCGAUUCCAAAGUAGAAUUUAGGUUUGGUCCUGUUAGGCCUUGCAUCCCAAGGUAAGUCAAGCACGUAUAUAUAUAUAUUAAAAUUUACAGAGAGGCCGUGCAUCCCAAGGUAGGUCUGGUCCUGGUUGUCUUCAUGACUGUCGGAAGAGGUGGUUCGUGGCUGCCAGAAAGGACUAGCCAAUUGCGUUGCAACUUGGCUGGUUGUGGCGGUGUGGAUUCGGGCUGGUCUUUGAGGGCCUAUGUGCUGGAGCAAGUGGUGCAACGCGGGCCUGGGCUGAAGCACUCAAGUUAGGCCAAAAUGCAGCAUGCUGCGCAUGCUAGAGCUUGGAGAGACUUAGGCCUGGUGUGUAGGUGCACCACAUGGACCAGUUGGGACACUUGGUGUGAAGCAGGCCAGGGUGUGCUUGAGUAGAGCUGGGCCCGACGCGCUGGCGAAGUGGGCCACGUGCAUUGCGUAAGCCAAAUCUGGCAUCUGCUGUUUUUUGCGGCUUGGGCCGCUUCUACAUUGGCUAUGGGCUUGGGGCUUGGGCAGCGAGCUCAUGGCUUGGGCCAUUGUUUGUUUGUUUGUCUGUUAUUUAAAAAAAUUUUGCUGCCAGCCUUUUGUUUUGUUUUUUUUGUUUUUGUUUUGUUUUUUUUUGGUAUUCUAACUUGUAGAAUUUUCUUCUCUUCUUGCAGUUGUUUGUUUUCUCAUGUCUUAUAAAGAUGGUAGAAACUCACCAAGCUCUCAAGUGCCUUUGUAUAUGUGGGGAGGCUCUCAAGUGUACAAGAAGAGGUUCGUUGCUAAUCUGCACCACAGUACGACUGAAGCUCAGUUCCAGAAGUGCCCGGUCGCUUAUGCUUCUGCCAUUCCUGGCGAACCGUUUGACUGACGAUGUGCCUUGUGUGGAUGCGAAUGAUCCAGAUGAAGGAGACAUGCAUCCAAUGCUUAGGAAAUGAACUUUAGCCACAACCUAUACAACAAAAACAUUCUAAAUGGUGGAUUCAUUUUGUUUAUACUAGUUGAGCUAAACCUUUUUCAUUUUAAACAAGUAUCUUAGCCUAGUCUCUUGGAACACAAAUAGAAAAAGGAAAAAGGGAAUAGAUCUUUCACCUUAAGGCUCCAAGAUUAGAGUCCUCUACCUCACCAAACCAAAUGCUUCUAGAGAUGAAGAGAAGGCAAUCAAGAAGUAUAGUGCUAGUCUACUUAUUGAUUGGACCAAUUUUUGGUUUAUGGAAGAUGAGAUACAAAGAUGAUCAUGCAUCAACCAAAGUAGGAAUCCAAAACCCCUAGCUUGGUUUUACCAUAACACUUAGCUUAUAUAGGACACACAAAAGGAAAUUGGGUGGGUUUUUAGUGCUCCAUUUGGUUCAUGGGUCAUGUCAUCUUAUACCACUUAUCCCUUGGGCCCAAUAGCCUUUUAGGCUAUUUUGUCCGUUUCCUUUUAACUCAUAUUUAAAAGCCUAAUCCAAUAAAUAUGUCAAUAUUAAUUCCAUAAUUAAUCUUUUAAUUAUAAUUUAACUAUUAAAUUAUAAUUAUAGUCUUACUUAAUUGAUCCAGUCAAAUUAUUUGACUUUGGUCAAUUGCUGCAGUCAACAUGUUGACUUUUGACCAUUGACUUUGACAUUUGAUUAUCAACCAUUGACUUGUAUCUCUUUAUUUCAUUUCUCCUCAUUUGUACCUCUAAUCCCAUUCUUUGGGUGUGCAGAUCCAUAGGUUUCCUUUAACAAGGUAGUGGGUUGACUCAACUCCUCAGAGAUGAUAUAUGAAUUAAAUUCCACAAUUAAAUUCUUCCCAUUAAUAAAGGUUAAUUGAAACCUUUUAGGACAUCCACAAAUCAUGGUUGACAGCAAGUCACUGUUAUCCGAGCUAAAUGAGACGUUGUGGAAGAACCUUUUCAAAUUGGAAUGACCAGGCAAUUGAAUCAUUCUCUUAUGUCAACACUCCUUAUUCACAUUAUUAGAUCAUGGAAUCCGAUUGUCAAUAUCCUAAUGUGAAUCAUUCCUUUUAUAUGAUUAUCCUGAUAAGAUUUGAAGACUUCUUCUUUCAAGUCUUAUCCACUACUCUGUGCAGAGAUUUGACAAUCAUAUAUUGGAGUAUUCUCUCUCCUUUACUGAGAGUACAGAUUCCUUGUUGUACAUUCAUUUGCUUCCAUGACUCUAUUGAAAAUCCUGAUGAGCACCUUUAAGCUAUGCCUAAUUCAGCAUGACCGUAUAAUGCCCUCAAAGAUUAACAACAUCGCCACAAAACAUCUAUGAUGCCUUAGGUCUAAGGAUUAGUGCAUUGCAAUUUAUGAUUUCCAGCUUGACAUGUGAGUAAAGACUUCCAUGUUGUAACUUAUGAGUUGGAUCGCAUUCAGUGUACUUAUUCUUCUACAAGCACCUACACACAUAUCGAUGUGUCUCUACACUUAAUGACUUGAGACCUUGCCAUUCCUUACAUAUAGAGACGAUACUGUGUGUAUUGGUAUUUGCGGAAUAUCAAUAUUCCGAUGACCAGGAACAUAUUCAGGAUUUAGGGAUGAUGAGAAGUCUCCAUGUAUGCAAUCUCAUUACAUAGCUCUCAUAUCCACUUGUGCAUUCCUUGGACUAUGGUUGUUCUACAUAUUGAAAAAUAAUAUAGGAUGAUUUAAUGUAUAAAACAACCUUUUUUGCCCAUUGAUAACAUAAUGUCUCUUUUAUCAAAGAUGUGAUUAACUCUAACUAUUACAUAAUUAGUUGGCUUUAAGGGCAUAUUUCUAACACAAGAUGCUAGGAUCAUCACCUUCCGUCCCUUUUAUUUUUCCUUGGGCUUCACCUUCCCUUUGUCAAAACUUUUUAAGGAGGUGUUAUGCGUCAUGGGGUCUGCUUCAAGUCAGUGCACUCCGAACGUCGAUCAUGUGUUUUAAAAAUCUAAGUCGUUUCUUUAAGGUAGAGCUGACAGUGCAAGAGUUCCUCUAUUUCUUUGAAGUGAGGCACUAUAAAAAGUAUGCUCAAAUUUGCAUCUCCAAUCCCAAGCUGUUUGACACUUUCAAUCAAGAAGAUCACAUAUGGCACGAUGAGGUGUUGGAAGUCAGCGGACAGUAGGAAGGCGAUGCUGGUGAUGGUCCACUUGUUCUUAUUACCUAUUGCAACAAUACGUCAUUUUGUUGUUUUGAUAUGCUCUCCUUUUAUUUGAGUUUCUUGAAGUAUGGCUGAUUAACUUCUGUCUUUUGCUUGUAGUGAGCAUCAUCUACAAGAAAUUGGAACUUGGACUGGACAUGGCUAAGGUCGGCCGUGCUUUGAACAUCCCCCCGAAGUUUCGCAACUAGCGCUAGCUGUUGAGUGAGUAUCGGGAGGAAGUCAGUGGACUGCCACUACAUAGGAUGUUGAGAGAUGGAACCAGUCUAGACUCUAAUGAUCUGCUGGCUGGGCAGAAGGAGUGUUCUGCUGAACCCCCCUUAAAAAAGGAAGGUUGAUGUCAAGUCUUCAAGAAAUGGAGCUACGACUUCACGGGUGAAGGAUGUGCCUCUGUUAUGGAAGAAACCAAGGCUCCUUUCUACUGAGAAGACACAAGUAGGAGCUGCUCCCCUUUCAUCCGCUAGGGUUAAGCACCUCAAUAGCGCAAACAGUAUGAAGGUUGACACUCGAGACGUUCCAUUCAAGCCUCCUAUAGACAAGCUUGGAAAUCGUGAUCUGCUUUGUGAAGUAGUUCGCUCGCGAACUAGUUCACCUGCUGAGAGGCAAGGAGAUGCUGGUAUUCCUCUUCGAAGUUCGAGUCGUCUACACUAGUCAAAGGAAUGAGGUCGAACUGGGAGGUUUGCUCAUCCACCCAACUAUCAUGAUCCAGCUGUUGAGUCACGAGUAGUAAGCAUGGAGUUGAUUCAGCAUCGUUGACUUCUUUGGAGGUGAGGAUGGCGGUAGACAGGAAGACGAAAGAGUCAUCUACCUGGGUGAAAGGCUCUUCUACAACAUCAUCGGCUGAUCCUAAGGUAGACAAAUCCAGCCCUAUAGGGGAUGCACGAGUGUCUGAUUUGCUCAAGACGAACUUUUUGUCAAGUUCAGCCACUUGUGCUAAACUGGUUGAUCAAUUCCGUCAAGCUGGCGAUCUUGGUACUUUCUCAAGUAUUUCCUUGGAAAAACAAAUGGAAGCAACAUUUCAUCUGCUUCAAAAGGAGUAGUUUUUGCUGUUGAAACUAUUUAGAACUCGUCUAUUGUUUCCUUUUCUUCUGCUCAGCUCAACGAGUUGGGGAAGAAGAAUGCUGAACUAACUAGCAAGCUUUCUGCCAAGUAGACCCAUUGACAGGACCCGACCCAAAUUUCACUUUGGGAUCUGAGCCGAACCUUGUGAGUGUCUGACACUUGGCUAAUACCGGGCACAAAGACCAAACUGCCCUUCUAACUAAAAAUCCACUUUUAAACUUCUGCCGAAAAUUCGGUAGAGUUUCCCUUGUAAUUUACUCAUUUCACAAAAUUUUCACCCGUCAUCAAACAUUUAUAUAACUCAAUUGUUCAACAUGCAUUCAAUUAUAUCCAAACAAAUUAAGCAUCAUAAUAUUUUGGUCUCAGGUCGCAAUAAAUCAAAUAAAUCAAUCUGCUAAUAAAAUUCAUCUCAACUUUUAAAACAACAAUAAUGCAUUGGUAAACUCAAACAUUCUAACUCGUGGCUGCACCUUGUAACUAUAGGCUGCCUACGCACCCUUACUAAGGGAUCAAGCCACAUGUAGUUCUUUAAUUGCAAAACCACUCUAGUUCUCAAAUUUCAUCUCAGCUUUCUGUUUCAAGCUUCCUGGCAUUUUUCACAUGGCAAUAUAUAAUCAAACAGGAAAUAAAGCAUUUAUAUCAAGUAACCAUGCUUGGAAAGCCAUAACCAUCAAUUCCUCGCGACACUAAUGAUGACACGUCCAACCCCGUAAUCCUCGCUGGACUCAAGAGACAUCUGGUCAACCUGAUCCGCAAUCCUCACUCCUACGGUCUGGAUUACUCUAAGACUCGUGGGGCAAAAUAUGCUAUAAAAACUUGAGAUAUUUAAUACUAUAUAAAAUAAUGCAAAAUAAAGAUAAAUGAACGUAAUAAAAUAAAAUAAAAUAGAUUAAGAUUUAUAAGCUCCGAACACCCUUGUAUCAAACUCACGUAAAGUUCAUAAAUAAAUAUAUAUUUAUAUAUAUAUAUCAAUAACUCAAUUAGAAUUUAUAUAUAUUUCCAUCUAUCGCUUGUAAAACAAUUGUAAUGCUUAAGAAAAUAAUGGUAACUGUAUAAAAUCCUCAAUUUAAUUUAAAAGUAUCUCAGAACUUAAAUUCUCUCCACCUAGGUGUACCCCCAUUUAUGAUCUGUCAAUUCCUUUAAUACCGUCAAUUCCAUAUAUCCGUCAAUUCCAAUAAUAAUCCGUCAUUUCCAAUGUUAGUCCAUCAAUUCCAUCCUCGCAGGCCUCAGAAACACAAAGUUAAUCGAGCCGCAUUCCUCGUAGGUCUCAGAGAUAACACUUCAAUUUGAGUCGCAAUCCUCGCAGGUCCCGGAGACACCAAGUCCAUCUGAGCCGCAUUCCUCGCAGGUCUCAGAGAUAACACUUCAAUAUGAGCCGCAAUCCUCACACCACACAAUUCAGGCGUCCCCGAAAUUCGUGGGGCAUUAUCAUAAAUGACAAAUUGUUUAAAGGCAACCAGGGGGUACCCUCGCGGUGGGUUUGAAAAUCAUAACCCGUCAUGUAUAUAAACUUUCAAUAAAUUGGUACUCAACUAAACUUAAAAUAUAUACAUAUAUAUACAUAUAUAUAUAUAUAUACUUGAACAUUUACUUAAUUUCUUAUUUCUUUCGAAAUCUGAUUUACAAAUCAUUCCCAACUCUUCACAUCUGAACACAAUAUAAUAUCUUUAAAAGUAAUUUCGAUUACAUAGCAACUCAAGAACAAUAAAUCAUCCGAUAAUACUCAGCCAAAUACAAUGAUUAUAAUCAACACGAUAAAUAAAUAACUUCCAAUAUUUCAUAACCUUCCAAUACCAAAAUAAUAUCCAAUAUCAACACAAAACACUAUAACGUAUAAACCAAACAUAAACAAAACACUUAACAUAACAGUCAAUCCUCAAGUAUAAGAUCGUUCUAAUACUUCUCGAAGGAUAAACUACCUCGGAAGACUCUCAGCCCACAAAAUGGUCAGACUUCCCAAAUUGGGUCAACGGGGCCCACGGGGGUCCACUAACACCUAUCUCAAAACCAGGAGUCCCUAGAGGUCCCAAAAGGUCCCAAUAGGUCUAGGAUACAUGUCCCGAAAGUUUGGUCUCGAUCGGACGGUCGGAAUGAUCACGAUCGGACAAUUGGACGAUUUUCAUUGGGCUGGCCUUUUCGGAGUAUCUGGGACUCCGAUUCAUGAUCCGUUAAAUCCUACACUAUCCGGGAAUUGUCUAGGUCAACACAUAAUAGAAUAACUACUGUCCAACGAUUCAAACGCAUCGAACCCGAAAAUCGCAUAAUAUGCGAGAUCCGAUCGAGGCUCAAACGUUGUCUAAAUGGAGAUCCGCGAAUUCCUGCGUGCUCGUGAGGACCAAGAGAUUAUUUUAGGACUGAAUGUAACUUCACUACGAUACCCACGCGCCGCCACACUCGCUGGCAGCAUGUGGGUGUCUAGAGUAAACUCCGACGGCUCGAAAAACUCCAAACCGCUGGCCAAAAUUCCUACCCUAGGUCCAGGACAUCAAUUAGAGUCACUUUUGUUCACGGACCAGGGCCAAAAACUAACUGGAACUAGCUGGAACGAAGCCAAAACCGUCGGCAUAAUUUGGGUAUAUGAAACAAUCUGUAAAACUUCAAAAUCGAUCUAUAAUACCUACUUAAAUGGAUAGAGCACAAAUAGUAGAUGAAGUUUUGUACCUAGCUCGACGGAUUUCGUGACCAGGGUCGCCGGAAAAUGCAAAAAUACCGUCGAAAAAGCCUAACCAUUCCUUAGCUUCAAUUCGAGUUCAUCAUUAGCCAAUCAGAUCGGGUCUUACGUGGGUUUUAUAGAGGAGGACGAGAUGAACACUUUUCGUGAAGGUGGCGUGGCCAUCCCAUGAAUGACGAUGUCGAUUUUGUGGCUUGGAAGUUGAACCGUCACUGUUGCUACAGUGACUGUCGAAAAACAAAGAAGAAGAAAAAAAAAUGGCUGAAGCUGCUGGGGGAGGAAGGAGAGAAAAAUAAAAAGAGUUCGGGUACAGUAGCAAUAAGAAAUUUCAAAAUUCUCUUUACGUCCUUUUUGUUUCUAGACCUUUUCUUCUUCGUUCGGAAUUGGGCAUGCUGCAUGUCUACGAACUCGUAUCGUCGAGCUCUACGCAAUGAUACCACCCAAAUCCCCAAAUUCCUUCCCAAUUAAAAAAUCAAAUUUAAACCUAAUAAAAUAUUCUAGGGGUAUAAUUGUCUUUUUUCAGAAUAAAUUAAUAAUUAAAAAUAAAUUAAGGAUCGGGUUGUUACACCUGUUAUGAGAAUAAGACGUCUGAUUUGAGGACGAUGAUAUCUGAGCUGAAGAUUUCCCUUGCUGAGAAGGAUUCUAAGAUUAGCUCUUCUACUGCUGACUUGGCUAGUCGAAAAGAUGCGUACUUCCGUCUUAGCUAUGACAAGCUCUUAGCUAGAUUUUGUGCCUAUCACAAGUCUGCUGAAAAAUUCAAGUUCGAAGCUACCGUGGAUGCAUACAAGCUGUGAUACUUGGACUGCACAAAUGAAAAUGAUCCUUUUCAUUUUAGUGGAGAUGGAGACAUCGAGAUGCUAUGUUCUGACUUGCUCCCUAUGCAAAUUGAGCAGGUUAAUGUUGUGAACCUAGAAGGAGCUGAAGAGCAGGCGGCCGAAGAGGCUGAGCUGAAGAGGAUGGAGCAGAGGAAGAUGCAGCUGAUUUGGUGGUGGUAGACAUAGCGGAUUAGGCAAGUGGAGCUGCUGAGAGCGUACCUGAUCAAGCGAACGCCGAAGAGGCUGUAGAUCAGGAUCUUUUGCUGGCGUCUCGGAGUAGAUGAAUACUCCUUUAUUUCUUUUUCAGGUUUUGUAGUCUUCUUUCUUGUUUAGAAUAAUUGGUCUUUUUUGACCAUCUUCUUUUUGUUGAACUCAGCUGGUUGGUCACUUUGCUAUGGAAAUUUUAGUUAUUUUUUCAACUUCAAUUUGCAUAUUGUCAUGUGAACUGCAUGAGUAAUCGGCUAAUGUCUUGGCUGUGCCUUUCUCUUAGGAUGUUGACAAAAGCAAGGGUGGGUCCCCCUUGAGAGACUCCGAGCGUCUUUUGCGUCUCUCGAAAGACAUUUCUGGUCGUCGUGUCACGCCCCGGACCCAGGGUCCCCUGUGCCUGGUGCGUGAGAAAAUAAAAAGUAAUAUAAAAUAAAAAGAAAGCCGAAACAUAAAAUAAACGUUUCUUAUAAAAAUAGCUCCCAAAAUCUUACAACUUUAGAAUGAAAAAAUAAAGUUCGAUCACUCUCAUAUAAUUCAGCCUCAAGUGGUUUAGUCCUUGUCUUGCCCACUAAUGCAUCUGAAAAAUUAAACAGGGUGAGGGGUGAGCAACCACCACUAAGUAGGGACAUGAGACCUUACCACAAUAGAUUGAUAUAACUAAAUUAAAUGACAUGCAAUCACACACCCAAAUAUCACAUUAAUAAUAUUAAUGCAUGAAUGCACUUCAUCUAAUCCCGUAAAUUCAUAUAACUGGACAAGUAGACCUGCGCGUCUGAUACCAUGCUUAUACCACUUGGUCCCAAAUGCCCAUUUAUAUGAACUAACACCCAUUUCAAUCAUCUCAUAAUUCCUCUUUUGUUAGUCAUCUUGUCUAACUCUUUAUCACUAGUCCCAAGUCACCCAAUAAAAACCAUGUGCACUGUGGGAUCCCUGAGACCUAGUACCUGCCAAGAGUUAGACUCAACAGCACAACACACUAUUUCCAUUACCCUCUUUUCCAUCAUUAUUUUCUCAAUCCAACAACUCCAACCAAUUUUCAUGACAUGAUAUAAUUAUGCCUUUCACAUUUCCCAUGUAUCUAACAACAAUGUAACCAUUAAAACAUCACCAUUAUAUAUACAAUUAUGCCAACAUUAUUCAAAUAGUUAAGAAUACGUAAACACCCAAUACAAGGAACGUCACCCAAACUGUAAUAUCAAGAACAUCCAUUAUAAUAUCACACAUAAUAUAGAGCUCACGAAAUUUAAUUAGAUCAAUCCUUGUAGAGGCCCCCAAGAAACCCUUGCCUCGAUUCCAAAGCAUUGCUCCAAGUUAAGAAAAUACAAGCUAAACCCUAUAUCUCUUCCAAGAAUUUCAUCAUCAUCAUCUCUCUCUCUCUCCCUCUCUCUUUGCAUGAUAUCUCUUCCUUUCAUUAACAUUCCUAUUUAUAGGUGGUUAGAUGGCGGUAACAAUGGAGAGGAUAAUAACAAAGGCCAUUAUCUUAUCUAUACAAAAAGAUAACUUGGUUGCCACUCUUUUGUAUAAGCUGCUAUGUGUCAAUGUGUCAAUGCCAGGAUAUUUAUUUCCAAAGGCUGUGACACCUAUUGAACUUAUAAACUCCUCCUCAAGCUAAGAUAAAGCCUAGUAACCAAAUUGUAAGCAUGAGCUGUCCAAAUGCAUGGUAAUGCAUCAACUAAUUUAAUGGAAAAAGCUACCUCCAGCAUCCAAAUUAAGAUAAGAGAGAACAUUCUUUUUCUCCAAGAAAACAAUGUAAGGAUGCCACGUCUAAACUCUUAAUCCAUGUUAUAUAUUAAUAUAUAUGUAUAUAAAGCACCCAAUAACCAUCUAAUGGCAUCCCAAGAAAUACUGAACAAAUAUAUAAUUUAACCCUUUUUAUUCAAAAGAACAUAUGUAUAUAUAAAUAUUUAAUGAAAUAAUAUAUAUAUAUAUAUAUAUAACUAUUGAAAUGGUAUUAUAAGCGUAAAACAAUUAUAAAUAUACAUUUUCUUCUUAACAAGAUAAGAAUAUAUAAUAACAUUUAUUUUGAUCAAGUUUGGUCAGUUUGACCCUUUGGUUGAUUGUGAGUCUUCCGAGGUAGUUCCACCUAUCGAGAAGUACUAGAACGACCUUAUUAACGAGGCUUGACUGUUAUUUGAGUUAUGUUGAUUAUAUUGGGAUUAUGAGAUUGUUUUAUAGUAUCUUAUGGAAUUCUUGGAUAUUAUUUUGAUAAUUGAAGUUAUGGAAUGGAUAAGCUUGUGAUACGUGAUUGAUGAGUUGUGAAAUUGAGUCUUGGGUCUUGGCUAUGAUUUUGAGGAAAUGAGUGGACGUUUGUUUUUAAGUGUAUUUCGUUCUUCUAAUAUGGAAUUUCUUGCAUAAUGAGUUUUGAUUGAAAAUUGAUUUAAUUUGGCUUAGUGAGGUUAUGAGAUCUCUAAGGGUUAAUAUUUAUCAUUAUUUAAUAUUAUUAUGAUUAUUAUUAAAGUAUAUGGAUUGGGUGAUAUCGGGUUAUGUACAAAAUUCUAUUAUUUUAAUUAUGGAAUAUAGUAUUUUAUAGAAAUUAUGUGUAAACAAGUUUUGCUUAUUAUUUGAAUUAUUUUUGGAUCUUUAUGGAAUAUAUGCUUGAGAGUUUAUUUUCUAUACUAUGAACAAAUGUUUGGGACAAUUGAAUUAAGGAACGGAAUAUUAUUUUUAUAAUAUUUAUAUAAGGGUUAUGAACCUCACCCUCAUAUGUACUUUCCUGGCCCCUAUACCACACGUGACAUUGGAUUUUUCAUUGUUUGGGCUUCCUUGGUUACUGAUUUCUGGUCACUUUACCACAUGUGGCAUUAGAUUUUCCGGUAUGUGGUAAAGAACCCGGGCACAUUUGAUAUUCGUUGCUUUACCCACACGUGACUUUGGAUUUUCUGGCGUGUGGGCUCACUUGGUUUGUUUGGGCCACACAUGGAGUUGGAUUUUUCGGAGUGUGUGCUCACUUGGAAACUAGUUACUUUACCACAUGUGGCGUUGGAUUAUUCCGGCAUGUGGUAAAGGAUCUGAACAUAUUGAUUACGAUUACUUUACUACACGUGGCGUUGGACUCUCCGGCAUGUAGAAAAGUAACGGGGAGAGGAAAAUGGAUUAUUAUACUAGAUCAAGAAAAAUGAGUAAUGUUUAAAGAAUUAGGCUUAGCAUAUUGUGAUUUUAUUUAAGAUUGGAAAGAUCAUCCUAAAAUUAACUUAUUGAUAUUACUAAAAAUAAUUGUAUGUUAUCUGAUUCGUGACUAUUGAUCGAACAACUACGUGUUGCUUGAUGUUGAGAAAUUAUUGCAAGUGCACAAUCCACACCAGUAAUAUAGAAAUAAGUAAAGUGUCGUUCCCAUGAAGACUGUAAUUUCCUAUUAACUACCAAUUAUGAUUAAUUCAAAAUUUUAUUUGAACAGUUGAUUAAGAAGAUUGAUUCACUUAAGUAAACUAAAACAAUUAUGAAAAAUAGCAACUUAAUUAAUGAUGGAAAAUCAAGUUGAUGAGACAUUAGAGCAUCUGAUUUCACCAAAACCAAUUCCACUUAAUUCUUAUAGCCAAUUAACCCUAAUUACUACCCAUGUUGACAUUGAUUUCUCCUAAUUCAUUCGAUAUCCCCUCUUAAGCACGACCAAAAGUAUUCUUAAUUAACAACCCAUUCUCUCUCGAACAACGGAUUUAGAAAAUCAAGAACCCAUUAAGUUCUACGAGAACCUGCAAGAAAACUGCAUGAGUCAUGUUAGUCCCUCUCGGGCACUCAUUCAAGACAUUGUAUUUGUUACGAGAAACAAACACCAAAUAUCUCCUAUCGAUCUCUGCUUGGAUCAUCAAAUCAAUUAAAUAUUGGCCAGAUAUUCAAAGAAUUAAGAACAGUAACAAAUACUCAAUAUGGAAUAGUAAUCAGAAAUUAAUAUAACUAUAAAAAUUAAGUUUUCAUGUUUCGGAUACAUCAUAGCCCUAGCAAGGAAAAUUAGUUCAUGACAAAAGAAAAGUUAAACAAGAGAAUUGUUGUCAUAAAACUGAUUUGGCCGAUGGAUUUGAUCUCUGGAUUCUCCACAGGAACACCUUCGAAAGCUCCUCAAGUAGUGCAUCAGCAAAUUCUUGGCUCUAUAUUUCUCUGGGUGUAUGAAUGUUGGUGGAAAAAUAUGGUGGAAAAAGAGAUCGUCCCUAGAGAGAGCUUAGGGUGACCUUUAUAGUGUAAAACAACUAACCCUGCUCUAAAACGGUCUGGAAAAACUCUCCUAAAUCAAAACAAAAUCCCAAACAAUUAAGGAAACAAAGUAGGAAAGAAUCCUUCUUUGACUUGGAAACACGUCAACCAACUUGCACCCAUGUUUUGGGGUCGUUCCACUUCCUAGAAAAUUAUGAAAAAAUAUGAAAAACGUAGCUUUAUCUCUAAGCUAGGCAUAUAUUACACGCCACUAGAAAAAAUUGGAAAGGUCUUCAAAUCUUCAAUUUUCCACAACAGUGCAAUUCUGACGGGAUUUCAACUUAGGCUGUCUUGACUUGCAAGUCUAGAGCAUUUGGUUUAGUAGAAAAUUAUGAAACUUUGAUCUUCAAUGUCUUAACUUUAUUCUCCAAUUGGCCUUGCUCUAAAAUUCAUUAGAAAAGUUGAUUUUCAGUUGAAAUCCUUCCAAGAGCGCAGAAUAGCUAAAAAUAAGGAAAGUAAGGUAAUAAUGCUCUUUUUGAUGAACUUUCCCUACAUAAAACAAAUAUAUGAGGUAUUAAAAUAUAGGAAUAAUGCAGACGCAAGAUAAACCAUAUUUUUGGACUUUAAUUUGGUUUGUGGUUCUAACGGGGCGGAAACUUGUUUUAGAUUGAUGAAUGAUUAUUGAUUGAGUCUUUACAACUACUUAUGACUGUGCAUACUGAGGUUUGGAAAUUUUAAACUGCGUUUUAACAAAUUGAAAAUUUUGGUUAAGUCCGUUUUUCAAGGGAGACUCUGCCAAAAUUUAUGUAGAAAGUCUCGGCCCUCUCCUCCUUUGAUUGGAAGAAAGGGUAGGAUGUUAGCAAGUGGGCCCGGCAACAGUUGGAUGUUGGAAAAACCACAGGAUCCGUCAUGAAUUUCAAGAGAUUCGGGGCGGGUCCAGUCAUCUCCCCCUAAAGAGAAUGGGUCGUUGGAGCCAAGAAAUAGGCAAUAUUUUCAUACUUCAAGGUAAUGGGAAUACAUCAAUAAACAUAUCCUUUGCAAAGAGAACUCAAACACAAGUCAUAAGAGAACCUGGCUCUGAUACUAAGUCAAACAAAGUAGGGCAAAUAUUCAGUUAUGCCCAUAUGUGUAUUCUUCUCUAAUGUAGAGGUAUUUAUAAAGAAGUACAAAGAUGUGUUAACCCUAAAUAACAUAGAAAAUAGAACUAAAUUACAAUAGGUUUGAUUAUUCAAGAACAGAAUAAUGGAAGGAAAGAGGGAGAAAACAGAGAGAGUAGAAGGAAAAAGAGAAAUAACAGCUGACGUCAAGUUUUGCAAAGCUGAGAACGGUGGUUUCCGGCCAACACCUGGGUAUGAAAUUGUUCACCUGCUCUUCCUCUUCUCUCUUGGCGGCUGGCUCUUUCUCUCAAUACCUCGCUCUAUCUCUUUGAUGGCUAGCUUGGUCUCGUGCUCUCUCUCCAUCCUCUCCUUCAUCUUCUCUUCCACCAUUCUAUAGGUUAAGAUUUCCAACAAAAACUACCUUCAAGUGGAGCGGUUGAAUAAUGAACCUAAGUUCUUUCCAAGAGACCUUGUUUUGGAUGAGGAUGAUCAAAAGAACUUGCAGGAUGAUGUGAUUCUUGUGUCCCCUCAACCCAUUACUGUUGAGGAUGUUCAUAAGAAUGAUAUUGGUGAAGAAGCAGAGGAUGCUAAUAUGCAGGAUAAUGUAGAGAAAGAUGUGGGCUGGACAGUGGUGUCUAGUCGUAAAGGGAAAACCAAAGGAGCCAUGAGAGAUGGCAGAACCUUUACUGAAGUGGCUAGGGGCGUUAACUGAAGGGAACUCGGGUCCGAACCCUAAAGUUUUCUUUAAGGAUGCUAGGCCGAGUGGAGUGGACAAAGGGAAGAAAUUGGUUGAGGAACCGAGCCUAUCUCAGGAAGCUUAUAGCUCUUCUGAUGCUUUGGCCUUUAAGAGCCUUAAGAAAAGAACCAGAGAACUCUUUGAAGAAGUCCAGGAGGAGUCAGAACCAAGUGUUGAAAUGCUGGGGUUUUUCACCCCUCUGUCCAUGAUAAUAACACAACCAUCCCAUGAAGAUCUUAGUAUGGAAUAGCCAAGGCAGUGCCUAGCAUGGCUUUGUUAUCCACUCAGUCUUUUAUAUUAGUACUCUAUGUUUAGAUGUUUUUUGUAUUCUGGUUCUAGGGUCGCUCGGGAUCAAGCUGAUCGUUUGGUCCAAGGAUUAGGUUUUACUAGCAGCUUUUGUAUCCCCUCUGUAGGACAAUGUGGGGGAAUUAUCUUGAUGUGGAAUUCUUCUGUCUUAAAUAUUAGUAUUUUGAAUUAUCAUAAGCGUUAUAUUAACUGUGAGAUUCAAGAUCUUUCUACUAAGAAGGUGUGGAUAAACACCUUCAUCUAUGCCUACCUCCAAAAAGCCAAACAGGCGGCUUUGUGGAACGAUCUCAGGUCGCUUAAACCCAUGCCUAAAAUCGCUUGGAUUCUGAUUGGUGACUUUAACAAUUUUUGCUCUUUAGAUGAAAAGAUGGGUGGAUCUCAUGUGAUUACCCAGGCUGUUGAUGCUCAAAAUGGCUCGGCCAAUAUUGAGUCCAACUUAGUGAUUAGAUGUGCUGGGUCUUCAGUAGGGAAGAGGGCUGAGGCCCUUGGCGAAAUAUAGGUUGAUGGGAAACCUGCAGAAGACAAAGUGGGAGAAGCAAUCGUUAAGCUUCGGACACCGGUGUGGUGCCGGCCGAAGGCUCUCCGAUGCCUAAGUCAGUUACAAGUAGUAAUUCUGGCAGAGUAACAGUAAAAGUGGGAGAAUAGUUCUUGCUUUUACCUGGGUACUGUUCCCUAUUUAUAGGGAGGUGAAAGUAGGAGGUUUGCACAAAGUUCCGAUGUGGGACUUUGUGCAAGUCGUCGUGGUGGCGACACGUGUCCUGGAGAUUAGGUUUGGCAGCUGGGGGCUUCGGUAGGUGUCUGGCACCUCGGAAGUGUGUCUUCCUUCGGCACAGGAGAAGGCGUGGCUGCCUUGGUGCUAGUCACUUUGGUGCUGGGUAUGCUCGGUUCAUUAUGGUGUAAACAGUAGUCCCCCAAGUUCGCGGUCGAGAAGUAACUUCUAGGUUGGGAACUUGUGAGUUUUUGUAAUUGUAACCGAGCAUUCCAGCUUCGUUGGGAGUCGUAGGGCACUCCCUAGUCCCCCAAGUUGGCAAGCUAGGAGUUGCGUGAACAUAUGGUAGCUGGGUACCUGGGUACUUGGGCAUGUUGCAGAUAAGAUGUGAGCUGGGUCCGUAGGGGAGCCAGGCCUUCAAAGGAGCCGGGUUGAGUGAAAUUUUUGGACUCCCCACAAUUUGUCCAUGGCCCUUGCCGUUCGGCAAGGGUCUAGCCAAAUAUUUCCCUCAUUUUUUUUUUGGUGUGCUCGGGAGCUAGGCCAUCGAGGGAGCCGGGCCAUUUGAAAAUUUUCGACUCUCCAAAAUGUCUCCAUGGCCCUUGCCGUUCGGCAAGGGUCUAGCUUUUUUUUUUUUUUUUUUUUUGAAUGGCCGGGAGCUAGGCCUUUUUGGGAGCCGGGUCGUUUUUGAAAAUUUUGCUCUCCAAAAUUUCGACAUGGCCCUUGCCGUUCGGCAAGGGUCUAGCUAUUUUUUGGUUGCUCGGGAGCUAGGCCUUUUUGGAUUGGGUCUUCGGCAAGGGGCUGGGGUUGGGUUCAAAGUGGGCUUCGGCAUGUGAGAAAGGCUAGGGUUUUGAGAAGGUUGGACCCGAGAUGGGCCUUGGCCAAAAGAUAAAAGGAUAGGAGCUAGGGUUUAGUAUUGGGAGAAGGGUCUCUAGAGACCUUGAUAUAGCCUGCCGUUCGGCAGGGUGGAUAGAGAUUUUUUUUUUGUUUUUUGGGGCUGUUCACAUAAAUUCGGUAGGCAAGGAGAUUGUGACCGGAGAAGAGAGCCUGCGCCGUCGUCCGUAGCCGAGCAUAUUGCGGGCCAUUCGGGAAGCAAAUUUGUGGACUCAGGUCUGCACUGGCCUCGGCCAAGUCUGGUUCCGGAGGAGAUCGAGGGUAAGAGAAGAUCGAAGUGUGGGCUGGUCCUUCGGCAGGGCGGCGCAGCAACUGGUUCGGUGAGCCUUCGGUGUAGCAGUUGCUGUCGGAGUGGUGCUUCGGCAAGGCGACACAGCUGGAGUAGCUUGGUUGUGCUUGCCGAUCGGCAGGUCUUGGCCACGGCUGGCCUUGUUGUUGAUCGAAGCUUCGUCAAAGCAUCGGGGUUGUCCUUCGGCAGGUUCUGUCCGAGGAGGUGCUGGCUGCGCGGCAGCUGGGUUGUCGUGGUGUCUAGCAGAGGGAGAGCUGCCCAACGUUCUUGCCGUUCGGCAAGAGACGUGGCGACGGCUGGGGUGUCCUGCGGCAGGCGGUGUUGCUGGGCAGAUUCUGCAGGCCGUGGCUGGGGUUGUUUCGGCAGGCGCCGUAGCUGGAGCACGGGGCUAGGGCCUUCGGCAGGUGCUGCGCAGGGUCGUUGAGGUAUUUGUUGAAUCCUUCCGAUCGGCAAGGGUGGUGUGGAGAGUAUUUUGACCGAAAAGGUGAGUCCCCCAUUUGUUGUUUCCCGGGCCUUGCCGUUCGGCAAGCCCAUUUAUAUUAUGUGGUGGAAUUGGCUUGGGUGUCUUGAUCAAAUUUGGGCCGAGCCUUGUAGUAGGUUUGGGCUUAUGGAGUAGGCUAGCAAACUUGAAAUUUUGGGACUCCAUUUUGUGUUUGCACGGGCCUUGCCGUUCGGCAAGGCCCCUAUGUUUCCCUCAAUUUUUUUGUUUUUGGUUGUUUGUGUAUUUUGGAAAUUGAAUUUCAAAUUGUGUGUAGGUACAAGGGAUUUAGGAGGGAAUAUGAAAGGAUGCUAGGGUUUGCUCGUGAAUCGAGGCGUGGUACCCUUAGUUGGCUAUAAAAAGGAACUUGGGGUGGGGAAGGCACCACACUUGAGUUGAGUUGAGAAAAUUUGUGAGAAAUUGAAGAAGAGGAGAGGCGAUUUCCGGCGAUUAGUUUGUGGUGGUGCUUGUGGCUGAGGUGAUUUUCGGUGAACCAUUCGUGGUGCUACGAACAAGGUUAGACCUUAUUUCGCUAGAACCUUUGAAUUGAAAUGUCUUGUUUUGCAUGAACAUGUUGAAGGUUAGGAAGAACACAUUGAACAUGAGCAUGAAUAUGAUGAACAUGUUGAACAUAUGUAUGAACAUGUAGAAUUCUUGCCUGGCAUGAAGAUUUGGCAAAUUUUUGUUGUUGUGGUUCGAUCCUCUCUGCAUGUGCAUUUAGUUCCUUUUUCUUGUUUUUCCAUAUUUGUAGAUGUCUGAAAGUUCUGAUAGGGAAGUUUGCACAAAGUUCCGAUGUGGGACUUUGUGCAAGUCGUCGUGGUGGCGACACGUGUCCUGGAGAUUAGGUUUGGCAGCUGGGGGAUUCGGUAGGUGUCUGGCACCUCGGAAGUGUGUCUUCCUUCGGCACAGGAGAAGGCGUGGCUGCCUUGGUGCUAGUCACUUUGGUGCUGGGUAUGCUCGGUUCAUUAUGGUGUAAACACAGGCCAUGAUGAACUUUAAUAAACUUCUAAGUGACUGUGAAGUUGUUUCUACGAAUGCUUCUAGGGCUCCUAUGAUAACUCUGUUAUCUUUGAAAGACUUGACCGGGCUGUUGCAAACCCGGAUUGGUUGAGACUUUUUCCCAACUGUGAGUUCCAAAAUCUGCCUAUCUUAAGAUCAGACCAUGGUCCCAUUCUCCUCAAUUGUAACGAUACCCCUAGAAGAGUCCCCAAAGCCUUCAGGUUUGAGGCCAUGUGGUUAGCCCAUAGAGAUUUUGACAAAGUGGUUAACCAAAUUUGGAAUGCUUCCUAUAGUGGGAAUGCUGCCCAGAAAAUUCAAUCAUGUUGGAAGUUUGAAAGCAAAUGUCCCACAUUGGAGAAAACAAAAGGUUCCAUAUGCUUUAUAAGCAUGAAACCUUAAUAUUAAUUAAAUAAAGAUUGGUGGGCUGAUGGGCUUGGUAGUGAAGACUAUCAUGGUUGGCUUGCUUGAUUAAUAUUAAUAUUUAAAUAAUCAAGACUUGGGCCUUGGGCCUUGGGGGUCUCUGGAAAAUAAAAGAAAUAUACCUAGCCCGAAAAUAAAAUAAUUAUUUUUUAUUUUCGGAUUUCUUUGGCAGAAGUUAAAUUCAAACCAAAAAGACUUAUCUUUUUGUUUGAAUUUGAACAGGUAUAACUGAUACUAACUGCUAUUUUGAAGGGGUGUAAUUCUAUUAUAAAACCACAAGUCCUAGGCCAUAAGACAAAUCUCUUUUCCUUAAAACUAUCUCAUAUUAUUUUAAAGUUACCAACUGUAUUGGAGAGAAGCACACCAACGUUCGCCAGAAUUCAAGGAUCCGGUACUGGACCCUUGAAUUAUAGAUAGUUGAAUCCUGGGAGAUAGACGCCUGUUGAACUUCAAGCACUGAGAAGAGGCGAAAUUCGGUCUUUAGGACAUUGCAAAUACGCAAGCCUCUAUCUUCAAUAAAAGUCAGUAUUCUGUACUUAAUUUAAAUAUUUGCACAUUUAUACAGAUUUCGUAAUUUUGCUACUGUUUAUAUUUUCAAAAUUGUGCACUAAUAUAGUGAUCCUAUAGUUUAAAACAUUUACUGAUUAUCUUCGUAACAAAUCCUGCUGUAACACUUUUAAGCACAAACUAAAAUCCUGAAACAGAAAUGUCUUUGGGGACUUGUUCCAAAAGAUUAGAUUCAUCCAAGAGGAUUUACUUUUAACCCAGAAACAAUUAGCCCAAAACCCCUACAAUUCUUAUCUAUUUGAUAAAGAACUCAAGUUAAACACUGAUCUAAGGACUAUGCUUGAUCAAGAAGAAGUUUUUUAUGCCCAAAAAGCAAGAGCUAACUGGCUUCAACUUGGGGAUAAGAACACUAAAUACUUUCACACUCAAGCUUUAAUUAGAAGGAAACGUAAUCAGAUCACUAGAAUUAGGGAUCCUAAUGGGUUGUGGGUUGAGGGUGAUGUUCUCCAUCAUACCUUUAUUCAAGCUUUCAAGCUUAUAUUCACUGCUGAUCAGACUCCAAAUCCUCUUCUAAUGAGUAAUUUUCUUCAACUUGUUGAGCCUUGCAUCACUAGCCAAGAUAAUGUAAAUCUGUUGGCUCCUGUUUCAUAUUUUGAGCUAGAGUAUGUUGUGUGGAGUAUAGGGCCUCUUAAAGCCCCUGGCCCUGACGGCUUGCAAGCAGUGUCCUACCAAAAAUGUUGGAAGAAUACUAAGAAUAAGAUUAAGGACCUAGUUAAUGAUUUCCUUAUCAAUAAUGUUCCUCUACAGGAUGUCAAUCAUACCAAUAUCGCCCUUAUUCCUAAAGUUAAUUCCCCGAAGACUGUUAACCAGUAUAGGCCCAUUAGUUUAUGCAAUGUCUCGUACAAAAUUUUGAUAAAUCGUCUUAGACCUCUGCUUUCAAAAUGCAUAUCCAGAAACCAAGGAGCUUUUGCUCCAGGUAGAUCUAUUUUUGAUAAUAUUCUUGUUGCUCAUGAAUUAUUCCAUGACUUUAAAAGAAAGAAAGUUAACAGAGGAGCUAUGGCCAUUUAAGCUUGACCUUGAAAAAGCCUAUGACCUCCUUGACUGGAGUUUCAUUAGAGGCUGCUUGGCUCAAUUUGGUUUUAGUAAUGACUGGUGUGAUCGAAUCAUGAACUGUGUUUCUAGCACUUCCUUUUCCCUUCUUAUUAAUGGUUCUCCCUAUUGUCACUUUAGGGCUUCCAGGGGAAUUAGGCAGGGAGAUUCUUUGUCGCCUUAUAUUUUUAUCCUUUGCAUGGAGCCUUUUAUUAGGCAUUUAAAUUGUAUUGCAAGGAAUCCUAAAUCUAAUAUGGGUUUGCUCUCUUCCCCAGGAGGUGAUCGUAUCUCUAACAUGGUCUUUGCUGACGAUUGCCUUAUUUUUGCUAGGGCAACUACCAUGGCUGCCAAAAAUAUCAAUACAGUGUUAGGUAAUUUCUCUAAAGUUUCUGGUCAGAAAAUUAACUUGCAUAAGUCCACCAUUUAUUUUUCUGGAAAUGUUCAUUCAAAAGUCAGAGCCGUGCUAAGUAAUCUUUUGCAGAUUCAACAUAAGACCACCUUAGGUCGUUACCUUGGCAUCAACAACAUUAUCUUUUGGAAAGAUCCUGCUAAUGCCAAUCUUUUGAUCGAAAGAAUUUGGUCUAAGUUUGUCGGUUGGAAGGCCAACACUUUAUCUAAAGCUAGCCAUCUCACUCUAAUUAAGGCUAGUGUCUCUGGAAUUCCUAACCAUACUCUUUCCUGUUUUAAAUGUCCCAAAGAAGUUUGUAAGGAAAUGAAUGCUUGUUGUAGACCUUUUUUCUGGGCCAGUGACAAGAAGGUCCCCCCAAUUUCUUGGAAAGAUAUUUGUUUGCCAAAAUAUCUAGGAGGUCUAGGGGUUAGAUCUGCUACUCUUUUUAAUAAGGCGGGUUUAGCCAAAUUAGGUUGGAUCUGCUUGACUGAUACUACCAAUUGGUGGGCUCAAAUCGUGACGAAAAAAUUACUUAAAAAGAGAUUGCUUUCUUUUUGUCAGAAAAAGGACUUCUCAGUCGCUUUCCUGGAAGGCUAUCCUUGAUGUUCGGUCAGUUUUGCUUAAAGGUUGUAGAUGGAUUGUUGGUAAUGGUCAAUCCAUUCCCUUCUGGACUGCUAAUUGGGUAUUCCCUUUCCCUUUGCUUGAUUUAAUUCCUGAGUUUUUGAGAAAUAACUUGAAUUUGAAUCCUUCAAGUAAUUGAUGAAGAUGUUAUGGAUCAAAUCCUUUCUAUCCCUCUCCCUUUGUCUCCUCUGCAUGAUAAAUUAGUCUGGGGGUCUGACCCCAAUGGGAAGUUUUCUAUUAAAUCUGCUUAUAAUUUACAAUUGUAGGAUAAGCCCUCACACCCGAGAACUCCUUUGCUGAAGAAAAUGUGGAGCUUGACUUUGCCCCCUAAAGUCAAGCUACGCUUGGUUACUCAUACGAAAAAGACUGCAAGUUCGAAGUCAUUUACAAAUACAUACCUAAUAUUAAUCCUGAAUGCCCCUGUUGUAAGAAUCACUUGGAGACUAUUAACCAUUUAUUUUUUGAAUGUCAAUUUGCAGUUAAUAUUUGGAGGUGUACCUCUAUCAAUCCUACAACCUCAAAUCAGAAUUUUGAUGGUAUCAAGUGGCUAGAUUUGCUCCCUUACAUGAAGGAUAAAAAUGGCCUGAAUAUCCUCUCAAAAGCUCUCCUCCUCUGCUGGCAAAUUUGGGAGGCUCGGAACAACUGUGUCUUUAAGAACAUGGCCCCCCAUCUGGCUAGUGCUCUUACUGUUGCUGGUCAAGUUGGUCUAGACUUUUUUAAAAACAACUCCACUCCUCCCCUGAGGCCUAAAGGUGAUCUGUCUAUCAAGUGGAAGCCGCCUCCCCCCGAUUGGAUGAAAUUAAAUUUUGAUGGUUCGGUGCGUGAACAUAUGGCUGCCAGUGGUUUUGUUAUCCGAGAUUGGAAUGGCAAUGUUAGACUUGCGGGAGCUAAGAAGUUAGGACAGGUUUUGAUCAAUGUGGCGGAAUGUUUAGCCCUUCGUGAUGGCCUAGCCCAUGCUAUCAAUAAUGGUUGGAGUAAAAUUGUAACGACCCGGUCCUAAACUAAUAAUUAAAUAUGAAAUUAUUAAAGAAAAAGACAAUAUUACCCCAGAAUAUUUUAAUAGGUUUACAUGUUGACUUGUUGACCGGGGAGACUUUGGUGAAAUUGUUACAUCCUGGUCCGAAAAAGUGUUAAAACAAUUAAAAAGAGAAUAAAUUUAAAUGUGGAAAUAAAUUGAAGUAAACAUUAAAAUAAAAUGAUUUGAAUUAAUUAAGGUUUUUGAGAAAUUAAAACAUUAUUUAAUAUUAAAAGGGGCACAAAGGUCAUUUUAAGUUUGGGAAAGAAUUUAGAAAUUCUGAUUAUAUCAUUUUGUAGAGCACGUCGAAACGAGUCCGUAAACACGUAGUGGUCUCAAAUCGGAGUUGUAACGAAGAAAUGGCGAUCCAAAGAAGUUCAGUGGCAUAAUCGUAAAUAGUUCGAAGUUCAGUUUUUUUAAAAACCCAGAUUUCUUCUCUCUGGGCAGUUCGACCAGCUGACUUCCAAAGGUGAUAUCUCUCAACUCCGACCACCAAUUGAAGCAAGACCAGUCCCAUUAGAACCAUCACACUUACCUCUUCCAGACCCAACCUCUCGCUACCCCGAUCCGCCGCUGUAUUCGCCGGAAACAGCCAAUAAAAGGGCGGUGUUGAACAGUUUUUUGGUAAACUUUCACCGGCUCGUUCUCCCUCCUCCGGCCACCGUUUCAUGCGAGUGAGGUAUGCUUUCUCACCUAUUUUUCAUGAUCUAGCUGAUGGUUGAGUAGGAAUUUAUCAACUUUGAGCCUAGUUAGUUCGAUUUUCGAACCUCGAUUCCGGCCACUUCGGGUCACUUUUUGGGGUAGAUUUAAGAACUAAAGUGGUUCCAAAUAGGGUGUUUUACCUAGGAUAGGAAGCUGGGUUUCCAGCUUUGAAGAUUUCCGGUUGCCGGAAUUUGAUCAAGCUACCCACUAGCUGCCAGCGCUUGUGGCGGCGCGUGGGCAGCAUAGUGAAGUCAUUUUCAGAACCUAAAAUGAUUCUUGGUCCUCAUGAGCGCGUAGAAAUUCGCGGAUAUUAAUUUGGACAACGUUUGAAUCCCGAACGGAUCUCUCAUAUUGUGCGAUUUCCGGGUUCAAUGCAUUUGAACCGUUGGAUUGUAGUCAAUUUUAUAUAUGUUGAUCUAGACAAUCCCAGGAUUGGGUAGGAUUUGACUGAUCAUAAAUCGGAGCCCCGGAUACUCCGAAAAUGCCAAACCUAGGGCUAGGUUUAUAGUAACCAUACGAUUGUGCAAUUGUGAGUAAUCCGACCGUCCGAUCGAGGUCAAACUCUCCGGACAUAUGUCCUAGGCAGGUUAGAACCUCUAGGAACUCUCAAAUUGGAAUUUUGAGGUCGUGGACCCCACAAGGUCCCAGGUUGACUUUUUGGGACUUUAUCGCUUUUAAAUGCCGAGAUACUUUUAGACCGCUCUAAACCCUGGGAAGAGCUACUUUGAGGAUAGAAAUGACUUUAAAGUUGGUGCAUGUACUUCUAGAAACCCAGGGCUAGGGUUUCGGAUAAAAUAACGUGGAUGAGCUUUAUUGUUUGUGUGUUUUAGGAAGUUCAUGUACGUACGAGUGUUCAUUGGUUUAAUUAUGACAAUAAUUUCAUGGAUUAGAUUACCAUAUCACUUAUUAUGAAAUUAUAUGACUAUGGAAUAAGUAGAUAUGAUUGUAUACAUGUGGAUUACUAAAUUAUAUAAAAGUAUUUGAAGAUGUGAUAUAGUAUGUGAUGGUAAACCUAAAGGGUAUUUACGAUAAUUGGAGAUUAUGUAAUUUUGAGAAUUGAUUUCUGGAAAAUUGAGAAGAGAAUAUAAGCAGGGUUUGUGAAACAAGAGGACCUUUGAGAUAAGUUUCAGAAUAUGUUUUUUAAACCCACCUCAGGAGUACCCCCAGUUGCCUUGAGACAGUUUGUUAUUUAUGAUAAUGCCCCAUGAGUUUCGGGGACGCCUGAAUCAUGUGGUGCGAGGAUUGCCGCUCAGAUUGAAGUAUUAUCUCUGAGACCUGCGAGGAAUGCGGCUCGAAUGGACUUGGUGUCUCCGGGACUUGCGAGGAUUGCGGCUCAGAUUGAAGUGUUAUCUUUGAGACCUUCGAGGAAUGCGGCUCGGUUAACUUUAUGGUUCCGAGACCUGCGAGGAUGGAAUUGACUGACUAACAUUGGAAUUGACGGAUUAUUAAAGGAAUUGACGGAUCGGAAAUGGGGGUACUCCUAGGUAGAGAGAAUUGAAGUCCUGAGAUGUUUUUAAACUAAAUUGAGGAUUUUAUAUAGUUACCAUUAUUUUCUUAAGCGUCACAUUUGUUUUACAAGCGAUAGAUGGAAAUAUAUAUAUAUAUAGAUUCUAAGCAAGUUAUUGAUGUAUAAAAAUAUAUUUAUUUAUUUAUGAACGUGAGUUUGAUACAAGGGUGUUCGGAGCUUAUAAAUCUUUAACUUAUUUAAUUUUAUUUAAUUUUAUUAAGUUUAUUUAUCUUUAUCUUGCAUUAUUUUAUAUAGUAUUAAAUAGCUUAAGUUUUUCUAGCAUAUUUUACCCUACGAGUCCUAGAUAUAUUCGGACCGUGGGAGUGAGGAUUGCGAACUAGGUUGACCAGAUGUCUCCUAAGUUCAGCGAGAAUUACAGGUCGGGACGUGUCACCAAUGGUGUCAUGAGGAAUUGAUGGUUAUGGCUUUCCAAGCAUGGUUACUUGAUAUAAAUGCUUUUAUUUCUUCGUUUGAUUGUAUAUUGCCAUGUGAGAAAUGCCAGAAAGCUUGAAACAGAAAGCUGAGAUGAAAUUUGAGAACUAGAGUGGUUUUGCAAUGAAAGAACUACGUGUGGCUUGAUCCCUCAGUAAGGGUACAUAGGCAGCCUAUAGGUACAAGGUGCAGCGACGAGUUAGAAUGUUUGAAAUUACCAAUGCAUUAUUGUUGUUCUGAAAGUUGAGAUAAAUUUUAUUAGCAGAUUGAUUUAUUUGAUUUAUUGCAACCUCAUACUAGAAUAUUAUGAUGCUUAAUUUGUUUGGAUAUAAUUGAAUGCAUGCUGAACGAUUGAGUUAUAUAAAUGUUUGAUGAUAGGUGAAAAUUUUGGGGAAUGAGUAAAUUGCCGGGGAAACUUUGUCGAAUUUUUAGCAGAAGAUAAUCUUAUUUUUUUAAAAUGGAUUUUUAGUUAGAAGGGCAUUUUGGUCUUUGUGCCUGGCAUUAGCCAAGUGUUGGACACUCACAGGGUUCUGCUCAGAUUCCAAAGUGGAAUUUGGGUCGGGUCCUGUCAAAAAUUCUAAUUGAAGGUGACUCCAAGCUUAUCAUCGACUGCAUAAACGAAAAAACUUUGGUUCCAUGGAGUAUCCAUCUCUUGGUGCAAGAUAUCAGACUGCUUAGUUCCUUUUGUUAUGAGUUUUCCUUCCAGCACGUCUUUUGCGGAGCAAACUUCACUGAUGAUGCUUUAGCUAGUUUAGGCCAUAGCUUGAGCCCCUCCCACCUCUAGGAUCGGGGGCUCCCUUUAAGUUGCUCUAUUCCUUUUUAUUUUGAUUUAUUGGGGCAUGCGUGCCCUAGUGGGUUCCGGUUGUAAGGUUCCUUAUUUUCCUAUAAAAUUUAAAAAAUAAAAUAAUAAAUAAAAAAAAGAGAAGACCAAAGUUAUCUUUUUUCCCCCCAGAAUAUAUAUGGCCUUGUGGCCCUAGUUCUAAGUUUUAAAAUACAAAUGGCUUCAAUAUGCUUAUCAGUUACUGUUAUAGUUGAACAUGAAAACUCCAUUUGCCAAUAUAGGAUUCAAGAGAGAGACAAUUAUGGAUAAAUAAUACUCAUUCAUAUAUUGGUCGAAAAAUUAUAGAUUUCUUUCAAUCUCGGUCAUUGGUUGCAUUCUCUGUUAUGUCAAAGAUCUUAUAUUAUAUAUAAAAAAGGAUUUUGCAACUAUGACGUAUAAGAUUUUGCAUUCUCUGUCAUGUCAAAUUUGAUUUAUAUUGGGUUCUAUUUCUAUAGUUUUUAGUAUGAUUCUUAUUAUUUUUUCUUUAUCGGUUUUGUAUUUUUCUCAGGCCUUUCACUUGUGAAGUAUGGGGAAGAAGCCCUCGAUCAAAAAGUCAACUUUCCAGAAACGCUGGGAAGGCAAAGUUGUAACUACUUAGGUAAUGCCAAACAAGAUGGCAAAGGGAGAAGAACAACCGAUCUAUUGUAACCACUGAGCGGGAAGAAAGUUCUGCACCAUACCACAAAACCCUUGCAGAUCACCCUUUGUUUGGCGUGAAGCGAUAUAUACACAAGAACCACAACUCAUAUGAUCCCGUGCUACAUGUUAAUGUCGCUGGCCAUUUAUCUCACAAGGUACAUAUCCAAUUGCAUUUCAAAUUUGCACAAUUGCAUUUCACAUAUGCAAUUACCUGUAUAUUGUCUGGAAAUUGUUAAUUCAAUUGCAUUUAAAAUUUGCGCAAUUGGAUUUCAUAUAUGCAAUUACCUGGCUGUUGUAUGGCAAUUGGAUGAAAUAAAAAAUAUGCAACUUGCCACAAAGUUUGCCCUGCUCUAGAUAGAUGUAGUCUUAUGCUAUAUUAAUUUUUUCGAUGGCAAUGCAAUGUUCACCGUAGAAUUUUGUGUAUGCUGCUUUUCGAUAAAGAAUAUCAGAUCUGGAAGUAGUAUAACACUCGCCUUUUCUUUUCUUUUCUUUUUUAUUUAUUUAGUUUUUUUCUUUUAGGCUACUUGCUUAAGCAAACUCUGUGUAAAUUGUGUGUCUGAAAAUCGGAUACAACAUUGCUUCAAAAAAAUCUGAUAGAGCAGUACUUCAAGACACUUAUUUUAUGUCUUUACUAUCUUCUCAGCUCUUCUUCUUUUAAAUAAAUAUUUUAAAAAACAAAAUCUCAGCCCUUCUUCAUUACUCCUCUAGUUAGUUACUAACAUCCUCUCUUAGAUCAUAUGGCUGGUCACAUCCUUUCCUAAAACAAAUAGAAGCUGCUAAACAGUUUUUUAAUUUAGUGUCAGUUUUAAUCUUAUAUGCAUAUGUUACUUAAGUAUUUCUUACUUUCUUUUGGUUGGAAAUAUGUAGGAGACUUAAAAUCUUCUCAAAGUUUGCAAUUCAUUGAUCAAUGUACCAAAAGAUAGUGAUGGAUAUUUGACAAAUAUGAGAUGCAAGUCAAUUGAGCACAUUAAGGGAUGCAGCGGAAACUACAAACAUGUUCUUCUUUGUGUCGGUUGUGACACUUGGAGUACUAGUAUACUCCCAUUUUUAUUGUUAACAAAAAAAUAUAAUAUAAUAUAAAUCGAGAUAAGCACGUAAAUUGCAUUUACAGUUUGCAAUUGUACUAUAGAGUUGUAUUUUGAGAUUAGUGUAUACUUAUUGUCAUGUUACUGACACCCUUUUCAAUUUUGAGAAUGUAAAUAAAAUAUGUGAUUUGUCAAUGCAAUUGACAAACAGGUAGUAUCGUUUGCAUUCUAGUCGUACAAUUGACAAACAAAGCUGUUCCAUUUACAUUCCAGUUGCGCAAUUGCCAUUAUUUAUGUACCCACUAAAUUAAUGCUCCAACUAUUUAUAUAAAUUUUGUUAUGUACUCAUGAUUAAACAUGGAUGCAAUUAUAUUUUCCUCGCUUUUUUGGUUGAAAUUAUAUUUUCCUUGUGAAUGUUGUCAUAUCAUACUACUUUUUUGAACAGCGAGGCAACGUUUGGAAUCCCAAUAUGCAAUUGCCAAUUUGCGGAACAACUUUUGCACUUUUGCAUUGUUAGUAUACGAAUACCAAAAUUCAUAAUCAAUAAAUAAUAUCAAAUCAUUCAAACUUAAUUGUAUUUUAGACAUGUUGUGCAAUUAAUGUGUUAAUCAAUAACAUACACACAUUGACAUAAAUAAAGUUACGAAGCAUUAUAUUUUCACAUUUUAAGUAUUAUGCCACUGUGAAUUCAUAAGUAUGCCAUUGUGAGUCACAUCAAAUUACAUAUUUUGCUUUCACUUAGCCACAUCAAGUUUGUAAUCGACGAACACGAACAGGCACCACAUAAUUGUCAUUCCAACUUGUGAAAACUGACUACUUGAUUAGAAAUUGCCAAAUGACCUAUGUCAAAGGUAAAUUAGGCUAUUGAAACAUUAUGUAUUAGGAUAAAUCUCAACGUUGUAAAUUGUAAUGAAGAUGUGAAAUCUCGUAAAUGAGAAUCAAAAUCUUGUAAUCUACAAGAUUAUGGAUACAAUUUACAAGUUUAUGGAAUCUUCAUUUCCAAAAUAGUGUAACAUAAGUCCUUAAUGUUGUAAACCCUUGUAAAUUAGGCCAUUACAAUAUUAUGGAUUAAAGUGAACCUUAAUGUUGUAAUCACCAUGCGAGAUCUCAUAACUGGAACCCAAAUCUAGUAACGUACAAGAUUAGGGAUAUACUUUACAUAUUAUGGAACUCUCAAGUCCCAACUAUUAUAAAAUGAGUCUUUAAUGUUGUAAAUUAUUGUUUUUACAACAAUAAGGAACACUCUUUUAUGACAUUAUGGUACCCUCGGUCCUUAAACUUUUAACAAAAUUAUUUACUAGAAUAAUGACCCAUUUUACGACGUUAAGGUACCCUCGGUCCUUAAUCUUGUAAAUCAUUGUUUACUAGAAUAAAGACCCAUUUUAUAUCCCAAAGGUCCACCAUUACCAAUUCUUUAUAAUGUGGAUCCAUAUUCUUGUAAAAGACUUAUUUACAACAUUAUGGAUUUGGUGAACCCUAACAUUGUAAUCUAUGAGCAAAACCUGGUAAAUUGUUACCAAAAACUUGUAAGUUACGAGUUUAGGGAUUCUCUUUACGAUGUUAUGGUACUCUCGGUCCUUAAACUUUUAACAAAAUUAUUUACUAGAAUAAAGACCCAUUUUACAUCGCUAAGGUCCACCAUUACCAAUUCCUUAUAAUGUAGAUCCAUAUCCUUGUAAAAUGGUGAUUUACAACAUUGUGGAUUUGGUAAAUCCUAACAUUGUAAUCUAGGAGCAAAACCUUGCAAAUUGUUACCAAAAACUUGUAAGUUAUGAGUUCAGGGAUUCUCUUUACGAUGUUAUGGUACCCUCAGUCCUUAAUCUUGUAAAACAUUUUUUACCAGAAUAAUGACCCAUUUUACAUCGCUAAGGUCCAUCAUUACCAAUUCCUUGUAAUGUGGAUCCAUAUCCUUGUAAAAGGCUGAUUUACAACAUUAUGAAUUUGGUGAACCCUAACGUUGUAAUCCAGGAGCAAAACUGACAGGACUUGACCCAAAUUCCCCUUUUAAAUCCAAGCCGAACCCUGUUCGUGAUCGACACCUGGCAGGUGCCGAGCACAAAUGACCUGGUUGCCCUUCUGGUUACAAACUUACUUUCAUUUUUACCUUGACUUCUACUGAAAAUUCGGCAGAGUCUCCCCUGUAAUUUGUUCAAUCCCAAAAUUACACCUGUCAAAACAAGCAUAUAUACAUAACCCAACUUCUAGCAUGCGUAUAUAUAUACAAUCAACAGUAAAGUUCGAGCCCAGGGGCAAUAUCAGAGCAUCUAUACAGAUUAAUUUACAAGAAGAACAUUUGGAGGGUCAAGGGCCCUACACUAAGCUGAAGAGAUGCAGGAAGCGGAAACUGCCCUGUGGUGGCUUUCAAAUGCACGUCUACGGCCUGGGGGCUCAAAACAUUUAAAAGGUGAGUGGACCCAAAAACAAAGUUUUAAGAAAAAUAGCAUAAGAACAUACUAACCCCACCGUGAAAACAAUUAUACAAAACUAAUUCAUUCUUUUAAUCAUAUACAUACUGAAAUCAAUGCACUCAUAUAUAUAUAAAUAUAUGUCAAGCAAACUCAUAUCAUCUUUAAACUCUUAAAAGCACUGAAAUCAGUUUAAAACUACCACCUAGGUGUACCCCUUAAAUUCUGUCAAUUCCUGAUAAGGUCAAUUCCUGAUAAUCCGUCAAUUCCCCUGGUAGGUCUCGGUGACACAAAAUCAACCUGAGCCGCAAACUGGCAGGAUUCAGGGGACCGUAGUCAGCCUGAUCCUCAUUCCUGGACCUCACGGUCCGGGCGUCCCCGAAACUCGUGAAGCAAAUGUCAAGCGCGCUGACAAAACUGAAGGCAACUUGGAUGUCCGUGGACAUCGUCAUAUCCGAAGGCAACAUAUACCGAAGGCAACCUGUUUCUAUAACUGGGUACCUAAGGUGGCUUAAGAAAAUCUAAAAAUCUUUGAAAAAUAUGAUAAAUAACUGAAUUUUUGUUAAAUCUAGAACUUUGCUGCCAUUUAUCUGUUAUUUAGCUAAAAUUUCCUUUUCCUAUAUCCAUAACGGAUAUCUCACUCGGUAGCAUGUGAAUUCAAAACAUUUAAAAGCAUAUAUCAACUAAUAAAACACUAAUCUUUGAAUAAAACGUAUUCAAGAUCAAAUAUUGUAACUAAAUAGCAUAAAUUCAUUUAUGAAAACAAAGAGUCCACUCACAGCUGGUCCGAGCUCGCUGGACCUUUUGGAGGUCCCUCCUGCUGGUCAACUGGUGCCCGGGUGCCUCACUCGUCCAAUUUGGUGGCUGGAUGAAGGAGAACGAAAGCUUGGAAGUUAUGUCAACUCCGGCGUGAUCUCGAGCAUUUUCCGGCAAAAAACAGCGGUUCCAAGGGCAGGGACCGGUUGGGAAAGGAAGAGGAAGCAGUGGUGGUUCGAUUGGGUUCGGUCCCGUCGGUCGGAGUGGAGUGUGGCGAUGGUUAUGGAGGUUUGAAGGUAACGGUUUAAAAUAGGGGGGGCCUGCUGGUCGAGAGAGAAGAGUGAGGGAGGAGAGAGAGACAGUCAGUUUUUAAAAAAAAUCCUGAUUUCAAAAUUACCAUUUUCUCCUUCUACGUAUUUUGACCGUAUUUUCUUCGUUACAACUCCGAUUCGAGUCCACUCCGUGUCUACGGACUCAUUUCAUUGUACUCUACGCAACGAUGCAAGUGAAAUAGUCAAAUUCUUUCUCGGUCAAAAAGUCAAGUUUUCCUUUACUAGAAUAUUCUAAGGGCAAAAGUGUCCUUUCUUCUUAAUAGUUUAAUAGUUAACUAUUAAUUAAGGUUUGGGUCAUUACAAUCUACCCCCUUAUAAAACAUUUCGUCCUCGAAAUUUACGUACCUGUCACUCGAAGAGGUAAGGGUACUGUUCCCGCAUUUGGUCCUCGGGUUCCCAUGUAGCCUCUUUCACAUUAUGACUUCUCCACAAGACCUUCACGAGUGGGAUCUCCCUCGAACGCAAUACUUGCAUCUUCCAAUCCAAAAUAUGGACUGGUUGCUCUAUAUAAGUCAAAUCUUCUUGUAAUUCUAUUGGUUGUUCUUCCAAAACAUGAGAAGGAUCAGAAAUGUACUUCCGAAGCAUCGAGACAUGGAAUACAUCGUGCAACAGGGAAAGAUCUGAAGGUAAAGCAAGCCUGUAAGCUACUGGGCCCAUACGCCCCACGAUCUCAUAUGGCCCAAUAUAGUGAGGACUUAGUUUUCAUCGCCUCCCAAAUCUCAUUACGCCCUUCCAAGGCGAUAACUUCAGAAAUGCCCAAUCACCAACCUCAAACUGGAGGUCUUUCCUUCUAUUGUCUGCAUAGCUCUUUUGUCGGUCCUGGGCUACCUUGAGUCGUUCUCUAAUUAUUUUCACAUGUUCCUUCAUCCGUUCAACAUCAUCUGACACUUCCAAUCUGUGCUCACCUACUUCAUCCCAAUAAAAUGGAGUUCUACACUGUUUCCCAUAUAAGGCAUCAAAUGGAGACAUCUUGAUACUCACCUGGUAGCUGUUAUUAUAGGCAAACUGCAUAAGUGGCAACUUCUCAUCCUAGUCACCUCGAAACUGCAGUGCACAAGGUCUCAGCAUAUCUUAUAAAGUCUGAAUUGUCCUUUCAGACUGACCAUCUGUUUGGGGGUAAAAUGCAGUACUAAACCGCAACUGGGUUCCGAAAGCUUCAUUUAACUUCACCCAAAAACGGGAGGUAAACCGUGGAUCUCUAUUUGAAAUAAUAGAUACUGGCACCCCAUGAAGUCUAAGUAUCUCAUCUAUGAAGAUCUUGGCCAACUUAUUUAGCAUGUAGUUUGCUCUCACCGGUAAGAAGUGGGCAGAUUUGGUGAGUCGAUCCACGAUUACCCAAACUCCAUCAUGCUUAUUCUGUGUUCGGGGAAGCUUAAAUAUGAAAUCCAUAGUAAGAUGUUCCCACGUCCAUUCGAGAAUCGGAAGUGGUUGUAACAACCCUAAUGGUUUCUGCCGUUUAGCUUUCACUUGCUGAUAAAUUAAGCACAUCCUGACAUAUUCUGCUAUUUCUUUCUUCAUAAAAGGCCACCAGUAGUGCUCUCUCAAAGUAUGGUACAUUUUUGUACUUCCAGGGUGCAUUGCAAAAGCUGAACCAUGGGCCUCCUCAAGAAUUUCCCUCUUUAAAGCUUCAUCAUUAGGGACAUAUAACCUGGUACCCACCAUUAAAGCUCCAUCAUUUCUUACUGAACAGUCAGUUCUGUCACCAUUCUCCACCUCUGCUUGUAGUGUGCAAAUCAAAGGAUCCUGUGAUUGAGCGACGAGUAUUCGUUCCACUAGCACUGGUCUCACAUGGAGAGUAGCUAAUAGUGCUCCCUGAUUAUCCACACCUAGCUCAACUCUGAGCUUCCUCAUUUCUACCAUCAAUGGCACGUACCUCUCUCGGAGAUAAGCUACAGAUCCCGAGGAUUUCCUGCUGAGUGCAUCAGGUACAACAUUAGCUCUUCCUGGGUGAUGCUCAAUGGUACAAUCGUAGUCCUUAAUCAACUCUAGCCAUCUUCUUUGCCUCAAAUUCAAUUCCUUAUGGGUGAAUAAAUACUUUAAACUCUUGUGAUCCGUAAAAAUCUGACAUGUUUCCCCAUAGAGAUAGUGCCGCCAAAUCUUUAAGGCAAAAACCACUGCAGCUAAUUCCAAAUCAUGAACAUGAUAAUUCUACUCAUGCUUCUUUAGUUGUCUAGAAGCAUAAGCAAUUACCCGACCAUGCUGCAUUAGCACACAACCAAGUCCCUGUUGGGAUGCAUCACUGUAGAUCACGAAAUUUUCACUAUCAUCUGGAAGUGCUAAAACCAGAGCGGUGGUUAACAUGGUCUUGAGUUCAUUAAAGCUUUUCUCAUGCUCAUCUGACCAUUCAAACUUAACUCCUUUUCUUGACAAACUAGUGAGAGGCGCCGCUAUAGCAGAAAAACCUUCCACAAAGCGACGGUAAUACCCGGCUAACCCAAGGAAACUCCGUACCUCAGUAAGACUGGUUGGUCGUGGCCAGUUCACUACUACCUCAAUCUUCUGGGGAUCAACAUAAAUAUCCUCUGCAGAGAUCACAUGCCCCAAGAAACUAACUUUGUCCAACCAGAACUGACACUUGCUGAAUUUGGCAUACAAUUGCCUCCUCCUCAGAGUCUUCAGCACAAUUUCCAAAUGCUUCAUGUGUUCCUUCUGACUCUUAGAAUGCACCAGAAUGUUGUCUAUGAAUACAAUCACAAAGCGAUCCAAGUAACGUCGGAACACCCUGUUCAUGAGAUCCAUAAACGCAGCUGACGCAUUGGUCAACCCAAAUGGCAUCACCAGGAACUCAUAGUGCCCAUACCUCGUUCAGAAAGCUGUCUUAGGCACAUCCUCUUCUUUAAUCCGUAAUUGAUUAUACCCAGAUCUCAAAUCAAUCUUGGAAAAUACCUUGGCACCCUUCAGCUGGUCAAAUAAAUCAUCAAUGCGAGGCAAAGGAUACUUGUUCCGCACCGUGACUUUGUUCAGUUGCCUGUAGUCAAUGCAUAACCUCAUGGUGCCAUUCUUCUUCUUAACAAACAGCACUGGAGCACCCUAAGGGGAAAAACUAGGUCGGAUGAAGCCCUUAUCUACUAGCUCCUGCAACUGAAUCUUUAAUUCCUUCAACUCUGCUGGUGCCAUUCUGUAUGGUGCUUGAGAUAUAGGAUUCGUUCCUGGAACGAGCUCAAUGGUGAACUCGAUCUCCCGGUGAGGAGGUAACCCAGGAAUAUCCUCGGGGAAUACAUCCGGAAAUCCCUGUACCACUGGAAUAUGUUCCAAUCUCUGCCCAUGAUCUCUGGUAUUGAUCACAUGUGCUAAAUAUCCUGAGCACCAUUUUCUGAGUAACCGUUUUGCUGUCAUAGCUGAAAUGAGGCAAGAUGGAAGCACUCUGCGCUCGCCAAAAAAUGUCAUUUCAGGUCGUCCGGGACUACGGAAUACAACCUCUUUCCUAAAACAAUCCAUUGAGGCAUGAUGCUUGGCCAACCAAUCCAUGCCUAAAAUGACAUCCAAGUCAACCAGUCCCAAAGGGACCAAAUCUGCUUCCAAAAAUACAUCUCCCACUAGCACUGUACUAUCUCGAUACACCGUACCUACUUGAAAAAUCUCUCCUGUAGGUACAGAGAUCUCUAGUUGGUUCUGUAGGGCUGAAAGUCUUACAUUAGCAUUGUGGGCAAAACUAGGUGUGACAAAUGAGUGCGUAGCCCCAGGGUCAAUCAAAACUCUAGCAAGGAUUCCAAAAACUGGUAAAAUACAUGUGAUCACGUCAGGUGACGCCUGUGCUUCUUGCUGGGACAUAUUGUACACUCUGCCUGUGGCUCUGGAACGUCCACCCUGUCCCUUAUGCUGACUACCACCUCGGUUGGCAAUACUGGUCUGGGCUCCACCACUGGACGAGGCCCCUACAAACUGUGAUGUCCCCUGUGAUCUGCCCUGAGUGCCUAUCCCCUGAGGCAAUGUGACUGUAGCCUCUCCACCCUGAAGCAAUAUCGGGCACUCCCUUAGAAAAUGUCCAGAUUGACCACAAUGGAAACAUCCAGUAGUGCCCUGUCAGCAAGUCCCAGUAUGAUACCUACCACACUCAGCACACUGAGGAUUCCUCCUCCUACCAGAUGCUGACUGUAGCUGUCUCCCAGAACCUCUAGCUGUACUACCCCUGGAGUGGUUCCCAGAACUGCCACUCUGGUUGGAACCUCCACUAGAACUGACUCUAGGUCAAAAACCUCCAUAACUGCGGCCACUAGGUGACCCAGAGCUGUAACUGCGUCUCUUGGAUGACCCCUGACUGGGACCACCCAUAUCAAACUACCUCCUUCGAGGUUCACCCCGUGCUCUGACCAUCAUCUGGCUGCUCUCAAUCAAUGAAGCAGACAUCACCAAAUCCCCAAAAUUAGUCAACCGCUAGCUAAUCACAAUAUCUCUAAUGGAGGCCUUCAACCCUCUAGUAAACAACUGACAUUUCUUAUUCUCAUCCUCGACUAGUGGAACACAGUACUUAGACAGUUCAUUGAACUUUUUCUCAUACUCAAGUACGGUCAUUGUACCUUGUUCCAACUGCAAAAAUUCCUCCAUUUUCAUAUUCUGGUAGGCCUAUGGGUAGUACUGACUGUCAAAUGCAGCUCGAAAUAAUUGCCAAGUGAUGGCUGACGGAUCUCAAUAUCUCCUUUUAACAGACUCCCACCAAUGUCUAGCAUUCCUGAUCAAAAAGAAAGUGGCCAGAGUUACCCUACGGUUCUGUGCAACGGCCAUCACCUUCAUGAUCAGCUCCAUCCUCUCUAUCCACUCUUCAGCCACUGCUGGGUCGCCAUCACCAUCAAAAUCUAUGGCCCCAAUCCUCUUAGCUUGGUCAGCAUAUCCUAGGGAGGGAUCUCUGGACUGCCCAGUCCUGGAUAGAGCCUGGGUCAACAACUCCAAAGUCUGCUAGAAAAUAGGACCUCCCGGCAUAGUGGGCAUGGGAGGUGCGGCCCCUGAUGGGCCUCCAACAAAAGACUGCUCUACCGAUUCUGGUACCGGUGCAGAAAUGGGAAAUUCCUCUUGCUCGAGAGGGGGAUUAUGUCCCCUGACUCGGGACGACUGUCUGGUCCCUCUACGGAAGCCACCACGUUUCGGGCCCAUGCUUACUGUCAUAAGAAAUAAUUGUUCAGUAAAACUGGAAAGCACAAAGUGCGGAGUCUACAGGAAGUUAAACCUAAUGCUCUGAUACCAAGUUGACAGGACCCAACCCAAAUUCCCCUUUGGAAUCCGAGCCGAACCUUGUUCGUGAUCGACACCUGCGGGUGCAAGCACAAAUGACCUGGUUGCCCUUCUGGUUACAAACUUACUUUCAUUUUUGCCUUGACUUCUACCAAAAAUUCGGCAGAGUCUCCCCUAUAAUUUGUUCAAUCCAAAAAUUACACCUGUCAAAACAAGCAUAUAUACACAACCCAACUUCCAGCAUGCAUAUAUAUCUACAAUCAACAAUAAAGUUCGAGCCCAGGGGCAAUAUCAGAGCAUCUAUACAGAUUAAUUUACAAGAAGAAUAUUUGGAGGGUCAAGGACCCUACACUAAGCUGAAGAGAUGCAAGAAGCGGAAACUACCCUGUGGUGGCUUUCAAAUACAUGUCUACGGCCUGGGGGCUCAAAACAUUUAAAAGGUGAGUGGACCCAAAAACAAAGUUUUAAGAAAAAUAGCAUAAGAACAUACUAACCCCACUGUAAAAACAGUUAUACAAAACUAAUUCAUUCUUUUAAUCAUAUACAUACUGAAAUCAAUGCACUCAUAUAUAUACAAAUAUAUGCCAAGCAAACUCAUAUCAUCUUUAAACUCUUAAAAGCACUGAAAUCAGUUUAAAACUACCACCUAGGUGUACCCCUUAAAUUCUAUCAAUUCCUGAUAACCCGUCAAUUCCUGAUAAUCUGUCAAUUCCCCUGGCAGGUCUCGGUGACACAAAGUCAACCCAAGCUGCAAACUGGCAUGAUUCAGGGGACCGUAGUCAGCCUGAUCCUCAUUCCUGGCUCUCACGGUCCCGGCGUCCCCUAAACUCGUGAGGAAAAUGUCAAGCACGUUGACAAAACUGAAGGCAACUUGGAUGUCCGUGGACAUCGUCAUAUCCGAAGGCAACAUAUACGGAAGGCAACCUGUUUCUAUAACUGGGUACCUAAGGUGGCUUAAGAAAAUCUAAAAAUCUUUGAAAAAUUUGAUAAAUAACUGAAUUUCUGUUAAAUCUAGAACUUGCUGCCAUUUAUAUGUUAUUUAGCUAAAAUUUCCUUUUCCUAUAUCCAUAACGGAUAUCUCACUCGGUAGCAUGUGAAUUCAAAACAUUUAAAAGCAUAUAUCAACUAAUAAAACACUAAUCUUUAAAUAAAACUUAUUCAAGAUCAAAUAUUAUAACUGAAUAGCAUAAAUUCAUUUAUGAAAACAAAGGGUCCACUGACAGCUGGUCCGAGCUUGCUGGACCUUUUGGAGGUCCCUCCUGCGGGUCAACUGGUGCCCGGGUGCCUCACUUGUCCGAUUUGGUAGCCGGAUGAAGGAGAACGAAAGCUUGGAAGUUCUGUCAACUCCGGCGUGAUCUCGAGCAUUUUCCGACGAAAAACAGGUGUUCCAAGGGCAGGGACCGGUCGGGAAAGGAAGAGGAAGCAGCGGUGGUUUGAUUGGGUCUGGUCCCGUCAAUUGGAGUGGAGUGUGGCGGUGGUUAUGGAGGUUUGAAGGUAACGAUUUAAAACAAGGGGGGCGGCUGGUCGAGAGACAAGAGUGAGGGAGGAGAGAGAGAGUCAGUUUUUAAAAAAAAAUCUUGAUUUCAAAAUUACCAUUUUGCCCUUCUACGUAUUUUGACCGUAUUUUCUUCGUUACAACUCCGAUUCGAGUCCACUCCGUGUCUACGAACUCGUUUCGUCGCGCUCUAUGCAACGAUGCAAGUGGAAUAGUCAAAUUCUUUCUCGGUCAAAAAGUCAACUUUUCCUUUACUAGAAUUUUCUAAGGGCAAAAGUGUCCUUUCCUCUUAAUAGUUUAAUAGUUAACUAUUAAUUAAGGUUUGGGUUAUUACAAAAAUCUUGUAAAUUGUUACCAAAAAAUUGUAAGUUACGAGUUGAGGGAUUCUUUUUACAACGUUAUGCUACCCUCAUAUCCCAAAAUUGUAAAAUCGGCCCUUAAUCUUGUAAACCCUCAUUUUACUAGAAUAAGGACCCCAAUUUACAUCCUCAUGGUCCGCACUUACCAAUUCCUUGUGAUGUCGAUCUAUAUCCUUAUGAAAUAAGAAUUUACAACGUUAAGGAUUAUUAUGAGAACCCUAACGUUGUAAUCGUGGUGCAAAAAUCUGUAAAUCACUACCUAGUCGUGUAACUUAUAUGUUUUUAGAUCUUCCUUACAAGGUUAUGGUACCCUCGUAUCCCAAAAUUGUAAAAUUGCUCCUUAAUCUUGUAAACCCUCAUUUUACUAGAAUAAAGACCCAAUUUAUAUCUUCAUGGUCUGGAGUUACCAAUUCCUUGUAAUGUGGAUCCAUAUCCUUGUGAAUGGGGAUUUACAACAUUAUGGAUUAGGUGAACCCUAAUGUUGUAAUUAUGGUUCAAAAACUUGUAAAUCACUACCCAAAUCUUGUAAAUUUUGGGAUCCUCUUACAAUGUUAUGGUACUCUCGUAUCCAAACUAUUGUAAUACCAGUCCUUAGUCUUGUAAACCAUCGUAUUCCUUGUAAUGUUGAUUUUUGUCCUUAUAAAAUGGGGAUUUACAUGGGAAGCUAGGAGAUUGGUAACUUUCUUCUACUUCAUUACCCCAUUUAGUAUUUUAUUAUAUUACAAUACAUAUAUAAAAAAAUUAGUAUUUUAGUUGAAAUUAUACAUAUUAUAUGUAAAUACUAUAUAUAUAUUUAUGAGUGGAUAUUCUUAUUAAACAAUUUUGUUAUGGAUGGGAAAGGGGAAACCCAUAUAACAAGGAUAUGAACCAAAAAUCAGAGGAGGAUCAUAAGAGAGAGUUUUGUGGGAACAUGAAUAUGAGGAUGACAAUGUAUUAAAUUAUUUGUUUAGGCAUAGAAAUAAGUUUGUAAAAGCAUAUUUUGAAUAUGCUAUGAGUCAUAUUCAAGAAAUAAUAUAUAGUGUUAGUUUUAAGACAUUUCUCUCAAAUUAUUUUAGAAUAGCUUGAAUUCUAAAAUUUCGUACAUGAGAAGCGAAUGAGAUGGUAAUUCAAUUACUUUCUCCCCCUUCAUUACCUCAUUUAGUAUUUGUUUAUGUUACAUACUUAUAUAAAAUUUUGAGUAUUUUAGUUGAAAUUGUAUAUAUUAUAUGUAAAUAUCAUAUUUAUGUAUUAUAUAUUGAUUAUAAAGUUUAUUUAAGUAUUAUAUUAUUAUAUAUUCUUAUUUAACAUUUUUUUUUACUAAUCGGAACAUGAACCAAUUAUAUUACGAAGAUAUGAACCAAAAACAUAGAAGGAUCAUAAGGGAAAUUUUUAUUGGAAGAUGCUAUGAUUCAUCUUCUGUUAUAAGAUAUUUGUUUAAAGUUAUUUUUAGAAUAAGCACUAAUACAUAUAUAUUUUUGUAUAAUAAUAUAUCAUCUUCAGAAGUAAUUAUAGUGUGGCUUCAGAGUAUGGUCAUAUAAUAUUUAUUAUAAUAUAAGUGGAUAUUUAUUGAUGUUAUGCCUUAAAAGUUGAAUAUCUUAUCAUUGAUUGAUAUUAAACUCGUAAACGAGUUAUACUAUGUAGUCGUAUUUUAGUUCCUUAUAGUAAUUUAUUCACAUCUAAAAAAUGACAAAAAAAUUAAAAAAUUUUAAAAAAAAUGAAAAGAAUAGUUUAGAUGUUUAAAAAUUAUUUCAGUUUGGCCAAUUGGAUUUAUAUAAAGUUACCCAAGUUGUAUUGAUUUUGGUUACAAGUUAUAUAAAGCAACCCCUAACUCAUGACAAAAAUCUGCAAAUGUUGUGAAAUAAUUGAAAUAAUUAUAACAACAUUAUGGUCCACCCUAAUCCAUAACACUGUAAUACCCUAAUUUACGAAGAAAAUGACACAUAGUACCAAAGUAGGAAUGGCCUUUGGAGGAGUAAAAUUAGGUCAUUAUCCUUGUAAACACAGCUAAAAAUUUUGUAAUCAACGAGAAAACUUGUAAACUUUCUACUUUUAUACUUGUUUUUCUUGAAUUUUAAUCUUAACAAUGUAGUAUAAAAUCCAUGGCCAUGUUAGGAAAAAAAUAUAAAUGUAUAAUACGUCGUGGAUGUCUACAAAAGUACAACUAUUGUAACAUAGAGUUCAACAAUUAAUAUAGUUCUUAUUUUAGAAAUUGAUUUCAACCAAUUACAUAGACAAAACUCGAGGUGAAAAAAUUUGAUGGAUAAAGACUUUCAAGCUUUUCACCAAUUUUAUGAAACAAAAGAAACAAAAAAAUUAGAACUAUCAACCUCAAUUGAUUUUUAAAAACUAGGCAUAAAAUACAGAGGAAUUAACCACAACUAGCUAUCAUAAUUCAUAUAAAUAAAACCAGCAACUCAUAAUGAACUUGAGUAGAGCUUUGAUGAGGUGACAUAUUGAAAUAAGAAAAAAAAAAGUCUAAAACGGUUCUCAUAAAAAAGAGUCUAAAAUGGUAACAACUCAAUUGAAAAAUAACAUGUCAAAUCAUAUGCCAAUUGCCAAACAGAAAGGGAAUAAUUGCAUGACCCUUAUGCAAUUGCAUUUGUGUUAAAUAUUAACAAAAAAUGGAAACUUGAUGUUUGGGGGUGGUCAAAAUUCACUCAAUCUGCCAAUGAGGAAUUCUUAGUGGCCGAGAAUUCUUAGCUGCCGAGAAUUCCUAGUUGUCAAAGAAUUCCUAGCAGCCGAAAACUCCUAGAGGUUGAAGAAUUCCUAGCGUCCGACAAUUCCUAGCGGUCGAAGAAUUCCUAGCGGCCGAGAUGCCUUCUCAAAAAGGUGGCCGAUGUGUUUUCUUUAAAGUUCAUGGUGCCUUCUCAAAAAUGCGGCCGAGAUGUUUUCUUUAAAGGCCAUGGCACUUCUCAAAAAGGUGGGCCGGGCACUCCUUAAAUACCUUGGUCGGCCACUCCUCUUGCAAAAAGCUAGCCGGUCUGCAUUUGUAGUGGAGACUCAAAAAUGGCUAGGCGAAUCUGCUAGAGUUUCUCGACCAGGUGAAAUCCAAGGUGUGGCCAGUUGGGCCUUGAGGUUUUUAGCAGGCCAGAGCUCGGGAUUCUUGUGGCCGGACCUUGGGGGUUUCGUGGAAGCUGAAGGGCAAGGCCGGCCUGGAGCGAGAUGCGGCUGGGAGUCGUUCGAGAUAAGGCUGGGCAUAGUUCAAAGUGCGGCUAGCUGGGCUGUGCUCGAAAGUGGCUAGGGCUGCAACAUGCAGCUGGGCACGCCCAGAACUACUAGGAUAUCUCACGGCUAGGGUAUGUUGGAAGGUGCGAGUGGAAUGUUGAAGCUGAUGCCCAGUUUUUUCGUGACCAGAGGCGUCAGGGGCUACAAGGAUCUCUGCAGCUGGUGCCUUGGGCUUUUGGCAAUUAGAGAUUGAGGCCGGCCGGGUUUGGAGGCUCGAAGGGAAGAUUGGCAUCCUGGAUUUGGUCUUUUUGCAGCUAGGAUUUCUUCAGGCUGAAGUCUUUAAUAUAUAUAUAUAUACUAACUCUUCAACAGUCUGAGCCUCUAUUUAUACUACAUCACUUCUCUGAGUCAGAGUCAAUUGCUAGCAUAGAUACUGAAUCUAGUAAUAUUUCUAAAAUAGAAAAUGCGUUUAGAAAUAUUGAUUGAAAUUAAUCCACAAGUACAGAGAUUAACAAACAGAGUCAGCCCUACUAGCUUCACAAAAAAUUGGUAUCCUAAGCCUACGCCACCUGAUAUCCAGUUCGAAGAACGAAAUACUCAAAACCAGUUUUCUGUUUCUUAUGAUAAAUUAUACGAAUGGAAUAUUGAUGGUUUUUCUGAACAAGAAAUCCUUAAUAAACUUCAACAUAUGUCUAUGGUCGCCAAUAGUUACAUCACCAAUCACAGUUCAGACAAUCUGAAAUUGUCCCCCUAUUAGAAACAGGUUUCACAGGAACUCUUCGUUCUUGGUGGGACAAUAAUUUAACACACGAAUCUAAGCAACGAAUAAUUCAUUCGCUAAAACUUAAUGAAGAUGGUCUUCCUAUUUUUGAUGAACAAAUAGGUCAAGGCAUCGAAGAUGGAGUCAAUACCCUGCUUUACACAAUAGUCAAUCAUUUUAUUGGAACGCCUAGUAAUACUACUGCUAGAAUACAUGAUCAAUUGAGUAAUUUGAGAUGCCCCAAAUUAUCUGAUUUUAGAUGGUAUAAAGACAUAUUUAUUUCCAGAGUCAUGAUUAGAGACAACAGUAAUCAGCCUUUUUGGAAAGAAAAAUUUGUUAAUGGAUUGCCGAAUUUAUUUGCUCAUAAAAUGCGAUCAACCCUUAGUAAUGAACAAGGUCAUAUUGAUUGGGAUAGCUUAACUUAUGGAAACAUAAUCAGUACUAUCAAUCAAGUCGGAAUGCGGAUGUGUGUCGAUAUGAAAAUUGGUAAACAAAUCCAAUCUGAAAGAAAUUAUGCCAAAUAUGAGUUAGGUAAUUUCUGCGAACAGUAUGGUUUAAUGUCUAUCCCCCCGUCUCGAAAAAAUAAGCUUAGUUAUCAUAACCGACAGUUUAGCAAAAAGCGCCAUCAUUCACGUAGAAAACAGUCAUUCCAACACAAUAAUGAAGAUAAAGAAUUUUAUAGUAAAAGGAGAUUCUCCCCUAAGAAAAAUUGGAAAAAGAGUCAUAAUAAAGAUAAGAAUAGCAGCUUUAAGAAAAGAACCGACAAAAGAAAAGUGAAAUGUUAUAAAUGUCAAAAGUAUGGUCACUAUGCCAAUAUUGUAAAGUUAAAAACACAAUCAAACAAUUAUAAGUCACGGAUGAAGAAAAAGACAAAUUAAUUAAAGUCCUUGAGUUAGAAAAUACUGAGUCAAGUGAAAACGAAACCAUGGUUAGCCACACUGAGUUGUCUGAAAUAUAUUCUUCUGAGUCACAAUCCAGUUCACCCAGAAUCCAAUUUGGUUGUCAAGAUAAUUGCUGCAAAUCUAAGUCAAUCAAUGUCCUUACCAAACAGGAAGAACAAGAAGAAUUGUUAAUCGAUUUAAUAAGUAGAGUUGAAAAUCCCGAAUUAAAAUCUGAAUAUUUAAAGAAAUUAAGAAAAGUCAUUAAUCGCGAGGAACAAAAACAGUCCACCCAAAAGAUAAGUCUGAACACAACCUUAGAAAAAUUUAACAAAAAGAAAGAAGUCACCUUACAGGAUUUACAAUGAGAAGUAAAGACAAUUAAAAAAGAAAUCAUUGAGUUAAGACAAAUAAGCCAAAAAUUACAAAGUGAAAAUUAUGAAAUAAAACAAGAUCUCAUUAAUCUAUUAGAAAAGAAAAUCUCUGAGUCUAAAGCAGAGAGUCCCAUUAAUUCAGAUGAAGAAAACUCUAUCCAAGAUCAAGCUGUUAAUUUAAUUAAACAUCUAAAUUUUAGGAAAUGGUAUGCCAGAGUCACUAUAUUUGUCAAAAGCUUUAAGUUAAACAUAGUCGCCCUUUUUGAUUCAGGGGCUGACCUUAAUUGCAUCCAAGAAGGACUAAUCCCAACUAAGUAUUAUAAAAAGUCAAGAGAAUCUUUAAGUACUGCCUCGGGAAAAUCACUCCAAUUGAAUUAUGAAAUCCCUAAAGCCUAUGUCUGUCAAAACAAAAUCUGCUUUAAAACUUCUUUUGUCUUAAUUAAAAUAUCACUGAUGAAGUUAUAUUAGGUCUUCCAUUUAUCGCCCUUUUGUACCCUUUCCAGGUUGAACAUGAUGGUGUCAUUUCCACCUGUCUAGGAAAAAAAUAAAAUUUGAAUUUUUUAGUAAACCUGAGUUACAUAAUUUAAAAGAAUUCCAAAAAAAUGCGGUCACUAAAACAGUCAAGAUAAUUCAAAAUAAAGAUAAACAACUAAGAUUUCUUCAAGAAGAAGUUAAAGCUAAGAGGAUUGAGCAACAAUUAGGUCAUAAGCCUUUACAAUCGCAAAUUCAACAGUUUGAAGAAAAACUAAAACAAGAAGUCUGUUCUGAAUUGCCCAACGCGUUCUGGCAUAGGAAACAACAUGUUGUCAGCCUUCCCUGUGUCAAAUCCUUUAGUGAGAAAAAUAUUCCUACUAAAGCAAGACCUAUUCAAAUGAGCCAAGAACUAAUGGAAUUUUGUAAAAUUGAGAUUACCGAUUUGCUCAAAAAGGGAAUAAUUCGUAAGAGUAAGUCACCCUGGUCUUGUCCUGAUUUUUAUGUACAGAAAAAUGCUGAGUUAGAAUGCGGAGUCCCCAGACUAGUCAUUAAUUACAAGCCACUUAAUACUGUCUUAGAAUGGAUUAGAUACCCAAUUCCUAACAAAAGAGAUUUAAUUAAUCGAUUGGAAAAUUCAGUUAUCUUUUCUAAGUUUGAUAUGAAGAGUGGAUUUUGGCAAAUUCAAAUUUCUGAGUCUGAUAGAUAUAAAACUGCUUUUGUUACCCCAUUUGGUCAUUAUGAGUGGAAUGUUAUGCCAUUUGGUCUUAAGAAUGCUCCUAGUGAAUUCCAGAAUAUAAUGAAUGAGAUCUUUAAUCCUUUCAGUCAUUUUUCCAUAGUUUAUAUUGAUGAUGUGCUUAUAUUCUCUGAAUCCAUAGAACAACACUAGAAACAUCUGCAUAAGUUUUUACAAAUAGUUAAACAAAAUGGCUUAGUUGUCUCUGCUAAGAAAAUUAAGUUAUUCCAAACUAAUGUGAGAUUUCUUAGGUUUAACAUCUACCAGUCACAGAUUAGUCCCAUAGAUCGAGUUAUCUAGAUUGCUGAUAAGUUUCCUGACCAAAUCCUAGACAAGAGUCAACUCCAGAGAUUUCUAGGAUCUCUAAAUUCUGUUUCUAACUUUUAUCAAAAUCUGAGAAAACAAUGUAAGCCUUUAUUUGAUCGUCUCCAAAAUAAUCCUCCCCCAUGGUCGUCUGCUCAUACUAAAUAUUGUUGUAUGUAAUCUAAAUCGUUUAAACUACGCUGGAUAGGAACUGGAGGGAUCUCAGUGUUUAAGGUCCAACCGGAUGGGAGCGUAACUUCUGACCAUUUGAUAGAGUGAGGAACUCUAAGAGUAGCAUCAGGUGUAUGACUCUGGAUUAACAGUGUUUGACUCUUCAGGCUCUUGUUUAAGGCUUGGAAAUUCAUAUUUGUACCGGUGACUUUGUAAUAAAUUCUAUAGACUAAAGCUAGGAGUUGGCUUCCUGGCAAAACAUCACACAUACUCAAAAUAGCUUGCCAACGUGCAAAUAUUUGUUUGGAUGCAAUAUUUUGAACAUCUUUUUCUAAUACAUGCUUAGCAGACUUACAAUCAACUCUGACUAAAAAAAUUUGAUUUAAUAAAUUAGAUUGAAAUUUAUUAAUGCAUAGUACGAUAGAUAAUAUUUCUUCCUUAAUAGUACUAUAAUUAUUUUGAGAUUGGGACCAAGUGCCAGAAUGGAAUAGAAUGAUUUGCUCGGAUUGACUAGAAGUGACUCUUUGUUUGAGGAUACCUCCAUAACCUACAUUAGAAGCAUCAGUUUCAACAAUCUUAAAUGAAUUAGCAGAAGGAAUACCAAGACAGGGAAGAGUCUUAAUAUGAGCUUUGAUCUGUUUGAAAAUUUCAGUAUGAGCAGACGACCAUGGGGGAGGAUUAUUUUGGAGACGAUCAAAUAAAAGCUUACAUUGUUUUCUCAGAUUUUGAUAAAAGUCAGAAACAUAAUUUAGAGAUCCUAGAAAUCUCUAGAGUUGACUCUUGUCUAGGAUUUGGUCAGGAAACUUAUCAGCAAACUGGAUAACUCGAUCUAUGGGACUAAUCUGUGACUGGCAGAUGUUAAACCCAAGAAAUCUCACAUUAGUUUGGAAUAAUUUAAUUUUCUUAGCGGAGACAACUAAAUUUCGACAGCAAAUUCAAGAGUCCUUUUCCUUUCUGGUUCAAUCACUGGUGGGAAAAACAUGAUCCAAUUAUUGAUUUGUUUCCUCCUCCUAUGCAAGAUUUAGUCAAUUAUUUUACUAAUAAAAAUAAGUUCAAAAAAUCUGAGUUGUUUUUCCUCAAUCUUCUCCAUUUUGUUGCCAAGUAUAAAGUCCCUUGGAUCCUCAAAUGGUCUUAUCAGGUUAAUUGGGAAACCAGAGUCCUAUCUCACCAAUUUUCAAUCAAAUGGUGGGAUAAAUUUAAACUUGAGCGUAUUGCAGAUAUGUUUAUGCUGAUUUUCUUACGAAUUAUUCCCUUUUUGAGCAAAUCGGUAAUCUCAAUUUUACAAAAUUCCAUUAGUUCUUGGCUCAUUUGAAUAGGUCUUGCUUUAGUAGGAAUAUUUCUCACUAAAGGAUUUGACAUAGGGAAGGCUGACAACAUGUUGUUUCCUAUGCCAGAACGCGUUGGGAAAUUCAGAACAGACUUCUUGUUUUAGUUUUUCUUCAAACUGUUGAAUUUGCGAUUGUAAAGGCUUAUGACUUAAUUGUUCCUCAAUCCUCUUAGCUUUAACUUCUUCUUGAAGAAAUCUUAGUUGUUUAUCUUUAUUUCGAAUUAUCUUGACUGGUUUAGUGACCGCAUUUUUUUGGAAUUUUUUUAAAUUAUGUAACUUAGGUUUACUCAAAAAUUCAAAUUUUAUUUUUUCUCCUAGGCAAGUGGAAAUGACACUAUCAUGUUCAACCUGGAAAGGGUACAAAAGGGCGAUAAAUGGAAGACCUAAUAUAACUUCAUCAGUGAUAUUUUUAAUUAAGACAAAAGAAGUUUUAAAGCAGAUUUUGUUUUGACAGACAUGGGCUUUAGGGAUUUCAUAAUUCAAUUGGAGUGAUUUUCCCGAGGCAGUACUUAAAGAUUCUCUUGACUUUUUAUAAUACUUAAAUGUGACCAGGGCGACUUACUCUUACAAAUUAUUCCCUUUUUGAGCAAAUCGGUAAUCUUGAGAAAUGAACGCACAAACCGGCCAGUCAUCCGCUUUCAACAAUUCACAGUACUCAGGAACCUGAGGAUCAGUGGCUGCAAAGAGAGCACUCCUGGAACCUUCUUGAGCACUAAAGAUAAAAUUGGGUAUUAGAUGAUAAGCAGCUUGAACAAUUUUGGGAAGAUCCCUUGCAACAUUAGUCUGCACAAUUCCAGGUGAAACACAUGCUACAGUAAUGCCAGAUUCGGCAGGGAGCUGCUAAUGUAGAACACUACUAAACAUAAUCUGUGCCAGCUUGCUGCUUGAGUAACCCACUAAGCUUGUAUAUUUUCUUUUCCCAGAAACGACGUUCAUGUCUUCUGUGUCAACAAAGCCAACAUAAUGCAUAAACUGGAGGGAUCUCAGUGUUUAAGGUCCAUCGGAUGUAAUUUGGUUGAAGACCAACAAUUGCAAUGAUCUAUCUCCAUCACGAUGAAAUUUUAAAGAUUACCCGAGUAUCAAAAUAUAUAUAUAUAUAUAUUAAAUAAAUGUUGAUGCUCAAAAUGGUCCGGCCAAUAUUGAGUCCAACUUAGUGAUUAGGUAUGCGGGCUCUUCAGCAGGGAAGAGAGCUGAGGCCCUUGGCGAAAUAUAGGUUGAUGGGAAACCUGCAGAAGACAAAGUGGGAGAAGCAAUCGUUAAGCUUCGGACACCGGUGUGGUGCCGGCCGAAGGCUCUCCGAUGCCUAAGUCAGUUACAAGUAGUAAUUCUGGCAGAGUAACAGUAAAAGUGGGAGAAUAGUUACCCUUUUUACCUGGGUAAUGUUCCCUAUUUAUAGGGAAGUGAAAGUAGGAGCUUUGCACAAAGUUCCAAUGUGGGACUUUGUGCAAGCCGUUGUGGUGGCGACACGUGUCCUGGAGAUUAGGUUUGGCAUCUGGGAGCUUCGGUAGGUGUCUGGCACCUCGGAAGUGUGUCUUCCUUCGGCACAGGAGAAGGCGUGGCUGCCUUGGUGCUAGUCACUUUGGUGCUGGGUCUGCUCGGUUCAUUAUGGUGUAAACAGUAGUCCCCCAAGUUCGCGGUCGAGAAGUAACUUCUGGGUUGGGAACUUGUGAGUUUUGUAAUUGUAACCGAGCAUUCCAGCUUCGUUGGGAGUCGUAGGGCACUCCCUAGUCCCCCAAGUUGGCAAGCUAGGAGUUGCGUCAACACAUGGUAGCUGGGUACCUGGGUACUUGGGCAUGUUGCAGAUAAGAUGGGAGCUGGGUCAGUAGGGGAGCCAGACCUUCGAAGGAGCCAGGUCUUGUGGAAAAUUUCGGAGACUCCAAUUCUUCCAUGGCCGGGCCAUUUGAAAAUUUUGGACUCUCCAUAGUUCCUCCAUGGCCCUUGCCGUUCGGCAAGGGUCUAGCUCCCUUUUUUUUUUUUUUUUUUUUUGGUUGUUGAAAGGUCGGGCCAUGUGGAGAGAGCUUGAAGGCUUUCUUGGGUUGGGCCUUCGGCAAGUAAGAAGGGCUUGUGGUGGGCUUCGGCAGGUAGGGGGGCUAGGGUUUGGCAUUGAGAGGAGAAAAAACCUCAUAGGAGUUGCUAAAAGGUGCCGUUCGGCAGGUUGGAGAUUAUUAAAGUUUUGGGUGGAUUGUUGCCGUUCGGCAAUUUGGAGGUGGUUGAAAUUUUGAGCAAGGGUGAGGUCAAGCCUUGGAGUAGAAAGAUCUUGGAGGUUGCUAGGCACACGGGUGUGGCAAAUCUUGGAGGUUGCUAGGCACACGGGUGUGGCUAGACGUUUCGGCAGGUCCUGGUUUCGGCAAGGCACGAGGUUAGAGCCGUCUGCAAGGCAGCAGCACCGAUUUGAUUUUGAAGACCCUUGCCGUUCGGCAGCCCUUUGUCCAUUGCUAGCGUUGUUGGUCAAAGCUUCGGCAAAGCAUCGGGGUUGUCCUUCGGCAGGUUCUGUCCGAGGAGGUGCUGGCUGCGCGGCAGCUGGGUUGUCGUGGUGUCCAGCAAAGGAAGAGCUGCCCACCGUUCUUGCCGUUCGGCAAGAGACUUGGCGACGGCUGGGGUGUCCUGCGGCAGGCGGCUUUAGCAAGAAGAGCUGGGCGAUGCAGCUGUCUCGGCAAGACAGGAGCUGUGCUUCGGCAGGUCCUGGUGCUGUUCGAGGGGGCUGUCGAGGGGCGGUGUUGCUGGGCAGAUUCAGCAGGCCGUGGCUGGGGUUAUUUCGGCAGGCGCCGUAGCUGGAGCACGGGAUUAGGGCCUUCGGCAGGCGCUGCGCAGGUUCGUUGAGCUACUUGCUGAAACCUUCCGAUCGGCAAGGGUGGUGUUGGCUGUUUUGUGAGCACUACUUCGGGCAAGGAGCUUGGCGACGUCGGGCAUUUGUGAGCACGGCUUCGGGCGAAAGGGCUUGGCAGUUUUUGGAGCUGGACGAGUGGGCUUCACGGGCUGGGUGCUGAGAGUGGUUUGGGCCGAAUAUAGCUGGGGUUUUGCGCUGUCACAUAGCCUCUCGAGCUAGACCGUCCACGCGGCAGGUGAGUCCCAUUUUUGUUGCGUCCCGGGCUUUGCCGUUCGGCAAGCCACCCAUGAUAUGUGUUGUGAAAUGGAUUUGGGUGCCUUGAUCAAAUUUGGGCUUAGCCUUGUAAUAGGAUUGGGCUUGUGAAGUAGGCUAGCACACUUGAAAUUUUGGGGACUCCAUUUUGUUUUUGCACGGGCCUUGCCGUUCGGCAAGACCCCUAAAAUUUCCCAUAUUUUUUGUUUUUUUUUUGUUGUUUUUGUAUGAAAAUUGAAUUUCAAAUUGUGUGUAGGUACAAGGGAUUUAUGAGGGAAUAUGAAAGGGUGCUAGGGUUUGCUCGUGAAACGAGGCGUGGGUACCCUUAGUUGGCUACAAAUAGGAACUUGGAGUGGUGAAGGCACCACACUUGAGUUGAGUUGAGAAAAAUUGUGAGAAUUUGAAGGAGAGGAGAGGCGAUUUUCGGCGAUUAGUUUGUGGUGGUGCUUGUGGCUGAGGUGAUUUCCGGCGAUCCAUUCGUGGUGCUACGAAUAAGGUUAGACCUUAUUUCGCUAGAACCUUUGAAUUGAAAUGUAUUGUUUUGCAUGAACAUGUUGAAGGCUAGGAAGAACACAGUGAACAUGAGCAUGAAUAUGAUGAACAUGUUGAACAUUUGUAUGAACAUGUUGAAUUCUUGCCUGGAUACCAAAGAACAUGUAGAUUUGCCAAAUUUUUGUUGUUGUGCUUCGAUCAUCUCUGCAUGUGCAUUAGUUCCUUUUUCUUGUUUGUGCAUAUUGUAGAUGUCUGAAAGUUCUAAUAGAGAAAGUCCUGACCCUUCUGCCUUUGGUGGGGAUAACACUGAGAGUGAAGAGCCCAGCCAAUAUAUUUGUCCUGAAGAGGAGAGUUCAGGGACAGAGGGUAUGGUAGAAGGCAUUAUAGAAAGUAGGAUGAUAGGGCAUGGGGGUGAGGGGGGUGAGCCAGCGGUAGACUCUGGGUCGGCUGCAUAUAGGGAGAUGCAGAGGAAUUAUAUAGAGUUAGAGGCUAUAGCGAACCGGGUUCUAGCCUUGCCUCAUACGCAAGAGGUGGGUUCGAGUAACCAGGCAUCACCAUCAGGGUCCGUGGGUAUAGCCGGGCCUUCAAUGUCAGAGGGAGUAGACAUUCGGGUUGGUGUCCCAUUGCCGAGGCGGAAUACGCUUACAGAAGCGAAGUUGGCCCAGCUGCGGAAAGAUUUUUGUGUGCCAGCCUAUGUGGGCUUGAGGUUACCCACGGAGGCCGAUGUAGUCAGAUAUCCUUCGGAUGGCUCCGUGAUGAUUUUUACAGAUAUGUAUCGGCACGGCUUCAGACUACCGUUUCAUCCGUGGGUUCAGAUGAUGUUGGCCAAGUUGGGGUAUGCACCGGGGCAGUAUAAUCCCAACUUUUGGAUUCUUCUUCAUGGGGUGUAUAUUGCUUGGUGGUUGGCUGGGUUAAGGGAGCCAACGUUUGAGCAAUUCAUGUACCUGUACCCCAUUUCGAAGCAGCAGGGGACUUUUGGCUGGGUACAGGCCAAUUGCCGAAAGGCGAAGGAGAGGGGCUAUUUUAUUGGACACAAGCCCACAACGCAAAAGUCCUGGAGGAACAGGUGGCGCAUGGCCUACGGGGACUGGGAGAGUCCUCCAGGGAAGAGCGUUGUCCAGCACAUUCCUACCCACUUCCAGUCUAUAGGUCCUUGGCCCCAUCCCUUAAGAUUGUCUAAUGCUUGAUUGUGUUGUCUUGGCUCCUAUUUUUGGUUCUGUAUUUUGUUUGUGCCAGUGUAAAUGGCUAAGUAGUUUCUAACUCUCGGUGCAGGUUCGGUGAAGUGGGGCCCUAUCUCCAAGGAGCAAGAAGACGAGGUUGAGUGGGUGAGGGCGCAGCUAUCAGAGACUGAGCGUGAGUGCGGGAACCUAAUCACGCAGAAGAAUUUGUUUGAGUCCGGACUGCUGCAAGGAAGUAAGUACCUGGGUUAUCUUUUUGUUGUGUGCUGAGCCUUUGUGAGUUUGAGUAAUAGAAUUGCUUUGUUUGUUUUGACAGUGGCUGGCAUCAUAAGGGGGAGUACGAAGGUGGCCGUAGACAUUGAUGAGGUCGAGAUGCAGAAGCGGCUGAGGGAGUCUCGGGCCAAGAAAGCUGAGAAGAGUGCUGGAAAACGACCCAAGGAUGAUGAUGAGGGUCGGGUCGCGGACGUGCUGGGGAAAAGGAAAGCCUUGGAGGAGGCUCAUCAACAUGUGAUGGGGUCAGGGCCGAGACUUCCGCCCUUUGAUCUGCAGGCACCGCCGAAGCUACCCUUCGGCAUGGAGGACGUGUUCGCUGAAGGGGUAGAGAAGGUAGACUUCGGCAGGCUACGCCAGCAGAAGAAGGAGGUCAACCUGGCUAUGCACCGGCAGGAGGUGCCUUUAGUGAACGUCUUCCUGGAAGGCGUGAAGAGCGACCCUGAGGCUCUGGCGAGGACUCCAGCUUCUUCCUUCAUUGACCGGGCCCAAAAGACGAUCCUCACCUCUGCCUAUGUAAGUGUUUAGGCCCUUUUUGAAUGUAUUUGUGUUGGUUUAUUUUUGUGUGGAUUGACUAACAUGGUUUUUGUUUUGCAGGCCUUUGGCGAGAUGUACGUCAGCAUGGCCAAGGCUGACAAGGAGAUCCAGAGGCUGAAGAGGCGGGAUGAGCUAGCCAAGAGCAAAAUGGCGGAGGCGCAGGAGGCCAUCCGAGAGAAGAACGCCUUGCUGGUUCAAAAGGCGGCCCUGGCCAAGGAGGUGGAGGAGCUGAAGAGAUCGAAGGCCGAGGAGGUGGCCGCUGCCCGAGUCGAGGCGAUUGAGUCCUUCCGAUCCUCAGAGGAGCUGAAGAGCUAUAUCAUGGACCGACUGGUUGAUGAGCAGCUUCGCUGGGAAGAUAGGUUGGUUAGGUUCAACCCCUCGGUGGAGAUUAACUUUGACACCAGUGGCGAGCCUCCUGCACAGACCCCUCCUGCUGAUGCUAGCGCCCCGACACCAGAGGCUGAGCCGGCCACUGAGGAUACCCCGUCGACCGAGUCUUGAAGGCGUUGCCUUCGUUGUGUUAUAGUGAUUUUGUACUUUAGUGAUUGUGUUGGAACACUGUUUAUUUUAUUUAUGUAUGAACACUUGUCCUUGCCUGGAGCAAGGGUGUUUUUAUUUAUGAUAUGAGACUUGGUUUGAUAUCAAUUGUGUUAGUAAAAAUGAUAACAAUGUGAGUGCAUGAGAAUGAGCCGGAGUCAGGCAUUUCAUUGAAAUAGAUGCCGAAAGGCAGAAGGUACAAGUGGUCUAGGGUCUAGAUACCUUACUUCUACCUUACAGUAAAUAAUCAAGACCAAAGUAUUGUCCUAGGGUCCAGAUAUGUUUACUUGUAAUAGUACUUGAGGUGGUCAGCAUUCCACGGGUGAGGCAGCGUCUUGCCUGUGGAAUCACGAAGCUGAUAAGUGCCGGGGCGGCAGAUUUUGAUAAUCUCAUAAGGACCUUCCCAUGUAGGGCCGAGGGUACCUUCGUUGGGAUUUUUGGUAGCCAAGGAAACUUUGCGCAUGACUCAGUCCCCCAUUUUGAAAGCACGGGGCUUGACUCGGGAUUCGUAAUAUUUGGCGAUCCGUUGUUUGUACGCGACAUUUCGCAUGCUCGAUUGGUCCUGGAGCUCGUCAAUGAAGUCGAGGUUGAGGGCCAACUGCUCGUCAUUGGCCGUGGCAUCGUAAGUGGAGGUUCGGUAUGUGGGCUGGCCAAUCUCUACCGGAGCCACGGCCUCGGUUCCAAAUGAUAGGGAGAACGGCGUUUCACCCGUGGAUGUGCGGAAGGUGGUGCGGUGGGACCAGAGUACUUCUGGGAGUAGAUCUGGCCAGCAGCCCUUGGCUUUGUCAAGUUUUGUUUUGAGGGUCUUCUUGAUAAUUUUGUUCACGGCUUCGACCUGGCCAUUGGACUGAGGAUGGGCUGGGGAGGCGAAACACAGACGAAUCUUGAGGUUGGAACAAAAUUGUUUGAAUUUGGCGUUGUCACAUUGCCGGCCAUUGUCGGUGACGAUGGAGUUGGGGAUGCCGAAGCGACAUACAAUGUUUUGCCACACAAAGGAUUCGAUGCGAGCCGCAGUGAUGGUGGCCAAGGCCUCGGCCUCAGCCCACUUGGUGAAGUAGUCUACGGCCACAACUGCAUACUUGACUUGGCCCUUGCCCUCUGGCAUAGGUCCAAUGAGAUCCAGUCCCCAUUGGGCAAAUGGCCAAGGGCUGACGAUGGCAGUCAACGGUUCAGCCGGGAGUUGUGGAAUGUUGGCAAAUCGCUGACACUUGUCGCAUUUCUGGGUGAAUUCCUGGGCGUCAGUGUGGAGCGAUGGCCAGAAGUAUCCUUGGCGGAUUGCCUUAUGGGCCAGCGAGCGUGCGCCCGAGUGGUUACCGCAUAUGCCUUCAUGGAUUUCUCGGAGGACAUAGUGACCCUCCUCUGGAGUCAGGCAUCGGAGGUAAGGAUGGCUGAAACCCCGCUUGUAUAAGGAGCCGUUAAUGAUCAGGUAACGGGCAGAGCGAUGGCGAACGCGUCGUGCUUCUGCCGGAUUAGCCGGUAGUGUUUGGUUCUGUAAGAACUGGAGGAUGGGGUCCAUCCAUGUAGGGCUGUGAUCAAUAGUGCAGAUGAGUGGGGCUUGUGUGCUGGGCUGGGCCAAAAACUCGAUGUGGAUGUGGCGACCCAUUCCUUGCUCCAAGGCUGAUGCCAACCUGGCUAGUGCAUUGGCAUGGCUAUUCUCGGAGCGCAGCACUUGCUUGAUAGAGUGGGCGUGGAAGGUCGCCAGCAAGUGCCGAGCGUGCUGGAGGUAGGCCGUCAUAGAGGCAUCCUUAGCCGUGAAGUCCUGGUUGACCUAGUGGACCACGAGUUGUGAAUCGCUGAAUAUCUGAAUUUGCCUGGCGUCCAUCUCUUUGGCGAAUCGAAGACCAGCUAAGAGUGCUUCAUAUUCGGCCUCAUUGUUGGAGGCUUGGAAUUUGAAGCGAAGGGCGUACUCGAGGGCAACCUUGUCUGGGGAGAUGAGAACAAGGCCGGCCCCACAGCCCUGGGCAUUAGAAGAGCCGUCUACGAAUAAGGUCCACAGGGGCUGGGUUAGGUCGAGAUUGCCUUCGGUGGGGGUUUGGUCCUGGCUGGGAGGGGGAUUGGGUUCGGUUAUGGGCUGGGUAGCUGCCGAAGCUUGAGGCUCCGUGAAUUCGGAUAAGAAGUCAGCAACGGCCUGUCCCCUUAGAGCCGGGCGGGGGUUUGUAAUGGAUAUCAAACUCGCCAAGUUCAAUGGCCCACUUAACCAGCCUCCCAGAAGUUUCUGGCUUCUGCAACACCUGUCGGAGCGGUUGGUUGGUUAAGACAUGGAUGGUGUGAGCUUGGAAAUAUGGUCGGAGGCGUCUUGCCGAGACGACCAGGGCGAACGCCAAUUUUUCGAUGUCCGGGUACCGAACUUCGGCAUCUUGCAAUGCUUUACUAACAUAAUGCACUGGGUGUUCCGCGUUAUCUUUUGAUCGGAUGAGAACAGAGCUAACAGCCGAAGCUGAGAUGGAGAGAUAUAUCACGAGGAUGUCUUCGUGCUCAGGGGUUGACAAUAAAGGGGCUCGGCCCAUAUAUUCCUUGAGCUCGCUGAAAGCCGUGUCGCAUUCAGCGGUCCAGGUGAUGUUUCUUUUGGUGCCUUUAAGGGCCUUGAAGAAUGGGGCGCAGCGGUCAGUGGCUUUGGAGAUAAAUCUGGUCAGGGCGGCGACACGCCCUGUAAGGCUUUGGAUAUCUUUGACCGUCUUAGGUACCGUCAUGUCUAAGAUGGCCUGGAUCUUUUCUGGAUUGGCCUCAAUACCCCUCUGGCUGAUCAUGAAGCCCAGGAAUUUGCCGGAAGCCACCCCGAAUGCACAUUUGGUGGGGUUAAGCCUCAUUUUGUAUUGCUUCAGGAUGGUGAACAUGGCAGAGAGGUUGGGGAUGUGUUGGUCAGCUGUGCGACUCUUGACUAGCAUGUCAUCGACAUAGACCUCCAUGGUAUUGCCAAUCAGGGGGGCAAAGAGCUGAUUCACCAGACGUUGAUAAGUAGCCCCGGCAUUUUUGAGGCCAAAGGGCAUCACCUUAUAGCAGUAGAGGCCGCGGUCCGUAAGGAAAGAGGUGUGGGCCUGGUCUUCGGGGUGCAUGAAGAUCUGGUUGUAACCUGAAUAAGCAUCCAUGAAGCUAAGGAGGGCUUGGCCGGCUGUGGCAUCGACUAGCUGGUCAAUGCGGGGUAGCGGGAAGCUGUCCUUUGGGCAAGCCCGAUUAAGGUUGGUGUAGUCGAUACACAUGCACCAGCCCUUUCUUGGCUUGCGGACCAUCACGACAUUAGCCAGCCAUGUAGGAUAGUCAACCUCCCUGAUGAAUCCGAUGCUACUCAAUCGAUCCACCUCCGCCCUCAUGGCCUCAUAGCGCCCGGGAUCAUAAGUGCGACGCUUCUGUCGGACUGGUCUGACGGCAGGAUUGACGCUAAGCCUAUGGGAUAUGAUGUCUGGUGAUAUGCCAGGCAUGUCAUUGUAGGACCAUGCGAAGACUUCGGAGUUGAGGCAGAGGAAGGCGACCAGGUCAGAGCGAAGCUCUGGCGAGAUGGAGGUGCCGAUCCGGACUUGUCGAUCCGGGAUAUCGUCGUGGAGGGUAACCAGCUCCAGGUCCUCCAUGGGUUCGGCCUAUGGUGCGAUGGACUCCUUCCUUAGGUCCUCAGGUGGUUCUGUGCUAGCUUGAGAAGGGGCGGGAGCCGUGGUUACUGCUAGGGCUUCACUCCUAUGUUGGCGAUUGGUGGAUUUGACGGCUGAAGCAUAGCAGCUUCGGGCACCGAGUUGGUCGCCGCGCACCGUGCCUGGGCCAUUAGGAGUGGGAAACUUCAACAGCAGCAUAUGCGUGGAAAUAAAAGCCCUUAUUUGGGCCAAGGCUGGGCGGCCGAGGAUGACGUUGUAGGCUGUGGGGCAAUCGACGAUAAGGAAGGGGGUAGUGAUCGUCGUCCGCUGGGGUGCGGCCCCAAUUGAGAUAGGGCGAUGAAUGCUGCCAAUAGGCUGGACCACAUCACCCGAGAAGCUCACAAGGGGUGUGAUGCUUCGGUCGAGUAGGUGAGGCGGGACCUGGAGUUCAUUGAAGGCCUCAGCAAAUAUCACACUGACCGAGCUGCUAGUGUCCACUAGGAUACGCCCAACGUCGAAGUUAGAAAUGUCAGCCCGGAUAAUGAGUGGAUCGUCAUGGGGGAGGAUAACACCACGCUCCUCCUCCUCGCAGAAGGUAAUGGGGGCCCAGCCAGUCCUGUGGGUCUUUGGCAAGCGUCCCUGCUCAGUGCUGAAGACCUGGUGCGCAUAGGUGGAGCGGACAUAAUGUUUGAUGGAGUUGUUGGAGGUGCCAGCCAGGGUAGGACCUCCGCUGAUGGUGGAGAUCAUGUUGAUUUGUCGUUGGUGAGGGUUAGGCGGGGCUGGUAUGUUGCGCACAUAGUUGUCCGGCUUACCCUCCCGGAUGAGCCCUUCAAUUAUGUUGCGCAACGCAACGCAACACAAGACUCGGUGUCAUGGCCGCUGAAUUGAUGAAAGCGGCAGAAGACCCCCGUGUUUGGCAUAGGCUUGUUGGAUGGUCUCCGGGGGGGUGGCUUGGGGAUGAUGGGGGCUUCACGCACCAGGACGUUCUCAUAGGUGGUGUUGAGGGUCGUAAAAACCUCAAACCUGGGCCUGGGUGUGAAGGGAAGAGGGGCCCGAUCACCAGGCCUAGGAGGGUUGCCUCCGCUAGAGUGGUGGUGGUUGCCAUGUCUGCCACGUUUGUUAUUCCCGAAGGGAUGCUGGUAGCUAUCCUUCCGCUUAUGUUGUUGGUUGUCCUGGGCACUCGGGGUAGGGGUAGAAUGCUGAGGUGGGGCUGGGGCGGGUGCUGAAGCAGGUGGAGGGUCGGCGAAAGUGUUGCGCGCCAGGUUGGCUGGGCCACGCUUGGAAUUGAAGUAUUCAGCCUUAGCAUGGAUCGCCGCCUGCUUCAUCAGCUCUGCAUAUGUGUUCCAACUGUUGCUAUGAACCAGGUAGCGGAAGUUGGACUCGCGGAGGCCGCUCUUAAAAGCGCCGAAGGCAGCGCGAUCGUCAGUGUCUGGGCAGCGGGAGUACUCAUGACUGAACCGAGCUGCAUAUUCCCGAAGGGGUUCGUCCUCAGCCUGCCUAAGCAUAUACAAGUCGUCGGCAGAGUAUAGGCGAUCAGUCUGGAUCAUAAAAUGGUCCAGGAACGUCUGCUUGAGACUAUCGAAGGAGUUGAUGGUGCGGGGGUGGAGCCUGUAGAACCAAUUCAGGGCCGCGCCGCUGAGGGUGGAAGGGAAAAUAAGGCACAUGCCUUCAUCAGUGAGGCCUUUGCACCCAAGGGCAGACUGGAAGGAGUGGAUGUGGGUGAGAGGGUCCUCCGUGCCAGUGUAGAAAGCGAUGCAGAGUGGCUGGAUAUCUUUCUCCUGGUGGUAGUGGAGGAUGCGUUCGGUAAAGGGCCCGGGUCGUGGUUUUGCCCAGAGGGGUUGAUGGCUGCGAUGUUGUUCGCUUUCCAGGCGCCAGACCUUUUCGAAGAGAAGCCUCAUGGCCGGGUCGGCAUGAGGAAGAGUUUCAGGUGCCAAAGGCCUGGGGGCGGGGCAGACAGGGACUGGGGAUUGUUCCCAAUUUUCCAGCGCCCCGGUGUGGUAAUUUGGCCAGGUCUCUGAAUUAUAAAAUUCCCAAGUAUCCGAGUCCCCGACACCUUCCUCGUCGGGUAUGCGGACGGGGGCUAGCGAGGGGCCCAGGUGUGUCACCCGUGGGUCUUCGAGGUUGACAGGGAUAGGGAUCGGCCUUGGCUGACGGUCCGAGAGGCGAUCCCUGCAAUCUUGGUAGAUCCUGACUGGUUCAUGGGGCCGGUCCCUCGGUGGGGGAACGCAAAGGGGUCGUGACUGGGUUAUCUCCGGAUGAAGGUGGUCUUUACCCUUGCGGAGCCUAGCUUGGGCCGAGGCACUGUGGCUGGAAUAUACUGGCUGGUUCGGCUGAGUAAGCCCAACGUUCUGGGUGAGGUCUUGCUGGGCAUCCUGGGUGUGAGUCCUUUCCCAGUUCCGCUUUAAAACACGGUAGUCAUGUUCUAGCUCAACGUUCCUGCAUUGAAGGUGCUCGUAUUUUUCUGACAUUUUAGUGACACUGUCGCGGAGGCGCUCCACUUCUGCCUGGAGAGUGGCAUCUUCCGAAGAUUUCCUUCUAGAAGUACCAUCGCGGGGGGUAUGAUGCUGGGUAUCGUUGCUAUCCUCGGUCGGCAUAGCAGAAUGUGGGGUGAAGAAGAGGCGACGGGGCCUGAGGGGUGAAGGAGCCAGCUGGGCUGAUAGAGAAUGCGGGGAUUCAAGUGUCGAAUUCCCACAGACGGCGCCAAACUGUUGAUGCUCAAAAUGGUCCGGCCAAUAUUGAGUCCAACUUAGUGAUUAGGUAUGCGGGGUCUUCAGCAGGGAAGAGAGCUGAGGCCCUUGGCGAAAUAUAGGUUGAUGGGAAACCUGCAGAAGACAAAGUGGGAGAAGCAAUCGUUAAGCUUCGGACACCGGUGUGGUGCCGGCCGAAGGCUCUCCGAUGCCUAAGUCAGUUACAAGUAGUAAUUCUGGCAGAGUAAUAGUAAAAGUGGGAGAAUAGUUACCCUUUUUACCUGGGUAAUGUUCCCUAUUUAUAGGGAAGUGAAAGUAGGAGCUUUGCACAAAGUUCCAAUGUGGGACUUUGUGCAAGCCGUUGUGGUGGCGACACGUGUCCUGGAGAUUAGGUUUGGCAGCUGGGAGCUUCGGUAGGUGUCUGGCACCUCGGAAGUGUGUCUUCCUUCGGCACAGGAGAAGGCGUGGUUGCCUUGGUGCUAGUUACUUUGGUGCUGGGUCUGCUCGGUUCAUUAUGGUGUAAACAAUAAAUACAAAUAUACGGUUAGGACGUUGGUCUUUGUGGCCGAACUGGAGGACUUUAAAUUGAGCCCUCUUUUAUCUAAUUUUGUGUUUAUAUAAUAUACAUAAGUGAACAAAUAUGAAUAUGGACUGGGUCUUUUUGAUGGGCCAAAUUGAGAGAUUUUGGGCAAUCAUAAUGUGAUUAUUUUAUAUAGUUGGCCAUCUAAGAGAGCUCGGAGGAUCAAGCCUAAGACACCUAUUCGAGCCCAGGAUUUUCAAAGGGUUAUAUGCAGGUGACGGAGGCUUCACAAGGAAACAAAUCGAGGAGAUUGAUGAUAGUUCAGCAUAUUCCAAAACAUGAGAGAAUCAAGCAAUCAGAAUAUUUCCACCAAUGUGAUCCCACGAAUUCAAGGGGCUUCAAAAGGAAAGAGUUUUAAAAGAGUUGACAUUUGGCCAUUCAAUGGCCAGCCCAUGGGCUGACGGAAGCCUUAUAUAAACCUCACUAAAAGAAGGCAGAAGAUACACAUCAUCAAACAGACAAACGUAUUUUUCGUCUCGCACUUUUCUUUUUCUAGACUUAGGAUUUUACUUUUCAAGCACUUAGUGUAGCGAGUUCUUCUUUUUCCUAGUGUAAGUUUAAAUUCUUGUUCAAUUUAUAUUUCUUGCCAUUUAAAUUCAAGUUUAUUUAAAUUGCUUUACUUUUUAUUGUUAUCGUAUUUUCAUUAAGUUUAAAUUCAAGUUUAACUUAGUUUACCGUUCUUAUCGUUCUUAUUUCGUUCUUGUUUAUUUAUUGCUUUGAUUUAUUUUAUCGCACUUUAAUUCUUAUCUUUACGUUAUUUAUCUUACGCACUUUACUUGAAGUUAUUUAUUUUACGCACUUUACUUUAUGUAUUUAUCUUUAAAUUAUAUUUAAUUUUAAGCACAUUUACUUUACGCACUUGUUCUUAGUUUCAUUACAUUUCACCUUCAAUCCUCAUCUCCACCCAUUCCACAUCAUUUGGUUGCUAACAUAAAGCCUUGACCCCAAGGUAGUGAAAGAACCUAGGCCGUGAGGAGGUUCCUUGCUCGGCCAAACAAUCGUUUGAUUAAAGUCAGAUCUUGGACGCAACAUACAGUCACAUUGCAUUCAAGCCAAAUUCGUGACUUGGUGGUGGCACGCCCCGCACUCAAAAAAAGAAGAAGGACCAAAAGUUCCUUUCUUCGACCGCCUCGGCCGAAAAAAGAGAAACACAUGACAACUUGUAUAACCGGUAACUAAUUUUUAAAAAAUAUCUGGGCGUAUCAGUGCGCCUGGUCCACUAUAGAAGGUGCCAACAACCAACCAACCUAUGCUCCUGACAAACUGAACAAAAAACGCCAAAUAAUUCAUAUGUGUUGUAAAAGUGGAGUCCCCAAAAUGCCCCCAAAUGCCUAUAAAAGGCUUCCCCCUUCCCUAUCUCAAUACACAUAGAAAUCAGAAUGAAAAUUCAGUUUCUCUAUUUUCUCUCCAUCUCAAUUUCCUCUCCAAUUCCUCUAGUUUUAUAACACGUUAUCAGCACGAGUCUUUAACCGGCUGAGUUUCUCUGAUGAAACCCAUUUAGAUAAGCCAACACCAGACAACAAAACCACAGCCACUGGAGCUCAAAAUUGAGCAGUCCAUGGACCACUGGCAGUUCCUGAUCAACAACAGUUUCUUCAGCAACUUUAAACACCAUUCUCCAAAUUCACACCUAAAAUCAACACCAACAGCAGCAAGCAACAAGCAUCAAUUUCAUCCCUACCCAAAUCAUCAAAAUGGAAAACUCCCAGCAGGACCACCAUAGACAGUCGAUGCAAAAGAACAAUCUGGUUUGAUAUCUGAAUCUGUAGAUGGGUUAGAUGACACAAAUUUCCUCAGAGCUAACUUAGUAUCCUCAAUGCUAAAGUUUAGAACACACUUCUUAUCAGGCUUCCAAAAAUCCAGUUUCUUUGUUUCCAUAAACCCGAAGCCCAUAAUUUGCUCAAAACCCAUCACCCUUCCAACCCCAGAGUCAGAGCCUCAAAUCAAGAAGAAAAUCCCAAUUUUUUGUUUCUGGGUUUUGGUGGAAAUUGAUAAUCCAAGGAGUUUCAUCAAUGGCAGAGGUUUUGAGCAAAACCAGUCUCUUCUCGUCUUGGCAUCAUCACAAUCGUCAGAAUCAAAGCAUCUCUGUUUUCCCGAAGAGUUGUAAUUACAAUAAAUCUGGGUCGUUUUGUUGCUCUCUGAAACUGAACCCAGAGAUUUCAUCACUUUCAUUAUCGACAAAGAGUGAUUUUCAUGGCAAAGGGUUUGCUCUUCAAGAGCAUAGAGCCAUGCCCAGCAGAGGGAAUCUCCAAUCCCAGAGCCAUUACCGAAGAUCCAAACCCACCCUGAGGCCACGUCUGAGGUUUGCCACGACGACAGCGGGACGCCGGUGAAGGCGAAGACCAUCGACGAGCUUCAUUCGCUUCAGAAGAAGAAAUCAUCGCAACCCACCACUCUCAUCACCAGAAACAGCAGCUGCAGUCGAUCAGUGCGUCUUUGGCGUCGCUGACGAGGGAGAUGGGGCCCAAGGUGGUGAAGGGGGACCAAGGAAAUCGGAGGGCCAGAAGGUGACGCAUGUAGAGCAUCAGCUGCGGCUCCCAUGGAACUGGAGCUUCUCUUUUUACUGCCCAUCUGAACCAAACUCAAAUAGAGCAUCAUCUGUACGACAUCUGGCGUUAGUACUCUGGCUCUAAGCUGAUUUUCAACAACAUCUCAGACCCAUUUGGGUUUGCAGUGAAGAGAAAGUCAGAUGGCUAAAGUUCUUUUCAACUCGAGCUCUGAUCCUAAAGACCCAUAUGAUGAAUUGGUGUUUAAGGACCAGUACCUGGAGAUUUCAACGGUGUUUAAGGACCCGACCUUAGCUCAGUUGGUAGAGCAGCAGGAGUGAAGAAGGAGGGAGGGACUUGGUGGUUGCUUUUCGGGCCACGACCGAAAUGAUGUGCAGCACCCACUGAUAAAGAAAAGCACCCACCGAAAUGAUGAGAUUCCCACCAUCUUUUCAAUUAUUAUUAUUCCAUAUUAUUUAAUAUUAAUAUUAAUGCAUGUGCUAAUGGCAGGUCAAAUGAAAACACAGUGACAAGUAUGAUACCUUACAGCAAAUUAGCACGAAGGUGGCCAUGCUUCUAUAAUAUAUAUAUAUAUAUAUAUGAAAAGCUGAUGGUAAUAUAAUAUACCAUAUUUUUCUGCCAUUCUAUUACUAACCAUUAACAAAAAUGGACCCUUGGUAAUACUAAACAUAUUAUCAGUGGGAGACCGUUACUAAUAUUAACAUUUUUCUUAUUUUAUUUGGUGGUGGUUUUUAACCCCAUAUUUAUUUUAUUUACUGUAUGGUGUAGGUUUAUCACCCAUACAACCAGUAUUUAUUUCAAAGGGUGGUGCGGGUUUAUCGUCCACGCCUUUACUUUUAUUUAAAUGUAUGGAGCAGAAUUAGUGCCCGUACAAGCACAAUUUACUUUACCGCACAUUUAAUUUUAUUUAAAGUAUGGUGUGGGAUUAACGUCCAUACAGCAAGCAAUUUAAUUUAUGAAUUUAAUUUACCGCACAUUUAUAUUUAUUUAAAAGGGUGGUGCGGGUUUAUCGUCCACGCCUUUACUUUUAUUUAAAUGUAUGGAGCAGAAUUAGUGCCCAUACAAGCGCAUUUAAUUUACCGCACAUUUACAUUUAUUUAAAAGGGUGGUGCGGGUUUAUCGUCCACGCCUUUACUUUUAUCUAAAUGUAUGGAGCAGAAUUAAUGCCCACACAAGCACCUUAACUUUAUGAAUUUAAUUUACCGCACAUUUACAUUUAUUUAAAGUGUGGUGCGGGUUUAUCGUCCAUACCGGUAAUUUAUUUACCAGCAAUUUAUUAUAUGGAUUAAAUGUGCUGUAUGAUGAGUUUUUACAGUAUACAGAUCAGGACCAGAAGUUCCUUGAUCCUCAUCAUACAAUUACAUCAGGACUUGAAGAUCCUUGAUGAUAAUGUUAAUAUGAGAGCUGGCAGUCUCUCCGGUACUAUAUUUGUAAACAUGUGAUCGGACUUGAGGGUCCUUGAUCCCUGACAUGUAAAUAAGGACCUGGGGUUCCUUAAUGAUGUAACAGUACCGUAUUGGUUCAUAAUGCCGUACACAUGGAUGAUAACUGUACUGGCAAAUGUACUAGAACCUGCAGUUCCUUAAACUCAUGGAUGAGCAAUUAAAUGAGAUGCCAGAAGUUCCUCAAAAUAUGGACAAUUAUGUAAGGGCUUGAAGUCCAGAAAUAUGUACAGAAAAUUGUAAAAAUGUCCAUACCAUGAGAAUAUGUGAUUUUGGCCCGAAGUUCAAAAUCUAAGGGGAUUGAAUGUCCAUACCAUGAGAAUAUGUGAUUUUGGCCUGAAGUUCAAAAUCUAACAGUGUUGAGAACCUGAAGUUCCAACAAUUAAAUGGACAACCCUUAAGGUAUUAUUGCAAAUUGUGGUACGCCACAUAUCUCUUUGGCAUAAGAGAAUGAUGAAUUGAGGCUCCCCACAUAUUUUGUUAUAUCUGGGCCGGAAGCUCAUGAACCCAAAUAUAUGAGAUAUUAGCGUGGCUUUUACUCAAUUCAUAUUUCAUGUCCAUUUUGAAAAGGGCAAAUAAAUUCUGCGUUUGUGUUUAGCCCAGGCCAAAAGUUCCGGGCUCCCAUACGUUGAAAUAUGAAAUUUGGGAGAGUCGAUGUGGUUAUUUGAACCUAUAAGGCACAAGGUUCAAAACCGUCAUUUUGAAAAGACGUAAAAAUCACAGGUGCAAAUUUUAAGAAUAUGCGCAAUUAUUAUAACAGGAAAGGAGCAAGUUGAAACGCAAUUGCUCCAAUCAAGUUUUGCAAAGGCCAUAUCUAUAGGAGGAAAUAUGACUACUUUUUCAAAAGUACCCCGAGAAUCUCGCAAUUUUCCUAUGGUUAAUUUGAAAUUCACCGGUUCUACAUAUUCCUCUUAUUUGUGUAUAAAUGUGUUACUAACAAAAUUUUCUUUGCAGAAGACACCCAGUUUUCUCCAUACCUAGUGAUGCGAUAUCUACUUGUUUUUCUUAUCAGUGAGCAUUUAAUAUGCCCGAGAAGCAAGACUAUCUCUGAUCAUCCAUUCAGGAAGCGAGACUAUCCCUGAUCACGUUUCCGCUACAUCAGGAAACUGUAAAGGCGAUCUUAUGCUCUAAUCUCCGGAAGUCCUUCUAGACUAUGAGAUAUGAGAGCUUAUUGUCUGCUCCCACCAGCUUCCUUCCCUGAUUGCUUACCUUCUCUUUUUUGCAUUUUUUCUCUUUCUGUAACUCUCUGAGGAUUAUUUGUUUUUGACAGAGAAAAGAGUUGUGAUUUUACUAUUGCAGGAUAUAACUAGAUCAUCAAGCGCUACAUUUACUGGGCCGAUACAAGCUUGAAUGAUACUUGAGAAAAGUUUCUCCCACCUAAGGAUGUAAGCAAUACUUGUGUUAUUUUUUGCUUAUAUACUUAUUUGAUAUUUUAUCUUGAAAGGUAACCAAAUGGGAAGAUAAGUCCGUUCCAAAAGAAUGGCUUGUAUGUAUCCAUGAAUUAUUAAUGCAAAUUUUACAGAUUGCAAGUUGGAUACAUUGAUAAUACACUGCACAGAUUAAUGUACCAUAAGAACAGAAUAUGGGUAUAGCAGUGAUCAAUAUGAUGCACGCCUGUUGCAUAGCAAAUGAUAUGGAUUGAAGUCCCGAAAGGACAAUCCUUUGACAUGUCAAUAUUGAUAUUAUGCACGCCUAAUGCGUAGCAAAUUAUAUGGGUUAAAGUCCCAGAAAUUAAUUGACAUGUAUGUAUUAAUCUAUGGCAUGCCUGCAGCAUGACAGAUAUAUGGGUGCACGCCUGUUCCGUAGCAAAUGAUAUGGAUUGAAGUCCCGAAAGGACAAUCCUUUGACAUGUCAAUAUUGAUAUUAUGCACGCCUAAUGCGUAGCAAAUUAUAUGGGUUAAAGUCCCAGAAAUUAAUUGACAUGUAUGUAUUAAUCUAUGGCAUGCCUGCAGCAUGACAGAUAUAUGGGUGCACGCCUGUUGCGUAGCAAAUGAUAUGGAUUGAAGUCCCGAAAGGACAAUCCUUUGACAUGCCAAUAUUGAUAUUAUGCACGCCUCAUGCGUAGCAAAUUAUAUGGGUUAAAGUCCCAUAAUAUGGGUUAAAGUCCCAGAAAUUAAUUGACAUGUAUGUAUUAAUCUGUGGCAUGCCUGCAGCAUGACAGAUAUAUGGGUUCUAAAUGUUCCAACUCUCUAAAUAGAGAUUAUCCACGCCCUACUGUAAAAUAACGCUCCAUUGGAGGUUAUAAUCCACAUUCUCACAUAAUAAAAGCCCCAUGAAGUGGCUUGGGUACCCAAAAGCAAAGAAAUGCUUAUAAUUGAUGCAUGCGCAUGCACAUGAGAAUUGUGAGAUUAUGAAUUAAUGAAUGACAAUUUUUGGUUUUGGAGUAGCUACUCAAAAUCAUCAAUGGGCUGUGUUGAUUGGAACCACGUUCAAUUAUUAAAUGUCGACAAUAUCAUUGGCCAAAAUGGAACGAGGUAAUUCCAUUAUAGAUGAGAAUGAAUGUGAAAGAACAAACCCACAGUACGAACCCCAAAAUUUGUUAAUACUGAAUUUAUACUUGGGUGUUCGGAAUAAAAGGGAAUAUACCUACUUUGUAUGACACACUGUUUCUGGCAGAAACAAGGAAUGUUGGGUUUUCUCCAUAUUUACAGAUUCAAUUGUGCCCCCCCUCCUUAUUACACAAUUACGGAGACCAACAUAUUAUCUUUAAGGGUUAUUAAAUGCACGGAGCAUAUUGCCAGAAGCGAUUCCCUAAAGAUGUAUAAAUAGCUGGGUUAAAGCUAUAUAAUGUGUCAUAAAGCUUAAUCCCUUUUAGACAAAAUCCGUUGAGAGGAUUGACAUUGCAUAAAGCAAGUCCCUAAAGGACAUGUGCUUGAAGCACAAAAUUUGUACUCAAUAUUAAUAUGCAUAAAUUACCUCAGUGAGUACAUUGAUUAUAAUGUGAUUGCAACACAUUAAAGCUUCUGCAGAAUUCAUGAAAUAUUUGUCUCGAUCGAGCAUUAUACCAACGAGAUUCUUGCUUAUACUAAGAGAGUCUUAUCCGUUGGUCCUUAAAUAUUUUUCCGGAAGUAUACUAGACCAGAUAGAGCUCAGCUCCACACUGUACUCUUUUUCCUUUAUCCAGGUUUUUAUCCCAUUGGAUUUUUUCUGGUAAGGUUUUAACGAGGCAGUGUAGCUCAAGGGUUUAGGGUAUACUAUGAAAAUUUUUAUGGUCGCUUACUGGACAAAAGCUAGUCCUAAAUUUUUCAGGGGGGGAUAUUCAUCAGGGGGAGCAUGGUUUUCAUCAAGACCUCCAUACACUGUACUCUUUUUCCUUCAUCCAGGUUUUUAUCCCACUGGAUUUUUCCUGGUAAGGUUUUAAUGAGGCAGUGUCGCUCAAGAUUGACUCACAGAAGCAGUGUCAACUACGAUAUUCAGAAAGCUGAUCAACAGUAUGACUUAAAGAUAUUUUGCCAAGCAUCAGGGGGGAGCGCACCAUCAAUAAAGAUCUUCAAACACCGUACUCUUUUUCCUUCGUCCGGGUUUUUAUCCCACUGGGUUUUUCCUGGCAAGGUUUUAACGAGGCAGUGUCGCAAGCGCAUCAAUAUACAUAGAAUUUUAUGUUACACAUGAUUAUGUACUCUUUUUUCCUUUGACCAGUUUUUGUCCCACUGGGUUUUUACUGGCAAGGUUUUUAACGAGACAUAUUCUGUAUCAUUUGUGGUCUCCAAGGGGGAGUGUUGUAAAAGUGGAGUCCCCAAAAUGCCCCCAAAUGCCUAUAAAAGGCUUCCCCCUUCCCUAUCUCAAUACACAUAGAAAUCAGAAUGAAAAUUCAGUUUCUCUAUUUUCUCUCCAUCUCAAUUUCCUCUCCAAUUCCUCUAGUUUUAUAACAAUAUGCACAUCAAGACAAAAGCACUCAACAACAGAAAGCUUAAAAUAAAGCCAGAAGGUGCACUCGUCAGGGGAAUCACAGAAAAUUUAAAAUAAAGCCAAAUUCCCUCAUAUCCAAAACAAUCAACCUCUCUUCAAAGUAAAACGGAUGAAAGAAAUAUAGAUUAUAAGAGGAAGCCAAACUAUAAUAAUAUCAUACAUGAUAGAGUUGCGGUACAUAGAAAAGGAAAACAACAAGCAUAUCAGCAUCAGAUAGGAAUUUGGAACCAGAGCCACUUCACUCUUGAGACACAGGCAUUCAUUUAAAUGGCACUGAAAAAAGAACUUGGACUGGGAGGGGUUGGGAUGUCCACGGUCCCUUCCAGCAUCAGCAGAACUUUCUUCAUAGAGGGACGGAGCGAUGGCUCAUCCUGGAUGCACCAAAGUCCCACUUUAAUCAUCCUUUCAAAUUGCCUUCUCUCUAUCUCUUCAUCACCUGCUAAUUUGCCAAGUUCACCCUUCUCAAAACAGUUGCAGGCCAAUUCAUCCAAAAUAGCCUCCUCCUCAGGAAGACUCCAAUCCACGUUCCUUCGACAACAUAUGAUCUCCAACAGCACAAUUCCGAAGCUGUAAACAUCUGCUUUAACCGUUAUUGGCAUUUUCCUAUGCCACUCCGGUGCAACAUACCCCUUGGUUCCUCUGAUUCCAGUAGUUGUUCUAGUUUGGUCUGCCUUAAGCAGCUUUGCCAAUCCAAAGUCGGAGAUUUUCGGGCACAUGAACUCAUCUAGUAGUAUAUUUUGAGGCUUUAUGUCACAAUGGAUGAUCUGUGUAUCACACUCUUCAUGGAGAUAAAGAAACCCCCGCGCUAUGUUACGAGCAAUGCCCAUUCUUUCUUCCCAAAAUGGUUGCCUUUCACUGGUGAAGAGCACAUCUGAAAGUGAGCCGUUGCUCAUGUACUCAUACACCAAAAGCUUUUUAGCUCCGUCAAGGCAAUACCCAAGUAAACGGACUAGAUUCUUGUGAUGGGUUCUCCCAAUAACUCUGAUCUCAGUCUGAAAUUCUGUUUCCCCUUCGGCUGCAACUUUCUCUAGUCUUUUGACAGCAACUGGCUUUUGGGUACCCAAAAUCAGCCCUUUAUAUACUGUUGACGAGGCUCCUCUACCAAGCUCUUCCUUGAAAUUAUUAGUCAUCUCUUCUAGCUCUUCAUAAGCAUAUCGUCGCGGAGCCACACUCUCAUUCAAUUCAAGGUCACCAUUCACAGCACUCAUUCUUUUAUAUGCCCAGACAUUGUGUUUCCACAACACAAUCACGGAAAUCAACAACAAAAUGGAUCCAAAAGCAGUAAAUGAAAGACCAAUAAUCAGGAUGUCAGUUCUACCUUUUUUCUUGCUUCCUGGUUGAACGAUUCUAGGAUCUGUAUGUGGUUUUGUAGGUACACCUACCUUGAUGAGAGCUCUGUCUGAAGUUCCAGUGUUUCUUCUACCAUAUCUCAAAGGAAGCCUCUGCUUUCUGCAGUUUGUACCGUCAAAAAGCGCAGCUUCACAGUUACAAUCCUCCAGACAGACUUGUAUGCAAUCGUCUUUGUCGGAUAAUCUCAAACUCAUAUACGAAACAUCUUCCCAUGUUGUGCUUUCCAGCUCUUCCAUGGUGUAAGUGAAAUUCUCAUUCCUGUUUUUGCAUGCAUCCGCAACAAAAUUUCUCUGGCACCCGGAUGUCUGAUUUCCCUGGUUGACAGAUUCGAAUCUCGGAAGACAUCUACAGUCCGGCUCUAGAUCAAUUAAGACACAAUAGCUAUUCAAUCCGCACAGGCCUUUAGGAACACACUUAUCCUUGGAAGACUCCCACUCAACUGACCAAAUUGCAUUCUUUGUCAAAUCAUGUGAAUACAAACGAAAUAUCCCAUUUGCAUCAAUUCUCAUAAGAUAAAGUUUUCCUUCAUCAGUAGGAAGACCUCCAUCUGUUAUAUUCAAAAUAUUCGAACCAGUCCCGUUGAGCAAGUAGAGACGGCCAUCAGCACCCAAAUUAAGUGUCAAGUUCUCUCCCGCUCCAUAAGUUGAAGAUGCAUAAAAAGCGUAAGGACUGGUGUCUGGAGUAUCUACAGGGUACUGAACAAGGUUUCCAUCCUUUUGCAUUUUGAGACGGAAAAUCCCCGUUGAGUGAUCAGCUUCUGAUUUCGCCGAGAAAAGUUCGUUUCCUGAUAAAAGGCGUUGACCGGGCAAAAGGGUGUCGGUUGGAUGAUCAAAGCUCUGCCAUACUAUUUUCCGACCAGAGUUGUACAGCACGAAAUUACCCGAAUUGAGCAUGGAAGCAUAAGAAGCAGAGCCAGAAGAUUUUACCAAGUAAUUUUGGCCUUCUGCUGUUGUCAAGGCAAGGCCGUCACCUGUGAAGAGCAAGGUGGCAUUGUUGGAGACUGGUGGAUCAUCUCGAUUUGCUGUCCACACGACUGUCUUUUCGGGAAUUCCAGCAAGAAAUAUCCCAACAGCAUAGCCAUUGCCUUGCCUGUAAAAUCCAAAGGCAUAUAGACCAGAACGUGACAGCCAUGUGGAGUUGGUGGUUGGUUUUAAAGAAGAGCCUUGGCUUAUAUUCGACUGCAUCUGUUGUGCUUCAGCAGCAACAAAUGCCAAGGCAAGAAGAAGGCAUGCCAUGAAAGCCAUCGAAAAAUGAUCUCAGUGUAAUUAUUUGUCUUCCUUUUCCUCUGUUUUUUAUUUUCCCUUCUGCAGCACUCCAGAAAAUUGGUUCCAAUGCAGUAUGAAGUUCUAAUUCUGAAUUUCUAUUUAAUUUAAGGUGGAUGGUGUAAAUUGGUUCCAAAAGAUGCACCAAAUUUUCCAUUAAAUUUUUUGUUCAAAUUGUUAAAAUGUAAACUGCCUAGCUAAUUUCUGAUUAGUUAGUAAUCACUUAGUCAGUUUAUAUUCAGUCCAUUUAAGUCAUCUGUUAGCUGAGCACCUUCAGCUCAUAUGCCAAGUGUAAGGCUUAGGAUUGUCUCUCUUAUUUCAGCGGUUCUAAAGCCUUGUAAUGCCAUGUGUCAUAUUCACAUUGGCUUACCCUUCACAACGGUUAGAUUGUAAUUGCUGAUGUAAGAACACAUUUUGGGUAUGAAUAGAGCUUUCUCUGCUGCAACGGUUAAGCAGAGGAGUAGUGGUCAUAACCAUUUUGAUUCCUUCUUGCUCAAGCUCUCUCUCAGUCUUUUGCUCUUUAGCUCCCUUGACAAUCCAAAUCUCAACACAAAUUGUUUAUUAACUUUAUCGUCAUAUUGUUUACUAUCUCCUAAAUUUGUCCCUAAUAGUACGUCCCAGAAUUUGUGAACUUGACUUUGUAGACUUUUCUAAUCACAUGUAAGGAAAACUAGUUAAGUCGCUUUCUUCUCUGUAGGCAAUGAGUCGGUCCAAAUCAAACCCUUCAUAUGCAUUUUUCUUCUUUGAUUUUAUGAAGAGGAUGCAGACGGACGAGGCACUUUGGACUUGUUCUCCAAUACCAUUAACCCCGUAAUUUUCUUGGAAGAAGGUCACACUACAACAUAAAAACCCUUCUAUGACGUCUGAUUUGCGUCAUGGAAGGCAUUUAAUGAUGCGGAUCAGGCGUCGUAACCCAUGUCGUCAAAAGGAGGGGAUCAUGGAAACUUUUUCCAAGCACGAUGUCUGUUCCGCGUCAAAGAAUGGGGUUUCAAUGACGCGGAUAGCGUGUCGUGGAAACCUUUUCAGAGCACGACAUCUAUUCAACGUCAUGGAAUGGGGUUUCAAUGAAGCGUGUAGCGUGUCAUGGAAACUUUUUCAAAGCACGACGUCUAUGCUGAGACGUCAUUGAAAUAUUUUUCAUGACACGGUUUAGACGUUGUUGAAAUUCUUUAAUUUUUUUUUUAAUAAAAAUUCUUAAUCUAUAUAUAUAUAUCCCAUCAUUUUAAUUAUGCGAAAAAAAAAUUAAUAUAUAAAAGCAAAAAUAUAAACACAAAGACAAAGACUCUGAAUUAUAUUUCUAUUAUUCAAAAUGAUCUAGUACAUUAAAAUUGUCUUUAACGAAUCCCACUAAACCAUUUCCCUUUCAAGAAGUUAAAAAUAUGAAGAAUGAAGCUUACAGGACCUUGAUUAAAAAAAUAAAAAAAAUUAAUUUAAAAAAAAUAAAAAAAAGCUUACAGGACAAAACAAAAACCACAAGGCGUUUUGGUAUUUUUAUCCAAGCCCAUAAUUAUCUUCUUAAUCUCUCCAGCAUGAGAAAAAAGCUCAUAAACUUGCUGUUCUGUUGUGUAGAAUGACAUAUUCCCAAUAUAAACAGUCAUUGAUGCCAGGAUUGCUUGUUCAAAUUCCUCAUGUGAUCUAGUAAAUCUUCUACCCUGAUAUUGUGAAAGCUUCCAUUGAUCCUAAUGAAAAAAGAAAAUGAUGAAAGAUAGGGUAAUUGCAGAGAGGAAUAACACAGUUAUAAAAUGCGUGCUGGAUCACAGAGGAUAAGCUGUAUUUUCAUCUGUAUUUCAAAGUGAGACUUGAAGAAGCAUACAAUAAUUUGGAAAUGCACAAAUGUACAAUCUGGCCCCUGGAGUUCCCUUUUCUUUCUAUAACAGAAACGGUUAUGAAAAUAGAGUAAAAUGAAUCUAAGAAAUCGUAAUGAAUAAAUCCCACUCAGUUCUAAAAAAAAUUCACAGCACGUGAAUAGCACAGGGUUCUUGAACAAGAAAUCUGGUUAAGUAAUUACUAUGAACAAAUCUUUUUAAACAUUUUUCAGAACUUCUCUAGCAUCCACACAUUUGAUUGAUUUGAACCAAAUCGAAAACCACAUCUUUUAUAUGACAACAUCGAAAAGAAAAAGCCUGUUGAAUGACCGUUUAUACAAUAAUUGUUCAGAUUCACAAUAUACGUCCUGGCAGUGUGCCCCUACUCUACACAGCUUCUCCAGAAACUCCAAAACAAUUGUACUUAAAGUAUUUAUAAAAAUAAAUAAAUAAAAUGGAAACUACGACAUAUUUGACUCGACAACAACGAAAGAGAAGAUAGAACUUAAACAUUCCCUUUUGCACAUUGCAUUGUCUAGUUCUCAAACAGAAGAAAAUAAAAGGGGUGGGGGCUUAACUUCUAAUUUCCAUCUCUCACCCACCAUGAGUUUCUUUCAUUUUCUUCUCUUCUCUUCUUGUAAUAUUAUCUCAUGCCCUCAUAUUACCAAAAUGGAAUAUUAUACACCUCUGAGGCCUGUGAGGAUUGUGGCUCGAGUUGACUUGGUGUCUCCGAGGCCUGCGAGGAAUGCAGCUCGGUUAAUUUUGUGUUUCUGAGGCCUGCGAGGAUGGAAUUGACAGAUUGCUACUAGAAUUGACGGAAAAAUGUUGGAAUUGACGGAUCAGGAAUGGGGGUACGCCUAGGUGAAGAAUAUUUGGGUUUUUAAGAGGUUUAAACAAAAAUUGAGGAUUUUAUGUUGGUAUUUAUGAGCAAAGGUUUUAAGUAAAAGAGGAAAAUAUAUGUUUCAGUUAAGCUAUUGUUAUUGACAUUAAGAUUUCACAUGAUCAAUGUUAUUGUUAAUAAUUUUCUCGUUUUCCUACUUAUCUGUAACAAGUUAAUUAUAAAUCUUUAUAUAUAGAUAUAUGUGUAUAUAUAAUAAUAAUAAUCUAAGCCAGUAAUACAUAAAUUGAUUUAGGAAUUAGAGGAAGUCCAGUGAGUGGACUUUUGUUUUAUAAAUGAAUUUUAUAGUUUUAUUGAUUGAGUUUGAAUGAUUUAUUUAUGGUUAUUACUUUCCAAACAUGAUUAUUUGAUUUUGAAUACUUGUAUUAUAUUCUGGUUAUAUUUAAAUUGAGAAUGGCUUGGAAAGUAGGAAGGAUAAUGGCAACAUGAUUUAAGGAUGGAUGAUAAAUAGUUUUAUAAUUUUCCAGGAAAUGUUUUAAACCACCAUAGGUGCCCUGUGUUGCCUUCGGAUUAUUGUUUCCUUCGGUUAUGUCAGCGCGUUUGACAGUUGCAUCACGAGUCUUAGGGAUAUCCGGACCGUGCAGAGCGAGGAAAUGCAGAUCAGGUUGACUAAAUGUCCCCUGAGUCUUGCGAGGAUUGCGGGUCGGGUCGACUUUGUGUUACAGAGACCUGCGAGGACGUGUCACAAAUUGUGACACGAGGAAUUGAUGGAAAUUAAGGAAUUCACGAUUAUAUAAUGGGUACACCUAGGUGGAAGUGAAAUAUUGAUUUUUCAAUGCUUUAACUGAUUUAAUGAUUUAUGUAAACGUGUGAAAUAUUAUAUAAAUAUAAAUAUGCCUGUUCGAUUUCUGUAUGAGUAUAGCAUGUGAAUGUUAUUUAGCAUGUCGCUAACAUGAGAACUUGGAUUGAUUUGCAAUCACAAUGGACAAUAACAAUUGACAAGAUACAUAAGUGCAGUAUAAAAAUGGAAGGAACUACGUAUGGCUUGAUCCCUUGUUAAGGGUACGUAAGCAACCUAGAGUUACUAGAUGCAGCCAUGAGACCAAGUGAUUAUUGUAAAGCUAUUCAGUCAAGUUAAUUUGAAAUCUAUUAGCGUACUUGUGUGUUUUAAAGGUUGGGAUCAAUUUCAAUUGGCAGAACGAUUUAUCUGAUUUAAGAGGCCUGAUGUCAUGAUAGGAUUGCAAAGUUCAUUUCAUGCCAUUGAGAUUCUGAAGUUUAUAUGUUUAUUAUUUCAAGAUUUAUAUUAGAAGCUGAGGUCUUUCCUUUAUGCUCGAAAUCUUGUUGAGGUUGUUAGUAAUUGAGAAGUUUCAAUAUUUGAGGAAAGUUUAUAAAUUCUUUAUUAUCAUUCUCACUUGUGAGCCUAAUCUGAUAUUAUUUGCAUUAAGUGGCAGUUAUGGUGUAUAACUCAACUAGCUUAUUUGUACAUAUUCUUUUCUGCUUAGCCUGUCAUGAAUAUAUCAUGUCAGUAUCUUUGGACUUUGAUGUGUGACGUAUGUUUGGUUGUAUGAAUUCCAUUUUUGGUACAUGCUGAACGAAUGGAGAUAUUUAGAUUGUUUGUUACAGGUGAAAAUUUUGGGAAACGAGUAUUUAUAGGGGAGACACUGUUAAAUUUUCGACAUAAGUCAAACUUGAGGUUAAUUUUGGUUUCUGCUAGAAGGGCAAUUUGGUCAAUUGUGCCCGGCACCUGCCAGGUGUCGAACACGCACAGGGUUCGGCUCAGAUUCCAAAGUGAAAUUUGGGUUGGGUCUUGUCAUCAUGUCCUACCCAUUGUGUAUGCCAUAAAUCCUUUGAAGCCAAACACUUAACCUUUUCUUUCAUCACCCACAAUAUUCCCUUACCCUUUUCACCCUAUUUUUAGCCAUACCCUAUAACUUGGGAUAUGCCAUGGCACAUGAAGACAAGGAUGAAGGUUAAGCUCUACAUCAACAAAAGAGGUAGCGUGUACUGAGGAAAUAUGUGCUCAUAGUUCAAGAAAAAGAAAAUAGAAGGGGGAAAAAAGAGAGAAAUAUAUUCCCAAAAAAAUAAAUAAAUAAACAAUAAAGCAUAUCAAAAAUCCUGGAUGCCUUGGUGAAGUAAAUUUGAAGAGCCAAACCAUAUAACACGAAAAAUGCAUUGUUAUGUCUCAAGUUCUAAUAUUCCAUAUCCUUUCUUUCAUAACCCAUAACCUAGCCCUACAUUACAACCAUAGUAAAAGACCUAAUGGAUCUGUGGGGACUUCUUACUCGGAAGUGGAGGUAUGUACUUCAUCUAUGGUUCUUAGUAUUUGAUUUCCUUUCCAUGAGAUCUAUUCCUAGAAAUUGCCUUUUAUUCAUUUUGGAUGCAUGUGUCUUAUAUUUUGAUUUCUUCACCUAACUCCAUUCAUAUAUGCGGGGUAAGAGUGCAACCCUAGGUUUUGUGAGAAAAUUGAGAGUUAUCCAAUGAGGCAUAGAGUCAAGGCGAAUUUGUACACACGCUGAGUGUGAUUAUCUUUAAGUUCGAGUGCUUGGAGUAUUGGUUUCACACUUUAUGACAGGACCCGAUCCAAAUUCCGCUUUGAAAUUCGAACCAGACCCUGUGCGUGUCCGACACCUGGUGAAUGUCGGGCACAAAUGACCUAUUUGCCUCUCAACACAAAACAUGAUAAAAUAACAAGGUUGACUUCUACCGAAAAUUCGGCAGAGUUUCCCUUGUAACUGGCUCAAUACCAAAAUAUUUUCACCUGCCAAACAAGUAUACAUAUAUACAACCAACUGCCAGCAUACGUAUAUAUACAUUCCAACAGUUCAAUUCAAAGUCUAGGGCAAAAUAUCAGAGCGACUACUAAGAAUUUACAAAGGAGUGAAUCCUUUUACAAAACAAAAAUCCUACAUCAAAGAAAGGCGCGGAAAAUGGGAAGUGGCCCGGUGGUGAAUUUCUGUGCACAUCUACUGCCUGGGGGCGCAAAACAAUAAUAAAGGUGAGUGGACCCAAAAACAAAGUUUAGAAAAUAGUAUAUGAACAUACUAACCCCACUGUAAAAACAGUUAUACAAACUCACUUAUUUUCUUUAUUUCUGAAAUCAAUGCAUGUAGAUAAUUAUAUACAUUUGAAAACAGUUUAAAACUAUCACCUAGGUGUACCCUUAUUUCCGUCAAUUCCUUAUAUCCGUCAAUUCCUUGCAUCACCAUGGGUGACACAUACUCGCAAGUCUCAGUGACACGAAGUCAGUCCGAGCCGCAACUCGCAGGAUGCAGGGGACCGUAGUUCACCUGAUCCGCAUUACUCGCUCCACACGAGUUCGAGUACCAAGGAACUCGUGGGGAAACUGUCAAGCAUGCUGACUAAACCGAAGGCAACAAAUAUAGUCCGAAGGCAACAGUUAAUAUCUGGGUACAAGGUGGUUUAAGAAAAUAUAAAGUUUCUGAAGCAAAACUGUUGAAUAAUUAACUUUCUGUAACCUUUAAAAUUCUGCUGCCAUUUAUCUGAUAAUUAACGAGAAUAUCUUUUUCUAUAUUCUUUAAAGGAGAUUUCACUCGGCAGCAUGCAACAUAAAAUAUGUAACAGAAUAAAACAGCUGAUAACUGAAACUGAACUGCUUAAAUUCAUUUAUUAAAACAAAGAGUCCACUCACUGAUAGUCCGAGUUCGCUGGACCUCUUGAAGGUCCUUCCUGCGGGUCAACUGGUACCCGGGUGCCUGAUUCAAUGACCAUAUUAUUCUAUUAAUACAAUAUAGUAUUAAAGUAAAAACCCUACCCCCGGCUCCUAAAAGUACGUGCAGCAAUUUAAAGUGAUCCCUAUGCCCAUAACAGCUUUCCUUCCACAUGGGAUAGUUUAGCGGUAUCUUGGGACUCAAAAAGUGCUAAAAUCCAAAAAGUCAAUCUGGAACCCCACGGGUCCAUAACCUCACAAUAUGAUCCAGAUGCCGCUAGAAGGUCCAAUAUAUUUAGGACAUAUGUCCCGAGAGUAUUGGUGUCAAUCGGACGGUCGGAUUAAUCACGAUCGUGUAAUCGCAUAAUUUUUAAACCCUAGCCAUAGGGUUGGCGAUUUCAGAGUAUCCGGGACUCCGAUUCACGAUCCGUCGAAUCCUACACGUUUCUGAAAUUAUCUAGAGUAACAUAUCUAAAAUUUAUUACGAUCCAACGGCUUAACAAUAUUGAACCCGGUAAUCGCACAAUAUGGAAAAUCCGUUCGAGGCUCAAACGGUAUCCAAAUUGAGAUCCGCGAAUUCCUAUGCGCUCGUGACAACCUAAGGAUCGCAUCAAGACACAGUGCCACUGCACUACACUCGCCCACUCGCCGCCGCACGCGCCGGCAGCGAUGGGUGUCCAAAGCGAUUACGCAUCGCCAGAAAAUCUCAAAACAAAGGCUCCAAACUCCUACUCUAGGUAUAACACCAUAUUUGGAACCACUUUUGUUCUUGGACCUACCCCAAAAACAGACCGGAAUUGGCCGAACACGGAGGCCAAAAAUUGGCCGAAUUCCAAUUUGAAAACUGAGCUAGCUACGGUGAAAAUCAAUGCAAACCUACCCAACCAUCAGCUAGAGCACGGAAAAUAGGUAGAAAUCCAUACCUAACUCGACAAAUUUGGAGGAGAAUUGAAGGAGAACGAGCGGUUGCAAAACUGUGCAAAACAGGCUCGAUUUUCACAGUUUCCGGCGGCUGACUGCAGUGGCUGGCAGCGGGGCUGGGUCGGGUGUGGUGGCGGCGUGACGCCGGUCAUUUUGGCUCCGGUCUUGCGGCUUGGGGUGGCCGGUGGCGUGAGAUAUAGAAGUGUGGAGGGUGACAGACGGGAGAGAAAGAAAAACAGAGAGGGAGGAGGGCGCGGGGAGAGAGAAAGAGAGAGAGAGAGAGAGAGAGAGAGAGAGAGAGAGAGAGAGAGAGAAAUGAGGUUUUGUAAUAAAAAUCUGAUUUUUUUUCUAAUUUACCGUUUUGUCCUUCGUGAUAUUUUAAUCGUAUUUUCUUCGUUAAAACUCCGAUUCGAGCUCACUUCAUGUCUAUGAAUUCGUGUCGUCGUGCUCUACGCAACGGUAUAUGUGGAAUUGUCAAAUUCCUUUUUGGUCAAAAAGUCAACUUUUUGUUCAUAAUUUAGUCCAAGGGCAAAAUUGUCUUUCCUCAUAAUAAAUUACUAAUUAAAUAUGAAUUUUAGGUUUGGGUCAUUACACUUUACACUAUGGUGCAUUUUAUUUGUAUUGGCAUAACUUUAGUUUUUGAAUUGUGAUUGGCAUUCCUUGGUUAUUAUUAGUUUGUUAGAAGUAUUGCUUUAACAAAUUUGGUUUGCAAGGAGCGUUUAUGGGUGUCGUGACUAGUAAACCCUCAGGAGUCACAAUUCCUCUUACGAGGGACACCUAAAGGUUUAAAGGCUUGUGGCAUAUGCUAAGUGCCAUCGAGAUUACCUACGAAAGUGGUUAGUUUAGUUUGUUUGUUUUAAAUUAUUUUUUUAUUUUCAGUUUUGCUCGAGGACUAGCAAAAGAUAGGUUUGAGGGUAUUUGAUAAGCCUAUAUUAUAUAUAAAUAUAUAUAUUAUGACUCCUUUGCUUAUUUAUUUGUUAAUUUACUUGGAUUAAAUUGGUUGUUUUAAUUGGUUUUGUGAGAUAUGUGAAGGAAUUGUGAAAUUGGAGAAAGUGUGCUAAAAAUGGCAAGAAGAUGAAGAUUGGAGUUUAAUUAAAAAGAAGCUAAGUCAUUCCUUUUGUCGCAAGGAAUAUUGUCAAAUUUCCUAAUUCAAGAUGGUUCAAGUCUUACCAAGUCAAUCAAGGAGAAAUAAAGAAGACCCAAUAUGAGAAGGAAUCCUAUUUUUAUAACAAUUGUAAUUAUACUUUAGAUAGGUAGGAUUUCUAGGAGUAUUAUAAGCCUAAAUUUACUUAUUAUAAAUAGGGAGUUUCAGUCAUUGAUCCUGAAUCGAUCAUCCUCCAUCAUCUACCAUCAAAUUCCUAUAUAUUCAUACUCAUAGCCGAAACACCCAAAGGAGAAUACGAAGAGAGCUUGCGCAACCUAGGCGUUUUACUUGGAGAAUUCGGUGCCUUCCAUGUCUUCACCAACCAGCAUGAUUCUCAAUAAGUCCAUCAUGAACUAAUUUCUUUUACUAGGGCUUCGAUGUAGCCUAGCUAUGAAUACUCAAAUUCUUUGAUAUUGUUGAUUUUAUUUAUCUAUACAUGUUGAGUGCUUGUUACCAUUCUUAAUGCUUUCAAUUAAUUGGCCACUAAUUGCAUGAUUGGAAGAAUUAGGUUGAGACCGGAAGGAGAUUCCUAGUAAAUAGCUUCUUGUAACAAGUACCAUAAAUUACAUUGCCGACUCGGAAGAUUAGGUUAUGGUUUGUGUAAUCUUCAAUGUUUUUCACAAAUUUUAAUGGGUUUUUAGCUAUCUAAAUCAAUAACUAGGAAUAGAGUGGGUCGAUGAUAAGGAAUACAACUAAUAUAACUCGGAACAGAGUUUUGGGUAGGUAAGGGAAAAUGAUUAUCAACAUGUUAGGUAAUUAGGAUAACAAGCUAGAAGGAUUUGGGUGGGAUUAGCUAAGUGAAAUUGGUGCCUUAGUGCUUUAUCAUCUUUAUUUUCAUCUUUUAUAUUAUUUACUUGAUCUCAAUUUAUUUUACUUGCUUAAUUAGAUUUUAAUCGUCAUAAUUCUCUUAUCGUUUAAUUCAAAUAUAAUUAGAAAUAAAUCAUUCUAGUAUUUAAUAGAUUAACUUGAUUCCUGUUGGAACAAUACUCCAUUUAGUAUUAUACUAGUCUGAGCGAUAUUGUCCACUUGUAAUUAAUCAGAUCAAUGGUGUAAAUGAAUUCGUACGUGUUUCUUCUCUCUGUGGAGCAGUUCACCACCCAUAUAUAAUUUACUCUACCAUAAGAAGAUUCAAAGGAGAGAUACAAUAAGUGCCAGUCCGGUCAAAAGUGAUGGAAUACUUGUCAUGCGUUGACGUUGACGGAGACUUUUGAGUCCAUGUAAUUAACUAGACACAGACUGAGAUUUCGUUGUCAACAUGAAUUUUCAGAACUGACAUUAUAAUCUGAAGAAUUAGUUUUAUAAUUAAGUGAGCAAAUUGACCUCACUUACAUGUCCAAAAGAUGCACCAAAUUUUCCAUUAAUUUUUUUGUUCAAAUUGUUUAUUAACUUUAUCGUCAGAUUGUUUACUAUCUCCUAAAUUUGUCCCUAAUAGUACGUCCCAGAAUUUGUGAACUUGACUUUGUAGACUUUUCUAAUCACAUGUAAGGAAAACUAGUUAAGUCGCUUUCUUCUCUGUAGGCAAUGAGUCCGUCCAAAUCAAACCCUUCAUGUGCAUUUUUCUUCUUUGAUUUUAUGAAGAGGAUGCAGACGGACGAGGGACUUUGGACUUGUUCUCCAAUACCCUUAACUCCGUAAUUUCAUGGAAGAAGAUCAGCAAAGGCAUCAUCCCAAAAGAAACUUUACAAUCUCAUUCAAACAUCCAGUUAUUGACCAGUAUAGCCUUUAGAAGUCCUUGCUUCGUACCGAUGGCUUCUAGUUCCAAAACCGUCGCAUACGUUACGCUAAUGGAACCUGCUACUCAAUCAUUCCUCGAGUUGUUACAAAUAACAAAUCAGUACCAGCCUGACCGGAUUACAGACAUACCUCAACAUUUAGUUUAAAGCAAUCUAGACUAGGUGGUUUCCGUACACUUCUCGGACAAGAAGGAUGUUAUCUUUUUAAGCACCAGUUCAACUAUUUUUCCAAAAAUCACAUAAAAGUUAAUGAUUUAUAAUCAUAACUUCAACUGCAUCAGGUAGUAUUCCGAAAAAUAGAACAAUUACGUGUCACCAAAUUUUCCAUCAGACACUAAAAUAUUUUUACAAAUGAAAGGGAGCUAAAGAGGACCAACAAGAACCAAUCCCAUGUACUUAUUUAUAUUAACUAAGGUGGGGGACGUAAUUAGGUACAAUCACGAAAAGUUAGGAGAGACUUUAUGGAUCUGUAAUACCGAGGGAAGACCCGGAAUAGAAUAAUGACGCGCAAAUGUGCCCGAUUGUUAACUUUGUUUGGAAGGAAUGACGAUGCAAAAUCUAGAUUUUAUCAUUUCAGGAGGAAACUGCAUUCACGCUUGUUUAAGAGAUGAAGGAAAAUAUAGAACAUCCGUUACAAGGGCAAGAAAUAUAUUAUGAACACAACUCAUUAUUGUGGUAUAAGUGUAUCAAAAGAUGCAUUUAUAAACAAGUAGUCAUUCGUGUGUAGACAGGGCAAACUGCCAGUUUUGAAGUACUAGAAACGUGAACAAGACAAUUUCCAAAAACACAAGCGACUCGGUUAGCUGCUACAGUACAAUCAAGCCUCACGUCUCAUUCAAGGAUCAAACUCAUCUCUCUCUAUUAGGUGGACUUCGAAGCUUUGUGUAGGAUGUCAAAAACACUUCGUAGAGUCAUCUCCUCCACAAUAACAACCUUGUCUCUUGAUUUAGAGCCAGAACCAAUAGAAACCUGCCUUCUUUUUACCCCUAAAACCUGUAAUUUGGAAAGAAUAAAAAUUUGAAGUUUCCAAGCAUAAACAUUAAUGGUUGAGCAGACCAAAUAAACUGAGCGGUUAAAACGUCAAAAGAAAAUUGACAAAUUUGGUGCAUGCAACUCAAAACCAUUUGGCAAUGGGUGUAGACAGAGGCUUUAGGAUUUCUAUGGUAAGAUGCACGGCUUAGAAUGCCCAAUAUGAAACUUUAUAUUCUUGCUAAAAAAUUAUUAGAAAACUAUGCUACAUUUCACUCAUAAUAAUACAAAUUAGACCCUCAAAAGUAUAGGCCUCAUUCUGUACCCAUCAUUUAAAGUGAAAUUAAUCUUCCCUUCGAACUUUCUCGAGAAUCUGUUCUGUCACAAAUCCCUUGCCAACCCUGCCACAAAGCUACCGAGCCACCUUAUCUUGCCAACUUAUAAACAAAUGAUGGGUAGAGAAGUAUAUUUUCAUGUAUAUGUGUGUGCACGACUUUAGAAUGUAUUUGAAUGUAGAAGUUCAACAUACUUGUAGUCAUAGACGAAUAACUGAAAAAUGAUAACAAAAAUAUAUCUCUAGAAACAACACCAGCUGAAGCAUAUAAUCUACCCAAAAUGCAAAUCAGUGUUUGACCAAAUAAUCUAUAAAAGCUAUUCUUUCUUACUAGCUAACUGCGGUGUAGAUAGGAUGGACAGGUGGUAUGAAGUGGUCCAGGAAUAGACAUUUUAUGCUUGGGGGAGAAAGAAGAAAUCCACCCUUCACACUCUGCACUGUGGCUAUUCUUGGCCACACCACACAUCAUCUUGAAAAGAAUAAAUUAGACUUGAGGAAACCUUAGAAGAGCUCACAUCCAACCCUUGUGCCUUUCCACAAGCUUAUCCCAUGAGUAAGUUUGUUUCACCAUUUCAGAUCACCACUUCACCUCACUUUUCUCUAGUUUAGCUCAAUAUUUCUCUCCUUUGCAAGACCAAAUCACUUCACAAUCAAAGGUCCGUUAAAAGCACGACAAUCUCAACCAAAAAGAUACAAACAAAACAUCACUUCCCCAACAAAGCUCGGUUAGAGCAACAGCACUAGACCAACAAAUUACAAAUUAAAGCAUCACUUCCCCAAUUGAAGUUAACGUAAGCAAUCACAAUGAAUGUUAGGAUCUUUCAAGAACCACACAAUCUUCUUAAGACACAGCACACUAAUCACAAAAACCCGAAACAAGUAAAUGCAACUCCAAGUCUCCAACCCACUAAUAAUAAUAGGAUGAUGCACCAAUGAACCUAAGAAUUCUCAAAUCAAACUUUAAUUUGGCAUUCCAUAUAAAAAAGCUCAAAAAACCAUUAAAAAAAGACAAAAAAGGUUGAAAAGGGAUAACCCAAUAAGAAACAAGACCAACCGAGCUGAUGUAGUCAAGUAGCGCUGCAUUAGCUUCCCCGUCCUUUGCAGACGCGUUUAUUUGUACCCCCAACGCCUCAUCACUGAAAUCUUCAUUUCAAAAAAUAGAAAAUUAUAUUCUAUAAAUACACAGACCUAUACAUAUAAAAAUAGAGAGAGAAAGAGAAGGACCAGUGAUGGAGGCGAUUUUGGAACCAGGCUUUGCGUGGAUGGUGAUGGCGACUGAGGACGGAGGUAUGUACCGAAUAGAGGUUGGGAAAUUGUUGUUGGGGUUUACGGGCUGAGUUGACUCGGCCGGGUUGGCCUUAGUCUUGGCCUUGGCCUUCUUGGCUGGUGCCAUUUGUUUGUUUUUUGGUUUUGUUUUUGUUUUUCUUCUCUCUCUUCCCGCUUCAGAAGAAAGACUUCAUCGGCAGGGUUGGCCUCGGCGGCCUUAGUCUCAGGGUUCUUGGUUGGAGAGUUAAAGGCCCACUAAUAACUUUGGAUAUUUAAGGCCCAUUAAUAACUUUGGAGACAUAUGAGGAAAUUUUUUGGUGUUGAUUUAUGAACAAAUGGAGUAUUUUUAGAAUUUGUGAUGAUUUUUAGGUAGCAUUUGAUCUCGAUUGAUUAAUAUUACAAAUUUGACCUUCGGACAUAACUAUGGGGAAAUUAUCAAAAUGUCCUUAAAAUACAAGAUGCUUCUAAACCCAUCCUGCAUGCUUCCAAAUAAACAGACUUGCAAGUUGUGCUCCUUUCACUCCACCGAAGAUAAUGCAUUUUUAUAGUGUGUAUAUGAAUUUGCUUGGUUGUUUGUGUGUAUAUGAAUUUGCUUGAUUGUUUGUGUGCAUGUGAUGUGUAAGUGGUGUGCAUGUGAUGUGAUGUGCAUAUAAUGUGUAAGUAGAAGUGUCGAAAGGGAAACAUUUGGGUGAGGGUCUACUCCCUGCCUAGGGUUAGAAUUUUUCUCCUAAUUUUCUUUUAGGUUUUCUUGGUGGCUACUUGUUUGCUGUUUGGGCGGAUUUUGAAACUGGUUAUCUAUGAUGGAAAACAUGGAUUUUAUGGCUGAGAAGGAAGAUGUGGAGGAAGUGGUAUGUUCUUUUGAUAAGGUAUUGUCGUUAACUAAUGAAGAACAAGAUUGCCUUCAAAUCGAACCAGAUAAUAUGACAACGAUGAACGAGUGACUCCAUCUCUCUUUGGUAGGGACGGUAUUUACUGAUCAAGGUUUCAACCGUGAGGCUUUCAAACAAACCAUGUUGAGGGCCUAGGAUAAGAUGCGAGAGGUGGGUGUGAAGGACCUACAAGACAAUCUUUUCUUAUUCACGUUCACAACUAUGCGUGAUAAGGAGAUGGUGAUACGAGGGGGACCUUGGAAUUUUGAUAAAAACCUAGUCUUACUAGAAACACCAGAUAGUAAUAGAGCACCGAACAUAAUGGUUCUUCAGAAUGCUGAUUUUUGGGUUCAAGCGCAGCAUCUGCUGUUAAAUAAAAUGAUUGUUGUGAAUUUUAGACAACCUGAAAAAUGGAUAUUAUAAAGACUAAUCUAAACACAAAUUAUACUUGAAAGUGUACAAGGUCAAUCGUAAUAUAGUAUGGCAAAUACGAGGUCAUUCCCACGAGGAUUGAGCUCAACUUCCAAUUAGUCUAACCUAAUUUACUUCACAAAAUACAUUAACUACUCUAAUUAUAUAAACAAGAAAUUAACACAUAGCAUUCUCACGUAAACACAAAAGGGGUUUUUGAAAAAAUGAUUUAAUUAACAGCGAAAUUAAAGACAAAACAAGUAGAAAGUCACGAAACACAAGGAUGAGAAAUUCAAAUUGAUAAAAGCACUAGGACAAUGAAUUCACCACUAGCAAUCUGAUCCAGCCUCUUAUUCAACUACCUAUUAACUAACCAUUUGAUGUCACCGCUUAGUUUUCCUUUUUUAUGAAUUACCUAUGGUAUUCAGGCUAACUCGUAUAUUCCUACAUGUAAUCCGCCUAUGGUAUUUAGGUCAAAUAUCAACGCAUAGAAACUCAUUAAGAUCAAUGAAAACCUCUAACAAGCAUGUAAACCCUAGGAACCCUAGACGAAUUACAAAUCCUAAUCACAAGAAGCAAGCCUCAAAUUAAGUAUGGUAUUUACUCUAAUUUGCAUCCAAUUAACUCAAUUAAAAGUCUAGAUAGUGAUCAAGCAUCAAGAUUAUCAACCAAAUUAUUAAGCACAAUGAUUAAGAAUCUGACAGGACCCACCCCGGAAUUUUCUUGAAAUCGGAGCGGACCCCGUCUUUUUACUGACAUCACCCCAAAGCCGGGCCCACUUACUAAAGACCUCGAGACUCUCUACCAAAAUUUUGGCAGAAUCUCCCCUAUAAAUUGAACAACCCAACAAAAUUCAACCUGCAUAAAACACAUAACAAGAUCCCAACCAGCAACAUGCUUUAAAGCGAAUAAACAGUUUACAACAAAGGCCUCUGGCCUCAUAAAUCAAACCCUAACAAGGGCGAUAACAGAGCAUGUCUAAGGAAUUUCAGUUACAACAAAAACAAAGUUCAACUGGAAUAGAAAGAUGAAAGAGUUCCUACGAAGGCUCAAGGCUCGGAAGCACAUGAUCUGGCUCGGUUGAGGAGCUCAGUCAACUAGUGGCUGGGGGGCGCAAAACAGAAAAAUGUGAGUGGACAAAAAUAAAAUUCAGUUCAGUGUAAACCAACGUAAUAUAAACCCAACGUUUAGAAAACCAUGCAAGAAAUCCAAAUGCAUCCCAAAACCAGCAUAAUCAAGUAUAUAUAUAUAUCAAAACCAAACCAAUAUCGGAUGCCAAGUCCGAAAUCCAAAAGAACACUUUACAAACCCACCAAUCAAAUAUUAUAAGUCCCAAACUAAACUCUUGAAAGCGUACCCAUUGGCACGACCGGCAAGGAAGUAUCCUCACCGAAAAACAAGAAUGAAUGAAUAGUUAUAUAUAUGUAAAUAUAUAAUAUAAGAGAUAUAUAUAUAUAAUAUAUAUAUAUAUGACCAUCACCUAGUUGCACCGGAAAAACAAUCCAACUAGGGGAUUAUUUGACUAGUCACCAUGGCAGAGUCCCAAUAAAUAAAUUCCUUAAUACACCAUGUGACUAGGGAACGAGCCGUCCAACUAGGGGACCAACUCUCAGCCAGCACAUACCAUUGAUAGCCUCAAAAUCCGUACGUCUGUACCAGUCCUACGCGCGCAAACUACCCAAUCAAGGGUCCACAGCAACAUCCUGUCAAGGAUGCCUUGGGUUCCGACAAGUCCAAGUAUCUCAAGUUUUCGUAUCUAAGUUCCAAAUCCGGGAAGGUACAUAGGGUAGUGCUUAUAGCACUCCAAACUGACAUUCUAUACUCAUCACUUCCCACAAUCUCAUCUCAACAACCCAAGUACCCCAUACAUAGCCAAACAUAUAUAGAAAUUCUCAAAAUCCAUAUAUUCAUACUCAAGAUACUCAAAUAUGUCAAAACCCAAAAUAUAUUUCCAAUGCAUCAUAAAAAUAUCACUUUCAACACUUGAAUAAAUAAUAUAUCCAAAAUACCAUUUAAAAUAUCAUGCAUAAUAUUUCCCAUCAUAAAAGCAUGCAUAAGAUUUGAAAACAAAUGUCCACUCACAAGUAGUCCCACGCUGCUUGACCCUGAGAGGGUCCUGCCUGCGGCAUACGCGUGGUCGGAGUACCUAUUUCUGAAUACGAAUACGAGAUUAAUACAAGCGUUUCGAACGAGAACUUUGAAUUAAAAUCCUAGUUUCCUGGGUGUCUAGUGAGUGUAUGAGGAACGAGACGUUCUAAGGUCCAACUACCCAAUUCAGACGUUGGAACAUUUUCGGGAGACAUUCGGUCAACUGGCAGUCAAACUUCCCAAUUCAGGUCAAUCGGGCCCAUGAGACCCACGACCUCCGUUUUACUAUCCGAGAGUGCCUAUAGGUUCUACAAGGUCUAGGAUACCCGUCUCGCAAGUUUGGUCCGAAACGGACGGUUAGAUCGCUUACGAUCGCACGAUCGGACAGUUAUCGUAAAACGUAAACUUUAAGUUAUUGAAUUGGAACAUCCAGGACUCCGAUUAACGAUCCGUGAAUUCCUACACGAUCCUAGGAAGGUCUAGAGUAACAUAUAUUGGAAUGGAGUCGAUCCAACGGUCUGAACAUAUUGAACCCAGAUAACUCCUAAUAUGUGAGAUUCGUUCGGGGUUCAAACGUCAACCAAGUUGGAAUCAGAGCAUACCUAUGCGCUCGUGACAUCAAGGGGAUCGCAUUGGGAUAAAAAUGCCCCUAUGCUACAGUGCCCAAGAGCCGCCACACCUCCCGGCAGCGCGUGGGUGUCCAAAGCGAUUACUUUUCGCAGAAAAAUCUCCAAAUUACAAGACAUUCUCCCGGCUACAGGUUCUACUCGACAAGUGGAACACUUUAUUCAACUACAGCCAAGUCCAAUUCGGACGGCAAGUGGCCGGAAUCGGCGCCGGACACUCACGGUUUAACCCGAAACUUCACGGCUUCGAUCCGACGACCAUCGUCACCAUUGUUGUCACACAAUCUAGGAAAUAGCUAAAAGGAGAGGAGGGCUACCUGUUCCAAGAGACGGCGCAGCUCGCGGUGGCCGGAAACGUCGCCGGUGACGUUGGUAGUGUUGGCCGAUUUUUCACGUCGUUGCCACCUCCGUUUGUCGGGUUUUCAAUCGGAGAAAAGGGGUGGGCUGGGUAGAGGAGGAAGAGGGGAAGCUUUUGCAAGAAACGCCACUUGAAAUGGAGGUCUGACGGCGAAGUUCUUGCCGUCUGAAAUUCCGGCGAAAAAAUGUGUCUGGGAUGGGGGAUUUCAGCCACGGGGAGAGAGAGAGAGCGAGAGAGAGAGAGAGAGAGAGAGAGAGAGAGAGAGAGAUUUAAAAAAUCAUAUUUUUAUCCAAACUCUUUUCGAAAUAUUUACAAGUUUGCCACUGAACUACUUUUGGUCGCCAAACCUUCGUUACAACUCCGAUUCAAGCCUACCACGUGUCUACGGAUUCGUCUCAGUAGAACCUACCCAAAAAUACUAGUCACUACCCCAAACUCUUUCCGAGUAAGAAAAUGACCAAAAUACCCCUACCCCCAAGGGUAAAUUCAAAAUUUCACUUAAAUAAUUUAAAUAAGGGAUUAAAUUUUGAGUCGGGGUGUUACAGAAUCCAACAUCAAACGGCAAUCAAUAGAUAGGUAAAAUAAGAAAACUAGAUUAUCAUUCUAGAGCUACAUCAUUCCCUAGCAAAAGAAAAUUAGUUGCACAUAAUCAUAGAAUUCGACAUAAGCAAAAACAUAAGGAAGAAACAAUAAAACUUAGCCAAUUGCAAUACUCUUUUGGCGUCUCCAAUUUCUCCUAGUCUUUACAUGUGUAACCCCCAAAGGAGUUGUAUCUCAUGCUUAAAUAAAACACCACACACUACUACAAAAAUCAAAAUAGAUGACGGGAAACCACCGUCGUCUAGAAGGUUUUCAAACCAUCGUGAAAUUGACCGCCAUCUUUUGUACAUAAAACAACGACGGUUAUUAACCGACGUCGUUAACACAUUCAACGUCCAAAACUAUUACGAACCAACGUAUAAUUACUAUAUAUUUAGCCUAAAAUGAAAUCUUUGACAACAUUAGACGAUGAUUUUAUGAAAACUGAGACGUCUAAAGACUGUUACAUGUCAAGAUCAAAAGAAGAACCAACGUAAAGAUAAUUAUCCAUGUCCCUAAUUGAAGGAAAAAAGACAUGGAUAACCUAGAAACCGUUGUGGUUAAUUUAUACUACGUUAAACAAAUAAAGACACCGACGUCUAAAAUAUAAAAGACGACGCGCACACAAACCAAUAGACGUUUAAAGAGUAUUACAUGUCAGUUGUCUCUCAGUAAUCGCCGUAAAAUGCCUUAACCAAGUCUCGUACCUAGCAGAACCAUCUCUUAUGUGAUUAUCCACGUCGCAGAGUAGGAGAACAACGACAUUUUAACAUUAUUCCAUGUCUGUUUCUUGCGAGAAUCGUAGUUUAAAUUAUACAAAGAAGCCCCUUUGACAAAGUUAGAAGUCACUUUUUCUGAAUAACUGACGUCUAAAAGAUUUAAAAUGACACAAUAUUACUUAAUACCGACGUAACAAAUCAUACCCACGACGACUGUUGUCAAAGGCGGACGUUAUAAAUAAUAUUGAAGGCGUGGAUAGGAAAAAAAUCAACGUGGAUUAUAUAUUCAAUGUCGGUGGCGUUAAAAUAAAGGACGUGGUUAAUUUUUUCACUACGUCAUGAGAUCCAACUGCUUGACAUUGUAAUUGCUUACCACGUUGAUUUUAAAUACAUGAUGACGUGGUUGUCCUUUUAAAAGUUGAUUGUUUAACCUUCCUUCACGUGUGUAUUCUCUGAGACGUCAGUUAUUUUAGACUAGCCGACAUGCAGAACAUCUAUCACGACAGUUAAUGAAAAUGAACGGCCUUUAUUUCUGACUUUAGACGACGGUUUCUUUUAAGCUGUGUUUAACAAACCGACGUGAUUUCAGUUUCAUAUGGCGGUUUUUUUGGUUUACGGUCUUUUGCAUUUUUAAAACCCGACGUUGGUUUUAUUUUAGACGUCUGUUUUUCCAAUUUUUUUUACUGGACCGUCAUAUUUUACACCUUUAACCCAGUUUUUAUAAUUUUUGAUUUGUUGUGCCCAAAGCCUGCAUAAUGAAAAUGUGAUCAGAAUUAAAAUGAUGUACAUAGUUAUUAAUUAAUGUCAUAUAAUUAAUUGAAUAACUAAUGUCAUACAUUACAACAAUCAAUCAAUCCAUAUAUCUUCACAUCUUUCAUUCCCAAACUCACCCACUAGGUCAUCAAAUGUGUCAACAUUUGGUAUCCCUCUAGUAAAUGGCUCACACUCAAUUCUAAUAUCACCUAGCACAUCAUCACCAAUAACAUCAUUAUAUUCUCUAUUAGGCAUUGAUAACACUACUGACCAACCAUGAUGCAUUGGGUCGUCAACAUAAAAUACUUGUUUGACUUGAGAAGACAUAACAAAUUGGUCAUUCCUAUGUCUAAUUUUACUCAGAUCUACAAGGGUAAAUCCAAGUUCGUCGACUACAAGACCCGAAGUGUUAUUUAUCUAAUCACACCUCAAGACUGGGAUUUUAAACUUUUGGUAGUCAAGGUCUCAAAUUUCUUGAAUAACACCAUAAAAACCCAUAUUGGAGACAAUAGAGUUUUUAUCAUUGGCACUAGCAACUUGCAUAGUAUGUGCAAGUAAAUAAACUCCACUAUUUUGGACAGUUCACACAUCAUCUUGUGCCUUGGUGUUACAUUUAACACCAUUAGUAAGAUAGCACCUAUAUGAUGGCACUGCCAUGCUUGGACCAGCUGCUAGCCACCUCAAAUUUUCUGAUACGCCAUUAUGCUCUUCCCCAUUAAGUUCACUUUGAACCUGCAAAUUAAUCAUGUAUAUCUUAAUUCAAUCUAACAUAUAGAAAGGAAGAAAAUUAAAAGUUGAAUAUAUCAUUCAAUAACAUAUAUAUAUAUAUAUAUAUAUACGUUAAAGUGGAGCCAUUGAAUGAAAGUGUGAUUGUACUUAUCUUGCAGCCGCUUUGUUCUCUUUCUAAAUUUUGGAUAAGUGGUUUUGAUGUGGAUCAUAUGUUCCCUACAUUGACAUGAAAAAAUCAAGCAUUACGGUCCCUUGUAUAUAAGAUAAACAUAAGGAAUAAUAAUAUUUAAAAUGGCUUCAUUUGAAAAAUAAAACUCAUACAUACUCGAUAUAAGGUAGGACUUCCUCCAUAUUCUCCAAGACAUAUAGAUGUACCUGGUUCAACAAGUCUUGAUCAACUAAGCUUACUGUGCAACCUGAUAAUGGUUUCGAAACUCCCAUCUUCUGGCUUGAAGGCACUCUAACUGUACUAACAUCAGAUAAAUGCUCGAUGCAAAACUCUACAGCUUCUUCAGCUAUAUACCGCUCAGCAAUGCAACCUUCCGGACGAGUACGGUUCUGAACAUACCCCUUUAGCACUUUCAUAUAUCUUUCAAACGGAUACAUCCAUCUAAAAUAUACUGGGUCACAUAGACGAACUUCUCUGACAAGAUGUACUACUAGAUGAACCAUGAUAUCAAAGAAUGAAGGGGGAAAGUACUUCUCAAGCAAACACAAAGUAACUACUACAUCUUCUUCCAACUUAUCUAGCUUGGAAACAUCUACCGUCUUUGCACAUAUAGCAUUGAAGAAGAAGCACAAUCGAGUUAUUGCAUACCUUGCAGGCUUCUCCAAAACAGAACGAAUUGCCACAGGGAGCAAUUGUUGCAUCAAGGUAUGACAAUCAUGAGAUUUAAGUCCAAGAAGUCUUUAAUCUUUUAAAGAUACAAGAUUUUUUAUAUUUGAAGAAUAACCUUCAUACCAUAGAAAGAAUUGCAAACCGCUCUCUUCUCUACUCUUGACAAAUUCCAAGGCCCUGGAGGCAAGCGAGUAUGCCUUUUUUCAUACUCGGGUUGCAAAUCAGUUUUGACCCCCAUGUUGAAUAAAUCUAAUCGAGCAGCAAUCCCAUCUUUAUUUUUUCCAGGGAUCUCCAGCAAUGUACCAAUGAUACUAUCGCAAACAUUCUUCUCAAUAUGCAUAACAUCUAGGUGCCUCACAAGAAGGUAUUUCCAAUACUCGAGAUCAAAGAAUUUUUAUUUCUUCCAACAAACUCUGUCACCAUCAUUCUCACCAACACUUCCCCCAUUUUUCGAGCCCCAUAUGUAAUUAAUAUCUUCAACCAUGUACAACACUUCUUCUCCAUUUAAUGGCUCGAGAGGCGUGCUAUAUUCAGAUUUCCCAUUAAAAGCUGCACACUGCCUCCGAUAUGGAUGAUUGAGUGGUAACCAUUUUCUAUGCUCAAUGUAACAAAUUUUGUGGCCAUUUUUCAACCUGUGACUAGGUGUAUCAUCGCGUCAUAUUGGACAAGCUUUAUAUCCUUUAACGACACAACCAGAUAAGUUCCCAUAGGUAGGAAAAUCAUUAAUUGUCCAUAGUAAUACACCUCUGAGUGUAAAGUAUUCUCCUAUAUGUGCAUCAUACACUCCUCUAAUCUCAUCCCACAUAUAUUUUAAAUCAUCAAUCAAAGGCUCUAAGUAGACAUCUAUAUCAUUUCCGGGCUGUUUAGGACCGAAAAUCAAUAAGGUCAACAUCAUGAACUUCUGUUUCAUGCACAGCCAUGGUGGGAGAUUAUAUGUAACUAAGAUAACUGACCAACAACUGUAUAUGCUACUUAAAGAACUGUGGGGAUUGAAUCCAUCAGAUGAGAGAGCCAAUCUCAAGUUUCUCGCUCUUUACCAAACUCAGGCCAUUUAUCAUCAACAAGUUUCCUAGACGGGGAAUCCGCUAGAUGAGACAUAUGACCGUCAACUGAUUUUCUAGCAGCAUGCCAAGUCAAACUCUAAGUUGUCUUAUGUGAUUGAAAUAUCCUUUUAAACCUUGGACUUGGAGGAAAAUACCACACAAACCUUCGUUGGCACAUGCCUUCCUUCCACCUUGAGAUACCAUAAGUAGGACAAUUAGUUGAAUCUUCAUAAUCCUUCCUAUACAAGAUGCAGUCAUUGGAACAUGCGUAGAUUUUCUCAUAACUCUUCCCUAAAGCAGACAAUAUCUUUUUUGCCUCGUACAUAGAGGAAGAUAGUGUAUUUCCUUCUGGAAGCAAAUCUCCUUGAAGUAUCAAUAAUUCUAUAAAACAAACAUCACUCAUCCCAUGUUUUGCUUUCAAAUUAUAUAACUUCACCAAAGUCGACAACUUCGUGUACUUACCGCAACCAGGGUACAAGGGUUGAUCUCCAUCCUCAAUCACAUUGGCAAACUCAAAAGGGUCAAAUCCAAUAUUGCCUAAAUCAUUAUCAUCCAUCCCUAAUUCUUCAGAAACAAAACUAAACCUACUUUGCUCAUCUUCUUCCACAUUUCUACUAGCAUUAGUAGUCCAUUCCCAAGAUUCUCCGUGCCAUGUCCAAAUCUUAUAGCUUUGGUCAAUGCCAUUAAAGUAUAAGUGGUCCCUUAUAAUUCCAACCCCAAACAAUCGAAUAUUCUCACAUUUAACACAUGGACAACGAAUAUCAGUUGUAUUUCCAAGAUUUUCUAUAGCAAAAUUCAAAAAUUCUUCCACCCCUAACUCAUAUGCCUUCAAUCUUCUGUCCGCAUGCAUCCAUGACUUAUCCAUCUCACACACUAUAAAAUCAUAUAUAUAAUAAAGUAAAAAGACCAGCAAUGAAACAAUACUAUAUUCACAAAGCAGAGAACAAAUUGGAAAAAAAAAAAAACAAGAAUCAGAUGACGGUUUUUUCAAAAUAAUCAUAGUGUAACAUAAAGUCAGACGACGGCAUAUCUAUUUACUGUCGUCUUUAAGCUACCCAAAACCAGAUAUUUGUAUUCUUUUUGAAGAACCAGGUUUGGGUUCUGGUAGCCUAAUGACGACGACGGUAGUAAAUAAAAAACCGACGUAUAAUAAAAAUUUAGAUGACGGUUUGUUCCACCAACCGUCAUCAUGGUUUACAAAAAACUGAAGCCUAAAUCUUCCAUCCCCAUUCCUUUUCAAAGAACCCUUAACAGAAUGCGAACACCAAAACAUAAAAGAACCCAUAGCUCCCAAAACAUAUAUUAAGAAACCAAAGCUAAGAGAAUAUACAAACUAAGAGAAUUUGAGAGAGAGCUGAGAGAAAAUAACAAGUGCUUGAGAGAAAGCUCAGAGAAUAUACCCAAUGCUUUGAGAGAGAGCGAAAACUUUAAGACAAAUUUACGUUGAAGAGAGAGAAGGAAAUAUUUUAGAGUUAAAGGGAAAUUCUGAAAAUUUUAGAUCUCGGUCAAAAAUUUUAAAGGACUGUGUUUAUCAAAGACGACAGUAAAUACAACCCAGUCGUCGUUUAAUUUCACAUUUAUGACGAGGGUUAUGGUAAAUUGCCGCCGUUGUAAAGCAUUGUUACGUCGCCUCUAUAAAAAUUGAUGUCUAAAAUAUUAAACAAUUAGAUUUGGUUUGCGUUUCCUGGGAUUCGAACGUGCGUAAUUGACCAAAAAGAGUGAGAGAAAACCAGCGUCAUUUCAAUAAAACCUAAACCCUAAAUUUUACAAUAAUUAUAAAAAAAAAUACACAAGUAUGAGAAAAAUGAACCAAAAAUUGCUACGGACUCCUUACAACAAUGCCUUCUAUAUUAGUAGGCUAAAAUCCAUAUUAAAUAAUUUUGAAUUUUUUGACCACCAAUGGAUCACAUAAACCUUAAGGUUAUGUUAUGGAAAGUAUAAUGACUAUUGUGCUUUGUCUCUAAAUCUUUUUGACUUUUGUUAUCACUUGUAAUUUUGAAAUCUAAAAUUAAAAUUUUCAGGCAUUGAGGGGGGAGAUAUUGUCUCAAUGAGUGCAUAGAAUUUAUCAUUUUAUUUUUUGAAUUUUUUAAAAAUAUAUUAUGAAUAUUAGUAAUUAAAUACAAAUUAAUUUUUUUUUAAAGAUUUAGGGGAGAGACAAUCUUUCAAUGGGGGUGCAUGGUAGUUGUCAGUUUAUUUUUUGAAAUUUAUUUUGAAUAUUAGGAAUUAAAUCAAAUAUAAAAGUCAUAUAAAAAUUAAAUGACAAAUGUACAUAACUGACGUUGCAUCCAUUUACAACGAUGUUAAAUAACACAUGACGUCGUCCUAGAAUACAUUAGACGUCGCAAUGUACCCACUGAUGUGGUUAGUGGGUUACAACGUCCUCUGGUUCUUAAUAACCGACGUGGGUAGCAUUUACAAUGUCGAUUAUUAUGUUAAUGCCGUCGUUGUUUAGAUAUACAACGUCACAUUUGGUCAGGUAACCGACGUUGUGUGUCUUUAACACGUCUUGCUUGUUGUACUAACGGACGUAGUAUAUCUAUACAAAUUUUUUUCGUAGAUUUCAGUUUUAUAUAUAAACUGUCGUGUUUAGCCUCCUUACAUGUCGUUUUUAAGAAAUGUCGUCGAUGUUUUAUUUCCUACUAUAAUAAGAUGACGAUUGUUUAUAGAUAUGAGACGUGUAAACUAGAAUGAGACGUCGGUUUUUGGGAAUGAAUUUAAGUUUUUAUGAUUUAUUGUCAUUUUAUUUCAUUUAAUGACAUAAAUAUCCUAUACAAAAAAAAAUAUUUAAAAAUUUGAUUUUUUGAUGAUUGUUCAAUUAAUUACCAAAAAUAUAUUUAUGUACAUUGUCAAUAAAUUAAAAUAAACCUAAACAUUGUUAAAAUAAAUUAUAUCACUUAUAAUUCUGUAAUUGCUUGUUCACGAAUUCUUCCCAUUCCAGCCUGACUUCGUCAAUAUGUUCUUGUACAUACUGAACUGGUUCCUUUUUCUUGUCAAAUUGCAAAUAAAGAACAAAAACUAACGUGUUAUAAUUAUUAAAACGACGGUUUUUAAAGAAAAAGUCGUGGUAUUAAAAUAAAGAAAUUAUAUCUUAAAUUUUACCUUCUCAAUGCUAGGGUUGGAUCAUGAAUUAUAGCUCUCAUGAAACGCAUCACGUAAUAGCCACACUCUACAUUUGUUGGUUGUUGAGGAGUGCCAUGUAGAUUUUUCCAUAUGGCUGAUUUACAUGAUGAUUGUUUGCCUGUGUGAGAGUUAUACAUUUUGAUUGAACUGUUUCAAGAAAACAAAAAGUGUUAAUGACAAAACUAAAAAUCAGCAUAAAAAAAUAUUAACCGUCGUGGUAAAUAAGUGAAGAUGAAGGUUUUGUAAAACAAGUGACGUCAUAUUUAAUUCCAAACGUCGGUAAAUAAAAACCGUUGUUGUGUAGCAUUCUAAAGUCGGCGACGAUGAAAAAUGACGUAUAAACAAAAGUUGUUUGUAAAUGAAAGUUGAACAAAAAAAAAUUAAAACGUCCUAAAAUAAAAAACUCAAACAACGUGGUAUUUCAAUUAAGACGACGGUUUACAGAAAAUACUGACGUUGUAAAUGAUUUCAAACGUCGGUUAUAAUUUACCGUCGUUGUGUUUUGAUUACAACGUCGGUAUUAAAAAAAGUCAUCGUAUCAUUCAAAUGCAGAAAUAAAAAAUCUUAGAUUUUUAUAAAUAAACUUACGUAUUCACUAUAUUUCUCAUGUCCUGGUCAUCAGAGCGGUUUGGCAAUGAAUCCAUGUCAUAAACAGUCUCCUUAGCUGGUCUCAUAAUUAUUAACACCCAAUGACCCCUACACAUAAUGAUCCAUAUAGAUUAAAUAUACUACAAAAACAAAAUAUAUUACAAGGCACCAAGUAUAGUUAAGGGACUAACCCUGGAUUAUAAGGCACCAAGUAAAAUUGAUCCCCAUCUGCGUUUUUUAGGCUCCCUGAAGCUUGAAGAAGUAAUUCAAGCUCUUCAAUCAUAUGCUAAACUAGAUGAUAUAACUGAAAGCUCUCAAGGCCUUUAUGCCGAAGGCAAGGAGAGGGGCCGGGAAAAGACAAAGGAAGAGAAAAUAGACAACAGAGGUAGGUCAAAAUCCAAGAAGAAAAAGGAAAAGAAGGAAGGCUGUUUCGAAUGUGGUUCAGCCUGUCAUUGGAAGAGGAACUGCAAGAUUUGGAAAGAGAAGAAAGCCAAGAAGGAAGGAAGCUCAGGUUUAGCUAGUGCAGUCACCGAGCAUGAGAGUGACGGGGAGCUUCUUUCAGUAACAUCAGGCUCCAAGGCUUUCACAAAUUGGAUUUUGGAUACCAGAUUCACUUUUCAUAUGUGUGCAGUAAGAGAAUGGUUCGAUACUUACAAAGAAGUCAGCAGCGGGGAAGUUUUAAUGGGGGACGAUUCUUCAUGUCCUGUAAAAGGAAUCGGCACUGUUCGAAUCAUAAUGUUUGAUGGAAUGAUACGAGUUUUGGGGAACGAUAGAUAUGUCCCUAGACUAAGAAAGAAUUUGAUUUCCUUGGGUACUUUAGAUGAGGCAGGCUAUGGAUAUGAGUCUAAAAAGGGAAGACUCAGGGUAACAAAAGGAUCACUGGUGGCAAUGCAGGAUGACCUACAACCCAAUAAGCUGUAUAAGUUAAUUGGGACCACUACAGUCAAGGGAGCAGCUGUUUUUGUAAAUCAAGGUAUAGAAGACAAGACUGAACUUUGGCAUCAUAGGCUCAGGCACAUAAGCCAGAAAGGGUUGCAAGAAUUACACAAGCAAAGCCUGUUGGAAGGCGUGUCAUCUUGCAAAUUGGACUUUUGUGAAUAUUGUGUUAUUAGAAAGCAAAGGAAGGUAUCAUUCACGAGUAGCAGUGCAGAUAACCGAAGCAAGGAGCAACUCAGCUAUAUUCACUCAGAUGUUUGGGGCCCUGCACCAACCAAAUCAAAUGGUGAAGCCAAGUAUUUUGUUACUUUCAUGGAUAUUUUUUCUAGGAAGGUUUGGAUUUAUUACAUGAAGUAGAAAUCCGAGGUUUUUGCAAAGUUCAAGGAAUGGAAAACAGAAACUGAGAAUCAAAUUGGAAGAAAGAUCAAGUACAUGAGAAGUGACAAUGGAGUGAAUAUACAAGUAAUGAGUUUACCGAUUACUACAAGCAAGAAGGCAUCAUAAGGCACUUCACAAUUAAGAAGAAUCCCCAACAAAAUGGAGCUGCUGAGAGGAUGAACCGAAUUCUCAUGGAGAGACAGAGAGAGAGAGAGAGAGAGAGAGAGAGAGAAAGAGAGGAGCAUGCCAUUUUAUGCAGGAUUGCCUGAUAGUUUUUGGGUAGAAGCUGUUAAUCAUGCAAGUUAUUUGAUUAAUAGAUCACCAUUUACAAUUCUCGUUUUAAGAGUGCAGAAGAGGUAUGGUCUGAGAAGCCGGUGGACUAUUCCAAGCUCAGGGUAUUCGACUGUAGUGCUUACGCACAUAUUCCAAGUGAUGAAAGGUCAAAGCUCAAACCAAAGUCUACGCAUUGCAUAUUCUUUGGUUUCGAGAAAAGAGUGAAGGGUUUCAAGCUGUGGGAUAUCAACAACAGGAAAAAGGUUGUUAGCCGAGAUGUUGUCUUUGAUGAGACAACCAUGCCUCUGAAUAAAGUCGAGAGCAAUAGGGAGAAGAGAGACGAUGCUGAAAUUGAAGCAACAAAGAUUCCGUUAAUUAGUUCAUACGAAGAAGAAGCUCAAGUGGAGCAAAUGGAGCAAGAUGCUGAAUCUGAUGGUUUUGAGGAAGAAGAAGAGCAUCAGCAUCGUUCACCAGUUACGAAUCAGGUGGAACAAGAAAUAAGGCAUAUUGAAGGCACUCUAAUUCGCCAGACAUCCCAAAGGGUUUGAACUCCAACCAACAAUCCACCUGCAUUCCAGAGAUGCAUAGCACUGGACAAACCUAAUCGGAAUAAGAAGAAACCUGACAGGUUUGGGUUUAACCAAGACGAAGUUAAUUAUGCUCUCAACAUUAGUCAAGGAGAUCCAACUACUUAUCAAGAAGCUAUAGCAAGUGAUGAGCGAGAUAGUUGGAUAAGUUCUAUGACAGAAGAAAUGGAGUCUCUUUACAAGAACUCUGUUUGGGAGUUGAUUCCUAAACCCAAAGACAGAAAGCUAGUUGGAUGCAAGUGGUUAUUUAGGAAAAAGGAAGGACUACAUGAACAAGAUGUCGUGAGAUUCAAAGCAAGGCUCGUGGCUAAAGGGUACUCACAAAAGGAAGGGGUGGAUUAUGAUGAGAUCUUUUCACCUGUAGUCAAGCAUACUUCUAUCAGAUUGUUUUUAGCAAUGGCAACUCAGAGAGAUAGGACCGCUGGAAGGAUCUGGAUAUCACAAGCCAAGUAUAUUUAGAAGGUUCUUGAGAAGUUCAACAUGCAAGAAGCGAAGGUACUUUCAACUCCUUUGGCAUCUCACUUCAAGUUAAAUGGGCACCAGUGUCCUAAGUCUGAGGAAGAGUAGCAAGUAAUGGAGAAGGUGCCUUAUGCUAAUGUCUUGGGCUGCCUUAUGUAUGCAAUGGUAUGCACACGUCCCGACAUAGCUCAAGCAAUUAGUGUCGUUUCCAGAUACAUGGCAAAUCCAAGAAAGCAACAUUGGGAUGCAGUCAAGUGGAUUUUACGUUAUUUGAAGACUUCUUGGCGACAAAGGAUUAUGUUUGAGAAGCAAAAAGAAAAUGCAGGGGUGUUGGGAUAUGUGGAUGCCAAUUAUACAGGGGACUUGGACAAGAAAAGGUCAACUUUUGGUUAUGUAAACAUGCACAGGGGGACCGAUCAGUUGGAGGGCACUACUGCAACCAAUUACAGCUUUGUCGACCACAAAGGCAGAGUAUAUUGCAUUGGCCGAAGCUGGAAAGGAAGCAAUUUGGCUUAGUAGCUUGGUAAGUCAAAUGGGAAUCACUCAAGAUUGUGUGAAGCUGAAAUGUGAUAGUCAAAGUGCCAUUCACUUGGCAAAAAAUCAAGUUUUUUUCUGGAAGAUCAAAGCACAGUGAAGUAAGAUAUCACAGAAUCAGAAAUUGGGUAGAGUCUAAGGAGAUUUGGAUUGAAAAGAUUCAUACGGAUGACAAUGCCGCAGAUUUCCUUACAAAGAUAGUGUCGACCAAGAAGUUCAAGCAUUGCUUGAACUUGAUCAAUCUCGUUGAUUGAUUAAAGUGGAGCACCUCUUCACUUGAGGUGCAAUGAGGCAAGAAGAAGAUUGCCAAGGUAAAGACUCUUGAAGAUUUCCAGAGCUGCUUCAAGGAGGUUCAAAGAUACUCUGGAGUGCAACGAUCAAGACUUGGUUUGACUCACCAAGGUGGAGAUUGUUAGGAUUUUGGCUCGUCAAAUAUGUCCUAGUUGGUUUAGGAUUGUUUUAGGAAAAUUAGAGGUAUACCAAUUCUUGUCCUAGAGGGAUUAGGAAAGAAUUUCAGUUUUCCUUAUUCAAUUUAGAUUUGGAUUUCUAGAAGUCUAUUAGGAUUUGGAUAAGUGUAAUUUCCUAAUCUACAUAGAAAUAGGAAUUCAAUCAGCCUUAGGACAUGUAAGCCAACUCUAUAUCUAUAAAUAAGGUGCGGCAAGGCUUAUUUUAAGGGGAAAAAACAGCCAGAGACAGCCGAGAGUUUUGAAAUUAGUUCUAGGGUUGCAAAAGUUCUGUAAUCUCUAUUAUUAAUCAAAGGAGCGGUGAUUUCUCUACCUAGAGAAAUCACAACUGGACAUAGGCAAAAGUUCUGCCGAACCAGUAUAAUUCUUGUGUGUUUCUAAGUUUUCUAAUAUUUGCUAGUUUAGUCUAUUGCCGUUGGUUACAUUAAAGAACAAGAUCUAGUGUGCGGGUUAUUUAACAACUAUACGGAAACGAACGAAGUUGGCAUGACGAAUCACAGUUAUAGGAGGCUCUUUUGCGGAUUUGUUUGCUUUGGCGGCUGAGAAGUUGACGCUAGUUGAGUUAGAGACGUUUGCCUGUGGAGCUUGGCAUUUCGGAAGCUUCGCAAUGAUCUAUUGCAUGGGAAGAGUGAACAACAUAUGAAUGUGAUCGUGGAAAGCACUCUGGAGAUGCAUGCUCUGUUCAAAGCCAAUGUUGAGAGGCCGCAAAAAUCGGCUGCUUCUUUAGCUGUGCAAUGGAUUAAGCCACCGCUCCAAACUCUCAUUCUCAACUAUGAUGGUGCUAUUAGCAGGGAUGGAAGUGGUCGGGGAGGGGGUUGUUGCUGUGAUUACACUGUAAAUUUUCUAUGUGGGUUCACGGCUAGUGGGCCUCCGGGGUUGGAUGUGCUAGGUACGAAGCUGGAGGUGUUACGUGAAGGCCUUCUGAUGAUGGGAUUUAAAAGUUUAACCUGUUUUGUUGUGGCUUCAGACUCAAAAGAAGCAAUGUCUAGGCUCAAAGGUUAGUUGGAUUGGUGGGGUAACAUUGGUAGAGUGGUGGAGGAUAUUUGACGUUUGCUUGUUGACAAGGAAGUAAUAGAUGUGGUGCAUCAACCUAAAUUGGGCAAUAGAAUGGCCCAUGCACUUGCUCAGUUUGGGUUAAAGGAAAGCACAAGGUUCUUUUGGGAAGACGUUGCUCCACCUUGACUGGUGGCAAGAUUGCGACAUGAUUUAGAAUUGGCUUAGUCUGUUAUUUGUUUAUUAUGGAAGGCCGUUGUACUCUUUUUUCUUGACCGCAUUUUCCCUUUGGGGUUUUGAUGACAAGGUUUUAACGAGACCACAUUUUUGCCCUUCGGUCUUUCAAAGUUUGGUGCAUUGUAAGUUUUUCCCCAAUUGAAUGAAGUUACUUGUUUUGAUCCCAAAAAAAAAAAAAAAGUCUUCCUCUAGCCUACCUUGAUUGAUUGGUAAAAGUCUUCCUCAAGUCUUAUAAACACCCACCUUUGUCCCACUCCUCAUAACAAAGGAAGAGGACAUGUAUUUUCCUUUUUAAUUUAUGAGCACAUGUAUCUCCUUUUCUGAUAAGUCUUCCUCUAGAAUUUUCUUCGUCAUUUAAUGUGAAAAUUACAUAAAGAAAGAACGGAAAUUCCAUACAUUAUUUCAUUGACUGAUUUGUCUUCCUUUUUGUUUGUUCCCCAAUACACGAUAUGAACUCAUACACAUCAAUAACUUCAGACAUAAUAGAAAAUUGACAGACUAAGGAAAGGCAAUGCGCAUAUGAAGUGAGAAAUGUAAAAAUUUCCACAUGAAAAAGAACUAACUGUUAGCGUUUGUUUCAUUGAAUGAAAUAGGAUCCUUAAAUAAAAUAAACACCUAAGAAGAACUAAGCUUGCAAAAUCAAUAUUACGUAUUAAUACCUCUUUUAACUAAUGCUUUUGGUCUUGAGCAUCCAAGAAGAGGAGCAACAAAAGUAGAACUCGAGCAAUCUCACUUUCAUAGGAGGAUUUCUAUAAUAUCAUGAACAUGCCCUUUAUGGAACCAAAUGACUCAAGAUAUUACAAUCAAGGCAGACUUUCUGAAAUUCAAUUCUAACUUCUAAGCUCAGAGUUACUACGAAAACAGUUCUCUAAAAUGCAAAAAUGCACCUUUCAAGGCCAAACAAAAGGAAUGAGCCUAAAGACAUCACGAUCCAUGGAAAAGUGAUGGAGCUUGAAGAUCUUGACGUUCCCAGUCAGUAAACCUCUUCUAACACAAUUUUUCUUUUUGGAACUUGAUCUCAACUGGUGCCUUGUCGCCUUUUGGGAAUCAAACUCAUCAGUAAAAGCACUUUCUAUAUAGAUUCCAAACUGCAUCUGAGUUCCGAUAAUUGUUUUUACAUCUCAACUCUUCUCAAAAACCUUGAAAAACCUAUGCGAAUAAAAUUCAUGGAAAGACAGGCGGUGAACUGCAAUAAUGCAUCAAUCAGUCAGGGGCUUCCUCAUAAAGACAGAGGACCAAGAGCCUCGACCAGAUUGGGAUCCUACAUGGUUAUACCAUGCUUUUAACCCAUGUACCAGAAUCUUCUACGGUUUGGAUUGUGCCAUAUCUGCAAUGUUUAAGUUUAUUUUCGGUUAAGACUACAAUGACAUUUGCACUGUCUCACAGCCCUUAUCCUCUUCUUUCAUGCUCCUCCUUGACCUUGAAGAGAACACUCAGCCUCCCAUAUUGUUUCCCUACAACUAUAACAGAGAAAAAUCACCUAAAUUCAUGGUCCCUAUGGCUAGAACCAUCAAACCAAUGUCUCACCAACAUUUUUAGGUUACAUUACAUCUCCAUGAAAACCACAAUACCGAAUGAAUAAAACUUCAACUUUAUGCUCACAUAGACAAUAAACUGAAAUUGGGAAGCGCAGAUACAAAAAUCUCAUCUAUAUUGAUUUUCUUUAAUCAAAAUUCAAAUCACUCAAUUAUCCUCAACAUGCAAGAGCAAGGUAUUGAACCUGAUAUGUAAGACUCAAUAAAAUUUUACUAAUGAAACUUCAAACAAUGAAAACCUUUUACGAAUUCUACUUGUAUACCCUAAAAUUUCACUCAUCUUCAACGUGCAACUGUUCUUCUAGAUGGCUAAUGAGGAAAGCUUUAGUUUGAAUCUAAAUGCAGUGAAUUCCAUGACAGUUUUUCGUUAUGUAGUUAUUUAGGCACAUCAGGUAUCUUCUGUUUUCAAUCUAUCGGCUCUUCUUAACAUUAACAGUUUAGAGUCAAACAAAAAAAAAAAUUUGAAUGGCUCAACAAUUGAAAUAGGGUUUCGAUGUGGGAAAUUUGGGUGUCGGACAGAUUGAGUUUUUUUAUUUAUAAUAAUUUUGUUUUCCUUGUACGAAGUCAAAAUUAGAGGUUAUUCACCCUUACAUGCAUUCAGAGAAUUGAUUUGUAGAGGUAAUGGGAUUUGAUCUUAGCUCUAGGUAUCAGCAGGGUUGAAAGACUGAGCGCUUGGAGAAGAUGCAUAAACUCCUUAAAGAAUAGAACAAUUAAUACCCUGGUAUAACCAGAUAAAAUCCCAACCUGGUAGAGAAUCCUGGUCCUAACAGAUAAGCAAUAUAUAGCUAGUUUUGGUGAAGGGUACAAUAAGAAUAUAAGAAAUUGAGGAAGGUAUAAUGCUAGACCUGGAUUUCGAGACAACAGUUUUGAACAUAUAUCAACAGAGUCUGGAUGCAACCGAGAAAGGAUGAGUUGGUCAAAAGGGAGACAUGUAGAUGACUUGAUGUUCUUAAGCACCUGGAAAGUAAAAAAUCUAUCACUAUUUGAGCGAGCAUGUUUAAAGGAGUUUGUAUGGCAAAAAGUAGUACGUUGAUACCUGAACAUUAGUCCUACCAGGAAAAGGAGGGCAACCAUUAAGAAGCUCAAAAAGAAUUACACCAACACUCCACAUGUCCACCUAUGAAAAUCAAAACCUUUAUUUCUGUUCAUCCUGAUUGAAAAGGGAAAAUGGCAUGAGCUCUGGACAAGAUCAUACCUUUCCAUCAUAUCUUUCAAACUGAAGAACUUCAGGUGCCAUGUAUAAUGGGGAUCCACAAACUGUCUCCGCAUAAUCACCUGGAUGUAAACUUCUGUCCAUAGUAGAAAAGAAAAGGCAAAAAAUGAAACUUCCAAAUUUAAUUGCUUUAAAUCAUAGUAAAUAAUAUAUAAUAAAAAGGGUUACAGGAUGAAUUUCCACAUAUGUCCCUCUAUGAUAGAGGUUACCUUGAGAGACCGAAAUCAGCUACCUUUAGCACUGCAUCAUCGUCACUGCGAGAGAGUAGAAUGUUCUAGUCCAACAAAACAAAAGAAUUCAGGAAAUUUUAGAAUUAUGAUGUUGCGCAAACCAUAGGAAAAACACUGCAUUUGCAGGUACUAUGUAGAAAACCAGAAAACAAAUUGCAACUUUUUUACUCUACUUUAGAAAAUUACAGCAUUGUCAGAACAACAAUUAGUUGUCAUGUAAAAUUCUGAAGUAGCAUUUUAUGCGACAAGACAUCACUAAGACUAGAAAUUUCAAAAAGCUUCAAGAAAAAAAGACAUGGAAGUUUCCAAUUUGAAGACUCCAAACCCAAAAGAAUCUGUUAAUAUUUAGAAGUAAUUUUUGGUAAUUUUUUUUUUUCAAAUCCUAGUUGUUGAGUGGAAACCAUUGGUGAAGUUUAAAAACAGGGUCACUCCAAUCUACUAAUGCAAUUUACACGUAAGGGGGCAAUGAAUUAGGUAAGGAUCAAAGUUCAACCAAUAUAGAUUCAAUUCAUAAAAUCCGAUCCUAUAAUGUAGAUUUAUAUAUGAGUUUAAAAUUCAAUAAAAUCAUGUUCAAAUAAGAUUCAUAAUCGUGAAUAUCAAAAUCAGAUUAAGAAUGUCCUCUUGGGUUCUUGCUUCUCCAGCAUUGUGAGACAAACACCCGGGUGCGAACUGAAAGUUGAUCUUCUGUGGAUAUUCAACCAUAGGGCCCAUAUAACCCAUAACUUCCCCGGCAAAAGAAAAUAAUGGCUACAAAUAGGAAAAUUUACUUUUGUUGCCAUUGUCCUAUAAAAUCCUGUUUUUACCUCUGGUUUUAAGUCUCUAUGCAUGAUGUGGUGAGAAUGUAGUAUUUCCAAACCAGCCCCUGUACAACAAGAAUUUGAUUAGAUGCAGACUGUAGAAGCAGUGUAAAGCCUUAUUACAAAUUAAAAUGAAAAUAAGAAGCUACCAAGCUGCUGCAUAAAUUUCCUAGCGAUCUGUUCAUGAACUCUCCCAUGUUGCCGAAUAUAGGCUGCCAAAUUUCCCCCAUUGCAGAAUUCCAGGACCAGGAAUAUGCAACCUUCAUUCUGGGUUGAAGACAUGAAUAACUCACUAAAUAAUAGCCAAAUAACACGCUGGUUUCCAACAGUUAAAAGGUUUGGUGCCUGGAUAUCUUCAUUUAUAUAAUCUCACUCUCUUCUGCUUCCUUUUCCCUAUCUACAGAAUUCCGUUAUGGCAUGUUUACUUAUCAGGAAUGGGUAUUGGAACAAUUCCAAUUCAUGACUUACCCGGCGUUUACUAACACAUAAGGAAUAAAAAAAUUUGCGUUCCUUGUUAAAAUCUGUAAUCAAAUACCCUCAAAACUAGGAAUUGGAUCAACUACAGUCCUUACACAUAAAAUAUAUUGUGAAACUAGUUUGAUGUUUAGAGAACAAUCCCAUGUUCACUUCCAAACUUCUAUGAAAAUUCAAAAAGAUAGAGAUUGAGAAUUUGGGGUUCUAAAUGGUUGAGUUGUGAUUAUGGAAUUCCUCAAGAACAACCCCUGCAUUCAAAAUCUGCUGUGAAAGUAGUUUAGUGUUUAGAGGAUGAUCUCAUGCCUACUUUUACGUUUGUAUGAAACAUGCUUAGUGAUAGAACUUGAGAGGUUUGGGCCAGUUACCGGUACAAUAUUCUUAAAUAAAUUACUCAUGCCUGGACAUGUUUAAAAGAUAAGUAAGUGAUUCAUGACAGUGAAGGCUGGAAAGAGUGUAUUGAGGAUCACUCAAAUCUACGUGAGGCAUUAUACUACUCAUGUAGACAACGACAAUAAUGGUGCAUAACAGUCCUAGAAUCAAGUAGGUUAGUAAGUCUAAGUCUAAUCAGUUGAAUCCUGACUCGACCCAUGUUUCUUGCUUAGGUCUUCUGCAUUAAAAGUUUGACUAAAAAAUUGAAUCAAAGAUCAAGAUGUCCUUGUAUGCAUCCAAACACGUGUAUAUCAGAAAGUACUCAUGUGAGAUGAGAAUUUUUGUUGUAUUUGUAAAAAACAAAUUAGUGUGCCAGUAUUUAGGAAUGUCAACAGAAACCUAUCCACCCCUCUAGGUUUCUUAUCCAUUAUAUUUGGAUCUUAAAUAGUGGUUUAGUGACAUGCCAAUGCUGUAUAUCUUUUAGAAGGUUCUGUAGAUAGACUGAAGAUUGCUGGGAUAAUAACCAAUUUCCAAGGAUUUCUUAGGAUAAUUCUAGCAAAGGUCCUUUGGGCUGUAAAGGAUAAUUUAACUAAAUAGAAUGAAGAGGUAUCUAACAAGAUGAAGAUCAAGAAACAGAAUGGUGGAAGGAGAUUAAGGGCCGGAGAGCCAGCAUAGAUGUGAAACUGGUGGAGUGGGGCAGGCAGCACUUAGGUUUGAGACUUCAAUCAUCCAUAGGCGAGAGAAAAAUAAAACCUACUUGGAGGGGGUAAAAUUCAAUCCAACAACCAACCAAAAAUUAAAAAAAACCUUAAUAUAUGGCAAAGGCUUCUCUGCAUUCACAAUGCAAGCGUAAUAAAUCCUUCAUACUCAAAAAUCACCACGGCUACUACCGGGUGGAUGGAGGAACCAAUUACUAAUAUUAUCCCUCAAUAUUUUAGGUAAAAACCUAUAAAUAACAUUGACCACUAAACCAAUCACCAGUCACAUAAAAAUCAAUCAAUCACCAAGAGAAAAAUCAAAAGACAGACGGCACAAGUUGAAGCGUGAUUAGCCAUUAAAAACUAGUUUCACUAAAAUAUGGAAAUUUAGAAACUCCAAAUUUCCUACAAUAUUGCUCUGAUUCAACCAAACUAAUGAAAUGGGUAUAUGGAAAAAAAAUUAAAAAUUAAAAAUAAUCGAAGAAAUUGAAAGAAAGGAGAUGAUCAAGUACCUGGAAAGCUUUGAGGAGACGAACGACGUUGGGGUGGCAAAUAGAGGACAAGAAUUUGAUCUCGCAAUCCAAGCAAUUCUUGAGGCGCCUGUUGAGCCGCGAGAGGAAGACCUUCUUCAGAGCCACCACCUCCCCACUUUCUCUGUGCACGGCUUUCCACACUCUGGAGAAAGAGCCUUCCCCAACCUCUGAUAUCAGAACGUAAUCUCCUAAUGCUGCUGUGCUGCUGAGUUCAGAGAGACUUGGCUUGCUUUCAGGUUCCAUAUUGAUGUUUUUGAGCUCUCAAGACUUUGCUUUGCUUGCCCUGUAAUGAAAGCGUUAUGGGUUUCCUUCAUAGCUAACUCUCUAUCAUAGCUAACUCACCGUCCCCUCAAAAAUUUGACACAUGUCUUUAACUAUAUCCAUGUUGUAAACUAAAGAGAUUAUGGAGAGAAUUAAGAUGGAGAGAGGGCAUAGAAGCCUGAUCUUUUCAUUGAAUGUUUUCUCUAUAUCUUUGCAGGCAAGAGGGUUGCCUAUUUAUAGGCAUGUUAAAUGGCACCCGUGAAUAAAAGAGAAGACAUAAUGAUGUUUCUACCCAAUUAUCACUGUUCACCUUUUGACUAUGUGGGCUUCACCCAUUCUACUUUACAACACUCCCUCUUGGAGACCACAUGUCCCUAGAUUGGUUGCCUCAUUAAAACCUUGCUUGUAAAAACCCAGUGGGAAAAAACCUAAGCGAAGGAAAAAGAGUACAACUUUAUUUGGGACAUAAAGGUAAUACGCUCAUGUUGCCUCGUUAAAACCUUGCUUGGAAAAAUUCGGUGGGGAAAAACCCUAGUCGAAGGAAAAAGAGUACAAUGCGCAUAUGUCCUGUGUUAGAGGACUCUUGAAUGCUCCCCCUGAUUUUGCAUGCUCCAACUUGAUUUCUUGCAGAGUUGUCGUAAGCCGAUGCCAUGCACUAACUUUUGGAAUGUACAUUUCGGCAAUGAUUUAGUGAAGAGAUCUGCCAGGUUAUCGCUUGAGCGGAUUUGUCUGACUUUGAUUUCUUGACUCUUCUGGAGCUCGUGUGUAUAGAAAAACUUUGGUGAUAUGUGCUUAGUCCUGUCACCCUUGAUAUGUGUAUAGAAAAACCUUGCCAGUAAAAACCCAGUGGGACAAAAAACUGGUCGAAGGAAAAAAGAGUACAUAACCAUGUGUAACAUAAAAUUCUGUGUAUAUUGACAUGCGUACGACACUGCCUCGUUAAAACAUUGCCAGGAAAAACCCAGUGGGAUAAAAACCUGGACGAAGGAAAAAGAGUACAGUGUGAAAAGGUCUUUAUUGACAGCACGCUCCCCCCCCCCGAUGAAUAUCUCCUCCUGAAAACUUCAUGACUAGCUUUUUCCAGUAAGCGACCAUAGAGAUUUUCAGAGUCCGCAUAUCUAAUAACACUUGGGCUAUUUAUAAGUUCACUCAAAAAUAUGCCCGUAUAUGGUGUUGUGCUUAGAUAGCAUCAAAUAUGCCUCACAUCAUCCCAAAAUGAUGGUGAUGGAGUUGAGCUCUAUCUGGAAAAUACGAUGUACAGUCCAAUAUACUUCCCUGAAAAUCCUGAAAGUGUCCAACGGAUAAUCCUCAUAAAAAUGCUUCAAUACUUUCUUAGUAUAAGCGAGAAUCUCGUUGGCAUAAUGCUCGAUCUUUAAGUCGAGACAAAUAUUUCUUGAACUCUUCAGAAGCUUUAAUGUGUUGCAAACACAUUAUAGUCCAUGUACUCACUGAGGCAAUUUAUGCAUAUUAGUAUUGAGUACUGAUUUUGUGCUUUAGGCAUAUGUCCUUUACAGACUUGCUUCAUGCAAUUUCAAUCCUUUCAAGGAUUUUGUUUAAAGGGAUUAAACUUUAUGACACAUUAUAUAGCUUUUACCCAGCUAUUUAUACAUCUUUAGGGAAUCGCUUCUGGCGAUAUGCUUCGUGCAUUUAAUAACCCUUAAAGAUAACAUGUUGGUCUCCGUAAAUGUGCAAUAAGGAGGCACAAUUGAAUCUGUAAAUAUGGAGAAGACCCAACAUUCCUUGUCUCUGCCAGAAACAUUGUGUCAUACAAAGUAGGUAUAUUCCCUUUUAUUCCGAACACCCAAGUAUAACUUUCAGUAUUAACAUCUUUUGGGGUUCGUACUGUGGGUUUGUUCUUUCACGUUCAUUCUCAUCUAUAAUGGAAUUACCUCAUUCCAUUUUGGCCAAUGAUAUUGUCGACAUUUAAUAAUUGAACGUGGUUCCAAUCAACACAGCCCAUUGAUGAUUUGAGUAGCUACUCCAAAACCAAAAAUUGUCAUUCAUCAAUUCAUGAUCCCACCAUUCUCAUUUGCAUGUGCAUGCAUCAAUUAUAAGCAUUUCUUUGCUUUUGGGUACCCAAGCCACUUCAGGGGGUUUUUAUUAUGUGAGAAUGUGGAUUAUAACCUUCAAUGGAGCGUUAUUUUACAUAGGGCGUGGAAAAUCUCCAUUUUGGGAGUUGGAACAUUCAGAACUCAUACAUCUGUCAUGCUGCAGGCAUGCCACAGAUUAAUACAUACAUGUCAAUUAAUUUAUGGGACUUUAACCCAUAUAAUUUGCUACGCAUUAGGCGUGCACAAUAUCAAUAUUGACAUGUUAAAGGAUUUUCCUUUCGGGACUUCAAUCCACAUCAUUUGCUACGCAACAAGCGUGUAUCAUAUUGAUCACUGCUAUACCCAUAUUCUGUUCUUAUGGGAUUUUAAUAUGUGCAGUGUAUUAUCAAUGUAUCCAACUUGCAAUCUGUAAAAUUUGUGUUAAUAAUUCAUGGAUACAUACAAGCCAUUCUUUUGGAACGGACUUAUCUCCCCAUUUGCUUACCUUUCAAGAUAAAAUAUCAAAUAAGUAUAUAAGUAUAAAAUAACACAAAUAUUGCUUACAUCCUUAGGUGGGAGAAACUUUUCUCAAGUAUCAUUCAAGCUCGUAUCGGCCCAGUAAAUAUAAUGUAGCGCUUGAUGAUCUAGUUAUAUCCUGCAAGAGCAAAAUCACAACUCUUUUCUCUGUCAAAAACAAAUAACCCUCAGAGUUAUGAUCACUUCAUGGAUUCUUUCUUCAGAUGUUCAUUCUAAAGAAAUAAAAUCUCUUAUGAACAGAGAGUUACAAAAAGAGAAAAAAUGCAAAAAAAUUGUGAUAUUGAUUGCAAGAUAAGGUAAGCAAUCAGGGAAGGAAGCUGGUGGGAGCAGACAAUAAGCUCUCAUUUCUCCUAGUCUAAAAGGACUUCCGGAGAUUAGAGCAUAAGAUCGCCUUCACAGUUUCCUGAUGUAGCGGAAACGUGAUCAGGGAUAGUCUCGCUUCCUGAAUGGAUGAUCAGAGAUAGUCUUGCUUCUCGGGCAUAUUGAGUGCUCACUGAUAAGAAAAAUAAGUAGAUAUCGCAUCACUAGGUAUGGAGAAAACUGGAUGUCUUCUGCAAAGAAAAUUUUGUUAGUAACACAUUUAUACACAAAUAAGAGGAAUAGAUAGAACCGGUGAAUUUCAAAUUAACCAUAGGAAAAUUGCGAGAUUCUUGGGGCACUUUUGAAAAAGUAGCUCCGUGAAAUCCGCAAAGCAAGAUCGGCUUUGACGAAAAUAAUACUUGGAAACGCCGAAAGUGCCAACAAAUAUUAAUGGAGGCCGCGUGAAGUUUUGGAAUCUGGAAAAGAAAAGGAGAAUAUGGGGAUCUGAGAUAAUAUUGGGAUCCUGAAAACUGUAGCCAUAUUUCCUCCUAUAGAUAUUGCCUUUGCAAGACUUGAUUGGAGCAACUGCGUUUCAACUCAACUUCCUUCAUUUUCUGAAACUUUAGUUUUUCUAAGACUUUCUUCGAAACCUUCUUAAAAUGGCUUCCUCUUCUUCCAGCCCAAAUUAUUUCAAUUUAAAUGAUGCUCCCACAACAACCAGUGACGCCAAAGUUUGGCGUCCCUCCUUUGUAUCCCAAAAUCGUCAUCUCAUAGUUAAUGAUUCUGUGAUGAUGAAUGAUGCUACUGCUGUCAUAGUAGCUAGGAAUUUCAUUACUCCAAUGGAUGAAAUACUGUUAACAGGGAGGUUUGAGGAAGAGGCUAUUGAUGACUCAAUGGCUUCUAGCAUUCAGAGUGCUGCUUCUGUUUCUAACAUGGCUGAUCGUUUGCGUGCUAGAGCAAACGAGGUUCAGAAGCUAACAACUGAAAAUUCGUCUCUUCAAAGGAUGCUUCAUGAGUCUCAACAGGAGGUUGAGAAACUUAAAGGAGAGAAUAAUUCCUUGUUGAAACUGGUGAGUUCGUACUCCGUUGAUACACUGAGAAGGCUAGACAUGCUGCAGGUCUCCAAUGAAAGAAUUUUGGAAGACCACGAGAGGCUUAUGGCUAAGCUUAAGAGGCGUCGUCCUCUUCCGUCAGAGGCUUCCAGAACAUGAUGUAAUUUUAUAGAUUUUACAGGGCCUGCACCUUCAUUGCAGGUGGAAAAAUCUAUCUGUUGUAUGCUCCUUUCCUGUUAUAAUAAUUGCACACAUUCUUAAAUUUGCACCUGUGGUUUUUAUGUCUUUUCAAAAUGACGGUUUGGAACCUUGUGCCUUAUAUGUUCAAAUAACCACAUCGACUCUCCCAAAUUUCCUAUUUCAACGUAUGGGAGCCCGAAACUUUUGCCCUGGGCUAAACACAAACUCAGAAUUUAUUCGCCCUUUUCAAAUGGACAUGAAAUAUGAAUUGAGUAAAAGCCACGAUAAUUUCGCAAUAUAGUAGUGAAGAGCAUUAACUACUAUAUACCCACAACCUCAAGUUCGGGAUUUCUCAUAUAUUUGAAUCCAUGUGCUUCCGGCCCAGAUAUAACAAAAUAUGUGGGGAGCCUCAAUUCAUCAUUUGAGGUUUAUAUUGAUAUUAUCCAUUUCACGGUGUAUUCUUAACAACCAGAAUUCACAAAAUAUAUUUCUUCCUUGAGGUGUCGAUUAUAACAUAAUCGAACUUUAUUAAAUUCAUCAUUUUCUUAUGCCAAAGAAAUAUGUGGUGUACCACAAUUUGUAAUAAUACCUCAAGGGUUGUCCAUUUAACUGUUGGAACUUUAGGUUCUCAACACUGUUAGAUUUUGAACUUCAUGCCAAAAUCACAUAUUCUCAUGGUAUGGACUUUCAAUCCCCUUAGAUUUUGAAUUUCGGGCUAAAAUCACAUAUUCUCAUGGUAUGGACAUUUUUACAAUUUUCUGUACAUAUUUCUGGACUUCAAGCCCUUACAUAAUUGUCCAUAUUUUGAGGAACUUCUGGCAUCUCAUUUAAUUGCUUAUCCAUGAGUUUAAGGAACUGCAGGUUCCCUUUUGUAUAGUGACGGUUUACCCAAAAUGGUUAAUAUUUAUGUAUACGUCACUAUUCAUGUAUCCGGUACUAUUCAUCAAGUCAUGAAUACGUAUCUAUUCAUGUGUACAGUACAUUUGCCAAUACAGUUAUUAUCCAUGUGUACGGCACUAUGAACCAAUACGGUACUGUUACAUCAUUAAGGAACCCCAGGUCCUUAUUUACAUGUCAGGGAUCAAGGACCGUCAAGUCCAAUCACAUGUUUACAAAUAUCAUCAUCAAGGAUCUUCAAGUCCUGAUGUAAUUGUAUGAUGAGGAUCAAGGAACUUCUGGUCCUGAUCUGCAUACUAUAAGAAAACUCAUCAUACAACACAAUUAAUCCAUAAAAUAAAUUGCUGGUAAAUAAAUUACUGGUAUGGACGAUAAACCCGCACCAUACUUUAAAUAAAUGUAAAUGUGCGGUAAAAUAAAUUCAUAAAUUAAAUUGCUUGUUGUAUGGACAUUAAUCCCGCACCAUACCUUAAAUAAAAUUAAAUGUGCAGUCAAGUAAAUUCAUAAAGUAUGAGGGUUAAUUCCACAUCAUACUUUAAGUAAAAAUAAAUUUACGAUAAAGUAAACGUGCUUGUAUGGGCACUAAUUCUGCUCCAUACAUUUAAAUAAAAGUAAAGGUGUGGACGAUAAACCCGCGCCACCCUUUUAAAUAGAUACUGUUGUAUGGGUAAUAAACCUACACCAUACAGUAAAUAAAAUAAAUGUAGAAAUAAAACCACCACUAAAAAUAUAAAAGAGUGAAACCGACAAUUAUUUGUGGGUUCUUAGCAACACCACGAUCAAAUAAUAUAUAUGCUGUCAACUUGAAUUGCCUCCCUUUUUUUUCGGUGGAAUUCCUCUCAAAACUAGAGGAAAUAGGAAACAAUAUAAUAUGAUUACAUUAAUAUAUGUAACUAGAAAAGUUGAGACAAACCAUAGUGCUAGUCUGCCUUCAUGUUUGUCUGCUCCAUAAUUUCGUAAAUAAAAUGGAUGAACAUGAACCUGCACAAGUUCCUCUUGUACACCUUUACUUGCUUUUUAUGAUCAAUAUAAUUAUAUAAUAUUAAAGAUAAAAUAGGAUAAAGAAAAACAGAGGACUUAUCUCUUUUCCUCAGACCCACUGGUUCCACUUGCCUGAUCUGACUUACAGAUCUUUGACAAAAACUAUGUUCCAGAAACUUGCUUGAAUACGGCAAUCUAGUAGCCUAGGUAACACCCACUGAGCUGGACUCUAGCUAUUAUGACUUCUCCAUAGACUCAGCUUCAAACCGGUUUUUCAUCCAAUUCCUCCAUGUCUGAGUGCUGCGCAGAAUGCCUUUGCUUGAUCGGUUUGUGGCCUUUUCUUCUUCCUCUAUGUUUGUAGACAUGUUUUAGAGAGGGCUAUACUCUCUGCUACAGUUGAUAGGUUGAUAGCUGGAAAUUUGAGAAAGAAAGGUAUUGAAGCAGAUGGAAUUCAUCCGAGAAUUCAACUGGUAUUUUUGAAAGCGAAUUCGUGCUGAUAACGUGUUGUAAACUAAAGAGAUUAUGGAGAGAAUUGAGAUGGAGAGAGGGCAUAGAAGCCUGAUCUUUUCAUUGAAUGUUUUCUCUAUAUCUUUGCAGGCAAGAGGGUUGCCUAUUUAUAGGCAUGUUAAAUGGCACCCGUGAAUAAAAGAGAAGACAUAAUGAUGUUUCUACCCAAUUAUCACUGUUCACCUUUUGACUAUGUGGGCUUUACCCAUUCUACUUUACAACAAUCCAUAACUAUUUUCAAUUUUUCAAAGCAUUUGAAAACAAAAAAUUAAGUCUAAUAAUAAUUUAUUUUUAUUUUUAUUUUUCAAAAAAUUGUCUCUUUCUCUUUCCUCCUUGCCGACCCAUCCUACCAUUGGGGAUCUAUUCUCCACAACCAUCCCAGCCACCGUUCACUCGUCCACCUUAUUCACCCUUCACCACGCUCCCCACCACAACAACCACCCACACCGAAACCCCAAAACCCUAGCCACCUCACCACGACAACACAAAAAAAUAUACAAAUAGAGAGAAAACAAGCUAUUUUAUUGGAUUCCUCUAUUUUUAGAGAAAGAGAUGGGAGAUGGGUUUGGAAUUUGGGGUUUGUUUAUUGAGAAGCUGCUGCUUCUUUUUUAUAGAGAGAGAGAGGAGUCCAGAGAGAGAGGGAGGGAAAUGAGUGGAAAGAGGGGAUGUGACGAGUUAAUAAGAAAUCGAAAUUGAUUCGGUCUCUCUGUUGAAGUUGGGUAUAUUUAAUUUAAUUUAUGCAUGUAAAGACGNNNNNNNNNNNNNNNNNNNNNNNNNNNNNNNNNNNNNNNNNNNNNNNNNNNNNNNNNNNNNNNNNNNNNNNNNNNNNNNNNNNNNNNNNNNNNNNNNNNNCUAAAUGACUUCGACCCACAAACAUUAUAGAUGUUCCACAAUCUUGGACUGCGUUUUUGGGGGGGGGGGGGGGUCUGGACUCUGGAGUUGCUACAGAGGAAUGGUGGCUAGGGUUUUUAAGGGCAGUGGCUAUAGAGAAUAAAGAGAGUUUUUUUACAAAUUUAUUUUAUUAUUAUUUGACUUUAUUUUUCUGUUUUCAAAUCCUUCAAAAAAUUGAAAAUAGAGAGUUAAUUAUAGUUAUAGUCAAGGAGUUUUAGUUUUAAAACACAAUAUAGUUUACUAAUUUGAGAUAUAGGAAUACAAUUUCAUCUAAUUAGCAUAAAGCCAAAACCAAAAUUUAGUAUCUAAUUUUACAAAAAUAUUAUUAAAAAAUAUCAAAAUUACACACAAUGCCACUCCUUCUAAAGUAAGCAUACUAUGCCACAUGUCAAUAUCAAGCCAACCACCAUCGCCGACCACCUGCCGCCGGUCCUUGCCGGCCUGCCAUCGUCUGUAGGGAACCAACUCCGUUGUCCUUUAUUCACCUUUAAAAAAAAAAAGAUUUUGUGUCCUUGAAUGGACUUGAACCUUGAUCUUCAAAGGAGGAAAGCUCAUUCACAAACCACUACACCAAACUUGAUUUUGUAAUAUUUAUUCAGUUAUACAAUAUAUAUAUAAAACAAUCAACAGUUUUUAAAACAAAAAACAAAAAAAUCAUUUCAACACUUAUUCACACAAAAACUACAAAUAAAAAUAGAAACUGCAAUAAAAAUACAAUGUAGAUAUCAAUUAUGUUUAAAAAAAAUGAAAACAGCUACAAAAACAAUUGUAAUUAAAUGAAAACUGAAAUGCAGUUUCCAAUUUCCAAAAGUCUGAUUUUGAGUUCCCUUACUCUUGGGUAGUUUUCUCUUCUCUUGCCUACCCAAUUCCUCAUCUGGGUAGCCUCUACUCUCCAAAUUGGUGAGGUUGACGGCCAAGGAAAGAACAAAAAUCAAAUUGUAAUCAAAUGAAAACUACAAUGCAGUUUCCAAAAGUCCAAUUUUGAGUUCCCUUUCUCUUAGGUAGUUUCACUCUUCUCUUGCCCACCCAAUUCCUCAUCUGGGUAGCCUCAACUCUUCAAAUUGGAGAGGUUGAAGGCCAAGGAAAGAGCCAAGAUCCAAUUGUAAUUACCAAAAUUGCAAUGCAGAACCUGUAUAAAAUUUUACCUACUGAAAAAUAAAGAAAUAUAAUGCUGCAAGCAUAAACGAAAGACAAAGACAUGGAGAAAAAUAAAUAAAUUUAACCCACAAGAUCAUACCCCAUACCAAAUAUUACGGACAAAUACAAUCAAUCAUACCCAAAUCAAAUAUAAAUCCAAAUAUUAUGUACAAAAAUCAUGUAGGAUCAUCUUCCACCAAAUUUUUUUGUUCUUAUUGUCAAGCAUCGUUCUUUUAAUCAAUAUCAAUGCAUAGUUGAUGGACCUGUCUUUCUCAACAUGCAAAUUGACAAAUAAUGACAAAUUUCAAAAUAUUGGAUUAUGAUAGUGAAGAUUGAUGAAGACAAGAUGAGAAACAGAGAAAUGGGUUAUUCAUCUUACAAAUUGGUAAAUUCUUUCCAAGAACGAAACCAAGAGUUAAGAAUCUCAAACUUUUCCAGUAAAUUCUGAUAUAUAUUCUAUAAUUUCAACGAAGAUAAAAGCUAUUUUUUGUAUAAUUACAUCCUGUCAAAUAACCAAAAUAAUGUGUGUAUAAGUACUAUCAACUUCGACCACUUUCCACCAACUCUCCAAAUUUUGUCAAGAUCCAAGGUUGACAGUUAUAACCUUCCAAAAAAAUUUAACGGAGAAUUCUGACCGAAGAAAGCUCAUGCCCAGACAAAAAAAAAGUGUUACACACUGAAAUUUCUGUUUAACUUGACUUUGGAAUUAUAUGACAGGGAAGACUGGAAUUAAUUGAACUUUGGUGGUUGUAAGUUAUAACCAAACCAAAGAAGCUAACGCAAGCAAUUUAUUGUAUGUAACAGAUGGCCCAAAAUUACAAAUGCCAGCCUAUAUGCAAUCUGACUGUAAUGGAGCAUAUCAAAUUAAAAUGUUGAAGAAACACGCAGGUCACCAAAUUUAAGGACAAACUAUAUCAAUUAACACAUAUAAUAACAGCAUAGGGGAGCUAAGCAAUCAUACUAGUAUAGGCUGUUUGACCCGAUCUUCAUGCUGAUUAUGGUGAACGACUAACAAAAUCAGGACUGCAAUCGAGAAGAGUCCAAAAGGAGCCCAGAUUCAAUACGAAAACCUCCUUUGAACCAGGCGCCGAUACUCGGCUCGCAACGAUGAUGAUCUCAUGUACGUGCUUCUCGCUCGCUGUGCGACAUCGCUUUGAAGAUCACCACCUAAAGGUCUGGCACUAGGUUGAUCGCUAUGGUUGCGAUGCCGAUGCUCGUCUAGUCCUUGCCGAUCGCUAAUUUUAAUAUCACGGUGGAAAAAAAAAAUCAAAAAAUUGCAAAAAUGUAAAUGUAACUCUUAUAUUAAUCAUGCUUUUAGCACGUGGGCUUACUAAUUGGUCUUUAACAGAAGGGUUAACUGCCGAAAACCUCCAUGAACUAUAUCGACUAUCGGAAUUUCCCUCAUGGAUUAUUAUUUUUUGCCAAUUUAGCCUUCAAAUUAAAAGAAAUAGCCAAUUUCACCCCUGCCGUUAGUUUUUCCCCAAUUCCAUCCAAAUGCCCGUUAAAAACACCACGUGAAAGGCACGUAAGCCGUCUGAUAAGGGUAAUAUCGUCAUUCUAUACCCUCAACCCUCAGCCCCCUUUAACUGAAUCGUUCGUAAGGGUCAAUUCCCAAAUCAGAGUUAGGGUUUUUGAAAAAGGGUGAGAGUGAAAGAGAGAAAGCGACUGAAAGAUUCGAAAAAGGGUGAGAAAGACAAACUACGACUGAGAGAUUCGAUUUUGAGAGAUAUUUUGUGACUUGAAGAUUCCAAACGAAGGUGCGACGGUAAAGGCAAAAUGAAAAUAAGAGAUGGUGGGGAAGCUCCCAUAUACAGUAAGUACGCUUAGUUUAUUUGUUUGAUUCAAUUGUUUGAGUUUUAAUGUCGAAUUUCAUUGCUGGACUUGAUGAAAAAGCAUAAUAAAAGGAAGAAAGUGGUCCCUAUGGUUGUUGUUUGUUGACUGAGACUUAGGUUGGGUUGUGAAUGUGGUCCCUAUGCAUGUUGUUUGUUUAUUGUUUGUCGGGUUCUUUGUCUGGGUUUGUAUUGUAAUGUAUUGUAUAGGAGAAUUAGUAAUGUACUGUAUAGGGUAGAUAGUAAAUGUAUAUUGUACUAUAUAGGGUAGAUAGUAAAUUAAUGAGAAAAUUUAUUGUUGUGCAGCUAAUCCUGACAUGUUCACACUUGAAGUACACCAUGGGGGCUAUUGUUUUGGCCUAAAUUUGGCACAUCCAGUCCAAAUAUCAAAAGCCCAUGUCAGCAAUCCCUAAAUAAAGGGCCAAAAUUACACACUCAGCCCAACACUGGAAACCCAGAAUAACGAAGCAAUCUCAGGACCCAAGCAGAUUAGGCUUUGCAUUGAAGUUGAAUUGAAAAGCCCAAAUCCAAGAAGGCCCAGCCCAGAAUCUGUCAUUUGGGCUUCAAAAAAAAAAAGGAAAAUCAGCCCACAGUUUCAAAAACUCAACCUGGGCUUAGCAUGAUUAAAAAGAGAAGAAAGGCCCAAAAUUGAAGGCAAACCCACGUGACUGCUUGAACUUUGAAAAGUCAGCAAUUUCAACUGGGAUUGAUAAGGAAUUAAUAAGGGCGGGUUUGAAAAAGACAUCUCUAAAAAUCUAUGCUACCAGAAGAUCAAAAUCCCUUUUUAUAUACUCAGAGAAAAAUCUGCUCCAAAGAAAGGCACCAUUUUUUAAGAGAUAAGAAAACUACGUUUGGGAGAUAAACAGAAAGCAGGAAGCAGGGAGUUGUUCAAAAUGGAAGAUCAAACUAACCAUCACAGUUUGAACUCUUAUAAGGGCAGUUGGAAUUAAAGAAGGGGUAGGUUUUCUUUCAAGAAAAACAGGGAAGUGAUUGCCUUAGGAACUGACUAUUGAGGGCUUAUCUGCCAGAAUUGAUAGAACCCCUUUUUCUUUACAUUUUAAAACGACAGAUCUUUUGAGAAUUUUUGCCGCCCAUUAUUAAAAAGUUAGAAACCAUACUUCAAAACAUUUCUUAUAAAUAUAAGAGAGGGUGAACAUAGCAGAGGAAAAUCAAUCAAACAACCAAAAAAUCAGUCGAAAGACAAAAACUCAAAAUGAUCACUUGAUUUCAAAGAAUCUCCAAACAAACUGAAGCAACCAAAAGCUCAUUGAGCCACAAGAAUGAAGCCAGCUACAAAUCAGUUUCAGAUUUAGAGAAAAGUCAUUUAAAACAAGAUUUCUCUCGUUGCAAAUUUGGUUCAGCAAAAGCCAAAACAAGCAGAGCCUGGGUUUUUACAAAUAUGAAAACCUCAACAAAUUUAUGGAGAGCCCUGAUCAAGCAGAACAGGCAUCACAGUGCAAUUCCAGCUCAAUAAUCCUUGAAUCUAGCCACUUCUGCCCCCUUCAGACUGAAGAGGCCGCAAUUCUGUCUUGUUCAAAAAGUCUUCUAAGGCUUGAAAUAGAUUAAAGCUAUGCCAAACUCGAACGUUGGUACGAUUUACAGCUGAAACUUGACAGUUGAAGUUGCUGACAGUCCAGUCCUGCAUAGGCAUACCCAGUCCAGUCCUGAUCAGAAGCAUCUAUCCAGGUAGAAAUGGAAGUCCAACCUUCUCUUUGUCUUUCUAGAGUUGGCUUUUCCCUUUUGAGUUUUGUAAAAGGGAGUUCUGCCUAAAAACAGUUCAUUUUCUCAUCAUUUAUUCUGGCAAGAACUACCAAUAUUGUACUGUGAAAAAUUGUGAAGUUCUCACCUGUCUGAGGCAAGAAAAGAACUUACUUAUGAGGUAUUCCUCACCCAAAUUCACAUUUGCUUGUUUAGAAAUCAGUAACUUGAGGCGCAAAUUAUCUAUUUUCGAAGUCUGCUAGGCUUUUUCAUUACUAGCAGUGGCAUGCUCGCACAAUAAAGAAAGUUGACUUGUUAACCAGACAAUGGUUUUCAAGGCAAUGGGGAACUUUACCUUACCAUCACAGGAACAAACACGAAACGGGUGAACAGCUACUUUGUUGAUGGUUUAUAUAUGGGAGGUAUUGUACAAUGGGUUGAUGGGCAAGAUAUAGAUGAGGUUUCAAUGCUUGAGUUCUUGAACUGGUUAAACACCAUGGUUAUGAUGAGCAGAACAUUCAAUACUAUUACAAGCAGAGGACAAAUGGCUGGGUUGAAAUUAUGACAGAUAAGGAUUAUUUUGGAGCAUUAAAGUUGGUGAAACCGAGCCAGCUGUUUGUGUUAUACAUAACUAACAAUCCAGCACCUAGGCCUCUAAAUAUUCAAUCCCCAGUAUUCUCUUCACAAGGUGAAAAUGCUGAACAUUAUGAAGACGAAGACACUGCUCAUGGAUAUGAUGGUGAUGAAGAAAAUGGGCAAUAUGAUUUCGUGGAUGUUGAGAUACAUGAAGAAUUUGGUGAGGCAGAGGAAGAAGUUGAGGUAGAAAGUGAUGAAGCUGAGCAAGGUGGGGAGGAUGAGGAAGAAGAUUGUGAUUUCAUAGAUAGUAAGUUUGAGCAAAGUGAUGAAGAGGACAACAUGAAUUUUCAUAGGUAUGUUGUAACUGAAGAGCAAGAUGAUGGACAUAAAGAACCAAGUGAGGGUGACAUUGAUGGUUAUAAUACAUCAGACUUAGAGAGUUUGCAUGAAGAUAGUGAAGAUAAAGAUGGGAAGAAGAGAGGUUUGAGGCAGCCAAAGUUCAAGCAGUACAAUAAACAUCAUGACCUUUUAGAUCCAAAUUCCACUUGAGUUUGGAGUUUCCUAAUAUGUAGGAAUGUAGAGAGGCCAUAAAGUACUAUGCAUGCAGGUGUGCUAGAAGACUAAGGUUUGUCAAGAAUGAGCCUAAUAUGGUGAGGCUGGUAUGUGAUGGUAAUAAGGAGGGUGAUAAGGCAAAGAGGCCUACUAAGGGUGAAAAAGCAAAGAGGCGUGCUAAGAGUGAUAAGGCAAAGAGUCAUAGUAAGAGUGAUAAGAGUAAGAGGCAUGGUAAGGGUGAAGAAGGUCAAGAGGAAGAAGAUCUGAAGAUAAACUUGAAGACUGUCCUUGGUUAUUGCAUGAUGCACAUUUUGAGAAAUGGUCUACUGUUAAAGUGAAGACAUACCAUCCAAUUCCUACAUGUGGCAGAUCUCAAAGAACUAGGUUUGCCACUUCACAAUUGUUGGCUAAAAGGUUUGAUGAGGAUCUCAGAACCAAUCCUAACAUGUCAGUUGCUGAGUUCAUGACAUUGGUGAGAAAACAUUAUAGUAUAAAUGUUACUAGGGACCAAUGCUACAAGGCAAAGAAUUUGGCAAAGGAGAGCAUUCAAGGAAGCAUUGAAGAACAAUAUUCAAAGCUGUGGGAUUAUUGUGAGAAGCUUAAGAGGCAAAACCCAGGAAGCACAGUUUUAGUAAAGACAUCAUUGAGGGGAGAUGAUCUAGUUUUUGAGAGGCUUUAUAUAUGUUUUGCUCAACUGAGGAAGGGGUUUAUUGAAGGAUGCAGAACCAUGGUUGGUUUUGAUGGGGCUUUCAUCAAAGGACAACAUCCAGGACAACUUUUAAGUGCUAUUAGGAUUGAUGCCAACAAUGGUAUGUUCCCAAUAGCUUUUGCUGUUAUGGAGACAGAAAGCAGAGACACUUGAUAUGGUUUUUAGAGAUUUUCUUCAAUGAUGUUGGGGUAAGAGGCACUGGAAAUGGGUGGGUUUUUAUCAUCGAAAAACAAAAAGGACUGGGGCAAGCAAUUGAGGCUUUAAAGUCAGAUGCUGAACAUAGGCAUUGUGUAAGGCAUCUGCACAAUAAUUUCAAACUUGCUGGGCAUGGUAGUUUGGCACUUAAAUAGAGGCUAUGGUCUGUUGCUAGAAGUACAACACUUCCUCAGUGGGAAGCUGAGAUGGAAAAUAUUAUGGAAAUGUCUACCCCAGCUCAUGCAUGGCUUCAGGAUAGGCCAGCAAUUCAUUGGAGCAUGCCACAUUUUACUACUGGGCCCAAGUGUGAUAUAUUGUUGAACAAUUUAUGUGAAUGCUUCAAUUCAGCAAUUUUGGAGGCAAGAGAUAAACCAAUAAUCACGAUGGUGGAAAGGAUAAGAACCUAUUUGAUGUUGAGAGUUACAAGAUAAAAAGAGGUGAAAUGGACUCAAAGAGUUAGGCCAAGGAUAUUUUAGAUUAUUGAGAAGAAUUUGAAAGAGAGUGGCUCAUGCAUUGCACAGAAUGCCGGUGGAAACAGGUUUCAAGUCACCCAUAUGCUUGGUAGGCAAUAUGCAGUUGAUCUAAAUACUCAUUCAUGCUCUUGUAGAAAAUUGGAUCUCUGUGGCAUCCUGUGUUGCCAUGUCAUGGCUGCUAUAUCAAGGCAACAGAGGAGCCCAAUGACUUAUGUGAAUGAGGUGUAUAAGAAAGAAGCUUAUGAUAGGGGUUAUAGCAAUUACAUUUCACCAAUGCCAAGCCAAUAAUUAUGGAGGAAAUCAAGGCAUAGGCCAAUUAAACCCCCACUGUCUCACAAACAAAGUGGUAGGCCAAAGAAGGCAAGGACUAGACCUGUUGAUGAGAUCCCAAAGGGUGCCACUAAGCUUAGGAGAUAUGGAAUUGUAAUCCAUUGCUCAGUCUGUGGAGGAGAAGGCCAUAAUGCUACUAAUUGUGGAAGGGCAGAUGGUAAUAUGGGAAGAGGCAGAGGGAGAGGGAGAGGGAGAGGGAGAGGAAGAGGAAGAGGAAAAGGAAGAGGAACUGGCUCAGUCCAUCAAUCUGAAGAGGAAUAGGUAAAUGAUGUGAAAUUAUGAUUCAUUUCAAUUGUUUUAAUUGUGAUUGAUUUCAUUCGUAGGCAAUUAGAGGUGGGUUGACAGGGACUGUAGCCACUGCAAGCCAAAUAGCUCCAACCAAUAUUGCUACCCAAUCAAGUGGAACCAAUAUUGCUUCACAACCAGCUCCUUGCAAUUUAGCUUCACAAGCAGGUCCAAGCAGUGUCACUCAAAACACUUCCAGGCCACAAGGGAAAAGAUUCAAAUCCCCUACAAAAAGGGCAAGGCCAUGGAGGUAAAAUACAUGAUGGAUUAGGAUGGAUUUUGGAAUGUAUAUUUUUAAUACAUGGGCUGGUAGAUGUGUGUAUUUUGAACAGAUGGCUUUUUUGGAUGGAUUUUGGAUGAUUAAGCAAGGUUGGAAUGUAUAUUUUGUAGUAGAAGUUCCCCCACUGUAUUUUGAGCAAGAUGGUAUAUGAGUAAGAAGACGGUUGGAGCGUUCACCUGCCGGAUGCUUUGUGGGCUUACUGCACCUCACCAAGAAGUCCUACAGGUUUUUUGCCUUAUUCACUUGUGUAUGGGUCUGAUGCUAUUUCACGUGUGGAAAUCACCAUUCCCACGCCCAGAGUAUCGGCUAUCAAUGAUCUUGAAUGGGAUGCAAAGUCAUGCUCGGAUUGGCAUUUGUUAGACCUCAAAGGUGUGGAUGAAAAAAGAAUGGAAGCCGAAAGAAAAAUGGCACUCUACCACAAAACUGUUUCCCAAGCAUAUAACAAGACCGUUAAGCCCCAAGCCUUCAAGCAAGGAGAUCUUCUGCUAAAAGUUGUCGAGCAUGUGAGAAGACAAGUGUCAGGACCUUCCAAGUUUGCUCCAUAAUGGGAAGGUCCAUAUGCAGUCAAAGAGGUGCAGCAGUGGCUAUUAUCGCUUGAUCUCCCUCACAGAAGGCAUGCUAACGGAUCCCAUUAAUGGAAAGUGGCUCAAGCCUUACUACUGCUAAGUAGGCAUUGUAUUUUAUCUUUAUGUUAUUGCAUUUCUUUUCUUUUUAAAUAUGGUCUCUUUUUAUAUUCUCGCUUUCUUGCUCUACGAAGCUUUUGUAAAAUGUACCAUCAUGGUAGCAUGGGAUUUGAAAUGAAAAUGAAGGAGUAUUUUGAAAGAAAAAAAAAAAGAUUGUCACUGGAAAUUGCCUUUUUGCGUCCCAAACCUUUGUAUAUAUAUAUACAUACAGUCCUGAUCUCUUGGACUACAGGGGUCCAAGAGAUUUGUGGUCACUCACCGUUGGAUGUAAAUUCAACGGUUCACUCACUCUUGCACUCCUUUUAAGAAAUUUUUUUGAACCAUUGGAUUAAUAUCCAACGGUAGGUGACCACAAUCUCUUGGACUCCUGUGGUCCAAGAGAUCGGAACUGUAUAUAUAUAUGUAUAUAUAUAGGGCAUAUAUUUUAAAAUAAAAUAAAAACGUUACUUAGCAGAAGACAUGCCAAGCAAAGCCACAUAUAUGGGAUCCUAAAUCAUUAAUAGAUUUCACGCUUUAGCAAGAUAAAAAGAAACACGCCAAGCUCAGCAUUUGCAAAAGAAACUACCGUGCUCACAACAUUCAGGAACCCUUCGAUAAAGAAAAUUGGUACUGAGAAGUUUUGAACAAGGAUCCUACCAAAAUUUUGGCAGCACUUACCUUGUUCUAAAAGGGUGCCCAACUUGUAAAAGGACCUCAAGCAAAGAAUUCCACCAACCAGGCAGCAUAUAUAUAUACUAAACAGAAGUUACAAUGUGUCUUUAGCAAAAAGAAAAGGGACAUAAGUUCCAGCAGCUUGAACACAACAACACUACAGUGCCAAGCUGUUGCAGUACAAGUUUGAGAUACCCCGAAAGAAAAUACAGCCCAAGUAAGAUUAAGUUACACAAGCCAAGAAUUAAUGUGUUCUUCAGUCUCAUAAGGGAUCUGAAAAUGUGUCAAGCCAGUUAGUCUCACGCCAAGCAAAUGCAACCUGCGAGAUGGAGUAAGGGAGUGUCAGAGAGACAGGUUGGUAUCAGACAAAGUUAAGAUAGGACGGUAUGAGAGCCACGAAACCUCAAAGCCGUCAAGGAUACCUAGAAAAUAACGAAAGAAGCCUUGUGAGAGGAUCUUGUCACUGCUUUUGCCACACAGUCGGCACGGUUAGAAAAACACCUUGGGCAAGAAGGAGGGCACGCAGUUCCCCAUGCUGAUUUUCCAACUCACGCUGCUUGAGAUUCAAAGCUUCCACUGCUGCUCUUAUUUCAUCAGGACCGGAAAAUGACUCCAUGUUGUGAAUAACGCAUGCCCCAAAUACAGCACGUGCUAAAUCUUUAACCAAGUUCAAAAGAAACUCUACCCGAAAACUUAAGGUCAUGGCUUCACAGAUUGCAUCCCGCCAGCAAAAGAGUCGAUGAUCUGUGAUAUCCAACAAAUGCAUGGUAUCCAUUCCAUGGAGCACCAUGCCAAGGGUCCGGAAAGCAGCGCACCGCGAAAAGGAAGAUGUAAUGCCAAUCAUGUCUAUAAAAUCCCCAUGCUUGUCUUUAAAUUUCUCUAAGGCUGCGACUGUCUCGGGAUAAACAAGAGCCUCCCGAAAUGUUGCAUAGCCAUUAAACCGAUGACAAAGUGGCAAAAGCUCAUCCGCCGAUCGAAGGACCUGAACACCACCAUCAAAGAAAUCCUUGAAUGCAGUAAAGGAAUUCUCCCACUCCAGCCAAGACAUGAUAGAUGAAUGCUCUGCAGAGAUGUUCCCGGCAGUAGUGUUAUUAACUCGGGCCUCCUCAUCAGCAAUUGUGUCACCAAAUGAAAUCGUCGGGAGAGAUACCAGGGAGCUGGGCUCUGGCCUAUGAAGAAGGGAUUGAACGUGGGAUGGAGUGGGCAACGUCCCAUGGAAGGUAAAAGUUUUGCUUCGGAGAGUUGUUGGAAAGGCUGACGGAAGAGUAGGCUCAAGGUCCCUUCGAAGGAAGUGCUGGACGAUAGGCAACAAAGGAUUUGUGGUUUGAGAGGUAGAUGCCUUGUCCUGAGAAUUCACUGGUGUCACAGUAAGAGAUGACUCGACAAGGGCUGCCUCGGCCAGUGUCUUGAGUGUGCCGAAGAAAGAGGGCACAACGGGCACGAUUUCCAUGUUAUGAGUAACGUGCCCAACCUGAAAAUAUAUAUCUACAAGGGUAAGUAUGAGGUAGUUAGCAUGUUAUGUCACAUGUAUUAGCAAAAAGGCAAGAGAGAGACGACUGCCCAAUUAAGCAAAAGUAAAAAAAAAAAAAAAAAAAAAAAAAAAAGAUAAAAAAAAAUAUGAGUGGAGCAAACAGUAGGUACCUCCUGGGCAUUCUGUGCAUGGUCAACAAUGGCAGCAGCAAGGUUCGAGCUUUCAGCAAUUUCGGUAACCUGCAAGAUAAGGACGGACGGUGAAUAGGCCGUUUGCGGUGCAAGGAAUGGAAAGAGAGCAGGACGUGAGAUAUGCCAAGUAUCGGUUCAAUAUUAAUAUGGCGCACACUGCUAUCAGAAAAUCCAGAGAAAGUAUAGAAGCCACCACAUUCUUCUGGAUAGUCACCAGAGUGUACAAAUGCGUCCUUAUUGCGAUCAUAGUAGUUGUUCUCAUCAAAAUCCUCAUGCAUGUCAUCGGUAUCACGUACGUCCUCUUGUUCCGGAACACUAGCCUGAGUCUCAAUAGUAUCGCCAUCAUAACUGUCAUCAUCAAUAGUCACCCUAGCCCUCGGAUGCAGUAGGCUUUGAAGGCUGUGGACGUUCUGGGGGAGUUGCCUCUUUAGUUCGAGGAGGGCCACUCAACGCCACCUUUGGAAUGAACUUUCUAGGUUUACAGGCAGUUUGCUCUUUUCCUGCACUUUGCUUCUCCUCCCGCUUCUGUUUACUCGACACCAGUGUCGUAUCUUUUCCAGAACUGUGAGGACUCUGCUUUCCUAGCUUUGGUCUCAUUUUGGAAAAUUCUCCAACGAUGUCACCACUUUUGGAAAUAAAGGGUAGAUUGCGUUUUUGACUUAGAGGGAUGACUUUCUCUUCCGACACCAAACCUGCAAGGCGAGCCGUCGUAGGUGGCAACCUGUCGCCAGGAAAGGACUGGAAUUUACUAAAACAGGCAAGGCAGUGGUUCUAGUAGGCUUGGUAGCCUCGCAAGAAGCCAAUAAUUCUCCCCCUGCCAGCUAAAACAAGGGGCCCACCGCUGUUUGGUACAUUGUUAAUGCUCUAAAAGACCCUGUGCAGCGCAAAGAGGUGAUCAUGGUUAGGACUACUUGGAACCCCUUGAUCAAGCCCAAACUGUUGCCUGACCUGGUGUGGUGAGUAGGUCACAGAAAUCUCUGAGCGGUUGUCUCCAAGAGUAGGGUAUGGGAUAGGUGCAACAUUCAACAAAGCAUACUUUCUGAAGUGGCCACCAUGCGAUAUCGCUGCUGGAACCGCAACAGUAUCACCAACAUCAGCACAAAAAGGCCCAAAGGUGAAGGCCUCUGCCAAGGUGCCGUAAGGGCAGAAGAUGAAGUUUUCAAUAUUAUCCAAUAACUUUAAAAAGUUUUGGACUUUCUUCUGCAUCUGUUUAAACCACCUGCAAAAUAGGGGAAGAUCGUCCGGCAUGAAAGAACCCUUGCCCAAGUCAGCCGACUACAUAGCACGCGAAUAAGGAAGUGGAUAUAUAUCCAGCCUUUGAGAUGUUCCCACAGGAACACCUGCAAAAAACCAGAAUUCAAGAGAGUCUCCAUGCCCAUGGUUCCUGAUGCGCUUUUCUCCAAAAGCUGAGUCUGAUCAAGUAGUCGAUAUAGGUGUCCCAAGAACAUGGGGGCUAAGGGGAUCGUGUCGCCUCGAGCUAUGGCCAAGGCCAAGGAAAAUACUCCCUCAUGCAGGCAGUCCUGAGAAAAAUCACAAAUCACGAACCGCCCAAGCCACAGUGCUAUAAAUGUCGCCAACCGGCAAGGUCCCUAUCUGUCUGCAUCACCAAAAUAUUGUAUCCAAUUACUGAAUAUAAGCGAGGUGCUGGGAGAAGUCAGAGCACUUUUCCAUAAAACUGCAAGCUUGUCUAUUUCUUCCGAGGUAAGGGCGCUGUCAAAAGGACUCCAGUCGCCACAAACUAGGAGGCAAGAGAUAUUUGCCACGUCUUCAAGAGUGGGGGUAAAUUCGCCCCAUGAACAUAUAAAGGUGUGAGUAGCAGCGCUCCAUCUCCUGACCACAUGGCGAAACAUCUUUGCUUCGAUAUGAAUAUCCCACAACUUGGAAAGGAAGAUGGCAUCAAGCACCUGUGGCCUGCGCAAAAUGUUGUAAGUAGAUGGAUCUAGCAGCUCACGGUCAACCCACUAUGAUGCUACAGGGAUAUUGGAAGAAUAAGGGAACCGCUGGAAACAUGCCUUUCUCAAUGCAACACCUGGAUAUGGAGGCAGGUUCAAUUACGGGAGUAGUUUGAGGCGAUGGCUCAUCACCAACAAUAGGAUUCUCACGGGCUUCUUCAAGCAAAAGGGGCCCUCUUGCUUUAAGAUUGUCGUCCAUGGAAUAGAGAUGGUCCAUCAUGAUCGGUGGGACAUCAGUGGAUGCCAUGAUAAAACCCAUAAGGUUAUAGAUACCUGCAAAAAAAAAAAAAAAACUAUAGAGGAGGAAAGAACAAAAUACAUAAGUUUCGGCACCUUCACGACUACUGAAUGCACACACAUCUCUAUAACUUCAUGCCAAGGCCAUACUGGUAGAAGGACGAAAUCAACACCAUCAUACGAUUUCGUCCUACGAGAGGAAAUGGCUAUUCGACGCAAGUACGAAUGGAAGCCCAAACUACAGGAGUAAAUCAUUUAAGGGGACCAUGGAUUGACUACUCCUGGAUAAAAGCAGGGAUAUUCGACACAAUGCAUGCUUAUGCUUUUUCUACCAUGCUUUGACACUAUCUAAAGGUCUUGUGUUCAACCAGGACAAAUUGUCACUUUUUUUGGGAGGGGGGGAGGGGGGUGUGCUUAAAAUCCCUAAUCAGUGGUUCAUAUCUGAAAUUCAAGUAAGGGUACAAGAAAUUAAAUGAACAUGCAGCAAAAAGGAUUGAGAAAAAUACUCUGUUCGUGAAGGAUUCUCAGAAUAUAUAGGUGUGAAUACUCUCAUAUGUGCAUAUAUGCAUGUGUGCAUGCGUAUGCAUAAAUGUAUAUAGUGAUGAGAUGAAGAAACAAGAAAAGAAAUAAAAGAACGACGCUUACCACUGCCCUUGAUUACAUUUUGCCCAGUAGCUUGCCAAAAUCGAGAGAAGAAGGGAACUGCCAUGCACAUUGCUCUCCAAGAUUGCUUCACGCCUUGCGAGGUGACUUUGCCAGACUGGACCUUUGAUGAAUUGAAGGGGAAGUCCAAGAAAUUUGAGGGUUUUUAAGGGAGAACGGUGGCAACUCCCAGUGGUUACGAACGGUUUCUCUGCACCUAACCAACUAGCAGUUAUGGGUGGUGUCUCUCAGCGAUUCCUUGUUUCAAGGGUUCUCUAAGCAUGGAGGUGAGAAAGAACCAGCAAAAAUCGAAAAGGGGUAACCAGUUUUGGGUUCGCACGCAAAAAGGAAAGAGGUCAGAGACGAAAAGAAGAAAGAAAGAAAAUAAAAUAAAACAGAUUUGAUGGAAGCACUUACCUAGGGAACGUAAAAGACUGCUGGAAGAUAAGCAUGGCAGCACACACGCGGGAAAUUAGAAGGUCAUGUCACCAACGUGGAUUUGAUUUUUCGUUUUGGGCCAGGUUUGAUUAUUUGGGCCAUCUCAAUAUCUGCUCAUGGCCCCAAUAAUCAAGGGGGCUAAUGUUGGAGCCCAAAAAUCCAAGGGUUAGGCCCAGGUUUAUUCUUAAGCCAGCACAAAUAAUUAAUAGCAAAAUAGGCCCGAUCUGGGACAUAAGAGAAAUUGGAGGACACACCUACAUAAGCCAUAGGCCAUGUGUCAUGCCAAGCAAGCAUGUGCAAAAGGGCCAAAAUGCACCGGCUUUAUAAAUUCACACUCACCAACCUAAUUUGAUGCUACUUGGCCCGAUCAUGGCUUAUCGUGGCAUAAUAAAAUUCAAGCACAAGCAGGCUAAAUAAACACGCAGGGUCAUGUGAAAAAUCGUUAUUUUAAUACUGACCCAUGCUACAGGCUUAAGUGGGCCCAAGCCACGUAAUUAUCCGGGGCUUACUGAGAAGGUUGUGGUGUGGAUGGGUACAAACGCUCACAAGGCCCAUUGAGGGGUCAAGGAAUAGGAGUUUUGGGUUGCUUGGGAGCACCAAAACUCAAGCCCGUUUCUUGGGCCCAAGCACAUGGGCUAGCAUGAGAGAGAGAACAUGACCCAAUGCCUUAGAAAGAAUACAAUGGUCUGCUUAGAAAACCCUAUGUUAGUUAGAGCACCCAAAUACUUUGUUAAAAAUGCAGCAGGCAAACUACUUCCAGCAGCCUGAUGAAAACAAGCUCACUGGUCACUGUAGAAUAGAGUACCACUGACCCAAAACUUUGGGAAAAGCCCACCCCAGUGCCCUUCGAAAUAUCUAGCAGUGUGUUCAGCCUUUGCCCAAAGUUCUAUGAUAGAGUUAACGGAAGCCACUGUAAAAAACCAAAAGAAAUUCGUACGAGUAAGAGGGAUACUCGUUGGGCAAACGAUCUGUCCAUUCUCCCUUUCCUCUGUUAGCUCCCACAGGAAAACCAGGGAAGAAAGUGGGUGGCGCCUCACCCCUAUGGAGAAGUCCAGCUGCGUCAAACCCUUGGAACCCGAAAGGGCUCAUUACCCAUGCGCCUUAGAUAGGAAAAUUGCACCAAAUAGGAUCGAAUGGGAAGAAGCGAAGAGAAAGGAGGGAAGAGGCUAGAUAAAAUUAGGGGUUCCUUGUGCCUAUAAAAGGGAGCUUCCUCUACUCAGAAAAACAAUCAUCGAGAGCCUGACCAAGCUUUGUCAAGCAAUUGAGAAUUUACUCAAGCCACCCAAUCUUCUCUUUCCCUUUUUUUCUUCUUUCCCUAAGAUAGAAAUCUCCCUAAUUUUCUUCUACCCCAUUUUAAACCUUUGCUCUCUGUAAGAAACUCAUGCUUUUCUCUCUCUCAAAUUGCUAAACUUGUGAAAGCUUAGCUCCCAUGCCACAAACUCCUCAAGCCAAGUCACUCAACAAUUUGUUAUGCUUAUUUGGUUAUUGGUGAAAAGAGCCUAAGAGUGUUUUUCUAAGGUUUUCAUCAAACUCUUCAAAAACUCUUUUGGGAGCCUGAUUCUUGAACUCGGCCACUUGGGGAAUUUUUUUUUGCUCUCUUCUUACGGCAGCCCAUGCCCAUUCGUCAGGCUGCUAGAACAAAAAGACCCCUACAACGAUCAAAGCCAAACACCUCCUUCUCAAUUGUAAAUAUCAUAGCCUUCUCAUGACCCUUUAAUGUCGUCUCCAUAUAACGACAAAGGGCUUGCAAAGAAGAACGCAAGACUAGGUUUGAGUAAUUUGGUACUUGUUGUUCCUUCUCAAAAACGUCUAAGCACUUGGCUUUCUGCUUGAAGAAAUAAGGAAAGAUAUAUAAUACAUAAGGAAAGAUAUAUAAUACAUAAUUGAAAAAACUAGAGGAAACUACACAAACUUAAACGUCGUGGUAAUUGGGAUAAACAAACGAGGAAGAGACAAAAAUGACGUGUAAAUUGAAUAACCACGACGGUAAGUAAAAACUGUCAUCAUAUGUAUUAAUUACGUCGGUAUAAAACAGAACCCUAGAAAAUUAACAAUUGCCAAUAUCAACUUAAAAGCAUGGUUUAGCAGAAAUACAAAUAAGAUGAAUUGCAGAUAAAGAGAGGGAGAGAAAGAGAGAGUGGAACAGAAUGAGUGAAGAAAGAUUGAAAAAAAAAAAAUUGAAAAUACAACACUAUCUGAAUCCCCAAUACUGUCGUGGUAGUUAAAUUCCGACGACGGGUUCUUAAAAAAACAAACGUGGUUAUUAAAUUCCAACGACGGGUAAGUAAAAACCGUCUCUUAUGUAUUUAUUACGUCGGUAUAAAACAGAGCCCUCCAAAAUUAAGAAUUGCAAUUAUCAACUUAAAGAUUGAAAAAGAAGAAGAAAAUACGACACUAUCUAAAUCCCCCAUACCGCCGUGGUAUUUAAAUGACGACAUCUUAUUAAAAAAACAGACGUGGUAGGAUAUUUAAUACGUCGUUAACCAAAAAACGACGUCUUAUGGCAUAUCUAACUACUAUAGUGAACCACAGCGACGCAGAUGUAUUUCCAAAUAAGAAAGAAUUUCAAAUUUAAAAGAAGUUACAAUUUCAUCUUGUUUUUCUGCAUCCUUAGAUUUCUGUUUUAAGAAAUAAAGAAAGAUAGAUAAGACAGCUUGUACAAGAAUGAAAAAAUGCACAAACGUACCGACGUGGUAAGGGAAUACACACGACGGUUAAUAAUAGAAAACGACGUCUAAUUUAAAUUGAGACGACGGUAAAUAAAAGACGUCAUUGUUGGUUGUUUCUAACGUAUGUAAUUAUGGUAACAAUGUCUAAUUGGUUUUCAAAAGCAGUAUGCAAAGUUCAUAGAAGUUACCAUUUCUUGUUGCUUUUCUCCAUCUUUGGCAUUAUCAUUCUCAAAAUUGAGGGCUUUGACAUCAAGCGCCCUAGAGCAGCUUACUUUAUCUGACAUUAGAUUUUUGGGACUUUGCUAUGGACCUUGGAUAGUUGUCAGUUUUAGCACACUUGGAUCAAAAUUUGGAAUUAGUUGGCGCAACCGAUUCAGCAAAUUCUCCCUCUCAGCUUCUACCAAUUGAUUGGUUCUGGCCUCCAUCUUCAAAGUCUCUUAUCUUGAUCUAGCCUCCAUCUUCAAGGUCUCUUCUCUAAGGACAUCUCUUACACUUUCCUUUAAUUGAUCAACAAAUUUUACCCUCUGUUGUUUAGGUAAAUUGAAGUAUUGCCUAGUGGAAAUCCUAGCCCCAACACCUCUAACUCUCCCUGGAUGCUCGGGACCCAAAGCCAUAGUCAACACAUCAUUAUUUUCAGAGACAGUAAGAGUGCCUUCACUUACUUGUUUUUGCAAUUCAUCCUAAUUAACACAAAGACACAUUAAAGUCAAUAAAAACAUAAAGUUAGUUCCAUAUGCAAGCCUAAUUAAAAUUCCAAUGCAGUUUAAUACAAAUUUAAAAUAGAGUGAAGUGAAUUUAGGCUUACAAUUAAUUUUGCUUUCUCCGCAACCUUUGGAUCGGGGAUGAUACCGUGUUUGUCUUCUCUAGCUUUCUUCCACAAGGUAGAUCGAUCAAUUUCUACCCCUGGCAUGGUUUCUUCCAAAUCAUCCUCCAAACCAACAUAUCCUUUUCGAGACAAUUGAUUAUUGUACUCGCAUUUCUCUCUCCUCUGUGCUUGUUCAGCAUGGACAGACUCAAAUUGUUCAGAUAACCUUGAAGCUACAAAGGCAUCCCAAUCUGCUUUCUCUAUGAAUUUAUAUAAUUCAGGGGCUUGUCUUAACUUCUCUUUCUCAUUGAUGAAUGGAAGGAUAUGAUGCAUCGUUAGUGUAGACUUGAAAUCCUUCCAUUUCUUGCCAACAGAUGAUAACACCAUUUUUUUACCCCCUUGCCCUACCAAUAAGCCAUGUCAACGGCUUCCCAAAUCUACUCUUUUAUAUCCUUGGGGAUUUUAGUCAAUUUCUUGUCCACAAUUAGGACUCUGGACCAUGCCAACACACCAAUGUAGGACUGCAUCUUAGUAUGUGCAGGGCCAUAUGGUUUCCCCUUUUUGUUGUACUCAAUAACUAGCUUGAUUUUCUGCAAUUUUCUUUUCACAACACGGGGCAUUGUGUUUAUACCACGACUAGACUUUGGCUCCUCAGAAAAUGUUGUCGUGCUGCCUGGUUCUGUCUCAGCAGAUGAAACAAAUUUCAUGAUGGUAGUAAGAAAACGCCAUGGUUUUACAUUACAAUGACGUAAAAUAUUAAAUAUUGUCGUCUUAUUAAAAUGCAAUACAAAAUACAGAGCAGUGUUUCCAGACCUUUUGGUUCUUGUCUUUAUAUUUGAAAAAACAUAAAUUGAUUUUCACCAGGAAAAAAGUAAAACUAUUUUUCAACAAACGUUGUGGUUUUCAAUUACAACGACGUUAGUAAUAAAAUACCAUCGUCUUAUUAAUAUGAAAUUCAAAAACUGUUCCAAGACCGUUUGGUUUACUACUUCAAACACAAAAAAACAGGGUAGAUUUUGUCAUCGUGGUCAAUGACACUUUGUUCUUUGUCAGUAGAUUAUCCAAAAAGUAAAAUGAUUUUCGCAUGAACAGGAACAAAGAUGAGAUUAUAUGCAUAUGCAAAACAAGAACAAAGAUGAGAAAUGCUUACCUUUUGCUUGCAAUGAAAGCUUUCACUUGGAGUUGGGAGUAUCAGUUCAGAGACGAAGACGAAGAGGAGAGGAAGCCGAUGAGAUUCAGACACCGCGCUUUGGGAAGGAAAAAUGAGAAGAGCGUGAAAUUUUUUCUCGGGUUUGGAAACAGUAUAAGUGUAGGUCAGGAAAGGCGAAAAGUUUAAAAUAUUAACGAACCGUUUCAUAACACGACGCUAUUAAUAACAACUGCCCUAGUAAAUGGUUUUAUAUGGCGAUAAAUAUGUAGUUAACGCCAUGGUAAAGAAUAUUAAACGACACACACCUUUUCGACAUGGUUAGUUUAUCUUAUGCGUCAGUAACGUUAUAGAUGUCAUUGUAAUAUAUUUUAAAUAAUAAAUCGGUAAGUUUAUCUCUAACGACGUCUUUACUUUUUACGUCAGUUACUUAAUAGAUUCUGUCUUUGGUUUAUGGCUCUGAGUGUAAUGAUGAAAGCCUUUUCAACAAGACGACGCAUUUUAGUUAUUUGCGUCGUGGUUUCUCUGAAAAAACCGCCCUAGUAUGUCUUUACUACAUCGUUAAACUAAUAGAAACUGACGUGGUUAGUGAUUUUAUACAACUAGAGGGUUGGUACUUACCGACGUAGAUUACUUUUGUUAGACGUCGGUAAGUGUAAUAUAACCGACGUGGAUGUGAAGAUUUUUUUAAUAAAUUGGGUUUUUUUAACGCAUUCUUUCAGUUUCAGUUUUCAAUUAGGGUUCUAACUUCUUCUUGCCCUUGGCUUUGUCUCACCUCUUUGGAGGCAAUAGUUUGGAAGUUGAUGUGUGUGUGCGUUUAUGUAUCUGAAAGACACAAAUACACACACAUCAUCAACUUCUAAAAAAUUCUCUUUCUGAAUGCAAAUCUGUGGCUGUCGUUGUCAAUUUUUAGAAGCAAAUUUUUUGGAUGUUGAUGUGUGUGUGCCUUUGUGUAUCUUAAAGACACAAAGACACACACAUCAUCAAUGUCUAAAAUAUUAUCUUUCUCUCACAUUUUAGAGGCAAAUUGGUUGGAUUUUGAUGUGCUGCUGUCAUCAAAUUUUAGAGGCAAAUUUUUGGAUGUUGAUGUGUUUGUGCCUUUGUAUAUCUCAAAGACACAAAGACACACACAUCAUCGUCGUCUAAAAUAUUGUCUUUCUCUCACAUUGGUGGUCCAAUUAUGAUGAGGAACAGAGUUCCUUCUGGUAAGAUUUCAUAUCUCUUGGGAUCUCAGAAUAAUCUGAUUCUGUCGGCGGUUUUCUAUAUAAACCGUCGUGGUUAUUCUCAAUUCUUGUCAUUAUGUUAAUCUACCGUCGUAGGAUACCAAAAUCCAAGAAAUAAAUCAAAAAAUAAAAUUAAGAUUAAGACGACGGUUUAGAUAUAAGGUUAGCCGUAUAAAGUGAAUAAAUACGACGGUAAUUUUAACUUUAGAAAAUUUGGUAUAAGUCCAAUUCUUAUGAUAAAAUUUGGGUGCAAUGCACACAUUUGUUGUUAGUAAUUCAAGUCCUCUGAGUUUUGUGCCAUGUAGGAUUACUUACCUUCUUUUAAUUUCUAAGGUUUAUAUUUUCUUUUCUUAAUUUUUUAAUUUAUGUUGUGCUUCCAACUUUACCCCUAAGAUAGAAAUCAGAUAACCUAAAAGCUAGCAAAAUAUCAAAAAUCGCGUUAAACAAUCUUCAGACGCCAAGAAUAGAAAGAAUCGCAGAAAUCAUAUCUUCUGCAAUCAAUUAUGGCCCUGUCAAGCUGAUUUCUGCAGAUUUCAUGCUUCUUAAUUGUCAAGGGUUUUGGGUUGUAUUUUAGAGUUGAAUUUGUCUUUUGUCUUCUUCAAUUGCAGCAGGUGGAAUUUGCCUUCGUUUGGGGAUUCUCACCUUGCUUCUCCAUCAAUUGAAGGGUGCAUUUUUGCUCACCACUUUAACCCUAGGUGUACCCUCACCACCCCUCCCAAAAGUUGACACAUGUCCAUGGGUUUAACUAUAGUUAAUUCUUUAUUUGUUAUUUAUUUGAUGACAUUAUUAUGAGAGAGAAACAAUACUUCAAUAAGAUUUUUCCUGAUUUACUCUUAUUCUAACCUAGCAAACUUUCCACUUUUCUAAAUUAAUUAACAACAACCCAAAUAAAUAAUUGGCAAUUGACAGGCUUCAAUACUUUGAAGAACACGCCCAAAUACUUUGAAUCUCAAUUGGCUUUAUGUUAACUCCAUUUUUGCUCACCACUUUGUUUUGUCUCAUUUUGUUUACAAGAGACGGUUUUGACUGGCCUUUGUUUGAAACCUUUGUUUUGGUUGGAAGAGAAAUCUGGAAAAGAUGGUAACUUUUAGCUGCUUCUUUUGAGUGCUCGCUGAUUUACUUUUACAUAUGAUAUUGGUUUUAGUUGCAUUUGAACCCUUAUUUUUUGUUUCCUUAACGUUUCUACCAACAUUGGACUCGAAAAGUGGAAAGUGUCAAUUAUUUAUUUGGGUUGUUGUUAAUUAAUUUAGAAAAGUGGAAAGUUUGCUAGGUUAAAACAAGGGUAAAUCAGGAAAUUUUUUAUUGAAGUAUUGUUUCUCUCUCAUAAUAAUGUCAUCAAAUAAAUAAAAAAAUAAAGAAUUAACUAUAGUUAAACCCAUGGACAUGUGUCAACUUUUUGGAGAGAUGGUGAGGGUACACCUAGGGUUAAAGUGGUGAGCAAAAAUAGUGUCUAUGUUCCAGGUAUGUUGUAUAUUUACCUCUUUUGUAGGUGGAAGCCUUUGACGUUAACAAAAUUUGCUUCUUGAACGAAUUUGUAUAUGUAACUACUGCUUCCUGAACCAAUUUCUUUUUGUUUUCGUUUUCUAAUUGAGGACCCCAACCCAACUAUGUCUUUGACGAUAACUAAACCUGCUUCCUAAACGAAUUUCUAUAUGUAGUUCCACUCAAAUUAUAGCACCUACUUACUAACGAGUUUUCGUUCUGAUACAGAUUUUCUUAGUGACCAGUUUUCUUAGUUUUCUUAGUUUUCAUAGAACGAUUCUAACAAAAAUUGAUUCCUGUUUCAUGGUGGUUUUGGGGACAGAGUUCAACGUCACUAAUAUAGAAUGAUGGAAAUAGAGUUUGGUCCUCUACCUACACCAUAGGAAGAAGAUGAAGAAACCAAUUCAUCUUUGUACUCUGUUCCUUGUAUUCCACACAACGAAUUCGUUUUCUUUUCCUUUUAUAGCCCCCUCUUUUUCAAAGGUACUCUGUUCCUUGUAUGACAAUUUCAAUCACGCCAAAUACUACGAUGGGCCCGCUGUUGUUGAAGAAAUAGUGGUAGUUAUCAAGUAUAAGAUUAGCAAUAUUGAUAAAGUUAGAAGCACAAGCUUAUAACGAGCUUCUAAGCCCAUGGGGUAUUAUUUCUGUCCUUUUCCUGUUGUUGUUUGUCCUGUUUGAUCUGUAUUACAGUUCAGUAAGUCAGUCUACUUUGAUUUAUUAUUUUGCUGCUUUAGCAAUUUGGUUUAUGUAUCUGAUCUACGCUUGGCUCUUUUGUUACAUAAUUUAUUCUGUUCCUUUUAUUCCACACAACGAAUUCGUUUUCUUUUCCUUUUAUAGCCCCCUUCGUUUUCUUUUCCUUCUUUUUCAUUUUCUUGUCCUUUUUGUAUUGAGAUUGAGAGUUUACUUCAUAGUUAAUAUAUGACAUAAUUUCAUUAACAGAAUUAUUCUAACAAAAUUUCGUCCCUGUUUUGAUGCUGUAAAUAGGAAUUUUUUUUGCUAUUUUUUGUUCUGAAAUUUGUUUUGCUGGCUUAAUUGGAUGUUCUUUGCCUUCUUAAUUGUAUAUCAUCAUUUGCAGGUUCUUUAUGGCUAGGAAGGAGUAUCGCUCCCUCGAAUACAGGUUGGACCAUGGAACAUGAAUCAAGCGCGCCGCGUAACAUGAGCACGAGAGNNNNNNNNNNNNNNNNNNNNNNNNNNNNNNNNNNNNNNNNNNNNNNNNNNNNNNNNNNNNNNNNNNNNNNNNNNNNNNNNNNNNNNNNNNNNNNNNNNNNNNNNNNNNNNNNNNNNNNNNNNNNNNNNNNNNNNNNNNNNNNNNNNNNNNNNNNNNNNNNNNNNNNNNNNNNNNNNNNNNNNNNNNNNNNNNNNNNNNNNNNNNNNNNNNNNNNNNNNNNNNNNNNNNNNNNNNNNNNNNNNNNNNNNNNNNNNNNNNNNNNNNNNNNNNNNNNNNNNNNNNNNNNNNNNNNNNNNNNNNNNNNNNNNNNNNNNNNNNNNNNNNNNNNNNNNNNNNNNNNNNNNNNNNNNNNNNNNNNNNNNNNNNNNNNNNNNNNNNNNNNNNNNNNNNNNNNNNNNNNNNNNNNNNNNNNNNNNNNNNNNNNNNNNNNNNNNNNNNNNNNNNNNNNNNNNNNNNNNNNNNNNNNNNNNNNNNNNNNNNNNNNNNNNNNNNNNNNNNNNNNNNNNNNNNNNNNNNNNNNNNNNNNNNNNNNNNNNNNNNNNNNNNNNNNNNNNNNNNNNNNNNNNNNNNNNNNNNNNNNNNNNNNNNNNNNNNNNNNNNNNNNNNNNNNNNNNNNNNNNNNNNNNNNNNNNNNNNNNNNNNNNNNNNNNNNNNNNNNNNNNNNNNNNNNNNNNNNNNNNNNNNNNNNNNNNNNNNNNNNNNNNNNNNNNNNNNNNNNNNNNNNNNNNNNNNNNNNNNNNNNNNNNNNNNNNNNNNNNNNNNNNNNNNNNNNNNNNNNNNNNNNNNNNNNNNNNNNNNNNNNNNNNNNNNNNNNNNNNNNNNNNNNNNNNNNNNNNNNNNNNNNNNNNNNNNNNNNNNNNNNNNNNNNNNNNNNNNNNNNNNNNNNNNNNNNNNNNNNNNNNNNNNNNNNNNNNNNNNNNNNNNNNNNNNNNNNNNNNNNNNNNNNNNNNNNNNNNNNNNNNNNNNNNNNNNNNNNNNNNNNNNNNNNNNNNNAUCGUCUGAUCAUUAGGGAUUUGAUUUAUUAGGGUAAAUCAAAUUUCUAACUGUGGUAGGUAUCAAAUCAAAUCCUAAUUUAAUUAGGUAACUCCUCAUUUAAUUGGGAAUUGUGGUAGGAAUAAAAUCAAUUCUCAACCUAAUUAGGUAACGUUCAAUUUAAUUGGGUAAUCCCCAAUUAAAUUGAGUAACUCCCAAUUAGGUUGAUUAAUUCCCAAUUAGGUCAAAUAAUCCCCAAAUGGAAGGAACUAUUUGACCUAGGGUCUGAUUUAAUUCGGUUCCCACAGUUUCCUUUUUAAAAAUUUAAAAAUUGAUUUUGCAUGGCACUAGCUGUUGAUUUCUAUUUGUUUUUAAAUUAAGAAAAAAAAAACCCAAUAGUAUAAUAAUGGAGUUGUCUUUUAGGUCAGCUUUUUGCAGCAGCUAGGGCUCAUUUGGGCUCUAUGGCUCUAGGCUUUAGAGACCCAAAUGCAUCGCACUUGUGUCGACUUUUUGGGUCGUUAUCUAGUUAGAACACUUAUGCGCGAACGUUAUAUGAGAACCAAAUCCAACCAUCCAAAUUAUCUGAACGGCUAAAGAGAAAAAGCAAGCUUACGGUAAAAAAGAGUAGGCUGCAGUUCCCGUUAGCCCAAGUGUCAAGUCGGGCCUGUUUCGAAAAAACGCGCCUUUCUUCUUCCUGACAGUGGCCAGUCGCACCUUAAUUGUCAAUAAAUUUAUGAAUUUAUGAAUCAACCCUAAACACCCAAAAUACCUACCAGACAUAAAUUUGUGUAUUUCUCUUAUCGCAGAAACUCCCUGGUGUACUCUGUCUCUUUCGCUUCCUCCAUCAUCUAAUAUUUCUUAUUUGAACGUCUGAGAAGGUACGUUUCUCUCGAAUUCCCUCUCUUUCAUUCAUAUUAAAGUUUGCUUGUUAUAUUGCAUUCAGUUAAUGUUUAAAUCACUUAAUGUUUAAAUAAUGUUUAGGAUUUUAGGGCAUUAAUUUUCUGGGUAAGAGUAGUCUGUCUCUGGUGUAGGAUUUUAGGCUUUGAUUUUCUCGGUAAGAGUAGUCUGUCUUUGUAGUAGUUGUGUUUGCAAAAAUAUAAAUUGGCUUCAGUUGUUUUUUUGCGUCUUUUUCUAGUUUCAAGUAAUUUGUUGAAGCAUAGUAACUAAUUUUUAAAGUUUUUCUGCGGUUUAAAUAUUAUUUACUUUUUCCAAAAGUUGGGUUGUCUUUUUAUCGCAAUUUUUUGUGGUAAUUUGUUGAAGUGUAGAUUCACAGCUGUUGGUUGUUCCUUUAUUUUUUUUGCAUUGUGCUUGCUUGUUGUCUUUUCUUAAAAUUCCAGGAACCUUCAUGUGUUGGUCAUUGUAAUCCUGCUUUGCCCAUCUAGUGGUGUGAGUGUAUGGCAUCAUUUUAGGGAUUUAAUGGGGUUUGAAAAAUAAGGAAUAAGUACCAUUAGAAGUAGAACGCAGAAGAGAAAAUUGAAUCUUAACAGUGAAUAUGAGAUGAUUUGGGAUGCAGAAGGAUCAAUGCAUCUUGUAGUAGGUAUCAAUUCUGUAUGUUAAUGUGUUGAAAAUAGUGUUGGUAGGUAUCAGUUCUGUAUGUGAAUAUGUUGAAAAUAGUGUUUGCCGGUGAAAAUUAUACAUCUUAAUGAGUUGAAAAUAGUGCAUCAGUUUUGCAUCUUAAUAUGUUGAAAAUAGUGUUAGUAGGCAUCCAUUAUGUAUCUGAAUAUUUGAAAAUAGUAUUUGUAGGUAUUAAUUAUGUAUGUUAAUGAGUUGAAAAAAAUGUAUUUGUUUGCAUCUUAAUAUGUUGAAAAUAGUGUUAGUAGGUAUCCAUUAUGUAUGUGAAUGUGUUGAAAAUAGUGUUUUGUUGUUAAAAUGUUAACUCGCAAUUGUACGGGCCAAUUAGUAGUAUAGCAAGACAAGUACGAGGUCGUACCCACGAGGACUGAGAAGUUAAAAUUAGUUAUGUACUUAGAUUACCAAAUUCAAGAAAGUAGGAGGUUAAGUCUAAAAUAGAAUUUAAAGCAAGAGUGAUUGUAAUUGUUGAACAAAUGAGGCAAAACGAAAUUUCAAACAAAAGCAAAGUGAACAAAUGUAACAAAGAGUACUUUUGUAGGCUGGAAAACAGAUUGGGAGACUAGGGCAUUCGAUUCACCAUAAAAAUUCAAUUCUGGGUUAUAAGGAGUCAAGUGACAAGUCUCAUUCGAAUUCAAAGAUUGAUUCUAGCUAAAGUAUGAUUAGGCCAUGGUGUUUGGUCCUAACCCUGUGCUCCUAAUUCCCUAACUUGAUCAUUUGUUGUCUAAUCUAAAUUAAGCAUUAGGAACCCAUUAAGCAUAGAAGAACAAUUUAAACAACCAAGCAUGUAUCUAAUCCCUGUUGUCGAAUGUCCAUACAUACUUUUCUUAUUCAUAGUUCAAUUCAAAUCAAAGCAUGGUGUCUACUCUUGAUUCAAACCAAGGUAGCUAAUAUACAAGUUCUAAUGGUGAUCAAUCAUCCAAACAAGCAUAUUAACUGAUAAGCAUAAAGAAUAGGAAUAUGAAUCAUGAAUCAAACUUGAAACUCAAAACUUCAACUUAUAAACCCAGAAUAUUCAUGUUAGGUUACAUCAUAGCCCUAGUUAUGAAUUUAGCUACUCAUAAUGGAAAUGGAACUUAAGCAAAAAUGAGAAAACAUAUUGAAUGCAAUAAGAGUAGAGAAACCCAAUUCUGAAGUUGCUUGUGGUUUCCAAGGCUUCUCCAGGUGCUUCUCCACAUCUAAUGCUACUCCAAGAACUUUCUCAUGUCUAGAGUAUGGCAACUAAAGAGGUGAUUUGGGAUGAGUUUGGGUGGUUGGUGAUGGCAGAGAAAGAACAAAUUCGUAGGAAAUGGAAGGAAGGCUUGUUGGAGUUGUUCCUAGGACAGCUCCAAGGUCCCUUGACAGCUCCAAGCUCCCUUCUCUCUUUGUGGUGAAUCUGAAUGUGUGUAUGAGAGUAAUGGAUGAAGUGAAUGUGUGUGUCUACCCUCCUUUCUUGAAUGAGUGUGCAACUCUCUAUUUAUAGAGUGCAAUUUCGUGCUCCCCUUUGGCUGGUGAAACACACCUCUCUUAGCUGCUCCCAAUUGCCUAAGCUGCCCAAUAAAUGCCAACUCUUCCAGCUGCCCAAUAAAUGCUUUGGUGGAAUUUUCUUGGUUUCUUUAUGGAAAGCUUGACUUUUAUUCAUCUUUUUGACUUCCCAUACUGAUUUGUCUCCCAUGUGUAGCCUACCAGAAUUCCUGGCAAAUGGUCCUUGAUUUGUGCAGACAAGAUCCCCAUAAUUAAGCAUGCCAUGUUUUGCUCCUUUAUGACUUCCAUAGCUGAAAUGCCUCCCUAAUUUGUUCAACAUGUCAGGUCCAAAGUCAAAUAAUGCUCAAGUGAGGCACAUGGCUCAAGGGAGGUGUGGAGCACAAGGCUCACCAGUUGGCAGCUACAUAUUAAAAUCCUCCUAGAGCAUGGUUCAGUGUUUGACAGGCUAAGGACUCUAGCUAUCAUUAAUUGGGCUGAUAUGUGGAUAUGUUAUACUAGACACCUAUUGGAACAACUUCUGUGAAGCAUGUCUCCUCAUCCAAGCAGUGUAGGUUGCUGAAAUGAGGCCUGCAAGAUGACCCACGAAUUUGGACUGACAAGGAGUGUGGCCCAAAUUGGUUCUGUCAUUAAGCUCAUAUUCCUCUUGUGCCAAUCAACCCUUAACAUGCAUGAAUUGUAUCAAAUGUGAUCCCCUUGCUGUCCUAACCUACAAAACACACAAACAUAGGUAAGAGACUCAAAAUAAAAAGAAACUAAACAAAAUUACUAAGCAAAGAAGGCAUGCAAAUGUGUGAAAUUAUGACCUUAUCAUACCCCCAGACCUAGAUUUUGCUAGUCCUCGAGCAAAACAAAAGAGAAUAAAGUUGAAAACAAAACAAGAAGUUAACUAAACCACUUCUGUAGGUAACUUGAUUGCAAUGUGCAUAUGCAACAAGUCUUUAAACCUCUCGGCAUCCCUAAUCGGAAGAGUUGUGUCUCCUGAGGGUUUAACAGAAACGAUACCCACAAACGCUUUACUGACUCUCUAACACCAAAAGGUUAGAAAACUAACUUUGAAAACAACUAAUGAAAGAAAACUUUAAUCAUGCAUCCAACACCAUAGAGUUACCAAGAUAGAUGAUCAAUAAGUGUGUAAAUUGGAAGCUAUAGCUCAAAGGCACACGGCUUCAAAGUAAACAGACUCAAAUCUUGAAGGAAGAACAUGCUUCAACUCUAAUUCUCACAUCUAGCACUCAAUCACUCAGAACCUAUGGUUUUAUUCUCUCAAACAAGCAUAAGUGAGUAUAUGAAAUACAAGCACAAUAUUUGGUUAGAUCUCAUGAAGGGAAUCAAAUACUAAGAGUAGAGAUACACACAUACAUACCAGCACCCAUGAAUACAUCCUCAAAGAUCAGCUAGGUCUUUCACAAGGUUGUAAUGAAAGGCUAAGGUUAAGGGAAGUGGAAGAAUUGGAAGGAACACAACUAACUUAAGAACAUACCAAGGUUGCAUUCUUCAUUGAUCUGCAAGGUAUCAUUGAUUUAGAAUGGUAUGGCUGCAACUUCAUAGCAUCAUCUGGCAUAGACUUUAUAUUUCACAUUUAGAUCAAAUCGAAACACUUUCUCUUUAUCUUUCUUUUUUUCUUUUUUUUUUGACUUGAUCUACUUCUUCUUUAACUUUAUUGCAUAGAUUCACACCAAUUUACAUUUGGGCAUGUGGCAGCAACCUCCUUGCUUCAAACUUUAUCUUCGCACACCUUGGUAUAUUUCUAAGCUAUAGGGUAUGGCUAUAAUAGGUUAAAUAUCUCUGAUUGAGAUACAAAGUUAGGGGAAUUAUGAGGGUGAUAGAAGAAAAAGGCUUGUAGUGUUUGGCUGCAAGAGAGCUGAUGGAACACACGAAUGGGUAGGGUGAAAAGAAAGCACAGAAAAUGGUUAUACACGCAGAGCCUAGCAUCACUUCAAUGAGUUCAUUCAUGGGUGAGAGCACGCACCUGAUAUCUGCAAAGAGAAUCAUCCUUAGUAUUCAAUCAAAAUGGAACAAUGAGAUCAUUUAGAGUGAAUUGAAGAAAAUAAGUAGAGAUGAGGAAUAGAAACACUUUAAACCCUCUCAAGAAAGCAAUUAGGCUCGAAAUAGCUCACUAGGGUAGUCUCCACUAUUCUCCUUCAAGAAUCUGAGCAUGAUACUUUAGUCACCAGAAUUCUAAGAGCAAAAGCUUUGUGAAGUGUAAAAUUUCUGAUAUGAAAAUCUCAAUGGCAGCUCCAUAGCAUUGGUUGUAUGAAAUUUUUUUUAUAAAAAAAAAAAUAGUGACAAGCGAACGAAAAUUGUAAACACAAAUGAACAAAAAUUGAAAACCUCCCCCCCAGACCUGAAUUGAACAUUGUCCUCAAUGUUAAAGCAUAACAAAGAUGAGUGAGAACAUGUGAAUAAUAAGGGGAAAGUUUAAGACAAAGUAUUAGAGAAACUCCCUCUUGAUGCGAUUAGGUCGACCGCUACCGAGCACCUUAUUCUUCAACACAUGGGUUGCCUCCCAAGAAGCGCCUUAGUUAAUGUCUUGGCAAGACAUUAUGCCAUUAGCUAACUUGAUUGUACGAAGGGAAGAUGAUCCACCACAUGACCAGUUUGAAUUCCAACUGACACUCCCUCAUAGAAUGGCUUUAAACGUUGUCCAUUUACUUUGAAAGUCGAGCCAUCUUUAGGAUUUUGAAUCUCCACAGCUCCAUAGGGAGAUACAUUGACCACGGUGAAUGGGCCAAGCCACCUAGACUUCAAUUUUCCUGGAAAGAGACGCAAACGUGAGUUAAACAAAAGAACUGACAUACCUUUGGUGAAUUCUUUCCGUUGAAUGUUCCUGUCAUGGUAACUCUUGGUACGUUCUUUGUAUAGCUUUGCAUUCUCAUAGGACUCAUAUCGAAUUUCUUCCAAUUCAUUGAGCUGAAACUUUCUAACAUGGCCGGCCUUGUCCAGAUCAAAAUUCAACUUCUUGAUGGCCCAAAAAGCAUUGUGUUCAAGCUCCAUUGGCAAGUGACAGGCUUUUCCAAACACAAGACGAUAAGGGCUCAUUCCGAUGGGAGUCUUAUAUGCAGUCCUAUAAGCCCAUAAUGCAUCAUUGAGCUUGGCAGCCCAAUCUUUCCUUGUACUAUUCACCACUUUCUCUAGGAUCUGCUUAAUUUCUCUGUUGCUUAUUUCUACUUGACUAGAAGUUUGAGGAUGAUAUGGUGUAGAGACUCGGUGGGUGAUAUUGUACUUCUUCAUGAGUGCUUCAAAUAGCUUGUUGCAGAAGUGGCUGCCUCCAUCACUAAUGACAGCCCUUGGAGUACCAAACCUUGUGAAAAUAUUGUCCCUCAAGAACUUCAGGACCACCUUAUGAUCAUUGGUUUUGGUGGCUAUGGCUUUCACCCAUUUAGACACAUAAUCAACAGCAACAAGUAUGUAGGUAUAACCAAAGGAAGAUGGGAAUGGUCCCAUGAAAUCAAUACCCCAUACAUCGAAGAGUUCCACAAAGAGUAUGUUCUUCAAUGGCAGUUCGUUCCUGCGGCUUAUGUUUCCCAUCCUUUGACACCUAUCACACUUAACACAAAAAUUAAAUGCAUCUUUGAAUAGAGUAGGCCAAAAGAAACCUGAUUGCAAAAUUUUAAGUGCUGUUUUCUUGGCUCCAAAGUGGCCUCCACAAGCCAAUUCGUGGCUAUGCCUAAGGAUGCUUUCUUGUUCUUCUUCUGGAACACAUCUUCUAAUGAGUUGAUCUGGGCAAUGCUUGAAUAAGAAAGGUUCAUCCCAGACAUAAUGUUUCACCAUGGAAAAGAACUUCUUUUUGUCCUGAUAAGUUAGAUCAUUUCUAAGAACACCACAAGCAAGAUAAUUAACAAAAUCAGCAUACCAUGGCUCUUUGACUUGGGCAACAUAUAGUUGUUCAUCUGGGAAAGUCUCAUUCAAUGGUAGUACAGCUUCUCCUUGCUCUUCAACCACAAUUCUGCUCAAAUGGUCAGCCACCACAUUUUCACAUCCCUUCUUGUCUCGAAUCUCCAAAUCGAACUCUUGCAGCAAGAGAAUCCAUCUGAUCAAGCGAGGUUUGGCGUCCUUCUUAGCGAGCAAGUAUCUAAGAGCAGCAUGGUAAGAAUAAACAAUUACUUUAGAACCAACAAGGUAAGGGCGAAAUUUUUCUAAAGCAAAAACCACAGCAAGCAACUCCUUUUCGGUUGUGGAGUAAUUGAGUUGGGCAUUAUUCAAGGUCCGGCUCGCAUAAUGAAUCACAUGGGGAAGCUUGUUCUUCUUUUGACCUAAAACUGCACCAAUAGCAAAGUCAGAGGCAUCACACAUUAUUUCAAAUGGUAAAGACCAAUCUGGAGCUAUGAUAAUAGGGGCUGAAGUUAGCUCUUUCUUCAAAGUCGUAAAGGCUUCCAUGCAAAUCUCGUCAAACUCAAAAACAGCAUCCUUAGCAAGGAGAUUACACAAUGGUCUUGAAAUGCUUGAAAAAAAUUUUAUGAACCUUCUAUAGAAUCCGGCAUGGCCCAGAAAGCUUCUAACUCCUUUAACAGAGGAAGGGGGUGGUAGAUUUGUGAUGAUAUUUAUCUUGGCUUGUCCACUUGAAUUCCCUUGUUUGAAACAACAUGGCCUAGCACAAUUCCUUGUCUUACCAUGAAGUGACACUUCUCCCAAUUCAAAAUCAGAUUUGUUUCCUGACAUCUUGUAAGCACUAGAGACAAGUGGUGAAGACAAUCAUCAAAAGAUGAACCAAAAACUGAAAAAUCAUCCAUAAAUACCUCCAUGAAUCGUUCCACCAUAUCAGAAAAGAUUGCCAUCAUGCAUCUUUGGAAAGUUGCUGGAGCAUUGCACAAACCAAAUGGCAUCCUUCUAUAAGCAAAUGUACCAAAUGGGCAUGUGAACGUGGUUUUCUCCUGGUCUUCCGGAGCAAUGGGAAUUUGAUUAUAACCUGAAAAUCCAUCAAGAAAACAGUAGUAAGCAUGGCCAGAUAAACGGUCAAGCAUUUGAUCAAUAAAAGGCAAGGGAAAAUGAUCUUUUCUCGUGGAUGUGUUCAACUUCCUGUAAUCAAUGCAAACUCUCCAACCAGUGAUAGUGUGUGUUGGAACUAGCUCAUUCUUCUCAUUCUUUACAACGGUGAUUCCGGACUUCUUUGGAACCACUUGCACAGGACUCACCCACUUAGAAUCUGAAAUUGGGUAGAUGAUUCCCACAUCAAGUAGCUUUAAAACUUCAGCCCUAACCACCUCUUUCAUAUUGGGAUUUAGCCUCCUUUGUGCAUCACGAGAUGGUUUGCUGUCUUCUUCCAUUAAAAUUCGGUGCAUGCACAUGCUUGGACUAAUUCCUUUGAUGUCUGCUAUGGUCCAUCCAAGGGCUGUUUCAUGUUCUUUCAGAACUUCAAUUAACCUGUCCUCUUCAUGUGAAGUGAGACUUGCAGCAAUUAUAACAGGGAGAGUUUCAUUAGCACCCAAAUAAGUAUAUUUAAGAUGAUUGGGUAGAGGUUUAAGUUCUAGCUUUGGUGGGGUGAUAAUGGAUGGCUCCAAUUUUGUGGAGGAUGACACAAGAGGCUCAAGUGGUGGCCUAAAGGAUGGUGGGUAUGGCUGAAACACUUCUAAGGCAGCCAUCACUUCUUGGAACUCUGAUUCAAAGAGAUCUUCCUCUUCUUGUGUUAGGACCGCUUCCAAAGCAUCAUUAGACUUUUUCUGCACAAUUUUAGAAGAAACCUCAUGAUCCACAACAUCAAUUGAAAAACAAGUAUCAAGAGUGAUAGAAGGUUGAGACAGAGCAUCAAACACUUUAAAUUCAACAGUUUCACCCAAAACAGUCAUGGAGAGGGUGCCAUCUUUCACUUUGAUGAUUGUGUCUGCAGUGGCCAUGAAUGGUCGCCCGAGGAGAAUGGGAUCAACACGGUCUUCAUAUGGGNNNNNNNNNNNNNNNNNNNNNNNNNNNNNNNNNNNNNNNNNNNNNNNNNNNNNNNNNNNNNNNNNNNNNNNNNNNNNNNNNNNNNNNNNNNNNNNNNNNNGAAUGAGUGUAUUAACUUGAACUAAAAUAUCUUCUACAAUACCUUUUGGAUAUUUGAUAGAAUGAUCAGCUAGUUCAAGACGAAUUGAGGUUUUCUUUAUCCCUUCUAAGCCAAGCGCCUGAUAAACUGAAUAUGGCAUUACAUUGAUGCUUGCUCCCAAGUCCAACAUGGCUCUUCCAACCGUCUUAUCUCCGAUGUUAAUGGGAAUGUUAAAGCUGCCAGGAUCUUCUAGUUUUGGUGGAAGCUUCCUUUGCAACACAGCACUCACAUUCUUGUUGAGCUUUACUUCUUCACUUGGAGUAAAAUUGAGCUUGUGAGUCAUCAAGUGCUUGAUGAACUUUCCAUAUGCAGGAAUCUGUUUAAAAACAUCAAGCAAGGGCAAAUUGAUAUUAACUUUACUCAAAAUAUCAUAAAUCUCUUUAAAAGCCUUAUCUUGAUUUGCUUUCUUCAAUCGGCCUGGAAAUGGAAUCGGUGGAAUAUAUGGAGGAGGUGGGAUGUAUCUAUCUUGAUGAAGAUGUGAUGGCACAAAUUUGUCAUCUCUUUUAUGCAAUUGAAAUGGAUUGGGUUCCUGAGAAUCAGAUUUGGCCUUAGGAGUAGAUUGGGACGUUUUGGGUUGUUCUCCUUCCAUAGCUGUGGUUUCUUCUUCAUCUUCAUCCUCUACAACCACAACAUCAUUUGAUAGAUCAGAACCAACUUUGUUAUCAACAAUCUUACCUGAUCUGAGCACAUGAACGGCCUUGGCUUCUUGGUUUUUUUGGAUUGAUCACGGUUUGACUUGGCCAUUUCCCAGGUUCUCUUUGAGCUAUUUCAGUAGCUAUCUGGCCCAAUUGGACUUCCAACUUGGAGAUGGCAGCUUGUGUUGUUUGCUGGAAAUUGUUUUGGUUGAUUGCCAUUUGCUUCACUAAAUCCUCCAACGAUGAUGAUUGUUGUGGCCUUUGGAGUGAAGGGGGAUUCGCUUGAUUCUGUGUAUUCCUCCAUGAAAAGUUUGGAUGAUUCCUCCAACCUGGAUUAUAUCUUUGAGAAUAUGGGUCAUUUAUUGGACCUCGGUUGUAGGAAUUCACCAACUUAGCUUGCUCUUGCACAAAUUCUGGAUAUGCAGCCCCAAAGGGACAAGAAAUGGUAGGAUGAUCAUGAGUUUCACAGAUGCUACACACUUCCUUCAAAGGGUCUUGAGUUCAAUGCAAGGAGGGCAUCUAGCUUUUGUUCCAAUUUGGAAAUCUGUACACUAGAAGAAUCAUUAGAACCACCAGCAAUACGUUUACCUCUUGUAUCGGUGUGUUGGGUCUCCAUUGCUAUCUCCUCAAAGAGUUCAUAUGUUUCUUCUGGAGUUUUAGUCUUAUAAGAACCACCUGCAAAAUUAGUGACAAUAUUAUGGCUAGAGGGGGUUAGUCCUUUAUAAAACAUACGCAUCUGAAGCUUCAAUGGAAUCCCAUGAUGAGGGCAUUGAUUGAGCAGCCCGUUGAAUCUCUCCCAUGCUUCACAAAACGACUCAUCAUCUUGUUGUGCAAAUAGAAAGAUCUUGUCCCUAAGCAUGUCGGUUUUUUGCGUGGAGAAAUAUUUCUCCAAGAACUUCUUUUGAAUGGCUCCCCAAGUCAUGAGUGAACCAGGCUUCAAAGAAUUCAACCAAUAUUUCGCCUUAUCUUUCAAAGUGUAAGGAAACACUCUCAUUCGAAGUUGCUCUUCCGUCACACCUGUCAAGGGAAAAGAGCUCACAACAUUAAAAAUAUCCUUUAUAUGAGUUAAUGGAUCUUCAUUAGGUAAACCAUAAAAAGAAAGGAGCAUAUUAAGAUGAGAAGAUUUAAGCUCACAGUUUCGAGCUGCGGUGGGCAGCAAGAUGCUUGAAGGGGAUGCUGGAAUUGUUGGGAUAUCAAGGUCUCCCAUGAACUCAUUGGCAGCCAUCUCUUCUUCUUCUUGGUCUGAACUUGAUUCCGAAUUUGAAGGUGAAGACCCUGGGAGGUCAGUGUGGAUAGCAAGACCUUCACUUGUUCAAGGAAAGGAUUACUAGACAUAAACUACCUGAAACAGAAAAUAAUUUGAGUUAAUUAAUACUUCUAAAAGAAUGGGGUAACCUUGGGCACAUAACCAGGGAAGAACUUUCAUUCAGUCCCCGGCAACGGCGCCAAAAUUAGUUGUUAAAAUGUUAACUCGCAAUUGUACGGGCCAAUUAGUAGUAUAGCAAGACAAGUACGAGGUCGUACCAACGAGGACUGAGAAGUUAAAAUUAGUUAUGUACUUAGAUUACCAAAUUCAAGAAAGUAGGAGGUUAAGUCUAAAAUAGAAUUUAAAGCAAGAGUGAUUGUAAUUGUUGAACAAAUGAGGCAAAACGAAAUUUCAAACAAAAGCAAAGUGAACAAAUGUAAGAAAGAGUACUUUUGUAGGCUGAAAAACAGAUUGGGAGACUAGGGCAUUCGAUUCACCAUAACAAUUCAAUUCUGGGUUAUAAGGAGUCAAGUGACAAGUCUCAUUCGGAUUCAAAGAUUGAUUCUAGCUAAAGUAUGAUUAGGCCAUGGUGUCUGGUCCUAACCUUGUGCUCCUAAUUCCCUAACUUGAUCAUUUGUUGUCUAAUUUAAAUUAAGCAUUAGGAACCCAUUAAGCAUAGAAGAACAAUUUAAACAACCAAGCAUGUAUCUAAUCCCUGUUGUCGAAUGUCCAUACACACUUUUCUUAUUCAUAGUUCAAUUCAAAUCAAAGCAUGGUGUCUACUCUUGAUUCAAACCAAGGUAGCUAAUAUACAAGUUCUAAUGGUGAUCAAUCAUCCAAACAAGCAUAUUAACUGAUAAGCAUAAAGAAUAGGAAUAUGAAUCAUGAAUCAAACUUCAAACUCAAAACUUCAACUUAUAAACCCAGAAUAUUCAUGUUAGGUUACAUCAUAGCCCUAGUUAUGAAUUUAGCUACUCAUAAUGGAAAUGGAACUUAAGCAAAAAUGAGAACACAUAUUGAAUGCAAUAAGAGUAGAGAAACCCAAUUCUGAAGUUGCUUGUGGUUUCCAAGGCUUCUCCAGGUGCUUCUCCACGUCUAAUGCUACUCCAAGCACUUUCUCAUGUCUAGAGUAUGGCAACUAAAGAGGUGAUUUGGGAUGAGUUUGGGUGGUUGGUGAUGGCAGAGAAAGAACAAAUUCGUAGGAAAUGGAAGGAAGCACUUUCUCAUGUCUAGAGUAUGGCAACUAAAGAGGUGAUUUGGGAUGAGUUUGGGUGGUUGGUGAUGGCAGAGAAAGAAUGACUCCUUUGCACUUGAGUAGCUGACACACCUCCCUAAAUUGCUCAACAUGUCUGGUCUAAAGUCAAGGAAAGCUGUGGUGAGUCACAUGGCUCAAAGAAAGUAUCCAAUUGCACUUGAGUAGCUGACACACCUCCCUAAAUUGCUCAACAUGUCAGGUCUAAAGUCAAGGAAAGCUGUGGUGAGUCACAUGGCUCAAAGAAAGUAUCCAAGGCUCAACAACUGAAAACUACAAUCCUAAGCCUGGUGUGUAUAUGGGCUCACGAAUUAGGCUCAACUUCAUUAUCUGAUGCAUUUGAGUAGUCCAUCUUGAAGUUCAGACUCUCAUCUUUCCAACUACAUAUUAUUUGGGCCAAUCCAAGUUCGGAGAAAGAUGUUAAGGCCGAAAUGAGUUGCCAACCCCGUCUGCUCGUUUUUGCACCAUUUUGCAUCUUUUCUUAUCCAAAGACACCAUUGCUACCUAAGGCCCAAUGAACUGAAUGAUAAACAGAAAAGGGAUUAAAAGCACACGUUUGACUCAAUAACAUAACCAAAUCAUAAGCUAGAAGGGUACAAAAUGAUAUACAAUUGUGAACUGAUCAAAGCUGACAUAUUUAAGAAAUAUUUAGAUGCCAACAACCCUAUGUAAGUUUUGUAUGAAGUUAUCAAUUUUAUUUUUAAAGUCAUCCUCUUGUAUGUUUGUUUCUUUGUUUCUGAUCCUAUGAUUUGUCAUCUGUGUUGCUUUUCUGUCAUCAUAGGGAUGCCUUCUGGCAUGGCGUGCGUUCUGCGGUGUAUCGCAAAGAUGCACUACGACUCUUGAAUGAGGAAGCAGUGAGUAUACAGGUAAUUAUAUCUGCACAUGUAAAAUAUGUAUUUUUUUGCUUUAUAUGUACAGUGAAUAAUUUGAGGAUAUGUACUGAUUUUAAAGCAGGUAUAAAUAUUCAUUUGUGCUAUGGCCCUUGUAGGUAAUGGAUUCAUUCUUAGAGAUUCUUACUAUUGAUCAAAUGGCUGUACCGAGGGGCCAAUUGAAGUCAUGUUUUCUGCCAACAUUUGGUUCGGUAUGUUCAAUUACUAACUCAUUCUCUUCGUUUCCUACAUAAUAUUUGAAAGUGGUACCAGUAGCACAUGUUUUUUUACCUGUGAGCAGAUAUAUAUCUAUGUCCAUUACCUAUUAAUCUCGUUUAUUUCUGUUACCUUCCUGGUUCCUUGCAUUGUUUUAAAAAAAAUUUAUUUCUUUGUUACCUUGCUUGUACCAUAUGUUGUAUGAGUGGUAUUUUCAAUGAUUUUUGUACCAUAGGGUAUGUUUUUUGUAAGGUCUAUGAAAUAUAGGCGUUUUGGGUCUUCUUUGCAGGCUAUGGAUUGAUUAUUAUCUAAUCUUCUUCAUUUCCUAGGAACUUAUGAAAUGUAGGGACGAAGUUGGAAAAGUUGCCAUGUAUGUUGAAGUGGUUUUGAAGAAUUUGCAAGAGAACGAUUUACUGUUUAUUCCAAUUAUUCAUGUCAAAGAGGAACAUUUUACAUUGUUAGUCUUGAACAAACAAAGUGGCUGUGGGACUACUACAAUAAUUUACAACCAAAUGAUAGCACAACUACUGACCCUUACUUGGAUGAUGCAUUAAAAUUAGUAAGUACCUCUUACCAGAUGCUCCUUCACUUAUAUACAGUUACUACUUUGAAAUAUAGUAACAACAACAUUUGUCACAUUGUAGCAAGCUAAAAUUACCAACCACUUUCAGUUCACCAAAAGUAGUGUUCAUACAAUUUCGCAAAAAAAUGAAAUAUGGAAACAUGUUAUGAGGAGGGGUGAAGUCGUAACAUAAUAGUGCAACCUUAAACAAGAUGAUCGGGAAAUGCUUACAUGGUUGACAGAGAAUUGUGUUGAUUAUCCUAUGAAGUCAAAUACAGAAUGCCCACAACAAAAUCCUCUCGGGUUUGUGAAUAGUUUUUGGGAUUUUGGAGUUGUUACAUUAUAAAGAUUGUUCUUUCAAACUGCUUGCUUUAACAUGUUGUAGUGCUGAUGCUGGGGUUGCUGUGAUGUACAUGAUCAAAACGCUAUCUGAAGGAAAGGCAUUGGAGAACGUAUUCCCUAUUGGAGCAAUGAAGAAUAUGAGAGUACAUGUGCUUGGGAAGUUCAUAAACGAUGAAGAUGGAUGUUGGGAUGCAUACAGAAUAAACUAGAUUGCUUUCUGUUUUAAUGGUGUUUUUCAUUUAUUAGUGUUUUCCAUUUAAUGGAUGUUGGGAUGCGUACUAUAUUUUCUCAUGUUUGAUCAUUUUUAAUGAUUUUCAUUUUCAUUUGUUGGAGAAUGGAGAAUGUUUUUGUUGGAUUUUGCCAUUAUAUAUUGGAGAAUGUUUGUUCAUAUAUUGACAGACUUAAUCUGUUCAUUUGCACGAUGUCCAACAAUUAUAAUCUCACUCUUGUUCUGGGUACAACCUAUCGUAUAGGUAAGCUCCUGUCGUAUAGGUAAUUGCAGGUACCUAUGUCACAGGUAUAAGCCAAACUUCAAACCUAUCAUAUAGGUAAGCUCUUGUCGCAGGUACGUAUAGGUAAUCGCAGGUAAAGAGAAUAUCACUCCGGUUCAUCCCCGGAAAUCAGUUGAUUUCCCCAAAUCAGACUUGACAGAUUCUUCCUCCCAAGAUCAACGACAUAUUAGCUAGAAUUGAUUCAUAACAUAUAUGAGAUUAUUGUACUUACCAUGUAUUGCUUCUUUCUGUAUAUAGACUUGAGAAAGUCUACUCUCUGUACAUUAUAUACGGCUGCAAUACAGAGACCAAAUAUACUGGUUGAUUCAAUUACUCUCCUCCUCUAUCUCUCAUCUCCCUUCUCCCCCCUGAACUCUGUUUCCUAUAUGGUAUCAGAGCUCUUCGGAGCCAAAGCUCACGUUUUUCGAUCCUACCCAAUCAAAUGGCAAACACACCCAAGUCUGGAGAAUCAAGUCAUAUUGAUAUGACAAAACUGAUUUCUGAAAUGUCAAAGCUUGCCUCACCCUCAUUCUCAUUCCCAUCCUUGCCCACCUCUUUCAACAUCUCAUCUCUGUUCCCAAUUCCCAUGGACAGAACCAACUAUUUGAGUUGGAAAUCACAAUUUGAAGACGUAUUGGAGAUGCAUGGCCCUGCAGAGGUCAUCAAGAAAACCACAGACCCACCCAAAGUGCAAGAAGAUGGCUCUGUGCAUCCUGAGUUCGCCAGAGACAAACUGGUCCUGAGUUGGAUCAAGGCGACUUCCUCCUCUUCCAUAAAGAUUCUACUCAUCCCGUGUACCACGGCCUAUCAGGCUUGGAAUCUUCUGGGCAAGCGCCUCUCACCCCUUGCAGGUACCCGUGUGCGGAUCCUUCGAGACCAAAUUCGCACCCUCAGGAAGGAUAACACCACAACUGUGACUGACUACCUCAACCAUGCCAAAUCACUUCUUGAUUCCCUCACACAAGCUCGUGCAACAAUGGAUGAUGAUGAAUUCGUUAGCUAUGUUCUAGACGGACUUGGGCUUGAAUACAAGGAGUUAGCCACCACACUCCACUUGCACCCAGAUAUUGGUUUUGACCAGUUUUAUGAUCUCGCUCUCAGAGAGGAACAAUUACAGAAACGCAUGUCGCUCAACGUGGCCUCAGGUGUUGCUAUGGCUGCUGAUCGAAUGCCCAAUGAGCGAAAACCUCAUUCAAACUCCGCUGGUCGCCAUUACAACCCCUAUCACGGAUCUGGACGAGGACGUGGACGUGGCAGAAAUUGGAUUCAAAGGCACAAUGGGCAAACAGAUCCGUGGAAAUCAACCCAAGGAAAUUGGCCACAAGGACACAACACUCAGCCUCGCGACCAGCAGAUUGCACCAUCUGCCCCUUCUCACGCAACUCUUACAGAUGGCCGCCCACCACUCCUUCCAACACCACCUGGCAAUUCUCCAAAUACCCAGCGCUCAGAAGUCAUUUGUUAUCAGUGUGAUAGGCCUGGUCACAUAGCCUGCUUCUGUCCAGAUCGUAAGCCUCAUGCCUACAUGGCUGAAAAUGCUGUCAACCCGUCUCCUUCUACUGAUGAUAUAGCAAACCUCAAUUGGUGUCUUGACUCCGGUGCUACCCAUCACAUGACCGCCCACACCGCUUCUCUACCGCAUGCCCAGCCUUACACAGGUACUGAUACAAUUGUUGUUGGCAAUGGGAAUCAGUUAGCAAUAACACAUAUUGGCAAUACUAAAGUGACCGGGUUACAUAAGUCCUUAAACCUUAAUGAAGUGCUAUGCGUACCUGCAAUACGAAAGAAUUUGAUAUCUAUUCGUCGUUUUUGUCGUGAUAAUGAUUGUUUCUUUGAGUUGGAUGCUAAUGGUUUUCAUGUCAAGGACAUCAAGGCGGGGACGGUACUUCUUACUGGCAGUAGUUCUGAUGGGCUUUAUCACAUUCAGGCAACCCCACAUCUUGCUCAUCAACUUGCAUUCUAUGGAGAGCGCACGACACAGGAAGUGUGGCAUGCACGCCUUAGACAUCCAUCUCAUUCAGUUUUUACAACCUUGUUGAAUAAGUACCAUUUACCUGUUAAUGGUACCAUUAUCUCCAAUAAAAAUUGUCAUAUUUGCCCAUUGGGAAAAUCUUGUAGACUGCCUUUUGAAUACAAACAGCUUCAUGCUCAAUCCUCAUUAGCACUUUUACAUCUUGACGUAUGGGGGCCCGCGCCAGUCCCCUCAAAUUUUGGAUACCAUUAUUAUUUGUCCAUUGUUGAUGACCACACUCGGUUCACUUGGUUAUAUCCUUUGGCUAAGAAGUCAGAUGUCUUUCCUACAUUUAUUACCUUCAAAAAGAUGGUGGAAAAUCGGUUUAGUUCUAAAAUCAAGCAGUUGCAGGUUGAUGGUGGGGAUGAAUUUAUCAACAAAUUAUUCCUCGCAUUUUUACGUGACAAUGGCAUAUCGCAUCAAAUUUCUUGUCCCUACACUUCCCAACAAAAUGGAGUAGUGGAAAGGAAACAUCGCCAUAUUGUUGCAAUGGGUCUCUGUCUGCUAGCCCAAUCACGAUUGCCUUUUAGUUUGGGUUGAAGCCUUCUCCACUGCAGUUUUUCUGAUCAAUCGCUUACCAACACCGCAGCUUGAUAACCUGUCUCCCUAUGAGAAGCUCCUUCACCGUUCACCAGAUUACAAAUUUCUCAAAAGCUUUGGAUGUGCUUGCUUUCCCCACCUGGUGCCAUACAACAAGCAUAAGUUAUCUUUUAAAUCUCUUCCAUUUGUAUUUCUUGGUUAUGAUGAUCACUAUAAGGGUUAUCGCUGUCUUGAUCCUUUUUCAGGUCGCAUCUAUACAUCUCGGAAUGUGACCUUUGAUGAAACAACCUUCCCUUACAAGCAGCCCCAGCUUCCAUCUCCUCUGCACUCAAAUGGGCUUCAACCUCUCUCUCUUGCCGACCAGCCCAUAUCUCUUGGGCCCUCUAAUCCUCUGGUCAGCCCUUCUCCCUCAUAUCCCUCAUCUCUUAAUCCCACAGGCCCAUCACUUCCCCCUAUUUCUUCUGACCCUAUUAGCUCCCCCCAUUCCUUCGACACCCCCUUGUUCUCCCCUCUGUCCUCUUCUGUAUCCCCAACAACACUGACCACGAACCCAGCCGAUCCUUCUCUGGUAUCCAGCAUCCCCCAUUCGCCGCCUCUUUCGACUGAAACCUCGUCGCCCCUUUCCACAGAACCCUCGCUGCCCAUUUCCACAGAAACCUCGCCGCCCCUUUCCACAGACCCAUCGCCCUUAAUUUCCCCAGACCUAUCCUUCGACUCUGACGGAACAACCCCACCCCUUACCCCACCUCCCACUUCUUCACCUCUUGAUCCAUCGAUUUUCCCUAACUCUUCAGAUACACCCAAUCCUCCACAAAAAUUCUAGAGUCUCCAAACCAUUGUCCCAUUUGGUCCAGAACCCAAACCCCUCUACUCUAAAACCAGCCCCCAUCCCUUACCCCUUGCCCUUUCUGCUGAACCUUCUGAUCCCCUGUCCCUUGAACCUACCAGCUUUACCCAUGCUUCCAAACAUAGCCACUGGCUCGAUGCUAUGCACGAUGAAUAUGCUGCACUCAUGAAGAACCAGACCUGGUCCUUAGUUCCUGCCACCUCCCGCAUGAAUAUUGUGGGGUGCAAGUGGGUCUUCAAAGUUAAACGGAGGGCAGAUGGCUCAAUUGACAGAUACAAGGCUCGUCUUGUUGCCAAGGGAUUCAAUCAGAAGGAAGGCUUUGAUUAUGCGGAAACUUUUAGCCCGGUGGUCAAACCGGCUACCAUUCGCACUAUAUUGUCUCUGGCACUUUCCUACCAUUGGCCUCUUCAGCAAUUGGAUGUUCGUAAUGCCUUCUUGAAUGGGUACUUGCAAGAGGAGGUCUACAUGAAACAACCCCCUGGUUUUCAUGAUCCCUCUCACCCUCAGUAUGUUUGUCGGCUCCACAAGGCUCUGUACGGCCUUAAGCAGGCACCUCGAGCUUGGUUCCAACGCCUUAGUGCCUUUCUCCUUGCCCAGCACUUUGUUCAUAGUCACUCUGAUGCAUCGCUCUUUAUUCGUCGCUCCUCUUCCUGCACAGUGUAUGUUCUAGUGUAUGUGGAUGACAUCAUUGUUACUGGCUCUCCCUCACCAAGUGUAAACCACUUCAUUGAUCAACUAUGUUCAACUUUUGACAGCCGCUGUAUGGGUGAGCUCAACUUUUUCCUUGGCAUGGAAAUUAAUCGGUUUUCUGACCAUUUAUUUCUCUCUCAGACUCGCUAUGCAGUGGAUUUAUUGACCCGGUUUCAUUUGACUGAAUGCAAACCAUCUCCUACCCCUUUGCCCUCUGACACUCGGCUCUCUUGUCUGGAUGGUGAUCCCUUGCCUGAUCCAUCCACCCAUCGGAGUAUGGUGGGUGGCCUCCAGUAUCUUACCUUGUCCAGACCUGAUAUUUCCUUCGCUGUCAACCAGGUGUGCCAGUUUAUGCACAACCCUCGAACCUCUCAUCUUCAAGUUGUCAAGCGCAUUUUUCGGUACAUUAAAGGUACACUUGAGCAAGGUCUUAUCUUCCAUAAGUCCACUGAUUUUUCCUUACGGAGUUUCUCUGAUGCUGAUUGGGCUGGUUCUGUUGAUGAUCGCCGGUCUACUACUGGUGCUUGUGUUUUCCUUGGCCCCAAUCUUCUCACAUGGACUGCCAAGAAACAGUCUACUGUUUCUCGCUCUAGUACUGAAGCUGAAUAUAGAGCUCUUGCACAUACUGCAGCCGAACUUCGCUGGUUUUGUUACUUGUUUCGUGAACUGGGCAUUCCCCUUCGCUCUGCCCCCUGCAUCUAUGUUGACAAUCUCUCUGCUCUCUAUAUGGCUGCCAACCCUAUUUUUCAUGCUCGCACCCGGCAUAUCGAGAUCGACUACCACUUUGUUCGUGAAUUAGUUGCUCGAAAGGCUCUUCGUACCUCCUAUGUUCCUUCCUCUCGUCAGCUUGCUGACAUAUUUACUAAAGGUCUCGGUCGUGAUCGGUUUUCACUUCUCAAAUCCAAGCUUAAUCUCCGCGUUGCUCCGCUACGCUUGAGGGAGGGUAAAGAGAAUAUCACUCCGGUUCAUCCCAGGAAAUCAGUUUAUUUCCCCAAAUCAGACUUGACAGAUUCUUCCUCCCAAGAUCAACGACAUAUUAGCUAGAAUUGAUUCAUAACAUAUAUGAAAUUAUUGUACUUACCAUGUAUUGCUUCUUUCUGUAAAUAGACUUGAGAAAGUCUACUCUCUGUACAUUAUAUACGGCUGCAAUACAGAGACCAAAUAUACUGGUUGAUUCAAUUACUCUCCUCCUCUAUCUCUCAUCUCCCUUCUCCCCCCUGAACUCUAUUUCCUAUAGCAGGUACCUGUGUCAUAGGUACACUUUCGGAAGUUACCUGUAGGAUAGGCUCUCCGUGAAGCUCCAUAUCAAGCCACUGCAUAGAGUACCUUCGCCAUAGGUACACUAUUUAUAGGUUACCUGUGCCAUAGAUACUAUUCGAGGUUACCUCUAGUGCCCAAAACUAUAAGUAAAGCUGGCUUAUAAUUCAAUGGUAGGCUAUCCAAUUUUAGCUGGCAUGUAACUCACUGGUAGGCUAUCCAAUUUUAGCUGACCCUGACAGUCUAAUUUCAGUUGUUCUUUUGAAAGUCACAAAAGACUCCAAGAUACAAUUCUCUAAGCUCUAGUUGAAUAAGAGCGACAGAAGAGAUGAAGUUGCAAGUGGAAUCUUUUAACAGACUUCAUUCUCUCUCUGUCUCUUGAUAGCAUUAAAGAACAAUUAACACUCUAAAAAAACAAUAGAAGAGAAAGAUAUUUAAAAUGAAGAAUGGAAAAGUCAACUAGGAGUGGAGUAUGUGUACUUUGAAUUGGGCAGGAGCUGGUUUUCCCCCUUUGUAAAUACUUUGCUUUUGUUUAAGAUCACAUGGGUUGUCAUCUACUAUUGGAAUUUACUCUAUCAUUAGUAGUAAUUAGCUCACACUUUUAUUCAUUUUGUAUCCCGCUUAUAAGCAUUUUCUUGACCAGUGCAAGGAGAGGAAGAAUUUAUUUACCACAAGAUGAACUUGCAGAAGCAGGGCUUACUGAUUCUGACAUAUGUGCUGGAAAGGUCACAGACAAGUAGAGGAGUUUCAUGAAGAAUCAAAUUAAGAGGGCAAGGAUGUUCUUCGCCGAGGCAGAGAAUGGUGUGACAAAGUUGAGUGAAGCCAGCAGAUGGCCGAUAAGCCUCACAUGUUUUAGAACCUAUGUUGUAGGUACACGGUGGUAAGUUACCUGUAGGCCAGGUUCCAUAUCAAGUUGCUGUAUAAAGUACCUGUGCAAUAGGUACUGUCAGAGGGUACCUGUGCCCCAGGUACACUGUUAGAUGUUACCUGUGGUGUUAGAGUUAUGCUGAUAGAGAUGCAAUUAGCAUGGCUAAAACGACAAAAAUAUGACUUUUAUGUACUAUCCAUAGCUGUUGGACUCCGAUAACAUGUCCCAAACCUAAAAUCAUAUUCUGUAAAAUGUAAAAGCCUACACCCUAUUUCUUAUUCUCGAAUUGGGUUGUGACAAAAUUAGAGAAUCACUCCAGAAAUGUUUACCCAUAAACCCACCAUUGGAAAAAACUGGGGGAAAUCACUCCGACCAGGCGAUCCACCAAGUCAAGAAGAUUCUUACAGAAAAAGUAAUCACAAGCUCAAACAAUCAUAAAUCUAUUUAGGAAAUGAGGACUACCUCCCUGUGCAACCUUAUUUUCCAAACUUAGUUGAGCAAGUAGCUUGUCCUUCGUGGAAAUGACAGCUAGUCCAUCAGCUUUUUCACCCCAUGGCACCGCAACUCAGCUUCGGAUAGUCAUCCAUGAACGAAAUAUAGAUUCUAGAAUGAAAUAGUCAAUUUCUUCAAGAAAUCAUCCUCUUGAAGAAAUCAACAGAGAAUUUGAUCUACCUAGGAUGAUAAAGUGUUUAAACUAAACCCUAGAUGCAUAUUUCAAAAAACCACAAUAGAUUUCAAAAACCAAUUUUCAAAAUCUCAAAAUGAAAAUCCAAACCUACCAAGUAGAGAAUGCAAAGUAAAAGUUUUACUCUGAAAAAUUCUCAAUGGAUGAAGUGGAUUUCAAAAAUAGAAGCAGAUUUCAAAAGCUAUUUGUAAACCUCAUUUCCAGAAGCCAUGAUCAUUCUCAGACAAACCAAAGAGAAAACUAAGUUUUCCAAAAUUGUGUAAAUGAAAGAGAUGAGAGAUUAAUACUUUGAUAUGCAAAGAUAUGGUAAGAUUUUCUCAAAAACAAGUAGCUUUCAAAAUGAAAGCUUGAAAACCCAUUCCUAUGCCAUGAACACUCUCAGACAAACCAAAGAGAAAUCCAAGUUUUUCAAAAUGGUGAAAAUGAAAGAGAUGAGAGAUGAAAACGUUGUAUCACUAACAAAAGUUUGAGAAAUGAAAUUUCAAUGAAAGUCCAAAAGGAAUUCAAGAACCCAUGAACUCUUCUUCCAAAAAUCAAAACCUAAUUUAUGCACCAUCUCUCACUAAAACUCUCUCUCUCUCUCUCUCUCUCUCUCUCUCUCUCUCUCUCUAAAACCCAUUUGAAAAAUGUAAAUAAGAGAGUUGAUGAGUCCAGACCAGCCCCAGCCAUUUUGGUAGGUCAAAAAGACACUUGACAGUCAAUGAUUAGACUUAUAACAAGCAAAAUCAAGUGCCUUGGUUGAAAAUCCCGUGCUGGAAAUAUUGGCCCAUAUGACUAGUCAUCUCGACAAAAUAUAUGGAUGCAAAUGCUGAUUUUCCUAAUGAUGUCCAUUGUAAAUGAAUGCACAAAUUAUCUUGGUUUUGUAGGCUCAUAAGCUCUUCAAUGUACUUCAACUUUGUAGCAAAUACCCAAUGCCUAAUUUCUAAAGAUGAGCUAAGAGGAAUUAUGACAGGACCCGACCCAAAUUCCACUUUGGAAUCUGAGCCAAACUCUGUGCGUGUCCGACACCUGAUAGGUGUGGAGCACACUUGACCAAAUUUCCCUUCUAAAGAAAUCCAAAGCUUCUUUAGGGUUUGACUUCUGCUGAAAAUUCGGCAGUCUCCCUUAUAAAUUGCUCAAUUCCCAAACUUUUUCAACUGUACAACAAGCAAUAUAAAUAUCCACAACCGUUCAGCAUGCACAAUAAUCGAAUUCAUGCAACCACACAUCAAAUCUUUAUGGCCUCAAGCCUCUUUAAAUCAAAUAAAUCGUUCUGCCAACUGAAAUUGAUCCCAACUUUUGGAACAACAAGAAUACGUUAACGUAUUUCAAAAUAACUUAACUGAUCAGCUUUUCAAUCACUUGGUCUCACGACUGCACCUAGUAACUCUAGGUUGCCUACGUACCCUUAACAAGGGAUCAAGCCACACGUAGUUCUUUCUCUUUGUUUUAUUGAUAAGUUAUGUAUUCAACUUUUAUGUUUACCACCUGUUUUGCAAAAUCAAAUAUGAAAAGAAAAUAAAAAGGAAAAGAAAAUAAUGAGAGGAUAAUAACUUUUAAAUUGGAAAAGAAAUACAAGGAGAACACAACGGUUAUAUAAAAUCAAGUAACGACAUGGUAAAAUAAAACUUCACUUAAGAAAAUAAUCGUGAAUUAUACAAAAUCCUUAAAACUUAGAAAACUCUUAAUCCUUGUCUCUUAAGUAGGAAAACAUAUAUUAAAACCUUCGCCCAUAAUUACCAAGAUAAAAUCCUCAAUUUUUUAGUUUAAAACAUCUUAAACUUAAAUACUCUCCACCUAGGCGUACCCCCAUUCAUAUUCCAUCAAUUCCUAGUAUCCUGUUUGUUACAUCCUUGCAGGCCUCGAAAACACAAAGUUAACCCAAGCCGCAUUCCUCGCAAGACUCAGGGGACCCUUAGUCAACUUGAGCUGCAUUCCUUGCAGAACUCGGGGUACAUGUUGUCGGCCCAAGAAUGCAUAUCCUCGCACCACACAGUUUAGGCGCCCCCGAAACUCGUGGGGCAUUAUCAUAAAGGACAAAACUGUUCAAGGCAACUGGGGGGGGGGGGGAGGGGGGGGGAGUACUUUUGUGGUGGGUUUGAAAACCAUAUUAUGAAACUUAUUAUAAACUUUCUCUUAUUCCACAAAUCAAUUUUCCAACUCUUAUAUCAACUUUCCAAAAAAAAAAAGGGAAAUAUGCUGAUAUAAUCAGUUUUCAUAAGUGGUGUUCUGAAAUGAUCAGGUUACAAAUUCAACAUGUCUUAUGACGUGUCAUUUUCCCUUUAUAUGAAUGCUAAAGUGGCACAUAUGUCCUUCUUCUGCAGGUGGUCCUUCCAGCUUCAUACCCAUAUUCACAUCUCAGAUUAUGUACACGUAUGUGAAAGAAGUUGCAGGCUGUUUUGUCGUAUUGUGAAUCUUGAAACUGAAUAUGAGUUUUUGCAUAACAUGGCACCAUUUUUGACAUUUUGCUCACCACGCGAUAAAGUGUGGUGAUUUUGUAGUAGGUUGCAGGGUGUUCAUUUCUGUAACGGAAUUCAACUGUACUUGUCUUCCAUAGUAGAAGGGCUGUACUCACUUUCCUUUGUUAGAACUAAUUCUUGACAUUCUGUGCUUAACACAGAUUGUAAAUCCAUCAUUUGGCACAAGUUGCAGCGAAAUGCAAUUUUUUGGGGCCACCCACAUUGUAGCCUUUUUCCAUUAUUUUAUCGCCACUAUAGCGAAAUAUUCGACUCUCAUUUGGCAAUAUUUGUGGUUGAGAUAUUUUCGUGACAGUUGAAAGUAUAGAUUGGGUGGCUAUGUCAUGGGACUUGCUUCGUGAGACGACAGUGCAUUGUCGACUGUUUAGUUUAGUUUAGUUAGGUUGAAUACUUAGUUUUGUAUAUGCAUUUUUUAAAUCCGAUCCGGACGGAAAUGUCGGGGUUGGUUAGCACAAACAAUAUCAUUAACGCUCGGCUGGGCCAAUUACAAGCUCAAAUAUUCUAUUGUUUGACGUCAUUGAGUUGUAGUUUUGGGAGGUCCCUCACCGUCAAAUAUUUAGUUCUUUCUCAUGUUUUACGUGGAAGAAUUGGUCUAACGAUUGAGGCUCCAUAAGAGUUGAUACCAAAAUACCAGAGCCUGGGGUUAUUGGCUAUGCCUUUUGUGUUAGCCUUUGAAAACCAAGAUGAAAUAGAAAACGACCAUGUCUGCCAUCACUGAUUUAUAAUAAAUCAAACCUGUUCCAUUACAUCCAUAACCUAACCAACUUUAACCUGCCAACUGUAGAUGAACAAACCUCCUAUUACAUUUGGAAUACAACAAAUAAAGGACCAUUCCAACCAUGAAAACAGAGACCCAAAACCAUGGGUUUUUCAUCUUCCCUUUUCCAGCGUUUUGUUCUUCUUCCAAGCGGUUUAUUUUCCUAAGCAAGCCUGGAAUUAUGUGCUUCGAUCUGUCACACAUCUCUGGGUCAGCCCAUUCCCAAAAUGUACAUCCAUUCCUCUGCAUAAACGGAAUCAAUGUUUUCAAACAAAGACGGCCAGCAUCAGAUUUGGAAUACAGACAAUUUCCAAAUGUCAGCUCAAACUUACACAUAAAUAAACUUACCCUUGCACAUACUUGAAACCUCCUUCCAGGAUGAGAAACCGUCCACGAUGUAUGCGUUUUGACAACGUUCCCACAGUAGCACAGCCGUGAACACACUGAACUCGCGGCUUCCAUUUCCCAGCGAGAUCUUGAAGUCGCCUCUUGACCGGGCAACCGAGACGUCACUGACUCACCCUCACCGGUACGAAGGCUCCUCCUACUCAUCUUCUUGUUUUGGAGGGUAUGAAUUGUUGUUCACGUUGUGCGAUAUUUAGGGUGCUGAAGAGGGUCAUCGUGUAUUCAAAGGGUUACACUUGCAUGUGCACAAUGUUUCAGGAACAUGGUGUGAGUGCACAAACAUGAAACCUGGAGUUAAUGGGGUGUUUUUAAAAAAAAAAAAUUCCAAUAUUUACCAUUGCCAACAGUAAGUAUAGAUUGGAAUGUUAUUCAUAGCCUUAGUUUAUGACAGAUACGGCAUGGUAUACACUUGCAAAUACAGUAGAUGCCAUUCUUCGUUGUCUGUAUAUUGGUUUAUUAAUGACGUAUUGAUAGUAUAGUGGCACUAUAUUGGUAUCCUAUUGUAACUUUAUUGUAUUGCUAUUGCUUUGUAUUGGUUUUAUAAUGCCCGAUAUUGGACUUAUAUUGGCAUUCCAAUGUAACCUCUACAUUGUUUGCAAUUGGUACAGCUAUUAGAACUUUUUUUAUACUAUCUUACGUAUUGGUUUUGCAAUGUCAUUUAACAAGUCUACAAAUCUGAACUAUGUGGAAGGUAAUUACGUUAUAUCGAAUAUGAAAUGAAUGCAGCCAAACUACAUCAAUUGCAGUUUUCAAAGUUCCUGCAUACAACACAAAAGAAAGGCACCUGAAACGUACAUAUAAUACAAAGGCCACCUCAACCUGGCAGCAUACAAAAUAAAAUAACAAGCCAGGUGAAACUUACAGAAGACAAAAUUUACAAAGAGGUCACCUCAAACUUACAUAAUACAAUCUUAACAAAGACAGCACCUGCAGCUUACAUUAUACAUAUGUACCAAAGAGGCCCCCUCAAACUUACAAAAAACAAAAGAAAUAAAUAAAAAGGGCACCUCAUACGUAUAUAUUACAAAAAGAGGGCACGUCAAAAAUUUCACUGUACUGGGUUUGUCCCCAAUAGUAGCCAUGGUAAUAUUACAAGGCAAACCUUCUGGCUGUGGCCGAAUUUCGAGUUGCAUACUCGUCAAAUGCGGCGACCGCGACCCAUUAAGUUCAUGACCCCUCCCACAGUGAUGUCCCACUUUCCUUCUGCAUCCACAAUUUGUGCAAACUUCCUAAAUAGUUCGAAGCCGGAUUCCAGUUGUUGUUGCUUCAGCUGAGCCAUUUCGUCUGAUUCUUUGAAUACAAUAAUUGCACUGGCAGGGGCAUUUUCAAUUCUAGCUCUGACAGCCUUCAUAUGUAGGAGAUGCAUCCGGGCUUGAUAACGCGCCCGAAUUGUGCGCUUUUUUAUGACACCCCACCUAGCUUGGCCCUCUUUAAUUUUGAUAACUAUGUCUGCAUGGAUAUUUUUCUAGAACAUGGUAUUGGCUCGACAUUGCUGCAGUCCAUGGACCCAGUCUUCAGUGUCUUCUGUUGCUGCUUUGGCAGGUGUUUCGGUGUCCCCUCCUUCAGUAAUGGCAAGGGUUGGGUUUGGUGUGGGGUUGGGGUCCAUGGGUGUUGGGUAUUUACUGUGGGUUGAUGUGGCCAUUAGUUUGCCCAAACUGCCAUUCAUUGUGAUGUAGGUGAAAUAGCUGCGCAGGCAGGGGGGUUUGACGGAGUAAGUGUGAUGGAAAUGUUGGGUGGAUGCAGCUGGGUUACAAUUAAAUAGUGGAAGGUAUUAAUGACCAGGAGUAAAUGACUGUGAUGAAGUGGCGGGAGUUAUUGGCGGCAGUUGUUGGGUCCAAUUUUAGGCGGGAGUUAUUGGCGGGAGUUGUUGGGCAACACGUUUGACUUGGGCUGUGCGUAAUUGCGUAUAUAACUAUUCUUUACCAUUGGUUGGUGGUUGUUGUAUGGGACCCUUGUUGAAUUUACAAUUUAUUCCUUUUGUCCUCUUUCCCAAUUUCCCUCCUGUACCAAAACUACAAAUUGUCCCAAAUGUAUGAGUAUGGUAAUUUGACAAUGUAUGGGCCAAUUACAAAAAUGGACCAUGAAAGUAUUUGUGUUUCCAAUUUCCUUUUUGCUGUCUUCCAAAUUCCUUGAUAUGAGUUCCAUUUUUGUAUAUAACGGUGAAUUCCUAACUCUGAUUUUUUACCAUUUGCAAAUCUUUGUAGGUGUAUUCAUCCCACAUGACGUUUUAUUCGCCUUGAAAUUUUGGUUGGGACUGUAUAUGACUGUUUUGGUGGUAUUAUUUUUUUUUUAGAUGGACUUGCCUAUUGUCGUCAUUUGUAGGGAAUACUUUGUAAUUUAUGAACAAGUGUGUACAGUUGGUAAAAUCAGAAUUAGGGAACUUGCUACUAAGCUAUUAUUCAUAUGGCAGCACCUUCAAUAUUAAUAUAGUAUAGAAUUGUGAUGAAGAUUUUGUGUAAUUUGUGUAGUCACUGUUGUUCAGGUGUGUAUAUUGCUACGGCCGAUUAUUCCAACGUUGACAUACAUUUAUUCGUAUUUGGUCCGGCUGUAAUGGGCAUAUUACAAUGCUGUCACUGACAGAGAGGAGUAAUGAGUGAAGACUGAUUUUGUAAUGUAGUCAUUGAAAGCAAUAUAAAACACACAACUUCCUCUAUAUAAGAGGGUCUAACCUACUCAUUCAAUUCCAUAUAUAUCAGAGACGAAAGCUGUACUAAAGCUCACCCUAUUGUUGGUAACGAAAAGAAAGCUCCAGAUUCAACCUAACGUUAACUAUUUUUCAGGGUGCAUGUGUGCAUUAUCCCCAUUUGAAGUUGAAGAUGUCAGACGUAAUCCCUCCAAACGAGGUUGUUAGUUACCCAGGAGACCAGCCAUGGCAUGUCCCUUUCCCAUCUCCACCUGGGACUCCAAAUAACGAUCCGACGUCAUCCGAAAGUGAGGCUGACAACAAUGAUCCGCUAAAGAAAAUAGCUGAAGUGAAGCAUCACCUCCAAUAUUUGUGUACGGCAACGGAUUGGUGGGAAACCAAAUGCGAUAUUCAUGGCUAGGUGAUGGGCAACUUGACGAACAAGCUGAACAAAGCAUUUGCUAGAGAAGUUAAGCAAACAAUGAAAGCACAAACUCGAAGCGCGAAGUUAGCCUCGUUGACGUUACAAUUGGAAGAAACAAAGAAAGACGCUGUCCACAAAUUCACUGAAUCUGAAGAAUUUAACCAUGAACUGGUUGAAUGUUUUAACAAUGGGUUCGAGAUGUUCCGGGAUUAUGCUUCCGUCAUGUCACCAGACUACAAUUGGAGCGAAAUAGAUGUUGGUGGUGUCUGGCAGGUGCUGAAUAGGGUUGGCCAGGGAAUGGCUGAUCAUAGCCUUGUGCAUGCAGCGAGGAAGAAGACCAAAGAAUUGGAUAUAUUCAUGGACCUGUAAACAUGGUGAUUUUGUGGAAGGGUUUCUGUAGCUGGGUCAGGGUAAGUACGGGUGGAAUCAUUUUGUAUGUAUUUGGUGGCUUUUGUAUGAAUGUGGUGCCUUGUUUACGCCUUCCUCUUAUUCUCACCGUUGAGUGGGAAAUUACUUAGUUUGUAUAAAUUUGAAGUGCUGUAACGUGGAGGUGUGCUUAUUAAACGUUUAUUGGCCUCAUAUUAGAAGCAUUAAGCAUGUAUAUUGUGUUUGUAUUGUAUAUUUAUUGACUCAUAUUGCAAUCGUAUUGUGCUUAUAGUAUGGUUUUAUUGCUGCUUUAUGGAUAUACAUCUCAUAUUAUAGCCUCUACAUCUGAGUAAUGAUAAACAAUGACUCUAGCAACGGUCGUAUAUAUGGAGGGUUUCGGACAGAUCGAUGGUUCUGACGCGCGGAAUAUCCAUGGAAAUAUGGGACAUAUAUCGAUUCCAAUAACAAUUGGAUACAAACCACGGACACUGUAAAUACAUGAAAUUUUUUACUAACAAGACAAAUAAAGUUAUGAAAGCAAUAAUUAAAUAGGAACAAAAAAAAGGAUUAUCGACAUUUAAGUAAUGAAGUAACAAUUUGAAGGGAUAGGUGGUAAUAUUCAGUACUUAUUAAGUUCAGUAGUUAUUCAUUUCAGUACUUAUAAUGAACAUUGGAAGUAAAUAAGCAGUAACAUGAAAUGGAUGAAAUAGGAAAGAAAUAAAUGACAUUAAGUAAUGAAUUUUGUGAGCAACAAUAUAGAACACUAAUAAAUGACUUUGUUAUUUUGCAAAACAGGUUGGAUUGGAAGACUUAUAAAUACCAGAGUCCAUAGGCACUAAUCACACACCGAUGGGGUGUGCGUGUGUAGCUCAGAACCUAGAAGAAGGGAAGGGUUUCUUCCUCUGUGUGUGUGACUUGAAGUGAAUAAUUAACUAUUUAAAAAGUCCAUAUCACGAUAGUAGCGAUGUGUUCACCAUGUGUAGCUGCAUGGAUAGUUUCCCAAAAACUAUAUAUAGUUUGGUCUAUGGCAAUCAGAACAAUGAGAAAUCAUUAAGUACAACGACGCUCCCAGUAAUUGCGUAACAUUUGCAUUUGAAGGAGUUUUAUGUACGAGAUGCAAUUUUAGUUAGCCUUCUAGGCCCUUUCAUUUUGGACACAAACCGUUUUCAUUACACUACCAAUAGGCGUGCAACAAAGUUACAAUACAAUACCAAUACGGUGGCAACAAAGUUACAAUACAAUACCAAUACGGUGGCAACAAAGUUACAACAGCAUGACAAUAGUGUGAAUAUAAAGACAGGAAUACAUAACGUGUGUAGGAAAGGAAACCAAGUGAUGCCAACGUGACUACAAUCACAUUUCACAACACCAAAUCGAAUACAAUUUAAAUGAAAAUAAAAGGUACAUCAGAAACGAAUAGAAAUGCUAAUCUGUAAGACACAUUGGCCAGUGGAACACUGUUAAAUAACAGCUGGUUUCCUUUUCACAGGUGGAACUGUAUGUUCACCAAUUUGUACUAAUAAUAGGCUCUCAUUGCAAGGAACUUGUUACCUUGUUCCAUAUUCUUCACAUGACCAUUUAGUUGACGGACUUCCAUCCCUGCAGCACCACCGAACCUAUUCAUGAACUUCACAGUUGAUGACAACUGAGGUACAAACUGAACAACUGUAAAAUCUGCGCAAAUUGACACUUCAGUUCUUGAGAGGGACAGAUUGUUUGCAUGUAUUUCGGUAGUGGCCCUUCACACCACACCUUGAGCAUUAUUUUUGCCGGGAGUCCUCUCCUUUGGAAGGUAUUCUUUGCAUUUUGCGACGGCCCAGCAUAACCUUACAAACAAGAGGAAGGAUUUUGACAUUGUUCAAAUGUUCGGGAAUAACCCAUGUGCCUUUAGGUGGAACAGAAUAAAUAGAUUCAGCAUAUGCAGCUGCCCAUGUAGCUCGUGUAUAAUAAGAAGACGCAAAGGAGUAGGGGUUCAAUUUCAAGUGCCGACAUACCGCAAUAGCAUGCUUGCACGGGAGUUGCUCCAAGUCAAACUUCCUGCACGUACAACUACGGUUUGCCAAGUGCACCAGACCAUUCAAAUCACCAUCCAGAACAUUAUACUCGACAUCAUUGAUUUUGACCACAUUCAUCCUUGACGCAGCAUCUAACCUCUUCCUUAACUUCUGUUCACCCAAAUCAGGGCACAAUGUAGAAUGACAUUUCAUUGCUAAAUCUCGACGUUGAUUAAACCAAGUGAGAAGUAGAUUUGUGAUUUCAUCGAUCAAGUGUAGCACCGGAAGCAUCCUUGCAAAACGAAGAACUGAAUUAAUGGACUCCACAAUAUUCGUUGUCAUCACAUUAUAUCGUCGUCCAUCACAGUGGGCCCGAGACCACUUCUGGAUGCCUGCACGUAGUAGAUAAGUUCGCACUCGCUCAUUGUUUAUCAUCGAGAAGUGACGAUUGAACUCCGCUAGACGAUAAGACUUCGCUGCCCUUACAAAAUACCCCAAUAUCGGAUCCCGUUGCUUCAAGUGAAAUGAGGCUUUCAUAUUGCCCUUCAAGUGAUAAAAGCAAAUCCAUGGCUUGCCCCAGGAAAAACUCUACGCAACCCAUGUUGUAUGCUAACAUUGCGAUCAGAUAUGACAACAAGAUUCGAGCAAUCACCAAUUGCACAAUGUAAUUUUCUCAAAAACCACUCCCAUGCUGCAUCCGUCUCCAAAUCUCCAAUCCCAAAGGCAACAGGAUAUAUGUUGCGAUUUCCGUCAAAUGCGGUCGCAACAAACAAAACACCUUUAUACUUGCACUUCAAAUGGGUAGCAUCAACAGCAAUCACGGGCCGCAUUGACGACUUAAAUCCUCGUAUGCAUGCACCAAUUGACAUAAAAAAUAUAAGAAGUGGUCGGCUGCAUCAGUCUGAAUGUAUGUCAAAGUUCCCGGAUUUGUACGCUCCAAUUCAUAACAAUAGGAAGGGAGAAGGGAAUACGACUCUUCUGCAGACCCUCUCAUUGUUUUGAAAGCUAACUCUCGGCUUCUCCAAGCUGUAGAGUAGCUUAUGCUGACACCAAAUUUUUUUUUUCACAUCUGUCUUUAUAUCAGCUGCAGUAUAAAUGCUGCGCGAAUCCUGAAAUCUCCAUUUAACACAGUCAGACACCAAUUCGGCCGUAGCUUGAGGAUGGUGACUACUUACAAACCUCAGAUCACAUUCAUGAAGUGGAUCGUAUUUAACAACCUUAAACUCAUGUAAUCCAACUUUAUAUGCCCGAACUUUCCAAGGGCAAGGCACCUGCCAACAGCGAACACACAACCGACGCUUCCCAGAUUGGACUGUUCUGAACCAAAAGUGGCCUCUAAUUGCUGCUAAACUGAUGGUUUUUAAAAGAGCAAUCUUAUUUGGAUAAACUCGGCCAACCUUCAAAUUUGCUUCCCAAUUUAUGCACGAAAGGCCUCCACCAUAACCAAUAUAUUCCACACUCUCACCAUGCUUCGAAUCAACUCGAAUUGUAUGCAUUUCACUCGAACUUGAUUGCCGGGGAGGUUCAGAUUGCACCUGUCUACACUGCAUAGUGGAGGGUUCCACAUUGCUGUCCUCAUGAGGAUGCACAAUUGGUGCAGAGUACGGUUCCUCCUCAUUGCUAGGUUGAUACAAAUCAACAACUAUGUUUUCACCGCUUUCAAAAUGAACUUCUUGAACCCAAUCACUCCAAUUAAAACCAUUCCCACCAUUUUCAGUUUCAUUGUCCGAAAUUACCACAUUUCUUCGUUCCACAACAAAGGUAGCAGGAGCAUUGCUACUCUCAACGCUUACAAUGCCAUUGCACCCUUCAAUACCAUGACCUUCGAUAUUUUUCAAGCUUGCUACUAAAGGGGUUACUUUAGAGGCCAUAACAUCUGUGUUGUACUUGAGAAAAUAUUGAACAUCAUCAUUGUCUUCAACCCUUAUGUGCUUACUGACAGAUGCGGAUACAGGAACUGAAUACUUCAAUGUGACACUAUAUUUCGUGGGCUCUGCAUCCAUGAUCUUAUAAAUGCGAUGAACAAGGUCAGAAAACGUUACGUUCCGUGACACUAUUAUGCCUUUAGCCUCCCCACCUUCAUAACUCUCAAUGUUAUCCUUCUUAACCCAACUUCCAUUGUAGCAUACCAAAAUUCCAACUGUAUCCAUUUCUGCAAAUAACAUAAAUAAUGACUACACCGAUUCAUAACAAUUAAACAGAAAAAAUUGAUGAAUAAAAACAUACACAACAAUCAUUCCACUACACAUAUCAUCUUCUAAAUCCUCAAAUCUUCAAACUCAAAUUUUAGCUGCUUCAACAAGGAACUUUUAUUCCUUUUUGUUUUUUCUCUGAUUUUGUACAUAUCUGUGGGUUCCAAGUUAUUAACAAACUAACAUACACAUACAAUGGCAGAAAUAUGAACCCUCUAACCCUCCAAGGCUUUUGCACAAAUGUAAACACCUUCAACAAAAGGAUCAGGUUGUGAUAGAAAACGUAUAAUGUAGUACAAGCUCAAUUACCAAAUUCGAAACCAAAACACACAAACUAUACUUCUUACCAAAACAAACCCAUAAUGCCAAUAAAUUCCCCACAUUAGCAUCUAAAUUGAGCCUAACACUAGCCGUAUUUACAAAUUUUUAGGCCAGACAAAGUUAACAUAUGAUUUUUCUGUGUGCUGUUAUUUUCACCAUUAUCAAACACAUUGCACUACUUUAUACACGCAUUCGGUCAAUUUUAAACAAAAUUCAAGUUCACCAGACAGAUCCCACUGCAGAUAAUAUCACAAACUAUGAAUUUUAACAUAUCAUAACUCCUUCAAACUGAAAAUUUAAGCUUUUAUGCCCUCUGUGGUGAAAAGGGGCUGAACGAUUUCAUAAUACACAUACACUACCAAACCAAUAUCACAACUCACAUCCAUUCACAACGAUGCCGGAAGUCGCCACUUUCGCUUCUCUGUGGACUCGCAGCAGUCACCUCGAUCUGGAGGUCAACAAUGGAGGCCGUGCCUUCCGGCUUCGCUGCGCCCAGACUAGGGUCCCAAAUUUGAGGACAUCUGGGUUAUGACGAUGGAUGGGUUGCGAACUGGAUUGCUCAGUGGCAACAUGUCUCGCAACCUGGAGUUCCCCUAAUUUUUGCCAACCUUCCAACAUAGAGGAGAGAGAGUUUUAGGAGUUCAGACAAGUUCCCUUUCAGAAAAGGGGUGGCAAAGGGUUGCUACAUCUGCUUUUAUAUGGAGGGCAGUUUGGUCAUUUCUUAUCCACAAGUGAUUAUAUCAGAACACAAUUUGUAACCUGAUCAUUUCAGAACACCACUUGUGAAAGGUGAUUAUAUCAGCAUAUUUCCCAAAAAAAAAUUCAGUUCCCAACUAUAUUUAAAUUGUACCACAUACUAUUAAGUACUAGCAUUCAUAAUUCAUCAACCUCAAGCCACUGAGUAUAUAUAUUAAAUAUAAGCAUAUAAUAAAAUAUUUAAUUAAUUUCUUGUAACAUCCCACAUCGACCAACGGAGAGGGGAUGAUGUGCCUUAUAUGUACAUGCCCACCUCUAUCUAGCAUGAAGCAUUUUGGGAGCUCAUUGGCUUCGGAGUCAUGGGAACUCCGAAGUUAACCGAGUUUGGGCUAGAACAAUCCCAGGAUGGGUGACCCACUGAGAAGUUGCUCGUGAGUUCCCAGAAACAAAACCGUCAGGGCAAGGGGGCCAAAGCGGACAAUAUCGUGCUACGGCGGAGCAGAUCCGGGAUGUGACAUUUCUUGUCCACACCAAAAUCCAGUUAAUAAGCCGUUCCCAACUUUACACAACCAAACAUAGUAUAAUACCUUUAGAAAAAAAAAGCGAUUAACUAAUCACCUAAUCCAGUAUUACCCAAUCAUAAAAUUUAAUAAUACUCACAAUAAUAAUAAAUAAAUGAAUGACAAGAUAAACUUCAAAUAUCAUAAUAAGACCCAAAAAUAUCUCAAAACAUUAACCUAAACUCACAAUCUAAACAUAAACAAAAUAGUUCAUAAACAAUCAAGCCUCGUUUACACGGUCGUUCUAGCACUUCUCGAAGGGUGAAACUACUUUGGAAGACUCACGGUCAACCGAGGGUCAAACUUUCUAAAUUGGGUCAACCGGGCCCGCAGGGCCCACGACCUCCGAUUUCUAAAACGAGAGUUCCUACUAGUUCAACAAGGUUUACUAUACUUGUCCGGCAAGUUUGGUCUGAAUCGAAUGAUCGGAUCACUCACGAUCGCACUAUCGGACGGUUAUCGUUUAUCUAUACUUUAAAUUAUUGAACCGGAGUAUCAAGGACUCCGAUUCUUGGCCUGCGAAUUCCUGUAUGAUCCUAGAAGUGCCUAGAUCAAUAUAUUUGAAAAUCAGAUCAAUCCAACGGUCCGAACAAAUCAAACCCGGAUAUCACCUAAUAUGCUAUAUCUAAUCGACAAUCAAACGGUAACCAAAAUGAAAUCCGAGCAUACCGUUGUGCUUGGGACGACAUGAGGAUCAUUUUAGGACCAAAGCGAUUCCGGAGAUAGGAAAAUCUCCAAACCGCCAGUCAAGACCUAAACCUACAUGAUCAGGACAAUGAAUGGAGCAACUUUGUUCUUGGACCAACUCCAAAAAGUGGACGGAGAUGGUCAAAAUCAAGGGCCGAAACUGGCCAAAACUUCAAUUGCUUAAUUGACAACCAAAACGCAGAAAUUGAUCCUAAAUGACCCAACCAGCAGCUAGAACACACUCAGAGGAUGAAAAAGCAUGCCUCUAUCGCAAAAUUUGGUAGCUAGCAACGUCCGAACAAGCUCCGAAAAAUCUGGGUAAAAAUCGGCCAAAAUCGAGCUCAUUCCGGCCACAGACGGUGGUGGCUGGGGUGGCUGUGGGGCGGGAUGAGUAGAGGGGAGCUAGCCGGUCAUUUUGGGACUAGCCCCAGCUUCGAUGGCAGCCGGAGGUGGCCACUACAACCACAAAACCAACCGGCAGACUGUUUGGGGGAGGGGGGUGUCGUGUGAAGGAGAAGACUGGGGAGAGAGAGAGAGAGAGAGAGAGAGAGAGAGAGAGAUUUCAUAUUUUUAAAAACCCUUUUGAGAAAAUUACGGUUAUGCCACUAGGCUUCUGUAGAUCAUAACUUCUUCAUUACAACUUCGAUUUGAGCCCACUACGUGUCUGUGGACUCAUCUCGACGUGCUCAACCCAACGGUGCCCCCAAAAUUCCCAAAUUCUUUCCCGAACAAAACGUCAACUUUUAACCCAUUAAAAUAUUCUCGGGGUAAAAUUGUCUUUUAUGUGAUUAUUUUAUUAAUUAAAUAUUAAUUUAGGAUCGGGUUAUUACAAAUUACAUAAAAGUGUACAUUUGGCAAGGAAAUCCAAUUCUAAGAAUCCUAAACCUAGCAUACUCAUGCCCCUUUUUUUGUAUGCCCUUUUGGUUUAUGAAUGAAAUCUUAUUCUCAUAAAUAAAUAAAUAAACUUUCAAAAGACAAAAGCCUCACUAAUAACUUGGUCCUCUCAUUCAAUUUUUUCCCACAAUUUCUCAAUUUCUCUUACUCCAUAUAAAAAUACAUCUUUCGCACAAAUAUACUAAAGGGCAAAGUAAUAUUAUUAUUUUGUUUAUAUUUUAAAAAUAUUUGAUCUCUUUUUUAUUCAUAAAAAUAAAUAAACUUAAAUGAAAUUAGUGUUUAUAUCGAAAUUUAACAUGCUCCUAUGGGUUUAUAUUUUCUCACAAUCCAUAAAUAAAUAAAAAAUACAUUUUUCUUCCAAAUAUUCAACCCCCAAAAUAAUAUUCUUAUUUGGUUACGUUUUUAAAUACUUAAUGUCUUAUUAUUUUCUCCAAAAAUUUCAAAAUUUCUCUUAUUCAUUCAUAAAAAAAAAUUACUAAACUUAAACAAUAAGUGAGCAUAUUCUGUAAGUAACGAAGUUUAUUGACAAACAUUAUAUGUAAUCUUAAUCACACAAUCCCACCAUGAAAGUAAGUUUUAUAAAUUUGUUUUGUUAAAUUAGUAGAUAAUUGAUUAAAUAAACAUGUGUCAAAGUUUCAUUCAAAAUUUCAAUAUUUUCCAAAUGAUUUCCAUGAAUUUUAUUACAUUUUUACCGAUAUUUCAGUUGAAAUUUACGAGUUUUGGACCCUCGAUAUUUCUGAAACGACUGAUAUUUAAUACUUUGGAUUGAACGAAUGGAAUGAAGGGCUAGGAUUAAAUCAUUUAGGGUUACAGCUGCAUUUUGAAUGGCUGAGAUUUGUACACUUCAGUGAGGUAGUUUUGCAUCAAAGGUCGUGAUUAAAACACCACAUAGCUUUCCUAUUCCAAUUGGAAUUAUAAGUUGCACUCCUUAGCCCAACUAGCUUGCAAUUAGAAAUCCAAAUCCAAUUUGUUUUCCUCUUCUUGUGAUAACUAACUCUCCUAAUUGCAUGACUGACUAAUGUAACUUGUAACCGACUCCAAAAAUGUCCGCCUAGGUCAUGUGAUCAGCCAUAUAGGCUUGCUUGAUCACUUGGAUGAUGACAAGGCACUUUGACAAAGAUUCAUCAAAGAUACUUCCAUAAUGAGUCUUUCUUCUUAUUCCAACUUCAAGAAUGCAGCAAGAACGUCUUUUUAAUCUUCAAGGCUCCAAGAGUAGGUUUCUUGAUCAUCAAGAUAGGUUCUUGAUACUUUCUAUGCACGCCACCUUCCAAGAUUCAAUCUUUAAUGCUUCUUUCACACGCACCGGCCUUCUUCUCACUUUAUUGAUUGCACCAAUGCCCUAAAUCGGCUCCAUUUUCACUUUUGUGCUCAAUUGACCUACAAAACACAAAAACAAAGUAAAUGAUAGAAAAAAGCAGGGAACUAUGCAUAAAAAGUAAGUAAGACUAGCUAAAAAGAUAGGAAAUUAUGAACUCGUCAUGGUAAUGACGUGGAAGUAACAAGGAAAUACUCCAGUUGGAAAUUUGAAAUAAAUAAUUUAUAAAAAAAAUAAGAAAAGUCUUUGUUGUUGGAUAAAAUUCUAAGUCUAAAUUGUUCUUAGGGACAAUUUGGUUAUAUAAAAAUUGCAUUUAAUGUUGGCCUUGGUUUCCCAUGGGAAGGGAAAAUAAAACUCAAUUUGAGUGGAAGGUUUCAUUUUCCCCUUUUUUUUCCCAUGUGCCAGGAAAUCAUUUCCUAUACCUUGACUUACCAAAUGAUUUCCAAAGAUUUACGCACCCUAAUCUUUUAAUUAAAUGAAAGAGUAAUUGAUCUUUGGGACACUACAUAAACUUUUUCGUCACCUGACCUAAACUUUUACGUUCUCUCUAAAAUUUUCAGUUUUCUCUCAAUUUCCCUCUCAUUUCCGAAAAGCUGCGUGUCUGAUUCUCACUUUCCCUCUCUUUUACAUUCUUCCUCGUCUUCGUCUCCAAAAUUUGAUAACGAAGAAAACUUUCUUUGCAAGCCAAAUGUAUUUUCUCACUCCAUUUUUUUUUUUUUUCAGUUUCCCUAUCAUUUGAAGUUUUUUUUUUUAAAGAACGAGUCCCACUUAUACGGAUGAAUUCUGCAGCAUGGUGAUAGCAGCACAUCAGAUCACUAAGGGAGUUGCCAUUGGGGUGGCAAAUUCCCUUACUGCUCUUUUAGCUUCAUCCGCCAUAGAUGGGGGUGUCGGAAAAAUCCAACGUACCUGAAAAUAAAAAUAAAAAUUCUAAUUAAACUCUGAAUUAAAAUAUAUUGAUAUUAAUAGAAAAUAAAACAGUCCCCGGCAACGGUGCCAAAAACUUGUUGUGAAAUUAUUGCAAGCGCACAAUCCGCACAAGUAAUAUAGAAAUAAGUAGAGUGUUGUUCCCACAAAGACUAUAAUUUUCUAUUAACUACCAAUUAUGAUUAAUUCAAAAUUUUAUUUGAACAGUUGAUUAAAAAGAUUGAUUGACUUAAGUAAACAAAAGCAAUUAUGAAAAAUAGCAAUUUAAUUAAUGAUGGAAAAUCAAGUUGAUGAGGCACUAGAGCAUCUGAUUUCACCAUAACCAAUUCCACUUAAUUCUUAUAGCCAAUUAACCAUAAUUACUACCCAUGCUGACAGUUGGUUUUUCCUAAUUCAUUUGAUAUCCCCUCUCGGGCUCAACCAAUAGUAUUCCUAAUUAACAACUCAUUCUCUCUCAAGCAAAGGAUUUAGAAAAUCAAGAACCUAUUAAGUUCUAUGAGAACCUGCAUGAGUCCAGUUAGUCCCUCUCGGACACUCAUUCAAGACAUGGUAUUUAUUACGAGAAGCAAACACCAAAUAUCUCCUCUCAGUCUCCGCUUUGAUCAUCAAAUCAAUUAAAUAUUGCCCAGGUAUUCAAAGCAUUAAGAACAGUAACAAAUACUCAACAUGGAAUAAUAAUCAAAAAUUAAAAUAACUAUAAAAAUUAAGUAUUCAUGGUUAGGCUACAUCGUAGCCCUAGCAAGGAAAAUUAGGUCAUGACAAAAGAAAAGUGAAACAAGAGAAUUGUUGUCAUAAAACCGAUUUGGCCGAUGGAUUUGAUCGCUGGAUUCUCCACAGAAACACCUUCGAAAGCUCCUAAAGUAGUGCAGCAGCAAAUUCUUGGCUCUAUAUUUCUUUGGGUGUACGAAAGUUGGUGGAAAAAUAUAGUGGAAAAGAUGAUCGUCCCUAGAGAGAGCUUAGGGUGACCUUAUAUAGUGUAAACAACUAACCCUACUCUAAAAAGGUAUGGAAAAACUCUCCUAAAGCAAAAUAAAAUUCCAAACAAUUAAGGGACCUCAAUUAGGAUUAUAAAGCGUUUAAAAAGAUUUUAAAAAUCUGGAUGUAUUCAAUUUGGAUGUAUUCAAACUUUAAAAGAGGUUUUACAAGUCUGGGUGUAUUCAGUUCGGACUUAUAUGAACUUUUAAAGAGUCCAUUCAAAUAUGGGUGUAUUCAAUUAGGAUUAUAAAAAAGUUGAAUCAAAUCUAGGUGUAUUCAAAAGGUCAUAUAUUUGGAAGGAUUUCAUUAAGUGAUAAAUUUUCGUAGGUUUAAAGGGGAGAGUUCUAAAUAACAAAUACCAAAAUAAAUCCAACCUCCCUCCCAAGUAUUUCAUCAGAUGUUUUUUUGUUGCCCUAGCUUUUCUCUCUGCGAAGACGAACAACUUCCUUCCUCCAUCUGUGAAGGUAUGCUCCCUAUUUUUUCUUUGAUAUACCUUGUUGGGUUUUCUUUUUCCAUUUUUUCUUCAUCGUGUUUUCCUUGUUAAUAGGUUUAUGCUUGUUACUAGGGUUUAUGCUUGUUACUACUUUUUCUUCUGAAAUAUCUAUAUAUGACUAGAUAGAAAAUUGAAAUAAUUGACAAGCUUUCUAUAAUCAAACAAAAAAACUGAGACAAAUAUAAAUGAACAUUAAAAAAAUGAAAAUCCAAAAAUUUUAACUUUUAAAUGCUGUUUUGGAAGCCUAAACGACCUCAAAAGCCUAAAAUCCACCAUAUGUCACGGCAAAGCCGUGAGUUUGACUCAUGGCAUCAUUCCCUUUUCAAAUCAUACACCCCAAUCAGAGUUCGGACGCCAAAUCUGCAAAUUCCUACUGUGUCCUUUUUCCAUUCAACAUAAGAUGUGUCAUGUUUAAUCUAUGGUUGAUGAUGUACAUUUUUUGUUUAUUUUUUAUGCUGUAUUUUGUGAUUGACAUGAUAAAAUUCAUAGCUGCACUCAAAUGGAGUCUGAAAAUACACAACAAGUAAAUGGAAAAGGGAAGAGCAAACAAGAUUAUAAUGCUUGGACUGUGGAAGAGAGUAGAAUGUUGUUGCAACUCAUGGUUGAUGCUACAAGCCAUGGAUGGCGUGAUGCUAAUGGAAUGCUAAGCAAGGCAACUGUAGAAACCAAACUACUCCCCAAGAUUAAUGAAAAACUUAGGUGUCACAAAACCUAUUCUCAAUACCAGAGUCGGCUGAAGUACUUUAAAAGAGAAUACCAGAAAUACUCACAGCUUCUCCGUCACAGCUUUGGGUUUGGGUGAGAUCCAACCACAAAGAAAUUCACUGCUCCUGAAGAAGUUUGGAAAGACUACUUUAAGGUUAGGUUAUUAAAUUUUCUUUAAAUAAUUUCGUUUGGUAACUUGAAUACAUAAUCUGUUAAAUAAUUAUUUUUUUAUUAUUGUUUUUGUUAUAGUCCCACUCAAAAGACACAAGUAUUCAAACAAAAACUUGUGAGGACUACGAGGAUCUGCAAAUUGUAAUUGGGAAUGCAACUGCUAUUGGAAGAAACUCAUUAGGAUUGGAUGAUGAUACUGAUGGAAGAACUUUUAGGGCGGAAGAUAGAUAUGUUGGAAUAGAGGACUUUGUCUUUGAUGAUGAAAGUCAGGAGGAUGAAGAAAUUUAUGAAACAAUUUAGAAUUUAUUAAUGGCGAUUCAAGUAGUAGCUUAUGCAUUGAAUGAGAUUAUGAUGCAUAGUGAAGAAAUUGAACAUCCAUUAACUCGGCGACCAAUUACUAUGAAGGGAUAUAAUUAUAUACAACAUGUAUUGAAUGACGAUCCAGAGCAUUUCCGAGAAAGGUAUAGAAUGUAUCCUGAUGUGUUUCAAAAGUUAUGCAGUAUUAUUAGAGAAAAAACACUCUUACAAGAUAUAAGAUUCAUUUGUGUAGAAGAAAUGGUUGCGACCUUUUUGCUUAUUGUGGGUCAAAAUAAUAGAUAUUGUCUAGUACGUAAUACAUUUGGCCAAUCGCACUUCACUGCUAGUAAAAAUUUUAACAAAGUUUUAAAGGCCUUGAACACAAUAGCACCGGAGAUGCUAGCCAAGCCUGGAUCCGCAGUACCGGCAAAAAUAAGGGAAAGUACAAGGUUUUACCCAUACUUUAAGGUAAAUGUGUUAUCUGGUGCAACUUGUUUUAUUCAAUUUUUUUAUGUUUAAUAAUAUCUUUUAAACUUUUGGGUUUAUUUCAGGAUUGUAUCGGAGCUAUUGACGGCACACAUAUUCCAGCAAUGGUAACGAGACGCAACGUAAGUAGCUAUCGUAAUCAUCACAGUACGAUAUCACAAAAUGUAUUAGCAGCUUGUAAGGGUGGGAGGGCUCAGCUCAUGAUUCAAGAGUACUACAAGAUGCUUUAACAAGGAGGAAUGGACUUAAAGUGCCACAAGGUAUUUUUAAAUUUUCAAAUUUUUCUUAUAGUUUACAUUAGCUCAUACAUUGGAUACUAACAUAUAUGUAAUCUAUUAUCAGGUAAAUUUUUCUUAGUGGAUUGUGGAUUUCCAAAUCGACGCCAAUUUUUGGCUCCAUUUCAAGGUGUUCGAUAUCAUCUCCAAGAGUUUGGUGGUCAAGGUCGUACACCUGCAAAUGAAGUUGAGUUGUUCAAUCUUCGUCAUUCGUCCUUGAGGAAUGUCAUUGAGAGGAUAUUUGGUAUAUUUAAGUCACGAUUUACAAUUUUCAAGUAUGCACCUCCAUUCCCAUAUGCGACACAAACAGAGAUAGUGUUAGAUCUGACGAAUUUCCUGUUGAAUUGGAGGACGAAUCUUCUUCAUCUUCAUCGUUACCAGCUAAUGAAAGGGAUCCUGAACUAGUUUUCCAAACACAAGAACAGCAACGAUGGAAUGCUAAUGAAUGGAGAGUUGGUAUAGCUUUGGAUAUAUGGAGAGAUGCUUGGUACAAUGACAACAAUGAGAAUCAAGGAUAAUGAAUGAACGUUAAAUAUUUUCUUAAACUUUUCUUUCAAAUUUGUAAUACAUUUGUCACUAUAUUUCUUAUGAAUUUUGCUUUUUGUUAGACAUAAUUUUAUUUCAUGUUGUUAAAGGAAAAGAUGUUAUGAAUUUGAUUUUUUAUUUCAUCUUUUUUAUAUACAUCAAUGUUACUAUAUACGUUGACAACAUUGAAAGUACUGUGCAAACAGGUACUAUGCAUACGAAAAGUACUAUGCAUAUUUGACACAGCAUUCAUGGUCAAAUAGGUACUGUGCAUACGAAAAGUACUGUGCAUAUUUGAAACAGCAUUCACGUCAAAUAGGUACUGUGGAUACAAAAAGUACUGUGCAUAUUUGACACAGCAUUCUUGGAUUAUUCUUUUCAUUUUGAACUGUGCAUAUGUUCUUCCAUCGCAAACAAGUACUUUUUGUUUUUGCUUUGGGUAACAAAAACAAAUUUGAUUGAAAAAUUUCAAGUUUCUUUCUUUAAAUGACAAGGAUGGGGAUAAAAUGAAAUAUACUGUCUACAUAAGUCUAGAAUAAAAGCCUAUCAAGUUCUAUGAAAGCUUAAGAAAGUUUAUUAAAAAAAUUAUACAGAAGUCUUCUAAAAGUCUAUCAAGUUCUAUACGAAUUAUAAAGUUCCAUCAAGUUCUAUGAAAGCUAGCACUUAAACAAAAUCUUUUUAAACGCUCUAGAAUCCUAAUGGAAUACACCCCCCUAAGAAAACAAACUAGGAAAGAAUCAUUCUUUGACUUGGAAACAUGUCAGCCAACUUGCAUGCAUGUUUUGGGAUCAUUCCACUUCCUAGAAAAUUCUGGAAAAAUAUGAGAAACGUAGCUUUAUGUCUAAGCUUUCCUAGAAUAUAUUACACGCCACUAGGAAAAAUACGAAAGGUCUUCAAAUCUUCAAUCUUCCACAACAGUGCAGUUCUGGCGGGAUUUUAACUUAAGCUAUCUUGACUUGCAAGUCUGGAGCAUUUGGCUUGGUAGAAAAUUAUGAAACUUUGACACAAUGAUCUUCAAUGUCUUAACUUUCUUUUCCAAUUAGCCUUAAUCUAAAAUUCAUUCGAAAAGUCAAUUUUGCAGUCGAAAUCCUUCCAAGAGUGCAGAAUAGCUGAAAAUAAGGAAAGUAAUGUAAUAAUGCUCUUUUUAAUUAACUUUCCCUAUAAAAAUCAAAUAUAAGAUGUAUAAAAAUAUAGGAAAUAAUGCACUUAUCACUUGAUCCCUCAGUAAGGGUACGUAGGGAGCCUGGGCUCUCACCCAAGUGCAGCCGCAAGAUAUACCAUAUUUUUGGACUUUAAUUUGGUUUGUGGUUGUGACGGGGCGGAAACCUGUUUUAGAUUGAUGAAUGAUUGUUGAAGUCUUUACAACUACUUAUGACUGUGCAUGCUGAGGUUUGGACAUUUUAAACUGCAUUUUAACAAGUUGAAAAUUUUGGUUAAGUCUGUUUUUUAGGGGAGACUCUGCCGAAAUUUCAACAGAAAGUCUCGACCGUCUCCUCCUUUGAUUUGGAAGAGAGAUUAGGAUGUUAACAAGUGGGCCCGGCAUCGGUUGGAUGUUGGAAAAACCACAGAAUUCGUCACAGAUUUCGAGGGAUUCGGGGCGGGUCCUGUCAUCUCCCCCUGAAAAGAAUGGGUCAUCGGAGCCAAGAAAUAAGCAAUAUUUUCAUACUUCAAGGUAAUGGGGAUACGUCAAUAAACAUAUCAUUUGCAAAGAGAAUUCAAGCACAAGUCACAAGAGAACCUGGCUCUGAUACCAAGUUAAACAAAGUUAGGCAAAUAUUCAGUUAUGCCCAUAUGUGUAUUCUUCUCCAAUGUAGAGGUAUUUAUGAAGAAGUAUAAAGAUGUGUUAACCCUAAAUAACAUAAAAAAUAGAACUAAAUUAUAAUAGAAAAUAAAUCUCAAUUAUAAUAAGACUAGCCAAAUAAAUAAGUAACCAAAUCAAAGUCCUAACUACAUAAGAAGUCGCCAACACUUCUCACUUCGAAGAGUUCUUUCCUAUAUACACGUUCAGGUGCUAUUGCACCAGUGCUCCUGACAAACUGAACAAAAAACACCAAAUAAUUCACAUGCACAUCAAGACAAAAGCACUCAAAAGCAGAAAGCUUAAAAUAAAGCCAAAAGGUGCACUCGUCAAGGGAAUCACAGAAAAUUUGAAAUAAAGCCAAAUUCCCUCAUAUCCAAAACAACCAACCUCUCUUCAAAGUAAAAUGGAUGAAAGAAAUAUAGAUUACAAGAGGAAGCCAAACUACAAUAAUAUCAUAGAAAAGGAAAACAACAAGCAUAUCAGCAUCAGAUAGGAAUUUGGAACCAGAGCCACUUCACUCUUGAGACACAGGCAUUCAUUUAAAUGGCACUGAAAAAAGAACUUGGACUGGGAGGGGUUGGGAUGUCCACGGUCCCUUCCAGCAUCAGCAGAACUUUCUUCAUAGAGGGACGGAGCGAUGGCUCAUCCUGGAUGCACCAAAGUCCCACUUUAAUCAUCCUUUCAAAUUGCCUUCUCUCUAUCUCUUCAUCACCCGCUAAUUUGCCAAGUUCACCCUUCUCAAAACAAUGGGAGGCCAAUUCAUCCAAAAUAGCCUCCUCCUCAGGAAGACUCCAAUCCACGUUCCUUCGACAACAUAUGAUCUCCAACAGCACAAUUCCGAAGCUGUAAACAUCUGCUUUAACCGUUAUCGGCAUUUUCCUAUGCCACUCCGGUGCAACGUACCCCUUGGUUCCUCUGAUUCCAGUAGUGGUUCUAGUUUGGUCUGCCUUAAGCAGCUUUGCCAAUCCAAAGUCGGAGAUUUUCGGGCACAUGAACUCAUCUAGUAGUAUAUUUUGAGGCUUUAUGUCACAAUGGAUGAUCUGUGUAUCACACUCUUCAUGGAGAUAAAGAAACCCCCGCGCUAUGUUACGAGCAAUGCCCAUUCUUUCUUCCCAAAAUGGUUGCCUUUCACGGGUGAAGAGCACAUCUGCAAGUGAGCCGUUGCUCAUGUACUCAUACACCAAAAGCUUUUUAGCUCCGUCAAGGCAAUACCCAAGUAAACGGACUAGAUUCUUGUGAUGGGUUCUCCCAAUAACUCUGAUCUCAGUCUGAAAUUCUGUUUCCCCUUCAGCUGCAACUUUCUCUAGUCUUUUGACAGCAACUGGUUUUUGGCUACCCAAAAUCAGCCCUUUAUAAACUGUUGACGAGGCUCCUCUACCAAGCUCUUCCUUGAAAUUAUUAGUCAUCUUUUCUAGCUCUUCAUAAGCAUAUCGUCGCAGUGCCACACUCUCAUUCAAUUCAAGGUCACCAUUCACAGCUCUCAUUCUUUUAUAUGCCCAGACAUUGUGUUUCCACAACACAAUCACGGAAAUCACCAACAAAAUGGAUCCAAAAGCAGUAAAUGAAAGACCAAUAAUCAGGAUGUCAGUUCUACCUUUUUUCUUGCUUCCUGGUUGAACAAUUCUAGGUUCUGUACCUGGUUUUGUAGGUACACCUACCUUGAUGAGAGCUAUGUUUGAAGUUCCGAUGUCUCUUCUACCAUAUCUCAAAGGAAGCCUCUGCUUUCUGCAGUUUGUACCGUCAAAAAGCGCAGCUUCACAGUUACAAUCCUCCAGACAGCCUUGUAUGCAAGCGUCUUUGUCAGAUAAUCUCGAACUCAUAUACGAAACAUCUUCCCAUGUUGUGCUUUCCAGCUCUUCCAUGGUGUAAGUGAAAUUCUCAUUCCUGUUUUUGCACGCAUCCGCAACAAAAUUCCUCUCGCACCCGGAUGUCUGAUUUCCCUGGCUGACAGAUUCGAAUCCCGGAAGACAUCUACAGUCAGCCUGUAGAUCAAUUGAGACACAAUAGCUAUUCAAUCCGCAUAGGCCUUUAGGGACACACUCAUCCUUGGAAGACUCCCACUCAACUAACCAAGUUGCACUCUUUUUCAAAUCAUGUGAAUACAAACGAAAUAUCCCACCUACAUCAAUUCUCAUAAGAUAAAGUUUUCCUUCAUCAGUAGGAAGACCUCCAUCUGUUAUAUUCCGAAUAUUCGAACCAUUCCUGUUGAGCAAGUAGAGAUGGCCAUCAGCACCAAAAUUAAGUGUCACAUUCUCUCCCUCACCAUCAGUGAAAGAUGAAUAAAAAGAAUAAACACUGGUGUCUGGAGUAUCUACAGGGUAUUGAACAAGGUUUCCAUCAUUUUGCAUUUUGAGACGGAAAAUCCCCGUUGAGUGAUCAGCUUCUGAUUUCGCAGAGAAAAGUUCGUCUCCUGAUAAAAGGCGUUGACUGGGCAAAAGGGUGUCGGUUGGAUGAUCAAAGCUCUGCCAUACUAUUUCCCGACCAGAAUUGUACAGUACGAAAUUACCCGAAUCAAGCAUGGAAGCAUAAGAAGCAGGGCCAGAAGAUUUUGCCAAGUAAUUUUGGCCUUCUGCUGUUGGCAAGGCAAGGCCGUCACUUGUGAAGAGCAAGGUGGCAUUGUUGGAGACUGGUGGAUCAUCUCGAUUCGCAGUCCACACGACCGUCUCUUCGGGAAUUCCAGCAAGAAAUAUCCCAACAGCAUAGCCAUUGCCUUGCCUGUAAAAUCCAAAGGCAUAUAGACCAGAACGUGACAGCCAUGUGGAGUUGGUGGUUGGUGUUAAUGAAGAGCCCCGGCUUAUAUUCGACUGCAUCUGUUGUGCUUCAGCAGCAACAAAUGCCAAGGCAAGAAGAAGGCAUGCCAUGCAAGCCAUCGAAAAAUGAUCUCAGUGUAACUUGUCUUCCUCUUCCUUUGUUUUUUUUUCCUUCUGCAGCACUCCAGAAAAUUGGUUCCAAUGCAGUAUGAAGUUCUAAUUCUGAAUUUCUGUUUAAUUUAAGGUGGAUUGUGUAAAUGAAUUCUUACGUGUUUCUUCUCUCUCUGUGGAGUAGUUUUCCACCCAUAUGUAAUUCACUUUACCAUAAGAAGAUUCAAAGGAGAGAUACAAUAAGUCCUAGUCCGGUCGAAUGCGUUGACGGAGACUUUUGGGUCCAUGUAAUUAACUAGACACAGACUGAGACUUCGUUGUCAACAUGAAUUUUCAGAACCGAUAUUAUGAUCUGAAGAAUUAAUUUUAUAAUUAAGUCAGCAAAUUGACAUCACUUACGUGUCCAAAAGAUGCACCAAAUUUUCCAUUAAAUUUUUUGUUCAAAUUCUUUAUUGACUUUAUCGUCAGAUUGUUUAACUUUCUCCUAAAUUUGUCGCUAAUGGUAGGUCCCAGAAUUUGUGAACUUGACUUUGUAGACUUUUCCAAUCUGAUGUAAGGAAAACUAGUCAAGUCGUUUUCUUCUUUAUGGACAAUGAAUCGGUCCAAAUCAAACCAUUCAGGUGCAUUUUUCUUCUUUCAUUUUAGGGUUUUUUACGGUUUGCCCCCUGAAUUAUUUGUAUAUUCUCAAUUUAACUCCUUAACAAAUUUUUCGAUAAAUUAAAGACUUCAAUUGUUUUUAAAUCGCCAAUUGAGGACCUUUUUAACAAUUUUUUGUCAAAAUUAAGGAUAAAUUCGUCAUUUAAAAUAAUUAGCAUUUAAAAUAAGAGAUAUUUAGUGAUAUACCCAUUUCCAGUACUAAUAUUAUAAAUAAACCCUACACAAUUGAAUUUCUAUAAACAAACCCAAAAAAUGACAGCUGGCCUUAUUGAAUUUAAUAUUAAUUAUUAAAUUACUUUGAUGCCCUAUUAAGUGUUUUGGAUAUUUUUAUGAGAUUUUGGAGUUGGACUUGUUUUAAGAAAUUGAUGGCAGUUUUGUAAUUUAUAAGAAGUUAAAAGCUUUUUUGUUAUGUUGUAAAUGGGUUUUGGGUGUGUUUCUAAAGUCCAUUUCAUAUGGGGUAUUUUUAUAAUUUGGGCCUCCAUAUUGGGUAUAAUAGUGAAUCUCCCUUAAAAUAAUCGACUCAACCUCGACCUCCCCCUUCCCUUCCCCAUCCUUCCCCUUCUGUCUCCCCCCUCUUCCUCGCCUUCCCCUCCUUCCUCUUCCAUCUUCCCCACCCUCCACCUUUGAUCUCUCUGUCCUUACACUCCCCUUCCCCCGCUCCCAAUACCAGACCCAGCCGCCCAAAUCUCUCCACUCCACUCCCCGAAUUCGGUGGCUUCUAUCCAAUUCAUGGAGAACCCAAAAACCGACGAGGUCUCAAGAUUAGGCUAAACCCAAUUGAAAACGAGCCUUAUGCUUUGGAUGAUGGGUCUAUGGAGGCUGGGUUUGAAAAUCAAGAAAAGCCAGCAUCUUUCGCAAGCCAGCAUAAAGAAAAUCCAUUUUUCCUCUAUUGUUAACCUUUGUGUUGGGAUUAGACAAGCCAAGAAAGGAUUAGAUCCGGAAUCUCCAUUGCUUUAGGAUUCGAGAGCAACCAUAAAGCAGCCACGACCUCUUCCCUUCUUAGUCUCUCUUCGACACAACGCAGCCCCAGCCCUCGACGUCGUCGCAUAACACCACUUCUAAUUUGGAUUAAUCUUAAUUUUCAGCAAAAUUACGAAUUUGGCCUUAAUCUAACGGAAAAGUGGAUGGUGUUCUUAAGAAUCUGACAGUAGGCCCUCAAUAGGUGGUUUUAAAAUAAUUGCAGUUCUUAAUUUACCAAAAAACUUAUUUAGGGCAUAAAUUAACAAUAUAAAAAUAGUUUGGGGGGUAAAACUCCAGAAAACCCUUGGUUUUAAUACCCUACUACGUAAUUUUCACGGAAGAAGAUAAGCAAAGGCAUCAUCAAAAAAGAAACUUUACAAUCUCAUUCAACAUGGCUAUUGACCAGUUUAGACCAGUUUAGCCUUUAGAAGUCCUUGCUUUGUACUGAUGGCUUCUAGUUCCAAAACCAUCUCAUACGUUAUACUAAUGGAACCUGCUACUCAAACAUUCCUAGAGUCCCUUCUUUUAACCCAAAAAAAAAAAAAAUACAUACAUUCCUUGAGUCAUUAUGAAUAACAAAUCAGUAGCAGCGUGACCAUAUUACAGACAUGCCUCAGCAUUUAGUUUAAAAUAAUCUAAACUAGAUGGUUUCCAUACAAUUCUUGUACAAGAAGAAUGUUAUCGUUUUUUCACACCAGUUCCAACUUUUUUUUUCCCCCCCAAAAUGAAAGGGAGCUAAAGAGGACCAAUAAGAACAAAUCCAAUGUACUAAAUUUAUAUUAACUAAGGUGGGGAACGUAAGAAUGUGCCUUACCUGUUGAGAAAAAGUACAAUCACAAAAAGUUAGGAGAGACUUUCUGGAUCAGUAUUACCGAGGGAAGACCCAGAAUAGACUGAUGAUGAGCAAACGUGCCCGAUCUUUAAGUUUUUUCAGAAGGAAUGAUGAUGCAAAACCUAGAUUUUAUCAUUUGAGGAGGAAACUUAAGUUUCCAAAUAUUAUAGAAAUAAGAGGCUAAGUGCACUGCAUUCAUGCUUGUUUACGAGACGAAGGAAAAGAUAGAACAUUUGUUACAAGGGGGAAGAAAUAUAAGUAGUUCUAUGAACACAAUUCAUUAUUCAUAUAAUGUAAUGUACUCGUUGUGGUAUAAGUGUAUUAAAAGAUGCAUUUAUAAACAAGUAGUCAUUUGUGUGUAGACAGCGCAAAUAAUGACAGUUUUGAAGUACCUGGAACAUCAACAAGACAAUUUCCAAUAAACACAAGCGACUCAGUUAGCUGCUACAGUACAAUCAAGCUUCACGUCUCAUUCAAGGAUCAAAUUCAUCUCUCACUCUAUUAGGUGGACUUCGAAGCUUUGUCCAGGAUGUCAAAAACACUUUGUAGAGUCAUCUCCUCCACAAUAACAACCUUGUCUCUUGAUUUGGAGCCAGAACCAAUAGAAACCUGCCUUCUUUUUACCCCUAAAACCUGUAAUUUGGGAAGAAUGAGAAUUUGAAGUUUCCAAGCAUAAACAUUAAUGGUUGAGCAGACCAAAUAAACUCAGGGGUUAAGACCUCAAAACAAAAUUGAUAAAUUAGGUGCAUGCAACUCAAAACCAUUUGGCAAUGGGUGUAGAGGCCUUAGGAUUUCUAAAGUAAGAUGCACGGCUUAGAAUGCCCAAUAUGAAACUUUAUAUUCUUGCUAAAAAAUUAUUAGAAAACUAUGCUACAUUUCACUCAUGAUAAUACAAAUUAGACCCUCAAAAGUAUAGGCCUCAUUCUGUAAAGUGAAAUUAAUCUUCCCUUCGAACUUUCUCAAGAAUCUGUUCUGUCACAAAUCCUUUGCCAACCCUGCCACAAAGCUACUGAGCCACCUUAUCUUGCCAACUUAUAAACAAAUGAUCGGUACAGAAGUAUAUUUUCAUGUAUAUGUGUGUGCACGACUUUAGAAUGUAUUUGAAUGUAGAAGUUCAACAUACUUAAAGUCAUAAAUGAGUAACUGAAAAAUGAUAACAAAAAUAUAUCUCUAGAAACAAUACCAGCUGAAGUAUAUAAUCUACCCAAAAUGCAAAUCAGUGUUUGACCAAAUAAUCUAUCAAAUCUAUUCUUUCUUACUAGCUAACUGCAGUGUAGAUAGGAUGGACGGGUGGUAUGAAGUGGUCCAGGAAUAGACAUUUUAUGCUUGGGGGAGAAAGAAGAAAUCCACCCUUCACACCCUGCACUGUGGCUAUUCUUGGCCACAUCACACAUCAUCUUGAAAUGAAUAAAUUAGACAUAAGGAAACCUUAGAAGAGCUCAUUUCCACCCCUUGCGCCUUUCCACAAGCUCAUGCCAUGAGUAAGUUUGUUUCACCAUUUCAGAUCACCACUUCACCUCACUUUUCUCUAGUUUGGCUCAAUAUUUCUCUCCUUUGCAAGACCAAAUCACUUCACAAUCAAAGGUUGGUUAAAGCAACGACAAUCUCAACCAAAAAGAUACAAACAAAACAUCACUUCCCCAACAAAGCUCGGUUAGAGCAACAGCAUUAGACCAACAAAUUACAAAUUAAAGCAUCACUUCCCCAAUUGAAAUUAGCAUAAGCAAUCACAAUGAAUGUUAGGAUCUUUCAAGAACCACACAAUCUUCUUAAGACACAGCACACUAAUCACAAAAACCCGAAACAAGUAAAUGCAACUCCAAGUCUCCAACCCACUAACAAUAAUAGGAUGAUGCACCAAUCCGUAUAAAAAAGCUCAAAAAACAAAAAAAAAAACAAAAAAAACAAAAAAAGACAAAAAAGGUUGAAAAGGGAUAACCCAAAAAGAAACAGGACCAACCGAGCUGAUGUAGUCGAGUAGGGCUGCAUUAGCUUCCCCGUCCUUCGCAGGCGCGUCUAUUUGCACCCCCAACGCCUCAUCACUGAAAUCUUCAUUUCAAAAAAAUAGAAAAUUAUAUUCUAUAAAUACACAGACCUAUACAUAUAAAAAUAGAGAGAGAAAGAGAAGGACCAGUGAUGGAGGCGAUUUUGGAACCAGGCUUGGCGUGUAUGGUUAUGGCGACUGAGGAGGGAGGUAUGUACCGAAUAGAGGUUGGGAAAUUGUUGUUGGGGUUUACGGGCUGAGUUGACUCGGCCGGGUUGGCCUUGGCCUUGGCCUUGCCCUUCUUGGCUGGUGCCAUUUUUUUGUUUUUUGUUUUUGUUUUUGUUUUUCCUCUCUCUCUUCCCGCUUCAGAAGCAAGACUUCAUCGGCAGGGUUGGUCUCAGGGUUCUUGUUUGGAGAGUUAAAGGCCCACUAAAAACUUUUGACAUUUAAGGCCCAUUAAUAACUUUGGAGACAUAUAUGAGGAAUUUUUUGGUGCCCAUUUAUGAACAAAUGGAGGAGUAUUUUUAGAAUUUGUGAUGGUUUUUGGGUAGCAUUUGAUCUCGAUUGAUUAGUAUUACAAAUUUGACCUUCGGACACAAAUAUGGGGAAAUGAUCAAAAAGUCCUUAAAAUACAAGAUGCUUCUAAACCCGUCCUGCAUGCUUCCUGUUGGAAUUUUAAAAGGUUUUAAAAAUUUAACCGUUUUAUUUAUUUAAUUAUUUUGGUUGUUUUAUUUUAUUUAUUGUGGGGGUUAUAAAUAUUUAAUAUUUAGGUUUUAUGUAAUGACCCAAACCUAAAAUUCAUAUUUAAUUAGUAAUUUAUUAUGCGGAAAGACAAUUUUGCCUUUGGAAUAAAUUAUGAACGAAAAGUUGACUUUUUGACCGAAAAGGAAUUUGACAAUUCCACAUACACCGUUGCGUAGAGCACGACGAAAUGAGUUCAUAGACAUAAAGUGAGCUCGAAUCGGAGUUUUAACGAAGAAAAUGCGAUUAAAUAUCACGAGGGGCAAAAUGGUAAUUAGAAAAAUCAGAUUUUUUUUAUAUAACCUCAGUUUCUCUCUCUCUCUCUCUCUCUCUCUCUCUCUCUCUCUCUCUCUCUCUCUCUCUCUCUCUCUCUCGUCGCGACUUUCCCCCCCUCCCCGACAGUUUUUUUUUCUUCGAUCGCCGUCGCCGCCACAGACCACCACCGGCCACGAGACCGGUCUUGUUCGAACCGUCAUCUCCUCCUCUCCUCGUUCCACCUGGUUUCCGUCGCCGUCAGCCACUCCAGCCGCCAGAAACUGCAGAAAAUCGAGCGGUGUGACCGGAAUUUCACGGCCGUCGUUCUCUCUCAUUUCUCAACCAAAUCGGACGAGCCAGGUAUGAAUUUUGACCCUCUCGAGCUGUUCUAGCUGCCUGUUGGGUAGGAAUUAAUCGGUUCUCAGUGUAGAUAAUGAAUUUUUGAAUUGGAAAUUCGGCCGGUUUACGGCCUCCUUGUUUGGCCACUUCCGGUCAGUUUUCGGGGUUGGUCCAAGAACAAAAGUGGUUCCAAAUAUGGUGUUAUACCUAGGGUAGGAGUUUGGAGCCUUGGUUUUGAGAUUUUCCGGCGAUGCGUAAUCGCUUUGGACACCCAUCGCUGCCGGCGCGUGCGGCGGUGCGUGGGCGAGGGUGGUGCAGUGACACUGUGUCUUGAUACGAUCCUUAGGUCGUCAUGAGCGCAUAGGAAUUCGCGGAUCUCAAUUUGGAUACCGUUUGAGCCUCGAACGGAUUUUCCAUAUUGUGCGAUUAUCGGGUUCAAUACUGUUGAGCCGUUGGAUCGUAAUCAAUUUUAGAUAUGUUAUUCUAGAUAAUUUUAGAAACGUGUAGGAUUCGACGGAUUGUGAAUCGGAGUCCCAGAUACUCCGAAAUUGCGAACCCUAGGGCUAGGGUUUAGAAAUUAUGCGAUUACAGGAUUGUGAUCGAUCCGACCGUCCGAUUGACACCAAUACCCUCGGGACAUGUGUCCUAAAUAUAUUGGACCUUCUAGCGGCAUCCGGAUCAUAUUGUGAGGUCAUGGACCCGUGGAGUUCCGGAUUGACUUUUUGGACUUUAGCGCUAUUUGAGUCCUAAGAUACCGCUAAACUACCCCACGUGGAAGGAAAGCUGUUAUGGCAUAGGGAUCACUUUAAAUUGACGCACGUACUUUUAGGAGCCGGGUGUAGGGUUUUUAAUUUAAUACUAUAUUGUAUUAAUAGAAUAUUAUGGUCAUUGAAUCAGGCACCCGGGCACCAGUUGACCCGUAGGAGGGACCUUCAAGAGGUCCAGCGAGCUCGGACUAUCAGUAAGUGGACUCUUUGUUUUAAUAAAUGAAUUUAAGCAGUUUAGUUUCAGUUAUAAGUUGUUUUAUUCUGUUAAAUAUUUUAUGUUGCACGCUGCCGAGUGAAAUCUCCUUUAAAGAAUAUAGGAACAGAUAUUCUCGUUCAUUAUCAGAUAAAUGGAAGCAGAAUUUUAAAGGUUAUAGAAAGUUAAUUAUUCAUAAGAUUUUCUUCAGAAACUUUAUAUUUUCUUAAACCACCUUGUACCCAGAUAUUAAAUGUUGCCUUCGGAUUAUAUUUGUUGCCUUCGGUUUAGUCAGCAUGCUUGACAGUUGCCCCACGAUUUCCUUGGUACUCGAACUCAUGUGGAGCGAGUAAUGCGGAUAAAGGUGGACUACGGUCCCCUGAAUCCUGCGAGUUGCGGCUCGGACUGACUUCGUGUCACUGAGACCUGCGAGUAUGUGUCACCCAUGGUGAUAUAAGGAAUUGACGGAUAUAAAGAAUUGACGGAAAUAAGGGUACACCUAGGUGAUAGUUUAAACUGUUUUCAAAUGUAUAUAAUUAUAUACAUGCAUUGGUUUCAGAAAUAAAGAAAAUAAGCUAGUUUGUAUAACUGUUUUUACAGUGGGGUUAGUAUGUUCUUAUACUAUUUUCUCAACUUUGUUUUUGGGUCCACUCACCCUUAUUGUUGUUUUGCGCCCCCAGGCAGUAGACGUGCACAGGAAUCCACCACCGGGCCACUUCCCAUCUUCCGCGCCUUUCUUCUCAUGUAGGAUUUUGUUUGUAAACGGAUUCACUCAUUUGUAAAUUCUUAGUAGUUGCUCUGAUGUUUUGCCCUAGACUGAGAUUUGAACUGUUGGAAUGUAUAUAUACGUAUGCUGGCAGUUGGUUGUAUAUAUGUAUACUUGUUUGGCAGGUGAAAAUAUUUUGGUAUUGAGCCAAUUACAAGGGAAACUCUGCCGAUUUUUCAGUAGAAGUCAACCUUGUUAUUUUAUCAUGUUUUGUGUUGAGGGGCAAAUAGGUCAUUUGUGCCCGACAUUCGCAGGUGUCGAACACGCACAGGGUCUUGUUCGGAUUCCAAAGCGGAAUUUGGAUCGGGUCCUGUCAUUUUAUUUUUGGUUGGUGAAUGCCUUAAUUUUUUGAUUGGUGAACUUUUAUGGUUAGUGAAGGUUACAUAUUUUUGGAUGCCUAUAAAAGGCCACUCCUCCUUCACAUUUGAAAUACACACAAUAACACACAAUACAUUAACAUUCUAAUUCUCUCAUUGUCUACUUUUACAUAUAUUCUCUACUUUAUAUUAUUAUUAUUUUGGGCAAUGGUUAUGUGACUUGGAUGCCUAUAUCUGUCUGUGAACGUGCUCAUAGCGGAUCUUGAGUUUGUGUACAAGGGAUCGUAUCUUGGAGUCUUGUAGACCGUCAGUACCUGCACGUAGGGAGGCUACAAAGGCUUUAGGACAGUGUCUUGCUUCACCGUACCAAACUCACAUUUUUACUUAUUAUUUAUUUUCCUUUUACUUACCUAUUAUUUUGUUUUCUUCAAUUUCAUUAUACCUUCAAAGCUUUCCAAUUUGUUUAUAUGUUAUUUAUAAUAUAAAUAUUUUGUAUUUGGCUUUACUAAAAGAGGAAAACUAUUAUUUUUUAUAACACUUCCAAAUAAAAAGACUUGCAAGUCUUGCUCCUUUCACUCCACCAAAGAUAAGGCAUUUUUGUAGUGUGUAUAUGAAAUUGCUUAUUUAUUUGUGUGCAUGUGAUGUGUAAGUGGUAUGCAUGUGAUGUGACGCGCAUAUAAUAUGUAAAUAGAACUGUCGGAAGGGAAACAAUAUUGUAUAUAAGGGAGAAAUCCCCAAAGUGAGAGCAUUAGGAUACCAAAAAAUAAAUAAAUAAAUCAGUGGUAGCGCAGCAUGGAAGAGAAAUUGGCAAGAUGGGGAAUGUAAUAACUCAAACUUUAAUUAAUAUUUAACUAUUAAACUAUUAAGAGGAAAUGACACUUUUGCCCUUAGAAUAUUCUAGUAAAGGAAAAGUUGACUUUUUGCCUGAGAAAGAAUUUGCCUAUUCUACUUGCAUCGUUGCGUAGAGCGCGACGAAACGAGUCCGUAGACACGAAGUGGACUCGAAUCGAAGUUGUAACGAAAAAAAUACGGUCAAAAUACUUAGAAGGGCAAAACGGUAAUUUUGAAAUCAGAAUUUAAAAAAAAAAAAUCUGACUCUCUCUCUCUUCCCUCACUCUUCUUCCUCAUACCACAGCCCGCGCUGCCCACCCUCCCCCGCGUUUUUUUUUUCUCUAACCCGUCACCUUCAAACCUCCAUAACCACCGCCACACUCCACUCCAACCGACGGGACCGGACCCAAUCGAACCACCGCCGCUUCCUCUUCCUUUCCCGACCGGUCCCUGCCCUUGGAACCGCUGUUUUUCGCCGAAAAAAUCUCGGAAUCGCGCCGGAGUUGACAGAACUUUCAAGCUUUUGUUCUCCUUCAUCCGGCCACCAAAUCGGACGAGUGAGGUAUGGUUUUCUAGCUAUUUUCCAUGCUCUAGCUGCUGGUUGGGUAGGAUUCCAGAAAUUCCAAGCAUAGAUCGUUCGAUUUUCCAAUCUAGGUUUCAGCUGAUUUUGAAAGUGUGAUUCCGGCCAUUUCCGGCCACUUUUUGGGAUAGGUCCAAGAACAAAAGUGGUUCCAAAAUGGGUGUUUUACCUAAGUUAGGAGUUUGGGCCGGCGGUUUGGAGUUUCUGACCGCCAGGAAUUUCUCAAGCCACCCACGCGUUGCCGCGCAUGUGGCGGCGCGUGGGCAGUUUGGUGGGGACCACACUCAGUCCUAAAAUGAUCCUUGUGUUGUCACGAGCGCGUAGGAAUUUGCGAAUCUUAAUUUGGAUAAUGUUUGAACCCUGAACGGAUUUCGCAUCUUGUGUGAUUUCCGGGUUCAAUGGGUUUGAACCUUUGUUCGUGUGUUUGUGACCAAACCAACUGUCCGUUUGAGACCAAACUGUUGGGACUUGUGUCCUAGGUUUAACGGAAUGUUAAUGUGGGCAUAGGAGUAACUUUAAUUGGAUGCACGCACUUCUAGGAGUUGGGGGUUAGGGUUUUAUUUAAAUAUUUAUAUAGAGCAAUUUUAUUAAUAUAUAUUAUUAUGAUAAUUGAAUCAGGCACCCGGGCACCAGUUGACCCGCAGGAGGGACCUUCAAGAAGUCCAGCGAGCUCGGACCAGUUGUGAGUGGACUUUUCUUUUAUAAAUGAUUUUAUGCCAAUGAGUUUCAUUAUUUGAUCUUGAAUAAGUUUUAUUGAUUAUGAUUUUCCUAGCAUGAUUUGUUGAAGUUAAAUAUCUUUAUUUAUAUGCUGCCUAGUUGAAAAUGCUAAAAAGAUAUGAAAAGUAAAGAUUGAGAUAUAUAUCAGAUAAAAUGGCAGCAGAGUUCUAGAUUUAACAAAAAUUCAGUUAUUCAUCAGACCUUUCAGAAAUUUUAUAUUUUCUUAAGCCACCUUAGGGACCCAGUUAUAGAAACAGGUUGCCUUCGGUCUAUGUUGCCUUCAGAUAUGACGAUGUCCAGGGACAUCCAGGUUGCCUUCAGUUCUGUCAGCACGCUUGACAUCUGCCUCAUGAGUUUCGAGGACGCCCGGACCGUGGGAGCCAGGAAUGCGGAUCAGGCUAACUACGGUCCCCUGAAUCCUGCCAGUUUGCGGCUCGGGUUGACUUUGUGUCACCGAGACCUACCAGGGAAAUUGACGAAUUAUCAGGAAUUGACGGAUAUCAGGAAUUGACAGAAUUUAAGGGGUACACCUAGGUGGUAGUUUUAAACUGAUUUCAGUGCUUUUAAGAGUUUAAAAAUGAUAUGAGUAUGCUUGACAUAUACUUAUAUAUAUAUAUAUAUGUAUAUGAGUGCAUUGAUUUCAGUAUUUAUAUGAUUAAAAGAAUGAAUUAGUUUUGUAUAACUGUUUUUAUAGUGGGGUUAGUAUGUCCUUAUGCUAUUUUUCUUAAAACUUUGUUUUUGGGUCCACUUACCUUUUAAAUGUUUUGCGCCCCCAGGCCGUAGACGUGCAUCUGAAAGCCACCACAGGGCAGUUUCCGCUUCUUGCAUCUCGUAAGCUUAGUGUAGGGUCCUUGACCCUCCAAAUGUUGUUCUUAUAAAUUAACCUGUAUAGAUGCUCUGAUAUUGCCCCUGGGCUCAAACUUUACUGUUGAUUGUAUAUAUUUGCAUGUUGGAAGUUGGGUUGUAUAUAUAUGCUUGUCUUGACAGGUGAAAUUUUUGGGAUUGGACAAAUUACAGGGGAGACUCUGCCGAAUUUUCGGUAAAAGUCAAGGCUAAAAUGAAAUUAAGUUUGUAACCAGAAGGGCAACCAGGUCAUUUGUGCUCGGCACUUGCCAGGUGUCGAUCACGAACAGGGUUCAGCUUGGAUUCCAAAGGAGAAUUUGGGUCGGAUUUUGUCAGGAAAGAGAUAUCGACAUUGGAGUCAAUACAACAUAAGUGAAACCCUAAAUUUUCAAGCUGUGGGGGAUCUCAUUUCUUUUUUUUUUCUUUUUUUUUUUGGGUCAAAUAACUUGGGGUGUACUUGGGCAGUGGAGUUAUGAGUUUUGUGGUUCAAGAAACGUUACAAAAUUAACCACUCUCUUGUAUUUUGUGUGUAUCGCUCACGUAUCUAGCCAUUUCCCUUGCACACCCCCUUCGCUCACAUAUUGUACGUACCUAAGCAUAUGCCAAAUAUCCACGUAUAUAACCCUGUGUAUCAAACCCUAGUAUCCAUGCUUCAUAGGUGGUAACAAUAAUUUUUUGAAAGAAUAGUAGAGUGUGACUUAAAGCUUCUCUUUGAUUAUUUUCUUCUUAAAUGUGAUAUUCUUUAGUGAAUGCCAAUUACAUGAGGGACACAUUGUGACACGCAAAUGUUUCUCCUUUAUUUUAGUCUCUUCUAGCCUUUCUUGAUUGAUUGAUAAGUCUUCCCCCCCGUCUUCGUAACACCCACCCACCCCAUGCUCCAAAGUAAUUCUUCUGCUUUUCAUUUUAUGACCAUAUGCAUAUUCUUUACCGGCAAGUCUUCCUAUAGAAUUUUAUACGCCAUUUAGACUUCAAAUUACAUAACUUAUUCCCGUGGACUAUAAAGUCUUCCUUUUCUAUUCCCUCAAAGACUCCCAUGCGUUGGUUUUUUUUAUUUUUUGGAACGAAAGGAAUGAAACUUCAUUUCCAAAACAAAGAUACAAAAUACAAGGGAGCCCAAUAACAACAAAAAAAAAAAAAAACAGGGGCUCAAACAUAACAAAACAAAGCCCAAUCUAAAAUAUCAAAAUAGGAGGUCCAAAACAACAAAAACCCACAAAAUAUAUAAACCCUAACACCUAAUCCUAAACAAAACAAGCUGUCGCCACCACCAGAAAAGCUGUUGAUGCCACAAGAAGAGCAAGGUCCAUGGGAACCAAGAGAGGAGAUCUGAAGAGUGUGGAUUUGGGGGAGCAAGCCACCAAGCAUCAUACUCAAGCGAUCUAUCAAGUAGUAGUAAAAAAUGACCAUAGAUAAACAGAGCCUACAAGCACAAAUCCAAGUCUUAGAUCUGAGAAAGGCGCAAACCAAGUAAAUUUUAGGGAUAGAGGUCAUUUGGGUUUGAGAUUUGAUGGGAGGAGAGACAUGGGUAGAUGGAGUUGUGGAGAGGUGAGAGGAAAGGGAGAUGAGGGAGAAGUGAUGGGCCAAAGGGAGAGGAAUUUCAAAUCUCAUGCAUGCCUUUCUUGGUUAGACCAUCAAAUUUCUAACAAGUCUUUAUGUUAGAACAUGAAGCGGUACAUGAUAUGAACUCAUAGAAAUCAUUACGUUCAUGCAUUGUAGAAAAUUGAGAAACCAAGUGUACGUGAAAAAGUGAGAAAUGUGAAAAUUUCCGCAAAGAGAAAACUUGUCAUCUGCCAACUACUAAUCAAUCAACACCAAUCUCCUGCCCAUUAUUAAUUGGCCCAACACGAGCAUGGCUUGACUCCUUAAAAAUUAAGGAACAACUCCUCCUAAAAACAAAUGGGGUUUUGACAUUUGUCAAAUUUCCUUUAACCACCAAAACUUCUAGCCCAUAGUCUAAUAUCAAUUGUUCAGAACUCAUGGGUAGAACUUGCCCUAGAAAACCAACUUAUAAGGGAAGGAUUCUCAUGAGCUUUUAAACUACUCUAGUAUAUGCUAUUUUUGUAAUGUGGGAUCUUGAGUCCUAACAAACAAUUCUAUGCAAUUCAAAUUCAACGGCACCCAACAAUUAUCCAGCAGAGAACCAAAAUGCUUGACAAACUAGAUUGAGAACAUUUUGGAAACCUUGGCUUAGUAAUUAGGUAUCGUCCAUUCUGGUUAGAGAUGAUGACCAAAGCUAACCAAUGGCGGAGGCACGUAGGGACCAGAGGGGUCCCAUGCCCUUUCUCAACUCUCUCUCUCUCUCUCUCUCUCUCUCUCUCCACCAUUUCACUUUCCUUUUUUUUUUUUUCUCUCUUUCUCUCUCUUUGUAAAUGAUUUAAUGUUCUGUUUAUGAAUUGAAUUGAAUAUUGAAAGAGGGUACAAGGGUUUUAUAUAUACAACAAUUAGAACUUGAUGUGUAAAAUAUGUAAUUUAAAUGCUUAUUUCUUGAUUUUUACUUUAGGGGAUAUUGGUUCUUAAAAAUUAUACACGAGAACUUUGCAGUGUUUAUGCUCUCAUUCCCUUCAGUUUUAUAUUUUGCAAUAGGCCCCCUCUAACAUAGGGUGGCAACGGGCCGGGUAGGGGUUGGGUAUGACAAUACCAUCCCCGCCCCCGCUUCCCAUCACUGGCCCCAUUCCCAGUUAAGAAUUUUUGGGGAAUCCUCAUCCUCGUCCCUGUCAGAAGGAUAUCCCCCAUCCCCACCCCAAAUCCCCAAUUCUUGAGCUGAGAUCAACACAACCAAAUCAUACUCCAAACCCCAAUUUUCCAAAGUGGUAAUUAGGAAAAAAAAGAAGAAGAAGGUAAACAAACACAGGAACAAAAGAGAGAAGAGAAGUGAACAUUGCAACUCAUUCAAUAUAUAGACAUCUAAAUCCAAUGACAACAGAGGGUGAGUAUAUAUUUCUUUUUUGUACUAUUAAUUAGUUGAAUUGAUGAACUCACAAAUAACAACUAAUUUGUUGGCGUGACUUGUGGAUAUUGACUUACUUUCCUUACACACCAAGAAUUCCUAUUAUAAUUGUAAUUGAUUUACUUUAAUUCCUGAUUUCCUACUGUAAAUGGAUUUAGGAAUUUAUUAUUUACUUGCCCAUUCAGGUUUUGUUGUAUUAUAAAUAUGACCUCCUACAAGAAGAAGAAUACACAGAAAAUUCCCACAAACAAAUAUUCUCUCAUAGUUCUCAUAUUUUAGCAUGGUAUCAGAGCGGCGAUCUUGGGAUUGUUGACUCUAGUUUCUAAACCCUAGCCGCCACCAUGGGGGAGGAUGACUCUUCUAAUCCUCAUGGCGGUAGCACCACUACUUCCUCCUCUCCUUCUCAACCAACCAUAGCCGAGUUGAGUGCCCAAGUGGCUCAACUAAUGCAGAUGCAGACUCAGACCUCGAAAUUGAUCCUAAAUCAGGAUCCUACAAAGACGACCCCGACCUCGACUCAGACGACGACCCCAACCUCGAAUCAGACGACGACCUUGAACCCGAAUCAGACAACGAUUCCGACGACAAUUACCUAUGAAGCUUCCGCUGCACAGAUUGGCAUAAAGUUGGAUGGCACCAACUAUGCCCUAUGGUCCCAAGUUGUAGAGUUGUAUAUCUUCAGCAAAGACAAAUUGGGAUAUAUUAAUGGCGAUCUUCCACAACCUCCUUCGACCGCUCCAACGUUUCCUCGCUGGCGCACCGAGAACUCUAUUGUGAAGGGAUGACUCAUCAAUUCUCUGGAGCAGAGCUUGAUUGGCAAUUUCAUUCGUUUUUCGACAGCAAAAGCAGUGUGAUGCAAUUGCCACAACUUACUAUGAUGGCACUGACACCUCUCAGGUUUAUGAUCUGAAACGACGAGUCUCUCGUAUGCGACAAGCUGGUGGCUCCAUUAAAACCUAUUACAAUACUCUUCAAAGCUUAUGGAGAGAAAUUGAUUUUCGUCGUCCAAAUAUGAUGGAGUAUGAAAGUGAUAUCAAGCGCUAUAAUGAUAUUUUGCAGGAAGAUCGAGUUUACAUAUUUUUGGAUGGCCUUGAUGAUCGUCUUGAUAAGGUCCGAAGUGAUGUUCUUGACAUGACUCCAUUCCCUACUGUUGACCAAGCUUAUGCCUAUGUUCGCCGUGAUGAUAGGUUCAUCCGAUCGAGCCACUGGUGCUGGCUUAGCAGCCAAGAGUGCACCUCGAUCAUGUCCCCCUACUCGUGUCGGACAGCCCCAUAAUUCCUCUACUGCGGCCCACCUUCAGAUCCAGUCAUAUGCUACUGCUGCUGGUGCGCCAUUUCCUAAAACCAUCCCACCUUCCCGUCCCAAGGCUCCGACUGAUGGAAGUGGUUGCACGCACUGUGGCAACCUCAAACAUACCCGUGACACCUGUUUUAAGCUAAAUGGUUAUCCUAAUUGGUGGGAGAACCUCCGCGCUGGCAAGCUCAGAGAAACUGCUAGUAAUUCCGGCCGUGCUGCUCUUGUCUCUACCGAACCCCCAUUAGCCUUGUUCCCGCAGGUAAAUCCUAUUAAUAGUCCCGCGCUUCCGGAUGUCUUAGGUAACUGUGGUUAUGCAUUUCAUACUUCUGAUCUACAAGAUACUACUGGUUGGAUAAUUGAUUCUGGCGCCACUGAUCAUAUGACCUUUGAUCCGAAUGAUUUUUUGCACACCACUACACCCCACCGCACAAGUAUUGCCAAUGCAAAUGGAGUUACCUAUCCUGUGACAGGGGCCGGCACUGUUGCCCUUUCACCUUCUCUAUCCCUUUCUAAUACACUACUCGUUCCAUCUUUGUCCAAUAAAUUAAUGUCCGUGAGUCAGGCAACUGAACAACUAAAUUGUUGUGCACUAAUUUAUCCCAAUUUUUGUUUACUACAGGAUAUUCUCACCAAGGAGAUCAUUGGGUGUGGUACUAAAAGAUAGGGGCUGUACUAUGUGGAUGACUUCAGUAUGGGACGUGCCAAUAGUGUGAAGCAUCCGUCUGAUGACAAGCACCGACAAAUUUAGCUCUAGCACCGACGUUUGGGGCAUCCAUCUUUUGGUUAUAUGAGACACUUAUUGCCCGAGUUGUUUUCUGUAUUUAAGGACUCAUAUUUUAUAUGUGACACUUGCAUUCUAGCAAAGAGUCAUAGAGCAUCCUAUCCUUUAAGUAUGAAUAAAAGUACUAUUCCUUUUGCUUUAAUUCAUUCUGAUGUUUGGGGACCCUCACCUAUUUCUACUCAUUCCGAUAUUCGUUGGUUUGUCACAUUCAUAGAUAAUUAUACACAGAUGACAUGGCUUUAUUUGAUGAAAAAUAAGAAUGAAGUGUUUUCCCUGUUCCAAUCCUUUCACAAACAGAUGGAAACACAGUUCAAUGCUCGAAUACAGAUUCUUCGCUCUGACAACAGUGGAGAAUUUGUUAAUCAUGAUUUUCAGACUUACUUCCAGACACAUGGCAUUAUUCAUGAGACAACUUGCCCCCAGACACCACAACAAAAUGGUGUUGCCGAACGGAAGAAUCGUCAUCUCCUUGAAACAGCCCGUGCUCUUAUCAUUGGUGGCCAUGUUUCUCGUCAUCACUGGGAUGAUGUUGUCGUCACUGUUGUCCAUCUUAUCAACUGCAUGCCAUCUGGGGUCUUGAACUUCAAAACUCCAUUACAAGUGCUCGCGCAACACGGGCCUCUGCCCUCUGUUUUGGUGCUUACGCCUCGCAUUUUUGGCUGUGUGGCCUUCGUUCAUCUCCACAAAAAUCAACAAAGCAAACUUAAUCCAUGUGCGCUUCGUUGUGUUUUUUUGGGUUAUGUCACUCAUCAGAAAGGCUACUGAUGUUAUCACCCUCCUACCCGGCGAACCUAUGUCACUUUGGAUGUCACCUUUCUGGAAUCAGAUAUGUUCUUCUAUGACCCAGCAUCCAAUUCUACUCUUCAGGGGGAGAUACCGAGUGAAGAGCUCAAUUGGAGUAGCUUGGAAAAUGAGGAUAUUCAUCUAUGCACGAAGAUUGCUCUUGCCCAAGAAACAAUAACAAUCGAUCGUCCCGAGUCUGGCACGUGCGAAUGCUCUCUGCCAAACAACGAUCGAUCGCCUAACCCUUGCGAAGAUGUUUUUGAUUCGAGUCAUACUCUUCCACACAACUGAGAACAACAAGAUGAAGACCCCCCUCUCAUUCAAUAGUACCAACGGACCAAUCUCCUGAGAAUAUCUUUGAGGUAAAUACUCCUACUAGACUUGUGCAUUUAGAGGAUAAAACUAUUGGAUAUCAAUUACCUUUCAGGCAAAAUCGUGGGAAGCCACCAAACCGUUAUUCACCUGAUAUUGGCAAGACAUCCAAGUAUCCAAUUGCAAAUCAUGUAUCCACUGAGAAGCUGUCUGAACCACUCAAGGCUUUUGUGCAUCAGUUGUCUGCUAUCCAUAUUCCAACCAAGGUCUCUGAAGCAUUGAAAGAUCCUAAGUGGGUCCAAGCUAUAAAAGAGGAGAUGAAAGCUCUUGAGAAAAAUCAGACUUGGACAUUGGAGACUAUACCACGAGGAAAAAAGACUAUCGGAUGUAGAUGGGUGUUUACUAUAAAACAUAAUGCAGAUGGAUCUAUCGACCGAUACAAGGCAAGACUUGUGGCAAAAGGGUACACACAGACCUAUGGUAUAGACUAUGAAGAAACUUUUGUACCAGUUGCAAAAUUAAACACAGUCAGAGUCUUAUUGUCCCUUGCAGCUAAUUUGGAUUGGCCACUACACCAGUUUGAUGUAAAGAAUGCUUUUUUACAUGGCGAACUCACGGAGGAGGUGUACAUGGACAUUCCUCCUGGAUAUAAUACUACUCAAACCGGAACAGUUUGCAGGUUACGAAAAGUAUUGUAUGGAUUGAAACAGUCACCACGUGCAUGGUUUGGACGGUUCACCAUGGCAAUGAAGAACAAUGGUUUCAAAUAGUGCAACUCAGAUCAUACUCUGUUCUUGAAACAUCGGAAAGGGAAGGUAACAGCAUUAAUAAUCUAUUUUGAUGAUAUGAUUAUUACUGGGAAUGAUAAACAGGAAAUAUCACAGCUACAAGACUAUUUGGCUACUGAGUUUGAGAUGAAGGAUCUAGGUAGACUCAAGUAUUUCUUGGGAAUUGAGGUGGCUCGAUCGCAGCAAGGCAUAUUUCUCUCUCAAAGGAAAUAUGUCUUGGACUUGUUGACGGACAUAGGAAUGCUAGAUUGUAAACCUACGGACACUCCUAUUGUUUAGAAUCAUCAUCUUGGAGAAUAUCCGGAUCAAGUUCCAACUAACAAAGAAAGAUACCAAAGGUUAGUAGGAAGAUUGAUCUAUUUGUCACAAACUCGACCAGACAUUGCUUAUGCGGUGAGCGUUGUCAGUCAAUUUAUGCACUCUCCAAGUGAAGACCACAUGAAUGCAGUUCUUCGGAUACUUAGACAUUUGAAGUCUGCACCUGGAAAAGGACUUAUGUUCUCAAAGCAUGGUCAUCUAAAUAUUGAUGGUUAUUCAGAUGCAGAUUGGGCAGGUAAUGUAACAUAUAGAAAAUCCACAUCGGGUUACUUCACAUUCGUAGGAGGUAAUUUGGUGACAUGGAGGAGCAAGAAACAGAAUGUAGUAGCUUUAUCCAGUGCAGAAGCCGAGUUCAAAGGCAUGACUAAAGGGAUUUGUGAACUUCUUUGGUUAAGAAAGUUGCUUACUGAACUUGGGUAUAAACCUACAUCCACAAUGAAUCUCUUUUGUGACAACAAGGCUGCUAUAGCCAUUGCACAUAAUCCGAUUCAACAUGAUCGUACUAAACAUAUUGAGGUGGAUCGACACUUCAUCAAACAGAAGCUUGAGGCUAAAGUGUUUCAGUUUCCUUUUGUGAAAUCCGAGGAUCAAUUGGCGGAUAUUUUGACAAAGGCAAUUUCCAAUAAAGCAUUCCACAAUUCACUGGAUCAGUUGUGCAUUGGCGACAUCUAUGCACCAACGUGAGGGGGAGUGUUGGCGUGACUUGUGGAUAUUGACUUACUUUCCUUACACACCAAGAAUUCCUAUUUUAAUUGUAAUUGAUUUACUUUAAUUCCUGAUUUCCUACUGUAAAUGGAUUUAGGAAUUUAUUAUUUACUUGCCCAUUCAGGUUUUGUUGUAUUAUAAAUAUGACCUCCUACAAGGAGAAGAAUACACAGAAAAUUCCCACAAACAAAUAUUCUCUCAUAGUUCUUAUAUUUUAGCAAUUAACUUCUAUAUAGCCAAAAUUACUAAUUCUUUUCUAAGCUGAAACAUGAGGGUUUGUGGCUCUAUCAGAUUCAACCAAAAAGCAAAGGUAAAAGAUGACGAAGUUUGUGAGUGAUAGACAGAGAGAGAAGAAGUAGAGAUAAGAAGAGGUGAGGAGAGGAGGGGGUUUCUUUUUUAUUUAUAAAUUUUGAAUAAUGUUUAUAUUAUAUUAUAUAUGUAUUAAUUUAAAAUUAUUCUUAUAAAUAUCGAGCCAGGUUCGGGGAUGGGAUGGUAGGAAUGCUAAUACCAUCCCCGCCCCACACCCAGCGGGGAUUUUUAAGAUUUAGGGAUCCCCGUACCUGAUCCCCGUGUUUCCCUGAAAUUUCCCCGUAUUAGGGUCAGAGACCCGGCCCGACGGGGAUUUUUGCCAUCCCUAUUCUAACAUCAAUUCUUAGCUCUGCCACUGAAGCUAACUAAGGUGAUACCUCCAGCUAUUACUAAGAGGAACAACAAAAAUAAUACUCAUGCAGUCUGACUUUCAUAUGUUGUUGUUGUUGUUUUUUUUUUUCCUAAUUAAAAUAAUAUAAUAAGGAGGAUUUCUAGUACAAUCAAUCAACAUAUCCUUUUAGGGAUCGUUUUGUACGGCGGACUAUCAUGGACUGGACUAAAUUAUGGGACUGUCUUGGAUUGGUUUGGUUUGUCCUAAGCUGAAUAACACUUGUACUCCAUUUGAUGUAUGUUUGAUUGGACUAGGACUAGAUUAUUUUUAAAUAUAUAUUUUUCUUAAAAGUAAGUUUUUUUAAAAAAUAUAUUGUUUUUGGGGCAUGUGGAUUUUUUUUUAAUUUUCUUAUAAAACUUUUCCUCUCUAUGCAUCUCUUUCUUUUUCUUCCUCCUGCGCACAACCCUCCUACUAUGGGCUCUUCCUUCCUCUACUUCUCCUCUUAUUCUCACUCCUUUUUUUAUCAGUGCAUGUGAAGCCCAAAUUGCUUUCACUUGGUUCAUUGCCCGUUUACCAAGCGUGGGACAUUCCACACUUAUAUAGACUAAUCUCUUUCUCUGUUCUACCAAUGUGGGGCAAAUGUGUCUUAGAUUUCAUUCAAACUUCCAACAAUAAUUACUACCAAAACAAUUCUCUAAAAUGAGGAAAUUACUGAAACCAAAUGGGUAAUGAGUGGAGAGGUCCAUGAUCUUUUAAGCAAUUGAUGCAAUUUGAUCUUCAAUUUAGCAUACUCUCAACAUCGCCUUACAUUAUUGAUUGUAUCAAAUCAUUUAUUGGGAUAGCACUAGUUUGCUAUUCCUGAUCAAUGACGUUUCGACACGCGUGACAAAACUUCCACAUAACAUUAUAUUAUUUAUCGAGCAUAGCAAAAUAGUGAUACUAAGUUUCACUACUGCAAGUAGGGACUUCUACAUUUAUGCAUUUGGAGGAAAUUUCCACGGUAGGACCCAGUUGCCGUAAAUGACAAGACAACGCGUAAGUCAAGUCUAACUGAUCAGCAGGGACGAAAAUAGAUUACUCAAAUAUUUAUUUUUCUAUUCUUGUUUUGUUUAAUUGGCCUGGCAUUGGAAUGCGAAAACAAAGACUUGCUUAAUCUUUGAGAGGUUCUCUCUCUCCCCCUCUCACAUAGAUGGCUUAUGUACCGGCAGCUCUGCUCUUACUCUCUGCUUUAAUUGUCUUGAUCAAUGAUAAUAUUAUUGUAAAGGCUGCGAGAAAUGAGUCCCAUGUCAUCAAAUUGGGUUCCUCUCUAUCCCCGGAUUCUAACCUGAGUUCAUGGCUCUCACCUUCUGGCCGGUUUGCCUUUGGUUUCUAUCGACAAGGCAGCGGCUUCACUGUUGGGAUAUGGCUUGUUAAUGACCUUAAUCAGACUGAGCAAAGCAUAGUCGUCUGGACUGCACGGCGAGAUGAUCCGCUUGUCUCCUCCAACUCUACGCUACGGCUAACGGGAGACGGUCUGCUUCUUCAAACUGAGCAAGGUGAACAAGUACCCAUUGCCAGUAAUUUUUCAACAACAGCAAGUUCAGCUGCUAUGCUUGAUUAUGGAAACUUUGUAGUCUAUGAUAAUCGUUCUAAGGUUAUCUGGCAGAGCUUUGAUUCCCCAACUGAUACCAUACUGGGGGGUCAAAAUCUGACUGCUGGCACAUAUUUGGUAUCUAGUGUGUCUGCAUCCAACCACUUUAGCGGACGAUUUUCGCUGCAGAUGCAGAGUGAUGGAAACCUCGUUUCUUACCCGGUAAAUAUCUCCAACACUCCCGAAAAUGCUUAUUGGUCUUCCGGCACUGUUGGUUCCGCGCAACUGCUCAGUCUGAACGCAUCAGGUUUUCUCGUUUUGAUUCCUGAAACUGCACAUCCCUUGGCCACUGGCUCAUACCAUGCCCAUGAUGACGGAACUAUUAUCCACCGUGCAACGCUGGAUGCCGAUGGGAUUUUCAGAUUGUACUUGCACAAUUACUCUGUGAUGAGCCCCAGCUCAAGGGUGUCGAUUGUUUGGUCCAAUUUGCAUAACCAGUGUGAAGUCAAAGGUUUCUGUGGCUUAAACAGGUAUUGUGCAGUCCUGGAAAAGACGAACAAAACUGAGUGUCAAUGUUAUCCCGGUUUUGUAAUCAACCCCGUUGAUAUGUUUCCAGGCUGCUAUCAGAAUGCUAGUGACGAUGGCUGCACUGGCAAUGAAGACCCACGGCUGCGGUACAAGGUAGCUUCUGUCCACAAUAUAUCAUGGCCCAUUGACCAUCCUUAUUCAGUGGUGCCAUUGAAGAACCCGCAAGUUUGUAGCGACUCUUGCCUGGAAGACUGUAGUUGUAAGGCAGCGCUAUAUACUAAUGGCAAUUGCAACAAAUACAAGCUACCACUUAGAUCUGGUAUAAGAAGCCCAGAUACAACAGGAUUCAUCAAGGUAGAUGCAACACACAAUCUGCAGUUUCACAAUCCAAUGGCUACCAGAAAUUCGACAUUGGUGAAAUACGAAACCAAGAAUAGUCAUGGCUUGAUUGUAAUUCUUGCUGUGAGUCUGGGUUCCAUUGCAUGCGUAUGUUUUUCCUUUGCAGUCUCCAGUUUCAUCAUAUACAUGCACCGACUUCAGAGGUACAAGAAGCUGUUGGAUCAUACCAAAGUGGGAUUGGCUGAAGAAUUGUUCAGUUUACAAUCGUUUUCUUACACAGAGCUUGAAAACGCAACUCAUGGCUUCAAGGAAGAGUUAGGAAGGGGCACUUUUGGAGCUGUUUACAAAGGAACUCUGUCAACUAGCAACAAAAUUGUUGCUGUUAAAAGGCUCGAGAAAGUUGUGGAAGAAGGAGUGAGGGAAUUCAAAGCUGAAAUCACUACUAUUGGACGAACUCAUCACAGAAACUUGGUUCAGUUGCUUGGUUUCUGUAUCGAAGGCUCCCAAAAGCUUCUUGUAUAUGAAUACAUGAGCAGUGGCUCGCUUGCACAUCUUCUUUUUAAUAAGGCCGCGACCGUGCGCCCUUCCUGGAGAGAAAGGGUAGGAAUUGUGUUGGAUGUGGCUAAAGGGGUGCUCUAUUUACACGAAGAGUGCGGUGUGCAUAUUAUACACUGCAAUUUGAAACCCCAAAACAUACUUCUGGAUCACUCUUGGACUGCCAAGAUCUCCGAUUUCGGUUUGGCGAGGCUGUUAGUGCCAAACGAUCAAACAAAAAUAGCUGCCGGAGUCGAACAGAGAAGCGGUUACUUGGCACCUGAAUGGCAGAAGAACGCCCUGAUAUCAGUAAAAUCAGACAUCUAUAGUUUUGGUAUUGUGCUUUUGGAGACUGUAUGCUGCAGAAAAAACAUAGAGUUAAAAGUUUCAGUUCCAGAUGAGAUGAUUCUUUCUAGUUGGGCAUAUAAAUGCUUUAAGGCCGGAAAAUUAUACGAGCUUGUAGAAGAUGACGAACAAAAUGUGGAUUUGAAGACACUAGAAAGAAUGGUAAAAGUGGGGCUGUGGUGUGUUCAGGACGACCCAGCUCUGCGUCCCCUCAUGAAGAACGUAAUCUUGAUGUUGGAAGGGACAACGGAUAUACCAGUCCCUCCAUCUCCAGAGCUUCCCCAAGCCUGUUGACUGUUGAUUUAUCUUUGUUUUAAGCAUUGAAGUAAUGUAUAUGCAUAUUUGUCAAGGGAAUCAAAUAAUCUUGAUUUGAUAUAUGGAUAUAGCUAGACUCAUUCAUAUUUUAAUUUGGUGUAGCUUGGAAAAUCUCUAGAUUUCUUUCUUUCUUUUUAAUUUUCUGCUGUUUGUAUCAUGUCAAAUAAAACGUUUCUAGACUUUAAUUGAUUAUAAUUUUAAUGUUAAGUAGAUCCAAACUUAAGAGCAUUCACAAUGGUGGUUUUCAAAUUGGGUCUCUAUCCACCACUUUGUAGAGGGAAAUCUUUGGGGAUCUAAAAGCUUUUUAAAGUAACUAAGGGCCCGUCUGAUAACGUUUUCGGAGAAUGUUUUCUGAGAAUAUUUUCGGAGAAUGUUUUCUGAGAAUAUUUUCAAAGAAUGAAAAAAAAACAUGCAUUUUCAGGAAAUAAAAAUACGUCUGAUAGAUUAAUUACAAAACAUCUUUAAAAAAAAAGAAGGGUAAUGCUAAAGAGACUAUCUAUUUGUACCAUAUUUGUGUACUAAAUGAUGUGGCUAUUUAGUUGGCAAUGCCACAUCAUUAAGUGAGUUUUUAAUAUUUUUAAUAUUUUUUUUAUAUUUUUUUACCUUUCACUUUAAAGACUCAUUUAAAUCAUAUUAUAAUCAUAUUAAAAUUAUAAAUAAAAUUAAAAAAAAAAAAAAAAAAAUCUCCGCUCUCUUCUCCUACCUCCUACCUAGCCAACCCUCUCUCCCUACUCAACCCCACCUUUCAGCCACCCCUCUCCCGUCGCCCAUCCUUCCCUCAGCCUCUCUCUUUAUCAUCAUCAUCAGCAUCACCAAUCUACAAUCAACAAUGGCAGUUCAAGCUCAAUACCCUUCAAAUAUCCUCUUUCUAAACAGGUUUGCAUUCUCUCCUCUGCUUCCUUGGUUUUGGAUUUUUAUCAGCAAACCGUAUCUGCAAUCUAUAUAUCUUUCUUAUCUAAUUAAUCCCUGCUUGGGUUUCCACUGAUUCUGCAGAAACUCACAAGAAGGGCAUGAUUAUUCCUUACAAGCACAGCCAGGAGGAUAUCUUGAUCAAUCCCACAUGCUAUUCAACAAUGGAGGAGGAGGUGAGUCUCUUCAUAUCUUUUGAUUACCCAAUUCUGCUUUUGGGCUAUAAACACCAAUUCAAUCAAUAAAAGAUUGGUUUUUUUGAAUUUGGUUUUGAUUGAUUUGAUCACAGCAGUCAAUAAUACUAUCAAUCAGCGCAAAAGAGGAAGAGAAACUUCAGCUGCCACUGAAAUCUCACCUUCAAUCCUUCCUUUCUCUCUGCAACAACAAUCCCAACCUCCUCCUCCUCAGCUCAUCGACCUCUCCCAACUUUACAGCAACAACCACGACCACAACAAUCCCAAUGUGGUCUCCACGGGCCUCCGUUUAUCCUUUGGAUGGUUGAGGGUAGGUACAUGUACAAGAGUAUGGCUGAGGGAAGGAUGGGUGACGGGAGAGGGGUGGCUGAAAGGUGGGGUUGAGUAGGGAGAGAGGGUUGGCUGGGUAGGAGGUAGGAGAAGAGAGUAAAGAUUUUUUUAAUGAUUUAAAUGAGUCUUUAAAGUGAAAGGUAAAAAAAUAAAAACUCACUUAAUGAUGUGGCAUAACCAACUCAACAGCCACAUCAGUUGGUACACAAAUAUGGUACAAAUAGAUGGUCUCCCUAGUAUUACCCAAAAAAGAAUAAUAAAAACGUGUCUAGUAGUACAAGUUGAUAAUAAUAAUAAUAUGUGAGUUAUUUUUCCAGUAUAUUUUUGCUAAUUUAUGUUCUAAAAAAUAUUUUUAAAAAUGUAUAAUUUGACAAAUAAAAAAUUAGGUUUGGUGGCAGUGGCAAAGUUAGUAGCGGUUGCGGUGAUGAUGGUCUGGUAGUCGUGGCCGUGGUGAGUUUGAUUUUCGUUUAUGUUUUGGUUUGAUUUUCGUUUCGUUUUUGUUUUGCUGGGUAGAGUUAUGAGGUUGUGCGUUUCUGUUUAUGUUUUAGGCGUUUGUUUCUUGUGAGAAUGAAAACAUAUUUGUUCUGUUUUUCCGAAGUACACGUGUUGUUCUCAUUUUAUGAAAACAUUCUCCGUGUUUUCUGUUUUAGUCCACCGAACGGAUUCUUGGUUUGUUUUUGUUCUCUGAAAAUGAAAACGGGCACUGAAAACUUAAAGGAACAGCCCCUAAUUUAUUUUGGUGACAAUUAUGGGUGGUCAACGACGCUCUUAACCAAAUUAGUCACAAUUAUUUGUCUAAUGAUUUAAAUAUAAUAAAUUUUGUUGUAGCUGACACAUGAAUAGUAAUAAUGUAAUAAAAUAUAAGAGGAUAAUCUUUCCCACAAUAAAAUAUUUACAAUGAUAUUUUAAUAAAAAUAUAUGGAUGGAAUCUUUCUCACUAACCAAGGCUCUUUUCCCUUCCCUCUAUAUAAUUAGUAAUAGUUACUCUAAAUAAUAAAUAUUAUAAUAAAAAAUGUGAGAGCAUGCAUGUGCAUCUGAAGAUGCGUCCAAACCAACCCCUCUUUUUCUUUCUUUUGUAUUUUUUAUUCUCCCCAUUUCUCAUCUCUCCCAAAGACUUCAUUUUUUUUUAUUUUUUUCCCAUCUUCUUCCUUCCGUCACUUUCCAUUCAUUAUCUCUUUGACAGCCACGUUGAAGCCCAACCAACAACGACGUCAACACCGUCAGUCUGAACUGUCAUGUGUUCAAACGAUGUUGGCCUAGAUCCUGUUGUCUUUGUCUUUGGUUUAGUGUUUGAAGAACAUUUGUUUGUUUCCUACAUAUGUAGCUAGACUAUGUCUGGAAUUUUUCUUUUGGUUUCUUGUUCUUAAGUUUCUUGGUUUGAAUUAUUUGGUUAAAAGUUUCAACUCUUAUGGAAGGAUGAUAUAUAUAUAUAUAUAUAUAAUAUGGGUCUGGACUUAGAUUUUUUCAGCUUUGAUUGUGAUUUCAGCAAAGAAUUGGGUGAUGGGUAUUUUGGUUUGAGUGUUGUAAUAUGAUUUUCGGUAAGGGAUUUGGUUUUCGGUAAGGGAUCUAGAUUUCAGUUAAAAAAUUUUAAAAAAAAGAAUUGGAAAUUAUUAUAAUUGUGAAAAAUAUAAUACACAAAUAUAACACAAAUAUAACACAAAUAAUAAUGGAAAGGAUUUCUUUAAAAAAAAAAAAAAGAUAAUGAAAUGAUGUUGAACAACGCAGUCAAAUAAAAUAAAAUAAAAUAAAUAUAAAUAUAGUUUGAUUAGACAUGAUGUGGGGCCCACUUUGGAGCAAUUUGAUGGUCAACACAAUUUGUUACAAAAUGGUAUUUUUAAUCAUGAGAAAACCCAAUAGUUACGGCCACAAAAGUCACGAGUUCAAAACUUGUAACUGCACUGUUACUAAUUGCCUUGGUCACGAAUAUUCGUGGCUAAUACUGCCAAAAGUCAUGAAGCAAAAAGUGACUGCUUCGUGUUUUUUUUGUAGUGUAAUGGCUAUACAUUAGGGUUGCUAAAUUUCGGGCUCUAAUUUUCUCUUAUGUGCCCUUUAAUUCUAAUUACUAACUCAAAUUUUUUAAAGUCUAGGACUUUAAUUAGGUAGAGAAUCCUGAGGUACGCCUCAUUUUCUCAUUCUUAUGCUAAAGUCUCUUUAGACUUAUUCAUUAGGGACAAGGAGAAGGUAGAAUGGAGCCACCAGGGGCAGCUGCCCUGACCCCACUAAAUUUUUUGCCAUAAAGAAAAGUCAUAUUUUAAAAAGAAAAAGCCUUUUACUUUUUUCGAAAAAUUAACAUUUAUCCGAGGCUCUUGUAGUUGAAAUGAUUAAUAACUUAAUAAUAGUUAUCUGUGCAUCCGAAAUUCUGUGUUUGAAUCUACAUACAAAGUAACUUUAAUUAUAAUCUAUUCUUGAAACAUAAAGAUCAUACAAAGUAACUUUGAUCAUAAUCUAUUCUUGAAACAUAAAGAUGGGAAGGUAAUUUCUACUAUAAAAUCUUUACUUCGACAUUAUACAGAUAAAUGAUAAAGCAAUAUAUUCUGUGUCAUGGUAAAGAUUAGGAUUGCGUGGGUUCUAUCAUCAGCAAUGAUUUCAUUUGUGGUUGACUCAACAAGAAGACUUGCUCAGUCAACACACCUUAAAACCACCGUAUUUCUCUCUCAUGCCCUAUCAAUUCAAAUUAAGGAGUGAAAAUAAUCCCAGAUUUUCAUAUCUGAGUAUGGCUUCCAGUAUUCGGAUUGUUGCCUUUCUCCUUUCUGUAUUUUCUCUAGGAGGUGAAGGAGCUCGACAAAAUAAUUCUACCCAACUAAUAAGCCCAGGCUCUUCACUUUCUCCCAUAAGUAGCCCAAGCUCAUGGCUUUCUCCUUCUGGCCAUUUUGCAUUUGGGUUUUAUAAAAAAGGAGCAGGAUUUGCAAUCGGAAUUUGGCUGGUGGGAACAGACAAGCAAACAAUUGUCUGGACAGAAAAUCGCGACGAUCUCCCAGUCACCUCAAAUGCAAUUCUGCGGUUAACAAGUGACGGCAAGCUUGUUCUAAGUGAUAGAGAACGACAAAAGAACCUCAUCGUCACUACAGGUACUAAUUCACCAACGGACUCUGCAGCUUCCUCUGCCUCCAUGCUCGACUCUGGAAAUUUUGUUCUGUAUAACGGAAGACGCGAUGUCAUCUGGGAGAGCUUUAAUCAUCCUACUGAUACGAUCCUUGGAGGUCAGAUUCUGCCUGUUGGGGGUUCACUCAUCUCCAGUCUUUCGGAAAAUGACCACUCAACAGGACGGUUCCACCUCAACAUGCAGGCUGAUGGAAACCUGGUUCUAUACUCGGCAAACAGCGAAAACUCGUCUGCAGAUGCCUAUUGGAGCUCUGGAACCUAUCUCCAACGUCAGCUUCAACUUUAUCUUAACGCUACAGGUCGUCUAGUUCUCAUCAACAGCACUAGUUGGGAAGAAUCCUAUGUUUUAGAUUAUGAUGAAUCGUCCAAAACCAACUACAAAAACGGUACCAUAUAUCGUGCGACGCUUGACGUAGAUGGAAAUUUUCGGUUGUAUUCUCAUGAAUCUGAUGUGAGUACUGGAAAAUUCCAGCCAUCCCUUAUUCUGUGGCAAGCACUGGAUGAUCCUUGCGAUGUUAAAGGCUUCUGUGGCCUUAACAGCUACUGCACAUUUUAUGACAAUCAACCAAACUGUCUUUGCCUUCCUGGAACAGAUUACGCUGACUCCGACCGAAGGAUCGUCGGUUGCUUGAGAAACUAUACUAAAGUAGAGUGUAAUGAUGGGAAAGAAAAUACAUCAAGUUAUCACAUGAUCACCAUGGAGAAUAUGGUAUUGGAAGAUAUAGUUUACUAUGAAGCACGAAUGCCGACCGUGAAAGAAUGCAGCAGGUCUUGUCUGGAAGACUGCAACUGCGGGGCAGCUGUGUUCUACAGUGGGAGUAAUGUUUGUGCCAAACAAAACUUACCACUCAGAUAUGUCCGAAGGGAUCCCAAGGAGUCCAGCACAGCUGUCUUCAAGAUCGGCAACAUAAUAAGUGGUUCCAUUGGCAACAACCACAACAAUACUAAUCCAGCCAUCCCGCUGAAUCCAAAUACCACGGUCGUUACUACCACAGACAAGAAGUUGAUAAAGCAAAUUCUUGUUUUAACUUUAGCUCUCAUCCUAUUCUCCUGUGCGGCCCUUGCAGUUUCUGGAUUUUACAUUUCCAAAAUCCGACUUCUGCGGUACAAAAGGCUGACGGAGAUUAAUGGUGAUUUGGGGUUGGCUGAUGAGGAACUUACUUUGAGAGCUUUUUCAUACAAUGAGCUGAGAAGAGCGACCAAUGGGUUCAAAGAAGAAUUGGGAAAGGGCUCGUUUGGAGCAGUUUACAAAGGGGCUUUAAACAAAGGAAAAAAAAUCAUUGCAGUGAAAAGAUUAGAGAAGCUAGUCGAAGAAGGUGAGAGGGAGUUUCGUGCGGAGAUGCAAGCAAUCGGAAGAACUCACCACAAGAACUUAGUUCGAUUGCUUGGUUACUCUGCCGAGGACUCAAAAAGACUCCUCGUGUAUGAAUAUAUGAGCAAUGGCUCCCUUGCAGAUCUCCUUUUCAGGAAUGAAUGGAAACCUACUUGGAGUGAAAGAGUGACAAUUGCACUCGAUGUCGCAAGAGGUCUCCUCUAUCUACAUGAAGAGUGUAAGGCCCCUAUCAUCCAUUGCGACAUAAAGCCUCAAAACAUUCUGAUGGAUGAAUUCUGGAAUGCUAAAAUCUCUGACUUUGGACUUGCAAAAUUGUUGAUGCCGGAUCAAACGAGGACUUUCACAGGGGUCAGAGGCACAAGAGGGUACUUGGCACCAGAAUGGCAAAAGAACACUCCAAUCUCAGUGAAGGCAGAUGUUUAUAGUUACGGAAUAGUGCUUCUCGAAAUUGUAUGUUGCAGGCGGAACAUGGACGUCAAUGUUAGAGCAGAGGAGAUAAUUCUAUCUACUUGGGUCUACAAGUGCUUUGUUGGUAGAGAGCUGCAUAAGCUCGUGGGUGGUCAAGAGGUCGAUAAAAAGACGUUGGAGAACAUGGUUAAGGUGGGACUAUGGUGUAUACAAGAUGAACCAGCUCUGCGUCCUUCAAUGAAGUCUGUUGUGUUGAUGUUACAAGGUAUUACUGAUAUAGCUAUUCCUCCAUGUCCAACUGCUACCUCCAUGUAACUAUUAGCCUGUGAGGAAAUGCCUUUCUUCUUAUAUGCAGUUUGUUAAAAGAAUAAGCAAGAUUGCUAAGGGUAUGGUACCUAUACUGGUCACAUUGUUGUACUAAAGUAUCUAGAAUCAAAGACUCCUUGAAUCAAGAGUCUUUUUGAGUAAAUGAUUGGGUAAAUGAUUGGGUAAUCAAAGACUCCUUGAAUCAACUGCUACCUCUCAUGGGUAAAUGAUUAUUCUCAUCAAUAUGGUUCAUUGUAUAAAUUUAAUUCAAGCAUAUUUUCUAUAUCUAAUUUGGGUAACUCUAAUGCAGUUCUCUGCAUUUUUAACUAUCUUAGCCAUUUAAUUAAUGCAAUGGCUUAGUCUCUCCACAUCAAGACAACUUACUUCUAUAUCAAAACUCAAAAAUCUCCCUUCAUCUGCACCCUCUUUCCUCUCGUACAAUGAUUACACAAAAUUUUAUUUCAAGACACUACUACAAAAAAGCAAAAAGACGACGGUAAAUCACCGUCGUGUAUUCGGUUUUUCAAUGGUCGUGGAAUCCACCGUCAUCUUUUCCCUCAUAAACCACGACGCUAAAUCACCGUCGUUGUUAAAAUAUACAACGUCAUCAACAAAUACAAAACGACGUCUUUGUACUGCAAAAAGAUCUAAAAAAGCAGUCGAGGAUGAGAAUAGACGACCAACUCUCUAAAAAAACCGUCGUUAAAAAGAAAAAAUAUGACACAUAUUAAGAGAACAAGGCCGCAAGAUAGACAUACAACGACGAAAAUAAAAAUACGACGCCGUUAAAUAUCAUUUUCACGACAAUAAAAAAUUUGACGUCUUUAAAUACAUUAGAAGACGACGUUAUUGAUGCCUACUACGUCGCAUAUAUAAAAACAGCCGUCGUAAAAUUAAUUUUCCACUUCGAUUUUUCGAUAAAAGAUGACGUGGAAAUAGUUGUCAGUGUCAUUAUUUACGACGUAUGUAUUUAUAGAGUAGACGUUGAAAAACGAAACAACGUCGGUUACAAAUAUAUGAGAGUCGUAUUACAAAAUUUAUACGUCAUAUUUUCAGAAACAAACAACGACGAUAAAUAUUAGACGUUGUUAAAUAAAACAACGUCGGAAAACAAUAAAAACAGACGUGUUUAGUCUGCUAAAGUUCUAGAAAAUAGUCGAGGAUGAGAAUAGACGACCAACUCAAAAAAAUCACCGUCGUUAAAAAGGAAAAAUAUGACACAUGUUAAAAGAACAAGGCCGCAAGAUAUACAUACAACGACGACAACUAAAAUACUACGCCGUUAAAUAUAAUUUACACGACAAGAAAAAAUAUGACGUCUUUAAAUACAUGAGAAGACGAUGUUAUUGAAAUAUACUACGUCUCUUAUUUACAAAUAACCGUCGUGAAAUAAAUUUUCCACUUCGAUUUUUCUAAAAAAGAUGACGUGGAAAUAGUUGUCAGUGUCAUUAUUUACGACGUAUGUAUUUAUACAGUUGACGUUGAAAUGCGAAACAACGUCGGUGGCAUUUAUAUAGUCGACGUUGUAUUUAUAUCUAUCAUCAUUACUCACGACGCACUUAAUAAUAUAGACGACGUUGAACUUCUAAACAACGUCGGUUCCAAAUAAAUGAGAGCCGUAUUACAGAACAUAUAGACGGCGUUGAUUAUGAUGAGAGCCGUAUUACAAAUAACGUCGUUUAAUUGUUAUUAGACGGCGGUUAUAAUGAAUUUCCGUCGGAAUUCAUUUCGUUCCUCUUCGUUUAUAAAAGAACUUGCGACGUGGAAAAUGUAUGAUGACGUCGUAUUUUUUAACGUUCAGAUUAUAUAUCUCGUUUUUUAGACGUCGGUAUUAUGGGAUUGGAGUCGUGUUAUUUUGAAUUACAUGGCGGUUCUUAAUCCUUCCCCGACGUGAUAUCCUGAAUAAUUGCUUCACAAUAGCGUCGUGGUUCUUCAUUGUUACGUUGCUUUAAGACGUCGGUAAAUAUGCUGAAUAACUGGUUCACAAUAACGUCGUGUUUUAUUUGAACGUAGAAAGUGAAGAAAUCACAUUACAAUAUAUUACAAAAUUAAUGUCAUACACUGCCAAUUACAUAAGCAUCAUUCAAUCCAUAUAUCUUCACACCCAUCUCGAAUAUUUUGACCGCCUAACUCACCCACCAGUUCAUCAAAUGUGUCAACAUUUGGCAUCCCUCUAGUAAAUGGCUCACACUCAAUUAUCACAUCACCUAAGACUUCAUCACCAAUAACAUCAUUAUAUUCUCUAUUAGGCAUUGAUAACACUACCGACCAACCACGAUGCAUCGGGUCGUCAACAAAAAAUAUUUGUUUGACUUGAGAAGCCAAAACAAAUUGGUCAUUCCUAUGUCCAAUUUUACUCAAAUCUACAAGGGUAAAUCCAAGUUCGUCGACUACAAGACCAGAACUAUCUAUCCAAUCACACCUAAAGACUGGGAUUGUAAACUUUUGGUAGUCAAGGUCCCAAAUUUCUUGAAUGACACCAUAGAAACCCAUAUUUGAGAGAAUUGGGUUUUUAUCCUUGGCACUAGCAACUUGCAUGGUAUGUGCAAGUAAAUAAACUCCACUAUUUUGAGUUGUCCGCACAUCAUCUUGUGCCUUGAUAUUGAAUUUAAUACCUUUAAUAAGAUAGCUCCUAUAUAAUGGCACUGACAUGUUUGGACCAGCUGCUAGCCACCUUAAAUUUUCUGAUACGCCAUGAUUGUCUUCCUCAAGUUCACUUUGAACCUGCAAAUUAAUCAUAUCUUAAUUCAAUCUAACAUAUAAAUAAGAAGAAAAUUAAAAGAGAAAUAUGUUAUUCAACAACAUAUACCUUGAAGCGUAGCCAUUGAAUGAAAGUGCUAUUGUGCUUAUCCUGCAGCCACUUUGUUCUCUUUCUAAAUUUUGGAUAAGCAAUCUUGAUGUGGAUCAUAUGUUGCCUACAUGACACGAAAAAUUCAAGCAUUACGGUCCCAAAUAUAGAAGAUAAACAUAAGAAAUAAUUUAAAAUGGAAACUUAAAGAAUAAAGCUCAUACGUACUCGAUAUAAGGUAGGACUUCCUCCGUAUUCUCCAAGACAUAUAGAUGUGCUUGAUUCAACAGGUCCUGAUCAACUACGCUCACUGUGCAACCUGAUAAUGGCUUUGAAAGUCCCAUCUUUUGGCUUGAAGGCACUCCAACUGUACUAACAUCAGAUAAAUGCUGAGUACAAAACUCUACCGCUUCUUCAGCUAUAUACCGCUCAGCAAUGCAACCUUCGGGAUGAGUACGAUUAUGAACAUACCCCUUCAGCAUUUUCAUAUAUCUUUCAAACGGAUACAUCCACCUAAAAUAUACUGGCCCACAUAGACGAACUUCUCUGACAAGAUGUACUACUAGAUGAACCAUGAUAUCAAAGAAUGAAGGGGGAAAGUACUUCUCAAGCAAACACAGAGUAACUACUACAUCUUCUUCCAACUUAUCUAGCUUGGAAACAUCAACAGUCUUUGCACAUAUAGCAUUGAAGAAGAAGCACAAACGAGUUAUUGCAUACCUUGCAGGCUUCUCCAAAACAGAACGAAUUGCCACAGGGAGCAAUUGUUGCAUUAAGGUAUGACAAUCAUGUGAUUUAAGGCCAAGAAGUCUUGAAUCUUGUAAAGAUACAAGAUUUUUAAUAUUUGAAGAAUAACCUUCAGGGACCUUCAUACCAUAGAAAGAAUUGCAAACCUCUCUCUUCUCUGCUCUUGACAAAUUCCAAGGCCCAGGAGGCAAACGAGUACGUCUUUCUCCAUACUCGGGUUGCAAAUCAGUUUUGACCCCCAUGUUCAAUAAAUCUAAUCGAGCAGCAAUCCCAUCUUUAUUUUUUCCAGGGAUCUCCAGCAAUGUACCAAUGAUACUAUCGCAAACAUUCUUCUCAAUGUGCAUAACAUCUAGGGCAUGCCUCACAGGAAGGUAUUUCCAAUACUCGAGAUCAAAGAAUAUUGAUUUCUUCUUCCAACAAACUCUGUCACCAUUUUCAACCAUAUGCAGCACUUCUUCUCCGGUUAAUGGCUCGGGAGGUAUGCCAUAUUCAGGUUUCCCAUUAAAAGCUGCACGUUGCCUCCUAUAUGGAUGAUUGAUUGGUAACCAUUUUCUAUGCCCAAUGUAACAAAUUUUGUGGCCAUUUUUCAACCUGUGACUAGGUGUAUCAUCGCCGCAUAUUGGACAAGCUUUAUAUCCUUUAACAACACAACCAGAUAAGUUUCCAUAGGCGGGGAAAUCAUUAAUUGUCCACAUUAAUGCAGCUCUGAGUGUAAAGUAUUCUCCAUUAUGUGCAUCAUACACUCCUCUAAUCCCAACCCACAAGGAUUUUAAAUCAUCAAUCAAAGGCUCCAAGUAGACGUCUAUAUCAUUUCCGGGUUGUUUAGGACCGGAAAUCAAUAAGGUUAACAUCAUGAACUUUCGUUUCAUGCACAGCCAUGAAGGGAGAUUAUAUGUAACUAAGAUAACCGGCCAACAACUAUAUCUGCUACUUAGAGAACUGUGGGGAUUGAAUCCAUCAGAUGAAAGAGCCAAUCUCAAGUUUCUCGGCUCAUUACCAAACUCAGGCCAUUUAUCAUCAAGAAGUUUUCAAGACGGGGAAUCCGCCGGAUGAGACAUCUGACCAUCAAUUGAUUUUCUAGCAGCAUGCCACCAAGUCAAACUCUUAGCUGUCUCAUGUGAUUGAAACAUCCUUUUAAACCUUGGAAUUGGGGGAAAAUACCACACCACCUUCGCUGGCACACCCUCUUUCAAGAUUGAAUCUUUGCCUUCCUUCCACCUUGAGAUACCACAAGUAGGACAAUUAGUUGAAUCCUCAUACUCCUUCCUAUACAAGAUGCAAUCAUUGGGGCAUGCGUGCAUUUUCUCAUAACUCAGCCCCAAUGCACACAAAGUCUUUUUAGCCUCAUACAUGGAGGUUGGUAUUGUAUUUCCUUCUGGAAGCAGAUCGCCUUGAAGUAUCAAUAAUUCUGUAAAACAGACAUCACUCAUCCCAUGUUUUGCCUUCAAAUUAUACAACUUCACUAAUGCCGAUAACUUCGUGUACUUUCUACAACCAGGGUGCACUGGUUGAUCUCCAUCCCCAAUCACAUUAGCAAACUCAUACGGAUCGGAACCAAAAUCACCAAAAUCAUUAUCAUCCAUAUCAAUUUCUUCAGACACAAAACUGUACCUACUAUGGCCAUCAUCUUCUUCAACAUUUCUACUAGCAUUAGUAGUUGCUUCCCAAGGUUCUCCGUGAAAUGUCCAAUUCUUAUAGCUUUGGUCAAUUCCAUUAAAAUAUAAGUGAUCCCUUAUAAUUCCAACCCCAAACAACUUCAAAUUAACACAUUUAACACAUGGACAACGGAUAUGUGUUGUAGUUAGAAGAUUUUCUACAGCAAAGUUCAAAAAUGCUUCCACCCCAAAUUCAUAUGCCUUCGAUCUUCUAUCCGAGUGCAUCCAUGACUUAUCCAUCUCCGACACUAUAACCUAUUAUCUAUAAUAAAGUGAAAAUACAGGCAAUGACCAUCACUAUAGCAGAUUAUACAAUGAUCUAAUCGCAAGUAAUACACAACAGAGACGACUGGUUUUAAACAAAAACAGACGUACUUGGCAUAUAUAGACGACGGAUUUUCAACAGACGUCGUCUAUUAUAAGUAAUACAAACGACGGUUUAUGAAAAAACCGUCGUGUAUAAGUAAUACAACGACGGUAGUUUAAAAAAACCGUCGUGUAAUCGUCGUCGUAUGCCCUAAAAUUCGUCGUGUCUCAGUUUAUUUUCAAGAACACAAAACCCAUUAAGAACACAACAUAUAUAUGAAACCAAGCAAGAAACCAACAUAUACAUGAAACCAAGCAUGAAAACAAUAAACCGUCGUGUAUAAGUAAUACAACGACGGUAGUUUAAAAAAACCGUCGUGUAAUCGUCGUCGUAUGCCCUAAAAUUCGUCGUGUCUCAGUUUAUUUUCAAGAACACAAAACCCAUUAAGAACACAACAUAUAUAUGAAACCAAGCAAGAAACCAACAUAUACAUGAAACCAAGCAUGAAAACAAUAAAUCCAUUCCCAAUUCAACAUAACAUAGGGUGAUUAAAAGAUACGACAAAAUUAAAUCCAUUCCCAAUUCAACAUAACAGAUAAUGUAAUCCAUGAACCCAUUAAACAGAAAAUCCAUGAACCCAUACCUAUAAGCACAUUAUUAACAGAUCGCAAAGCAUACACAUAAAACCCUUUAACAAAACAACCUAAUAUCAUUCAAUGAAUUUACAAGGGGAAGAUAGGGUUUGUACUUACAGGUUGGACGAGCUCACAGAUUCGACGGAGCCUGGAGAGUGCAACUUUUAAUUAGAGCAGAAGUGAGAGAGCGAAAUGUUAUGUCGCGCGAAAUCUGAAAAUUUUAGGUUUCAGGGUUCGAAGUAUAAGAAUAAGAGCCAAAUCUAAAAAAAUUUAGGUCGCGCGAAAAUUUUUAGAGCUCGCGCGUUUUAAAACGUCGAAAGAAAAACCAAGGCGAAAGUUCUACAAGUACCGACGUAAAUUUAAUAUUCCACGACGGAAACUUCAUUUUUCGGAUUAAGAACGUAAGGCCGUUCAUUUUGAAGCUUCAUUUUUCGGAUUAAUUUUAAAUUAAUUUUGAAUUUUUUAUAUAACGACGACUGAAAAACCACGUCGGUGUUAAGAAAUUAAAGACGUUGUAAAUUAUAUAAACCGACUUACAUAUUAAAAUGACGUCGUUUAAAGCGUAAACCAUGUCGUAUGUUUUUCUGUACGACGUAAAAUAUGUAUUCCACGACGCAACCACCGUCGUUAAAAAUUAAUACCCUAAACCCCUAAAACUAAAUUAUACAAUUUAAAAAAUUAAGUUUAAAAAAGGUUUUAUGGUUUUAAAGCCUAACAUAUACCCUAGACUACCCAAAAAUUAUACUUUAAAAAUAAACCCCAAUAAAUAACAACCCUAAUCUCUAAACCCUAGACUCUAAACCCUAAACCAUAAAACUAGAAGUGAUUUUAUGACUCAUCAAAACAAUUUUGUUUUGGAUGGUCAUUUUAAAUUUUUGUUAUUCAAAAUGAAUUUUUUCAAGGUUUAUGUGGAAGAAAAUAUAUCAAUGACUUCAUAGGAGUUGACUUUUCAAUUUUCUGAUUUAUUUUAAAUUUAUUUUGAAUAUUUUGAUAUAAAAAUAAUAAAAUAUUCUUACCACAACAACAAACCACGUCGGUGUUAAUAAAUUGUAGACGUUGUAAAUUGUAAUAGACUACUAAGUCGUUAAAAUGACGUCGUUAAAAUGAGAAACCAUGGCGGCUAUUUAACUAUACGACGUAAAAUAUAUAUUCCACGACUUAACCGCUGUCGUUACAUAAACGUCGUCGAUGAUACCCUGAACCCUUAAGAAAUUGAAGAUGUUGUAAACCAUAAACGACUCAAUUGUUCAAAGAACGUCGUCUAACUAUAUUUUUACAUCGUAUUUGUUUAAAACACGAAACAACAAAAUACGACGGUUUUUGACUUUAUUAGGUCGUUGGAAAAGUAUUACACGUCGGUUAAGCAAUUUGUAUGUUUGUUUUUUUUUUAAUUUAAGAAAACCUCAACAAAUUUUUACAUUACAUAUUAUAGAGAAAAUUUGUACAUUAUACAUAAAUAUCAAGUGUUCAAUAAUUGCCCUGUUUAAUAAUUUGGAAAACAAACUCUGCCCAUUCAUUCCGGACUUCAUCAAUGGCUUCUUGGGGGUAUGAAGCUUCCUGGUUUCCCUUGGCAUACUGCAUAAACAAUGACUAUUAGGGUUUAUAAAUAAAAAGAAAUUCAAUCACGGACGACGAUAUUUUUCAUAACCGACGUAGUAUAUCCAUUCAACGACGUUAAUUUUACAUGACCGUCGUUGAUAAUACAAAAAACGACGUGAAAUGUAUGAAGGUAAUUUCUUCUUACCUUAUUCUCAAACCCCAAGGAAGGAUCCAUGAUGAUAUCCCUCAUGAAGCGCAUCACAUAAUACCCGCAUUCGACAUUGCUGGGUUGCUUUGGUGUGCCUGAGAGAGUUUUCCAAAUUACAUUUUUACGUCCUGCUCGGGCUAUGUGGGUAUUAUAUAUUUUUAAAGCACUGUUCACGAUGUUUUUCGCCUCUUCGUCGACCACACGAUGACCUGGCAGAGGAUCCAGAAAAUAGACGGUCUCCUUCUUUGCUCACCGUCUGUCUUCUGAAGUCGAGCUGCUACCAGUCGUGAUCUUUCAGUUAUUGUGCCAGAGUUGGCACUAACUGUAGCAGGGUCGAUAAAGCCAACCAUGCUGCACAUAUUGGCUUGUUUCAAAACAUCGUGUAAGUACCUAAAUAUAUAAAAUAAUAUAAACAAGUCAGCACAAACAAACACGACGGUUAUGUAUAAAAAAACGACGUAUUAUAAUAUUUCACACGACGUACUGAAAUAGAUGAGGACGUUAUAAUAUAUUUAUCACGACGGUAGUUAGUUAAGACGACGUGGUUAGUUAGUUAAGACGACGCAAUAUAUAAACCAACGAGGUAUUAUUUUAGAAGUACAAACCUCACAUAUACAGCCAAUACAGUAGCUCCAAUUUCUUCCAUGCCUGCAAAUUGUGUAAUAUCUUCAGGCAGGAGGAAGGUAUCGCGCUCACCACCAAACACGUCCUUAUCAAUUGUAAAUUGGAGUGUCUUAUCCUCAGGCAGGAGUGUCGUUUCCACAAAACGACAAAGGGUUUUUAAAGAAGAUGGCACCUCCAUAUUUGAAUAAGCACCAACUUCAAUAACCUGUUGAAAGAAAUAAAAAAAAUGACGUGGUAAUUCAAUAAAGACGACGGUUUAAGGAAUAAAACGUCGUCUUAAACCAUUUAAACGACGGUGCAAAAACCGUCGUUUAAAUAUUUUAUUACGUCUUAAAAAAAGUCCGCCGUCUAAGUUUUAAACAAACGACGGAUUAAAUAAAAAUAUCGACGUCUGAAAUUUUGAAAAACAAAUAAAAAAGGCAAAGUUAUGUGAACAUACCUUGUCGUCAUGCUUUUCUUCAUCUUCUUUCUCCUUUUCUUCUUCCUUCUCUUCAUCUCUUUUUUCUUCUUCCUUCUCUUCAUCUGGCUGAUGUUUCCCCAUUUUGGCAGUAUCAUCCUCCAAAUGUAGGGAUCUCACAUCACCUCCAGAGCAGCUAGCUUUGUCAGACAUUGGAUUUUUGGGGCUUUGGCUAAUUCUUGGUUUAAGCAUGCUUGGAUCAAAAUUGGGAAUUAAUUGGGAAAGCUGACUCAGGAAAUGCUCCCUCUCAGCCUCUACCAAUUGUUUUGUCCUAGCCUCCAUCCUUAAGGCCUCUUCCCUUGCCUUAGCCUCCAUCUUUUUAGUCUCUUCUUGAAGGAGAACUCUUAAACUGUCCUUCAAACGGUCGUCAAAGCUCACCCUCUGUGGUUUGGGCAAAUUGAAAUAUUGCCUUGGGGAAACACUAGCACCAACUCCCCUCACUCUGCCUGGAUGCUCGGGGCCCAAAGCCAUGGUCAGCACAUCAUUGCUGCCAUCUACUCUGACUUUGCCUUCCGAGACUUGUUUCUGCAAUUCAUCCUAAAAAAAGAUAAACAAAAAAACACACGACGGUUAUUUAUGUACAAACGACGUAUUAUAUAAUUUCACACGACGCAAUAACGUAUAAACCGACGUUAUUAUAACUUAUCACGACGGUAGUUAUACCGACGUGGUUAUUUAUUUAAAACGACGAAAUGAAUAAACAACCGACGUCUUAUGCUAUAAUUAAAGAUAACAGAGUAGUGAUUCCUAUUUAGACCGUUAACGACGUUUUUAAAAAAUUUUCGACGUGGUAAUAUCAUUAAAACGACGCGAAAAUGAACCACCGACGUCUUAUGCUAUAAUUACAGAAAAUUAGUAGUGAUUCCUAUUUAGACCUUUAACGACGUUUUUAAAAACUUUUCGACGUGGUAAUAUCAUUCACACGACGAAAAAUAUAACAUACGACGUAAUAAGAAUAAUUCACAGUUUAAUAAAAAUUUAAAACAGAGUGAUAGUAGGCUUACAAUUAAUUUUGCUUUCUCUGCCACCUUUGGAUCAGGGAUGUUACCAUGUUUGUCCUGUCUAGCUCUCUUCCAUAAGGUAGAUCGAUCAAUUUCUACCCCAGGCAUGGUUUCCUCCAAUUGAUCCUCCAAUCCAGCAUAUCCUUUUCGAGACAAUCGAUGAUUGUACUCGAGUUUCUCCCUAAUCUGUGCAUGUUGAGAAUGCACAGACUCAAAAUCUUUGGAUAGCCUUGAAGCUACAAAGGCAUCCCAUUGUGCUUUCUCUAUGAAUUUAUAUGUUUCAGGGGGUUGGCUUAAUUUCUCCCUGUCAUUGGUGUAUGGAAGGAUAUAAUGCCUCGUUAGUGUAGACUUGAAAUCCUUCCAUUUCUUGGAAGCAGAAGCUAAAACAGAGGUCUUGCCCCCUUGGCCUACGACAAAAGCCAUGUCAACUGCUUUCCAAAUCUGCUCCUUUAUAUCCUUGGGGAUUUGGGACCAUUUCUUGUCCACAAGUGGGAUCCUGGAGCGUGCCAACACACCAAUAUACGACUGCAUCUCAAUAUGUGCUUGGCCAACACCUUUCCCCCUUUUAUUGUACUCAACAAUUGGCCUCAGUUUCUGAAGCUUUCUCUUCACAACACGAGGCAUUGUGCUCAUAUCUCGACCAGUCUUUGAAUCAUCAGAGAUUGUUGUCUGGCUGGUUGGUUCUGUCUCAGCAGAUGAUGAAGCAAACUUCAUCUUCUUCGAAGACUUCAUCUCCUUCGAAGACUUGUCUUGAGGAGCUACCAUUCCAAGCUUCUUGGAGCCAGAAUCCUUAGUUUGUUGUUGAGAAACCAUUUUAACAGACAAAACUGCAAGUGAAAAUAUUUCAGGAAAACAUUAAGAACACAAACGACGGUAUUAAAAAAAUACGACGUAUGAUAUGAUUUUAGACGACGCAAUGAAAUAAUCUCAGACGUAAUAAAUGUUUAAAACCAUUAUUUAUAUAACGUCGUGGUAUAUAUGUUCACACGACGUCAAUAGUAAUACACCGUCGUGGUAAACUAUUAAUUAUAUAACGUCGUGGUAUUUAUGUUCAUACGACGUCAAUAGUAAUACACCGUCGUGGUAUUAACAUUCACACGACGUAAAACAAUAAGAUAUUUUGUCGUCUAUAUUAGAUACCAACCCUAGUUUCUUUUUCUUUAUAUUUUAUCAAAUAAGGGAAAAACAAAAACCAUUGUUCAAACAAGCAUAUAAAAAAAGACUAUUAUUAUAAAAAAAGACUAUUAUUUUAAAAACAACUUUGUCAAUUUUCAGACGACGCUAGAACAACUGACGAACCGUCGUGGUCUACCGUCGUCUUAUUUAGUUGAGGUAGUUGUCUUCAAAGUUGGAAACUUUCCCUCUUAAGAAGUAAAAUGAUUUUGGCCAGAAAAAAGGUAAAAAGAUUUUUCAAACAAAAAACGUAUGAGCAUGCAAAACCGUAACCAAAAUAGUGAAAAUGAAAGCUUACCUUUUGCGUGCAAUGAAAGCAAGAGGAAGAUGAUCGAUGUUUAAGUUCAGAGACGACGAAGAAGACGAGAGGAAGACGAUGAGAAACUCUGACAAUGCUCUGACAAGGAAAAAAGACGAAAAGGUUUCUCUGGGAGAUUGAAAUUUUUAAUCGGGUUUGGAAACAGUGCAUGUGUAAGUCGAAAAGUUGCUUACAUAUAAAACCAUUUCAAAAAAAAUAAUACGGCGGUUACAUUUAACUACGUCGUUUUUAACUAACACGACGCAAUAUUUUUCGUUCGACGUGGAAUCAUUUCAUUUAACGUCGUUAGGUUUAAUAUAACCGACGUGGAUUUUAAUUUUUAAAUUAUGAAUAGAAUAUUUUUUUCCCGUGACCUUUCAGUUUAUUUUUCAAUUACAGUGCGUUAUAAAUAGAGUUUUUUUUCCGGAGGAAAUUUAAAACGAAGGAAAUUAAUAUUCUGCAAUAUGUAAAGUUUCUUUUUUGGAUGACAGAUUUAAAUAAAAUAAGAAUACAAAAACAACGAAUGUGUAAGUCAAGUAGACGAAAAGUUGCUUACAUAUAAAACCAUUUCAAAAAAAUAAUACGGCGGUUACAUAUAACUACGACGUAUAAAUUACAAAAUACGACGGUACAUUUAACUUCGGACGUGGUAAAUAAAUACGACAGUAGUUUGUAGGUACCGUCGUAGUAAACUCAAAAAUUAAAGUACAUAAGUAAUAACUCGCGUCAUGGUAGAUUAUUUAACACGUCGUUUUUAUUAAUUUACCGACGUGGAUUUCUGUAAUAUACGUCGAUAAUACCGACGUUGAUUUUACAAUUUAAACGACGGUUUUUUUGUAAGGACCGCCGUUGGUUUUAAAAAUUUAUUCUAUAAAUUUGUCGCUUUCAUUCAUUUUCGGUUUACAUUUAAGGUUCCAAGUUCUUCCUCUCUCAGUCUCUCAUGUCUCAAAGACAAUAAUUUGGAUGUCUUUCUCAAAGAGAAAUUGAGCUUACUCGCAUCAAAUAUAUGUCCACAAGAAGAAGCUUGUCAACUAGCCUUCUCACUUCCUUGAUCAAGCCUGAUAGGACACUUAGUGCUUCUGAAUACUCCUUGCUUUCCAUCAAAAGAGAUGCAAGCCUGGCCUCCACUCGCUGUCGAAGGAAAGUUCGCUUCUCAGGGAAAUCUGAAGAUCAGAUGUGCCUGAUCCUCUGCUUGAUUUUCUUACCUAAGAAGAUCCGUCGGAUUUGUGAUAGCCUCUUCCUUUAUCCGUAGAGCUUCAGAAGAAGAAGAUGGGUUUCAAGAAUGCGAUAAAGAAUAGAAAUGGCUUCAGAUGGCCUCUAAAGCAUGAGCAAUUGAAUCAGUAGUUUCUGGGAGAUAUGAUGAAGACAUUGUCAAUGCUUUGAACUAUACAAGUCCUGCAGAAAGAUAAAGGACCAAACUGUUAAAGAAACUGAAACAACGGCGGUUUUCUGUUCUACCGUCGUCUUUUCUCGUCGUCUAUAUUAAGGUAAGAUGGCGGUAGAUUUAUAAUUACCGACGUAGAUUAUUUUGUUAAACGUCGUUAAGUGUACUACAACCGACGUGGAUUUUAUUUUUAAAUUAUAAAUAGAGUUUUUUUUCCAGAAUUCUUUCAGUUUUAGUUUUCAAUUACAAAGCGUGAUAAAUAGAUUUUUCUUUCCCGAGGAAAUUUAAAAUGAGGGAAAUUAAUGUUCUAGAAUUUGUAAACUAACACGACGCAAUAUUACUAACCCGAGGAAAUUAUAAAUAGAUUUUGCUUUCCUGAAGAAAUUUUAAAUUAAUUCAGUUUGAAACAAAACGACGGUUUUUUGUUAUGCCGUCGUUUUUAACUAACACGACAGAUUUAAAUAAAAUAAGAAUAUAAAAACAACGACUGUUUUUUUACUACUGUCGUCGUUUUUCAUCGUCUUAAGUAAGACUAAGACGACAUAAUAUAUUUGUUGAGCGACGUUGAUUUGUUUUUAAACGUCGUUAGGUAUAAUAUAACCGUCGUUGAAAAUUGUCUCUCUGAUUGCAAAUUUGCAACGACGUUGAUCAACUUCCAAAAAAUUGUCCCUCUGAUUGCAAAUCUGUGUCAUCUGUUAAGAUUAUUUUGUAUUUUAAAGUCGUGGAUUUGUUUGUAAUUAUACGGCGUCUUAUACGAAAACCUCGUCGUGUUAUUUUAUGAGUAAAAACGACGGCUUUUAUUGAAAUCGUCGUCUUUACUUUCUACGUCGGUCUAUUCAUAACUUCUGCCGUUCUUUGUUUGCUUUGAUUUUACACUGCGGAAAUCUGUUUCAAAUAGACGUCGGUUGUUUAAUUAGGUACGUCGUUGUUUUUGAACAGCCAUUUGAAUCUCCAUUUUUUAGUUGUCUAAGGUGCUAUUACACGACGGUGUUUUUAGAACCGUCGUCUUUUUAAAAACCACGACGGUUUUCACUUAGACCGUCGUUGUUUUCUGGUCGUCUUUUUCACUUUUUGUAGUAGUGAGACGUUAACUGGGUUUGAAUUUGAUUCAAUGAAGCCAGUCCCGAAACCAAUUUAUAGUUUGAUAAGCCUGUAUUUCUCAUUAUGAGAUCAAAAUAAUUAUCUUCAGUUUUCUAUACACUUGAAGACCAUGUAAGCAUAUUCUUGUUUCUAUUACUACUUUCUUCCCCUCCGUGAAUGGGAGUCUUGUGGGAUUUACAUGAGGGGCUAGGGAUGGCUAUAUUUUAAUCAAUAACACCACGCCACAUCGGCUGAUUACAUUGUUAGGAACCUUCAUCAUUGCUGAGCUGGCAUAGUCAGUUUGUUAAUUGAUUAGUUAAGAAAUUAGUUUCUAACCGAAUUGGUUAAUGAGAGCUUCACAGCCAUAUUAGGCAAUUAUUGUAUCAAGAAUGAGUUGUAGAGAAUAUUGUACUGUUUCGAUAAUUCAAUAAAGAAUCCUUGUUACUCUGUGUAAUUCUAGGGUUAAGGUUGAAAGGGGUUUAACACACAUAAUCAUAUGUGACAGCUGUUAAAAGUUUAAUAUAGUUCUAUUAGUAACUUUCUCUCCGAGGAGGGGCCUUGUGUUUGAUUAGGUAGUUGGUAAGGCAAAGCUAACUAACGCAAUUAGGAAGAUCAACCACACUAACUGAGACACAUCCCAUACUCCUACCGAAGGGAGUAGUGGGAAAUUCUCCGCCAUGUGGAGGUAGAAGAGGCAACGAAAGCAUCGGCUUUCUUUGUUCUAGCAACGGCGGUAAAAAAGAGAAUGCAAGCAUUAUCUGAAUGAUCAGGCUUAAAGCUAUAGGUGGCUAGUAUAGUCCACUUGCUACUAAAGUUAUUUGCAAAUUGACACAUUAUCUACCAUAUGAUGUGGUACAGUCCUCUAGUCUUUCUCCAAUGAGUUUUAACACCCAGACACACGUUCCCCCAACCCAAAAAGGAGUCAUUCAUUGGUAUUUGAGUCUUUCUCUAGUCUUCAUUGAUUGAUUGGUAAAAGUCUUCUUCAAGUCUUAUAAACACCCACUUUUGUCCCACUCCUCAGAACAAAGGAGGAGGACAUGUAUUUUCCUUUUUAAUUUAUGAGCAUAUGUAUUUCCCUUCCUCUCUUGUCUUUCUUUUCAUAGUUUAGUGAUUCUACAUAUAUCUGUUUCAUUCUCUCUCGUCAAUCUUGGUUUUUUGGAUCUCCCUUGCUUGUGUAACCCAGAUCCGUACCGUUUGUGCUUGGUCUCAUGAUAUGAUGAAGAACUAGCUGAAACUGAAAAAUCACACUGGUUUUUGUUUAGCAAGUUAAUAUUUCGAGUGAAAUAUUAAAUAAUUGGAGAGGGGGGGAGAGAGAAUAUAUAUAUAUAUAUAUAUAUAUGGGGACGGAUCCGUGGCAAUGUAAUGGUUGAGAUUUAAUGGUUGAGAUUAAAUAGGACAUGACAAAUAAUUUUAAUGUUUUAAAUAAACAAUCAUUAAUUUUAUUUUCUCUCUCAUAAAAAUAAAAUAAAAUAAAUUUCUCUCUCCUACCUUUUUUCUUGGAAACGUAAUCUCUUUUCUUGGUAGUAUCCUUUUUUACUUGGUACAUACCUCUCUCUCUUUCCUAGGAUUAGAAAAAAAAACCUCCAUAUUUUUUCCCUCUCUCCCUCUCUCUCUCUCUCUCUCUCUCUCUCUCUCUCUCUCUCUCUCUCUCUCUCUCUCUCUCUCUCUCUCUCUCUCUCUCUCUCUCUCUCUCUCUCUCUCUCUCGUAACUGCAAACCAACCAUAUGAAUUCUCUACUCCAUUUUUAUUCCAUUUUCAUUUUCCUUAAAACUAAUACGUUUUGUUUUGUUAUUUAUGAUUAUAUUGAUAUGACCUGAAAUCUUAAUUGUUCGGUUUGUUUUCUUAAAGAAUUUCAGGUUUCACAAAUAGAGAAAAUAAAAUAUUUUUUAGAGAUGCAGUGCAAAAAGUUUAUGCCGAACAAUAUAACCUUUAUUGGUGUUUUGUCUGCUUGUAACCAUUGUGGUCUGGUAGAGGAAGGGAAAAGAUGGUUUAAAGGAAUGGAGGGCUUUGGGCUUAUCCCCCAAAUUGAGCAAUAUGGUUGGAUGGUUGAUCUUUUGGAAAGGGCAGGAUGCUUGGAGGAGGUUUGCAGUUACCGGAGAGAGAGAUGGAAAAAAGAUGGAGGUUUUUUUUUUCUGAUCCAAGAAAAAAGAGAGAGAGAGAGGUGUAUACCAAGUAAAAAAGGAUACUACCAAGUAAAGAGAUUACGUUUCCAAGAAAAAAAGGAUGAGAGAGAAAAUUAUUUUAUUUUAUUUUUAUAAGAGAGAAAAUAAAAUUAAUGAUUGUUUAUUUAAAAUAUUAAAACUAUUUGUCAUGUCAGAUUUAAUCUCAACCAUUAAAAGUGGAGUAAUCUAAUGACCAAAAAAUUGUGUUAAAACUUGUGUAAAAAAUGUGGUGCUACGGAUCUGCAUCUAUAUAUAUAGAGAAACUUGAAUGCACAAGAAUUGUACUGUGGUAGCAAAAACGCUACUGCCACAAAAACACUCGAUUAUAUGGCAACUGCAUCUCCACAACGACAAGUAUUGCAUUGGGAUUCAAUCUAAAAACUUUUAGACUCAUUUUCCAUGUAUGUAACUCACAAACUUUCAUUUCCAUUAUCCCCUGAGCUUGUAAAAUGUGCAUGUCUUCUCAGCACUGUCUUUGUCUUCUUUAACUAAACAAAUACUAUUUUAUUACUUGUCAAAGUGUGGAAGCUCAUAGGAAAGUUAUGAGAAUGUUAAAGUCAAGGUUUUGAAUUAAAUUACUAUUUAACUACUAUAAUUCUCUAGAGGGUUCAAGUCGAGGACUGAAAAUCCUAACUAGAAAUAGAUGCACAAUUUUAUAAUCCGUUGUUGCAUGUUGCAUCGUUUGGAUGUUGAAUAGGAAUUUCAUAAAAUACUACUCUCGGAGCAUUUUUUUGAUGAACUCUUUCUCUUGUUUUUUGUUUUAUUUUUCUUCCUGAAGUAUACAAUAAUGCACAUGGGAUGGGAAAAGAAUAAGGACUUAGGCUCCGUUUGGUUCAUGAAAUGAAUUUGAGGGGAAAUCAUUUCCCGUGUCAUUCCCCAAGGAAUGGAAAUGGAAGAUUCCUUUCCCACGUUUAGUAAUGCUAGGAAAGUAACCGGGAAAUAUCACUUUAUAUCCUUUCCCAUGUUUGUUUUGAGUAGAAAUGGAAAACAAAGUUCGUAUAAAAUUUUAAUUAUACCCAUAUUAAAUCAAAUAAAAAAAGAAUGCAUUUAAUGAUAUAUUGUAUGUAAUGACCCAAAUUCAUAUUUAAUUAGUAAAUUAUUAUGCGGAAAGACAAUUUUGCCCUUUGACUCACUUAUGAACUCAAAGUUGACUUUUUGACCGAAAAGGAAUUUGACAAUUCCACAUACACCGUUGCGUAGAGCACGACGACACGAGUUCAUAGACACGAAGUAAGCUCAAAUCGGAGUUUAACGACGAAACUACGAUUAAAAUAUCACGAGGGGCAAAAUGGUAAAUUGGAAAAUCAGAUUUUAUAAAACCUGUUCCUCUCUCUCUCUCUCUCUUCAGUUCUCUCUCCUCUCUCUCUCCUCCCUCCCGUUGCGCCAGCCACCCUCCUCCCUUCCGAUUGAGACAGCGGCCACCACAGGGCACGCCGAUCUCCGGCGUUGGUACCAAUAGCUCCACCACACCCUCGCCGUCACGACCUGACCCGUCGCCGCCCCUGCACCGACCGGAGCUCGCCGGGAUCAGGCGAAAACCGAUCGGUUUUCAGUCGAAACUUCAAGCUCCUCGAUCUCCUUCGUUUCUCAACCAAAUCGUUCGAGUAAGGUAUGGUUUCUCAGCUAUUUUUCAUGCUCUAACUGAUGGUUGGCUGGGUUUUGAUCGAUUUUAGCUGUAGAUCACUCGAUUUUCGAAGUGAAAAUCGGCCGAACUUCGGCCUCCGUGAUCGGCCGUUUCCGGCCACUUUUUGGGGUUAGUCCAAGAACAAAAGUGGUUCCAAAUACGGUGUUAUACCUAGGAUAGGAGUUUGGAGCCUUGGUUUUGAGAUUUUCCGGCGAUGCGUAAUCGCUUUGGUUCUGAUGCGAUCCUUAGGUCGUCACGAGCGCAUAAGAAUUCGCGGAUCUCAAUUUGGAUACCGUUUGAGCCUCGAACGGAUUUUCCUUAUUAUGCGAUUAUCGGGUUCAAUACUGUUGAGCCGUUGGAUCGUAAUCAAUUUUAGAUAUGUUGUUCCAGAUAAUUUUAGAAACGUGUAGGAUUCGACGGAUUGUGAAUCGGAGUCCCGGAUACUCCGAAAACGCGAACCCUAGGGCUAUGGUUUAGAAAUUGUGCGAUUACACGAUCGUAAUUAAUCCGACCGUCCGAUUGACACCAAUACCCUCGGGACAUGUGUCCUAAAUAUAUUGGACCUUCUAGCGGCAUCCGGAUCAUAUUGUACCCGUGGGGUUCCGGAUUGACUUUUUGGACUUUAGCGCUUUUUGAGUCCCAAGAUACCACUAAACUAUCCCACGUGGAAGGAAAGCUGUUAUGGGCAUAGGGAUCACUUUAAAUUGACGCACGUACUUUUAGGAGCCGGGGGUAGGGUUUUUAAUUUAAUACUAUAUUGUAUUAAUAGAAUAUUAUGGUCAUUGAAUCAGGCACCCGGGCACCAGUUGACCCGCAGGAGGGACCUUCAAGAGGUCCAGCGAGCUCAGACUACCAGUGAGUGGACUCUUUGUUUUAAUAAAUGAAUUUAAGCAGUUUAGUUUCAGUUAUCAGCUGUUUUAUUCUGUAAAAUAUUUUAUGUUGCAUGCUGCCGAGUGAAAGUUCCUUUAAAGCAUAUAGGACAAGAUAUUCUCGUUAAUUAUCAGAUAAAUAGCAGCAGAAUUUUAAAGGUUACAUAAAGUUAAUUAUUCAACAGAUUUCCUUCAGAAACUUUAUAUUUUCUUAAAUCACCUUGUACCCAGAUAUUAAAUGUUGCCUUCGGAUUAUAUUUGUUGCCUUCGAUUUAGUCAGCAUGCUUGACAGUUGCCCCACGAGUUCCUUGGUACUGGAACUCGUGUGGAGCGAGUAAUGCGGAUAAAGGUGGACUACGGUUCCCUGAAUCCUGCGAGUUGCGGCUCGGACUGACUUCGUGUCACUGAGACCUGCGAGUAUGUGUCACCCAUGGUGAUGCAAGGAAUUGACAGAUAUAAGGAUUUGACGGAAAUAGGGGUGCACCUAGGUGAUAGGUUUCAACUGUUUUCAAAUGUAUAGUUAUAUACAUGCAUUGAUUUCAGAAAUAAAGAAAAUAAGCUAGUUUGUAUAACUGUUUUUACAGUGGGGUUAGUAUGUUCAUAUAGUAUUUUCUAAACUUUGUUUUUGGGUCCACUCACCCUUCUUGUUGUUUUGCGCCCCCAGGCAGUAGACGUGCACAGGAAUCCACCCCCGGGCCCACUUCCCCAUCUUCCGCGCCCUUCUCUGAUGUAGGAUUUGUAUUUUGUACACAGAUUCACUCUUUUGGUAAAUUCUUAGUAGUCGCUCUGAUGUUUUGCCCUAGACUGAGCUUUGAUCUCUUGUGAUGUGUAUAUAUAUGUAUGCUGGCAGUUGGUUGUAUAUAUAUAUACUUGUUUUGACAGGUGUAAGAUUUUGGUAUUGAGCCAGAUACAAGGGAAACUCUGCCGGUUUUUCUGUAGAAGUCAACCUUGUUAUUUUUAUCAUGUAUUGUAUAGAAGGGCAAAUAGGACAUUUGUCCCCGACAUUCGCCAGGUGUCGGACACACACAGGGUCUGGCUCGGAUUCCAAAGUGGAAUUUGGAUCGGGUCCUGUCAAUAGGGAUGGCAAAAAUCUUCGUCGGGCUGGGUCUCCAGCCCUAACGGUGGGAAAUUUUAGGGCAAAACGGGGAUUGGGUACAGGGAUCCCCAAAUCUCGAUAAUUAUAAGAUUAAUUUUAAAUUAAUACAUAUAUAAUAUAGAGAGCUUUAGUUUUGAAACACAAUAUAGUUUACUAAUUUGGAAGAUGGGAAUACAAUUUCAUCUAAUUAGCAUAAGGCCGAAGACCAAAAUGCAGUAUAUAAUUUUACAAAAACAUCAUUAAAAAAUAUCAAAAUUACACACAAUGUCACUCCUUCUAAGGCAAGCAUACUAUGCCAUAUAUCCAUAUCCGGCCACCACUGCCAUAUAUCCGUAUCCGGCCACCAAUUCCGUUACCCUUUAUUCACCUUUAAAAAAAAAGAUAUUGUGUCAUUGAAGGGACUCGAACCUUGAUCCUCAAAGGAGGAAGGCUCACUCACAAACCACUACACCAAACUUGAUUUUGUAAUAUUUAUUCAGUUAUACAAUAUUUAUAUAAACAAUCAACGGUUUAAAAAACAAUCAUUUCAAUACAUAUUCACACAAAAAUUGCAAAUAAAAACAGAAACUGCAACAAAAAUACAAUGUAGAUAUCAAUUAUGUUUUAAAAAAACAAAAACAAAAAAAAAAACAAAAACAGCUACAAAAAUAAAAAUUAAUUUUAUUGAAGCGAAAUGGAGGAACCAAGAUGAAAGUACUAAAAUGGAAAUUAUGAUGCAGAAAUGGAAACUUCAAUGCAUAAACAGAAACUGCAAUGCAUAAACAAAAAAUGCAACAUAACUGCAAUGCAUAAAUGGAAACUGCAGUACAAAAAUGGAAACGGCAAUGCUAAGUUUGGGAAAAAUGACUCAACUCUAAAGUUAAACAAAACGAAACUAUAUAUUUUUAUUUAUUCAAUACAUGUUGGUAAAAUACUCUGUUUCUGGCAAUGCCGUUUCCAAAACUCAAAUUUUGAGUUCCCUUGCUCUGGCCCUCCCAAUUCCUUAUCUGUGUAGCCUCUACUCUUCAAAUUGGUGAGGUUGAAGGCUAUGGAAAGAGCAAAAAUCUAAUUGUAUUUAAAUGAAAACUGCAAUGCAGUUCCGAAAGUCCAAUUUUGAAUUCCCUUGCUCUUAGGUAGUUCUACUCUUCUCUUGCCCACCCAAUUCCUCAUCUGGGUAGCCUAUACUCUUCAAAUUGGUGAGGUUGAAGACCAAGAAAAGAGCAAAAAUACAAUUGUGAUUACAAAAAUGCAAUGCAGUUUCCAAAACUACAAUGCAGAACCUAUAUAAAAUUUCACUAAACUAAAGCUUAAAUUGACAGGACCCGACCCAAAUUCCACUUUGGAAUUCGAGCCGAACCUUGUGCGUGUCCGACACUUGACGGAUGCGGGGCAUAAAUGACCUAUUUGCCCUUCCAUUCAAAUACAGUUUAUCUCAAAUUUGACUUAUGCCGAAAAUUCAGUAGAGUCUCCCCUGUAAAUUGAACAUUUCCCAAAAUUUUCACAUGUAAAACAAGCAUAAAUAUACAUACAUAUAACCCAACUGCCAGCAUGCUUUAAAUUAUAUCCAAGAAAACAACAGUAUAUCAUUCUGCCCCCAGGGCUUCAUAAUUCAAGUAAAUCAUUCUAUCACAUGGAACUGAUUCUAACUUUUAGAACAACAUGAACACAAUAACAUAUUCAAAAAAAAUGUAGCUGAACCAUUUCUCAAUCCUUUUUGCCUCGCGGCUGUACCUAGUAAUUCUAGGCUGCCUACGUACCCUCAACUAGGGAUCAAGUCACACGUAGUUCUUCUAUUCCUGUUCCAAGCUUCUUGGCAUUACUCACAUGGCAAUAACUAUAUUUAAAUAAAGGAAUAAAAGCAUUUAGAUUCAAGUAAUCACUCUUGGAAAGCCAUAACUAUUAAUUCCUCGUGACACCAUUGGUGACACGUCCUUCCCUGUAAUUCUCGCUGGACUCAGGAGACAUCUGGUCAACCUGAUCCGCAAUUCUCGCUCCCACGAUCCGGAUAUCUCUAAGACUCGUGGGGCAAAGUAUGCUAGAAAUACUUGAGUUAUUUAAUACCAUAUCCAAUACAAAAAAGAUAAAGGCAAACAACUUAAAUAAAAUAAAAUAAGAUAAAUUAAAACAAAACGGAUUAAAAUAAGAUAAAAUAAAAUAAACAAGCUCCGAAUACUCUUGUAUCAAACUCAUGUAAGGUUCAUAAAUAAUUAUGUAUAUAUAUAUAUCCGUCUUUCUCUUGUGACAUAAAUAUCUUGAUUAAGAAAAUGAUAGUAACUGUAUGAAGUUCCUCAAUUUUACUUUAAAAAAAGCGUUUUAAAGCUUAAAUUCUCUCCACUAGGCGUACCCCCAUUUUUGAUCCAUCAAUUCCUUUAAUACCAUCAAUUCCAUCCUCGUAGAUCUCGGAAACAUAAAGUUAACCGAUCCGCAUUCCUCGCAGGUCUCGGAGAUACCACUUCAAUCCAAGCCGCAUUCCUCGCACCACACAGUUCAGGCGUUUCCGAAACUCGUGGGGCAUUAUCAAAAUAACCAAACUAUUUCAAAGUAACUUGGGGGCACCCUCGUGAUGAGUUUGAAAACCAUAACCUGGCUUUUAUAUCAACUUUCAAUAAACUUGUUCUCAACUAAACUUAAAAUAUAUAUACAUUUGUAUGCCACAAUCUGAUGAAAGCCAAGUGCUAUGAGUCAUCUUUUUCAACUAUUGAAUAUACAUAUAUUAAACACUUAGCUAGUAUGUUAGCCAUGUCGAUCUUUGAUUAACAUAUCGUUCAAAUAUUAUAUUAAUAAUCUUACAACAUAAUUAACCAUAUGAAUAUAUAAGCAUGUGAUAAAUCAACAUAUAAUUAAAUGCUCAACCUAAAUUCACAUAAAAUAAAGAAGGGUAAACUACAGUAAACUCCCCAACCUAUAGGGCAUUUACGAGUCCAUACCCGAUUUUGGGGACAUUUAUGAGUACAUACUCAACGUCGCGGAAAACCUACAAUUUGCCCCCCUCCGUUAGCGAGACCCAUCAGGAAAUCUGUUAAACGCUGACGUGGCGAAUGUGGGUUCUAUUUUUUAAUGAGGUGGACUUACAGGUGGACAAAUAAAUAAUAAAAAAAUUUAUACAUGUUAAAAAUAAAUUUUAAAUCAUAUUAAAAUCAUUAAAAAAUGAAAAGAAAAAAAAAAUCUCCUCUCUUCUCCUACAUAGCCAACCCUCUCUCCCACCCGACUCAACCCUACCUCUCAGCCACCCCCCUUUCGUCGCCCACCUCCAAACCCAACUCUCUCUCUCUCUCUCUCUCUCUUCUUCUCCCUCCCAACCCACCCCAACUUCUCCAGAAAGCUCAUCAUUCUUCUCCUCAAAUUUAAACCCAUUUUACAACAACAUUAGGAAAUACAAAUUGUGAAGAAACUUGGAAAAGAAGAAUAUUGGUAAAGUACUGUGAUAGGUUGAUUUCCAAAUUACCACAUUUGAAACAAGAUUAAUUUUUGCAGAUAAUUCCUCUUGAUUAAUUAUCAGUUUCUGGGUAAACUGAUAAACCCAAAAACAAGAUUAAUUUUUGGAACAAAAUGAUAAAGUUCAAAGAAACAUAAACCUAAAAAAGAACAUUGCCUAAAAAGGCAUAUCCUUCACCAAUAACAAACAACUAUCAGAACACAAAAAACGCAGAUAAUUCCUCAAAUUUAAACUCAUUUUGCAAAUCCUAAUAUUGUUCUAGCUCCGGUGAGAUCUGAAGAACGAUGACGAGCUCACGAGGUCUUGAGAACAUUCCCCAUGGCGUGUUGCAAAGACCCAACCACCUGGGUUUUGUAGAUCAGCCUCAUUCAUUCUCGACAAGCAGGACCAAGAAUGAAAUGACGCUGCAUCGGCCUUGAAACCCUACUCCCUCACUCUCUCCCCGCCACUGCAGUCCUCAUCCAUGGCCGACCCCUCGCAAAGCCCUAACCCUAAGAUCUCGGCCUACUACCAAACCCGGGCGGCACACCACGGCAUCAUCACGAGCGACUGGCUGGCCCAGGCUCAAGCUGCCCUCUGCCAAAACCCCAACGAACAAGGUCCAAUCGUCGGCAAGGUUGAAGCCAGACCCGAUUCUGCUUCCGGCAAGCCCUUCAGCGUCAUCGAGGAGUUCAAUAACUAGAGAAAGCAGCCCGAUUUGGCCGAGGCUGUGGCAGCGAUUCGGGCAUUGGAGUCUGUGAUUCGGUCUAGUAAGGCCACCACGAUGACGGAGCUCGAAAUUGAGCCUGGGGAAGUUCCUUCAUGUUCUUGCAUUCUUUCACAGAGAGAGAGAGAGAGAGAGAGAGAGAGAGAGAGAGAGAAUGAUUUUUCUUUUUCUUUUGAUUUUAAAUGAAAAUUAAUUAUUUAAUAUAAUUUUACUUGUUUUGUAUAAUUGUUUAUUAGUUUUUUGUCCACGUGGAAUCCCACGGUAAUUAAAAAAUGGGUCCCACAAAUGCCACAUAGGCAGAUAACGGAUUUUCUGACGAUCUCGCUAACGGAUGGGGCAAAUUGUAGGUUUUCCGCGACGUUGAGUAUGUACUCAUAAAUGUCCCUAAAAUCGGGCAUGGACUUGUAAAUGACCCUAUAGGUUGGGGGGUUUACUGUAGUUUACCCAAUAAAGAAAUUAAGACCAUAAAUAAACUAAUUGAACACUCUCAUGCACAUUAACUUUCUAAAAGCUUAAACAUAUUCUAUGGAGCUCAUCCUCAUUAUUUAAUGCAAAGUCCUGGCACUGGGCUCCUAGAAGUGCGUGCAUUGAAUUGAAGGUCAUUCUCAAGCCUAUGUAAGCUUUUCCACUUAUUGGAAUGAUCUAGAAAUGCCUCGGGACUCAAAAGCUAUAAGUUCCAAAAAGUCAACCAGGGACCCCGUGGGGUCCACAACCUAAAAUUUUUUGAUCCGAGAGUUGCCAGAGGUUCUAACAUGCCUAGGACAUAUGUCCCAAGAGUCUGGUCUCGAUCGGACGGUCGGACUACUCACGAUCGCACGAUCUGACGGUUACUGUAGACCCAGCCCUAGCGUUGGCCUUUUCGGAGUAUCCGGGACUCCGAUUUCACGAUCCAUUGAAUUCUACACAAUUCUGGAAUUACAUAGAUCAACAUAUAAGAAAUUGACUGCGAUCCAACGGUUCAAACGUAUCGAACUGAGAAAUUGCACAAUAUGCGAGAUCCGUUCGGGGUACAAACAUUGUCCGAAUUGAGAUCUGUGAAUUCCUACGCGCUCGUGACAGCAUAAGGAUAAUUUUAGAACAAAAUUUCGGACCGUCACCCUGUCCACGUGCCAGCAACGCGUGGGUGUCUAGAUAAAUUUCUGUGGCCGGAAAACUUCAAGGUUGAAGGCCAAGCUUCCUAUCCUAGGUAAAACACCCUAUUUGGAACCACUUUUGUUCUUGGGCCUAGCCCAAGAAGUGGCCGGAAUCGAAGGCCGAAACUGGCCAAAAUUUUAAUCGCUUAAUCAACCAAUUAAACGCAAAAAUUUCUCAAAUAUAACACAACCAGCAGCUAGAACACGUUGAAAGUAUAGAAAAUCAUACUAAAUUCGAAAGAUUUGGUGGCCGGAGGCGUUCGAACGAGUUCCCGAAAGUUUACUAAAAAAACUGCCCAACACCGCUUGUUACAUGGCUGAUUCCAGUGACCACAUCGGCGGAUCAAGACUGGGACCAGUCGAAAAUCAAAGAGGGAAGUGAGGUGAUUCUAAUGGGACCAGUGCCGCCAAGAAGGGAGGUGUGUGGUGGCGGUGGUGGAGGAGAGAAGUUGGUUGGUCAUGAAGCUUCUGAGGAGGGGGAGAAAAUCUGGGUUUUAAAACUAAACUUUGGAAUAUUUACGGUUAUGCCACGGAACUUCUUUUGAUCGUAACUUCUUCGUUACAACUCCGUUUUGAGCCCACUAUGUGUCUACGGACUCAUCUCGACGUGCUCUAUGCAUUAGUAUAAUUGAAAUUUCCAAAAUACUUUCCGGUCAAAAAGUCAAUUUUUUCCCUAAUAAUUUAUUCUAGGGGCAAAAUUGUAUUUUUCUCUAAUAAUUUAAUAAUUAAAAAUUAAUUAAGGACCGGGUUGUUACAUAAAUGGCAUUACAAAAUAUCAUAUGAUAGUGAUGGCAUCAACCAUUUCCAAAUCAAGACAAAUGUACAGUAAGUGAGUUUUAUAAUAAGAAGUUGCAGCUAAAUUAGAUCAUUACCUGACAUACAUGCAUACAUAUAUUUGAUCACAAACUCUCACAUUCCAAAGAACCCUAAGAUUAAAGUCAUACUUUCACUUUAGAAUUUUGAAAACUAAAUUAAAUUAAAAUUCGAGAUGGGAUGUUACAACAUACAUGAAUUCGAUGGUCCAACAGAAGUAUCUAUGAUUACAGUUCAUAUUAGACAACUUUCUAUUCUUCCCUUAUGAAAAGAAAUGCUGCAGCAAUAGGAAGCAGCUCCAUAAACUAAGAAACAAGUCAAUAUUUACCUACAUACUAUAAGAGUACAGACUAAUGAAUAAAAAGUAUUUUGAAAAGCAGAAUACCUCUCUGGCAAUACCCCAUACUUUUUUCAUAUAUAGAACUCAAGGUGUAAUGAAUUUGCAGCUGCAACCGCAAGAUCAUAUCCAAAUAACUACAAACAAACACAAAAAACCUAAAUUACUAACAAAAAGCAAUAUGCAGUAACAAAAAGAAAACUAAUUUAUUAAGCUGCAUUAGAGGUUAUAGAGAUGUAAAAACUAUAUCUGAAGACUAACAUUUAGCAUAUUCAAAUGUUUGAAAGUAAAUCACAACAUUGGCUUAAACUAAGGCCCCGUUUGAUUCAUGGUAAAGGAGACUUGGGAAUGGGAAAUCAAUUGCUUUCCCAUGUUUGGUAAGUCUAGGUAAGGGAAAUCGUUGCCUAGCUCAUGGAAAAGUAGGGGGGAAAGUGAAGUCAUCCACCCAACUUGGGUUUUGUUUUCCCUCCUCAUGGGAAAGUUUGGGAAAAUAAGCUAACAUUAAAUACAUAUUUUUUAUGACAAUUUUAUCCCCAUUAACAAUUUAGAAUUACAAUGACAGGACCCGAUCCAAAUUCCACUUUGAAAUCUGAGCCAGACCCUGUGUGUGUCCGACACCUGGCGAAUGUCGGGCACAAAUGUCCUAUUUGCCCUUCUAUACAAUACAUGAUAAAAAUAACAAGGUUGACUUCUACCGAAAAACCGGCAGAGUUUCCCUUGUAUCUGGCUCAAUACCAAAAUCUUACACCUGUCAAAACAAGUAUAUAUAUAUACAACCAACUGCCAGCAUACAUAUAUAUACACAUCCCAAGAGAUCAAAGCUCAGUCUAGGGCAAAACAUCAGAGCGACUACUAAGAAUUUACAAAAGAGUGAAUCUGUGUACAAAAUACAAAUCCUACAUCAAAGAAAGGCGCGGAAGAUGGGAAGUAGCCGGUGGUGGAUUCCUGUGCACGUCUACUGCCUGGGGGCGCAAAACAAUAAGAAGGGUGAGUGGACCCAAAAACAAAGUUUAGAAAAUACUAUAUGAACAUACUAACCCCACUAUAAAAACAGUUAUACAAACUAGCUUAUUUUCUUUAUUUCUGAAAUCAAUGCAUGUAUAUAACUAUACAUUUGAAAACAGUUGAAAACUAUCACCUAGGUGCACCCCUAUUUCCGUCAAAUCCUUAUAUCCGUCAAUUCCUUGCAUCACCAUGGGUGACACAUACUCGCAGGUCUCAGUGACACGAAGUCAGUCCGAGCCGCAACUCGCAGGAUUCAGGGAACCGUAGUCCACCUUUAUCUGCAUUACUCGCUCCACACGAGUUCCAGUACCAAGGAACUCGUGGGGCAACGGUCAAGCAUGCUGACUAAAUCGAAGGCAACAAAUAUAAUCCGAAGGCAACAUUUAAUAUCUGGGUACAAGGUGAUUUAAGAAAAUAUAAAGUUUCUGAAGGAAAUCUGUUGAAUAAUUAACUUUAUGUAACCUUUAAAAUUCUGCUGCCAUUUAUCUGAUAAUUAACGAGAAUAUCUUGUCCUUUAUGCUUUAAAGGAACUUUCACUCGGCAGCAUGCAACAUAAAAUAUUUUACAGAAUAAAACAGCUGAUAACUGAAACUAAACUGCUUAAAUUCAUUUAUUAAAACAAAGAGUCCACUCACUGGUAGUUUGAGCUCGCUGGACCUCUUGAAGGUCCCUCCUGCGGGUCAACUGGUGCCCGGGUGCCUGAUUCAAUGACCAUAAUAUUCUAUUAAUACAAUAUAGUAUUAAAUUAAAAACCCUACCCCCGGCUCCUAAAAGUACGUGCGUCAAUUUAAAGUGAUCCCUAUGCCCAUAACAGCUUUCCUUCCACGUGGGAUAGUUUAGUGGUAUCUUGGGACUCAAAAAGCGCUAAAGUCCAAAAAGUCAAUCCGGAACCCCACGGGUACAAUAUGAUCCGGAUGCCGCUAGAAGGUCCAAUAUAUUUAGGACACAUGUCCCGAGGGUAUUGGUGUCAAUCGGACGGUCAGAUUAAUUACGAUCGUGUAAUCGCAUAAUUUCUAAACCCUAGCCCUAGGGUUCGCGUUUUCGGAGUAUCCGGGACUCCGAUUCACAAUCCGUCGAAUCCUACACGUUUCUAAAAUUAUCUGGAACAACAUAUCUAAAAUUGAUUACGAUCCAACGUCUCAACAGUAUUGAACCCUAUAAUCGCAUAAUAAGGAAAAUUCGUUCGAGGCUCAAACGGUAUCCAAAUUGAGAUCCGCAAAUUCCUAUGCGCUCGUGACGACCUAAGGAUCGCAUCAGAACACAGUGUCACGGCACCACACUCGUCCACGCGCCGCCGCACGCGCCGGCAGCGAUGGGUGUCCAAAGCGAUUACGCAUCGCCGGAAAAUCUCAAAACCAAGGCUCCAAACUCCUAUCCUAGGUAUAACACCAUAUUUGGAACCACUUUUGUUCUUGGACCAACCCCAAAAAGUGGCCGGAAACGGCCGAUCACGGAGGCCGCUGUUCGGCCGAUUUUCACUUCGAAAAUUGAGUGAUCUACAGCUAAAAUCGAUCAAAACCCAGCCAACCAUCAGUUAGAGCAUAAAAAAUAGCUGAGAAACCAUACCUUACUCGAACGAUUUGGUUGAGAAACGAAGGAGAUCGAGGAGCUUGAAGUUUCGACUGAAAACCGGUCGGUUUUCGCCUGAUCCCGGCGAGCUCCGGUCGGUGCAGGGGCGGCGACGGGUCAGGUCGUGACGGCGAGGGUGUGGCGGAGCUAUUGGUACCAACGCCGGAGAUCGGCGUGCCCUGUGGUGGCCGCUGUCUCAAUCGGAAGGGAGGAGGGUGGCUGGCGCGACGGGAGGGAGGAGAGAGAGAGGAGAGAGAACUGAAGAGAGAGAGAGAGGAACAGGUUUUAUAAAAUCUGAUUUUCCAAUUUACCAUUUUGCCCCUGGUGAUAUUUUAAUCGUAUUUCCGUCGUUAAAACUCCGAUUUGAGCUUACUUCGUGUCUAUGAACUCGUGUCGUCGUGCUCUACGCAACGGUGUAUGUGGAAUUGUCAAAUUCCUUUUCGGUCAAAAAGUCAACUUUGAGUUCAUAAGUGAGUCAAAGGGCAAAAUUGUCUUUCCGCAUAAUAAUUUACUAAUUAAAUAUGAAUUUUAGGUUUGGGUCAUUACACCUACUCUAACAUCAAUUCCUGACUUUGUCAGUGAAGCUAACUAAGGUGAUACCCCCUCCAGCUACUAAGAGGAGCAACAAAAAUAAUACUCAUGCAGUCCUUUUUUAUCAAUGCAUGUGAAGCCCAAAUUGCUUCCACUUGGCCCAUUGUCCAUUUACCAAGCAUGGGACAUUCCACACUUAUAUGGACCAAUCUCUCUCUAUUCUACCAAUGUGGGACAAAGGUGUCUUGGAUUUCAUUCAAACUUCCAACAAUAGUUACUACCAAAACAAUUCUCUAAAAUGAGGAAAUUACCAAAAGCGAAUGGGUAAUGAGUGGAGAGGUCUAUGAUCUUUUAAGCACUUGAUGCAAUUUGAUCUUCAAUUCAGCAUACUCUCAACAUCGCCUUACAUUAUUGACUGUAUCAAAUCAUUUAUUGGGCAUCAAAAUUUCCUCUACCUCCUCUCUAAUUAGAGAGAAAAACAUGUAUGGAGUUGUUCAUACCACGCGGUAAUGCCGAGUGAUAUAAUAUCAUCAAUCAAAUAUUGAAAUUCUAUCAUACAAUCUUGAUACCAAUUAAACUGGAACUUGAUACCAAACAAUCCUUUCCUUACAUUUGAAAGAUAUAUACUCUUUGAAAAAUGGCCACCAUAUGGUCUUUCUUAGCUGAAAGAUGGAUACCUUUUAGUUGAGAGUAGUGUCCACCAUUUGGGCUGUGUAUCUUUUUUUACAUCAAGUUCUAUUUGGAGAAAAGACUUUCAUGAAAUGGGAAUAGCAUUAGUUUGCUAUUAUCCCGACUAAUGACAUUUUGACACGCAUGACAACACUUUCACAUGACAUUAUAUUAUUGGUAAGUAUAGCAAAAUAGUGAUAUCACAAUUAAAUUUGACUGCUGCAAGUACGGACUACUACAUUUAUUCAUUUGGAGGAAAUUUCCACGGUGUGACCCAGUUGCUCUCACUAAUUGCCGUAAAUGACAAGACAACAUGUAAGUCAAGUCUAACUGAUCAGCAGGGACGAAAAUAGUUAAAUUGGCCUGGCAUUGUAAUGCGAAAACGAAGAGUUAAAUCUUUGUGAGGUUCUCUCUCUCUCUCUCUCUCUCUCUCUCUCUCUCUCUCUCUCUCUCUCUCUCUCUCUCUCUCUCUCACACACACACACAUGGCUUAUGUACCAGCAGUUUGCUAAAAUAUGAAAACUAUGAGAGAAUAUUUGUUUGUGGGAAUUUUCUGUGUAUUCUUCUCCUUGUAGGAGGUCAUAUUUAUAAUACAACGAAACCUAAAUAGGCAAGUAAAUAAUAAAUUCCUAAAUCUAUUUGCAGUAGGAAAUCAGAAAUUAAAGUAAAUCCAUUACAAUUAUAAUAGGAAUUCUUGGUGUGUAAGGAAAGUAAGUCAAUAUCCACAAGUCACGCCAACACUCCCCCUCAGUUGGUGCAUAGAUGUCGCCAAUGCCCAACUGAUCUAGUGAAUUGUGGAAUGCUUUACUGGAAAUCGCCUUUGUCAAAAUAUCCGCCAAUUGAUCCUCGGAUUUCACAAAAUGCGCAAUCUGGUCCAUGUGUCGGGGUCGUUAAUCGAGAAGUCAUAAUCUGUGCAGCGGAAGAUGCAUAGGAUACAGUUGAGUAGGAAUUGGGAUCGGAAUAUGAGCCUGAAUCGAGGCCGGAGUCAGAGUUGAAAUCGGGAUCAGGGUCUGAAUCAGAGCCAAAUUCGAGGUUGGGGUCAUCAUCGGAGUGGGGGUCGGGGUCGUCUUCGGAGUCGGGGUCGGGGUCGGGGUCGGGGUCAUCAAAAAGGGAUCCUGAUUCUGGAUCGGGUUCGGGGUCAAAGUCUGCAUCUGUAGGAGCGGAGCCAUCUGGGCACUCAACUCAAUGAUGGUUGGUGGAGAAUGAGAGAAUGAGUCGGUGGUGCUACCUCCAUGAGGGUUGAAAAAAUCAUCAACCCCCAUAACACUAAAUAAAAUAAUCUCUAUUACAAUAGGACAAAAUAUAAUUGGUAAGUAACCAAAAUUCUAAUGAAAUAAGGAACCAAAAUUCUAACUAAGGACUCGCCAACACUUCCCCUCAAGUUGGGCAAAGAUAUUUCGCACGCUCAACUUGACAAGCGAGUCACAGAACACCAUACUUGAGAAGUAACAAUUGUAGAGAAGAUCUUUUAGUCAACCACGAGUGAAACAAGUGACAAACUAAAACAAAGUUCACAGCGGAAACACAAGAGCAAACCCUAAAAAAUAGGGCACAUAGCAAAACACAGAAAUCUUGUGGGCACGGCUGUAGAUAAGGCAGAACACCGAAACCCCAUGAGCACGGCAGUAGAGACAAUGGCAACAAUAAAUUCUUCCAUAGAAACUUUAGCUAAUUCACUCAUACACAACUUCUCUUCAAUCCUCCUCUCCCCUUGAAGAGAAGGGGUCGUCGGAGUCAAGAAAUAAGCAACAUCUUCAUGGAAAUACGUCAAGGUAAUUGGGAUAGGUCAAUAAACAUAUCCCUUUCACUUCCCCUCCCCCCCCCUCUCAAGGGGGGAGAAGAGCACUUAAAUUUCAAGAAGAACACAAGCACAGGUCUCUAGAUCGAACCUGGCUCUGAUACCAUGCUAAAAUAUGAAAACUAUGAGAGAAUAUUUGUUUGUGGGAAUUUUCUGUGUAUUCUUCUCCUUGUAGGAGGUCAUAUUUAUAAUACAACGAAACCUAAAUAGGCAAGUAAAUAAUAAAUUCCUAAAUCUAUUUGCAGUAGGAAAUCAGAAAUUAAAGUAAAUCAAUUACAAUUAUAAUAGGAAUUCUUGGUGUGUAAGGAAAGUAAGUCAAUAUCCACAAGUCACGCCAACACAGUUGUGUUCUUACUCUGUGCUUUAACGAUUGUAAAAGCUGAAAGAAAUCACUCCAAUGUUAUCGAAUUGGGUUCCUCUCUAUCUCCGAAUUCUAACCUGAGUUCAUGGCUCUCACCUUCUGGCCACUUCGCCUUUGGUUUCUAUCCACAAGGCAACGGCUUCGCUGUUGGGAUACAGCUUGUUAAUGAUCCUAGUCUGACUAAGGCUGAGCAAAGCAUAGUCGUCUGGACUGCACAGCGAGAUGGUCCGCUUGUCUCCUCCAACUCUAUGCUACUGCUAACAAGAGACGGUCUGCUUCUUCAAACUGAGCAAGGCAAACAAGUACCCAUUACCGGAAAUUUGUCAAUAAAGGCACGUUCAGCUGCUAUGCUUGAUUAUGGAAACUUUGUAGUCUAUGAUCAUCGUUCUCAGGUUAUCUGGCAGAGCUUUGAUUCCCCAACUGAUACCAUAUUGGGAGGUCAAAAUCUGAAUUCUGGCAUGGAUUUGGUAUCUAGUGUGUCUUCCACCAACCACUCUAGUGGACGAUAUUGGCUGAAGAUGCAGGCUGAUGGCAACCUCGUUUCUUACCAGAUAAAUAUCACCACUCCAGAAGCUUCUUAUUGGAAUUCCAACACUAACGGUGACAUGAAGCUCAGUCUGACAGUACGGGGGUUUCUCGUUUUGCUUCCUGAAACUGGUACAGGUUCUGCACAUCCCUUGGCAACUGGCUCAGAUGACCCCCGCAAUAACAGAACUAUUAUCUACCGUGCAACGCUGGAUGCUGAUGGGAUUUUCAGAUUGUACUUGCACAAUUACUCUGUGAUGAGCCGCAGGUCAAGAGUGUUGAUUGUUUGGUCCAAUUUGCAUGACCAAUGUGAAGUCAGAGGUGUCUGUGGCUUCAACAGUUACUGUGCACUCAUAUUUGGAAAGACAAACAAAACUGACUGUCAUUGUUAUCCCGGUUUUGUAAUCAACCCCAAUGAUGAGUUUCGGGGCUGCUAUAAGAACGGUAGUGACGAUGGCUGCACUGGCAAUGAAAACCAAAGGCUGCGGUACAACAUGGCUUCCAUAGACCAUAUAUUAUGGCCAGGUGACCAUCCUUAUUCAGUGGUGCGAUUAGAGAAGCUACAAGUUUGCAGCGACUCUUGCCUGGAAGACUGUAGUUGUAAGGCAGUACUGUAUAUUAAUGGCAGUUGCAACAAAUACAAGCUACCACUUCGAUAUGGUAGAACAAGCCCAGGUAUAUCAGCCACAGGAUUCAUCAAGGUAGCUGCAACACACAAUCUGCAGUUACAUAAUCCAACGGCUACCGGAAAUUCGACAUUGGUGAAAUAUGAAACCAAGAAUAGUCGUGGCUUGAUUGUAAUUCUUGCUGUGAGUCUGGGUUGUAUUGCAUGUAUAUGUUUUGCCUUUGCAGUCUCCAGUUUCACCAUAUACGUUUACCGACUUAAGAGGUACAAGAAGCUGUUGGAUCAUACCAAAGUGGGAUUGGCUGAAGAGUUGUUCAGUUUACAAUCGUUUUCGUACUCUAAGCUUGAAGACGUAACUCAUGGUUUUAAGGACGAGCUAGGAAGGGGCACUUUUGGAGCUGUUUACAAAGGAACUCUGUCAACUAGUAACAAAGUAGUUGCGGUUAAAAGGCUCGAGAAAGUUGUGGAAGAAGGAGUGAGGGAAUUCAAAGCUGAAAUCACUACUAUUGGACGAACUCAUCACAGAAACUUGGUUCAGUUGCUUGGUUUCUGUAUCGAAGGCUCCCGAAAGCUUCUUGUAUAUGAAUACAUGAGCAAUGGCUCGCUUGCACAUCUUCUUUUUAAUAAAGCCGUGCCUGUGCGCCCUUCCUGGAGAGAGAGAGUAGGAAUUGUGUUGGAUGUGGCUAAAGCAGUGCUCUAUUUACAUGAAGAGUGCGGUGUGCGUAUCAUACACUGCAAUUUGAAACCCCAAAACAUACUUCUGGAUCAUACUUGGACUGCCAAGAUCUCUGAUUUCGGUUUGGCGAGGCUGCUAAUUCCAAAUGAUCAAACAGAGAUAGCUAUUGGAGGUGAACAGAGAAGCGGUUACUUGGCACCAGAAUGGCAGAAGAACGCCCUGAUAUCAGUAAAAUCAGACAUCUAUAGUUUCGGUAUUGUACUUUUGGAGACUGUAUGCUGCAGAAAAAACAUAGAGCUAAAAGUUUCAGCUCCAGAUGAGAUGAUUCUUUCUAGUUGGGCAUAUAAAUGCUUUAAGGCCGGAGAAGUAUAUAAGCUUGUGGAAGAUGAUGAUCAAAAUGUAGAUUUGAAGACAUUAGAGAGAAUGAUUAAAGUGGGGCUGUGGUGUGUUCAGGACGACCCAGGUUUGCGUCCCCUCAUGAAGAACGUAAUCUUGAUGUUGGAAGGGACAACGGAUAUACCAGUCCCUCCAUCUCCAGAGCUUCCCAAGCCUGUUGACUUUUGAUUAAUCAAAUCCAUGUUUAUCAGGCUGAUAAGUCUAUAUUUUAUAUAUAUUUUAUGCUUCCUUUGCUUAUUUAUUUAUUAAUUUCUCAGAUUAAAUUGGUUGUUUUUAAUUGGUUUUGUGAGAUUUGUGAAGGAAUUGUGAAAUAGGAGAAAGUGUGCUAAAAAAGGCAAGAAGAUGAAGAUCAAUUAAAAAGAAGCCAAGUCAUUCCUUUUGUUGCAAGGAAUGUUGUCAAAUUUCCUAGUUCAAGAUGGUGCAAGUCUUAUCAAGUCAAAUAAGGAGAAAUAAAGAAGACCUUAUUUUAGAAGGAAUCCUAUUUUUAUAACAAUUGUAAUUAUUCCUUAGGUAGGAUUUCUAGGAGUUUUAUAAAUAGGGAGUUUAGGUCAUUGUUGAAAGGAUCCAUUACCCAUCAUCUUUUUCCACCAUCGUCUUCUCUACCAUAUUUUUCCACCAACUUUCAUUCAACCAGAGAAAUAUCAGAGGAAGCCAAGAAUUUGCUGCUGCAUUAUUGGAGGAGCUUUUGAAGGUGUUCCUGUGAAGAUUCUGAAGAUCAAGUCCAUCGGCCAAAUUGGUUUUAUGACAAAAAUUCUCUUGUUUAUAUUUUCUUCUGUCAUGAACUAAUUUCCCUUGCUAGGGCUACGAUGUAGCCUAACCUUGAAUACUUAAUUUCUAUCGUUAUAUUAAUUUCUGAUUAUUAUCUCAUGUUGAGUAUUUGUUACUGUUCUUAAUGAUUUAAAUAUCUAGCUAAUAUUUAAUUGAUGAUCCAAGCGGAGACCGAGAGGAGAUGUUUGGUGUUUGCUUCUUGUAACAAAUACCAUGACUUGAAUGAGUGCCCGAGAGGGACUAACAUGAUUCAUGCAGUUUUCUUGUAGGUUCUCAUAGAACUUAAUGGGUUCUUGGUUUUCUAAAUCCGUUGCUCGAGAGAGAAUGAGUUGUUAAUUGAGAAUACUUUUGGUUGAGCCCGAGAGGGGAUAUCAAAUGAAUUAGGAGAAACCAACUGUCAACAUGGAUAGUAAUUAGGGUUAAUUGGCUAUAAGAAUUAAGUAGAAUUGGUUAUGGUGAAGUCGGAUGCUCUAGUGUCUCAUCAUCUUAAUUUUCUAUCGUUAAUUAAAUUGUUAUUUUUCAUAAUUGUUUUAGUUUUCUUAAAAUUAAUCAAUCUUCUUAAUCAACUGUUCAAAUAAACUUAUGCAUUAAUCAUAAUUGGUAAUUAAUAGGAAAUUACAAUCUUCGUGGGAACGAUACUUUACUUAUUUCUAUAUUACUUGUACGGAUUGUGCGCUUGCAAUAAUUUCACAACAGAGGCUUUACGCAUUAAGUGAUAUGCAUAUGAAGAUAUGUUACGGAAUUUCUAGACUCGAUAUAUGGAUGUAGCUAGACUCAUCCAUAUUCUAAUUUGGUAUGUCUUUGAAAUGUAAUAAUCAAUGUCCAGAGUUUUUUUAGGUUUCUCUUGUUUUAAUCAUGUCAAAAUAAUGUUCAUGUACGUUUCUAGACUUCAAACUGGUUAUAAUUUCGAGCCUUUGUAAAUUAAUCCAUAACCCAAUAUCUAGGAACUUUAUAAUUAGGGAAAAUGGCAUAAAUUACAUGUACAGAUUGAUGUAGGACUAGGAAGGAUAAUGUUAAUAAGAUUGAAGCUUGUUUUUGAAGGCUGUAAGAUUAUAGUGAGAAAAUAUUUUUAGGGUGUAUUCGUUCAAAUACUUUUUAGGGUGCUCGUUUGUCAUGCAGAGUCGAGUGAUAUUAGAGAGUAGGGAAUAAAACACAAGACCUCGAGCUUCAAUUACAAGCUCCUUUCCAUGGUGUGAAAUAACUUUAAAAAGUCAAAAUCAAGAACAUGUACAGUCCACAAGAGCAGUGUAGGGUACACUACAACUGGAAAAAUAAUGCAUUGUUGACUACUAGUGUGCAAUGCAGUGACAAUUCUUCUCCAAAUUAGUGGGCAAACUUUUCACUAUACAUGCAUUUCUUAAUCAGUAAAUUGUUGUAAUUCUUUGUAUUUUUUUUUUGGUCAAUAUUGAUGUUUUUUUUUCUUUUUACUUUUAUUGUUAUAAAAAAAUUCUCCACUAAAUUGUAGUAAUUAUAAUUGCUCAGGAAAGCCAAUUGCCACUAAAGUAGAUGAAUAUGGCAUCGUUGUUACGAACUAGCUCUUAGUCAAGUGAUAAUAUAGAGUUUCUAAGUUUGAAUACUCCCUCCCAUGCCAAAGUCUCUUUAGACUUAUUCAUUGGGGACAAGGAGAAGGCAGGAUAGGGCCACCAGGAGCAGCUGCCUUACUUUGACAUUAUACUGAUAAUUGAUAAAGCAAUAUGCUUCUGUGUCAUGGUAAAUAUGAUUUUCAUUUGUGGUUAAUUUGACUCAACAAGAAGACUUGGUCAGUCAACACACCUUAAAUCACGUAUUUCUCUCUCUCAUAUCUAUCAACUUAAUUUAAGGAGUGAAAAUAAUCCAAGCUUUUCAUCUUUCAGUAUGGCUUCCAAUAUUCAGAUUGUUGUCUUCCUCCUUUCUGUAUUUUGUCUAGCAGGUGACGGAGCUCCACAAAAGCAUUCUAGCCAAAUAAUAAACCCAGGCUCUUCACUUUCUCCCCAAAGUACUCACCAACCAAGCUCAUGGCCUUCUUCUUCCGGCCACUUUGCUUUUGGGUUUUAUCAGCAAGGAGAUGGAUUUGCUGUCGGAAUUUGGCUGGUGGGAAUAGAAGGAAAAACAAUUGUUUGGACAGCAAAUCGUGACGAUCCCCCAGUGACCUUAAAUGCAAUGCUGCAGUUAACAAGUGAUGGAAAGCUUGUUCUAAGUGACCGAGGACAACAAAAGAACCUCAUCAUCGUCACUACUAGUACUAAUUCAUCGACAGACUCUGCAGCUUCCUCUGCCUCCAUGCUUGAUUCUGGAGAUUUUGUUCUGUAUAACAAAAGAUUCGAUGUCAUUUGGAAGAGCUUUAAUCAUCCGACUGACACUCUCCUUGGAGGUCAGAUUCUGCCUAUUGGAGGUCAACUAUUCUCCAGUUUUUCAGAAAAUGACCACUCAACAGGACGGUUCCAUCUCAACAUGCAGGCUGAUGGAAACCUGGUUCUAUACCCGGCAAACAGCGAAAACUCGCGUGCAGAUUCUUAUUGGAGCUCUGAAACCUAUGGCCAACCUAAGCUUCAACUUUAUCUUAACACUACAGGUCGUCUAGUUCUCAUCAACAGCACUAGGUGGGCAGAUUUCAAUGUUUUAAAUUAUGAUGAUUUGUCCAAAGCCAACCACAAAAAUGGUACCAUAUAUCGUGCGACUGUUGACGUGGAUGGAAAUUUCCAGUUGUAUUCUUAUGAAUAUGAUGAGAGUAUUGGAAAACUCCGGCCAUCCCUUAUGUGGUUUAAACCGGACAAUCCUUGUGAUGUUAAAGGCUUAUGUGGCCUUAACAGCUACUGCACAUUCAACGACAAUAAACCAAACUGCCUUUGCCUUCCUGGAUCUGAUUACGCUGCCUCCGAUCACAUGAUACUCGGUUGCUCGAGAAACUAUACUCAAGUAGAGUGUAAAGAUGGGAAAGAAAAUACAUCAAGUUAUCACAUGAGCACCAUGGAGAAUAUGGUGUUGGAAGACGCUGCUUAUGAUCAAGCACAAAUGUCAACGGUGGAAGAAUGCAGCAGAUCUUGCCUGGAAGACUGCAACUGCGGGGCAGCUGUUUUCGACAGUGAGAGUAAUAUUUGUGCCAAACAAAACUUACCACUCAGAUAUGUCCGAAGGGAUCUCGAGGAGUCUACCAGAGCUGUCUUCAAGGUCGGCAACAUAACAAGUAGUAACAUAAGCAACAAUCAAAACAACACUAAUCUACCCAUCCCGGGGAAUCCAAUUACCACGGUUGUUACUACCACAGACAAGAAAGUGAUAGAGCAAAUUCUUGUUUUAACUUUAACUCUCAUCAUAUUCUCAUGUGCCGCCCUUGCAGUUUCUGCAUUUUACAUUUUUAAAAUCCGACUUCUGCGCUACGAAAGGUUGACAGAGCUUAAUGGUGAUUUGGGGCUGGCUGAUGAGGAACUUACUUUGAGAUCUUUUUCAUACAAUGAGCUGAGAAGAGCUACCAAUGGGUUCAAAGAAGAAUUGGGAAAGGGCUCGUUUGGAGCAGUUUACAAAGGGGCUUUAAACAAAGGAAAAAAAUUCAUUGCAGUGAAAAGAUUAGAGAAGCUAGUCGAAGAAGGUGAGAGGGAGUUUCGUGCGGAGAUGCAAGCAAUCGGAAGAACUCACCACAAGAACUUAGUUCGAUUGCUUGGUUACUCCGCUGAGGACUCAAAAAGGCUCCUUGUGUAUGAAUAUAUGAGCAAUGGCUCCCUUGCAGAUCUCCUUUUCAGGACUGAAUGGCAUCCUACUUGGAGUGAAAGAGUAACAAUUGCACUCGAUGUCGCAAGAGGUCUCCUCUAUCUACAUGAAGAGUGUAAGGCCCCUAUCAUCCAUUGCGACAUAAAGCCUCAAAACAUUCUGAUGGAUGAAUUCUGGAAUGCUAAAAUCUCUGACUUUGGACUUGCAAAAUUGUUGAUGCCGGAUCAAACGAGGACUUUCACAGGGGUCAGAGGGACAAGAGGGUAUUUGGCACCAGAAUGGCAAAAGAACACUCCAAUCUCAGUGAAGGCAGAUGUUUAUAGUUACGGAAUAGUGCUUCUCGAAAUUGUAUGUUGCAGGCGGAACAUGGACGUCAAUGUUAGAGCAGAGGAGAUAAUUCUAUCUACUUGGGUCUACAAGUGCUUUGUUGGUAGAGAGCUGCAUAAGCUCGUGGGUGGUGAAGAGGUCGAUAAAAAGACGUUGGAGAACAUGGUUAAGGUGGGACUAUGGUGUAUACAAGAUGAACCAGCUCUGCGUCCUUCAAUGAAGUCUGUUGUGUUGAUGUUACAAGGUAUUACUGAUAUAGCUAUUCCACCAUGUCCAACUGCUACCUCCAUGUAACUAUUAGCCUGUGAGGAAAUGCUUUUCUUCUUAUAUGCAGUUUGUUAAAAGAAUAAGCAAGAUUGCUAAGGGUAUGGUACCUAUACUGGUCACAUUGUUGUACUAAAGUAUCUAGAAUCAAAGACUCCUUGAAUCAAGAGUGUCUCUCAAGGGUAAAUGAUUAUUCUCAUCAAUAUGGUUCAUUGUAUAAAUUUAAUUCAAGCAUAUUUUCUAUAUCUAAUUUGGGUAACUCUAAUGCAGUUCUCUGCAUUUUUAACUAUCUUAGCCAUUUAAUUAAUGCAAUGGCUUAGUCUCUCCACAUCAAGACUACUUACUUCUAUAUCAAAACUCAAAAAUCUCCCUUCAUCUGCAUCCUCUUUCCUCUCGUACAAUGAUUACACAAAAUUUUAUUUCAAGACGUUAACUGGGUUUGAAUUUGAUUCAAUGAAGCCAGUCCCGAAACCAAUUUAUAGUUUGGUAAGCCUGUAUUUCUCAUUAUGAGAUCAAAAUAAUUAUCUUCAGUUUUCUAUACACUUGAAGACCAUGUAAGCAUAUUCUUGUUUCUAUUACUACUUUCUUCCCCUCCGUGAAUGGGAGUCUUGUGGGAUUUACAUGAGGGGCUAGGGAUGGCUAUAUUUUAAUCAAUAACACCACGCCACAUUGGCUGAUUACAUUGUUAGGAACCUUCAUUAUUGCUGAGCUGUCAUAGUCAGUUUGUUAAUUGAUUAGUUAAGAAAUUAGUUUCUAACCGAAUUGGUUAAUGAGAGCUUCACAGCCAUAUUAGGCAAUUAUUGUAUCAAGAAUGAGUUGUAGAGAAUAUUGUACUGUUUCGAUAAUUCAAUAAAGAAUCCUUGUUACUCUGUGUAAUUCUAGGGUUAAGGUUGAAAGGGGUUUAACACACAUAAUCAUAUGUGACAGUUGUUAAAAGUUUUAUAUAGUUCUACUAGUAACUUUCUCUCCGAGGAGGGGCCUUGUGUUUGAUUAGGGAGUUGGUAAGGCAAAGCUAACUAAGGCAAUUAGGAAGAUCAACCACACUAACUGAGACACAUCCCAUACUCUUACCGAAGGCAGUAGUGGGGAAUUCUCCGCCGUGUGGAGAUAGAAGAGGCAACGAAAGCAUCGGCUUUCUUUGUGCUAGCAACGGCGGUAAAAAAGAGGAUGCAAGCAUUAUCUGAAUGAUUAGGCUUAAAGCUAUAGGUGGCUAGAAUAGUCCACUUGCUACUAAAGUUAGUUGCAAAUUGACACAUUAUCUACCACAUGACGUUCCCAGUCAGGAAAUCUCUUCUAAAACAAUUUUUCUUUUUGGAACUUGAUCUCAACUGGUGCAUUGUGGCCUUUUGGGAAUCAAACUCAUCAGUAAAAGCACUUUCUAUAUAGAUUACAGACUGCAUCGGAGUUCCCAUAAUUGUUUUUACAUCUCAACUCUUCUCAAAAACCUUGAAAAACCUGUGCGAAUAAAAUUCAUGGAAGGACAGGCGGUGAACUGCAAUAGUGCAUCAAUCAGUCAGGGGCUUCUUCAUAAAGAAAAAGGACCAAGAGCCGAUCCCGAAACCAAUUUAUAGUUUGAUAAGCCUGUACUUCUCAUUAUGAGAUCAAAAUAAUUAUCUUCAGUUUUCUAUACACUUGAAAACCAUGUAAGCAUAUUCUUGUUUCUACUACUACUUUCUUCCCCUCCGUGAAUGGGAGUCUUGUGGGAUUUACAUGAGGAGCUAGGGAUGGCUAUAUUUUAAUCAAUAACACUACGCCACAUCGGCUGAUACAUUGUUAGGAACCUUCAUCAUUGCUGAGCUGAAUUAGUGACGAGUUGGCCUAGUCAGUUUGUUAAUUGAUUAGUUAAGAAAUUAGUUUCUAGCCGAAUUGGUUAAUGAGAGCUUCACAGCCAUAUUAGGCAAUUAUUGUAUCAAGAAUGAGUUGUUGAGAAUAUUGUACUGUUUUGAUAAUUCAAUAAAGAAUACUUGUUACUUUGUGUAAUUCUAGGGUUAAGGUUGAAAGGGGUUCAACACACAUAAUCAUAUGUGACAGCUGUUAAAAGUUUUAUAUAGUUCUGCUAGUAACUUUCUCUCCGAGGAGGGGCCUUGUGUCUGAUUCGGUAGUUGGUAAGGCAAAGCUAACUAAGGCAAGUAGGAAGAUCAACCACACUAACUGAGACAAAACCCAUACUCCUACCGAAGGCAGCAGUGGGUAAUUUUCCGCAAUGGGAGAAAGCCCGACAGAGCAAUGCUGCGUGGAGGUAGAAGAGGCAACGAAAGCAUCGGCUUUCUUUGUGCUAGCAGCGGCGGUAAAACAGAGGAUGCGAGCAUUAUUUGAAUGAUCAAGCUUAAAGUUGUAGGUGGCUGGUAUAGUCCACUUGCUACUAAAGUUAUUUGCAAAUUGACACAUUAUCUACCACAUGAUGUGGUACAAUCCUCUAGUCUUUCUCCAAUGAGUUUUAACACCCAGACAUACGUUCCCCCAACCAAUGAAUUUUAACACCCAAACACACGUUCCCCUAACCAGACAAACGUUCCCCCAGCCAUUCAUUGGUAUUUAAGUCUUCCCCUAGUCUUCAUUGAUUGAUUGGUAAAAAUCUUUCUCUAGUCUUCAUUGAUUGAUUGGUAAAAUCAUUCCUCAAGUCUUAUGAACACCCACCUUUGUCCCACUCCUCAAAACAAAGGAGGAGGACAUGUAUUUUAUUUUUUCGUAUGAGCACAUGUAUAUCCUUUUCUGAUAAGUCUACCUCUAGAAUUUUCUUCGUCAUUUAAUAUGAAAAUUACAUAAAGAGAAAGCGGAAAUUCCAUACAUUAUUUCAUUGACUAAUCUGUCUCUCUCUAGAAUUUUCUUCAUCAUUUUAUAUGAAAAUUACAUAAAGAAAGAGCGGAAAUUCCAUACAUUAUUUCAUUGACUAAUCUGUCUUCCUCUAGAAUUUUCUUCGUAAUUUAAUAUGAAAAUUACAUAAAGAAAGAAUGGAAAUUCCAUACAUUAUUUCAUUUUUGUCUUCCUUUUUGUUUGUUCCCCCAAUACACAAUAUGCACUCAUACAUAAGUUCAGACAUAAUAGAAAAUUGACAGACCAGUUAAGGAAAGGCAGUGUGCAUGCGAUGAAAUGGGAAAUGUAAAAAAUUCCACAUGAGAAAGAAGUAACUGUUAGUGUUUGUUUCAUUGGAUGAAAUAGGAUCCUUCACUAAAAUACACACCUACGAACUAUGCUUGUAAAAUCAAUAUUACGUAUUAAUACCUCUUUUAACGAAUGCUUUUGGUCUUGAGCAUCCUAGAAGAGGAGCAACAAAAAUAGAACUCGAGCAAUCUCAUUUUCAUAGGAGGAUUUCUAUAAUAUCAUGAACAUGCCCUUUAUGGAACCAAAUGACUCAAGAUAUUACAAUCAAGGCAGACUUUCUGAAAUUGAAUUCCAACUUCUAAGCUCAUAGUUACUACCAAAACAAAAGGAAUGAGCCUAAAAACAUCACGAUCCAUGGAAAAGUGAUGGAGCCUGAAGAUCUUAACGUUCCCAAUCAAGAAACCUCUUCUAACACAAUUUUUCUUUUUGGAACUUGAUCUCAACUGGUGCCUUGUUGCCUUUUGGGAAUCAAACUCAUCAGUAAAAGCACUUUCUACAUAGAUUUCAAACUGCAUCUGAGUUCCCAUAAUUGUUUUUACAUCUCAACUAUUCCCAAAAACCUUGAAAAACCUAUGCGAAUAAAAUUCAUGGAAGGACAGGCGGUGAACUGCAAUAGUGCAUCAAUCAGUCGGGCUUCCUCAUAAAGACAAAGGACCAAGAGCCUCUACCAGAUUGGGAUCCUACAUGGUUAUACCAUGCUUUAACCCAUGUACCAGAAUCUUCUACGGUUUGGACUGUGCCAUAUCUGCAAUGUUUAAGUUUAUUUUCGGUUAAGACUACAAUGACAUUUGCACUGUCUCACAGCCCUUAUCCUCAUCUUUCAUGCUCCUCCUUGACCUUGAAGAGAACACUCAGCCUCCCAUAUUGUUUCCCUACAACUAUAAAAGAGAAAAAUCACCUAAAUUCAUGGUCCCUAUGGCUAGAACCACAAAACCGAAUGAAUAAACUUUGACUUUGUCCUCACACGGACAAUAAACUGAAAUUGGGAAGAGCAGAUGCAAAAAUCUCAUCUACAUUGAUUUUCUUUAAUCAAAAUUCAAAUCACUCAAUUAUCCUCAACAUGCAAGAGCAAGGUAUUGAACCUGAUAUGUAAGACUAAUAAAAUUUUACAAAUGAAACUUCAAACAAUGAAAACCUUUUACAAAUUCUACUUGUAUACCCUAAAAUUUCACUCAUCUUCAACGUGCAACUGUUCUUCUAGAUGGCUAAUGAGGAAAGCUUUAGUUUGAACCUAAAUGCAGUGGAUUCCAUGACGGUUUUUCGUUAUGUAGUUAUUUAGGCAGAUCAGGUAUCUCCCGGUUUCAAGCUAUCAGCCCUUCUUAGCAUUAACAGUUCAGAGUCAAAGGAAAACAAAUUUGAAUGGCUCAACAAUUAAAAUACGGUUUCGAUGUGGGAAAUUUGGGUGUCGGACAGAUUGAGUUUUUUUAUUUAUAAUAAUUUUGUUUUCCUUUUACGAAGUCAAUAUUUAGAGGUUAUUCACCCUUACAUGCAUUCAGAAAAUUGAUUUGUAGAGAUAAUGGGAUUUGAUCUUAGCUCUAGGUAGUAACUAGCAGCAGGGGUGAAGGACUGAGUGCUUGGAGAAGAUGCAUAAACUCCUUAAAGAAUAGAACAAUUAAUACCCUGGUAUAACCAGAUAAAAUCCCAACCUGGUAGAGAAUCCUGGUCCUAACAGAGAAGCAACAUAUAUAGCUAGUUUUGAUGAAGGGUACAAUAAGAAUAUAUGAAAUUGAGGAAGGUAUAAUGCUAGACCUGGAUUUUGAGACAACAGUUUUGAACACAUAUCAACAGAGUCUGGAUGCAACCGAGAAAGGAUGAGUUGGUCAAAAGGGGGACAUGUAGAUGACUUGAUGUUCUUAAGCACCUGGAAAGUAAAAAAUUUAUCACUAUUUGAGCGAGCAUAUUUAAAGGAGUUUUUAUGGCAAAAAGUAGUACAUUGAUACCUGAAUAUUAGUCCUGCCAGGAAAAGGAGGGCAACCAUUAAGAAGCUCAAAAAGAAUUACACCAACACUCCACAUGUCAACCUAUAAAAAUCAAACCCUUCAUUUCUGUUCAUCCUGAUUGAAAAGGGAAAAUGGCAUGAGCUCUGGACAAGAUCAUACCUUUCCAUCAUAUCUUUCAAACUGAAGAACUUCAGGUGCCAUGUAUAAUGGGGAUCCACAAACUGUCUCCGCAUAAUCACCAGGAUGUAAGCUUCUGUCCAUAGUAGAAAAGAAAAGGCAAAAAAUGAAACUUCCAUAUUUAAUUGCUUUAAAUCAUAGUAAAUAAUAUAUAAUAAAAGGGUUUCAGAAUGAAUUUCCACAUACGUCCCUCUAUGCUAGAGUUUACCUUGAGAGACCGAAAUCACCUUUACCACCACAUCAUCAUCACUGAGAGAGAGUAGAAUGUCCUAGUCCAACAAAACAAAAGAAUUCAGAAAAUUUGAGAAUUAUGAUGUUGUCAAACCAUAGGUAAAACACUUGCAUUGGCAGGUACUAUGUAGAAAACCAGGAAAUAAAUUGCAACUUUUCUACUCUACUUUAGAAAAUUACAGCAUUGUCAGAACAACAAUUAGUUGACAUGGAAAAUUCUGAAGUAGCAUUUUAUGCGACAAAACAUCACUAAGACUAGAAAUUUCAAAAAGCUUCAAGAAAGAAAGACAUGGAAGUUUCCAAUUUGAAGACUCCAAACCCAAAAGAAUCUGUUAAUAUUUAGAAGUAAUUUUUGGUUUUUGUUUUUUCAAAUCCUAGUUGUUGAGUGGAAACCAUUGGUGAAGUUUAAAAACGGGGUCACUCCAAUCUACUAAUGCAAUUUACACGUAAGGGGGCAAUGAAUUGGGUAAGGAUCAAAGUUCAACCAAUAUAGAUUCAAUUCAUAAAAUCCGUUCCUAUAAUGUAGAUUUAAAUAUGAGUUUAAAAUUCAAUAAAAUCAAGUUCAAAUAAGAUUCAUAAUGGUGAAUAUCAAAAUCAGAUUAAGAAUGUCCUCUUGGGUUCUUGCUUCUCCAGCAUUGUGAGACAAACACCCGGGUGCAAACUGAAAGUUGAUCUUCUGUGGAUAUUUAACCAUAGGGCCCAUACAUAACUUCCCCGGCAAAAGAAAAUAAUGGCUACAAAUACGAAAAUUUACUUUUGUUGCCAUUGUCCUAUAAAAUCCUGUUUUUACCUCAGGUUUUAAGUCUCUAUGAAUGAUGUGGUGAGAAUGUAGUAUUUCCAAACCAGCCCCUGUACAACAAGAAUUUGAUUAGAUGCAGAUUGCAGAAGCAGUGGAAAGCCUUAUUACAAAUUAAAAUGAAAAUAAGAAGCUACCAAGCUGCUGCAUAAAUUUUCUAGCAAUCUGUUCUUGAACUCUCCCAUGUUGCCGAAUAUAGGCUGCCAAAUUUCCCCCAUUGCAGAAUUCCAGGACCAGGAAUAUGCAACCUUCAUUCUGGGUUGAAGACAUGAAUAACAUGCUAAAUAAUAGCCAAAUAACACGCUGGUUUCCAACAGUUAAAAGGUUUAGAGCCUGGAUAUCUUCAUUUAUAUAAUCUCAUUCUCUUCCCCUUCCAUUUCCCUAUGUACGCAAUUCCGUUAUGGCAUGUUUACUUAUCCGGAAUGGGUAUUGGAAUAAUUCCAAUUCAUGACUUCCCCUACGUUUACUAACACAUAAGGAAUAAAAAAUUAGGUGGGUUCCAUGUUAAAAUCUGUAAUCCAAUACCCUCAAAACUAGGAAUCGGAUCAAUUACAGUCCUUGCACUUAAAAUAUACUGUGAAAGUAGUUUGAUGUUUAGAGACAAUCCCAUGUUCACUUCCAAACUUUUAUGAAAAUUUGUAAAGAUAGAGGUUGAGAAUUUGGGGUUCUAAAAGCUUGAGUUGUGAUUAUGGAAUCCCUCAAGAACAACCCCUGCAUUCAAAAUUUGCUGUGAAAGUAGUUUAGUGUUUAGAGGAUGAUCUCAUGCCUACUUUUACGUUUGUAUGAAACAUGCUUAGCGAUAGAACUUGAGAGGUUUGGGCCAGUUACUGGUAAACAAUAUUCUUAAAUAAAAUACUCACGCCUUGACAUGUUUAAAAGAUAAAUAAGUGAUUCGUGACAGUGAAGGCUGGAAAGAGUGUAUUCACUCAAAUCUACGUGAGGCAUUAUACUAAUCAUGUAGAAAACGACAACAAUGGUGCAUAACAGUCCUAGAAUCAAGUAGGUUAGCAAGUCUAAGUCUAAACAGUUAAAUCCUGACUCGGACCCAUGUUUCUUGCUUAGGUUUUCUGCAUUAAAAGUUUGACUAAAAAAUUGAAUCGAAGAUAAAGAUAUCCUUGUAUUCAUCCAAACACGUGUAUAUCAGAAAGUACUCAUGUGAGAGGAUAAUUUUUGUUCUAUUUAUAAAAAACAAAUUAGUGUGCCAGUAUUUAGGAAUGUCAACAACAGAAACCCAUCCACCCCCUCCAUUAUAUUUGGAUCUUAGCUAGUGGUAUAGUGACAUGCCAAUGCCAUAUAUCUUUUAGAAGGUUCUGUAGAUAGAAUGAAGAUUGCUGGGAUAAUAACCAAUUUCCAAGGAUUUCUUAGGAUAAUUCUAGCAAAGGUCCUUUGGGCUGUAAAGGAUAAUUUAACUAAAUAGAAUGAAGAGGUAUCUGACAACAUGAAGAUCAAGAAACAGAAUGGUGGAAGGAGAUUAAGGGCCGGAGAGCCAGCAUAGAUGCAAAACUGGUGGAGUGGGGCGGGCAGCACUUAGGUUUGAGACUUCAAUCAUCCAUAGGCGAGAGAAAAAUAAAGGGAGAUUCACUAUUAGAGCAUCCACAAUGGGAGGGUAUAUAAGGGGGUGUAUGUUAAAUAUACACCCCUUGUCACCGGAAUCAUCUUUAAUGGGGAGAUGUAAAGGGUUGUAAACAUACAUCACCACUAUGGAGAUGUAAAAUAAAAUGCACAUUUGCAUCUAUUUUUACAUCUUUUGCAGGCGGGACCCACCCUAGGAAAGAGAGGAAAAAUUAUACAUCUUAGAUUUACAUGUUUCCCAUUGGAGCAAAAAACGUAUUUACACCCCCCGAAGGUGUAAAGGGGAUGUAAAAGUGGUUUUACACCCCCGAAAUUACACUUCCCCACUGUGGAUGCUCUUAUACUCAAUAUAGGAGCCUAAAUUAUAAAAAAUAACCCUAUAUGAAAUGGACUUUAGAAACAUACCCAAAACCCAUUUAGAACAUAACAAAAAGGCUUUUAACUUCUUUUGAAUUACAAAACUAACAUUGAUUUCUUAAAACAAACCUAACCCCAAAACCUUGUAAAAAAAAACCCAAAACACUCAAUAGGGCAUUAAAGUAAUUUAAUAAUCAAAAUUAAAUUCAAUAGGUCCAGCUGUCAUAUUUGGGGGGUUUUUUUUUUUGGGUAUGUUUAUAAAAAUUAAAUAGUAUAAAGUUUAUUUAUAGUUUUAGUGCUACUAAUGGGUAUAUGACUAAAUAUCUCAAAAAUAAAACCUAUUUGGAGGGGGUAAAAUUCAAUCCAACAACCAAUCAAAAAUAAAAAAAACCAGCUCAGAACUUAAUCUAUAUCAAAGGCUUCUCUGCAUUCACAAUGCAAGCAUAAUAAUUCCUUCAUACUCAAAAAAAAACCACGGCUACUACCGGGUGGAUGGAGGAACCAAUUACUAAUAUUAUUCCUCAAAUAUUUUAGGCAAAAACCAAUCAAUCACCAAGAGAAAAAUCAAAAGACAGACGACACAAGUUGAAGCGUGAUUAGCCAUUAAAAACUAGUUUCACUAAAAUAUGGAAAUUUAGAAACUCCAAAUUUCCUACAAUAUUUCUCUGAUUCAACCAAACUAAUGAAAUGGGUAUAUGGAAAAAAAAUUUAAAAAUAAAAAAACCACAAAAUAAAAAUUAAUCGAAGAAAUUGAAGGAAAGGAGGAUGAUCAAGUACCUGGAAAGCUUUGAGGAGACGAACGAUGUUGGGGUGGCAAACAGAGGACAAGAAUUUGAUCUCGCAAUCCAAGCAAUUCUUGAGGCGCCUGUUGAGCCGCGAGAGGAAGACCUGCUUCAGAGCCACCACCUCCCCACUUUCUCUGUGCACGGCUUUCCACACUCUGGAGAAAGAGCCUUCCCCACCUCUGAUAUCAGAACGUAAUCUCCUAAUGCUGCUGUGCUGCUGAGUUCAGAGAGACUUGGCUUGCUUUCAGGUUCCAUAUUGAUAUUUUUGAGCUCUCAAGACUUUGCUUUGCUUGCUCUGUAAGAGCACCUCCGUCCCAAAAGGCAAGUGCAGGGCAACUUUUGGCACUAUUUACGUGAAUAGUGGUAGCUUUGUUUUUUGGGAAAUAGCCCAAAAUGCCACCAUUUUUAUAAUUGUAAUUGAAAAUACCACCCUUUUUUAAAAAUUUUGGAACUAUGACCUAUAAAUAGAAUUUUAUUGUCCCCUUAUUGCACAGAUAUCACUUUUGCUGAAAUUUUAUUGUCUCUGUUUUGCUGAAGUUCUCUCUCGCCUCUGUCUCUUCGCUGCCCUCUGUUUCUCUUCACUCUCCGGUGGCUUUGCUCCGAAUCUGUGGUCCUUCAGCUCUCAGUCUCUCCUCACUCAGCUCCGACUGUCUCUUCUCUCUUCCUCUCCCAGCGACAGGUACUGUUCAUCGGCAUUUUCUUACAGUUUAAGGGUUUCUCUCAAGUUGUUUUAGGGUUUAUGCAUUUCUCUGAAAUUGGCUAAGGGGUUUGUUCGAAAUUGGUUGAAGGUUUAGGGGUUUUGCUGAAAUUAGUUUAGGGGUUUGUUCGAAAUUGGUUGAAGGUUUAGGGGUUUCUCUGAAAUUGGUUUAGGGGUUUCAUCGAAAUUGUUUUAGGGGUUUGUCUGAAAUGAUCUGAGUAUGAUGAUUCUUUGUUUCAAACAGUGAAUGGGUUUGUUCUUUGUGGACUGAUGCUUGCACUGCUGUUGUGUUGCUGUUGCUGUUGCUAUUGCUGUCGUAUUGUGUUUUUUUGCUAGUGUAUUGCUAAUGUAGUGAUGUUGUGUUGGCAUUUUAGUGCAGUUGUAUUUUUAGUUUUAGUAUGGUUUUAUUAUGGUUUUUGUAGCAGUUAUUGAAUGGUAUUUGGUGGCUUAGUAUGAGUCUUUAUGAGCAUUGCAUUUAACCUUCUUAGAAGUCUAAUUGGUAUCUAUUUUGUUUGUUGAAGAUGAUAUCUAAAGUGUAAGACAAUUAACCUGUGUAUGGUGAUUUCUUCUCUGUGGAUCAUUACCAAAAAAUACUCGCUGAUUAUAUUUUACGUAGAAAAUGUGGCCAUGAAAAGAAUUUGUGGCUAAAACUCCAUGAUGGAAGCAACCAUUUUGAAAUAUCUUAAGCAAACUGUUGGUGGCUUGCUAAAUUCCUUAUUUUUUUUCUCUUUAUCUUCCAACGAGGUAGUGACCCUUCACAUUACACUCAAUUGUGCAAAGGAUUUGCAUGGUUGUCUGAUGGAAUCGAAGAAUAAUUUACAUAGAAAGAAUUUCCUUUGUUAUCGUUCGUAGUUUUUCAUAUAUGAAAGAAACUUCUAGAUUGAUAAAAUAUCUCAAGACAGAGUUUGACAAAAUCAAGUAUUGUAUAAAUAUUUGAACUUGUAAACUCCCAACCAUAUCAUACUUUUUGUUUGAGAAUAAUGCUUGUUAAUUCGACAUAUUUUUGUAUAACUUUGUUUACUAAGUUUAGGGCUUGCAUAUUGGAUAUGGAUGAGUUUUGUUUAGAACCAUAUGUGGUGUAAUAUGAGUUGUUUAAAAGUUUGCUGUUUUGUGCUUGAUCAUUGUAUGCUUAAAAGCGGGAAAUGAGUGAAGAUGGGAACCUACCAGCAGCAGCUGUGGUUUAGAGAAAUGGGGACAUUGAUUUUGCUAUAAGCUAACUGUUUAAGCUUUUGCUUUUGUUGUUUGUGUAUGGAUACUUAGAGAAGUCUGUUUCUGAGGAGAACUUAUAAUUUUGUAAUUGUACAUGUCUUACAAACAUUUUAUACCGUUUUGAUGGUUUAUUUAUGAAUUUAUCUUUCAUUUUUUGUUAAGAAAAAACUGAAGGGAUGGUGCCAAUUUCUUUCAUUUUCUUACAUUUGAAAGGAGGGCCAUAGUAGAGUCAGUACUGUGGUUGCCACUAAUUCAUAGGAUGUUCCAUUACAUUAUACCUUGAAGUGAAUAAAUUGUUUUCUGAUGUCUUGUUGUUUUUUAAAACUCUUUCUAGUCAGAUAGAUUGAUAUCGUUACUCUUGAAUUGUUGUCAAUUAGGCUUGUGCUACCGCACAUUCCCAUUCUAGCUGAAGCUGUCUCAUGAUUAGAUGGUGUGAUUAUAUGGUGUGUUGAGAUGUGUGUUUAGAUAUUAUAUUAUGCAGGAGUGGUAGAGUACUGGGUGUGUUGAAACUUGGCUUUGAGCCAUUAAAUGAGGAGGUCAGUUGUAAAUAGCUGGGGUUUUGUUUAUGAUAUGUAUUUUUUGAAUUUUUUUCACUUCAUAUCCUAUAAUAGGCUGUUCAUAAGUGGUGAUUGUUUAUUGCUUGUUAUUGUGUAGAUUGCAACCGACUGAAAUUCUGUUUAUAAUAUUGGCAUGCAGGGAAAUAUGGUUGGUGAAAUGAAGUUGAUGAUUGCGGAGGAACAAAAAUUCCAAGGGAAAGCAUUGUCGUUAUCCCAUACGAAGACGGCAAUCACUACGAUAAAGGAGAAANNNNNNNNNNNNNNNNNNNNNNNNNNNNNNNNNNNNNNNNNNNNNNNNNNNNNNNNNNNNNNNNNNNNNNNNNNNNNNNNNNNNNNNNNNNNNNNNNNNNNNNNNNNNNNNNNNNNNNNNNNNNNNNNNNNNNNNNNNNNNNNNNNNNNNNNNNNNNNNNNNNNNNNNNNNNNNNNNNNNNNNNNNNNNNNNNNNNNNNNNNNNNNNNNNNNNNNNNNNNNNNNNNNNNNNNNNNNNNNNNNNNNNNNNNNNNNNNNNNNNNNNNNNNNNNNNNNNNNNNNNNNNNNNNNNNNNNNNNNNNNNNNNNNNNNNNNNNNNNNNNNNNNNNNNNNNNNNNNNNNNNNNNNNNNNNNNNNNNNNNNNNNNNNNNNNNNNNNNNNNNNNNNNNNNNNNNNNNNNNNNNNNNNNNNNNNNNNNNNNNNNNNNNNNNNNNNNNNNNNNNNNNNNNNNNNNNNNNNNNNNNNNNNNNNNNNNNNNNNNNNNNNNNNNNNNNNNNNNNNNNNNNNNNNNNNNNNNNNNNNNNNNNNNNNNNNNNNNNNNNNNNNNNNNNNNNNNNNNNNNNNNNNNNNNNNNNNNNNNNNNNNNNNNNNNNNNNNNNNNNNNNNNNNNNNNNNNNNNNNNNNNNNNNNNNNNNNNNNNNNNNNNNNNNNNNNNNNNNNNNNNNNNNNNNNNNNNNNNNNNNNNNNNNNNNNNNNNNNNNNNNNNNNNNNNNNNNNNNNNNNNNNNNNNNNNNNNNNNNNNNNNNNNNNNNNNNNNNNNNNNNNNNNNNNNNNNNNNNNNNNNNNNNNNNNNNNNNNNNNNNNNNNNNNNNNNNNNNNNNNNNNNNNNNNNNNNNNNNNNNNNNNNNNNNNNNNNNNNNNNNNNNNNNNNNNNNNNNNNNNNNNNNNNNNNNNNNNNNNNNNNNNNNNNNNNNNNNNNNNNNNNNNNNNNNNNNNNNNNNNNNNNNNNNNNNNNNNNNNNNNNNNNNNNNNNNNNNNNNNNNNNNNNNNNNNNNNNNNNNNNNNNNNNNNNNNNNNNNNNNNNNNNNNNNNNNNNNNNNNNNNNNNNNNNNNNNNNNNNNNNNNNNNNNNNNNNNNNNNNNNNNNNNNNNNNNNNNNNNNNNNNNNNNNNNNNNNNNNNNNNNNNNNNNNNNNNNNNNNNNNNNNNNNNNNNNNNNNNNNNNNNNNNNNNNNNNNNNNNNNNNNNNNNNNNNNNNNNNNNNNNNNNNNNNNNNNNNNNNNNNNNNNNNNNNNNNNNNNNNNNNNNNNNNNNNNNNNNNNNNNNNNNNNNNNNNNNNNNNNNNNNNNNNNNNNNNNNNNNNNNNNNNNNNNNNNNNNNNNNNNNNNNNNNNNNNNNNNNNNNNNNNNNNNNNNNNNNNNNNNNNNNNNNNNNNNNNNNNNNNNNNNNNNNNNNNNNNNNNNNNNNNNNNNNNNNNNNNNNNNNNNNNNNNNNNNNNNNNNNNNNNNNNNNNNNNNNNNNNNNNNNNNNNNNNNNNNNNNNNNNNNNNNNNNNNNNNNNNNNNNNNNNNNNNNNNNNNNNNNNNNNNNNNNNNNNNNNNNNNNNNNNNNNNNNNNNNNNNNNNNNNNNNNNNNNNNNNNNNNNNNNNNNNNNNNNNNNNNNNNNNNNNNNNNNNNNNNNNNNNNNNNNNNNNNNNNNNNNNNNNNNNNNNNNNNNNNNNNNNNNNNNNNNNNNNNNNNNNNNNNNNNNNNNNNNNNNNNNNNNNNNNNNNNNNNNNNNNNNNNNNNNNNNNNNNNNNNNNNNNNNNNNNNNNNNNNNNNNNNNNNNNNNNNNNNNNNNNNNNNNNNNNNNNNNNNNNNNNNNNNNNNNNNNNNNNNNNNNNNNNNNNNNNNNNNNNNNNNNNNNNNNNNNNNNNNNNNNNNNNNNNNNNNNNNNNNNNNNNNNNNNNNNNNNNNNNNNNNNNNNNNNNNNNNNNNNNNNNNNNNNNNNNNNNNNNNNNNNNNNNNNNNNNNNNNNNNNNNNNNNNNNNNNNNNNNNNNNNNNNNNNNNNNNNNNNNNNNNNNNNNNNNNNNNNNNNNNNNNNNNNNNNNNNNNNNNNNNNNNNNNNNNNNNNNNNNNNNNNNNNNNNNNNNNNNNNNNNNNNNNNNNNNNNNNNNNNNNNNNNNNNNNNNNNNNNNNNNNNNNNNNNNNNNNNNNNNNNNNNNNNNNNNNNNNNNNNNNNNNNNNNNNNNNNNNNNNNNNNNNNNNNNNNNNNNNNNNNNNNNNNNNNNNNNNNNNNNNNNNNNNNNNNNNNNNNNNNNNNNNNNNNNNNNNNNNNNNNNNNNNNNNNNNNNNNNNNNNNNNNNNNNNNNNNNNNNNNNNNNNNNNNNNNNNNNNNNNNNNNNNNNNNNNNNNNNNNNNNNNNNNNNNNNNNNNNNNNNNNNNNNNNNNNNNNNNNNNNNNNNNNNNNNNNNNNNNNNNNNNNNNNNNNNNNNNNNNNNNNNNNNNNNNNNNNNNNNNNNNNNNNNNNNNNNNNNNNNNNNNNNNNNNNNNNNNNNNNNNNNNNNNNNNNNNNNNNNNNNNNNNNNNNNNNNNNNNNNNNNNNNNNNNNNNNNNNNNNNNNNNNNNNNNNNNNNNNNNNNNNNNNNNNNNNNNNNNNNNNNNNNNNNNNNNNNNNNNNNNNNNNNNNNNNNNNNNNNNNNNNNNNNNNNNNNNNNNNNNNNNNNNNNNNNNNNNNNNNNNNNNNNNNNNNNNNNNNNNNNNNNNNNNNNNNNNNNNNNNNNNNNNNNNNNNNNNNNNNNNNNNNNNNNNNNNNNNNNNNNNNNNNNNNNNNNNNNNNNNNNNNNNNNNNNNNNNNNNNNNNNNNNNNNNNNNNNNNNNNNNNNNNNNNNNNNNNNNNNNNNNNNNNNNNNNNNNNNNNNNNNNNNNNNNNNNNNNNNNNNNNNNNNNNNNNNNNNNNNNNNNNNNNNNNNNNNNNNNNNNNNNNNNNNNNNNNNNNNNNNNNNNNNNNNNNNNNNNNNNNNNNNNNNNNNNNNNNNNNNNNNNNNNNNNNNNNNNNNNNNNNNNNNNNNNNNNNNNNNNNNNNNNNNNNNNNNNNNNNNNNNNNNNNNNNNNNNNNNNNNNNNNNNNNNNNNNNNNNNNNNNNNNNNNNNNNNNNNNNNNNNNNNNNNNNNNNNNNNNNNNNNNNNNNNNNNNNNNNNNNNNNNNNNNNNNNNNNNNNNNNNNNNNNNNNNNNNNNNNNNNNNNNNNNNNNNNNNNNNNNNNNNNNNNNNNNNNNNNNNNNNNNNNNNNNNNNNNNNNNNNNNNNNNNNNNNNNNNNNNNNNNNNNNNNNNNNNNNNNNNNNNNNNNNNNNNNNNNNNNNNNNNNNNNNNNNNNNNNNNNNNNNNNNNNNNNNNNNNNNNNNNNNNNNNNNNNNNNNNNNNNNNNNNNNNNNNNNNNNNNNNNNNNNNNNNNNNNNNNNNNNNNNNNNNNNNNNNNNNNNNNNNNNNNNNNNNNNNNNNNNNNNNNNNNNNNNNNNNNNNNNNNNNNNNNNNNNNNNNNNNNNNNNNNNNNNNNNNNNNNNNNNNNNNNNNNNNNNNNNNNNNNNNNNNNNNNNNNNNNNNNNNNNNNNNNNNNNNNNNNNNNNNNNNNNNNNNNNNNNNNNNNNNNNNNNNNNNNNNNNNNNNNNNNNNNNNNNNNNNNNNNNNNNNNNNNNNNNNNNNNNNNNNNNNNNNNNNNNNNNNNNNNNNNNNNNNNNNNNNNNNNNNNNNNNNNNNNNNNNNNNNNNNNNNNNNNNNNNNNNNNNNNNNNNNNNNNNNNNNNNNNNNNNNNNNNNNNNNNNNNNNNNNNNNNNNNNNNNNNNNNNNNNNNNNNNNNNNNNNNNNNNNNNNNNNNNNNNNNNNNNNNNNNNNNNNNNNNNNNNNNNNNNNNNNNNNNNNNNNNNNNNNNNNNNNNNNNNNNNNNNNNNNNNNNNNNNNNNNNNNNNNNNNNNNNNNNNNNNNNNNNNNNNNNNNNNNNNNNNNNNNNNNNNNNNNNNNNNNNNNNNNNNNNNNNNNNNNNNNNNNNNNNNNNNNNNNNNNNNNNNNNNNNNNNNNNNNNNNNNNNNNNNNNNNNNNNNNNNNNNNNNNNNNNNNNNNNNNNNNNNNNNNNNNNNNNNNNNNNNNNNNNNNNNNNNNNNNNNNNNNNNNNNNNNNNNNNNNNNNNNNNNNNNNNNNNNNNNNNNNNNNNNNNNNNNNNNNNNNNNNNNNNNNNNNNNNNNNNNNNNNNNNNNNNNNNNNNNNNNNNNNNNNNNNNNNNNNNNNNNNNNNNNNNNNNNNNNNNNNNNNNNNNNNNNNNNNNNNNNNNNNNNNNNNNNNNNNNNNNNNNNNNNNNNNNNNNNNNNNNNNNNNNNNNNNNNNNNNNNNNNNNNNNNNNNNNNNNNNNNNNNNNNNNNNNNNNNNNNNNNNNNNNNNNNNNNNNNNNNNNNNNNNNNNNNNNNNNNNNNNNNNNNNNNNNNNNNNNNNNNNNNNNNNNNNNNNNNNNNNNNNNNNNNNNNNNNNNNNNNNNNNNNNNNNNNNNNNNNNNNNNNNNNNNNNNNNNNNNNNNNNNNNNNNNNNNNNNNNNNNNNNNNNNNNNNNNNNNNNNNNNNNNNNNNNNNNNNNNNNNNNNNNNNNNNNNNNNNNNNNNNNNNNNNNNNNNNNNNNNNNNNNNNNNNNNNNNNNNNNNNNNNNNNNNNNNNNNNNNNNNNNNNNNNNNNNNNNNNNNNNNNNNNNNNNNNNNNNNNNNNNNNNNNNNNNNNNNNNNNNNNNNNNNNNNNNNNNNNNNNNNNNNNNNNNNNNNNNNNNNNNNNNNNNNNNNNNNNNNNNNNNNNNNNNNNNNNNNNNNNNNNNNNNNNNNNNNNNNNNNNNNNNNNNNNNNNNNNNNNNNNNNNNNNNNNNNNNNNNNNNNNNNNNNNNNNNNNNNNNNNNNNNNNNNNNNNNNNNNNNNNNNNNNNNNNNNNNNNNNNNNNNNNNNNNNNNNNNNNNNNNNNNNNNNNNNNNNNNNNNNNNNNNNNNNNNNNNNNNNNNNNNNNNNNNNNNNNNNNNNNNNNNNNNNNNNNNNNNNNNNNNNNNNNNNNNNNNNNNNNNNNNNNNNNNNNNNNNNNNNNNNNNNNNNNNNNNNNNNNNNNNNNNNNNNNNNNNNNNNNNNNNNNNNNNNNNNNNNNNNNNNNNNNNNNNNNNNNNNNNNNNNNNNNNNNNNNNNNNNNNNNNNNNNNNNNNNNNNNNNNNNNNNNNNNNNNNNNNNNNNNNNNNNNNNNNNNNNNNNNNNNNNNNNNNNNNNNNNNNNNNNNNNNNNNNNNNNNNNNNNNNNNNNNNNNNNNNNNNNNNNNNNNNNNNNNNNNNNNNNNNNNNNNNNNNNNNNNNNNNNNNNNNNNNNNNNNNNNNNNNNNNNNNNNNNNNNNNNNNNNNNNNNNNNNNNNNNNNNNNNNNNNNNNNNNNNNNNNNNNNNNNNNNNNNNNNNNNNNNNNNNNNNNNNNNNNNNNNNNNNNNNNNNNNNNNNNNNNNNNNNNNNNNNNNNNNNNNNNNNNNNNNNNNNNNNNNNNNNNNNNNNNNNNNNNNNNNNNNNNNNNNNNNNNNNNNNNNNNNNNNNNNNNNNNNNNNNNNNNNNNNNNNNNNNNNNNNNNNNNNNNNNNNNNNNNNNNNNNNNNNNNNNNNNNNNNNNNNNNNNNNNNNNNNNNNNNNNNNNNNNNNNNNNNNNNNNNNNNNNNNNNNNNNNNNNNNNNNNNNNNNNNNNNNNNNNNNNNNNNNNNNNNNNNNNNNNNNNNNNNNNNNNNNNNNNNNNNNNNNNNNNNNNNNNNNNNNNNNNNNNNNNNNNNNNNNNNNNNNNNNNNNNNNNNNNNNNNNNNNNNNNNNNNNNNNNNNNNNNNNNNNNNNNNNNNNNNNNNNNNNNNNNNNNNNNNNNNNNNNNNNNNNNNNNNNNNNNNNNNNNNNNNNNNNNNNNNNNNNNNNNNNNNNNNNNNNNNNNNNNNNNNNNNNNNNNNNNNNNNNNNNNNNNNNNNNNNNNNNNNNNNNNNNNNNNNNNNNNNNNNNNNNNNNNNNNNNNNNNNNNNNNNNNNNNNNNNNNNNNNNNNNNNNNNNNNNNNNNNNNNNNNNNNNNNNNNNNNNNNNNNNNNNNNNNNNNNNNNNNNNNNNNNNNNNNNNNNNNNNNNNNNNNNNNNNNNNNNNNNNNNNNNNNNNNNNNNNNNNNNNNNNNNNNNNNNNNNNNNNNNNNNNNNNNNNNNNNNNNNNNNNNNNNNNNNNNNNNNNNNNNNNNNNNNNNNNNNNNNNNNNNNNNNNNNNNNNNNNNNNNNNNNNNNNNNNNNNNNNNNNNNNNNNNNNNNNNNNNNNNNNNNNNNNNNNNNNNNNNNNNNNNNNNNNNNNNNNNNNNNNNNNNNNNNNNNNNNNNNNNNNNNNNNNNNNNNNNNNNNNNNNNNNNNNNNNNNNNNNNNNNNNNNNNNNNNNNNNNNNNNNNNNNNNNNNNNNNNNNNNNNNNNNNNNNNNNNNNNNNNNNNNNNNNNNNNNNNNNNNNNNNNNNNNNNNNNNNNNNNNNNNNNNNNNNNNNNNNNNNNNNNNNNNNNNNNNNNNNNNNNNNNNNNNNNNNNNNNNNNNNNNNNNNNNNNNNNNNNNNNNNNNNNNNNNNNNNNNNNNNNNNNNNNNNNNNNNNNNNNNNNNNNNNNNNNNNNNNNNNNNNNNNNNNNNNNNNNNNNNNNNNNNNNNNNNNNNNNNNNNNNNNNNNNNNNNNNNNNNNNNNNNNNNNNNNNNNNNNNNNNNNNNNNNNNNNNNNNNNNNNNNNNNNNNNNNNNNNNNNNNNNNNNNNNNNNNNNNNNNNNNNNNNNNNNNNNNNNNNNNNNNNNNNNNNNNNNNNNNNNNNNNNNNNNNNNNNNNNNNNNNNNNNNNNNNNNNNNNNNNNNNNNNNNNNNNNNNNNNNNNNNNNNNNNNNNNNNNNNNNNNNNNNNNNNNNNNNNNNNNNNNNNNNNNNNNNNNNNNNNNNNNNNNNNNNNNNNNNNNNNNNNNNNNNNNNNNNNNNNNNNNNNNNNNNNNNNNNNNNNNNNNNNNNNNNNNNNNNNNNNNNNNNNNNNNNNNNNNNNNNNNNNNNNNNNNNNNNNNNNNNNNNNNNNNNNNNNNNNNNNNNNNNNNNNNNNNNNNNNNNNNNNNNNNNNNNNNNNNNNNNNNNNNNNNNNNNNNNNNNNNNNNNNNNNNNNNNNNNNNNNNNNNNNNNNNNNNNNNNNNNNNNNNNNNNNNNNNNNNNNNNNNNNNNNNNNNNNNNNNNNNNNNNNNNNNNNNNNNNNNNNNNNNNNNNNNNNNNNNNNNNNNNNNNNNNNNNNNNNNNNNNNNNNNNNNNNNNNNNNNNNNNNNNNNNNNNNNNNNNNNNNNNNNNNNNNNNNNNNNNNNNNNNNNNNNNNNNNNNNNNNNNNNNNNNNNNNNNNNNNNNNNNNNNNNNNNNNNNNNNNNNNNNNNNNNNNNNNNNNNNNNNNNNNNNNNNNNNNNNNNNNNNNNNNNNNNNNNNNNNNNNNNNNNNNNNNNNNNNNNNNNNNNNNNNNNNNNNNNNNNNNNNNNNNNNNNNNNNNNNNNNNNNNNNNNNNNNNNNNNNNNNNNNNNNNNNNNNNNNNNNNNNNNNNNNNNNNNNNNNNNNNNNNNNNNNNNNNNNNNNNNNNNNNNNNNNNNNNNNNNNNNNNNNNNNNNNNNNNNNNNNNNNNNNNNNNNNNNNNNNNNNNNNNNNNNNNNNNNNNNNNNNNNNNNNNNNNNNNNNNNNNNNNNNNNNNNNNNNNNNNNNNNNNNNNNNNNNNNNNNNNNNNNNNNNNNNNNNNNNNNNNNNNNNNNNNNNNNNNNNNNNNNNNNNNNNNNNNNNNNNNNNNNNNNNNNNNNNNNNNNNNNNNNNNNNNNNNNNNNNNNNNNNNNNNNNNNNNNNNNNNNNNNNNNNNNNNNNNNNNNNNNNNNNNNNNNNNNNNNNNNNNNNNNNNNNNNNNNNNNNNNNNNNNNNNNNNNNNNNNNNNNNNNNNNNNNNNNNNNNNNNNNNNNNNNNNNNNNNNNNNNNNNNNNNNNNNNNNNNNNNNNNNNNNNNNNNNNNNNNNNNNNNNNNNNNNNNNNNNNNNNNNNNNNNNNNNNNNNNNNNNNNNNNNNNNNNNNNNNNNNNNNNNNNNNNNNNNNNNNNNNNNNNNNNNNNNNNNNNNNNNNNNNNNNNNNNNNNNNNNNNNNNNNNNNNNNNNNNNNNNNNNNNNNNNNNNNNNNNNNNNNNNNNNNNNNNNNNNNNNNNNNNNNNNNNNNNNNNNNNNNNNNNNNNNNNNNNNNNNNNNNNNNNNNNNNNNNNNNNNNNNNNNNNNNNNNNNNNNNNNNNNNNNNNNNNNNNNNNNNNNNNNNNNNNNNNNNNNNNNNNNNNNNNNNNNNNNNNNNNNNNNNNNNNNNNNNNNNNNNNNNNNNNNNNNNNNNNNNNNNNNNNNNNNNNNNNNNNNNNNNNNNNNNNNNNNNNNNNNNNNNNNNNNNNNNNNNNNNNNNNNNNNNNNNNNNNNNNNNNNNNNNNNNNNNNNNNNNNNNNNNNNNNNNNNNNNNNNNNNNNNNNNNNNNNNNNNNNNNNNNNNNNNNNNNNNNNNNNNNNNNNNNNNNNNNNNNNNNNNNNNNNNNNNNNNNNNNNNNNNNNNNNNNNNNNNNNNNNNNNNNNNNNNNNNNNNNNNNNNNNNNNNNNNNNNNNNNNNNNNNNNNNNNNNNNNNNNNNNNNNNNNNNNNNNNNNNNNNNNNNNNNNNNNNNNNNNNNNNNNNNNNNNNNNNNNNNNNNNNNNNNNNNNNNNNNNNNNNNNNNNNNNNNNNNNNNNNNNNNNNNNNNNNNNNNNNNNNNNNNNNNNNNNNNNNNNNNNNNNNNNNNNNNNNNNNNNNNNNNNNNNNNNNNNNNNNNNNNNNNNNNNNNNNNNNNNNNNNNNNNNNNNNNNNNNNNNNNNNNNNNNNNNNNNNNNNNNNNNNNNNNNNNNNNNNNNNNNNNNNNNNNNNNNNNNNNNNNNNNNNNNNNNNNNNNNNNNNNNNNNNNNNNNNNNNNNNNNNNNNNNNNNNNNNNNNNNNNNNNNNNNNNNNNNNNNNNNNNNNNNNNNNNNNNNNNNNNNNNNNNNNNNNNNNNNNNNNNNNNNNNNNNNNNNNNNNNNNNNNNNNNNNNNNNNNNNNNNNNNNNNNNNNNNNNNNNNNNNNNNNNNNNNNNNNNNNNNNNNNNNNNNNNNNNNNNNNNNNNNNNNNNNNNNNNNNNNNNNNNNNNNNNNNNNNNNNNNNNNNNNNNNNNNNNNNNNNNNNNNNNNNNNNNNNNNNNNNNNNNNNNNNNNNNNNNNNNNNNNNNNNNNNNNNNNNNNNNNNNNNNNNNNNNNNNNNNNNNNNNNNNNNNNNNNNNNNNNNNNNNNNNNNNNNNNNNNNNNNNNNNNNNNNNNNNNNNNNNNNNNNNNNNNNNNNNNNNNNNNNNNNNNNNNNNNNNNNNNNNNNNNNNNNNNNNNNNNNNNNNNNNNNNNNNNNNNNNNNNNNNNNNNNNNNNNNNNNNNNNNNNNNNNNNNNNNNNNNNNNNNNNNNNNNNNNNNNNNNNNNNNNNNNNNNNNNNNNNNNNNNNNNNNNNNNNNNNNNNNNNNNNNNNNNNNNNNNNNNNNNNNNNNNNNNNNNNNNNNNNNNNNNNNNNNNNNNNNNNNNNNNNNNNNNNNNNNNNNNNNNNNNNNNNNNNNNNNNNNNNNNNNNNNNNNNNNNNNNNNNNNNNNNNNNNNNNNNNNNNNNNNNNNNNNNNNNNNNNNNNNNNNNNNNNNNNNNNNNNNNNNNNNNNNNNNNNNNNNNNNNNNNNNNNNNNNNNNNNNNNNNNNNNNNNNNNNNNNNNNNNNNNNNNNNNNNNNNNNNNNNNNNNNNNNNNNNNNNNNNNNNNNNNNNNNNNNNNNNNNNNNNNNNNNNNNNNNNNNNNNNNNNNNNNNNNNNNNNNNNNNNNNNNNNNNNNNNNNNNNNNNNNNNNNNNNNNNNNNNNNNNNNNNNNNNNNNNNNNNNNNNNNNNNNNNNNNNNNNNNNNNNNNNNNNNNNNNNNNNNNNNNNNNNNNNNNNNNNNNNNNNNNNNNNNNNNNNNNNNNNNNNNNNNNNNNNNNNNNNNNNNNNNNNNNNNNNNNNNUCGAUUGGUCCUUGAAUCGGACAAUUCAGGUUCGUGCGAAGUUAGUUCUGAAAUGGGGUGGUUGGUGUAUUGUACAGUUCUAGAGAUUGGAUUUCACACAAAACCCACCAAAUGAUUCCUCCCACAAUAUUAUGAUGUUCCCCAAGUUUUGGACUCAAUCCGAUAUCGAUUGGUCCUUAAAUUCAGACAAUUCAGGUUCGUACGAAGUUCGUUCUGAAAUUGGGUGGUUGGUGUAUAUUAUAGUUCUAGAGAUUGGAUUUCACUCAAAACCCACCAAAUGACUCCUCCCACAAUAUUAUGAUGUUCCCCAAGUUUUGGACUCAAUUAGAUAUCGAUUAGUCCUUGAAAUCGGACAAUUCAGGUUCGUAUGAAGUUCGUUCUGAAAUGGUGUGGUUGGUGUAUAUUAUAGUUCUAGAGAUUGGAUUUCACUCAAAACCCACCAAAUGACUCCUCCCACAAUAUUAUGAUGUUCCCCAAGUUUUGGACUCAAUCCGAUAUCGAUCAGUCCACGAAAUUUGACAAUUCAGGUUCGUACGAAGUUCGUUCUGAAAUGGAGCGUUUGGUGUAUUGUAUAGUUCUAGGGAUUGUAUUUCACUCAAAACACACCAAAUGACUCCUCCCACAAUAUUAUGUUGUUCCCCAAGUUUUGGACUCAAUCCGAUAUCGAUUAGUCCUUGAAAUCGGCCAAUUCAGGUUCGUACGAAAUUCAUUCCGAAAUGGGGUGGUUGGUGUAUUGUAUAGUUCUAGAGAUUGGAUUUCACUCAAAACCCACCAAAUGACUCCUCCCACAAUAUUAUGAUGUUCCCCAAGUUUUAGACUCAAUCCGAUAUCGAUCGGUCCACGAAAUUUGACAAUUCAGGUUCGUACUAAGUUCGUUCUGAAAUGGAGUGGUUGGUGUAUUGUAUAGUUCUAGAGAUUGUAUUUCACUCAAAACCCACCAAAUGACUCCUCCCACAAUAUUAUGAUGUUCCCCAAGUUUUGGACUCAAUCCGAUGUCGAUCAGUCCUUGAAAUCUGACAUUCAGUUCGUACGAAGUUCNNNNNNNNNNNNNNNNNNNNNNNNNNNNNNNNNNNNNNNNNNNNNNNNNNNNNNNNNNNNNNNNNNNNNNNNNNNNNNNNNNNNNNNNNNNNNNNNNNNNNNNNNNNNNNNNNNNNNNNNNNNNNNNNNNNNNNNNNNNNNNNNNNNNNNNNNNNNNNNNNNNNNNNNNNNNNAAUGGGGUGGUUGUUGUAUUGUAUAGUUCUAGAGAUUGGAUUUCACUCAAAACCCACCAAAUGCCUCCACCCACAAUAUUAUGAUGUUCCCCAAGUUUUGGACUCAAUCCGAUAUCUAUUGGUCCUUGAAAUCGGACAAUUCAGGUUCGUACAAAGUUCGUUCAGAAAGGGGGUCGUUGGUGUAUUGUAUAGUUCUAGAGAUUGGAUUUCGCUCAAAACCCACCAAAUGACUCCUCCCACAAAAUUAUGAUGUUCCCCAAGUUUUGCACUCAAUCCGAUAUCGAUCGGUCCAAGAAAUUUGACAAUUCAGGUUCGUACCAAGUUCGUUCUGAAAUGGAGUGGUUGGUGUAUUGUAUAGUUCUAGGGAUUGUAUUUCACUCAAAACCCACCAAAUGCCUCCUCCCACAAUAUUAUGUUGUUCGCCAAGUUUUGGACUCAAUCCGAUAUCGAUUGGUCCUUGAAUUCAGACAAUUCAGGUUCGUAUGAAGUUCAUUCUGAAAUGGGGUGGUUGGUGUAUUGUACAGUUCUAGAUAUUGGAUUUCACUCAAAACCGACCAAAUGACUCCUCCCACAAUAUUAUGAUGUUCCCCAAGUUUUGGACUCAAUGCGAUAUCGAUUAGUCCUUGUAAUCGGCCAAUUCAGGUUCGUACGAAGUUUAUUCUGAAAUGGGGUGGUUGGUGUACUGUAUAGUUGUAGAGAUUCGAUUUCACACAAAACCCACCAAAUGACUCCUCCCACAAAAUUAUGAUGUUCCCCAAGUUUUGGACUCAAUCCGAUAUAGAUUGGUCCUUGAAAUCGGACAAUUCAGGUUCGUACGAAGUUCGUUCUGAAAUAGAGUGGUUGGUGUAUUGUAUAGUUCUAGGGAUUGUAUUUCACUCAAAUCCCACCAAAUGACUCCUCCCACAAUAUUAUGAUGUUCCCCAAGUUUUGGACUCAAUCCGAUAUCGAUCGGUCCACGAAAUUUGACAAUUCAGGUUCGUACCAAGUUCAUUCCGAAAUGGAGUGGUUGGUGUAUUGUAUAGUUCUAGGGAUUGUAUUUCACUCAAAACCCACCAAAUGACUCCUCCCACAAUCUUAUGAUGUUCCCCAAGUUUUGGACUCAAUCCGAUAUCGAUUGGUUCUUGAAGUCGGACAAUUCAGGUUCGUACCAAGUUCGUUGUGAAAUGGAGUGGUUGGUGUAUUGUAUAGUUCCAGGGAUUGUAUUUCACUCAAAACCCACCAAAUGCCUCCUCCCACAAUAUUAUGUUGUUCGCCAAGUUUUGGACUCAAUCCGAUAUCGAUUGGUCCUUGAAUUCAGACAAUUCAGGUUCGUAUGAAGUUCGUUCUGAAAUGGGGUGGUUGGUGUAUUGUACAGUUCUAGAGAUUGGAUUUCACUCAAAACCGACCAAAGGACUCCUCCCACAAUAUUAUGAUGUUCCCCAAGUUUUGGACUCAAUGCGAUAUCGAUUAGUCCUUGUAAUCGGCCAAUUCAGGUUCGUACGAAGUUCAUUAUGAAAUGGGGUGGUUGGUGUAUUGUUUAGUUCUAGAGAUUGGAUUUCACACAAAACCCACCAAAUGACUCCUCCCACAAAAUUAUGAUGUUCCCCAAGUUUUGGACUCAAUCCGAUAUAGAUUGAUCCUUGAAAUCGGACAAUUCAGGUUCGUACGAAGUUCCUUUUGAAAUGGAGUGGCCGGUGUAUUGUAUAGUUCUAGAGAUUGGAUUUCACUCAAAACCCAACAAAUGACUCCUCCCACAAUAUUAUGAUGUUCCCUUAGUUUUGGACUCAAUCCGAUAUCGAUCAGUCCACGAAAUUUGACAAUUCAGGUUCGUACGAAGUUCGUUCUGAAGUGGGGUGGUUGGUGUAUUGUAUAGUUCUAGAGAUUGGAUUUCACUCAAAACCCACCAAAUGACUCCUCCCACAAUAUUAUGAUGUUCCCCAAGUUUUGGACUCAAUCCGAUAUCGAUCGGUUAACGAAAUUUGACAAUUCGGGUUCGUACGAAGUUCGUUCUGAAGUGGGGUGGUUGGUGUGUUGUAUAGUUCUAGAGAUUGUAUUUCACUCAAAACCCACCAAAUGACUCCUCCUACAAUGUUAUGGUGUUCCCCAAGUUUUGGACUCAAUCCGAUAUCGAUCGGUCCACGAAAUUUGACAAUUCUGGUUCGUACGAAGUUCGUUCCGAAAUGGUGUGGUUGGUGUAUUGUAUAGUUCUAGAGAUUGGAUUUCACUCAAAACCCACCAAAUGACUCCUCCCACAAUAUUAUGAUGUUCCCCAAGUUUUGGACUCAAUCCGAUAUCGAUCGGUCCACGAAACUUGACAAUUCGGGUUCGUACGAAGUUCGUUCUGAAAUCGAGUGGUUGGUGUAUUGUGUAGUUCUAGGGAUUGUGUUUCACUCAAAACCCACCAAAUGACUCCUCCAACAAUAUUAAGAUGUUCCCCAAGUUUUGGACUCAAUCCGAUAUCGAUCGGUCCACGAAAUUUGACAAUUCAGGUUCGUACGAAGUUCGUUCCGAAAUGGUGUGGUUGGUGUAUUGUAUAGUUCAAGGGAUUGUAUUUCACUAAAAACCCACCAAAUGCCUCCUCCCACAAUAUUAUGUUGUUCCCCAAGUUUUGGACUCAAUCCAAUAUCGAUUGGUCCUUGAAAUCAGACAAUUCAGGUUCGUUUGAAGUUCGUUCCGAAAUUGGGUGGUACUUGUAUUGUAUAGUUCUAGAGAUUGGAUUUCACUCAAAAACCACCAAAUGCCUCCUCCCACAAUAUUAUGAUGUUCCCCAAGUUUUGGACUCAAUCCGAUAUCGAUCGGUCCACGAAAGUUGACAAUUCAGGUUCGUACCAAGUUCGUUCUGAAACGGUGUGGUUGGUGUAUUGUAUAGUUCUAGGGAUUGUAUUUCACUCAAAACCCACCAAAUGCCUACUCCCAGAAUAUUAUGAUGUUCCCCAAGUUUUGGACUCAAUCCGAUAUCGAUCGGUCCACGAAAUUUGACAAUUCAGUUUCGUACCAAGUUCGUUCUGAAAUGGAGUGGUUGGUGUAUUGUAUAGUUCUAGGGAUUGUAUUUUACUCAAAACCCACCAAAUGACUCCUCCAACAAUAUUAUGAUGUUCCCCAAAUUUUGGACUCAAUCCGAUAUCGAUUGGUGCUUGAAAUCGGACAAUUCAGGUUCGUAUGAAGUUCGUUCUGAAAUGGGGUGGUUGGUGUGUUGUAGAGUUCUAGAGAUUGGAUUUCACUCAAAACCCCCCAAAUGACUCCUCCCACAAUAUUAUGAUGCUUCCUAAGUUUUGGACUCAAUCCGAUAUCGAUCGGUCCACGAAAUUUGACAAUUCAGGUUCGUACGAAGUUUGUUCUGAAAUGGAGGGGUUGGUGUAUUGUAUAGUUCUAGGGAUUGUAUUUCAUUCAAAACCCGCCAAAUGCCUCCUCCCACAGUAUUAUGUUGUUCCCCAAGUUUUGGACUCAAUCCGAUAUCGAUUGGUCCUUGAAAUUGGACAAUUCAGGUUCGUUUAAAGUUCGUUCCGAAGUGGGGUGGUUGGUGUAUUGUAUAGUUCUAGAGAUUGGACUUCACUCAAAACCCACCAAAUGACUUCUCCCACAAUAUUAUGAUGUUUCCCAAGUUUUGGACUCAAUCCGAUGUCGAUUGGUCCUUGAAAUCGAACAAUUCAGGUUGGUAUGAAGUUCGUUCUGAAAUGGGGUGGUUGGUGUAUUGUAUAGUUCUAGAGAUUGGAUUUCACUCAAAACCCACCAAAUGACUCCUCCCACAAUAUUACGAUGUUGCCCAAGUUUUGGACUCAAUCCGAUAUCGAUCGGUCCACGAAAUUUGACAAUUCAGGUUCGUACCAAGUUCAUUCUGAAAUGGAGUGGUUGGUGUAUUGUAUAGUUCUAGGGACUGUAUUUCACUCAAAACCCACCAAAUGCCUCUUCCCACAAUAUUAUGUUGUUCUCCAAGUUUUGGACUCAAUCCGAUAUCGAUCAGUCCACGAAAUUUGACAAUUCUGGUUCGUACGAAGUUCGUUCUGAAAUGGAGUGGUUGGUGUAUUGUAUAGUUCUAGGGAUUGUAUUUCACUCAAAACACACCAAAUGACUCCUCCCACAAUAUUAUGAUGUUCCCCAAGUUUUGGACUCAAUCCGAUAUCGAUUGGUCAAUGAAAUCGGGCAAUUCUAGUUCAUACGAAGUUCGUUCUGAAAUGGAGUAGUUGGUGUAUUGUAUAGUUCUAGGGAUCAGAUUUCACUCAAAACCCACCAAAUGCCUCCUCCCACAAUAUUAUGUUGUUCCCCAAGCUUUGGACUCAAUCCGAUAUCGAUCUGCCCACGAAAUUUGACAAUUCAGGUUCGUACGAAGUUCGUUCUGAAAUGGAGUGGUUGGUGUAUUGUAUAGUUAUAGAGAUUGUAUUUUACUAAAAACCCACCAAAUGCCUCCUCCCACAGUGGUAUGCUGUUUCCCAAGUUCAGGACUCAAUCCGAUAUCGAUUGUCAAUGAAAUCGGGCUAUUCAAGUUCCUACGAAGUUCGUUCUGAAAUGGAGUGAUUUCUGUAUUGUAUAGUUCUAGGGAUUGGAUUUCACUCAAAACCCCCCAAAUGACUCCUCCCACAAUAUUAUGAUGUUCCCCAAGUUUUGGACUCAAUCUGAUAUCGAUUGGUCCUUGAAAUCGGAGAAUUCAGGUUCGUUUGAAGUUCGUUCUGAAAUGGGGUGGUUGGUGUAUUGUAUAGUUGUAGAGAUUGGAUUUCACUCAAAACCCACCAAAUGACUCCUCCCACAAUGUUAUGAUGUUCCCCAAGUUUUGGACUCAAUCUGAUAUCGAUUGGUCCUUGAAAUCGGACAAUUCAGGUUCGUUUGAAGUUCGUUCUGAAAUGGGGUGGUUGGUGUAUUGUAUAGUUCUAGAGAUUGGAUUUCACUCAAAACCCACCAAAUGACUCCUCCCACAAUAUUAUGAUGUUCCCCAAGUUUUGGACUCAAUCCGAUAUCGAUCAGUCCACGAAAUUUGACAGUUCAGGUUCGUACCAAGUUCGUUCUGAAAUGGAGUGGUUGGUGUAUUGUAUAGUUCUAGGUACUGUAUUUCACUCAAAACCCACCAAAUGCCUCUUCCCACAAUAUUAUGUUGUUCUCCAAGUUUUGGACUCAAUCCGAUAUCGAUCAGUGCACGAAAUUUGACAAUUCUGGUUCGUACGAAGUUCGUUCUGAAAUGGAGUGGUUGGUGUAUUGUAUAGUUCUAGGGAUUGUAUUUCACUCAAAACACACCAAAUGACUCCUCCCACAAUAUUAUGAUGUUCCCCAAGUUUUGGACUCAAUCCGAUAUUGAUUGGUCAAUGAAAUCGGGCAAUUCUAGUUCAUACGAAGUUCGUUCUGAAAUGGAGUAGUUGGUGUAUUGUAUAGUUCUAGGGAUCGGAUUUCACUCAAAACCCACCAAAUGCCUCCUCCCACAAUAUUAUGUUGUUCCCCAAGCUUUGGACUCAAUCCGAUAUCGAUCUGCCCACGAAAUUUGACAAUUCAGGUUCGUACGAAGUUCGUUCUGAAAUGGAGUGGUUGGUGUAUUGUAUAGUUCUAGGGAUUGUAUUUUACUCAAAACCCACCAAAUGCCUCCUCCCACAAUGGUAUGCUGUUUCCCAAGUUCAGGACUCAAUCCGAUAUCGAUUGUCAAUGAAAUCGGGCUAUUCAAGUUCAUACGAAGUUCGUUCUGAAAUGGAGUGAUUGGUGUAUUAUAUAGUUCUAGGGAUUGGAUUUCACUCAAAACCCCCCAAAUGACUCCUCCCACAAUAUUAUGAUGUUCCCCAAGUUUUGGACUCAAUCUGAUAUCGAUUGGUUCUUGAAUCGGACAAUUCAGGUUCGUAUGAAGUUCGUUCUGAAAUGGGGUGGUUGGUGUAUUGUAUAGUUCUACAGAUUGGAUUUCACUCAAAACCCACCAAAUGACUCCUCCCACAAGAUUAUGAUGUUCCCCAAGUUUUGGACUCAAUCCGAUAUCGAUCGGUGCACGAAAUUUGACAAUUCAGGUUCAUACCAAGUUCGUUCUGAAAUGGUGUGGUUGGUGUAUUGUAUAGUUCUAGGGAUUGUAUUUGAGUCAAAACCCACCAAAUUCCUCCUCCCACAAUAUUAUGUUGUUCCCCAAGUUUUGGUCUCAAUCCGAUAUCGAUCUGCCCACGAAAUUUGACAAUUCAGAUUCGUACGAAGUUCGUUCUGAAAUGGAGUGGUUGGUGUAUUGCAUAGUUCUAGAGAUUGGAUUUCACUCAAAACCCACCAAAUGACUCCUCCCACAAUAUUAUGGUGUUCCCUAAGUUUUUGACUCAAUCUGAUAUCGAUUGAUCCUUGAAAUCGGACUAUUCAGGUUCGUACGAAGUUCGUUCUGAAAUAGUGUGGUUGGUGUAUUGUAUAGUUCUAGAGAUUGGAUUUCACUCAAAACCCACCAAAUGACUCCUCCCACAAUAUUGUGUUGUUCCCCAGGUUUUGGACUCAAUCCGAUAUCGAUUGGUCCUUGAAAUCGGACAAUUCAGGUUCGUACGAAGUUCGUUUUGAAAUGGGGUGGUUGGUGUAUUGUAUAGUUCUAGAGAUUGGAUUUCACUCAAAACCCACCAAAUGACUCCUCCCACAAUAUUAUGAUGUUCCCCCGGUUUUGGACUCAGUCCGAUACCGAUUGGUCCUUGAAAUCGGACAACUCAGGUUCGUACGAUGUUCGUUCAUAAAUGGGGUGGUUGGUGUAUUGUAUAGUUCUAGGGAUUUGAUUUCACUCAAAACCCACCAAAUGACUCCUCCCACAAUAUUAUGAUGUUCCCCAAGUCUAGGCAUUCUAGAAGAUGUUUUGGUGAAAGUGGAAGAGCUAAUUUUGCCAGCAGAUUUCUUGCUGUUGGAAAUAGAAGAAGCACCAAUUCGUGACAAUCAGUUGCCACUCAUUGUAGGUCGGCCAUUCAUGGCAACUGCCGGUGCUAUUAUUGAUGUGAAGAAGGGGACAUUGACCAUGAAUGUGUUUGAUGAGACAAUAGCAUUCAAAGUGUUUGAAGCCUCCAAGUUCCCAAGUGAUGAGCAUGAAGUUUUCCAUCUUGAUGCAAUUGAUACUAUGGUGAAAGAAGCACUGCCAAUGAGUUAUUUGGAGCCCAUUGAAGCAUGCAUCACACAAAGCAUAAGGAAAGAAGAAGUGGACAGCUUAGAGGCUGUGAUCUCUCCUUUACUUCUUGAGCUUGUUUGCAGCAUGGAUAGCUACAUAGGAAUUGGAAAAAGGUAUGCAAACCAAUUUGAAUCAUUACCCCCACCUACUAAUAAGGUUUUACCUUCUAUUGUGCAGGCACCAGAGUUGGAAUUAAAGCAAUUGCCAAAACACCUUAAAUAUGCUUAUUUAGGUGAAAAUGAGACUCUACCUGUUAUCAUUGCCUCACAUCUCGGACCAAAUGAUGAAAAGAAGCUUUUGAGAGUUCUAAAAGAGCACAAAACUGCAAUCGGGUGGAGCAUUGCAUCAAAGGCAUAAGCCCAACACUGUGCAUGCACAAGAUAUUAUUGGAAGACAAUGCAAUGCCUAAGAGGGAUGCCCAAAGACGUCUCAAUCCGAACACGAAGGAGGUGGUAAGGAAAGAGGUAAUUAAGCUUUUAAAUGUUGGUAUUAUUUACCCUAUUUCUGACAGUAAAUGGGUGAGCCCAGUGCAAGUUGUCCCCAAGAAGUCAGGUAUCACAGUGGUGAAGAAUGAAGCAAACGAACUUGUACCUACACGGAUGACCACGGGCUGGAGAGUUUGCAUUGAUUAUAGGAAGCUCAACACAGCGACAAGCAAAGAUCACUUUCCUCUUCCAUUCAUUGAUCAAAUGCUUGAGAGAUUAGCUGGGCAUAGCCACUAUUGCUUCCUUGAUGGAUAUUCAGGCUACAACCAAAUCGCCAUAGCCCCAGAGGAUCAAGAGAAGACGACCUUCACAUGUCCCUUUGGCACUUUCGCUUAUAGGAGGAUGUCUUUUGGUCUCUGUAACGCCCCAGCCACUUUUCAAAGGUGCAUGAUGAGCAUUUUCUCCGACAUGGUAGAAAGGUUCAUUGAGGUAUUCAUGGAUGACUUCUCUGUCUUUGGUGAUUCUUUUGAUCAAUGCUUGCAUAACUUAUCCAAGGUGUUGGCUAGAUGUGAACAUACUAACCUUGUGCUUAAUUGGAAAAAAUGUCAUUUUAUGGUUAACCAAGGCAUAGUUCUUGGUCAUGUCAUCUCUAGUAAAGGAAUUGAGGUAGAUAAAGCUAAGAUUGAUUUGAUUGCCUCUAUGCCCUCACCUACUUCUGUCAAAGAAGUACGUUCUUUCCUUGGCCAUGCAGGUUUCUAUAGGCGUUUCAUUAAGGAUUUUUCUAAGAUUACAAGGCCUAUGUGCAAUCUCCUUGCCAAGGACAUGGAUUUUGUGUUUGAUCAAGACUGUGAGAAUGCUUUCAAUGCUUUGAAGAAGAUGCUCACAACUGCCCCAAUCAUUAUACCACCGGAUUGGAGCUUGCCUUUUGAAUUGAUGUGUGAUGCCUCAGAUUAUGCUGUUGGAGCUGUUUUGGGACAGCGAGUUGAUAAGAAGCCACAUGCCAUCUACUAUGCUAGUAGAACCCUCAACGAUGCCCAACUCAACUAUUCCACCACAGAGAAGGAGUUGUUAGCUGUCAUAUUUGCUUUAGAGAAGUUCAGAUCAUAUUUGAUUACUAACAAGGUUAUUGUUUACACUGAUCAUGCAGCAUUGAAAUACUUGUUAGCUAAGAAGGAUGCCAAACCACAACUCAUUAGAUGGAUUCUCUUAUUGCAAGAGUUUGACUUGGAGAUAAAAGAUAAGAAAGGAAGUGAGAAUGUUGUGGCUGAUCACUUGAGUAGAUUGGUGCAUGUAUCUAACGAAGAGGAGGAUUCAUUGCCAUUGCGUGAAAGCUUCCCUGAUGAGCAACUCUUCUCCAUUUGUGCUUUCAAUUCUCUCAAUCCAUUGCCUUGGUUUGCUGAUAUUGCUAACUAUUUGUGCACUAAUGAACUCCCUACAGGGUUAUCUACGUUCCAACGUAACAAGCUUAGGAAGCAAGCAAGAUACUACUUUUGGGAUGAUCCAUAUCUAUUCAAGCAUUGUCCAGACCAAGUAAUUCGAAGGUGUGUGCCUGAAGGUGAUUUUAAGAGCAUUCUGGAGUUUUGUCACUCCCACGCAUGCGGAGGCCAUUUUGGACCAAAGAAGACUGCCAGCAAAGUGCUACAAUCAGGUUUCUUUUGGCCUACCCUUUUUAAGGAUGCUUAUGUUUUUUGUGCUUCAUGUGAUAGAUGCCAACGGAUGGGUAAUUUACAUGCUAGAAAUCAGAUGCCUCUCACCAAUAUCUUAAUCAUUGAUAUAUUUGAUGUUUGGGGAAUUGAUUUCAUGGGCCCUUUUCCUACCUCUUAUGGAUUUGAAUAUAUAUUAGUUGCUGUCGAUUAUGUUUCUAAAUGGGUGGAAGCCAUUGCCACUAGAACUAAUGAUGCUAAGGUUGUGAUCGGUUUUCUCAAAGGAAAUAUUUUUACAAGGUUUGGCACACCUAGAGCAAUCAUUAGUGAUGGUGGCUCCCACUUUGUUAACCAAGCUUUUGCAGCACUCUUGACGAAAUAUGGAAUCACGCAUAAAGUGGCAACACCCUAUCAUCCUCAAACUAGUGGGCAGGUUGAGAUAAGCAAUAGGGAGAUUAAGCACAUACUUGAAAAGACAGUGAACACCACAAGGAAGGAUUGGUCCAUGUGUUUGGAUGAUGCAUUGUGGGCUUAUAGGACUGCUUAUAAGACCCCUAUAGGUAUGUCUCCGUAUAGACUUGUUUUUGGUAAACCUUGUCACUUACCAGUGGAGCUUGAGCACAGGGCUUAUUGGGCAAUCAAGGCCCUGAAGUUUGAUAUGAAAGCUGCUGGUGAGAAGAGGAGGCUUCAACUCAAUGAGCUGGAGGAGUUGCGACAUGAAGCAUAUGAGAAUGCGAAGCUUUACAAGGAGAAAACAAAGCAAUAUCACGACAAGAAAAUUCUUAGGAAGACGUUUGAGAAAGGGCAGAAGGUUCUCUUAUUCAAUUCACGCCUUAAACCCAGGUAAGCUUCAUUCUCGGUGGAUUGGCACUUUUGUUAUUACUAAUGUGUUUAAUCAUAGCGCAGUGGAGAUUCAAAACAUUAAGGAUGGCAGCACCUUCAAGGUGAAUGGACAUCGGUUGAAACCUUACUUCGAUGCCAAUAUUGAGUCUCAAGCACUCAAGGAGCCUCCACCACUCUCUUAUAGCUCACCAGAGUUUGGAUGUCCGGCUGAAGAUGUGAAACUUUGCGCUUCUUGGGAGGCAACCCAAGGUGAUGAGGAGAAGAUAGAAUAUGUGAGGAAGCUUGGCUGCAUCCUAAUCGCUUCAAAGGGGAGUUUUUCUGAAAUCUAACCUUUGGUUAUGUCUUUCCUUUGUCUUCUUUCCUUUCAUUUAUGUGGCAUUGCUUUUUCUUACACUCUAAACAUUGAGGACAAUGUUUCAUUUAAGUUUGGGGGGAAGGAUUUAGUUAUGUUCUUUCAAAUUGUCAAAUUUUAUAAUUUUGAGUGUGUCUAAUGGCCAAAAACGCAGGAUUUUGUGUCUUGUUUCGUUAUCCUUCCAAACACCUAUGAUAAGACUUGGAUCUAAUACUAAUAUGGUUUCUCAUAAAUUGAUAGUCAUUGUUUAAGGACUUUGUGUGGUUCUGAGUUAACUCUGUCUUGCUUGCCAUCCUUGCACUUAUUGAGCACUUUGUCGAGUUAGUCCAAUUUCUUGCUACUUGGAGACGAUAUGCAAUUCUACUUAUCUCAGAUCUUGGUUUCGUACUCUAGAACUUAUUUGAAUAUCUCUUGAGACAUUUUGUUGCCAUACAAUGCUUAGGAAGUGAUUUAGGCCAUGUUUGAACCGUUUGAGCUUUUCUAACAAUCCCUCUACAUGUAUUCAUCCCUAGUCAACCCAUUUGAGCCUACGUUAAGCCUUUCUUUGUGUAAACCAUUCUUACCAUAAUGAACCUCUGUUUUCUUAUUCUUACUUAUUCUAUGAGCAAUUAAAGUUAUCUUCAAAAGAGAGUUAUAAAGAAUGCAAGGUUUUUGGAGCAAAAGUGAAUCAUUAGUGCCAUAACCCAAGUGUUGAAAAGAAAUAAAUUUGGGGGUAUUGGUAACUAAUCAAAAGAGGUAAUGAAGUGUGACCAAUGUAGUCACGGCCCUAUGGUGUUAUAAAAGAGAAGAUCAUGGUGAUCUAGGGUAAAGAGCCACAAAAUUAGGCCAAAGAAACAGAUAUGAAGGUGCUGAAAUUAUGUUGAAAAUGUGCUCAUGUAUGUGUUCCUUGCUUGUUACAAAGUUCAGUAAUCUCUUAUGCUCUUACCUGUGCUUUAAUUGUGCUCAAAAUAUUGUAUAUCUCAUAUCCCUUCUUUCAUUCAACCACUGCCCUAAACCUCAUUACUACCCUUGUAAAGUCCUUUUGAUCCUUGGUAUUGUAUGGUAUUACUGUGGAGAGCUGAUUUGAUAAUGAGCUUAUGGGGUUCGGAAUUCUUGAUUUUGCUCUAAGUGUGUGCGCAUGUACUUAUCUGAGUUGCAGGUGUUGUACUGAUUCGGAAUUCACACACUACACUUAAGGAUGUCAUUGUGAGCUUUGGUUACCCUUGAAUCAUAUGUGGAACUCAGAUUGUGAUUGUUGUGUUUCUUUGGGACCAUAUACGUCGGUGAUUCUUUGAGGAUAUUGUUUGGAAGGCUAGUUGCUUAUUUCCUAUUUCCUAAGUUGUAGUUUUAUUUUGUUUUGCUCGAGGACUAGCAAAAUCUAAGUUUGGGGGUAUUUGAUAAGCUCUUAAUUUCACACAUUUGCAUGCCUUCUUUCCUUAGUAAUUUUUCUUAGCUUCUCUUUAUUUUGAGUCUCUUACCUAUGUUUGUGUGCUUUGUAGGUUAAGACAGCAAGGGGAUGACAUUUGAUACAAUUCAUGCAUGUUAAGGGCUGAGUGGCACAAGAGGAAUAUGAGCUUAAAGACAAAACCAAUUUGUGCCACACUCCUUGUCAGUCCAGUUUCGUAGGUCAUCUUACAGGCCUCAUUUCAGUAACUUACACAGGUCGAAUGAGGAGACAUCCUUGAUAGAAGUUGUUCCAAUGGGUGUCUAUUAUAACAUAUCCACAUUUCAGCCCAAUUGGAUAAAUCUGGAGCCCUCAACAAGUCAAAGACUGAACCAAGUUGACAGAAAUGUCAUGUUGGCUGCCAUCACAUUUAAUGUGGCUACAUCCCUAGAGCCAUGUGCUACACAUGGGCAGCCAUACAUAGGAGUCAAAUCAGCUCAGAAGCUCAGAAAGAUGAACAAAAGUCAAGCUUUCCAUAAAGAAACCAUACCAAAGCAUGUAUUUGUCAGCUGGAGCAGUUGGCAAGUAUGGGCAGCUGGAGCAGUUGGGAGCAGCUAAGAGAGGUGUACUUCACCAGCCAAAGGGGAGCACGAAAUUUCACUCUAUAAAUAGAGAGUUGCACACUCAUUCAAGGGGGAGAGAGCAGACACACACAUUCACUUCAUCCAUUACUCUCAUACACACAUUCAGAUUCACCACAAAGAGAGAAGAGAGCUUGGAGCUGUCCUGGGAACUUCCUUGCUGCCAUCAUCUAGUUCUUCUCCUCUCUUUAUCCUAUCUAUGUAUUUCUUAUUUUCUGUAUUCAUAGUUAUGUCUAACUAAUCCAUUUAGUUAGGGCUUAGGAUGAAGCCCUAGUCAUGAAUAUUAAAUGUUAUGGAUGAUUUUAUGGUUAAUUGAUUUCCUUGCUUUUAUUAUCAAGUUGUUAAUCUCCAGUUUAUUAUGUGCUUGAUGUAUGUUUUCUUGGAGUAGCUAACUAGGAUUUUAUGCAUCUAGCACAGGUUGGGAAGGGGUUUAGAUUCACCAAUUCUACUCUCCUUUCACAAGCAACACUUGAAUGGCCUAAGAAUCAUUCAAGGCGUUAAUAACCAUAGGUUGACUAGGACAGAUACCAUGUUCUUGGACUUGUGUGAUUAUCAUAUUCUCAAGGAGCUUAAUGACUCUUGUAUGCUUUAUUCUAAGUAGAUACCAUGCUUAGGUUGCAUAUUAGAGAUCACGUGUUGUGUAGAUACCAUGCAUAAUCACAUGCCUUAGGAGAAUCAUGCAUCCUGCACCUAGAUACCAUAGGCUUGUAUGCGAUGAUCUAUUGUUGAUGAAGCUUGAGUCAAUUUCUAUGCAUUCAUAACUUGGAUAGGAAAACUAGUGGUGGAUUCCAAGGCUCUAACACCUUUCAAUCAUUGUUUCGCAACUUGUUGAUUGCUGCCAGUGUUUACUUUCGAGCACUUUCAUUUCACUUUCUUGUUUUCAUUUCAACAACAAAACCCCCCAUUUCGAGUGCGUGUGUGGUGCUAGGAUUCUGUCCUAGACCUUGAGUAAUUAGCAAGAGGCAUUGUUGAAUUCGACCUUGCCUUUAGCUAGUUAGUCAGUUUCUUCGUUCAUUGUUUUUCUAGCAUUCUAAGUAAUUUAACUUGGAACCAAGUUACCAUUCUCCGUGGGAUCGACCUCGUAUUUACAUAAGCUAUACUAUAAAUGGUUCGUGCACUUGCGAGAAUUAAAGUUGCUGUUUUUAAUAACUCAUUUUAGUUGUUAAGAACUGGCGCAACAUUGGAUUUCACUAAAAACCCACCAAAUGACUCUUCCCACAAUAUUAUGAUGUUCCCCAAGUUUUGGACUCAAUCCGAUAUCGAUUGGUCCUUGAAAUCGGACAAAUCAGGUUCGUAUGAAGUUCGUUCUGAAAUGGGGUGGUUGGUGUAUUGUAUAGUUGUAGAGAUUGGAUUUCACUCAAAACCCAACAAAUGACUCCUCCCGCAAUAUUAUGACGUUCCCCAAGUUUUGGACUCAAUCCGAUAUCGAUUGGUCCUUGAAAUCGGACAAUUCAGGUUCGUACGAAGUUCAUUCUGAAAUGGUGUGGUUGGGGUAUUGUAUAGUUCUAGGGAUUGUAUUUCACUCAGAACCCACCAAAUGACUCCUGCCACAAUAUUAUGAUGUGCCCCAAGUUUUGGACUCAAUCCGAUAUCGAUUGGUCCUUGAAAUCGGACAAUUCAGGUUCGUACGAAGUUCGUUCUGAAAUGGUGUGGUUGGUGUAUUGUAUUGUUCUAGGGAUUCGAUUUCACUCAAAACCAUCAAAUGACAACCCCCACAAUAUUAUGAUGUUCCCCAAGUUUUGGACUCAAUCCGAUAUCGAUUGGUCCUUGAAAUCGGACAAUUCAGGUUCGUACGAAGUUCGUUCUGAAAUGGGGUGGUUGGUGUAUUGUAUAAUUCUAAGGAUUGGAUUUCACUCAAAACCCACCAAUGACUCCUCCCACAAUAUUAUGAUGUUCCCCAAGUUUUAGAUUCAAUCCGAUACCGAUCGGUCCACGAAAUUUGACAAUUCAGGUUCGUACAAAGUUCGUUCUGAAAUGGAGUGGUUGGUGUAUUGUAUUGUUCUAGGGAUUGUAUUUCACUCAAAACCCACCAAAUGACUCCUCCCACAAUAUUAUGAUAUUCCCCAAGUUUUGCACUCAAUCCGAUAUCGAUUGGUCCUUGAGAUCGGACAAUUCAGGUUCGUACGAAGUUCGUUCUGAAAUGGGGUGGUUGGUGUAUUGUAUAGUUCUAGAGAUUGGAUUUCACUCAAAACCCAGCAAAUGACCCCUCCCACAAUAUUAUGAUGUUCCCCAAGUUUUGGACUCAAUCCGAUAUCGAUUGGUCCUUACAAUCAGACAAUUCAGGUUCGUACGAAGUUCGUUCAUAAAUGGCGUGGUUGGUGUAUUGUAUAGUUCUAGGGAUUGGAUUUCACUCAAAACCCAUCAAAUGACAGCUGCCACAAUAUUAUGAUGUUCCCCAAGUUUUGGACUCAAUCCGAUAUCGAUCGGUCCACGAAAUUUGACAAUUCAGGUUCGUACGAAGUUCGUUCUGAAAUGGAGUCGUUCGUGUAUUGUAUAGUUCGAGAGAUUGGAUUUCACUCAAAACCCACCAAAUGACUCCUCCCACAAUAUUAUGAUGUUCCCCAGGUUUUGGACUCAAUCUGAUAUCGAUCGGUCCGCGAAAUUUGACAAUUCAGGUUCGUAUGAAGUUCGUUCUGAAAUGGAGUGGUUGGUGUAUUGUGUAGUUCUAGGGAUUGUAUAUCACUCAAAACCCACCAAAUCACUCCUCCCACAAUAUAAUGAUGUUCCCCAAGUUUCGGACUCAAUCUGAUAUCGAUUGGUCCUUGAAAUCGGACAAUUCAGGUUCGUAUGAAGUUCGUUCUGAAAUGGGGUGGUUGGUGUAUUGUAUAGUUCUAGAGAAUGGAUUUCCCUCAAAACCCAGCAAAUGACUCCUCCCACAAUAUUAUGAUGUUCCCCAAGUUUUGGACUCAAUCCGAUAUCGAUUGGUCCUUGAAAUCGGACAAUUCAUGUUCGUACAAAGUUCGUUCUGAAAUGCGGUGGUUUGUGUAUUGUAUAGUUCUAGAGAUUGGAUUUCACUCAAAACCCAGCAAAUGACUCCUCCCACAAUCUUAUGAUGUUCCCCAAGUUUUGGACUCAAUCCGAUAUCGAUUGGUGCUUGAAAUCGGACAAUUCAGGUUUGUACGAAGUUCGUUCUGAAAUGGUGUGGUUGGUGUAUAGUUCUAGGGAUUGUAUUUCACUCAAAACCCAUCAAAUGACAGCUCCCACAACAUUAUGAUGUUCCCCAAGUUUUGGACUCAAUCCGAUAUCGAUCGGUCCAAGAAAUUUGACAAUUCAGGUUCGUACGAAGUUCGUUCUGAAAUGGAGUGGUUGGUGUAUUGUAUAGUUCCAGAGAUUGGAUUUCACUCAAAACCCACCAAAUGACUACUCCCACAAUAUUCUGAUGUUCCCCAAGUUUUGGACUCAAUUCGAUAUCGAUUGGUCCUUGAAAUCGGACAAUUCAGGUUUCGUACGAAGUUCGUUCGUAAAUGGGGUGGUUGGUGUAUUGUAUAGUUCUAGUGAUUGGAUUUCACUCGAAUCCCACCAAAUGACUCCUCCCACGAUAUUAUGAUGUUCCCCAGGUUUUGGACUCAAUCCGAUAUCGAUUGGUCCUUGAAAUCGGACAAUUCAGGUUCGUACGAAGUUCGUUCUGAAAUGGGAUGGUUGGUGUAUUCUAUAGUUCUAGAGAUUGGAUUUCGCUCAAAACCCACCAAAUGACUCCUCCCACAAUAUUAUUAUGUUCCCCAAGUUUUAGGCUCAAUCCGAUAUCGAUUGGUCCUUGAAAUCGGACAAUUCAGGUUCGUACGAAGUUCGUUCAUAAAUGGGGUGGUUGGUGUAUUGUAUAGUUCUAGAGAUUGGAUUUCACUCAAAACCCCCCAAAUGACUCCUCCCAUAAUGUUAUGUUGUUCCUCAAGUUUUGGACUCAAUCCGAUAUCGAUUAGUCCUUGAAAUCGGCCAAUUCAGGUUUGUACGAAGUUCGUUCUGAAAUGGGGUGGUAGAUGUAUUGUAUAGUUCAAGAGAUUGGAUUUCACUCAAAACCCACCAAAUGAUUCCUCCGCCAAUAUUAUGAUGUUCCCCAAGUUUUGGACUCAAUCCGAUGUCGAUUGGUCGUUGAAAUCGGACAAAUCAGGUUCGUACGAAGUUCGUUCUGAAAUCGGUUGGUUGGUGUAUUGUAUAGUUCUAGGGAUUGGAUUUCACUCAAAACCCACCAAAUGACUCCUCCCACAAUGUUAUGAUGUUCCCCAAGUUUUGGACUAAAUCCGAUAUCGAUUGGGGCUUGAAAUCGAACAAUUCAGGUUCGUACGAAGUUCGUUCCGAAAUGGUGUGGUUGGUGUAUUGUAUAGUUCUAGGGAUUGUGUUUCACUCAAAACCCACCAAAUGACCCCUCCCACAAUAUUAUGAUGUUCCCCAGGUUUCGGACUCAAUCCGAUAUCGAUUGGUGCUUGAAAUCGGACAAUUCAGGUUCGUACGAAGUUCGUUCUAAAAUGGGGUGGUUGGUGUAUUGUAUAGUUCUAGAGAUUGGAUUUCACUCAAAACCCACCAAAUGACUCCUCCCACAAUAUUAUGAUGUUCCCCUAGUAUUGGACUCAAUCCGAUAUUGAUUGGUCCUUGAAAUCGGACAAUUCAGGUUCGUACGAAGUUCGUUCUGAAAAGGGGUGGUUGGUGCAUUGUAAAGUUCUAGAGAUUGGAUUUCACUCAAAACCCAUCAAAUGACAACUCCCACAAUAUUACGAUGUUCCCCAAGUUUUGGACUCAAUCCGACAUCGAUUGGUGCUUGAAAUCGGACAAUUCAGGUUGGUACCAAGUUCGUUCUGAAAUGGGGUGGUUGGUGUAUUGUAUAGUUCUAGAGAUUGGAUUUCACUCAAAACCCUCCAAAUGACUCCUCCCACAAUAUUAUGAUGUUCCCCUAGUAUUGGACUCAAUCCGAUAUUGAUUGGUCCUUGAAAUCGGACAAUUCAGGUUCGUACGAAGUUCGUUCUGAAAAGGGGUGGUUGGUGCAUUGUAAAGUUCUAGAGAUUGGAUUUCACUCAAAACCCAUCAAAUGACAACUCCCACAAUAUUACGAUGUUCCCCAAGUUUUGGACUCAAUCNNNNNNNNNNNNNNNNNNNNNNNNNNNNNNNNNNNNNNNNNNNNNNNNNNNNNNNNNNNNNNNNNNNNNNNNNNNNNNNNNNNNNNNNNNNNNNNNNNNNNNNNNNNNNNNNNNNNNNNNNNNNNNNNNNNNNNNNNNNNNNNNNNNNNNNNNNNNNNNNNNNNNNNNNNNNNNNNNNNNNNNNNNNNNNNNNNNNNNNNNNNNNNNNNNNNNNNNNNNNNNNNNNNNNNNNNNNNNNNNNNNNNNNNNNNNNNNNNNNNNNNNNNNNNNNNNNNNNNNNNNNNNNNNNNNNNNNNNNNNNNNNNNNNNNNNNNNNNNNNNNNNNNNNNNNNNNNNNNCGAUUGGUCCUUGAAAUCGGACACUUCAGUCGUACGAAGUUCGUUCUGAAAUGGGGUGGUUGUGUAUGUAUCGUUCUACAGAUUGGAUUUCACUCAAAACCCACCAAAUGACUCUCCCACAAUAUUAUGAUCUUCCCCAAGUUUUGGACUCAAUCCGACAUCGAUCGGUCCACGAAAUUUGACAAUUCAGGUUCGUACGAAGUUCGUUCUGAAAUGGAGUGGUUGGUGUAUUGUAUUGUUCUAGGGAUUGUAUUUCACUCCAAACCCACCAAAUGACUCCUCCCACAAUAUUAUGAUGUUCCCCAAGCUUUGGACUCAAUCCGAUAUCGAUUGGUGCUUGAAAUCGGACAAUUUCAGGUUCGUACGAAGUUCGUUCUGAAAUGGUGUGGUUGGUGUAUUGUAUAGUUCUAGAGAUUGGAUUUCACUCAAAACCCGACCAAAUGACUCCUCCCACAAUAUUAUGAUGUUCCCCAAAGUUUUGGACUCAAUCCGAUAUCGAUUGGUCCUUGAAAUCGGCCAAUUCCGGUUCGUACGAAGUUCGUUCUAAAAUGGGGUGGUCGGUGUAUUGCAUAGUUCUAGAGAUUGUAUUUCACUCAAAACACACCAAAUGACUCCUCCCACAAUAUUAUGAUGUUCCCCAAGUUUUGGACUCAAUCCGAUAUCGAUUAGUCCUUGAAAUCGGCCAAUUCCGGUUGGUACGAAGUUCGUUCUAAAAUGGGGUGGUUGGUGUAUUGCAUAGUUCUAGAGAUUGGAUUUCACUCAAAACCCACCAAAUGACUCCUCCCACAAUAUUAUGAGGUUCCCCAAGUUUUGGACUCAAUCCGAUAUCGAUUGGUGCUUGAAAUCGGACAAUUCAGGUUCGUACGAAGUUCGUUCUAAAAUGGGGUGGUUUGUGUAUUGCAAAGUUCUAGGGAUUGUAUUUCACUCAAAACCCACCAAAUGACUCCUCCCACAAUAUUAUGAUGUUCCCCAAGUUUUUGACUCAAUCCGAUAUCGAUCGGUCCACGAAAUUUGACAAUUCAGGUUCGUACGAAGUUCGUUCUGAAAUGGAGUGGUUGGUGUAUUGUAUUGUUCUAGGGAUUGGAUUUCACUCAAAACCCACCAAAUGACUCCUCCCACAAUAUUAUGAUGUUCCCCAAGUUUUGCACUCAAUCCGAUAUCGAUUGGUCAAUGAAAUCGGCCAAUUCAAGUUCGUACGAAGUUCGUUAUGAAAUGGAGUGGUUGGUGUAUUGGUUCUAGAGAUUGGAUUUCACUCAAAACCCACCAAAUGACUUCUCGCACAAUAUUAUGAUGUUCCCCAAGUUCUGGAACUCAAUCCGAUAUCGAUUGGUGCAUGAAAUCGGUCAAUCAAGAUCGUACGAAGUUCGUUCUGAAAUGGAGUGGUUGGUGUAUUGUAUAGUUCUAGGGAUUGGAUUUCACUCAAAACCCACCAAAUGACUCCUCCCACNNNNNNNNNNNNNNNNNNNNNNNNNNNNNNNNNNNNNNNNNNNNNNNNNNNNNNNNNNNNNNNNNNNNNNNNNNNNNNNNNNNNNNNNNNNNNNNNNNNNNNNNNNNNNNNNNNNNNNNNNNNNNNNNNNNNNNNNNNNNNNNNNNNNNNNNNNNNNNNNNNNNNNNNNNNNNNNNNNNNNNNNNNNNNNNNNNNNNNNNNNNNNNNNNNNNNNNNNNNNNNNNNNNNNNNNNNNNNNNNNNNNNNNNNNNNNNNNNNNNNNNNNNNNNNNNNNNNNNNNNNNNNNNNNNNNNNNNNNNNNNNNNNNNNNNNNNNNNNNNNNNNNNNNNNNNNNNNNNNNNNNNNNNNNNNNNNNNNNNNNNNNNNNNNNNNNNNNNNNNNNNNNNNNNNNNNNNNNNNNNNNNNNNNNNNNNNNNNNNNNNNNNNNNNNNNNNNNNNNNNNNNNNNNNNNNNNNNNNNNNNNNNNNNNNNNNNNNNNNNNNNNNNNNNNNNNNNNNNNNNNNNNNNNNNNNNNNNNNNNNNNNNNNNNNNNNNNNNNNNNNNNNNNNNNNNNNNNNNNNNNNNNNNNNNNNNNNNNNNNNNNNNNNNNNNNNNNNNNNNNNNNNNNNNNNNNNNNNNNNNNNNNNNNNNNNNNNNNNNNNNNNNNNNNNNNNNNNNNNNNNNNNNNNNNNNNNNNNNNNNNNNNNNNNNNNNNNNNNNNNNNNNNNNNNNNNNNNNNNNNNNNNNNNNNNNNNNNNNNNNNNNNNNNNNNNNNNNNNNNNNNNNNNNNNNNNNNNNNNNNNNNNNNNNNNNNNNNNNNNNNNNNNNNNNNNNNNNNNNNNNNNNNNNNNNNNNNNNNNNNNNNNNNNNNNNNNNNNNNNNNNNNNNNNNNNNNNNNNNNNNNNNNNNNNNNNNNNNNNNNNNNNNNNNNNNNNNNNNNNNNNNNNNNNNNNNNNNNNNNNNNNNNNNNNNNNNNNNNNNNNNNNNNNNNNNNNNNNNNNNNNNNNNNNNNNNNNNNNNNNNNNNNNNNNNNNNNNNNNNNNNNNNNNNNNNNNNNNNNNNNNNNNNNNNNNNNNNNNNNNNNNNNNNNNNNNNNNNNNNNNNNNNNNNNNNNNNNNNNNNNNNNNNNNNNNNNNNNNNNNNNNNNNNNNNNNNNNNNNNNNNNNNNNNNNNNNNNNNNNNNNNNNNNNNNNNNNNNNNNNNNNNNNGUUUUGGAGUCAAUCCGAUAUCGAUUGGUCCUUGAAAUCGGACAAUUUGAGUUUCGUACGAAGUUCGUUUCGAAAUGGUGUGGUUGGUGUAUUAUAUAGUUCUAGAGAAUGGAUUUGACUCAAAACCCUCCAAAUGACUCCUCCCACAAUAUGAUGAUGUUCCCCAAGUUUUGGACUCAAUCCGAUAUCGAUUGGUGCUUUAAAUCGGACAAUUCAGGUUCGUACGAAGUUCGUUCUUAAAUGGGGUGGUUGGUGUAUUGUAUAGUUCUGGGGAUUGGAUUUUACUCAAAACCCACCAAAUGACACCUCCCACAAUAUUAUGAUCUUCCCCAAGUUUUGGACUCAAUCCGAUAUAGAUCGGUCCACGAAAUUUGACAAUUAAGGUUCGUACGAAGUUCGUUCUGAAAUGGAGUGGUUGGCGUAUUGUAUUGUUCUAGGGAUUGUUUUUCACUCCAAACCCACCAAAUGACUCCUCCCACAGUAUUAUGAUGUUCGCAAGUUUUGGACUCAAUCAGAUAUCGAUUGGUCCUUGAAAUCUGACAAUUCAGGUUCGUUCGAAGUUCGUUCUGAAAUCAGUUGGUUGGUGUAUCGUGUAGUUCUAGGGAUUGGAUUUCACUCAAAAACCACCAAAUGACUCCUCCCACAAUAUUAUGAUGUUCCCCAAGUUUUGGACUCAAUCCGAUAUCGAUUGGUGCUUGAAACCGGACAAUUCAGGUUGGUACGAAGUUCGUUCUGAAAUGGGGUGGUUGGUGUAUUGUACAGUUCUAGAGAUUGGAUUUCAAUCAAAACCCACCAAAUGACUCCUCCCACAAUAUUAUGAUCUUCCCAAAGUUUUGGACUCAAUCCGAUAUCGAUCGGUCCACGAAAUUUGACAAUUCAGGUUCGUACGAACUUCGUUCUGAAAUGGAGUGGUUGGUGUAUUGUAUUGUUCUAGGGAUUGUAUUUCACUCAACANNNNNNNNNNNNNNNNNNNNNNNNNNNNNNNNNNNNNNNNNNNNNNNNNNNNNNNNNNNNNNNNNNNNNNNNNNNNNNNNNNNNNNNNNNNNNNNNNNNNNNNNNNNNNNNNNNNNNNNNNNNNNNNNNNNNNNNNNNNNNNNNNNNNNNNNNNNNNNNNNNNNNNNNNNNNNNNNNNNNNNNNNNNNNNNNNNNNNNNNNNNNNNNNNNNNNNNNNNNNNNNNNNNNNNNNNNNNNNNNNNNNNNNNNNNNNNNNNNNNNNNNNNNNNNNNNNNNNNNNNNNNNNNNNNNNNNNNNNNNNNNNNNNNNNNNNNNNNNNNNNNNNNNNNNNNNNNNNNNNNNNNNNNNNNNNNNNNNNNNNAUGAUGUUCCCCAAGUUUUGGACUCAAUCCGAUAUCGAUUGGUGCUUGAAAUCGGACAAUUCAGGUUCGUACGAAGUUCGUUCUAAAAUGGGGUGGUUUGUGUAUUGCAAAGUUCUAGGGAUUGUAUUUCACUCAAAACCCACCAAAUGACUCCUCCCACAAUAUUAUGAUGUUCCCCAAGUUUUUGACUCAAUCCGAUAUCGAUCGGUCCACGAAAUUUGACAAUUCAGGUUCGUACGAAGUUCGUUCUGAAAUGGAGUGGUUGGUGUAUUGUAUUGUUCUAGGGAUUGGAUUUCACUCAAAACCCACCAAAUGACUCCUCCCACAAUAUUACGAUGUUCGCCAAGUUUUGGACUCAAUCAAAUAUCGAUUGGUACAUGAAAUCGGACAAUUCAGGUUCGUACGAAGUUCGUUCAUAAAUGGGGUAGUUGGUGUAUUGUAUAGUUCUAGUGAUUGGAUUUCACUCAAAACCCACCAAAUGACUCCUCCCACAAUGUUAUGAUGUUCCCCAAGUUUGGGACUCAAUCCGAUGUCAAUUGGUCCUUGUAAUCGAACAAUUCAGGUUCGUACGAAGUUCGUUCAUAAAUGGGGUGGUUUGUGUAUUGUAUAGUUCUAGAGAUUGGAUUUCACUCAAAACCAAAAAAAUGACUCCUCCCACGAUAUUUUGAUGUUCGCCAAGUUUUGAAAUGGGGUGGUUGGUGUAUUGUAUAGUUCUAGAGAUUGGAUUUCACUCAAAACCCACGAAAAGACUCCUCCCACAAUAUUAUGACGUUCCCCAAGUUUUUGGAGUCAAUCCGAUAUCGAUCGUUCCACGAAAUUUUGACAAUUCAGGUUCGUACGACGUUCGUUCUGAAAAUGGAGUGGUUGGUGUAUUGUAUAGUUCCUAGGGGAUUGGAUUUCACNNNNNNNNNNNNNNNNNNNNNNNNNNNNNNNNNNNNNNNNNNNNNNNNNNNNNNNNNNNNNNNNNNNNNNNNNNNNNNNNNNNNNNNNNNNNNNNNNNNNNNNNNNNNNNNNNNNNNNNNNNUGAAAUGGGGUGGUUGGUGUAUUGUAUAGUUUCUAGAGAUUGGAUUUUCACUCAAAACCCACCCAAAUGACUCCUCCCACAAUAUUUAUGAUGUUCCCCAAGUUUUGGACUCAAUCCGAUAUCGAUUGGUGCUUGAAAUCAGACAAUUCAGGUUCGUACGAAGUUCGUUCCGAAAUGGUGUGGUUGGUGUAUUGUAUAGUUCUAGGGAUUGAUUUCACUCAAAACCCACCAAUGACUCCUCCCACAAUAUUAUGAUGUUCCCAAGUUUGGACUCAAUCCGAUGUCGAUCGGUCCUAGAAAUUGACAAUUCAGGUUUGUACGAAGUUCGUUCUGAAAUGGAGUGGUUGGUGUACUGUACAGUUCUAGAGAUUGGAUUUCACUCAAAACCCACCAAAUGACUCCUCCCACAAUAUUAUGACAUUCCCCAAGUUUUGGACUCAAUCCGAUAUCGGUUGGUCCUUGAAAUCGGACAAUUCAGGUUCGUACGAAGUUCGUUCUGAAAUGGGGUGGUUGGUGUGUUGUAUAGUUCUAGAGAUUGGAUUUCACUCAAAACUCCCCAAAUGACUCCUCCCACAAUAUUAUGAUGUUCCCCAAGUUUUGGACUCAAUCCGAUAUCGAUCGGUCCACGAAAUUUGACAAUUCAGGUUCNNNNNNNNNNNNNNNNNNNNNNNNNNNNNNNNNNNNNNNNNNNNNNNNNNNNNNNNNNNNNNNNNNNNNNNNNNNNNNNNNNNNNNNNNNNNNNNNNNNNNNNNNNNNNNNNNNNNNNNNNNNNNNNNNNNNNNNNNNNNNNNNNNNNNNNNNNNNNNNNNNNNNNNNNNNNNNNNNNNNNNNNNNNNNNNNNNNNNNNNNNNNNNNNNNNNNNNNNNNNNNNNNNNNNNNNNNNNNNNNNNNNNNNNNNNNNNNNNNNNNNNNNNNNNNNNNNNNNNNNNNNNNNNNNNNNNNNNNNNNNNNNNNNNNNNNNNNNNNNNNNNNNNNNNNNNNNNNNNNNNNNNNNNNNNNNNNNNNNNNNNNNNNNNNNNNNNNNNNNNNNNNNNNNNNNNNNNNNNNNNNNNNNNNNNNNNNNNNNNNNNNNNNNNNNNNNNNNNNNNNNNNNNNNNNNNNNNNNNNNNNNNNNNNNNNNNNNNNNNNNNNNNNNNNNNNNNNNNNNNNNNNNNNNNNNNNNNNNNNNNNNNNNNNNNNNNNNNNNNNNNNNNNNNNNNNNNNNNNNNNNNNNNNNNNNNNNNNNNNNNNNNNNNNNNNNNNNNNNNNNNNNNNNNNNNNNNNNNNNNNNNNNNNNNNNNNNNNNNNNNNNNNNNNNNNNNNNNNNNNNNNNNNNNNNNNNNNNNNNNNNNNNNNNNNNNNNNNNNNNNNNNNNNNNNNNNNNNNNNNNNNNNNNNNNNNNNNNNNNNNNNNNNNNNNNNNNNNNNNNNNNNNNNNNNNNNNNNNNNNNNNNNNNNNNNNNNNNNNNNNNNNNNNNNNNNNNNNNNNNNNNNNNNNNNNNNNNNNNNNNNNNNNNNNNNNNNNNNNNNNNNNNNNNNNNNNNNNNNNNNNNNNNNNNNNNNNNNNNNNNNNNNNNNNNNNNNNNNNNNNNNNNNNNNNNNNNNNNNNNNNNNNNNNNNNNNNNNNNNNNNNNNNNNNNNNNNNNNNNNNNNNNNNNNNNNNNNNNNNNNNNNNNNNNNNNNNNNNNNNNNNNNNNNNNNNNNNNNNNNNNNNNNNNNNNNNNNNNNNNNNNNNNNNNNNNNNNNNNNNNNNNNNNNNNNNNNNNNNNNNNNNNNNNNNNNNNNNNNNNNNNNNNNNNNNNNNNNNNNNNNNNNNNNNNNNNNNNNNNNNNNNNNNNNNNNNNNNNNNNNNNNNNNNNNNNNNNNNNNNNNNNNNNNNNNNNNNNNNNNNNNNNNNNNNNNNNNNNNNNNNNNNNNNNNNNNNNNNNNNNNNNNNNNNNNNNNNNNNNNNNNNNNNNNNNNNNNNNNNNNNNNNNNNNNNNNNNNNNNNNNNNNNNNNNNNNNNNNNNNNNNNNNNNNNNNNNNNNNNNNNNNNNNNNNNNNNNNNNNNNNNNNNNNNNNNNNNNNNNNNNNNNNNNNNNNNNNNNNNNNNNNNNNNNNNNNNNNNNNNNNNNNNNNNNNNNNNNNNNNNNNNNNNNNNNNNNNNNNNNNNNNNNNNNNNNNNNNNNNNNNNNNNNNNNNNNNNNNNNNNNNNNNNNNNNNNNNNNNNNNNNNNNNNNNNNNNNNNNNNNNNNNNNNNNNNNNNNNNNNNNNNNNNNNNNNNNNNNNNNNNNNNNNNNNNNNNNNNNNNNNNNNNNNNNNNNNNNNNNNNNNNNNNNNNNNNNNNNNNNNNNNNNNNNNNNNNNNNNNNNNNNNNNNNNNNNNNNNNNNNNNNNNNNNNNNNNNNNNNNNNNNNNNNNNNNNNNNNNNNNNNNNNNNNNNNNNNNNNNNNNNNNNNNNNNNNNNNNNNNNNNNNNNNNNNNNNNNNNNNNNNNNNNNNNNNNNNNNNNNNNNNNNNNNNNNNNNNNNNNNNNNNNNNNNNNNNNNNNNNNNNNNNNNNNNNNNNNNNNNNNNNNNNNNNNNNNNNNNNNNNNNNNNNNCAAAUGAGUCGUCCCCCCAAUUAUUAUGAUGUUCCCCCAAGUUUUGGACCCAAUCCGAUAUCGAUCGGUCCACGAAAUUUGACAAUUCAGGUUCGUACGAAGUUCGGUCUGAAAUGGAGUGGUUGGUGUAUUGUAUAGUUUUAGAGAUUGGAUUUCACUCAAAACCCACCAAAUGACUCCUCCCACAAUAUUACGAUGUUCCCCAAGUUUUGGACUCAAUCCGAUAUCGAUCGGUCCACGAAAUUUGACAAUUCAGGUUCGUACCAAGUUCGUUCUGAAAUGGAGUGGUUGGUGUAUUAUAUAGUUCUAGGGAUUGUAUUUCACUCAAAACCCACCAAAUGCCUCCUCCAACAAUAUUAUGAUGUUUCCCAAGUUUUGGUCUCAAUCCGAUAUCGAUUAGUCCUUGAAAUCGGCCAAUUCAGGUUUGUACGAAGUUCGUUCUGAAAUGAGGUGAUUGGUGUAUUGUAUAGUUCUAGAGAUUGGGUUUCACUCAAAACCCACCAAAUGACUCCUCCCACAAUAUUAUGAUGUUUCCCAAGUUUUGGUCUCAAUCCGAUAUCGAUUAGUCCUUGAAAUCGGCCAAUUCAGGUUUGUACGAAGUUCGUUCUGAAAUGAGGUGAUUGGUGUAUUGUAUAGUUCUAGAGAUUGGGUUUCACUCAAAACCCACCAAAUGACUCCUCCCACAAUAUUAUGAUGUUCCCCAAGUUUUGGACUCAAUCCGAUAUCGAUUGGGGCUUGAAAUCGGACAAUUCAGGUUCGUACGUAGUUCGUUCUGAAAUGAAGUGGUUGGUGUAUUGUAUAGUUCUAGGAAUUGUAUUUCAAUCAAAUCCCACCAAAUGGCACCUCCCACAGUGUUAUGAUGUUCCCCAAAUUUUGGACUCAAUCGUGAUAUCGAUUGGUCCUUGAAAUCGGAAAAUUCAUGUUCUUACGAUGUUCGUUCUGAAAUGGGGUGGUUGGUGUAUUGUAUAGUUCUAGAGAUUGGAUGUCACUCAAAACCCGCCAAAUGACUCCUCCCACAAUAUUUUGAUUUUCCCCAAGUUCUGGACUCAAUCCGAUAUCGAUUGGUCCUUGAAAUCGAAAAAUUAAGGAUCGUACGAAGUUCGUUCUGAAAUGGGGUGGUUCGAUUUCACUCAAAACCCACCAAAUGACUACUCCCACAAUAUUAUGAUGUUCCCCAUGUGUUGGACUCAAGCUGAUAUCGAUUGGUCCACGAAAUUUGACAAUUCAGGUUCGUUCAAAGUUCCUUAUGAAAUGGAGUGGUGGAUGUAUUGCAUAGUUCUAGGGAUUGGAUUUCACUCAAAACAAAUCAAACGAUUCCUCCCACGAUAUUAUGAUGUUCCCCAAGUUUUGGACUCAAUCCGAUAUCGAUUGGUCCACGAAAUUUGACAAUUCAUGUUCGUACGAAGUUCGUUCUGAAAUGGAGUGGUUGGUUUAUUGUAUAGUUCUAGGGAUUGGAUUUCACUCAAAAGCCACCAAAUGACAACUCCACAAUAUUAUGAUGUUCCCCAAGUUUUGGACUCAAGCCGACAUCGAUUGUUCCAGAACAUUUGACAAUUCUGGUUCGUACGAAGUUCGUUUGGAAAUGGAGUGGUUGGUGUAUUCUAUAGUUCUAGGGAUUCGAUUUCACUCAAAACCCACCAAAUGACUCCUCCCACAAUAUUAUGAUGUUCCCCAGGUUUUGGACUCAAUCGGAUAUCGAUUGGUCCACGAAAUUUCACAAUUCAGGUUCGUACGAAGUUCGUUCUGAAAUGGGGUGGUUGGUGUAUUGUAUAGUUCUCGGGAUUGGAUUUCACUCAAAACCCACCAAAUGACUCCUCCCACAAUAUUAUGAUGUUCCCCAGGUUUUGGACUCAAUCCGAUAUCGAUUGGUCCACGAAAUUUGACAAUUCAGGUUCGUACGAAGUUCGUUCGGAAAUGGAGUGGUUGGUGUAUUGUAUAGUUCUAGGGAUUGAAUUUCACUCAAAACCCACCAAAUGACUCCUCCCACAAUAUUAUGAUGUUCCCCAAGUGUUGGACAUAAUCCGAUAUCGAUUGGUCAAUGAAAUCGGACAAUUCAUGUUCGUACAAAGUUCGUUCUAAAAUGGAGUGGUUGGUGUAUUGUAUAGUUCUAGGAGUUGGAUUUCACUCAAAACCCACCAAAUGACUCCUCCCACAAUAUUAUGAUGUUCCCCAAGUUUUGGACUCAAUCCGAUAUCGAUUGGUCAUUGAAAUCGGACAAUUCAGGUUCGUACGAAGUUCAUUCUGAAAUGGAGUGGUUGGUGUAUUGUAUAGUUCUACAAAUUGGAUUUCACUCAAAACCCACCAAAUGACUCCUCUCACAAUAUUAUGAUGUUCCCCAAGUUUUGGAAACAAUCCGAUAUCGAUUGGUCAAUGAAAUCGGACAAUUCUUGUUCAUACGAAGUUCGUUCUAAAAUGGAGUGGUUGGUGUAUUGUAUAGUUCUAGGUGUUGGAUUUGACUCAAAACCCACCAAAUGACUCCUCCCACAAUAUUAUGAUGCUCCCCAAGUUUUGGACUCAAUCCGAUUUCGAUUGGUCCUUGAAAUCGGACAAUUCAGGUUCGUACGAAGUUCGUUCUGAAAUGGGGUGGUUGGUGUAUUGUAUAGUUCUAGAGAUUGGAUUUCACUCCAAGCCCACCAAAUGACUCCUCCCACAAUAUUAUGAUGUUCCACAGGUUUUGGACUCAAUCCGAUAUCGAUUGGUCCUUGAAAUCGGAGAAUUCAGGUUCGUACGAAGUUCGUUCUGAAAUGGGGUGGUUAGUGUAUUGUAUAGUUCUAGAGAUUGGAUUUCACUCAAAACCCACCAAAUGACUCCUCCCACAAUAUUAUGAUGUUCCCCAAGUUUUGGACUCAAUCCGAUAUCGAUUGGUCCACGGAAUUUGACAAUUCAGGUUCGUACGAAGUUCGUUCUAAAAUGGAGGGGUUGGUGUAUUCUAUAGUUCUAGAGAUUGGAUUUCACUCAAACCCAACAAAUGGCUCCUCCCCCAAUAUUAUGAUGUUCCCCAAGUUUUGGACUCAAUCCGAUAUCGAUUGGUCCACGAAAUUUGACAAUUCAGGUUCUUUCAAAGUUCCUUAUAAAAUGGAGUGGUAGAUGUAUUGUAUAGUUCUAGGGAUUGGAUUUCACUCAAAACCCACCAAACGACUCCUCCCACAAUAUUAUGAUGUUCCCCAAGUUUUGGACUCAACCCAAUAUUGAUUGGUCCAUGAAAUCGGACAAUUCAGGUUCGCAGGAAGUUCAUUCUGAAAUAGAGUAUUUGGUGUGUUGAGUUGUUUUAGCCGUUGGAUUGCACUCAAAACUCAUAAACUGACUCCUCCCACAACAUUAUGAUGUUCCCCAAGUUUUGGACUCAAUCCGAUAUCAAUUGGUCCCGGAAAUCAGACAAUCCAGGUUUGUACGAAGUUCGUUAUAAAAUGUAGUGGUUGGUGCAUUGUAUAGUUCCAGCGGUUGGAUUUCAUUCAAAACCCACCAAAUGACUCCACCCACAAUAUUAUGAUGUUCCCCAAGUUUUGGACACAAUCCGAUAUCGAUUGUCAAUGAAAUAGGACAAUUCAAGUUUGUACGAAGUUCGUCCAAAAAUGGAGUGGUUGGUGUAUUGUAUAGUUCUAGAGAUUGGAUUUCACUCAAAAUCCACCAAAUGGCUCCUUCCACAAUAUUGUGGUGUUCCCCAAGAUUUGGACUCAAUCCGAUAUCGAUUGGUCCUUGAAAUCAGACAAUUCAGGUUCGUACGAAGUUCGUUCAGAAAUGGGGUGGUUGGUGUAUUGUAUAGUUCUAGAGAUUGGAUUUCACUCCAAGCCCACCAAAUGACUCCUCCCACAAUAUUACGGUGUUCCACAAGUUUUGGACUCAAUCCGAUAUCGAUUGGUCCUUGAAAUCGGACAAUUCAGGUUCGUACGAAGUUCGUUCUGAAAUGGGGUGGUUGGUUUAUUGUAUAGUUCUAGAGAUUGGAUUUCACUCAAAGCCCACCAUGACUCCUCCGACAAUAUUAUGAUGUUCCCCAGGUUUUGGACUCAAUCCGAUAUCGAUUGGUGCACGAAAUUUGAUAAUUCAUGUUCGUACGAAGUUCGUUCUAAAAUGGAGUGGUUGGUGUAUUGUAUAGUUCUCAGGAUUGGAUUUCACUCAAAAUCCACCAAAUGACUCCUCCCACAAUAUUAUGAUGUUCCCCAAUUUAUGGACACAAUCCGAUAUCGAUUGGUCAAUGAAAUCGGACAAUUCAAGUUCGUAUGAAGUUCGUUCUGAAAUGGAGUGGUUGGUUUAUUGUAUAGUUCUAGGGGUUGGAUUUCACUCAAAAGCCACCAAAUGACAACUCCACAAUAUUGUGAUGUUCCCCAAGUUUUUUACUCAAUCCGACAUCGAUUGUUCCAGGAAAUUUGACAAUUCAGGUUCGUACGAAGUUCGUUCGAAAAUGGAGUGGUUAGUGUAUUCUAUAGUUCUAGGGAUUGAUUUUCACUCAAAACCCACCAAAUGACUCCUCCCACAAUAUUAUGAUGUUCCCCAGGUUUUGACUCAAUCCGAUAUCGAUUGGUCCACGAAAUUUGACAAUUCAGGUUUGUACGAAGUUCGUUCUAAAAUGGGGUGGUUAGUGUAUUGUAUAGUUCUCGGGAUUGGAUUUCACUCAAAACCCACCAAAUGACUCCUCCCACAAUAUUAUGAUGUUCCCCAAGUUUUGGACUCAAUCCGAUAUUCGAUUGUUCCACGAAAUUUGACAAUUUAGGUUCGUACGAAGUUCGUUCGAAAAUGGAGUGAUUGGUGUAUUGUAUAGUUCUGGGGAUUUAAUUUCACUCAAAACCCACCAAAUGACUCCACCCACAAUAUUAUGAUGUUCCCCAAGUUUUGGACUCAAUCCGAUAUUGAUUGUUCCACGAAAUUUGACAUUUCAGGUUCGUACGAAGUUCAUUCUGAAAUGGAGUGGUUGGUGUAUUGUAUAGUUCUAGAGAUUGGAUUUCACUCAAAACCCACCAAAUGACUCCUCCCACAAUAUUAUGAUGUUCCCCAAGUUUUGGAUUCAAUCCGAUAUCGAUUAGUCCACGAAAUUUGAACAUUCAGGUUCCUACGAAGUUUGUUUUGAAAUGGAGUGGUUGGUGUAUUGUAUAGUUCUAGGGAUUGGAUUUCACUCAAAACCCACCAAAUGACUCCUGCCACAAUAUUAUGAUGUUGCCCCAGUGUUGGACUCAAACCGAUAUCGAUUGGUCCUUGAAAUCAGACAAUUCCGGUUCGUACGAAGUUCGUUCUGAAAUGGGCUGGUUGGCGUAUUGUAUACUUCUAGAGAUUGGAUCUCACUCAAAACCCACCAAAUGACACCUCCCACAAUAUUUUGAUGUCCCCCAAGUUUUGGACUCACUCCGAUAUCCAUUGGUCCUUGAAAUCGGACAACUCAGGUUCGUACGAAGUUCAUUCUAAAAUGGGGUGGUUGGUGUAUUGUAUAGUUCUGGAGAUUGGAUUUCACUCAAAACCCACCAAAUGACUCCUCCCACAAUAUUACGUUGUUCCCCAAGUUUUGGACUCAAUCCGAUAUCGAUUGGUCCUUCAAAUCGGACAACUCAAGUUCGUACGAAGUUCGUUCUGAAAUGGGGUGGUUGGUGUAUUGUAUAGUUCUAGGGAUUGGAUCUCACUCAAAACCCACCGAAUGACUCCUCCCACAAUAUUUUGAUGCCCCCAAGUUUUGGACUCAAUCCGAUAUCGAUUGGUCCUUGAAAUUUGACAAUUCAGGUUCGUACAAAGUUCGUUCUGAAAUGGGGUGAUUGGUGUAUUGUAUAGUUCUAGAGAUUGGAUUUCACUCAAAACCCACCAAAUGACUCCUCCCACAAUAUUACGAUGUUCCCCAGGUUUUGGACUCAAUCUCAUAUCGAUUGGUCCACGAAAUUUAACAAUUCUGGUUCGUACGAUGUUCGUUCUGAAAUGGAGUGGUUAGUGUAUUGUAUAGUUCUCGGGAUUGGAUUUCACUCAAAACCCACCAAAUGACUCCUCCCACAAUAUUUUGAUGUUCCCCAAGUUUUGGACUCAAUCCGAUAUCGAUUGGGCCUUGAAAUUGGACAAUUCAAGUUCGUACGAAGUUCCUUCUGAAAUUGGGUGGUUGGGGUAUUAGGGAUUGGAUUUCCUUCAAAACCCACCAAAUGACUCCUCCCACAAUAUUAUGAUGUUCCCCAAGUUUUAGACUCAAUCCGAUAUCGAUUGGUCCUUGAAAUCUGACAAUUCAGGUUCGUACGAAGUUCGUUCUGAAAUGAGGUGGUUGGUGUGUUGUAAAGUUCUAGGGAUUGGAUCUCACUCAAAACCCACCGAAUGACUCCUCCCACAAUAUUUUGAUGUCCCCCAAGUUUUGGACUCAAUCCGAUAUCGAUUGGUCCUUGAAAUCGGACAAUUCAGGUUCGUACGAAGUUCGUUCUGAAAUGGGGUGGUUGGUGUAUUGUAUAGUUCUAGUGAUUGGAUUUCACUCAAAGCCCACCAAAUGACUCCUCCCACAAUAUUAUGAUGUUCCACAAGUUUUGGACUCAAUCCCAUAUCAAUUUGUCCUUGAAAUCGGACAAUUCAGGUUUGUACGAAGUUCGUUCUGAAAUGAGGUGGUUGGUGUGUUGUAAAGUUCUAGGGAUUGGAUCUCACUCAAAACCCACCGAAUGACUCCUCCCACAAUAUUUUGAUGUCCCCCAAGUUUUGGACUCAAUCCGAUAUUGAUUGGUCCUUGAAAUUGGACAAUUCAGGUUCGUACGAAGGUCGUUCUGAAAUGGGGUGGUUGGUGUAUUGUAUAGUUCUAGAGAUUGGAUUUCACUCAUAACCCACCAAAUGACUCCUCCCACAAUAUUAUGACGUUCCCUAGGUUUUGGACUCAAUCCGAUAACUCUAGACUCUCUACCAAAAAUUUUGGCAGAGUCUCCCCUGUAAAUUGAACAAACCCAACAAAAUUCAACCUGCAUAAAAAUACAUAAUAUAAUUCCCACCAGCAGCAUGUUUUCAAGUGAAUAAACAGUUUACAACAAAGGCCUCCGGCCUCACAAAUCAAACCCUAACAGGGGCGAUAACAAAGCAUGUCUAAGAAAUUCAAUUACAACAAAAAAACAGAGUUCAAAGGAAAUAACAUGAAGAAAGAAUCCUGCAAAGGCUCAAGGCUCGGAAGCACACGAUCCGGCUUUGCUGCGGAGCUUAGUGAACUACUAGCUGGGGGGCGCAAAACAGAAAAUUGUGAGUGGACAAAAAUAAAAAUUCAGUUUAGUGUAAACCAACGUAAUAUAACCCUACCGUUUAGAAAACCAUGCAAGAAAUCCAAAUGCAUCCCAAAACCAUCAUAAUCAAGCAUAUAUAUAUAUAUAAUCAAAAUCAAAUACUGGAUGCCAAGUCCGAAAUCCAUAAAGAAAGCUUUACAAACCCACCAUCCAAAUCUUACAAUCCCACAACUAAACUCUUGAAAGCGUACCCAUUGACACGACCGGCAAGGAAGUAUCCUCACCGAGAAACAAGAACGAAUUAAUAGCUAUAUAUAUAAUUAUAUAAUAUAAGAUAUAUAUAUAAUAUAAUAUAACCACACCUAGUUGUAUCGGGGAAACAAUCCAACCGGGGGAUUGUUUGACUAGUCACCAUGGCAGAGUCCCAAUAAACAAAUUCCUCAAUUCACCAUGUGACUAGGGAACAAGCCGUCCAACUAGGGGACCAACUCUCAGCCAGCGCGUACCAUCGAUAGCCUCAAAGCCCGUACGUCUGUGACCCGUCCUACACGAGCAGACUACCCAAUCAAGGGUCUACAGCAACAUCCCAUCAAGGAUGCCCUGGGUUCCGACAAUUCCAAGUAUCUCAAGUUUCUGUAUCCAAGUUCCAAAUCCGGGGAGUACAUAGGGUACUGCUUAUAGCACUUCGCACUGACAUUCUAUACUCAUCACUUUCCACAAUCUCAUCUCAACAACCCAAGUACCCCACAUGUAAAGACCCAAACCUAAAAUUCACAUGUAAUUAGUAAUUUAUUAUGCGGAAAGACAAUUUUGCCCUUUGACUCACUUAUGAACUCAAUGUUGACUUUUUGACCGAAAAGGAAUUUGACAAUUCCACAUACACCGUUGCGUAGAGCACGACGACACGAGUUCAUAGACACGAAGUAAGCUCGAAUCGGAGUUUUAACGAAGAAAAUACGAUUAAAAUAUCAUGAGGGGCAAAAUGGUAAUUAGAAAAAUCAGAUUUUUUUUAUAAACCUCAGCUUCUCUCUCUCUCUCUCUCUCUCUCUCUCUCUCUCUCUCCCGUUGCCUUCCUCAGCCGUCACCUUCCAAGCACCAUAACUUCCGCCACCGACCACCUAUGCCCUUGCCGUCGGCGCCAAUAGAACCAGCUCGGUUCCGUCUUCAAGCCCCGACCGCUCCCUGCUGCCAGCCGCCGCUGUAGUCGCCGGAUUCCGUCCAAAAACGAGUCGGUUUUGUCAAAACUUCCAACCGCUCGUUCUCCUUCAAUUCUCAACCAAAUCUUUCGAGUAAAGUAUGGAUUCUCAUCUAUUUUUUGUGCUCUAGCUGAUGGUUGGAUAGGUUUUUAUCAAUUUUAGCCGUAGAUUGCCCAGUUUGUAAAUUGAAGUUUCAGCCGAUUUUCGGCCUCUGUUUUCGGCCACUUCCAGUCACUUUUUGGGGUAGGUCCAAGAACAAAAGUGACUCCAAAUGGGGUGUUUUACCUAGGAUAGGAGUUUGGAGUCCUGGUUCCGAGAUUUUUCGACCACCCGAAAUCGCUUAAGACACCCAAAUCUGCCCGCGCGUGCUGGGGCGCAUGGGAGAGGGUGGUGAAGUAAUUCUGUACAGUUUUGUGACCCUGGUGUCGUCACGAGCGCGUAGGAUUUCGCGGAUCUCAAUUCGGAGUCCGUUUGAGCCCUGAACGGAUUUUUCAUAUCGCGCGAUCUUUGGGUGCAGUGUCGCCAAAUCGGUGGAUCACACUGAAUUUUGGAUAUGUCGGUCUACAUGAUUUCAGGAUUGUGUAGGAUUCGACGGAUUGCGAAUCGGAGUCCCGGAUACUCCGAAAUCGCGAACCCUAGGGCUAGGGUUUAGAAAUUAUGCGAUUACAGGAUUGUGAUCAAUCCGACCGUCCGAUUGACACCAAUACCCUCGGGACAUGUGUCCUAAAUAUAUUGGACCUUUUAGCGGCAUCCGGAUCAUAUUAUACCCGUGGGGUUCCGGAUUGACUUUUUGGACUUUAGCGCUUUUUGAGUCCCAAGAUACCGCUAAACGAUCCCACGUGGAAGGAAAGCUGUUGUGGGCAUAGGGAUCACUUUAAAUUGACGCACGUACUUUUAGGAGCCGGGGGUAGGGUUUUUGUUUUUAUUUAAUACUGUAUUGUAUUAAUAGAAUAUUAUGGUCAUUGAAUCAGGCACCCGGGCACCAGUUGACCCGCAGGAGGGACCUUCAAGAGGUCCAGCGAGCUCAGACUAUCAGUGAGUGGACUCUUUGUUUUUAUAAAUGAAUUUAAUCAGUUCAGUUUCAAUUAUAAGCUGUUUUAUGCUGUUAAAUAUUUUAUGUUACAUGCUGCCGAGUGAAGUUUCCUUUUAAGAAUAUAGGAAAAGAUAUUCUCGUUAAUUAUCAGAUAAAUGGCAGCAGAAUUUUAAAGGUUACAGAAAGUUAAUUAUUCAUAAGAUUUUUCUUCAGAAACUUUAUAUUUUCUUAAACCACCUUGUACCCAGUUAUUACAUGUUGCCUUCGGAUUAUAUUUGUUGCCUUCGGUUUAGUCAGCAUGCUUGACAGUUGCCCCACGAGUUCCUUGGUACUCGACCUCGUGUGGAGCGAGUAAUGCGGAUAAAGACGGACUACGGUUCCCUGAAUCCUGCGAGUUGCGGCUCAGACUGACCUCGUGUUACUGAGACCUGCGAGUAUGUGUCACCCAUGGUGAUGCAAGGAAUUGACGGAUAUAAGGAUUUGACGGAAAUAAGGGUACACCUAGGUGAUAGUUUUCAACUGUUUUCAAAUGUAUAGUUAUAUACAUUCAUGGAUUUCAGAAAUAAAGAAAAUAAGCUAGUUUGUAUAACUGUUUUUACAGUGGGGUUAGUAUGUUCAUAUAGUAUUUUCUAAACUUUGUUUGGGUCCACUCACCCUUCUUGUUGUUUUGCGCCCCCAGGCAGUAGACGUGCACAGGAAUCCACCACCGGGCCACUUCCCAUCUUCCGUGCCUUUCUUUGAUGUAGGAUUUGUAUUUUGUACAAAGAUUCACUCUUUUGUAAAUUUUUAGUAGUCGCUCUGAUGUUUUGCCCUAGACUGAGAUUUGAACUGUUAGAAUGUCUUUAAACUAAUGCUGGCAGUUGGUUGUAUAUAUGUAUACUUGUUGGCAGGUGAAAAUGUUUUGGUAUUGAGCCAAUUACAAGGGAAACUCUGCCGGUUUUUCGGUAGAAGUCAACCUUGUUAUUUUAUCGUGUUUUUGUAUAGAAGGGCAAAGAGGUCAUUUGUGCCCGACAUUUGCCAGGUAUCGGACACGCACAGGGUCUGGCUUGGAUUCCAAAGUGGGAUUUGGGUCGGGUCCUGUCAACUUGGUAUCAGAGCAUUAGGUUUAAUUUCCUGUAGACUUCGCACUUUGUGCAUCCUCGUUUUCCUGAAAAUCUGUUUCUUGUGACAGAAAGAUGGGCCCUAAACGUGGUGGUGUCCGUAGAGGGACUAGAGAGUCGUCCCGACAGAGGGGACAAGAUCCCCAGCUCGGGCAGGAGGAAGUUCCUGUUCCUGCACCGGUACCUGAACCGGUAGAGCAAUCUGUUGUUGGAGGUUCGUCGGGAGCCGUACCUGCUAUGCCUCCUAUGCAGGGAGAUCCCCACUUUCAGCAGACCUUGGAGUUGCUGACGCAGGCUUUAGCCAGGACUGGGCAGCCCAGAGAUCCCUCCCUGGGAUAUGCUGAUCAAGCGAAGAGGAUAGGGGCCACUGACUUUGAUGGUGAUGGUACCCCAGCAGUAGCUGAGGAGUGGAUUGAAAAGAUGGAGCGGAUCAUGGAAGUCAUGGCUGUUCCACAGCACAGUAGGGUUCCUUUGGCCACCUUCUUCUUGAUCAAAAAUGCCAGACAUUGGUGGGAUUCAGUCAAGAGGCGAUACAGGGAUCCUUUAGCUAUUACAUGGCAAGUCUUCAGAGCUGCAUUUGACAGUCAGUAUUACCCACAAGCGUACCAGAAUUUGAAGAUGCAAGAGUUUUUGCAGCUGGAACAGGGGAUGAUGACUGUAUUAGAGUAUGAGAAGAGGUUUCAUGACCUGUCUAAGUAUUGUCUUCCACUGGUGGAGGAUGAAAAUAAGAAGUGUCAGCUGUUCACUAUGGGAUUAAAGGCCUCUAUCAGAGAUAUUGUGAUCAGUCAGCGGUUGACCAAUUUUGGUGAUGUGGUGAUGUCUGCCUCGCUGAAUGAAAGCAGCCAGAUGAUGGCCAGACCACGGGGUGAACUUCGUAGGCAGCAGUUUGAAAUAGGUGGUCCUAGCCAGGGAUCAUCUAAGAGAGGCAGUUACAGUUCGGGAUCAUCCAGUGGUUGCAGCUAUGGAGGUUACCGACCUGGAUUCAGCUCCAGCGGAGGUUCUAACCAAAGUAGCAGUUCUGGAAACCGCUCUGGGGGUAGUGCAAGAGGUGCUGGAAGACAGUUGCUGUCAGGAUCUGGCAGGAGGAGUCGCCCCCAAUGCGCUAGAUGUGGUAGGUACCAUUCUGGGCCUUGCCAGCAGGGUACUACUGGAUGCUAUUACUGUGGACAACCUGGACAUUUUCGGAAGGAUUGCCCGUUCCUGCAGACUAGAGAGACCACAGAUGCGCCAAUUCCAGGGACAGUUAUGCAGGGUCGAUCACAGGAGAUACCACCGUUUGUGGAGGCUUCGUCCAGUGGUGGUGCCCAGACCAGUGUGGCCAGUCGAGGUAGUAGUCAGCAGAGGGGACGUGGUGGACGUUCCAGAGCCACAGGCAGAGUAUAUAACAUGUCCCAGCAGGAAGCACAUGCAUCGCCUGACGUAAUUACAGGUAUUUUACCGGUCUUUGGCAUUCCUGCUAGAGUUUUAAUUGACCCUGGGGCUACGCACUCGUUUGUCACACCUAGUUUUGCCCAUAAUGCCAACGUUCGACUUUCGGCUCUGCAGACUGAACUGGCGAUCUCAGUACCUACAGGAGAGAUUUUUAGGGUAGGUACCGUGUAUCGCGAUAGUACAGUGAUGGUGGGAAAUGUGUUUUUAGAAGCAGAUUUAAUUCCCUUGGGCAUGGUUGACUUGGAUGUCAUCUUAGGGAUGGAUUGGUUAGCCAGACAUCGUGCCUCUGUAGAUUGCUUCAGGAAAGAAGUUGUAUUCCGUAGUCCCGGACGACCUGAAGUAAUUUUUUAUGGCGAACGCCGAGUGCUUCCAUCUUGCCUCAUUUCAGCUAUGACGACAAAACGGUUGCUGCGAAAAGGGUGCUCAGGAUACAUAGCACAUGUCAUUGAUACCAGAGAUAAUGGGCUGCGAUUGGAGGAUAUUCCAGUCAUACAGGACUUUCCAGAUGUAUUUCCUGAGGAUCUUCCUGGAUUACCUCCUCAUCGGGAGAUUGAGUUUGUUAUUGAACUCGCUCCAGGAACAAAUCCUAUUUCGCAAGCACCAUACAGAAUGGCACCAGCAGAGUUGAGGGAGUUAAAGACGCAGUUACAGGAGCUGGUAGAUAAGGGUUUCAUCCGACCCAGUUUUUCUCCAUGGGGUGCUCCAGUUUUAUUUGUUAAGAAAAAGGAUGGCACCAUGAGGUUAUGCGUUGACUACAGACAGCUGAACAAGAUCACAGUGCGGAAUAGAUAUCCCUUACCUCGCAUUGAUGACUUGUUUGAUCAGCUGAAGGGUGCCAAGGUCUUUUCUAAGAUUGACCUGAGGUCUGGAUAUCAUCAGUUACGGGUUAGAGAAGAGGAUGUGCCUAAAACUGCGUUUCGAACGAGGUACGGGCACUAUGAGUUCCUGGUGAUGCCAUUUGGAUUAACAAAUGCGCCAGCUGCAUUUAUGGACCUCAUGAACAGAGUGUUUCGACGUUACUUGGAUCGCUUUGUGAUUGUGUUCAUAGAUGACAUUCUGGUGUAUUCAAAGAGUCAGAAGGCACAUAUGAAGCAUUUAAACCUUGUGUUGAGGACUCUGAGAAGAAGACAACUGUAUGCCAAAUUCAGCAAGUGUCAAUUUUGGUUAGAUAGAGUGAGCUUCUUGGGACACGUGAUCUCUGCAGAGGGCAUUUAUGUUGAUCCUCAAAAGAUUGAAGCAGUAGUCAAUUGGCUACGACCAACCAGUGUUACUGAGAUACGAAGCUUUCUGGGGUUAGCCGGGUAUUACCGUCGCUUCGUGGAAGGGUUCUCCACCAUAGCGGCACCUCUCACCUAUUUGACACGGAAAGGAGUUAAGUUUGUGUGGUCAGAUAAGUGUGAAGAAAGUUUCAUUGAACUCAAGACCAGGCUGACCACUGCUCCGGUUUUAGCACUUCCGGAUGAUAGUGGGAACUUCGUGAUCUACAGUGAUGCGUCUCAACAAGGACUUGGAUGUGUGCUGAUGCAGCAUGGUAGGGUGAUCGCUUAUGCUUCUAGACAACUGAAGAAGCAUGAGCUGAAUUAUCCUGUUCAUGAUUUGGAACUUGCUGCAGUAGUUUUUGCCUUAAAGAUUUGACGGCAUUAUCUUUUUGGGGAAACAUGCCAGAUCUUUACAGAUCACAAAAGCUUAAAGUAUUUAUUCACCCAGAAGGAAUUAAAUAUGAGGCAAAGAAGAUGGUUAGAGUUGAUAAAAGAUUAUGACUGUACCAUCGAGCAUCACCCAGGAAGAGCUAAUGUUGUUGCUGAUGCACUCAGUAGAAAAUCUUCAGGAUCUAUAGCUUAUCUUCGAGGAAGAUAUUUACCAUUGAUGGUGGAAAUGAGGAAGCUCAGAGUUGGGCUACAUGUGGAUAAUCAGGGAGCACUGUUAGCUACUCUCCAUGUGAGACCAGUGCUAGUAGAACGAAUACUCGCAGCUCAAUCUCAGGAUCCUUUGAUUUGCACACUGCGAGUAGAGGUUGCAAAUGGUGACAGAACUGAUUGUUCCGUAAGAAAUGAUGGAGCAUUAAUGGUAGGUAACAGGUUAUAUGUCCCUAAUGAUGAAGCUUUAAAAAGGGAGAUUCUUGAGGAGGCCCAUGAAUCAGCGUUUGCAAUGCACCCUGGAAGCACAAAAAUGUACCAUACUCUACGAGAGCACUACUGGUGGCCUUUUAUGAAGAAAGAAAUAGCAGAGUAUGUCAGAAGAUGCUUAAUUUGUCAGCAAGUGAAAGCUGAGCGACAGAAACCAUCAGGGCUAUUGCAACCACUUCCAAUUCCUGAGUGGAAGUGGGAGCGGAUUACGAUGGAUUUUGUGUUCAAGCUGCCCCGAACACAAAGUAAGCAUGACGGAGUAUGGGUCAUCGUGGAUCGACUCACCAAGUCCGCUCAUUUUCUGCCGGUGAGAGCAAAUUAUAGUUUGAACAAACUGGCAAAGAUUUUUAUAGAUGAGAUCGUGAGACUUCAUGGAGUACCAGUAUCCAUUGUUUCAGAUCGUGACCCACGGUUUACAUCCCGGUUUUGGACAAAGUUAAAUGAAGCUUUUGGAACCCAAUUGCAGUUUAGUACUGCAUUUCACCCCCAGACAGAUGGUCAGUCUGAGAGGACCAUUCAGACACUAGAAGAUAUGUUGAGAGCCUGUGCACUUCAGUUUCGGGGUGAUUGGGAUGAGAAGUUACCACUGAUGGAGUUUGCAUAUAAUAACAGUUAUCAAGUAAGUAUCGGAAUGUCUCCAUUUGAUGCUUUGUAUGGGAGACAGUGCAGAACUCCGUUCUAUUGGGAUGAAGUGGGUGAACAUAGAUUGGUCGUAUCGGAGGAUGUUAAAUUGACCAAGAAACAAGUGCAAAUCAUUAGAGAACGACUCAAGACAGCCCAGGACCGACAAAAGAGCUAUGCGGACAAUCGAAGAAAAGAUCUUCAGUUUGAAGUUGGAGACUGGGUAUUUUUGAAAUUAUCACCUUGGAAAGGUGUAGUAAGAUUUGGGAAGCGGGGGAAACUAAGUCCUCGCUAUAUUGGACCCUAUGAGAUUAUAGAGCGUGUGGGUCCAGUAGCUUACAGACUUACUUUGCCUUCAGAUCUAGCUCGAUUGCAUGAUGUUUUCCACGUCUCCAUGCUUCGAAAGUACAUUUCCGACCCUUCCCAUGUGUUAGAGGAGCAACCAGUAGAAUUGGAGGCUGAUUUCACUUAUGUGGAGCAACCAGUUCGGAUUUUGGAUUGGAAGACGCAAGUGUUGCGAUCGAGAGAGAUUCCACUUGUGAAAGUCUUAUGGAGGAGUCAUACUGUAGAAGAGGCUACAUGGGAACCCGAAGACCAAAUGCGGGAGCAGUACCUUCACCUCUUCGAGUGACAGGUGCGUAAAUUUCGAGGACGAAAUUUGUAUAAGGGGGGUAGGUUGUAAAGACCCAAACCUAAAAUUCACAUGUAAUUAGUAAUUUAUUAUGCGGAAAGACAAUUUUGCCCUUUGACUCACUUAUGAACUCAAUGUUGACUUUUUGACCGAAAAGGAAUUUGACAAUUCCACAUACACCGUUGCGUAGAGCACGACGACACGAGUUCAUAGACACGAAGUAAGCUCGAAUCGAAGUUUUAACGAAGAAAAUACGAUUAAAAUAUCACGAGGGGCAAAAUGGUAAUUAGAAAAAUCAGAUUUUUUUUAUAAACCUCAGCUUCUCUCUCUCUCUCUCUCUCUCUCUCUCUCUCUCUCUCUCUCCCUCUCCCGUUGCCUUCCUCAGCCGUCACCUUCCAAGCACCAUAACUUCCGCCACCGACCACCUAUGCCCUUGCCGUCGGCGCCAAUAGAACCAGCUCGGUUCCGUCUUCAAGCCCCGACCGCUCCCUGCUGCCAGCCGCCGCUGUAGUCGCCGGAUUCCGUCCAAAAACGAGUCGGUUUUGUCAAAACUUCCAACCGCUCGUUCUCCUUCAAUUCUCAACCAACUCUUUCGAGUAAGGUAUGGAUUCUCAUCUAUUUUUCGUGCUCUAGCUGAUGGUUGGAUAGGUUUUUAUCAAUUUUAGCCGUAGAUUGCCCAGUUUGUAAAUUGAAGUUUCAGCCAAUUUUCGGCCUCUGUUUUCGGCCACUUCCAGUCACUUUUUGGGGUAGGUCCAAGAACAAAAGUGACUCCAAAUGGGGUGUUUUACCUAGGAUAGGAGUUUGGAGUCCUGGUUCCGAGAUUUUUCGACCACCCGAAAUCGCUUAAGACACCCAAAUCUGCCCGCGUGUGCUGGGGCGCAUGGGAGAGGGUGGUGAAGUAAUUCUGUACAGUUUUGUGACCCUGGUGUCGUCACGAGCGCGUAGGAUUUCGCGGAUCUCGAUUCGGAGUCCGUUUGAGCCCCGAACGGAUUUUUCAUAUCGCGCGAUCUUUGGGUGCAGUGUCGCCAAAUCGGUGGAUCACACUGAAUUUUGGAUAUGUUGGUCUACAUGAUUUCAGGAUUGUGUAGGAUUCGACGGAUUGCGAAUCGGAGUCCCGGAUACUCCGAAAUCGCGAACCCUAGGGCUAGGGUUUAGAAAUUAUGCGAUUACAGGAUUGUGAUCAAUCCGACCGUCCGAUUGACACCAAUACCCUCGGGACAUGUGUCCUAAAUAUAUUGGACCUUUUAGCGGCAUCCGGAUCAUAUUAUACCCGUGGGGUUCCGGAUUGACUUUUUGGACUUUAGCGCUUUUUGAGUCCCAAGAUACCGCUAAACGAUCCCACGUGGAAGGAAAGCUGUUGUGGGCAUAGGGAUCACUUUAAAUUGACGCACGUACUUUUAGGAGCCGGGGGUAGGGUUUUUGUUUUUAUUUAAUACUAUAUUGUAUUAAUAGAAUAUUAUGGUCAUUGAAUCAGGCACCCGGGCACCAGUUGACCCGCAGGAGGGACCUUCAAGAGGUCCAGCGAGCUCAGACUAUCAGUGAGUGGACUCUUUGUUUUUAUAAAUGAAUUUAAUCAGUUCAGUUUCAAUUAUAAGCUGUUUUAUGCUGUUAAAUAUUUUAUGUUACAUGCUGCCGAGUGAAGUUUCCUUUUAAGAAUAUAGGAAAAGAUAUUCUCGUUAAUUAUCAGAUAAAUGGCAGCAGAAUUUUAAAGGUUACAGAAAGUUAAUUAUUCAUAAGAUUUUUCUUCAGAAACUUUAUAUUUUCUUAAACCACCUUGUACCCAGUUAUUACAUGUUGCCUUCGGAUUAUAUUUGUUGCCUUCGGUUUAGUCAGCAUGCUUGACAGUUGCCCCACGAGUUCCUUGGUACUCGACCUCGUGUGGAGCGAGUAAUGCGGAUAAAGACGGACUACGGUUCCCUGAAUCCUGCGAGUUGCGGCUCAGACUGACCUCGUGUUACUGAGACCUGCGAGUAUGUGUCACCCAUGGUGAUGCAAGGAAUUGACGGAUAUAAGGAUUUGACGGAAAUAAGGGUACACCUAGGUGAUAGUUUUCAACUGUUUUCAAAUGUAUAGUUAUAUACAUUCAUUGAUUUCAGAAAUAAAGAAAAUAAGCUAGUUUGUAUAACUGUUUUUACAGUGGGGUUAGUAUGUUCAUAUAGUAUUUUCUAAACUUUGUUUGGGUCCACUCACCCUUCUUGUUGUUUUGCGCCCCCAGGCAGUAGACGUGCACAGGAAUCCACCACCGGGCCACUUCCCAUCUUCCGCGCCUUUCUUUGAUGUAGGAUUUGUAUUUUGUACAAAGAUUCACUCUUUUGUAAAUUUUUAGUAGUCGCUCUGAUGUUUUGCCCUAGACUGAGAUUUGAACUGUUAGAAUGUCUUUAAACUGAUGCUGGCAGUUGGUUGUAUAUAUGUAUACUUGUUGGCAGGUGAAAAUGUUUUGGUAUUGAGCCAAUUACAAGGGAAACUCUGCCGGUUUUUCGGUAGAAGUCAACCUUGUUAUUUUAUCGUGUUUUUGUAUAGAAGGGCAAAGAGGUUAUUUGUGCCCGACAUUUGCCAGGUGUCGGACACGCACAGGGUCUGGCUCGGAUUCCAAAGUGGGAUUUGGGUCGGGUCCUGUCACCACACAUAGCCAAACAUAUAUAGAAAUUCUCCAAAUCCAUAUAUACAUACUCAAAAUACUCAAAUAUGCCAAAAACUAAAAAUAUAUCUCCAAUGCAUCAUAAAAAUAAUCUCUUUCAACAAUUGAAUAAUUAAUAUAUCCAAUAUACCAUUUAAAACAUCAUGCAUAAUAUUUCCCAUCAUAAAACCAUGUAUAAGAUUUGAAAACAAAUGUCCACUCACAGAUAGUCCCACGCUGCUUAACCCAGAGAGGGUCCCGCCUGCUGCGUAUGCGUGGUCAAAGUACCUAUUUCAGAAUACGUGUACGAGAUUAAUACGAAGCGUUUCGAACGAGAACUUUGAAUUAAAUAACCUAAUUUUCCAGGUUUCUAGUAAGUGUACUAGGAAUGAGACGUUCUAAAUUCCAACUACCCAAUUCGGACAAUAGAAUAGCUUCUGGAGACACUCGGUCAAUCGGCGGUCAAACUUCCCAAUUUGGGUCAACCGGGCCCACGGGACCCACGACAUCCGUUUCACAAUUCAAAAGCUCCUUAAGGUUUCACAAGGUCUAAGAUACCCGUCUCGCAAGUUUGGAAACGGACGGUUAGAUCGCUUACGAUCACACGAUCGGACAGUUAUCGUAAAAUGUAAACUUUAAGUUAUUGAAUCGGAACAUCCGGGGCUCCGAUUUACAAUCCACAAAUUCCUACACAAUCCUAGAAGUGUCUAGAUUAACAUAUAUUGUAAUGGAGUCGAUCUAAUGGUCCGAACAUAUCGAAUCCGGAUAACUCCUAAUAUGUGAAAUUCGUCCGGGGUUCGAACGUCAACCGAAUUGGAAUCCGAGCACACCUACGCGCUCGUGACAUCAAGGGGAUCGCAUUGGGACAAAUUUCACUCAAAACUCACCAAAUUACUCGUCCAACAACAUUAUAAUGUUCCACAUGUUUGGGACUGAAUCCAACAUCAAUUGGUGAGUGAAAUUAGACAAUUCAGGUUCGAACGAAGUUCGUUCUGAAAUGGAGUGGUUGGUGUAUUGCAUAGUUCUAGUGACAGGACCCGAUCCAAAUUCCGCUUUGGAAUCCGAGUCAGACCAUGUGCGUGUCCGACACCUGGCAAAUGUCGGGCACAAAUGACCUAUUUGCCCUUCUAUAUAAAAACACGAUAAAAAUAACAAGGUUGACUUCUACCGAAAAACCGGCAGAGUUCCCUUGUAACUGGCUCAAUACCAAAAUAUUUACACCUGUCAAAACAAGUAUACAUAUACAACCAACUGCCAGCAUACAUAUAUAUACACAUGCCAAGAGUUCAAAGCUCAGUCUAGGGCAAAACAUCAGAGCGACUACUAAGAAGUUACAAAAGAGUGAAUCUUUGUACAAAAUACAAAUCCUACAUCAAAAGAAAGUCGCGGAAGAUGGGAAGUGGCCCGGUGGUGGAUUCCUGUGCACGUCUACUGCCUGGGGGCGGAAAACAACAAAAAGGGUGAGUGGACCCAAAAACACAGUUUAGAAAAUACCAUAUGAACAUACUAACCCCACUGUAAAAAUAGUUAUACAAACUAGUUUAUUUUCUUUAUUUCUGAAAUCAAUGCAUGUAUAUAACUAUACAUUUGAAAACAGUUGAAAACUAUCACCUUGGUGUACCCCUAUUUUCGUCAAAUCCUUAUAUCCGUCAAUUCCUUGCAUCACCGUGGGUGACACAUACUCGCAGGUCUCAGUGACACGAAGUCAGUCCGAGCUGCAACUCGCAGGAUUCAGGGAACCGUAGUCCACCUUUAUUCGCAUUACUCGCUCCACACGAGUUCGAGUACCAAGGAACUCGUGAGGCAACUGUCAAGCAUGCUGACUAAACCGAAGGCAACAAAUAUAAUCCGAAGGCAACAUUUAAUAACUGGGUACAAGGUGGUUUAAGAAAAUAUAAAGUUUCUGAAGCAAAACUGUUGAAUAAUUAACUUUCUGUAACCUUUAAAAUUUUGCUGCCAUUUAUCUGAUAAUUAACGAGAAUAUCUGUUCCUAUAAGCUUUAAAGGAAAUUUCACUCGGCAGCAUGCAACAUAAAGUAUUUUACAGAAGAAAACAGCUGAUAACUAAAACUAAACUGCUUAAAUUCAUUUAUUAAAACAAAGAGUCCACUCACUGAUAGUCUGAGCUCGCUGGACCUCUUGAAGGUCCCUCCUGCGGGUCAACUGGUGCUCGGGUGCCUGAUUCAAUGACCAUAAUAUUCUAUUAAUAUAAUAUAGUAUUAAAUUAAAAACCCUACCCCCGACUCCUAAAAGUACGUGCAUCAAUUUAAAGUGAUCCCUAGGCCCAUAACAGCUUUCCUUCCACGUGGGGCAGUUUAGCGGUAUCUUGGGACUCAAAAAGCGCUAAAGUCCAAAACGUCAAUCUGGAACCCCACGGGUCCAUGACCUCACAAUACGAUCCGGAUGCCGCUAGAAGGUCCAAUAUAUCUAGGACACAUGUCUCGAAGGUAUUGAUGUCGAUCGGAUAGUCGGAUUGAUUACAAUCCUGUAAUCGCAUAAUUUCUAAACCCUAGCCCUAGGGUUCACCUUUUCGGAGUAUCCGAGACUCCGAUUCACGAUCCGUCGAAUCCUACACGUUUCUAAAAUUAUCCAGAACAACAUAUCUGAAAUUGAUUACGAUCCAACGGCUCAAUCGUAUUGAACCCGAUAAUCGCACAAUAUGGAAAAUCCGUUCGAGGCUCAAACGGUAUCCAAAUUGAGAUCUGCGAAUUCCUAUGAGCUCGUGACAACCUAAGGAUCGCAUCAGAACACUGUGUCACUGCACUACACUCGCCCACGCGCCGCCGCAUGCGCCAGCAGCGAUGGGUGUCCAAAGCGAUUACGCAUCGCUGGAAAAUCUCAAAACCAAGGCUCCAAACUCCUAUCCUAGGUGUAACACCAUAUUUGGAACCACUUUCGUUCUUGGACCAACCCCAAAAACUGAACGAAAGUGGCCGAACACGAAGGCUGAAAGUCGGCCGAAUUCCAAUUUGAAAACUGAGCUAGCUACGGUGAAAAUCAACGCAAACCUACCCGACCAUCAGCUAGAGCACGGAAAAUAGGUAGAAAUCCAUACCUUACUCGACAAAUUUGGAGGAGAAUUGAAGGAGAACGAACGGUUGGAAGUUUUGACAAAACGGACUCGUUUUUGGACGGAAUCCGGCGACUACAGUGGCGGCUGGCAGCGGAGAGUGGUCGGGGCUUGAAGACGGAACCGAGCUGGUCCUGUUGGCACCGACGGCAGGGGCAGAGGUGGUCGGUGGCGGAAGUUGUGGACGUUUGAAGUGCGACGGCUGGAGGAAAAAAAACAGAGAGGGGGAGAGAUCGCGGGGAGAGAGAAAGAGAGAGAGAGAGAGAGAGAAAGCUGAGGUUUUAAUAAAAUCUGAUUUUUCAAAGUACCAUUUUGCCCCUCGUGAUAUUUUACUCGUAUUUUCUUCGUUAAAGCUUCGAUUCGAGCUCACUUCAUGUCUAUGAACUCGUGUCGUCGUGCUCUACGCAAGGUGUAUGUGGAAUUGUCAAAUUCCUUUUUGGUCAAAAAGUCAACUUUGCGUCCUCGAAAUUUAUGCACCUGUCACUCGAAGAGGUGAAAGUACUGCUCCCACAUUUGGUCUUCGGGUUCCCAUGUAGCCUCUUCUACAGUAUGACUCCGCCAUAAGACCUUCACAAGUGGAAUCUCUCUCGAUCGCAACACUUGCGUCUUCCAAUCCAAAAUCUGAACUGGUUGCUCCACAUAAGUGAAAUCAGCCUCCAACUCCACUGGUUGCUCCUCUAACACAUGGGAAGGGUCGGAAAUAUACUUUUCGAGCAUGGAGAUAUGGAAAACAUCAUGCAAGCGAGCUAGAUCUGAAGGCAAAGCAAGCCUGUAAGCUACUGGUCCAUGAAAUCGGACAAUUCUGGUUCGUACGAAGUUCGUUCUGAAAUGGAGUGGUUGGUGUAUUGCAUAGUUUUAGCCAUUGGAUUUCACUCAAAACUUACCGUAUGACUCAUCCCACCAUAUUAUGUUGUUCUACAAGUUUUGGGCUCAAUACAAUAUCGAUUGUUCCAUGAAAUUGCACAAUUCAGGUUCCUACGAAAUUGGUUCUGAAAUUGAGUGGUUGGUGUAUUGCAUUGUUUUAGCCAUUGGAAUUCACUCAAAACUCAGAAAAUGACUCCUCCUAUAACAUUUUGUUGUUCCCCAAGUUCUGGGCUAAAUCCGAUAUCAAUUGGUACUUGAAAUAGGACAAUUUUGGUUCGUACGAACUUCGUUAUGAAAUGGAGUGGUUGUUGUAUUGUAUAGUUUUAGAGAUUGUAUUUCAUUCAAAACUCACCAAAUGACCCCUCCCACAAUAUUAUGACGUUCCCCAAGUUUUGGACUCAAUCCGAGAUCGAUUGGUCCAUGACAUCGCGCAAUUCAGGUUACGAAGUGUGUUCUGAAAUGGACUGGUUGGUGUAUUCCAUAGUUUCAGCCAUUGGAUUUCUCUCGAAACUCACCAAAUGACUCCUCCCACCAUAUUAUGAUGUUCCCCAAGUUUUGGACUCAAUCCGAUAUCGAUUGGUCCCUGAAAUUGGAUAAUUCAGGUUCGUACGAAGUUCGUUCUGAAAUGGAGUGGUUGGCGUAUUGUAUAGUUAUAAAGGUUGAAUUUCACUCAAAACCCACCAAAUAACUGCUCCAACAAUUUAAUGAAGUUCCCCAAGUUUUGGACUCAAUCCGAUAUCGAUUGGUCCAUGAAAUCGGCCAAUUCAGGUUCAUACAAAGUUCAGUCUGAAAUUGAGGGGGUUGGUGUAUUGCACUGUUUUAGCCAUUGGAUUGCGCUCAAAACUCACCAGAUGACUCCUUUCCCUAUAUUAUGAUGUUCCCCAAGUUUGGGUUCAAUCCGAUAUCGAUUGGUCCAAGAAAUUGGACUAUUCAUGUUGGUACGAAGUUCAUUCUCUAAUGGAGUGGUUGGAGUAAAUCAUAGUUUUUGCUAUUGGAUUUCACCCAAAACCCACCAAAUGACUCCUCCCACAAUAUUAUGAUGUUCCUCCAAUAUCGAUUGGUCCAUGAAAUCGGACAAUUUAGGAUCGUACGAAGUUCGUUCUGAAAUGGAGUGGUUGGUGUGUUGAAUUGUUUUAGCCAUUGGAAUUCACUCAAAACUCACAAAAUGACUCCUCCCACCACAUUUUGCUGUUCCCUAAGUUUUGGACUCAAUCCAAUAUCGAUUGCUCCUUGAAUUUGGACAAUUCAGUUUCGUACGAAGUUCGUUACGAAAUGGAGUGGUUGGUGUAUUCCAUAGUUUUAGCCAUUGGAUUUUGCUCAAAACUCACCAAAUGACUCAUCCCACCAUAUUAUGAUGUUCCCCUAGUUUUGGAUUCAAUCCGAUAUCGAUUGGUCCAUGAAUUCGGACAAUUCAAGUUUGUACGAAGUUCGUUCAAAAAUGGAGUGGUUGGUGUAUUGCAUAGUUUUAGCCAUUGGAUUUCGCUCAAAACUCACCAAAUGACUCUUCCGACCAUAUUAUGAUGUUCCCCUAGAUUUGGGCUUAAUCCGAUAUCGAUUGGUCCAGGAAAUUGGACUAUUCAUGUUCGUACGAAGUUCGUUAUCUAAUGGAGUGGUUGGUGUAUUUCAUAGUUUUUGCUAUUGGAUUUCAUCCAAAUCCCACCAAAUGACUUCUCCCACUAUAUUAUGAUGUUCCCUAAGUUUUGCACUCAAUCCGAUAUCGAUUGGUCCUUGAAAUCAGACAAUUCAGGUUCGUACAAAGUUCGUUCUGAAAUGGAGUGGUUGGUGUAUUGUAUAGUUCUAGAAAUUGGAUUUCACUAAAAAAACCACCAAAUGACUUCUUCCACAACAUUAUGACGUUUCCCAAGUUUUGAACUCUAUCCGAUAUCGAUUGGUCUAUGAAAUUGGGCAAUUGAGGUUCGUACGAUGUUCAUUCUAAAAUGGAGUGGUUCUUGUAUUCUAUAGUUCUAGAGAUUGGAUUUCACUCAAAACUCACCAAAUGACUCCUCCUACAGUAUUAUGAUGUUCCCCAAGUUUUGGACUCAAUCUGAUAUCAAUUGGUCUAUGAAAUCGGACAAUUCAGGUUCGUACGAAGUUCGUUCUGAAAUGAAGUGGUUGGUAUAUUGUACAGUUCUAGAGAUUGGAUUUCACUCAAAAACAACCAAAUGACACCUCCCAUAACAUUAUGACGUUUCCCAACUUUUGAACUCUAUUUGAUAUCGAUUGGUCUAUGAAAUUGGACAAUUCAGGUUCGUACGAUGUCCGUUCUAAAAGGGAGUGGUGCUUGUUUUCUAUAGUUCUAGAGAUUGUAUUUCACUCAAAACUCACCAAGUUUUGCAAUUCAGGUUCGUACAAAGUUCGUUCUUACAUGGAGUAGUUGGUGUAUUGCAUAGUGUGAGCCAUUGGAUUUCACUCAAAACUCACCGUAUGACUCCUCCCACCAUAUUAUGAUGUUCUCCAAGUUUUGGGCUCAAUCCGAUAUCUAUUGGUCCAAGAAAUUGGACUAUUAAUAUUCAUACGAAGUUCGCUCUCUAAUGGAGUGGUUGGAGUAUUGCAUAGUUUUGGCAGUUGGAUUUCACUCAAAACCCACCAAAUGACUCCUCCCACAACAUUAUGACGUUCCCCAACUUUUAGCCUCUAUCGGAUAUCGAUUGGUCCAAGAAAUUGGACAAUACAGGUUCGUACAAAGUUUGUUCUUAAAUGGAGUGGUUGGUGUAUUGCAUUGUUCUAGCCAUUGGAAUUCACUCAAAACUCUCAAAAUGACUCCUUCCACAACAUUAUGAUCUUCCCCAAGUUUUGGCCUCAAUCUGAUAUCGAUUGGUCUAUGAAAUUGGACAAUUCAGGUUCGUACAAAGUUCGUUACGAAAUGGAGUGGUUAGUGUAUUCCAUAGUUUUAGCAUUUGGAUUUCUCUCAAAACUAACCAAAUGACUCCUCCCACCAUAUUAUGAUGUUCCCCAAGUUUUGGACUCAAUUCGAUAUCGAUUGGUCCAUCAAAUCGGACAGUUCAGGUUCGUACGAAGUUCGUUUUGAAAUGGACUGGUUGCCGUAUUGUAUAGUUCUGUGUAUUGGAUUUCACUCAAAACCCACCAAAUGACUCCUCCAACAAUUUUAUGAUGUUCCCCAAGCUUUGGACUCAAUCCGAUAUCGAUUGGUCCAGGAAAUCGGCCAAUUCAGGUUCGUACGAAGUUCGUUUUGAAAUUGGGUGGUUGGUGUAUUGCAUUGUUUUAGUCCAUGGAUUUCUCUAAAAACUCAUCAACUGACUCCUCUCCCUAUAUCAUGAUGUUCCCCAAGUUUGGGCUCAAUCCGAUAUCGAUUGGUCCAAAAAAUUGGAUUAUUCAUGUUCGUACGAAGUUCGUUGUCUAAUGGAUUGGUUGGAGUAUUUCAUAGUUUUUGCUAUUGGAUUUCACCCAAAACCCACCAAAUGACUCCUCCCACAAUAUUAUGAUGUUCCCCAAGUUUUGGACUCAAUCCAAUAUCGAUUGGUCCAUGAAAUCGGACAAUUUAGGUUCGUAUAGAGUUCGUUAUGAAAUGCAGUGCCGGUGUAUUUCAUAGUUCUUGAGAUUGGAUUCACUCAAAACUCACAAAAUGACUCCUCCCACAACAUUUUGUUGUUCCUCAAGUUUUGGACUCAAUCCAAUAUCCAUUGGUUCUUGAAAUUGGACAAUUCAGGUUCGUACGAAGUUCGUUAUGAAAUGGAGUGGUUGGUGUAUUCCAUAGUUUUAGCCAUUGGUUUUCGGUCAAAACUCACCAAAUGACUCCUCCCACCAUAUUAUGAUGUUCCCCUAGUUUUGGUUUCAAUCCGAUAGCGAUUGGUCCAUGAAAUCGGACAAUUCAGGUUCGUACGAAGUUCGUUUUGAAAUAGUGUUGUUAGUGUAUUGCCUGGUUUUAGCCAUUGGAUUUCGCUCAGAACCCACCAUAUUAUGAUGUUUCCCAACAUUUGGGCUUAAUCCGAUAUCGAUUGGUCCAAGAAAUUGGACUAUUCAUGUUCGUACGAAGUUCUUUCUCUAAUGGAGUGGUUGGUGUAUUUCAUACUUUUUUGCUCUUGGAUUUCAUCAAAAUCCCACCAAAUGACUCCUCCCACUAUAUUAUGAUCUUCCCCAAGUUUUGGACUCAAUCCGAUAUCAAUUGGUCCUUGAAAUCAGACAAUUCAGGUUCGUACAAAGUUCGUUCCGAAAUGGACUGGUUGGUGUAUUCUAUAGUUCUAGAGUUUGGAUUUCACUCAAAAACCACCAAAUGACUCCUCCCAUAACAUUAAUACAUUUCUCAAGUUUUGGACUCUAUCCGAAAUCGAUUGGUCUAUGAAAUUGGACAAUUCAGGUUCGUACGAUGUUCGUUCUAAAAGGGAGUGGUCCUUGUUUUCUAUAGUUCUAGAGAUUGGAUUUCACUCCAAACUCACCAAAUGACUCCUCCCACAAUAUUAUGAUGUUUCUCAAGUUUUGGACUCAAUCCGAUAUCGAUUGGCCCAUGAAAUCGGACAAUUCAUGUUCGUACGAAGUUCAUUCUGAAAUGGAGUGGUUGGCGUAUUGUGUAGUUCUAGAGAUUGGAUUUCACUCAAAAACCCCCAAAUGACUCCUCCCACAACAUUAUGUUGUUUCCCAAGUUUGGGACUCGAUUCAAUAUUGAUUGGUCUAUGAAGUUGGACAAUUUAAGUUCGUACGAAGUUCAUUCUAAAAUGGAGUGGUUGGUGUAUUCUUGUUGAGCCUAUCCUUUACAACUAAAAUGAGUUAUUAAAAAUAGCAACUUUAAUUCUCGCAAGUGCACGAACAGUUUAUAGUAUAGCUUAUGUAAAUACGAGGUCGAUCUCAUGGAGAAUGGUAACUUGGUUCCAAGUUAAAUUACUUAGAAUGCUGGAAAAAACAGAAAAUAAAGAAACUGACUAACUAACUAAAGGCAAAGUCGAAUUCAACAAUGCCUCUUGCUGAUUACUCAAGGUCUAGGACAGAAUCCUAGCACCUUACACGCACUCGAAAUGGGGAGUUUUGUUGUUGAAAUGAUGAUAUGAAAGUGAAAAGAAAGUGCUGGAAAGUAAACGUUGGCAGCAAUCAACAAGUGACUCAAAGUAAAGAGAAACUAAGCAAAGUCACUAAGUAAAGAGGGCAUGCGAAUGUAUGAAAUUAUGAACUUAUCAAUUCUAUAGUUCUAGAGAUUGGAUUUCACUCAAAACCCACUAAAUGACUCCUCCCAUAAUAUUAUGAUGUUCCCCAAGUUUUGGAUUCAAUCCGAUAUUGAUUGGUCCAUGAAAUCGGACAAUCCAGGUUCGUACGAAAUUCGUUCUGAAAUGAAGUGGUUGGUGUAUUGCAUAGUUUUGGCAAUUGGAUUUCACUCAAAACUCACCGCAUGACUCCUCCCACCACAUUAUGAUGUUCCCCAAGUUUUAGAUUCAAUCCGAUAUCGAUUGGUCUAUGAAAUUGGACAAUUCAGGUUCGUACGAAGUUCGUUUGGACAAGUAGUGGUUGGUGCAUUGCAUUGUUUUAGCCAUUUGAAUUCACUCAAAACUCACAAAAUGACUCCUCCCACAAUAUUAUGAUGUUCCCCAAGUUUUGGACUCAAUCCAAUAUCGAUUGGUCCAUGAAAUCGGACAAUUCAGGUUCGCAGGAAGUAAGUUCUGAAAUAGAGUAUUUGGUGUGUUGAGUUGUUUUAGCCAUUGGAUUUCACUCAAAACUCAUAAAAUGACUCCUCCCACAACAUUAUGAUGUUCCCCAAGUUUUGCACUUAAUCCGAUAUCGAUUGGUAAGUGAAAUAUGAAAGUUCAGGUUCGUACGAAGUCCGUUUUGAAGUGGAGUGGUUGGUGUAUUGUAUAGUUCUAGAUAUUGGAUUUCAAUCAAAACCCAUCAAAUGACUCCUCCCUCAAUAUUAUGGUGUUCCCCAAGUUUUGGACUCAAUUCGAUAUCCAUUGGUCUAUGAAAUUGGACAAUUCAGGUUCGUACAAAGUUAGUUCUGAAAUGGAGAUGUUGGUGUAUUGCAUAUUUCUAGAGAUUGGAUUUCACUCAAAACCCACCAAAUGACUCCUCCCACCAUUUUAUUAUGUUCCCCAAGUUUUGGACUCAAUCCGACAUCGAUUGUUCCAUGAAAUUGGACUAUUCAAGUUCAUACGAAGUUCGUUCUGAAAUUGAGUGGUUGGUUUAUUGUACAGUUCUAGAGACUGGAUCUCACUCAAAACCCAACAAAUGACUCCUUCCACUAUAUUAUGAUGUUCCCCAAGUUUUGGACUCAAUUCGAUAUUGAUUGGUCCAUGAAAUUGGACAAUUCAUGUUCGUACAAAGUUCGUUAUGAAAUGGGAGUGGUUGGUGCAUUGCAUAGUUUUAGCCAUUGGAUUUCACUCAAAAUUCACCAAAUGAUUCCUCCCACCAUAUUAUGAUGUUCCCCAAGUUUUGAAUUCAAUCCGAUAUCGAUUGGUCCGUUAUAUUGGACAAUUCAGGUUCGUAUGAAGUUCGUUCAGAAAUGGUGUAGUUGGUGUAUUGCAUAGUUCUAGAGAUUGGAUUUCUCUUAAAACCUACCAAAUGACUCCUCCCUCAACAUUAUGAUGUUCCCGAAGCUUUGGACUCAAUCCGAUAUCGAUUGGUCUAUGGAAUUGGACAAUUCAGGUUUGUACGAUGUUCGUUCUGAAAUGGAGUGGUUGGUUUAUUGUACUAUUUUAGACAUUGAAAUUCACUCAAAAUUCACAAAAUGACUCCGCCCACAACAUUAUGGUGUUCCCCAAAUUUCGGACUCAAUCCGAUAUCGAUUGGCCUAUGAAAUUGGACAAUUCAAGUUCGUACGAAGUUCAUUCUGAAAUAGAGUGGUUGGUAUAUUGUAUAGUUCUAGAGAUUGGAUUUCACUCAAAAUCCACCAAAUGACUCCUCCCACAGUAUUUUGAUGUCCCCCAUGUUUUUGACUCAAUCCGAUAUCGAUUGGUCCAUGAAAUCGGACAAUUUAGGUUCGUACAAAGCUUGUUCUGAAAUGGAAUGGUUGGUGUAUUAUAUAGUUCUAGAGAUUGGAUUUCACUCAAAAUCCACCAAAUGACUCCUCCCACAGUAUUUUGAUGUCCCCCAAGUUUUUGACUCAAUCCGAUAUCGAUUGGUCCAUGAAAUCGGACAAUUUAGGUUCGUACGAAGUUCGUUCUGAAAUGGAAUGGUUGGUGUAUUAUAUAGUUCUAGAGAUUGGAUUUCACUGAAAACCCACCAAAUGACUCCUCCAAUAAUAUUAUGAUGUUCCCCAAGUUUUGGACUGAAUCUGAUAUCGAUUGGUCCAAGAAAUUUGACAAUUCAGGUUCAUACGAAGUUCGUUCUGAAAUGGAGUUGUUGGUGUAUUGCAUAGUUUUCGUAAUUGAAUUUCACUUAGAACUCACCAAAUGACUCCUGCCACAACAUUACGUUGUUCCCCAAGUUUUGGACUCAAUCCGAUAUCGAUUCGUCCAUGAAAUCGAACAAUUCAGGUUCGUACGAAGUUCGUUCUGAAAUGGAGUGGUUGGUGUAUUGUAUAGUUCUAGAGGUUGGAUUUCACUCAAAACCUACCAGAUGACUCCUCCCACAAUAUUAUGAAGUUCCCCAAGGUUUGGACUCAAUUCGAUAUCGAUUGGUCCACGAAAUUGGACAAUUUAGGUUCGUACAAAGUUCGUUCUGAAAUUGAGUGGUUGGUGUAAUGCAUAGUUUUUAGAGAUUGGAUUUCGCUCAAAACUCACCAAACACUAUAAGAAAAAACCCUUUACUAACUGCUAAAAAGCAUCACUAUAGCCAUUACAUGGCGGUUCCAAAAGUGUCAGGGACCCCAUUGUCAGGAAUGGGUGCCACCAUACUUGACGCUUAUUAUCCCGCAAGAAAUAGUGUUUCCUGACCGGUACAAAGCGUCACGAAUUAGUGAAAAAUCAUCAACGAAAGCUUUUCUUGUCGCUGAAUAAGUAUCAACAAAUAUAUUUGCUGACAUUUAAUAAAUAUUUCUUGACGGUUCUUAGCUGUCAAGAGUUGUAUAACUAAAAAAAAAUUAAAAAUUAAAAACAAAAAAAAAGCUUCCUAGACAACUAAAAUUUCAAAGAAUUUAGAAGCUAAAUGAAUGUAUUAAAAAAAUAAUAAGCUGAAAUUUAAUAUCCACUAAAAUAGAAUAUUUAGAUACAAACAUUCAAAAACUCAUACUAAUAUGUCAACUAUCUUGAGAAAUGAUAUUAAAAAAAUAUUUUAAAAAAAAUUACACUGAAAACAAUACAUGCUGAAAUAAACCAAACUAUCCAGUAUAGUAAAACGUAGAACUUCUAACUUAGAAGCUUGACUUUCCAUAGCACUUGUCUUUGUAGUUUAAGCCUCCAUGUACACAUCAAUCUGCCAGUAUAGGUAAGACAUUAAUUUAAAGAAUUAAGAGAUACAACCAAUGAACACAUCAACCUUGUCCAACACCAAUAGAGUCCAAUAUCAUUCACAUAUUCAUUACCAAAUAUAAAUGCCACUUCUUUUGAUUCAAAUGCAGAGAAGAACUUGAGAGGAAACUCCAAUUUGUGUUGUUUAGAAAGUUAUUAAAACUGGAUGAAACUCAAAUAGCUCCAUCUAAAACUGGAUGACCAAGAAAAAAAUAAUAAGCAUCACCAUUACCACACUCUUCAACUUACAAUGGAGGAAGAGAGACUGAGCGAGGGGUGAGUGACCCACUGAUAGAGCACGAACUAGCCACAGCGACAGAGAAAGAGAGGCAGAGCAAGAGUGAAAAAGAAAGAGCAAAAGAGGACAGAAAUUGAAAGAGUGAGAAGGAACGAGAGAAGAGACAGAGAGAGAGCGAUAAUGAAAAUGGAAGUGAGAGAAUGAGAGUGCAACUGAGAAAGAGAGAGAGCUUUUGAAAAAUUGGGGUUUCACUCGUGAAAAAUCAGAUCCCGCUUUUGUUUUUAUUCAGGUUUGUAUGAAGUUCGUUAUGAAAUGGAGUGGUUGGUGUUUUGCAUAGUUUUAGCCAUUGGAUUUCACUCAAAACUCACCAAAUGACUCCUCCCACCAUAUUAUGAUGUUCCCCACGUUUUGGACUCAAUUCGAUAUCAAUUGGUUCAAAAAUCGGACAAUUCAGGUUUGUACGACAUUCGUUCUGAAAUGGAGUGGUUGGUGUAUAUAGUUCCAGAGAUUGGAUUUCACUCAAAACCCACCAAAGGAGUCCUCCCACAAUAUUAUAAUGUUCCCCAAGUUUUGGACUCAAUCCCAAAUCGAUUGGUCCACGAAAUUGGACAAUUAAGGUUCGUACGAAGUUCGUUAUGUAAUAAAGUCGUUGGUGUAUUGCAUAGUUUUAGCCAUUGCAUUUCACAUAAAACUCACCAAAUGACUCCUCCCACCAUAUUACAGUGUCCCCCAAGUUUUUGACUCAAUCCGAUCUCGAUUGGUCAAUGAAAUCAGACAAUUGAGAUUCGUACGAAGUUCGUUCUGAAAUGGAGUGGUUGGUGUAUUGUAUAGUUCUAGAGAUUGGAUUUCACUCAAAACCCACCAAAUGACUCGUCCCAUAAUAUUAUGAUGUUCCCCAAGUUUUGGACUCAAUCUCAUAUCGAUUGGUCCAUGAGAUCGGCCAAUUUAUGUUCGUACGAAGUUCGUUCGCUAACGGAGUGGUUGGUGUAUUGCAUAGUUUUGGCAAUUGGAUUGUACUCAAAACUCACCAAAUGACUCCUCCCACAACAUUAUGAUGUUCCCCAAGUUUGGGACUCAAUCCGAUAUCAAUUGGUCCCAGAAAUUGGACAAUUCCGGUUCGUACGAAGUUUGUUAUGAAAUGGAGUGGUUGGUGUAUUGCAUAGUUUUAGCCAUUGGAUUUCACUCAAAACUCACCAAAUGACUCCUCCCACCAUAUUAGGUGUCCCCCAAGUUUUUGACUCAAUCCGAUAUCACUUGGUCAAUGAAAUCGGACAAUUCAGGUUCGUACAAAGUUCGUUAUGAAAUGGAGAGGUUGGUGUAUUGUAUAGAUCUAGAUAUUGGAUUUCACUCAAAAUCCACCAAAUGACUCCUCCCACAAUAUUGUCAUGUUCCUCAAGUUUUGGAUGCAAUCCGAUAUCGAUUGGUCCAUGAAAUUGGACAAUUCAAGUUCGUAUGAAGUUCGUUCUGAAAUAAAGAGGUUGGUGUAUUCUAUAGUUCUAGAGAUUGGAUUUCAUUCAAACCUACCAAAUGACUCCUCCGAAAAUAUUAUGAUGUUCCCCAAGUUUUGGACUCAAUCCGAUAUUGAUUGGUCCAUGAAAUUGGACAAUUAAGGUUCGUACGAAGUUCGUUAUGAAAUGGAAUGGUUGGUGUAUUGCAUAGUUUUAGGCAUUGGAUUUCACUCAAAACUCAGCAAAUGACUCCUCCCACAACAUUAUGAUGUUCUCCAAGUAUUGGACUCAAUCUGAUAUUGAUUGGUCCAUGAAAUCGGACAAUUCAGGUUCGUACGAAGUUCGUUAUGAAAUGGAGUGGUUGGUGUAUUGCAUAGUUUAGCCAUUGGAUUUCACUCAAAACUCACCAAAUGACUCCUCCCAUCAUAUUACGGUGUCCCCCAAGUUCUUGACUCAAACCGAUAUCGAUUGGCCAAUGAAAUCGGACAAUUCAGGUUCGUACGAAGUUUGUUAUGAAAUGGAGUGGUUGGUGUAUUGUAUAGUUCUAGAGAUUGGAUUUCACUUAAAACCCAGCAAAUGACUCCUCCCACAAUAUUAUGAUGUUCCCCAAGUUUUGUACGCAAUCCGAUAUGGAUUGGUCCAUGAAAUUGGACAGUUCAAGUUCGUAUGAAGUGUGUUCUGAAAUGAAGUGGUUGGUGUAUUCUAUACUUCCAAAGAUUGGAUUUCACUCAAAACCAACCAAAUGACUCUUCCCACAAUUUCAUGGUGUUCCCCAAGUUUUGGAUGCAAUCCGAUAUCGAUGGGUCCAUGAAAUUGGACAAUUCAAGUUCGUACAAAGUUCGUCCUGAAAUAAAGUGGUUGGUGUAUUCUAUAGUUCUAGAGAUUGGAUUUCAUUCAAAACCCACCAAAUGACUCCUCCGACAAUAUUAUGAUGUUCCCCAAGUUUUGUACUCAAUUCGAUAUCGAUUUGUCCUUGAAAUUGGUCAACUAAGGUUCGUACGAAGUUCGUUAUGAAAUGGAGUGGUUGGUUUAUUGCAUAGUUUUAGCCAUUGGAUUUCACUCAAAACUCACCAAAUGACUCCUCCCACCAUAUUAUGAUGUCCCCCAAGUUUUGGAGUCAUUCCGAUAUCGAUUGGUCCAUGAAAUCGGACAAUUCAGAUUCGUACGAAGUUUGUUCUAAAAUGGAGUGGUUCGUGAAUUGCAUAAUAUUUGGAAUUGGAUUUCUCAAAACUCACAAAAUGACUUCUCCCACAACAUUAUGAAGUUCCCCAAGUUUUGGACUCAAUCGGAUAUCGAUUGGUCCAUCAAAAUCGGACAAUUCCGGUUCGUAUGAAGUUCGUCAUGAAAUGAUGGGGUUGGUGUAUUGCAUUAUUUUAACCAUUAGAUUUCACCCAACACACAUCAAAUGAAUCCUCCCACAAUAUGAUGAUGUUCACCAAGUUUUGGACUCAAUCCGAUAUCGAUUGGUCCUUGAAAUUGGACAAUUAAGGUUCGUACGAAGUUCGUUCUGAAAUGGAGUGGUUGGUGUAUUGCAUAGUUUGAGACAUUGGAUUUCACUCAAAAUACACCAAAUGACUCCUCCCACUAUAUUAUGAUAUUCCCCAAGUUUUGGACUUAAUCCGUUAUCGGUUGUUCCAUGAAAUCGUACAAUUCAAGUUCGUACGAAGUUCGUUUUGAAAUGGAGUGGCUGGUGUAUUGCACUGUUUUAGCCACUGGAUUUCAGACUCAAUCCGAUAUCGAUUGGUCCACGAAAUAGGACAAUUCAAAUUCGUACGAAGUUCAUUCUGAAAUGGAGUGGUUGGUGUAUUGCAAUGUUUUAGCCAUUGGAAUUCACUCAAAACUGAAAAAUGACUCCUCCCACAACAUUAUGAUGUUCCCCAAGUUUUGGACUCAAGUCGAUAUCGAUUGGUCCAUCAAAUCGGACAAUUCAGGUUCGUACGAAGUUCGUUCUGAAAUGAUGUGGUCGGUGUAUUGCAUAGUUUUAGUGAUUGGAUUUCGCUGAAAACUCACCAUAUGACUCCUCCCACCAUAUUAUGAUGUUCCCCUAGUUUUGGACUCAAUCUCAUAUCGAUUGGUCCAUGUAAUUGGACAAUUCAGGUUCGUACGAAGUUCGUUCUGAAAUGGAGUGGUUGGUGUAUUGUAUAGUUCUAGAGAUUGGAUUUCACUAAAAACCACCAAAUGACACCUCCCACAAUAUUAUGAUGUUCCCCAAGUUUUGAACUCAAUCCGAUAUAGAUUGGUCCAUGAAAUUGGACAAUUCAGGUUCAUACGAGGUUCGUUCUGAAUUGGAGUGGUUGAUGGAUUACAUAGUUUUAGUGAUUGGAUUUCGCUCAAAACUCACCAUAUGACUCCUCCCACCAUAUUAUGAUAUUCCCCAAGUUUUGGGCUCAAUCAGAUUUUGAUUGGUCCAAGAAAUUGGACUAUUCAUGUUCGUACGAAGUUCGUUCUCUACUAGAGUGGUUGGUGUAUUAUAUAGUUCUAGAGAUCGGAUUUCACUCAAACCCCACGAAAUGACUCGUCCCACAAUAUUAUGUCGUUCCCGAAGUUUUGGACUCAAUCCGAUAUCGAUUGGGCCAUGAAAUCGAACAAUUUAGGUUCGUGCGAUGUUCGUUAUGAAAUGGAGUGGUUGGUGUAUUGCAUAGUUUUAGCAAUUGGAUUUCGCUCAAAACUCACCAUACGACUCCUCCCACCAUAAUAUGAUGUUCCCCAAGUUUUAGGCUCAAUCAGAUAUUAAUUGGUCCAAGAAAUUGGACUAUUUAUGUUCAUACGAAGUUCGUUCUCCAUUGGAGUGGUUGGUGUAUUAAAUUGUUCUGGAGAUUGGAUUUCACUCAUUACCCACCGAAUGACUACUCCCACAAUAUUAUGAUGUUCCCCAGGUUUUGGACUCAAUCGUAUAUCGAUUAUUCCACGAAAUUGGACUAUUCAUGUUCGUACGAAAUUCGUUCUCUAAUGGAGUGGUUGGUGUAUUUCUUAGUUUUUACUAUUGUAUUUCACCCAAGAGCACCCCAAAUGACUCCUCCCAUUAUAUGAUGAUGUCGCCCAAGUUUUAGACUCAAUCCGAUAUCGAUUGGUCCAUGAAAUUGGACAAUUCAGGUUCGUACGAAGUUCAUUCUGAAAUGGAGUGGUUGGUGUAUUGUAUAGUUCUAGAGAUUUGAUUUUACUCAAAACCCACCAAAUGACUUCUCCCACAAUAUUAUGAUGUUCCACAAGUUUUCGACUAAAUCCGAUAUCAAUUGGUCGAUGAAAUGGGACAAUUCAGGUUCGUACGAAGUUCAUUCUAAAAUGGAGUGGUUGGUGUAUUAUAUAGUUCUAGAGAUUGGAUUUCACUCAAAACCCACCGAAUGAAUCCUCCCACUAUAUUACGAUCUUCCUCAUGUUUUCGACUCAAUCCCAUAUCGAUUGGCCCACAAAAUUGGACAAUUCAGGUUUGUAUAAAGUUCGUUCUGAAAUAGAGUGGUUGGUGUACUGCAUAGUUCUAGAGAUUGGAUUUCACUUAAAACCUACCAAAUGACUCCUUAUUCAACAUUAUGAUUUUUCCCAAGUUCUGAACUCAAUCCGAUAUCGAUUGGUCCAUGAAAUCGGACAAUUCAGUUCGUACGAAGUUCAUUUUGGAAUGGGAUGAUUGGUGUAUUGCAUUGUUUAGCCAUUGGAUUUCACUCAAAACUCACAAAUGACUACUCCCACAACAUUAUGAUGUUCCCCAAGUUUUGGACUCAUCCGAUAUCGAUUGGUCCACGAAAUUCGACAAUUCAGGUUCGUACAAACCUGUGCUCUAGAAUAGAGAGGUUGGUUAUUGCGAAGUUUACUCAUUGGAUUUCGCUCAAAACUCACCAUAUGACUCCUCCCACUAUAUUAUGAUGUUCCUCAAGUUUUGGACUCAAUCCGAUAUCGAUUGGUUCAAGAAAUUGGACUAUUCAUUUUCGAACGAAGUUCGUUCUCUAAUGGAGUGGUUGGUGUAUUAUAUAGUUCUAGUGAUUGGAUUUCACUCAAAACCCCCCAAAUUAUGCCUCCCACAAUCUUAUGAUAUUCCCCAAGUUUUGGACUCAAUCCGAUAUCUAUUGGUCCUUGAAAUUGGAAAAUUCAGGUUCGUACGAAGUUCGUUCUGAAAUGGAGUGGUUGGUGUAUUGUAUAGUUCUAGAGAUUGUAUUUCACUCAAAAUCCACCAAAUGACCCUUCCCAUUAUAUUAUGACAUUCCCCAACUCAAUCCGAUAUCGAUUGGUCCACGAAAUCGAACAAUUCACGUUCGUAUGAACUGUGUUCUGAAAUGGAGAGGUUGGUGUAUUGCUUAGUUUUACUCAUUGGAUUUAGCUCAAAACUCACCAUAUGACUCCUCCUACCAUAUUAUGAUGUUCCCCAAGUUUUGGGCUCUAUUCGAUGUCAAUUGGUCCAAGAAAUUGGACUAUUCAUUUUCGUACGAAGUUCGUUCUCUAAUAGAGUGGUUGAUGUAUUGCAUAAUUUUGGCAAUUGGAUUUCACUCAAAACUCACCAAAUGACUCCUGCCACAACAUUAUGACGUUCCCCAAGUUUUGGACUCAAUACGAUAUCUUUUGGUGCANNNNNNNNNNNNNNNNNNNNNNNNNNNNNNNNNNNNNNNNNNNNNNNNNNNNNNNNNNNNNNNNNNNNNNNNNNNNNNNNNNNNNNNNNNNNNNNNNNNNNNNNNNNNNNNNNNNNNNNNNNNNNNNNNNNNNNNNNNNNNNNNNNNNNNNNNNNNNNNNNNNNNNNNNNNNNNNNNNNNNNNNNNNNNNNNNNNNNNNNNNNNNNNNNNNNNNNNNNNNNNNNNNNUAUAGUUCGUCCCAAAGUUUCGUAUCUAAUAUCGACACGAUGGUCACCGAAAUUGACAUUCAUUUUCCCUCCCACUUUUGUUCUAAAAGGAGUGGUAGUGUAUUGCUAGUUUGGAGAUUGGUUUCACUCCAAACCCCACCAAUGACUCCUCCCACAAUAUUUGAUGUUCCCCAAGUUUGGACUCAAAUCCGAUAUCGAUUGGUGCACGAAAUUUGACAAAUUCAGGUUCGUACGAAGUUUGUUAUGAAAUGCAGUGGUUGGUAUAUUAUAUAGUUCAACAGAUUUGAUUCACUCAAAACCCACCAAAUGACUCCUCCCAUAAUAUUAUUAUAUUCCCCAAGUUUUGGACCCAAUCCGAUAUCGAUUGGUCCAUGAAAUUGGACAAUUCAGGUUCGUACGAUGUUUGAGACUCAAUCCGACAUCAAUUGGUCCAUGAAAUUGGACAAUUCCGGUUCGUACGAAGUUCGUUAUGAAAUGGAGUGGUUGGUGUAUUGCAUAGUUUUAGACAUUGAAUUUCGUUCAAAACUCACCAUAUGACUCCACCCACCAUAUUAUGAUGUUCACCAAGUUUUUAGCCCAAUCCGAUAUUGAUUGGUUAAUGAAAUUGAACUGUUCGUGUUCGUACGAAGUUCGUUCUCUAAUGGAUUGGUUGGUGUAUUGUAUAGUUUUGGCAAUUGGAUUUCACUUAAAAAUCAACAACUAUAUUAUGAUGUUCCCCAAGUUUUGGACUCAGUCCGAUAUCGAUUGGUCCAUGAAAUUGGACAAUUCAGGUUCGUACGAAGUUCGUUCAGAAAUGAAGUGGUUGAUGUAUUGUAUAGUUAUAGAGAUUGGAUUUCAUUCAAAACUCACCAAAUGACUCGUCCCACAACAUUAUGAUGUUCCCCAAGUUUGGGAUUCAAUCAGACAUGAAUUGGUCCAAGAAAUUGGGCAAUUCAGGUUGGUACGAAGUUCAUUCUGAAAUGGAGUGGUUGGUGUAUUGCAUAGUUUUAGCCAUUGGAUUUCGCUCAAAACUCAUCAUAUGACUCCUCCGACCAUAUUAUGAUGAUCUCCAAGUUUUGGGCUCAAUCCGGUAUCGAUUGGUCCAAGAAAUUAUACUAUUCAUGUUCGUGCGAAGUUCGUUAUGAAAUGGAGUGGUUGGUGUGUUGCAUAGUUGUGGAAAUUGUAUUUCGCUCAAAACCCACCAAAUGACUCCUCCCACUAUAUUAUGUUGUUCCCCAAGUUUUGGACUCAAUCCGAUAUCGAUUGGCCCAAGAAAUUGGACAAUUAAGGUUCGUGUGAAGUUCCUUUUGAAAUGGAGCGGUUGGUGUAUUGCUUAGUUCUAGAGAUUGGAUUUCACUCAAAACCCACCAAAUGACACCUCCCGCCAUAUUAUGAUGUUCCCCAAGUUUUGGACUUAAUUCGAUAUCAAUUGGUCCAUGGAAUUGGAAAAUUCUGGUUCGUAUGAAGUUCGUUCUGAAAUGGAGUGGUUGGUGUAUUGGAUAGUUCUAGAGAUUUUAUUUCACUCAAAACCCACCAAAUGACUCCUCCAACAAUAUGAUGAUGUUCCCCAAGUUUGGGACUCAAUCCGAUAUCGAUUGGUCCAUGAAAUUGGACAAUUCAGGUUCGUACGAAGUUUGCUCUGAAAUGGAGUGGUUGGUGUAUUGCCUAGUUUUAGCCAUUGGAUUUCACUCAAAACUCACCAUAUGACUCCUCCCACCAUAUUAUGACGUUCUCCAUGUUUUGGACUCAAUCCGAUAUCGAUUUGUCCUUGAAAUUGGACAAUUCAGGUUUGUACGAAAUUCGUUCUGAAAUGGAGUGAUUUUUGUAUUGCAUAGUUUUAGCCAUUGGAUUUCGCUCAAAACUCACCAUAUAACUCCACCCACCAUAUUAUGAUGUUCCCCAAGUUUUGAGCCUAAUCCGAUAUUGAUUGGUUAAUGAAAUUGAACUAUUCGUGUUCUUACGAAGUUCGUUCUCUAAUGGAGUGGUUGGUGUUUUGCAUAGGUUUCGCUAUUGAAUUUCACUCAAAACCCACCAAAUGACUCUUCCCACAAUAUUAUGAUGUUCCCAAAGUUUUGGACUCAAUCCGAUAUCGAUUGGUCCAUGAAAUCGGAUAAUUCAGGUUCGUACGAUGUUCGUUCUGAAAAUGAGUGGUUAAUGUAUUGCAUAGUUUUAGCCAUUGGGUUUCGCUUAAAACGUACCAAAUGAAUCCUCCAACUAUAUUAUGAUGUUCCUCAAGUUUUGGACUCAAUCAGAUCUCAAUUGGUCCAUGAAAUUGGACUAUUCAGGUUCGUAUGAAGUUCGUUAUGAAAUGGAGUGGUUGGUGUAGUGCAUUGUUAUAGAGAUUGGAUUUCACUGAAAACUCACCAAAUGACUCGUCCCACAACAUUAUGAAGUUCCCCAAGUUUGGGACUGAAUCCGACAUUGAUUGGUCCAUGAAAUUGGACAAUUUAGGUUCGUAUGAAGUUCGUUCUGAAAUGGAGUGGUUGGUUUAUUGCAAACUUUUAGCGAUUGGAUUUCACUCAAAACUCACCGUAUGACUCCUCCCACCAUAUUAUGAUGAUCCCCAAGUUUGGUACUCAAUCCGACAUCGAUUGUUCUAUGAAAUUGGACAAUUCAGGUUCGUACGAAGUUUGUUCUGAAUGGAGUGGUUGGUGUGUUGUAUAGUUGUAGCCAUUGGAUUUCAAUCAAAAGUCACUAUGACUCCUCCCACCAUAUUAUGCUGUUCUCCAAGUUUUGGGCUCAAUCCGGUAUCGAUUGGUCCAAGAAAUUAUACUAUUCAUGUUCGUGCGAAGUUCGUUAUGAAAUGGAGUGGUUAGUGUUUUACAUAGUUAUAGCCAUUGGAUUUCACUCAACAGUCACCGUAUGAAUCCUCCCACAACAUUAUGAUGAUCCCCAAGUUUUGGACUCAAUCCGAUAUCGAUUGGUCCAUGAAAUUGGACAAUUCAGGUUCAUACGAAGUUCGUUCUGAAAUGGAGUGGUUGGUGUAUUGUAUAGUUCUAUAGAUUAGAUUUCACUCAAAAAUCACCAAAUGACUCCUACAAUAUUAUGAUGUUCCCCAAGUUUUGGACUCAAUCCGAUAUCGAUUGGUCCUUGAAAUCGGACAAUUCAGGUUCGUACGAAGUUCGUUCUGAAAUGGGGUGAUUGGUGUAUUUUAUAGUUCUAGAGAUUGGAUUUCACUCAAAACUCACCAAAUGACUCCUCCCACCACAUUAUGAUGAUCCCCAAGUUUUGGACUCAAUCCGAUAUCGAUUGGUCCAUGAAAUUGGACAAUUCAGGUUCGUACGAAGUUCGUUCUGAAAUGGGGUGGUUGAUGUAUUGUAUAGUUCUAUAGAUUGGAUUUCACUCAAAAAUCACCAAAUGACUCCCACAAUAUUAUAAUGUUCCCCAAGUUUUGGACUCAAUCCGAUAUCGAUUGGUCCUUGAAAUCGGACAAUUCAGGUUCAUACGAAGUUCGUUCUGAAAUGGGGUGAUUGGUGUAUUGUAUAGUUCUAGAGAUUGGAUUUCACUCAAAACCCACCAAAUGACUCCUCCCACAGUGCUAUGAUGUUCCCCAAGUUUUGGACUCAAUCCGAUAUCGAUUGGUCCACGAAAUUUCACAAUUCAGAUUCGUACGACGUUUGUUCUAAAACGCAGCGGUUGGUGUAUUGUAUAGUUCUAGGGAUUCGAUUUCACUGAAAACACACCAAAUGACUCCCCCCACAAUAUUACGAUAUUCCCCAAGUUUUGGACUCAAUCCAAUAUCGAUUGGUCCAUGAGAUCGGCCAAUUCAGGUUUCUAUGAACUGUUUUCUGAAAUGGAGUGGUUGGUGUAUUGUAUAGUUCUAGAGAUUGGAUUUCACUCAAAACCCACCAACGGACUCCUCCCACAAUAUGAUGAUGUUCCCCAAGUUUUGGACUCAAUCUGAUAUCGAUUGGUCUUUGAAAUCGGAUAAUUCAGGUUCGUACGAAGUUCGUUCUAAAAUGGGGUGAUUUGUGUAUUGUAUAGUUCUAGAGAUUGGAUUUCACUCAAAACCCACCAAAUGACUCCUCCCACAAUGCUAUGAUGUUCCCCACGUUUUGGACUCAAUCCGAUAUCGAUUGGUCCACGAAAUUUGAGAAUUCAGGUUCGUACGAAGUUUGUUCUAAAAUGGAGUAGUUGGUGUAUUGUAUAGUUCUAGAGAUUGGAUUUGACUCAAAACCCACCAAAUGACUUCUCCCACAAUAGUAUGAAGUUCCCCAAGUUUUGAAAUCAAUCCGAUAUCGAUUGGUCAAUGAAAUCGGACAAUUCAGGUUCGUACGAAGUUCGUUCUGAAAUGGGGUGGUUGGUGUAUUGUAUAGUUCUAGAGAUUGGAUUUCACCAAAACCCACCAAAUGACUCCUACCACAAUACAAUGAUGUUCCCCAAGUUUUGGACUCAAUCCCAUAUCGAUUGUUCCACGAAAUUUGACAGUUCAGGUUCGUACGAAGUUCGUUUUGAAAUGGAGUGGUUGGUGCAUUGUAUAGUUCUAGGGAUUGGAUUUCAGUCAACACACACCAAAUGACUCCUCCCACAGUAUUAUGUUGUUCCCCAAAUUUUGGACUCAAUCCGAUAUCUAUUGGUCCAUGAAAUCGGCCAAUUCAGGUUCGUGUGAACUGUGUUAGGAAAUGGAGUGGUUGGUGUAUUCUAUAGUUCUAGAGAUUGGAUUUCACUCAAAAAUCAACAAAUGACUCCCCCCACAGUAUUAUGAUGUUCCCCAAGUUUUGGACUCUAUCCGAUAUCAAUUGGUCCACGAAAUUUGACAAUUUAGGUUCUUACGAAGUACUUUCGAAAUGGAGUGGUUGGUGUCUUGUAUAGUUCUUGGGAUUGGAUUUCACUCAAAUCCCACCACCUGACUCCUCCCACAAUAUUUUGAUGUUCCCCAAGUUUUGGACUCAAUCUAAUAUCGAUUGGUCUAUGAAGUUGGACAAUUGAGGUUCGUACGAAGUACGUUCUGAAGUGCAGUGGUUGGUGUAUUGCAUGGUUCUAUGGAUUGGAUUUCACUCAAAACCCACCAAAUGACUCCUCCCACUAUAUUAUGAUGUUCCCCAAAUUUUGGAAUCAAACCGAUAUCGAUUGGUCCAUGAAAUUGGACAAUUCAGGUUCGUACGAAGUUCAUUCUGAAAUGGAGUGGUUGGUGUAUUGUAUAGUUCUAGAGAUUUGAUUUUACUCAAAACCCACCAAAUGACUUCUCCCACAAUAUUAUGAUGUUCCACAAGUUUUCGACUAAAUCCGAUAUCAAUUGGUCUAUGAAAUGGGACAAUUCAGGUUCGUACAAAGUUCGUUCUAAAAUGGAGUGGUUGGUGUAUUAUAUAGUUCUAGAGAUUGGAUUUCACUCAAAACCCACCGAAUGAAUCCUCCCACUAUAUUACGAUCUUCCUCAUGUUUUCGACUCAAUCCCAUAUCGAUUGACCCACAAAAUUGGACAAUUCAGGUUUGUAUAAAGUUCAUUCUGAAAUAGAGUGGUUGGUGUACUGCAUAGUUCUAGAGAUUGGAUUUCACUUAAAACCUACCAAAUGACUCCUUAUUCAACAUUAUGAUUUUCCCCAAGUUCUGGACUCAAUCCGAUAUCGACUGGUCCAUGAAAUCGGACAAUUCAGGUUCGUACGAAGUUCAUUUUGGAAUGGGAUGGUUGGUGUAUUGCAUUGUUUAGCCAUUGGAUUUCACUCAAAACUCACAAAAUGACUACUCCCACAACAUUAUGAUGUUCCCCAAGUUGUGGACUCAAUCCGGUAUCGAUUGGUCCAUGAAAUCGAACAAUUCACGUUCAUACGAACCGUGCUCUAGAAUAGAGAGGUUGGUUUAUUGCGAAGUUUUACUCAUUGGAUUUCGCUCAAAACUCACCAUAUGACUCCUCCCACUAUAUUAUGAUGUUCCUCAAGUUUUGGACUCAAUCCGAUAUCGAUUGGUUCAAGAAAUUGGACUAUUCAUUUUCGAACGAAGUUCGUUCUCUAAUGGAGUGGUUGGUGUAUUAUAUAGUUCUAGUGAUUGGAUUUCACUCAAAACCCCCCAAAUUAUGCCUCCCACAAUCUUAUGAUAUUCCCCAAGUUUUGGACUCAAUCCGAUAUCUAUUGGUCCUUGAAAUUGGAAAAUUCAGGUUCGUACGAAGUUCGUUCUGAAAUGGAGUGGUUGGUGUAUUGUAUAGUUCUAGAGAUUGUAUUUCACUCAAAAUCCACCAAAUGACCCUUCCCAUUAUAUUAUGACAUUCCCCAACUCAAUCCGAUAUCGAUUGGUCCACGAAAUCGAACAAUUCACGUUCGUAUGAACUGUGUUCUGAAAUGGAGAGGUUGGUGUAUUGCUUAGUUUUACUCAUUGGAUUUAGCUCAAAACUCACCAUAUGACUCCUCCUACCAUAUUAUGAUGUUCCCCAAGUUUUGGGCUCUAUUCGAUGUCAAUUGGUCCAAGAAAUUGGACUAUUCAUUUUCGUACGAAGUUCGUUCUCUAAUAGAGUGGUUGAUGUAUUGCAUAAUUUUGGCAAUUGGAUUUCACUCAAAACUCACCAAAUGACUCCUGCCACAACAUUAUGACGUUCCCCAAGUUUUGGACUCAAUACGAUAUCUUUUGGUGCAUGAAAUCGGACAAUUCAGGUUUGUACGAAGUUCGUUCUGAAAUGGAGUGGUUGGUGUACUGCAUAGUUUUGGAAAUUGGAUUUCACUCAAAACCCACCAAAUGCCUCCUCCCACAAUAUUAUGAUGUUCCCUAAGUUUUGGACUCAAUCUGUUAUCGAUCGGUCCAUGAAAUCGGACAAUUCAGGUUCGUACGAAGUUCGUUCUGAAAUUUAGCGGUUGGUGUAUUGUAUAGUUCGAGAGAUUGGAUUUCACUCAAAACCCGCGAAAUGACUCCUCCCACAAUAUUAUGAUGUUCUGAAAUGGAGUGGUUGGUGUAUUGUAUAGUUGUCGAGAUUGGAUUUCACUCAAAAUCCACCAAAUGACUCCUCCCACAAUAUUAUGGUGUUCCCAAGUUUUGGACUCAAUCCGAUAUCGAUUGGUCCUUGUAAUGGGACAAUUCAGGUUUGUACGAAGUUCGUUCUGAAAUGGAGUGGUUGGUGUAUUGUACAGUUCUAGAGAAUGGAUUUCACUCAAAAUCCACCAACUGACUACUCCCACAAUAUUAUGAUGUUCCCCAAGUUUUGGACUCAAUCCGAUAUCGAUUGUUCCUUGUAAUCGGACAAUUCAGGUUCGUACAAAAUUCGUUCUGAAAUGGUGUGGCUGAGGUAUUGUAUAGUUUUAGAGAUUGGAUUUCACUCAAAAAUCACCAGAUGACUCCUCGCACAAUAUUUUGAUGUUCCCCAAGUUUUGGACUCAUUCCGAUAUUGAUUGGUCACCGAAAUUUGACAAUUUAGGUUCGUACAAAGUUCGUUAUGAAAUGGAGUGGUUGGUGUAUUGUAUAGUUGUUGGGAUUGGAUUUCACUCAAAACCAACCAAACGAUUCGUCCCACAAUAUUAUGAUGUUCCCCAAGUUUUGGACUCAAUCCGAUAUCGAUUGGUCCUUGAAAUCGGACAAUUCAUGUUCCUACGAAGUUCUUUCUGAAAUGGGGUGGUUGGUGUAUUGUAUAGUUCUAGGGAUUGGAUUUCGUUCAAAACCCACCAAAUGACAAUUUCCACAAUGUUAUGAUGUUCCGCAAGUUUUGGACUCAAUCCGAUAUCUAUUGGUCCUUCAAAUCGGACAAUUUAGGUUCAGACGAAGUUCGUUUGGAAAUGGGGUGGUUGGUGUAUUGUAUAGUUCUAGAGAUUGGAUUUCACUCAAAACCCUCCAAAUGACUCGUCCCACAAUAUUAUAAUGUUCCCCAAGUUUUGGACUCAAUCCGUGACCGAUUGGACCACGAAAUUUGACAAUUCAGGUUCGUACGAAGUUCGUUCUGAAAUGGAGUGGUUGGUGUACUGUAUAGUUCUAGGGAUUGGAUUUCACUCAAAACCCUCCAAAUGACUCGUCCCACAAUAUUAUAAUGUUCCCCAAGUUUUGGACUCAAUCCGUGACCUAUUGGACCACGAAAUUUGACAAUUCAGGUUCGUACGAAGUUCGUUCUGAAAUGGAGUGGUUAGUGUACUGUAUAGUUCUAGGGAUGGGAUUUCACUCAAAACCCACCAAAUGACUCCUCCCACAAUAUUAUGAUGUUCCCCAAGUUUUGGACUCAAUCUGAUAUCGAUUGGUCCAUGAAAUCUGACAAUUCAGGUUCGUACGAAAUUCGUUCUAAAAUGGAGUGGGUGGUGUAUUGCAUAGUUCUAGGGAUUGAAUUUCGCUCAAAACCCACCAAAUGACAACUCCCACAAUAUUAUGAUGUUCCCCAAGUUUUGGACGCAAUCCGAUGUCGAUUCAUCCUUGAAAUCGGACAAUUCAGGUUCGUACGAAGUUCGUUCUGAAAUGUGGUGGUUGGUGUAUUGUAUAGUUUAGAGAUUGGAUUUCUCUCAAAACCCACCAAAUGACUCCUCCUACAAUAUUACGAUGUUAUCCAGGUUUUGUACUCAAUCCGAUAUCGAUUGGUCCACGAAGUUUAACAAUUCAGGUUCUUACGAAGUUCAUUCUGAAAUGGAGUGGUUGGUGUAUUGUAUAGUUCUAGGGAUUGGAUUUCACUCAAACCCCACCAAAUGAAUUCUCCCACAAUAUCAUGUUGUUCCCCAUGUUUUGGACUCAAUCUGAUAUCGAUUGGUCCUUGAAAUCGGACAAUUCAGGUUCUUACGAAGUUCGUUCUGAAAUGAAGCGGUUGGUGUAUUGUAUAGUUCUAGUGAUUGGGUUUCACUCGAAAAUCACCAAAUGACUCCUCCCACAUUAUUAUGAUGUUCCCCAAGUUUUGGACACAAUCCGAUAUCGAUUGGUCAAUCAAAUCGGACAAUUCACGUUCGUACGAACUUUGUUCUGGAAUGGAGUGGUUGGUUUAUUGUACAGUUCUAGGGAUUGGACUUCACUCAAAACUCACAAAAUGACUUCUCCCGCAAUAUUAUGAUGUUCCCCAAGUUUUGGACUCAAUUCGAUAUCGAUUUGUCCAUGAAAUCGGACAAUUCAAGUUCGUACGAAGUUCAUUCUGAAACGAGGUGGUUGGUGUAUAGUUUAGUUCUAGACAUUGGAUUUCAAUCAAAACCCACCAAAUGACUCCUCCCACAAUAUUAUGAUGUUCCCCAAGUUUUGGACUCAAUCCGAUAUCGAUUGGUCCAGGAAAUUUGACAAUUCAGGUUCGUACGAAGUUCGUUCUAAAAUGUAGUGGUUGGUGUAUUGUAUCGUUCUAGGGAUUGGAUUUCACUCAAAACCCACCAAAUGACUCAUCCCACAAUAUUAUGAUGUUUUGGACUCAAUCCGAUAUCGAUUGGUCCAUGAAAUCAGACAAUUCCGGUUCGUACGAAGUUCGUCCUGAAAUGGAGUGGUUGGUUUAUUGUAUAGUUCUAGGGAUUGGAUUUCACUCAAAACCCAACAAAUGACAACUCCCACAAUAUUAUGAUGCUCCCCAAGUUUUGGAUUCAAUCCGAUAUCGAUUGGUCCUUGAAAUCGGACAAUUCAAGUUAGUACGAAGUUCGUUCUGAAAUGGGGUGGUCGGUGUAUAGUUUAGUUCUAGGCAUUGGAUUGCACUCAAAACCCACCAAGUGACUCCUCCGACAAUAUUAUGAUGUUCCCCAAGUUUUGGACUCAAUCCUAUAUCAAUUGGUCGACGAAAUUUGACAAUUCAGGUUCGUACGAAGUUCGUUCUGAAAUGGAGUGGUUGGUGUAUUGUACAGUUGUCGAGAUUGGAUUUCACUCAAAAUCCACCAAAUGACUCCUCCCACAAUAUUAUGGUGUUCCCAAGUUUUGGACUCAAUCCGAUAUCGAUUGGUCCUUGUAAUGGGACAAUUCAGGUUUGUACGAAGUUCGUUCUGAAAUGGAGUGGUUGGUGCAUUGUACAGUUCUAGAGAAUGUAUUUCACUCAAAAUCCACCAACUGACUACUCCCACAAUAUUAUGAUGUUCCCCAAGUUUUGGACUCAAUCCGAUAUCGAUUGUUCCUUGUAAUCGGACAAUUCAGGUUCGUACGAAAUUCAUUCUGAAAUGGUGUGGCUUAGGUAUUGUAUAGUUUUAGAGAUUGGAUUUCACUCAAAAAUCACCAGAUGACUCCUCGCACAAUAUUUUGAUGUUCCCCAAGUUUUGGACUCAUUCCAAUAUAGAUUGGUCACCGAAAUUUGACAAUUCAGGUUCGUACAAAGUUCGUUCUGAAAUAGAGUGGUUGGUGUAUUGUAUAGUUCUUGGGAUUGGAUUUCACUCAAAACCCACCAAACGAUUCGUCCCACAAUAUUAUGAUGUUCCCCAUGUUUUGGACUCAAUCCGAUAUCGAUUGGUCCUUGAAAUCGGACAAUUCAUGUUCCUACGAAGUUCGUUCUGAAACGAGGUGGUUGGUGUAUAGUUUAGUUCUAGACAUUGGAUUUCAAUCAAAACCCACCAAAUGACAACUUCCACAAUGUUAUGAUGUUCCGCAAGUCUGGGACUCAAUAUGAUAUCGAUUGGUCCUUCAAAUCGGACAAUUCAGGUUCGGACGAAGUUCGUUCUGAAAUGGGGUGGUUGGUGUAUUGUAUAGUUCUAGAGAUUGGAUUUCACUCCAAACCCUCCAAAUGACUCGCCCCACAAUAUUAUGGUGUUCCCCAAGUUUUGGACUCAAUCCGUGACCGAUUGGACCACGAAAUUUGACAAUUCAGGUUCGUACGAAGUUCGUUCUAAAAUAGAGUGGGUGGUGUAUUGUAUAGUUCUAGGGAUUGAAUUUCGCUCAAAACCCACCAAAUGACAACUCGCACAAUAUUAUAAUGUUCCCCAAGUUUUGGACACAAUCCGAUGUCGAUUCAACCUUGAAAUCGGACAAUUCAGGUUCGUACGAAGUUCGUUCUGAAAUGGGGUGGUUGGUGUAUUGUAUAGUUCUAGAGAUUGGAUUUCUUUCAAAACCCACCAAAUGACUCCUCCUACAAUAUUAUGAUGUUCCCCAGAUUUUGGACUCAAUCCGAUAUCGAUUGGUCCACGAAAUUUAACAAUUCAGGUUCUUACGAAGUUCGUUCUGAAAUGGAGUGGUUGGUGUAUUAUGUAGUUCUAGGGAUUGAAUUUCACUCAAAACCCACCAAAUGAAUCCUCCCACAAUAUCAUGAUGUUCCCCAAGUUUUGGACUCAAUCCGAUAUCGAUUGGUCCUUGAAAUCGGACAAUUCAGGUUCUUACGAAGUUCGUUCUGAAAUGGAGUGGUUGGUGUAUUGUAUAGUGCUUCAGAUUGGAUUUCACUCAAAACCCACGAAAUGACUCCGCCCACAAUAUUAUGAUGUUCCCCAGGUUUUGGACUCAAUCCGAUAUUGAUUGGUCCACGAAAUUUAACAAUUCAGGUUCAUACGAAGUUCGUUCUGAAAAGGAGUGGUUGGUGUAUUGUAUAGUUCUAGGCAUUGGAUUUCACUCAAAACCCACCAAAUGAAUCCUCCUACAAUAUUAUGAUGUUCACCAAGUUUUGGACUCAAUCCAAUAUCGACUGGUCCUUGAAAUUGAACAAUUCAGUUUCGUACGAAGUUCGUUUUGAUAUGGACUAAUUGGUGUAUUGUAUAGUGGUACAGAUUGGAUUUCACUGAAAACCCACCAAAUGACUCCUCCCAUAAUAUUAUGAUGUUCCCGAAGUUUUGGACACAAUCCGAUAUCCAUUGGUCAAUGAAAUCGGACAAUUCAAGUUCGUACGAAGUUCGUUCUGAAAUGGAGUGGUUGGUGUAUUGUAACGUUCUAGAUAUUGGAUUUCACUCAAAAUCCACCAAAUGACUCCUCCCACAAUAUUAUGAUGUUCCCCAAGUUUUGUACUCAAUCUGAUAUCGAUUAUUCCUUGUAAUCGGACAAUUGAAGUUCGUUAUGAAAUGGAGUGGCUGAUGUAUUGUAUAGUUCUAGAGAUUGGAUUUCACUCAAAAAUCACCAAAUGACUCCUCCCACAAUAUUAUGAUGUUGCCGAAGUUUUGGACUCAAUGAGAUUUCGAUUGGUCCAUGAAAUCAGACAAUUCAUGUUCGUACGAAGUUCGUUCUGAAAUGAAGUGGUUAGUGUAUUGCAUAGUUCUAGAGAUUGGAUUUCACUGAAAACCCACCAAAUGACUCCUCCCACAAUAUUAUGAUGUUCCCGAAGUUUUGGACACAAUCCGAUAUCCAUUGGUCAAUGAAAUCGGACAAUUCAAGUUCGUACGAAGUUCGUUCUGAAAUGGAGUGGUUGGUGUAUUGUAUAGUUCUAGAUAUUGGAUUUCACUCAAAAUCCACCAAAUGACUCCUCCCACAAUAUUAUGAUGUUCCCCAAGUUUUGGACUCAAUCUGAUAUCGAUUAUUCCUUGUAAUCGGACAAUUCAAGUUCGUUCUAAAGUGCAGUGGCUGAUGUAUUGUAUAGUUCUAGAGAUUGGAUUUCACUCAAAAAUCACCAAAUGACUCCUCCCACAAUAUUAUGAUGUUGCCGAAGUUUUGGACUCAAUCCGAUUUCGAUUGGUCCAUGAAAUUAGACAAUUCGGGUUCAUACGAAGUUCGUUCUGAAAUGGAGUGGUUGGUGUAUUGUAUAGUUCUAGGGAUUGGAUUUCACUCAAAACCCACCAAAUGACAAAUCCCACAAUAUCAUGAUGUUGCCCAAGUUUUGGACUCAAUCCGAUAUCGAUUGGUCCAUGAAAUGAGACAAUUCAGUUUCGUACGAAGUUCGUUCCGAAAUGGAGUGGUUGGUGUAUUGUAUAGUUCUAGAGAUUGGAUUUCACUCAAAACCCACCAAAUGGCUCCUCCCUUAAUAUUAUGAUGUUCCCCAAGUUUUGGACUCAAUCCCAUAUCUUUUGGUCAAUGAAAUCGGACAAUUCAGGUUUUGACGAAGUUCGUUCUGAAAUGGAGUGGUUGGUUUAUUGUAUAGUUCUAGGGAUUGGAUUUCACUCAAAACCCACCAAAUGACUCCUCCCACAAUAUUACUAUGUUCCCCAAGUUUUGGACUCUAUCCGAUAUCGAUUGGUCCUUGAAAUCGGAGAAUUCAGGUUCGUACGAAGUUCGUUCUGAAAUGGAGUGGUUGGUUUAUUGUAUAGUUCUAGGAAUUGGGUUUCACUCAAAACCCGCCAAAUGACAACUCCCACAAUAUUAUGAUGUUCCCCAAGUUUUGGACUCAAUCCGAUAUCGAUUUGUCCAUGAAAUAUUACAAUUCAAGUUCGUUCUGAAAUAGGGUGUUUGGUGUAUUGUAUAGUUCUAGAGAUUGGAUUUCACUCAAAAACCACGAACUGACUCCUCCCACAAUAUUAUGACGUUCCGCAAGUUUUGGACUGCAUCCCUUAUCGAUUGGUCCAUGAAAUCGGGCUAUUCAGGUUCGUACGAAGUUCGUUAUGAAAUGGAGUGGUUGUUGUAUUGCAUAGUUCUACGGAUUGGAUUUCACUCAAAACCCACCAAAUGACAACUCCCACUAUAUUAUGAUGUUCCCCAAGUUUUGGACUCACUCCGAUAUCGAUUGGUCCAUGAAAUCGGACAAUUCAGGUUCGCACGAAGUUCGUCCUAAAAUGGGGUGGUUGGUGUAUUGUAUAGUUCUAGAGAUUGGAUUUCACUCAAAACCCACCAAAUGACUCCUCCCACAAAUUAUGAUGGUCCCCUAGUUUUGGACUCAAUCCAAUAUCGAUUGGUCCAUCAAAUCGGCCAAUUCCGGUUCCUGCGAACUGUGUUCUGAAAUGAAGUGGUUGGUUUAUUGUGUAGUUUUAGAGAUUGGAUUUCACUUAAAAUCCACCAAAUGACUCCUCCCACAAUAUUAUGAUGUUCCCCAAGUUUUGGACUCAAUUCGAUAUCGAUUGGUCCAUGAAAUCGGACAAUUCAUGUUCAUACAAAGUUCGUUCUGAAAUGGAGUGGUUGGUGUAUUGUAUAGGUCUAGGGAUUGGAUUUCACUCAAACCCUCCAAAUGACAACUCCCACAACAUUAUGAUGUUCCCCAAGUUUUGGACUCAGUCCGGUAUCGAUUGGUCCAUUAAAUCGGCCAAUUCAGGUUCGUGCAAACUGUGUUCUGAAAUGGAGUGGUUGGUGUAUUGUAUAGUUCUAGGGAUUGGAUUUUACUCAAAAUCCACCAAAUGACUCCUCCCACAAUAUUAUGAUGUUCCCCAAGUUUUGGACUCAAUCCGAUAUCGAUCGGUCCAUGAAAUCAGACAAGUCAGGUUCGUACGAAGUCCGUUCUGAAAUGGUGUGGUUGAUGUAUUGUAUAGUUCUAGGGAUUGGAUUUCACUCAAACCCACCAAAUGACAACUCCCACAAUAUUAUGAUGUUCCCCUAGUUUUGGACUCAAUCCGAUAUCGAUUGGUCAAUGAAAUCGGACAAUUCAAGUUCGUACGAAGUUCGUUCUGAAAUGGGGUGGUUGGUGUAUUGUAUAGUUCUAGGGAGUGGAUUUCAAUCAAAACCCACCACAUGACUCCUCCCACCUUAUUAUGAUGUUCAACAAGUUUUGGACUCAAUCCGAUAUUGAUUGGUCCAUGAAAUAGGACAAUUCAGGUUUGUACGAAGUUCGUUCUGAAAUGGAGUGGUUGGUGUAUUGCAUAAUUUUAGCCACUGGAUUUCACUCAAAAUUCACCACAUGACUCCACCCAACAUAUAAUCAUGUUCCCCAUGUUUUGGACUCAAUUCGGUAACGACUGGUCCAUGAAAUCGGAAAAUUCAGGUUCAUACGAAUGUCGUUCUGAAAUGUAGUGGUUUGUGUGUAUUGCAUGGUUUUAGCCAUUGGAUUUCAUUGAAAAUUCACAAAAUGACUCCUCCCACAACAUUCUGACAUUCCCCAAGUUUUGGACUAAAGUCGAUAUCGAUUGGUCCAAUAAAUUGGACAAUUCAAGUUUGCACGAAAUUCGUUAUGAAACGGAGUGGUUGGUGUAUUGCAUAGUUUUAGCCAUUGGAUUUCACUCAAAAGUCACUGAAUGAGUCCUCCCACCGUAUUAUGAUGUUCCCCCAGUUUUGGACUCCAUCCGAUAUCGAUUGGUCCAUGAAAUCUGACAAUUCAGGUUUGUACGAAGUUCAUUCUGAAAUGGAGUGGUUGGUGUAUUGCAUUAUUUUAGCCAUUGGAUUUUACUGAAAACUCACAAAACGACUCCUCCCACAACAUUAUGUUGUUCCCCAAGUUUUGGGCUCAAUCUGAUAUCGAUUGGUCCAUCAAAUUGGACUAUUCACGUUCGUAUGAAGUUCGUUCACUAACAGAGUGGUCGAUGUAUUUCAGAGAUUUUGCAAUUGGAUUUCACUCAAAACUCGUCAAAUGACUCUUCCCACCAUAUUAUGAUGUUCCAAAAGUUUUGGACUCAAUCCGAUAUCGAUUGAUUCAUGAAAUUAAACAAUUUAGGUUCGUAAGAAGUUCGUUCUAAAAUGGAGUGGUUGGUGUAUUGCAUAGUUCUAGAGAAUGGAUUUCACUCGAAACCCACCAAAUAACCCUCCCCACUAUAUUAUGAUGUUCCCUAAGUUUUCGAAUCAAUCCGAUAUCGAAUGGUCCAUGAAAUUGGACAAUUUAGGUUCGUACGAAGUGCGUUAUGAAAUGAAAUGGUUGCUGUAUUGUGUAGUUCUAGAAAUUGGAUUUCGCUCAACACCCACCAAAUGACAACUCCCACAAUAUUAUGAUGUUCCCCAAGUUUUGGACUUAAUCCGGUAUCGAUUCGUCAAUAAAAUCGGACAAUUCAAGUUCGUACGAAGUUCAUUCUCAAAUGGGGUGGAUGGUGUAUUGUAUAGUUCUAGAUAUUGGAUUUCACUCAAAACCCACCAAAUGACUCCUCCCCCAAUAUUAUGAUGUUCCCCAAGUUUUGGACUCAACCCGAUAUGGAUUGGUCCUUGUAAUCGAACAAUUCAUGUUCGUACGAAGUUCGUUCUGAAAUAGAGUGGCUGAUGUAUUGUAUAGUUCUAGAGAUUGGAUUUCACUCAAAAAUCACCAAAUGAAUCCUCCCAAAAUAUUAUGAUGUUCCCCAAGUUUUGGACUCAAUCCGAUAUUGAUUGGUCCAUCAGAGAAUUCAGGUUCAGACGAAGUUCGUUCUGAAACGGAUUGGUUGGUGUAUUGUAUAGUUCUAGGGAUUGGGUUUCACUCCAAACCCACCAAAUCACAACUCCCGCAAUAUUAUGAUGUUCCUCAAGUUUUGGACUCAAUCCGAUAUCGAUUGGUCCAUGAAAUAUUACAAUUCAAGUUCGUACGAAGUUCGUACUGAAAUGGGGUGUUUGGUGUAUUGUGUAGUUCUAGAGAUUGAAUUUCACUGAAAAAUCACAAACUGACUCCUCCCACAAUAUUAUGACGUUCCCCAAGUUUUGGACUCAACCCAUAUCGAUUGGUCCAUGAAAUUGGACAAUUCACGUUCGUACGAAGUUCGUUCUGAAAUGGAGUGGUUGUUGUAUUGUAUAGUUCUACAGAUUGGAUUUCACUCAAAACCCACCAAAUGACAACUCCCACAAUAUUAUGAUGUUCCCCAAGUUUUGGACUCAAUCCGAUAUCGAUUGGUCCUUGAAAUCGGACAAUUCAGGUUCGUACGAAGUUCGUUCUGAAAUGGAAUGGUUGGUGUAUUGUAUAGUUCUAGAGAUUGCAUUUCACUCAAAACUCACCAAAUGGCUCCUCCCACAAUAUUAUGAUGUUCCCCAAGUUUUGGAAUCAAUCCGAUAUCGAUUGGUCAAUGAAAUCGGACAAUUCAGGUUUGUACGAAGUUCGUUCUGAAAUGGAGUGGUUGGUUUAUUGUAUAGUUCUAGGGAUUGGAUUUCACUCAAAACCCACCAAAUGACUCCUCCAACAAUAUUACGUUGUUCCCCAAGUUUUGGACUUAAUCCGAUAUCGAUUGGUCGUAGAUAUUUGCGGCACAAACAGAUCUUCGUCGCGCGUUUCGUGUCAACACAUUUUGCGCGACAAACACUUUUGCCGCGCAAAUCCUUUUUGAGCGAUGAAAGUGUUCGUCGCGCAAGAAUAAAUUAUAUAUAAUUAAAAAAUGAAACAAUUUUAUUUUCGUAAUAUAUAAAUUUGCACGACGAGAAAAAUUUCGUCGUGCAAAAGUAACAUAUAUAAUUAUUAUUUAAUUUUAAUAUUAGUUUUUAUUUUAUUUUAUAAAUAAAAUAAAUUUGAUUUUUUUUUGGGUAAUAAAAUGAAAUUCCAAUAAAUAAUUUUAAAAAAAAUUGUAAAGAACAUAUUUCUUAUAUAAAAUAAAUGUAUACUGCAAGACAAAUAUUUAAAAAAUAAUUAUGAAAAUAAAAAAACUAAUCAAAUAAUGUUCCAAAAUCUACAUUAUCGUCUGGCACAUGCGGUUCAGAGGUCUGGGGGUCUACAAGGGCCGUCGUCUGGGGGGAUGUUCGGGAUGGACGGGCUUGGAGGUCAGUGCAUCAAAAUGGGGGACUAGAAUGCCGGACUGUGCGAGGGACUGCAGAAUGACCGACAUCUGACUCUGAAGAGUGGCCACCUGUGCUGUCAAAGCAGUGACCUGACUGUUUGACUGCGCUGAUGAACGGGGUCUGGGUUCCCUUCGCCUGGCAUUCCCCAUCCCUCGACAAUAUGUCCUCGGUCUCCUCCGGAGAGUUUGAUCAAAUGUCUCCGUCAAGAUCUGAAACUCAGCAUCCUGUGGAGGAUCCACAGACUCGAUCGGAGUAUCGGGAGGAAGUUGGGAGGCGGACUCCUGAAGAACCAACUGGCUCUUCUCCACCAUCGUCGUCUGUUUAACAUAACAUAAAAUAUAAAUUAAAACAUUCAUAUAAUAACCUUUAAACUUGAAUGCGUAACAUAAUAAUUAAAAUUAAAUAAUACUCACAUGAAGGGACUCGGCCAACUCAUUCCCAGGUCGAACAUAAACGUCGCCAAAGACGUCGAUCUCUGGAAAUUUGGACCCCCCUAAAUUGAACAAGAGAAGAAAAAUAUUAGUACGAAAACCAUUCUUUAUGAAUAAUUAAAAAUUAAAAAUUAAAUAAAAAUUAUUUUAUUAUUACCUGCCGCCGUGCAUCCAUCCUAUAGGAGAAGGGUCUGGAACCGGAAUGAUGGAGAAGAGUCUUCUUCUUCCUAUUGCCCUUAUUGACUUUGACUUUAUUCUGUUAUACAAAAAAUAAAACGUAUUAGUUGAAAUUGAAAUUAAAUAUAAAACAUUAAAAAAGAACAUUAAUAAGAAAAAUAUAAUAAAUUUGAAAUUCAUAUUACAAAUUACCACAAAAGCGAGCGCCUGAAAAUGAGCGCAGAGCCACGCCCAACUAUCCUCCCACCCCUCAAGCUCCUUCAGGCAACCCUCCUGAAGAGCGACUUCUGGAUCAUCAAAUGCCUCAAAAUAGUGGUGCAAGUCGCUCUUCCACUGUUUGUACCUCUCAGAGAAGAGUCUGUUGACGUAUGCCAACGACUCGUCAUCCAAGUCCUCCAAGUUGUAGUUCGUCUGCAAUAAAUUAAUUACAUACAUUUAAAUAAUAGAAAUAUAAAAUUUGAAAGAAAAAAGAAUUAAAAGGCCUACAUACCGACAACUGGCCGCGAACCUCCGUCUUGCUCUCGUCAGACAUCACCUUCCAAGACUUCCAUUUCAUCGGGCAAUGGCUCCGAAUGACAUGACCAAUGUUCUGGCCCAAGGAGCUAUGCAACUCUGCCGUCGGUGCAGCCCGAUGUCGCUCGUUGUAUCCGAUGUUGAUAUGACUGUUGGUCACCCGGGUGACCUUCGCCGUCUUCAACUACCGACACGGCCCUCGGGUGUUCUUCUUGGCUGCAAAGAAAGAUGACAUUAAUGUUAAAUAAAUAACAAAUUUAACUAUAAAAUACACACACACAAAUAAAAACCAAAACAAAAAUAAAAACAAAAAUAUAAAUAACUGGAGUUUAAGGAUAUCUAUACCUGGCUGUGACCCCGACGCAUCAGUGGAUGUGGUGUCGGUGGUGCUGGCUGGCCGAUGACGCCGUCUGGCGCUAACAGGCUGUGCCACUGAUGAAGCUGAUGAAGCAGGUGCCUGGGACCCCGCGGGACCAACUGCCAAGUGGUCCAUCAGUGCUGGCGCAGUGGCAGCAGAUGUCGGCUGAGCCUGGGGCUCCGAACUUUGCGUAGUCGUCACCGCCCUACGACGUCUAAUUAGGUCUGACAUCUGCACAAUUUCAUUAAUACACGUAUAAAUUAAUAAAAUAUACGAAUAUUUGAAAGCACAUACAAUUUUAUUAAGAUUCUUGACCUCGGGUUUGCGAGUUUGGAGUAUCCGGGACUCCGAUCCACGAUCUGUCGAAUUCUAGAGGAUCUUAGAAAUACAAGGUACACCAUACGUGAGUUUGAGUUCGAUCCAACAGUCCGAACAUAACAAACCCGGAAAUCGCACAACAGGCAAAAUUCGUUCGAGACUCAAACGGUAACCAAAUUCCAAUCUGAAAACACCUACGCGCUCGUGACAAAUAGGGGAUUGCACUGGGACCCAAUGCAAUGUGCUACAGUACCCCACGCGCCACCACACGCGCCGGCAUUGCGUGUGUGUCCAAAGCGAUACCAAUCGCCGGAAAUUUCUAAAAACUAAGGGCCAAGGUUCCUACCCUAGGUUCAAAACAUCAAUUGGAGCCACUUUUGUUCGGACCUACCCCGAAAAACGGCCAGAAGUGGCCGUAAUUGAAAUUCAAAAAUCGGCCGAAACUUGGGGUUUUGAAAUCGACUGACCUAUUGCAACAAUUACAUAAAUCCUACCCAACCAUCAGCUAAAGCAUCUAAAAUAGGACAGAAACCAUACCUCAAUUGUCGGAUUUGGUCGCCGGAGGAGAGAGAACGACGGCGGCGGAGAUUCGGUGAAAACUGAGGAAAUAACGGCGGUUGGCUCGACGGUGACGGCGGGGAACCUCCGGGGUACCAGCGUUGUGGCGGCGCCGUCCAAAAUGCACUGGGGUAGGGGCUGAGCUGACGACGGAGAGAGAGAAAGAGAGUUAGGGCAGAAAAGUGAAGCUGGGGAAGAUGGAGGGUAUCGCGUCAUUUCUGCAAUUUUAUUCGAGUUUGCACGACGAAGAACCAAAAGCGUCGCGUAAAAUAUUUUAAUUGACACUUGCGCGAUGACAUAAUUAUAACCUCCGUCGCACAAUAUUGUAAAUCCCAAAUUUCGGUAUCAGGGUAGUUUUUGCGCGACGCACAGUAUCAUAUAUUCGUCGCGCAAUGUUGUCAAUCCGCCAAAAUUUUGGGACUUAGGGUUAAGCGGGAGAGAUUGAAAACUUUGCGCGACUCUUCCCUUGUUUCGUUGCGCAAUGUUGUCAAUCUGCCAAAAUUUUGGGACUGAGGGUUUAGCGGGCGAGUUUGCAAACUUUGCGCGGUGCUGCCCUUGUUUCGUCGUGCAAUGUUGUCAAUCCGCCAAAAUUUUGGGACUUAGGGUUUAGCGGGAGAGAUUGAAAACUUUGCGCGACGCUGCACGUCUUUCGUCGCGCAAAUCCUAUUUCUGUAAACUCUCAAAAAUUUUUGCCUAAGUGUCCGAGGGGGUUGCUGAGAUUGCGCGAUGAAGAACUUUGAUUUCGUCGCGCAAAUCCUGUUUCUGUAAACUCUCAAACUUUUUUGGCUAAGUGUCCGAGGAGGAAAACUGUGAAAGGGGGCUGCUGAGAUUGCGAGACGAAGAACCCUUUUUUCGUCGCGCAAAUCCUGUUUCUAUAAACUCUUAAAUUUUUUUGGCUAAGUGUCCGAGGAGGAAGAGGGUGAAAGGGGGUGGCUGAGAUUGCGAUAUGACGUGUUGCGGUUUCGUCGCGCAAGACUGUUGUUUGCAAGCUUUGUGCGACCAACAAAACCUGUUCGUCGCGCACACUCUAAACCCUAAACCCUAAACCGCGGAAACCAUAAACACGAAACUAGUUUUAAUGAUCCAACCGGCAAACUUGUUUUUUUAUAUUUCGAGAUCGUAUAUGCCGAAAAUCUGACAAAACAAACGUUAGGAAAUCAAGUAACGGUGCAAAACUUUUCGACGGUUCUAAAUGAAAAGUCAUGAUUUAACGGUUAUUUUAACUCCAAUUUUGAUGAUUUUUUACAGCUACUUUUCUUGAACCUAUAUGAAUACAAUUACUGAAUUUGAUCUUCAAUUUAAGAUGUUUACACUAGGGUGAUACCACAUAAUCUUAUGUUAUACUUAACAAAAGUAUAAGUAAACUAUUCAUUGUUGGUGAAUAUAUGGUUUUGAUGGCAUACGCAUUCUAUGAAAGUAGUGUCAAUAAUCCAGCCGUCAAACGUGUUUUGUUUAUAAUUCGAGAUCUUAGGCCCCAAAAAUCAGAAAAAAAAACAUUCAGAGAUCAAGUAUCGGGACAAAACUUUUGAACGGUUAUAAAUAAAAAGUCAUGAUUUAACGGUUAUUUUAACUCCGAUUUUGAUGAUUUUUUACAGCUACACUCCAUGACCCUAUAUGAAUACAAUGAACCAACUCGAUCGUCAAUUUCGAAUAUAUAUGUGUAUAUAACAUAUAUUAUAAAAGAAUAUAUAUUUGCGCAACGAGAAACAUUCUUCGUCGCGCAAAAUUCCAUCGCGCGACGGAUAAGAAUUUGUCGCACAAUGUUUUAACUUUACGCGAAGACUGUGUUCUCGAACGCGCAAACUUUGCGCAAUGAGGGUUUCUUAGUCGCGCAAAAUUGCAUCGCGUGACGGAUAAUAAUUUGUCGCGCAAUUUUUUAACUUUGCGCGACGACUAUUUACUGGGUCGCGCAAACUUUGCGCAACGAGGUGAUCUUCGUCGCGCAAGGGUUUUCAUUGUUGAAAAAUGUUUGGUGUCAAUAAUUUUCAAACUUUGUAUGAAAAUGGUUUGGAUAUAUUUAUUUAUCAAUGUUUUAUAUAACAAAUGUUUUAUCAUUUUCAUUUUGUAAACGUGUUUUGUCAAAAAAAAAAUUAAAAAAUUAAUAUUAAAAGGGUUUGGAUAUAUUGAUUUACCAAUGUUUUAUAACUAAAUUUAUUUUAAUAAUGUUUCAGUUGUCCACAUAUAUAAGGUUUGGAUAUAACAACUACAUAUAUUCAAACUUUUGUAUUAUACAAAGUCUAUACACUAGCGUAAUAAAAUUACAAAAAAUUUAAUUAUUCAUCAUCUGAACUAUAGUAACUUUCGUUAUCGUCGCUAUCAUCACUUUCGGUCUCCCAAUCCUCCUCCUCCUCCUCUAUAACUACAUCAUCUGUGUUGCUCGGGUCCACUGCAACAUCGAAUCUUGGAAGAUCCCCGAGGUCAAUUGUAAUUGACUAAAUUGGUAUUUCGAUUGAAGACACUCCUUGUAUUUGAAACGGUUCUUGUAUAACAUGUGUAUCUCGAAGUGUUUCCGCAUUAUUUUCCAUUGAAGAUUCUAAACGUUGGUCAGCCACAUUGUCGACGUCGUUGUCAGUUGGGUCUAGUUCUGGUAUAGCAUACACGUUCCUAUGAUCCAUCUUCUGAACAACUUUCCAACUGCUCCCAGCUUUAGGGUCAUCUAGAUACACAAUUUGUGUUGCUAUGUUUGCCAAAAUGUAAGGGUCGUCACCAUACCAAGUUCUGUUAAUGUUCACAGACAGUAAGCCAUGGUUGAUUUUAACACGUCCCGGCCUAUUUGGGUUGCUAUCAAACCAUCGACACUUAAACAUGAUCACUUGGUAUCGAUCUUUGUAAAGCAAUUGAACGACAGUUGUGAGUUUGCCAUAAAAAUCAAUGUUCGUACUUUCGCCUCUACCUGGGACAUGGACACCGCUGUUUUGUGUACACAACUUGUCAUCUCGUGCAGCCCCCAAAAAUUUGACGCCGUUAAUAUAACAACCCGAAAACAAUUCAGCGCGAAUUGGGCCGAACGCCAAGUUAUAUACUUAAUAUAAUACAAAAUUAAGUGGGGGAAUUCGAUGAUUUCAACUUAUUCGCCUAAUAUAAUACAAAAUCAUUCACAUGUUAGUCUGACAAAAUUAAAUACUACAAUUUAUAUUUGUCAAAUACAAAACACUUAUAACUUACAUAAUCCAAAAACCAUUGUUGAAACAAUUCAUGAUGUUUCUGGGCAACUAAAUGUGAUGGAUGUUCUCGCGCCAUCAUCUCUUCAUGCUCAUCUAAGUAUGCCAUUAUCUCAUCACAAUUGUUCAGUACGAACCAAUGCGCUACCUCCAUGUCAUUUCUAGAAAACGACUCUCCUCGUCCAGGAUCUCCAAAGGGUCGUGCGCUUUGGGCAAAAACAGAAAGUUUUUCCUUUCUCAUACCUCCGUCGUUAUUGCGUUGAGGACGAUUGAAAGCCAUCUCCACAUCUUUUAAAUACAUUCCACAGAAAGUAAGCGACUCAUAUUGAACUCACGCCUCUAUAAUUGAUCCUUCGGGCUUCGCCCUGUUGCGUACACUUUUUUUCAACUCUCCGAGAAGCCUGUCAAAAUAAAACGAUAUGAUACAAAUUAGCAAGUCUGUGAUAAUAAUGCGUACACAAACGAUAAGGAUUAUAUACCUUUCUAUUAGAUACAUCCAGCGAUAGUUGACAAAACCAGCAAGCAAUGCCUCUUCUGGCAAGUGAACCAUCACGUGCAUCAUACUUGUGAAGAAUGUUGGAGGAAAUAUCAUCUCAAACUUGCAUAGGACUUGGACAAUGUCAUGGCGCAACUGAAACAUGUUUGUCUUUCGCAAUGUUUUUGCCAUCAGUUGGGAAAAAAAUCUGGACAACAACAUGAUUGGCUUCACAACAUCUUCCGACAAUGGAUGUCGAAUACCCACAGGAAGUAGGCGUUACAUAAACACAUGGCAGUCAUGGCUCUUCAGUCCAGUAAAUUUACCCCCAUCAAUAUUCACGCAACGUGCGAUAUUAGAAGCAUACCCAUCAGGAAACUUUACAGACGAUACAAACUUUAGAAACUCUUUUUUGUCAUUCGGUUUCAUAGAAAAGAAUGGAAGAUCCCUUCUAGCUUUAUCACUGUCCCUGUUCAUCCAUAAACCCCUUCGUAUGCCCAUUCUUUCCAAAUCAAGACGGGCUUUGAUUGUGUCCUUUGUCUUGCCCUCGAUAUCUAGAAUCAUGCCCACCAAUGUGUCAAAUACAUUUUUCUCAACAUGCAUCACAUCUAGAUUGUGCCUCAAUUUGAGUUUCGACCAAUAUGGGAGCUCGAAAAACAUAGGCUUGUGAGUCCAGUUCAUAUGUGUAGAAGGUCUGGUCCGAUGACCAAGGUAACAAACUUUUCCCGCAUGCCAACCAGAAGUUACAUCUUCCUUGCAUAUAGGACAUGCCAUAUAACCCUUUGUGCUUUACCCAGAAACCAUUGCAUAUGCUGGAAAAUCAUUCACAGUCCACAUAACUGCUGCCUGCAAAGUGAACAUCUUCCCAGUUGAUUUAUCGUACGUGCGAACCUCGACUCAUUGCAUAUAAGGCAUGUCUCCAACGUUUCAUGCUCCUUGUAGAAUAACAUGCAAUUAUUUUUGCAAGCAUGAAUUUUUUCAUAACCCAAUCCAAGACCAUUCAACACCUUCUGCGCGUGUUUAUGGUCUUUCGGCAAACAAUUGUCCAUCGGAAGCAUUCUCUUGAAAACUCCCAAAAAGUAAUCGAAACACAGGUUCGACAUACGAUACUUUAUUUUUCCGUGCAUUAGCUCAACAAUGGCCGUGAGAACGGAAAAGCUCUCGCACCCCGGGUAUAGCUUUUGAUUGGCAUUUUUUAAUAGUUUUCAUAUUGUUCAAACUCUGCGCUAUCUAUUAGUGUAGGCACGUCAUCUUCCCUUUCGUGAUUGAUGUUGGUUGAUACAAAUGGAAAAGCAUCCUGUAUAAUAUCCAUGACUUGAUCAUUAGGAUCCACAAUAGGUUCAGCACUGUCCAUUCUUGUGGCAUUUGAAGACGAAGCAUGGUCUAAUUGUUCCCCAUGAAGGUUCCAAAUGCUAUAUGUCUCAAUCAUUCCAUUCCUUACUAAAUGAAAUCCAACAUUUUCAAUUGUCUCCCACAACGUGUUAUUACACCUCCUACAAGGACAUCGGAUUCUAGUUGCACCCGGGUUGUGUCUACGUGCAAACUCAAUAAAAUCCUCGAUCCCAUCCAAGUAUUUGUCUGCACAUCCAUUCGGGUUCUGUAUUCACCUUCUGCUCAUAAUUCCUGAAACCACAAUCACAACAUAACAAUCACAACAACUUCAUACGAAGUUAUAAUGUCACCUUAUACCUCCGGUAAGGGCCCUAUCCCAUUCGAGAAUGCAUAGUCCUGUUACGUAACCUACGGCUACAUGAGAUUAGAUUUCGACAUGAAUAAAUUUCGGCAGCAUCUCGAUACAGUUCUUGAGGUGGGCAUAGGUAUAAAUACCUACGUACCACCCGAAGAACGUACCGAGAUGACACCGAAAUCUCCACAAUAGAAACCUAAUCCUGUAGCCGUAGAUUACGUGACAACACUAUGCAUUACCAAACUGUCCAAAUAGUGGGACAAUUCAAGAAUUAAUUGGACGCAGUCAUGCUUUACACAUCCAUGUACGAAAUCCAACUAAUCUCGAACGGGAAACUAAAUGUUACAAAACAUACAAAUAAAACUACGAAGUUAAUUUCAAUUAACUUCGUACAUCACAACACAUUGUGCUACGUCACGCACAAUUUAACAACAUAAUAUAAAUAUAACUUCACAAAAAAAUAUACACAUAACAAAUUAACUUUAACAUUUUUAAUAUAUAAAACGAAUAAAAUACCUUAUCAAUCGUUCUCCACAAAUUGCUAAUUACAAAUAUCCCUAACGAGAACAAAAUUAAUAGCGUUAGUACGAAUUUACAUUAAUACUUAUAAACUAACGAUACAAAAUACUUACCCAAUCAACGUACUGAAUUUCCAGCAGAGGCAGCAAUAGAGAGGUUGAGAGAGACGCAGAGGCAGAAAGGAAAUUUGUUUCCUUUCUGCCUCUGCAAUGGCAUAAUUCGGAUAUGAAGAAGAAGGACUUUGCGCAACGAAACAUAUAUUUCGUCGCGCAAAAUACCGUCGGGAAAAACCAUUUUUCCGUCGCACAAAAUGUGUUUUUCCGUCGCGCAAAAACUUGCCAACAAAACAACUUUUGCGCGACGCAAGAAAUUUUCGUCGCAAAAACAUUCGUCGCGCAAAUUCUAGAUAUCGUCACGCAAAAACAAAAUUCCGUCGCGCAAGAAUGUACCGACAUCUUCUAUGAAACCUAAUUCGUCGCGCAAACAAAAAUAUCCCCCUCCAUUAUUUUGGUGCCUAACCUUUACGCGACGAAGUUUCAGAUCGUCGCACUAGGUUUUCUUACGCGACGAUUGCUCUUGCCGCGCAAGUGUUUGGCGCCAAAAAAAAACCCGGGUGUUUUUUCGCUCACUAAGAGAGUUUGUGCUUCGAAAAUUUUGGUCGCGCAAGUUUUCACUUUUUUGGGCGACGAAACUUUUUUUCCGUCGCUUUAUUGCAUUUUGCGCGAUGAAUUUUGAUUCGUCGAGCAAAAGCUUGUCGCGCAAAUAGAAAAACGUAGUACUGACUCCUCCCACAAUAUUACGAUGUUCCCCAAGUUUUGGACUCAAUCAGAUAUCGAUUGGUCCUUGAAAUCAAACAAUUCUGGUUCGUACGAAGUUUGUUCUGAAAUGGGGUGGUUGUGUAUUGUAUUGUUCUAGAGAUUGGAUUUCCCUCAAAACCCACCAAAUGACACAUCCCACAAUAUUAUGAAGUUCCAUAAGUUUUGGACUCAAUCCGAUAUCGAUUGGUCCAUGAAAUCAGACAAUUCAUGUUCAUACGAAGUUCAUUCUGAAAUGGAGUGGUUGGUGUAUUGUAUAGUUCUAGGGAUUGGAUUUCACACAAAACCCACCAAAUGACAACUCCCACAAUAUUAUGAUGUUCCCCAAGUUUUGGACUCAAUCCGAUAUCGAUUGGUCCAUGAAAUCAGACAAUUCAGGUUCGUACGAAGUUCGUUCUGAAAUGGAGACGUUAGUGUAUUGUAUAGUUCUAGAGAUUGGAUUUCACUCAAAACCCACCAAAUGGCUCCUCCCGCAAUAUUAUGGUGUUCCCCAAGUUUUGGACUCAAUCCGAUAUCGAUUGGUCAAUGAAAUCGGACAAUUUAGGUUCGUACGAAGUUCGUUCUGAAAUGGGGUGGUUGGUUUAUCGUAUAGUUCUAGGGAUUGGAUUUCACUGAAAACCCACCAAAUGACUCAUCCCACAAUAUUACUAUGUUCCCCAAGUUCUGGACUCAAUCUGAUAUCGAUUGGUCCUUGAAAUCGGAGAAUUCAGGUUCGUACGAAGUUCGUUAUGAAAUGGAAUAGUUGGUUUAUUGUAUAGUUCUAGAGAUUGGAUUUCACUCAAAACCCACCAAAAUGGCUCCUCCCGCAAUAUUAUGAUGUUCCCCAAGUUUUGGACUCAAUCUGAUAUCGAUUGGUCAAUGAAAUCGGACAAUUCAGGUUCGUACAAAGUUCGUUCUGAAAUGGAGUGGUCGGUUUAUUGUAUAGUUCUAGGGAUUGGAUUUCACUCAAAACCCACCAAAUGGCUCCGUCCGCAAUAUUUUGAUGUUCCCCAGUUUUGGACUCAAUCCGAUAUCGAUUGGUCAAUGAAAUCGGACAAUUCAGGUUCGUACGAAGUUCGUUCUGAGUGGAGUGGUUGGUUUAUUGUACAGUUCCAGGGAUUGGAUUUCACUCAAAACCCACCAAAUGACUCCUCCCACAAUAUUACUCUGUUGCCCAAGUUUUGGACUCAAUCCGAUAUCGAUUGGUCCAUGAAAUCAGACAAUUCAUGUUCAUACGAAGUUCGUUCUGAAAUGGAGUGGUUGGUGUAUUGUAUAGUUCUAGGGAUUGGAUUUCACUCAAAACCCACCACAUGACAACUCGCACAAUAUUAUGAUGUUCCCCAAGUUUUGGACUCAAUCCGAUAUCGAUUGGUUCAUGAAUCGGACAAUUCAGGUUCGUACGAAGUUCGUUCUGAAAUGGAGUGGUUGGUGUAUUGUGUUCUAGGGAUUGGAUUUCACUCAAAACCCAACACAUGACUCCUGCCACAAUAUUAUGACGUUCCCCAAGUUUUGGACUUAAUCCGAUAUAGGUUCGUACGAAGUUCGUUCGGAAAUGGAGUGGUUGGUUUCUUGUAUAGAUCUAUGGAUUGGAUUUGACUCAAAAUCCACCAAAUGACUCGUCCCAAAAUAUUUUGAUGUCCCCCAAGUUUUGGACUCAAUCCCGUAUUGAUUGGUCCUUGUAAUCGGACAAUUCAGGUUCGUACGAAGUUCGUUUUGAAAUGGAGUGGCUGAUGUAUUGUGUAGUUCUAGAGAUUGGAUUUCACUCAAAAAUCACCAAAUUACUCCUCCCACAAUAUUAUUAUGUUCUCCAAGUUUUAGACUCAAUCCGAAAUCGAUUGGUCUAUGAAAUCGAAGAAUUCAUGUUCGUACGAAGUUCGUUAUGAAAUGGAGUGGUUGGUGUAUUGUAUAGUUCUAGGUUCUGGAUUUCACUCAAAACCCACCAAAUGACUCCUCCCACAAUAUUAUGAUGUUCCCGAAGUUUUGGACUCAAUCCCAUAUCGAUUGGUGCACGAAUUUGAAAAUUCAGGUUCGUACGAACUUCGUUCUAAAAUGGAGUGGUCGGUGUAUUGUAUAGUUCUAGGGAUUGGAUUUUACUAAAAAUCCACCAAAUGACUCCUCCCACAAUAUUAUGAUGUUCCCCAAGUUUUGGACUCCAUCCGAUAUCGAUUGCUCCUUACAAUCGGAUAAUUCAGGUUCGUACGAAGUUCGUUCUGAAAUGGAGUGGCUGAUGUAUUGUAUAGUUCUCGGGAUGGGAUUUCACUCAAAACCCACCAAAUGACUCCUCCCACAAUAUUAUGAUGUUCCCCAGGUUUUGGACUCAAUCCGAUAUCGAUUGGUCCACGAAAUUUGACAAUUCAGGUUUGUACGAAGUUCGUUCUGAAUUGGAGUCGUUGGUUUAUUGUAUAGUUCUGGGGAUUGGAUUUCAUUCAAAACCCACCAAAUGACUCCUCCCACAAUAUUUUGAUGUUCCCCAAGUUUUGAACUCAAUCUGAUAUCAAUUGGUCAAUGAAAUUGGACAAUUCAGGUUCGUAUGAAGUUUGUUCUGAAAUGGAGUGGGUUACGUAUUGUAUAGUUCUUGGGAUUGGAUUUCACUCAUAACCCACGAAAUGACUCCUCCCACAACAUUAUGAUGUUCUCCAAGUUUUGGACUCAAUCCGAUAUCGAUUGGUACUUGUAAUCGGACAGUUCAGGUUCGUACGAAGUUUGUUCUGAAAUGGAGUGGCAUAUGUAUUGUAUAGUUCUAGGGAUUGCAUUUCACUCAAAACCCACGAAAUGACUCCUCCGACAAUAUUAUGAUGUUCCCCAAGUUUUGGACUCAAUCCAACAUCGAUUGGUCCAUGCAAUUUGAAAAUUCAGGUUCGUACGAAGUUUAUUCUGAAAUGGAGUGGUUGGUUUAUUGUAUAGUUAUGGGGAUUGAAUUUCACUCAAAACCCACCAAAUGACUCCACCCACAGUAUUAUGAAGUUCCCCAAGUUUUGGACUCAUUGGUCCGAGAAUUCAGACAAUUCAGGUUCGUACGAAGUUCGUUCUGAAAUGGAGUGGCUGAUGCAUUGUAUAGUUCUAGGGAUUGGAUUUCACUCAAAACCCCCCAAAUGACUCCACCCACAAUAUUAUGAUGUUCCCCAAAUUUUGGACUCAAUCCGAGAUCGAUUGGUCCUUUUAAUCGGACAGUUCAGGUUCGUUCGAAGUUCGUUCGGAAAUGGAGUGGUUGGCUUCUUGUAUAGUUCUAGGGAUUGGAUUUGACUCAAAACCCACCAAAUGACUCCUUCCACAAUAUUAUGAUGUUCCCCAAGUUUUGGACUCAAUCCGAUAUCGAUUGGUCCACGAAAUUUGAAAAUUUAGGUUCUUACGAAGUUUGUUCUGAAAUGGAGUGGCUGCUGUAUUGUAUAGUUCUAGGGAUUGGAUUUCACUCAAAACCCACCAAAUGACUCCUCCCAAAAUAUUAUGAUGUUCCCCAAGUUUUUGACGCAAUCCCAUAUCGAUUGGUCCUUGUAAUCGGACAAUUCAGGUUCGUACGAAGUUCGUUCUGAAAUAGAGUGGUUGAUGUAUUGUAUAGUUCUAGAGAUUGGAUUUCACCCAAAAAUCACCAAAUGACUCCUCCCACAAUAUUAUGAUGUUCCCCAAGUUUUGGACUCAAUCCGAUAUCAAUUGGUCCGUGAAAUCGGCCAAUCCAGGUUUGUGUGAACUAUGUUCUGAAAUGGAGUGGUUGGUGUAUUGUAUAGUUCUUGGGAUUGGAUUUGACUCAAAAUCCACCAAAUGACUCCUCCCACAAUACUAUGAUGUUCCCCAAGUUUUGAACUCAAUCUGAUAUCGAUUGGUCCACGAAAUUUGACAAUUCAGGUUCGUACGAAGUUCGUUCUGAAUUGGAGUGGUUGGUUUAUGGUAUAGUUCUAGGGAUUGGAUUUCACUCAAAACCCACCAAAUGACUCCUCCCACAAUAUUAUGAUGUUCGCCAGGUUUUGGACUCAAUCUGAUAUCGAUUAGUCCACGAAAUUUGACAAUUCAGGUUCGUACAAAGUUCGUUCUGAAUUGGAGUGGUUGGUUCAUGGUAUAGUUCUGGGGAUUGGAUUUCACUCAAAACCCACCAAAUGACUCCUCCCACAAUAUUUUGAUGUUCCCCAAGUUUUGAACUCAAUCUGAUAUCAAUUGGUCAAUGAAAUUGGACAAUUCAGGUUCGUAUGAAAUUUGUUUUGAAAUGGAGUGGGUUACGUAUUGUAUAGUUCUUGGAAUUGGAUUUCACUCAAAACCCACCAAAUGACUCCUCCCACAAUAUUAUGAUGUUCUCCAAGUUUUGGACUCAAUCCGAUAUCGAUUGGUACUUGUAAUCGGACAGUUCGGGUUCGUACGAAGUUUGUUCUGAAAUGGAGUGGCAUAUGUAUUGUAUAGUUCUAGGGAUUGCAUUUCAGUCAAAACCCACGAAAUUACUCCUCCGACAAUAUUAUGAUGUUCCCCAAGUUUUGGACUCAAUCCAAUAUCGAUUGGUCCAUGCAAUUUGAAAAUUUAGGUUCGUACGAAGUUCAUUCUGAAAUGGAGUGGUUGGUUUAUUGUAUAGUUAUGGGGAUUGAAUUUCACUCAAAACCCACCAAAUGACUCCACCCACAAUAUUAUGAAGUUCCCCAAGUUUUGGACUCAUUGGUCUGAGAAUUCAGACCAUUCAGGUUCGUACGAAGUUCGUUCUGAAACGGAGUGGCUGAUGCAUUGUAUAGUUCUAGGGAUUGGAUUUCACUCAAAACCCCCCAAAUGACUCCACCCACAAUAUUAUGAUGUUCCCCAAAUUUUGGACUCAAUCCAAGAUCGAUUGGUCCUUUUAAUCGGACAAUUCAUGUUCGUUCAAAGUUCGUUCGAAAAUGGAGUGGUUGGCUUCUUCUAUAGUUCUAGGGAUUGGAUUUGACUCAGAACCCACCAAAUGACUCCUCCCACAAUAUUAUGAUGUUCCCCAAGUUUUGGACUCAAUCCGAUAUCGAUUGGUCCAAGAAAUUUGAAAAUUUAGGUUCUUACGAAGUUUGUUCUGAAAUGGAGUGGCUGCUGUAUUGUAAAGUUCUAGGGAUUGGAUUUCACUCAAAACCCACCAAAUGACUCCUCCCACAAUAUUAUGAUGCUCCCCAAGUUUUUGACUCAAUCUGACAUCGAUUGGUCUUUGAAAUCGGACAAUUCAGAUUCGUAUGAAGUUCGUUCUGAAAUGGAGUGGUUGGUUGAUUGUAUAGUUCUGGGGAUUGGAUUUCACUCAAAACCCACCAAAUGACUCCACCCACAAUAUUAUGAUGUUCCCCAAGAUUUGGACUCAAUCCGAUAUCGAUUGGUCCAUGAAAUCAGACAAUUCAGGUUCGUACGAAGUUCGUUCUAAAAUAGAGUGGUUGGUGCAUUGUAUAGUUCUAUGUACUGGAUUUCACUCAAAACCCACGAAAUGACUCCUCCCCCAAUAUUAUGAUGUUCCCCAAGUUUUGGACUCAAUCCAAUAUCGAUUGGUCCUUGACAUUGGACAAUUCAGGUUCAUACGACGUUCAUUCUGAAAUGGAGUGGCUGAGGUAUUGUAUAGUUCUAGGGAUUGGAUUUCACUCAAAACCCACCAAAUGACUCGUCCCACAAUAUUAUGGUGUUCCCCAAGUCUUGGACUCAAUCCGAUAUCGAUUGGUCGUAGAAAUCGGACAAUUCAGGUUCGUACGAAGUUCGUUCUGAAAUGGAGGGGUUGGUUUAUUGUAUAGUUCUGGGGAUUUGAUUACACUCAAAACCCACCAAAUGACUCCUUCCACAAUAUUAUGCGGUUCCCCAAGUUUUGGACUCAGUCCGAUUACGAGUGGUCCUUGAAAUCAGACAAUUCAGGUUCGUACGAAGUUCAUUCUCAAAUGGAGUGGUUGGUGUAUGGUAUAGUUCUAGGUACUGGAUUUCACUCAAAACCCACCAAAUGACUCCUCCCAAAAUAUUAUGAUGUUCCCUAAGUUUUGGACUCGAUCUGAUAUCGAUUGGUCCAUGAAAUCAGACAAUUCAGGUUUGUACGAUGUUCGUUCUGAAAUGGAGUGGCUGAUGUACUGUAUAGUUAUGGGGUUUGGAUUUCACUCAAAACCUACCAAAUGACUCCUCCCACAAUAUUAUGAUGUUCCCCAAGUUUUGGACUCAAUCCGAUAUUGAUUGGUUCAUGAAAUCAGACAAUUCAGGUUCGUACGAAGUUCGUUUUGAAAUGGAGUGGUUGAUGUCCUGUAUAGUUCUGGAGAUUGGAUUUCACUGAAAAAUCACCAAAUUACUCCUCCCACAACAUUAUGAUGUUCCCCAGGUUUUGGACUCAAUCCGAUAUCGAUUGGUCUACGAAAUUUGACUGUUCAGGUUCUUACGAAGUUCGUUCUGAAAUGGUGUGGUUGGUUUUUUGUCAAGUUAUGGGGAUGGGAUUUCACUCAAAACCCACCAAAUGACUCCUCCCACAAUAUUAUGACGUUCCCCCAAGUUUUGAACUCAAUACGAUAUCGAUCGAUCCACGAAAUCAGACAAGUCAGGUUCGUACGUAGUCCCUUCUGAAAUGGAAUGGUUGAUGUAUUGUAUAGUUCUGGAGAUUGGAUUGCACCCAAAAAUCACCAAAUUACUCCUCCCACAAUAUUAUGAUGUUCCCCAAGUUUUGGACUCAAUCCGAUAUCGAUUGUUCUAUGAAAUCGGACAAUUCAGGUUCGUACCAAAGUCGUUUUGAAAUGGAGUGGUUGGUGUAUUGUAUAGUUCUACGUACUGGAUUUCACUCAAAACCCACCAAAUGACACCUCCCGCAAUAUUAUGAUGUUCCCCAAGUUUUGGACUCAAUCCGAGAUCCAUUGGUCGUUUUAAUCGGACAAUUCAGGUUUGUAUGAAGUUCGUUCGGAAAUAGACUGGUUGGUUUAUUGUAUAGUUCUAGGGAUUGGAUUUGACUCAAAACCGAUCAAAUGACUCCUCCCACAAUAUUAUGAUGUCCCCCAAGUUUUGGACUCAAUCCCGUAUCGAUUGGUCCUUGUAAUCGUACAAUUCAGUUCGUACGAAGUCAACUGAAAUGGAGUGGCUGAUGUAUUGUAUAGUUUUAGAAGAUUGGAUUUCCCCUCCAAAAAUCACCAAAUGACUCCUCCCACAAUACUAUGAUAUUCCCCAAGGUUUUGGACUGAAUCCGAAAUUGAUUGGUCCAUGAAAUCAAAGAAUUCAGGUUCGCACGAAGUUCGUUCUGAAAUGGAGUGGUUGAUGUAUUGUAUAGUUCUAGAGAUUGAAUUUCACUCAAAAAUCACCAAAUUAGUCCUCCUACAAUAUUAUCAUGUUCCCCAAGUUUUGAAGUCAAUCCGAAAUUGAUUGGUCCAUCAAAUCGAAGAAUUCAGGUUCAUACGAAGUUCAUUUUGAAAUGUAGUGGUUGGUGUAUUGUGUAGUUCUAGGUUCUGGAUUUCACUCAAAACCCACCAGAUGACUCCUCCCACAAUAUUAUAAUGUUCCUCAAGUUUUGGACUCAAUCCGAUAUCGAUUGGUCCAUGAAAUCAGACAAUUCAGGUUCGCAUGAAGUUCGUUGUGAAAUGGAGUGGUUGAAGUAUUGUAUAGUUCUAAGGAUUGGAUUUCACUCAAAACCACCCGAAUGACUACUCCCACAAUAUUAUGAUGUUCCUCAAGUUUUGGACUCAAUCCGAUAUCGAUUGGUCCUUGUAAUCGGACAAUUCAGGUUCGUACGAAGUUCGUUCUUAAAUGGUGUUGCUGAUGUAUUGUAUAGUUCUAGGGAUUGGAUUUCACUCAAAACACACCAAAUGACUCCUCCCACAAUAUUAUGAUGUUCCCCAAGCUUUGGACUCAAUCCAAUGUCGAUUGGUCCUUGAAAUCGGACAAUUCAAGUUCGUACGAAGUUCGUUCUGAAAUGGGGUGGUUAGGGUAUUGUAUAGUUCUAGAGAGUGGAAUUCGCUCAAAACCCAACAAAUGACUCCUCCCACGAUAUUAUGAUGUUCCCCAGCUUGGACUCAAUCCAUUUUCGAUUGGUCCUUGAAAUCGGACCAUUCAGGUUCGUACGAAGUUCAUUCUAAAUGGGGGUGGCUGGUGUAUUGUAUAGUUCUAGUGAUUGGAUUUCAGUCAAAACCCACCCAAUGACUCCUCCCACAAUAUUAUGAUGUUACGGAAGUUUCGGACUCAAUCCGAUAUCGAUUGGUCCUUGAAAUCGGACAAUUCAGGCUCGUACGAAGUUCGUUCUGAAACGAAGUGGCUCAUGUACUCGUUCUGAAAUGGAGUGUUUGAUGUAUUGUAUAGUUCUAGGGAUUGGAUUUCACUCAAAACCCACCAAAUGACUCCUCCCACAAUAUUAUGGUGUUCCCCAAGUUUUGAACUCAAUCUGAUAUCGAUUGGUCCUUGACAUUAGACAAUUCAGGUUCAUACGACGUUCAUUCUGAAAUGGAGUGGCUGAGGUAUUGUAUAGUUCUAGGGAUUGGAUUUCCCUCAAAAAAUUCUAGAUGAAUCCUCCUACAAUAUGACGAUGUUCCCCAAGUUUUGGACUCAAUGCGAUAUCGAUUGGUCCAUGAAAUCAGACAAUUCAGGUUUGCACGAAGUUCGCUGUGAAAUGGAGUGGUUGAUAUAUUGUACAGUUCUAGGGAUUGGAUUUCACUCAAAACCACCCAAAUGACUACUCCCAAAAUAUUAUGAUGUUCCUCAAGUUUUGGACUCAAUCCGAUAUCGAUUGGUCCUUGUAAUUGGACAAUUCAGGUUCGUGCGAAGUUCUUUCUGAAAUGGAGUAGCUGAUGUAUUGUAUAGUUCUCGGGAUUGGAUUUCACUCAAAACCCACCAAAUGACUCCACCCACAAUAUUAUGAUGUUCCCCAAGUUUUGGACUCAAUCCGAUGUCGAUUGGUCCUUUAAAUCGGACAAUUCAGGUUCUUACGAAGUUCAUUCUUAAAUGGGGUGGUUGGUGUAUUGUAUAGUUCUAGUGAUUGGAUUUCACUCAAAACCCAACCAAUGACUCCUCCCACAAUAUUAUGAUGUUCCCCAAGUUUUGGACUCAAUCCGAUAUCGAUUGGUCUAUUAAAUCGGACAAUUCAAGUUCGUACGAAGUUCGUUCUGAAAUGGGGUGGUUAGGGUAUUGUAUAGUUCUAGAGAGUGGAAUUCGCUCAAAACCCAACAAAUGACUCCUCCCACGAUAUUAUGAUGUUCCCCAAGUUUUGAACUCAAUCCGAUAUCGAUUGGUCAAUGAAAUCGGACAAUUCAGUUUUGUACGAAGUUCGUUCUGAAAAGGAGUGGUCGGUUUAUUGUAUAGUUCUAGGGAUUGGAUUUCACUCAAAACCCACAAAAUGACUCCUCCCACAAUAUUAUGAUGUUCCCCAAGUUUUGGACUCAAUCCGAUAUCGAUUUGUCCUUAUAAUCGAAGAAUUCGGGUUCGUAUGAAGUUCGUUCUAAAAUGGAGUGGUGGGUGUAUUGUAUAGUUCUAGGGAUUGCAUUUCACUCAAAACCUACCAAAUGACAACUCCCACAACAUUAUGAUGUUCCCCAAGUUUUGGACUCAAUCCGAUAUAAAUCGGACAAUUCAGGUUCGUACGAAGUUCGUUCUAAAAUGGAGUGGUUGGUGUAUUGUUUAGUUCUAGGGAUUGGAUUUCACUCAAAACCCACCAAAUAACAACUAACACAACAUUACGAUGUUCCCCAAGUUUUGGACUCAAUCCGAUAUCGAUUGGUCUAUGAAAUCGGACAAUUCAAGUCCAUACGAAGUUCGUUCUGAAAUGGAGUGGUUGGUUUAUUGUAUAGUUAUGGGGAUUGAAUUUCACUCAAAACCCUCCAAAUGACUCCUCCCACAACAUUAUGAUGUUCCCCAAGUUUUAGACUCAAUCCAAUAUCGAUUGGUCCAUGAAAUCGGACAAUUCAGGUUCAUUCGAAGUUCGUUCUAAAAUGGAGUGGUUGGUGUAUUGUAUAGUUCUAGGGAUUGGAUUUCACUCCAAACCCACCAAAUAACAACUCCCACAACAUUACGAUGUUCCCCAAGUUUUGGACUCAAUCCGAUAUCGAUUGGUCCUGAAAUCGGACAAAUUCAGUUUCGUACAAAGUUCGAUCGGAAAUGGAGCGGUUGGUUUUAUUGUAUAGUUCUCGAGAUUGGAUUACACUCAAAACCCACCAAAUGACUCCUCCCACAAUAUUAUGCUGUUCCCCAAGUUUUGGACUCAGUCCGAUACCGAGUGGUCCUUGAAAUCAGACAAUUCAGGUUCGUAUGAAUUUCAUUCUGAAAUGGAGUGGUUGGUGUAUUGUAUAGUUCUAGGUACUGGAUUUCGCUCAAAACCCACCCAAUGACCCCACCCAAUGUCUUACGAUGUUCGCCAAGUUUGGACUCGAUCUGAUAUCGAUUGGUCCACGAAAUCAGACAAUUCAUGUUCGUACGACGUUCGUUCUAAAAUGGAGUGGCUGAUGUACUAUAUAGUUCUAGGGAUUGGAUUUCACUAAAAACCCACCAAUUGACUCCUCCCACAAUAUUAUGAUGUUCCCCAGGUUUUGGACUUAAUCUGAUAUCGAUUGGUCUACGAAAUUUGACUAUUCAUGUUCGUACUUCAAUGAAGUGGUUGGUUUAUUGUAUAGUUCUGGGGAUGAGAUUUCACUCAAACCCACCAAAUGACUCCUCCCACAAUAUUAUGAUGUUCCCCAAGGUUUGGACUCAAUCCGAUAUCGAUUUGUCCUUAUAAUGGGACAAUUCAGGUUCGUACGAAGUUCGUUCUGAAAUGGAAUGGCAGAUGUAUUGUAUAGUGCUAGGGAUUGGAUUUCACUCAAAACCCACCAAAUGACUCCUCCCACAAUAUUAUGGUGUUCUCCAAGUUUUGGACUCAAUCCGAUAUCGAUUGGUCCUUGAAAUCGGACAAUUCAGUUUUGUACGAAGUUCGAUCGGAAAUGGAGUGGUUGGUUUAUUGUAUAGUUCUCGAGAUUGGAUUACACUCAAAAGACACCAAAUGACUCCUCCCACAAUAUUAUGCUGUUCCCCAAGUUUUGGACUCAAUCCGAUAUCGAUUGGUCCUUGAAAUCGGACAAUUCAGUUUCGUACGAAGUUCGAUCGAAAAUGGAGUGGUUGGUUUAUUGUAUAGUUCUCGGGAUUGGAUUACACUCAAAACCCACCAAAUGACUCCUCCCACAAUAUUAUGAUGUUCCCCAAGUUUUGGACUCAAUGCGGGUGGCCAUUUGUCCUUAUAAUGGGGGGGAUUCAGGUUCGUACGAAGUUCGUUCUGAAAUGGAAUGGCUGAUGUAUUGUAUAGUGCUAGGGAUUGGAUUUCACUCAAAACCCACCAAAUGACUCCUCCCACAAUAUUAUGGUGUUCCCCAAGUUUUGGACUCAAUCCGAUUUCGAUUGGUCCUUGAAAUCGGACAAUUCAGUUUCGUACGAAGUUCGAUCGAAAAUGGAGUGGUUGGUUUAUUGUAUAGUUCUCGGGAUUGGAUUACACUCAAAACCCACCAAAUGACUCCUCCCACAAUAUUAUGAUGUUCCCCAAGUUUUGGACUCAAUCCGAUAUCCAUUGGUCCUUAUAAUGGGACAAUUCAGGUUCGUACGAAGUUCGUUCUGAAAUGGAAUGGUUGAUGUAUUGUAUAGUGCUAGGGAUUGGAUUUCACUCAAAACCCACCAAAUGACUCCUCCCACAAUAUUAUGCUGUUCCCCAAGUUUUGGACUCAAUCCGAUACCGAGUGGUCCUUGAAAUCAGACAAUUCAGGUUCGUAUGAAUUUCAUUCUGAAAUGGAGUGGUUGGUGUAUUGUAUAGUUCUAGGGACUGGAUUUCGCUCAAAACCCCCCAUAUGAUUCCCUACCAAAGUAUUUACGAUGUUCCCCAUGUUUUGGACUCCUUCUGAUAUCGAUUGGUCCACGAAAUCAGACAAUUCAUGUUCGUACGACGUUCGUUCUAAAAUGGAGUGGCUGAUGUACUAUAUAGUUCUAGGGAUUGGAUUUCACUAAAAACCCACCAAUUGACUCCUCCCACAAUAUUAUGAUGUUCCCCAGGUUUUGGACUUAAUCUGAUAUCGAUUGGUCUACGAAAUUUGACUAUUCAUGUUCGUACUUCAAUGAAGUGGUUGGUUUAUUGUAUAGUUCUGGGGAUGAGAUUUCACUCAAACCCACCAAAUGACUCCUCCCACAAUAUUAUGAUGUUCCCCAAGGUUUGGACUCAAUCCGAUAUCGAUUUGUCCUUAUAAUGGGACAAUUCAGGUUCGUACGAAGUUCGUUCUGAAAUGGAAUGGCAGAUGUAUUGUAUAGUGCUAGGGAUUGGAUUUCACUCAAAACCCACCAAAUGACUCCUCCCACAAUAUUAUGGUGUUCUCCAAGUUUUGGACUCAAUCCGAUAUCGAUUGGUCCUUGAAAUCGGACAAUUCAAUUUUGUACGAAGUUCGAUCGGAAAUGGAGUGGUUGGUUUAUUGUAUAGUUCUCGAGAUUGGCAUUACACUCAAAGACACCAAAUGACUCCUCCCACAUAUUAUGCUGUUCCCCAGUUUUGGACUCAUUCGAAUAUCGAUUGGUCCAUGAAAUCGGACAAUUCAGUUUCGUACGAAGUUCGAUCGAAAAUGGAGUGGUUGGUUUAUUGUAUAGUUCUCGGGAUUGGAUUACACUCAAAACCCACCAAAUGACUCCUCCCACAAUAUUAUGAUGUUCCCCAAGUUUUGGACUCAAUCCGAUAUCCAUUUGUCCUUAUAAUGGGACAAUUCAGGUUCGUACGAAGUUCGUUCUGAAAUGGAAUGGCUGAUGUAUUGUAUAGUGCUAGGGAUUGGAUUUCACUCAAAACCCACCAAAUGACUCCUCCCACAAUAUUAUGGUGUUCCCCAAGUUUUGGACUCAAUCCGAUAUCGAUUGGUCCUUGAAAUCGGACAAUUCAGUUUCGUACAAAGUUCGAUCGGAAAUGGAGCGGUUGGUUUAUUGUAUAGUUUUCGAGAUUGGAUUACACUCAAAACCCACCAAAUGACUCCUCCCACAAUAUUAUGCUGUUCCCCAAGUUUUGGACUCAGUCCGAUACCGAGUGGUCCUUGAAAUCAGACAAUUCAGGUUCGUAUGAAUUUCAUUCUGAAAUGGAGUGGUUGGUGUAUUGUAUAGUUCUAGGUACUGGAUUUCGCUCAAAACCCACCAAAUGACCCCAACCAAAGUAUUACGAUGUUCCCCAAGUUUUGGACUCGAUCUGAUAUCGAUUGGUCCACGAAAUCAGACAAUUCAUGUUCGUACGACGUUCGUUCUGAAAUGGAGUGGCUGAUGUACUAUAUAGUUCUAGGGAUUGGAUUUCACUAAAAACCCACCAAUUGACUCCUCCCACAAUAUUAUGAUGUUCCCCAGGUUUUGGACUUAAUCUGAUAUCGAUUGGUCUACGAAAUUUGACUAUUCAUGUUCGUACUUCAAUGAAGUGGUUGGUUUAUUGUAUAGUUCUGGGGAUGAGAUUUCACUCAAACCCACCAAAUGACUCCUCCCACAAUAUUAUGAUGUUCCCCAAGGUUUGGACUCAAUCCGAUAUCGAUUUGUCCUUAUAAUGGGACAAUUCAGGUUCGUACGAAGUUCGUUCUGAAAUGGAAUGGCAGAUGUAUUGUAUAGUGCUAGGGAUUGGAUUUCACUCAAAACCCACCAAAUGACUCCUCCCACAAUAUUAUGGUGUUCCCCAAGUUUUGGACUCAAUCCGAUAUCGAUUGGUCCUUGAAAUCGGACAAAUUAAAUUCGUACGAAGUUCGAUUGGAAUGGAGUGGGUUGGUUAUUGGAUACGUUCUCGGGAUUGGAUUACACUCAAAAAGCACCAAAUGACUCCUCCCAAAUAUAUAAUGCUGUUCCCCAAGUUUUGGACUCAAUCCGAUAUCGAUUGGUCCUUGAAAUCGGACAAUUCAGUUUCGUACGAAGUUCGUUUGGAAAUGGAGUGGUUGGUGUAUUGUAUAGUUCUAGGUACUGGAUUUCACUCCAAACCCACCAAAUGUUUCCUCCCACAAUAUUAUGAUGUUCCCCAAGUUUUGGACUCAAUCCGAUAUCGAUUGGUCCUUUAAUCGGACAAUUCAGGUUUGUACGAAGUUCGUUCUGAAAUGGAAUGGCUGAUGUAUUGUAUAGUGCUAGGGAUUGGAUUUCACUCAAAACCCACCAAAUGACUCCUCCCACAAUAUUAUGGUGUUCCCCAAGUUUUGGACUCAAUCCGAUUUCGAUUGGUCCUUGAAAUCUGGGCCACCCACCCCAAGGGGAAUCCUAUCGAAAAUGGAGUGGUUGGUUUAUUGUAUAGUUCUCGGGAUUGGAUUACACUCAAAACCCACCAAAUGACUCCUCCCACAAUAUUAUGCUGUUCCCCAAGUUUUGGACUCAGUCCGAUACCGAGUGGUCCUUGAAAUCAGACAAUUCAGGUUCGUACGAAUUUCAUUCUAAAAUUGAGUGGUUGGUGUAUUGCAUAGUUCUAGGUACUGAAUUUCACUCAAAACCCACCAAAUGACUCCUCCCAAAGUAUUACGAUGUUCCCCAAGUUUUGGACUCGAUCUGAUAUCGAUUGGUCCACGAAAUCAGACAAUUCAGGUUCGUACGACGUUCGUUCUGAAAUGGAGUGGCUGAUGUACUGUAUAGUUCUAGGGAUUGGAUUUCACUCAAAACCCACCAAAUGACUCCUCCCACAAUAUUAUCAUGUUCCCCAAGUUUUGGACUCAAUCUGAUAUCGAUUGGCCCAUGAAAUCGGACAAUUCCGGUUCGUGCGAAGUUCGUUCGGAAAUGGAGUGGUUGCUUUAUUGUAUAGUUCUAGGAAUAGGAUUUGACUCAAUACCCACCAAAUGACUCCGCCCACAAUAUUAUGAUGUCCCCCAAGUCUUGGACUCAAUCCCAAAUUGAUUGGUCCAUGAAAUUGGAAAAUUCAGGUUCGUACGAAGUUCGUUAUGAAAUGGAGUGGUUGAUGUAUUGUAUAGUUCUAGAGAUUGGAUUUCACUCAAAAAUCACCAAAUUACUCCUCCCACAAUAUUAUUAUGUUCCCCAAGUUUUGGACUGAAUCCGAAAUCGAUUGGUCCAUGAAAUCGAAGAAUUCAGGUUCUUUCGAAGUUCGUUAUGAAAUGGAGUGGUUGGUGUACUGUAUAGUCCUAGGUACUGGAUUUCACUCAAAACCGACCAAAUGACAACUCCCACAAUAUUAUGAUGUUCCCCAAGUUUUAGACUCAAUCCGAUAUCGACUGGUCCUUUUAUCGGGAAAUUCAGGUUCGUACAAAGUUCGUUCUGAAAUGCCGUGGUUGGUUUAUUGUACAGUUCUAGCGAAUGGAUGUCACUAAAACCCACCAAAUGACUCGUCCCACAAUAUUAUGAUGUUCCCCAAGUUUUGAACUCAAUCCGAUAUAGAUUGGUCCUUGUAAUCGGACAAUUCAGGUUCUUACGAAGUACGUUCUGAAAUGGAGUGGCUAAUGUAUUGUAUAGUUCUAGGGAUUGGAUUUUACUCAAAACCCACCAAAUGACUCCUCCCACCAUAUUAUGAUGUUCCCCAAGUUUUGGACUCAAUCCGAUAUCGAUCGGUCUACGAAAUUUGACAAUUCAGGUUCGUAGGAAGUUCUUUCUGAAAUGGAGUGGUUGGUUUAUUAUAUAGUUCUGGGGAUUGUAUUUCACUCAAAACCCACCAAAUGACUUGUCCCACAAUAUUAUGAUGUUCCCCAAGUUUUGAACUCAAUCCGAUAUAGUUUGGUCCUUGUAAUCGGACAAUUCAGGUUCUUACGGAGUUCGUUUCGAAAUGGAGUGGCUAAUGUAUUAUAUAGUUCUAGGGAUUGGAUUUCACUCAAAACCCACCAAAUGACUCCUCCCACAAUAUUAUGAUGUUCCCCAAGUUUUGGACUCAAUCCGAUAUCGAUCGGUCUACGAAAUUUGACAAUUUAGGUUCGUACGAAGUUCGUUCUGAAAUGGAGUGGUUGGUUUAUUCUAUAGUUCUGGGGAUUGUAUUUCACUCAAAACCCACCAAAUGACUCCUCCAACAACAUUAUGAUGUUCCCCAGGUUGUAGACUCAAUCCGAUAUCGAUUGGUCCAUGAAAUCGGACAAUUCAGGUUCAUAUGAAGUUCGUUCUGAAAUGGGGUGGUUGAUGUAUUGUAUAGUUCUAGAGAUUGGAUUUCACCCAAAACCCACCAAAUGAGUCCCCCCACAAUAUUAUGAUGUUCCCGAAGUUUGGAACUCAAUCCGAUAUCGAUUGGUCAAUGAAAUCGGACAAUUCAGGUUCGUACGAAGUUCGUUCUAAAAUCAAGUGGUUGCUUUGUUGUAUAGUUCUGGGGAUUGGAUUUCACUCAAAACCCAUCAAAUGACUCCUCCCACAAUAUUAUGAUGUUCCCCAUGUUUUAGAGUCCAUCUGAUAUCGAUUGGUCUAUGAAAUCAGACAAUUCAAGUUCUUACGAAAUUCGUUCUGAAAUGGGGUGGUUGGUGUAUUGUAUGGUUCUAGGGAUUGGAUUUCACUGAAAACCCACCAAAUGACUCCGCCCAUAAUGUUAUGAUGUACCCCAACUUUUGUACUCAAUCCAAUAUCGACUGGUCAAUGAAAUCGGACAAUUCAGUUUCGUACGAAGUUCGUCCUGAACUGGUGUGGUUGGUGUAUUGUAUAGUUCUAGAGAGUGGAUUUCACUCAAAACCCCCAAAUGACUCCUCCCACAAUAUUAUGAUGUUCCCCAAGUUUUGGACUCAAUCCGAUAUCGACCGGUCCACGAAAUUUGACAAUUCGGGUUCGUACGAAGUUCUUUCUGAACUAGAGUGGUUGGUUUAUUGUAUAGUUCUGGGGAUUGGAUUUCACUCAAAACCCACCAAAUGACUCCUCCCACAAUAUUAUGUUGUUCCUCAAGUUUUGGACUCAAUCUGAUAUCGAUUGGUCCAUGAAAUCGGAUAAUUCAGGUUCAUACGAAGUUCGUUCUAAAAUGGGGUGGUUGGUUUAUUGUAUAGUUCUUGGGAUUGGAUUUCACUCAAAACCAGUCAAAUGACUCCUCCCACAAUGUUAUGAUGUUACCCAAGUUUUAGACUCAAUCCCAUAUCGGUUGGUCCAUGAAAUCGGACAAUUCAAGUUCUUACGAAGUUCGUUCUGAAAUGGAGUGGUUGGUGCAUUGUACAGUUCUAGGGAUGGAUUUCACUCAAAACUGACCAAAUGACAACUCCCACAAUAUUAUGAUGUUCUCCAAGUUUUGGACUCAAUCCGAUAUCGAUUGGUCCACGAAAUUUGACAAUUCAGGUUCGUACGAAGUUCAUUCUGAAAUGGAGUGGUUGACGUAUUCUAUAGUUCUGGAGAUUGGAAUUCAAUCAAAAAUCCCCAAAUUACUCCUCCCACAAUAUUAUGAUGUUCCCCAAGUUUUGGGCUCAAUCCGAUAUUGAUUGGUCCUAGAAAUCAGACAAUUCAGGUUCGUACGAAGUUCGUUCUGAAAUGGAGUGGCUGAUGUCUUGUAUAGUUCUAGGGAUUCGAUUUCGCUCAAAACCCACCAAAUGACUCCUCCCAUAGUAUUAUGAUGUUCCCCAAGUUUUGGACUCUAUCCGAUAUCGAUUGGUCCACAAAAUUCGACAAUUCAGGUUUCUACGAAGUUCGUUCUGAA